rnacentral:lncRNA from 1 species
AAGUGUUAAUAGCUUGCAUGUGUAUUCAAAUGUUCAUACUUGUUCUUAGCUAGGACAAAAUUUUUCCUUCAGCAAGUAGGGAUCGUUCUAGACCGAGGAUUAACUAGGGAUGCUAAUCAACACAAAUAAGACUCAAAAACACUAAACUAGACUCUAUAGACUCAAAACUAACUCAAAACACUCAAAACAGCAAGAAACUAUCAAAAAGACUUAAUUCUAAACCUAAUAAGUGAUUUGGACGAAAAUAGAACUUAAAAGACUCAAAAGACAAAAAAAAAAAAACAGGUUUUGACUCUAAAAACAAGACUUAAUGAAUGGGGAUUUUGUUUUGACGAAAUUGAAAGUUAAAACAGAAACUUUGAAAACAAACUUAACAAAAACGAUUUUGGAUGAAAAAGAAUGGUGAAAGGCUAGUUAGAGGGUUCCUUCUCCACACAUGACAUAUGCAUACGAAACGAUUUCCAAUUAUUCUUUCGACAAACCAUGAAUGACAAUGCCCCAAAUUAAUUGUAUUGAACUAAUUAAUUCUCAGAUUUCCCUAGAUUCAUUGAAUUGAAUGGAUAACACAUCACAACCAAGUUAUCCUUUAUCAAGUUCCCUAACUAUGGAAUACGCAUGAUAGAAAUACUUAACAAAGAUCAUUAAGUUCAAUGGAAACCAUAAACAUUGACGAGGCAUUCAUAACUAUGAAAAGCAUGUUACUCUUACCUAGGAUUUACUUAACACAAUCGUGACUAAUGACUUUUACUACUUAUGAAUAUAAGUUCAUAACGAUUAGGUGAAAUUCCCUUAUACUUUAGCAUCAAAUUCAUGCAUGCAAACUAAGUAUGCAUCCUUAAUUAACACACAAGAACAAGUUCUUAAUGAAACCGAUAAGUAAACCACAUCCACGAUUCAUGAAACAAUAAUUGGACGAAAUCAAUUCAUAUAAAACAUAUAAUCAUGGCUUCGAAUUCACCUCUAACUAUAAAGAAAUUAGUUCCUCAUGUUCGCAGAUAAACAAAGAUAACUUAAAUUAAACAUUGAAAACAAAGAUAGAAUACACCUAGAAACGCUCCAACGAUCCAACGUCUUGAAUGGCAAGCACGGCUCCAGGUAGCUCAUUCUCCUUCCUUCCUUGCAAUACUCACGGCACAAUGAGGUGUGUAUGGUGAAUGGUGUAGAAAAAUAUGGUAGAGGGUGGUGAAUGAUUUAUGGGGCAAGGGUUGGUAUUUAUAGGCUGGAAUUCAUGCCAAAAUCCCUAAGGAUUUGGAUAGGUUUAUGAAAUUAAAAUGGGAUAAGGAUUGUGAAACCAAAACUCAAGUGGAAUGGGUUAAAACAAUAAAAAACCAAAGGGGAUUAGGCUAAUAAGGUGCAACACUAAUUCCUACAAAGAAGGGGAUACAUUUGGCUUAAAUCAAGAGGGAAAAGGAUUGAGAUUUCAGGUUCUAGAGCUUCUAGAAAAGGGGAAAAACGCCAUAUUUUUAGAUGCUUCUAGAAAAGAUGUUUUAGCACCAAUUUAGGGGUUUUAGAAGGAUAAGGGUUCUAGAAUCUGAAAUAUAUAGUUUAAAUACAUAAUUAUCCCUUAGAAAUAGCUGGAAUCAAGGCACAAAUUGAUUUGGAUAAGAUAGGAUAAGAUAAGGUUAAGUUAGGCAAGGAUAAGAUAAGAUAAGGUUGGAUAAGGUUUUGGAUAAUGUUCCUUCUUUUGAGCUGAUUUCUUAUCUUCCUUGACUUGGAUUUAUUUCUUCACUCUUUUCAACUCAUUCCUAGCCUCUUGAACUUCAAAUUUGUCCAUCCAUCUUGCUCCAUUCAUAAGCUAUCCAUUUGGUGCCCAAAACUGCCUCAAAAUGCUCCAAAAUGCACUUUCUUGCCAACUUUGUCAUAUGGACCUACAAACACACGAAAAUAGCUUAAAACACUAUAAUAAACACAAACAAACUAUGAAAAUGCAAGAAAACAAGCUAACUAAGUCGCAUAAAUAUGCUCCUAGCAAAUUCCCCCACACUUAGCUUUUGCUAGUCCUCGAGCAAAACAAAACAAACAAAACAAAACAUAACCUAAACCUUCCAACAUUUGUCUCAGGGUUUUCCAAUGAAACAUGACACGUUAAAAAUCACUACUUACAUAGAUUUUAGUUAUCCUGACCCUCGAGCAUAUACUUAAUCAUAGUCACCAUUCACUAGCUCGCAUUUAAUCAAUUUAAAACAUCAUUUUGGAUGUAGUAACAUGCCUUAGAGAAUUCCCUCAAUUCCUCACAGGAUAUACUCUCUAUUUUCACACAGAUUUUCUAACUACACACCCUACACUAGUUAUAUGUGAGAAGAUUGAUGUAAACAUGAAAACGAACGCUCACAUAUAUGUAUAACAAAGAAAGCAAUUUCUGGAGUUAUUAAUCAUGCUAGAUAUGAUCUCAUGAAUGGAAUGCUACUACUUAGACGCGAGAACUAGGGAUACCAUAUGCUCAUACCAAUCCCAAACUCCACAUAUUGAAAUACACAACAACCAAGAUUAAAGUCUAAGGGUUGUAAUGGGGCUAAGGGUAUUGGCUAACAAAGAAAGGUUAAGGAUAAACAAACGUUCUUAACGCAAUAGUAAGCAAAGCAAUGAAAUUAACUUAGAAUUCACUUUAGAAUGCAGAAAUCAACUUUUAAACAUAAGGGAAGAUUCAUGCAACACUUAGGGUCAAAUUCAAGCUUUUUGGACCCUUUCUUCAACAACCAACACUUUAAAGCUAAUUUUCACAUAUUUUUCACUCUUCUUCAUUCUUUUCACAAAUUUUUUUUUUCUAUUUUCCACAAAUUUUUUUUUUUCCUUUCUACCCAUGCCUCUUUUAAGACUUUGGCACACACACACAAAAAAUCCCUUCCCCCACACUUGUGUUUCUGCAAAUGUUUGAUCUAAAGGAAUUCCCUCUAAGUCAUACUCCACUAUACUUUAAGAACAAGGGUAUGGAUAGUCCUAUUCUAGGCUAGGUUGGGGUAAUGUGGCUAACAACAAAAAUAGGCUAAAUAAGGCUCAAAGGGGUUAAACCUACAAAACAAAUGCAUGGGAUGAAGGCUUUUUGGCUCUGGUGGUAACUACUAAACAACUUCAUCUUGUUAUAUGUUAUGCACUCAAUUUUAAGCUUUGAAUGAAACGGGCAUGAGUUCUAGUAUAUGGAACUAAAGUGAUAAAAUGCAUUCUAAGGAGCAACCAAGCAAAGAAUAAUGAGAUCAUGCAACGACUGUAGAAAACAAGAAAUCACAGAUUAAUAACUCUCCAAAUAAAGUUUAGGCUCAAAUCUCUCAGGGUUGUAGCGUUAGUUUGAGUUCUUUCCUUCAAGUAUGUUACAAAAACUGAUUUUUUCCUUUGUGAUUACAUGUGAAUUCGUAAACUAUAACUAUAACCAAGCAUAAACCAAAUAGUAUAUCAAACUUUCACCCAUGUUCGUAACUUUCUUUAACAGUCAUGCAAUUAAAAACCAAAUCCUCAUCAUUGUGUUGGAAGGUACCCUAAGACACAAACACACAAAAACAACUUUAAAAUGACUCUUUUUGGGUUUUUUCAAAACUUUUUCGAAUUUUUCUUGAAUUUUCGUAUUUUCUGUUAAAGCCACAUAAAAACACAUAAAAACAUUCUAAAAACAAUGAAAAACAACCUUUGAAAUGUUAGGUGGUAAAAUCCUAUGAAUUUUGCAACAAAAACACUUUGUUCACCCCCCCACACUUAAACCAAACAUUGUCCUCAAUGUUUUAAACCUAGACUCACACAAAAACAAGCAAAUAACACAACUAGCAAACAUGGCAAAUAUGGCAAAGUAAAAGCAAUAAAGAGUAGGGUUUAGGAAUGCAAAUCUGAUUAUGAUGUCGAAGCUUCCUAGGUCUUCCUUAUUUGCAUGGGUUGUCUUCCAAGAAGCGCUUGCUUUAACGUCUUCCAGCCGGACGAUACCUCCUUUUAAACUCCCCUAGGUCUCACGACAUGGAUUUGAUCUUUGAAUGGGAGGUGAUACUUGAAAUGAUCCGGUAAUGGUUUAAAUUCUAGAGUGGGUGCCUAAAUCAUUAACAACAUAUUAGUAUAAAACAAAAUUGAAAUUUGAGUAGGUGGCUUACCUGUUUGCUCCGACAAGAACUCAAGGACAAACACUACUUCUUUGAAAGUUUCUGGAAUGUUGGACUUGGCCAGAUUUAGUGGGAGGGUUGUGACUUGUCCUGUAUCAUAAAAUGCAACUUCUUUGGGGUUGGUUGUGCCAAGUACAUCCUCUUUGAUGAAUUCUUGGUGUUCCCCAUCCACUUCUUUCUCUUGAAUCCUUCUUCUUGGUGUACAAUUCGCUUCAGGGAAUUCAACACAAUCUGGAACUUGUUUUGGUGUACCAAGAAGUGCGAUAUCACUUUGCACCUUGGGAAGGGCUUCCACGAUGUCUUUUUCACUCUCUUCUUCUUUAGGAAUAAAAAACCUGCGAGGAAAAGGGACAUCUGGUGGAAUGGGGUAAGAAGCAAUUGAAUUUGGAACCACCUUACCUGAGUUGGACGGCAUAGGGACUCUAGGAGGCUGCAGCAAGGGUUGUUCUACCCUUGCCGUGGGUGUGUCUUCUUUCUCCUCCUCAAUUAGUAGAUGUUUGUCCUCCUCUUGGCUUUGUUUUGACGCCCUUGGUUCAGCUCCAACCUCCAUGGCACUUCCCAAAGUGAUGGCUUCAGUAAUUUCAAAAUCUUCCAUUGAAUUUACAAUGUUUGCGUUGGAGAAUUCACUUUGUUCCUGAAUUUGUGCCAUGAACUCCACAAUCUGCCCAACUUGCUUCUCUAAUUCAUCCAUCUUUUUGGCUUGAUUUUGCAUCCUUUUGGUUUGAUUUUCUUGCCUCUGAGACAAAUUGGUGAGUAACUUAAGAAGUGUAUCAUUAUCCAAGGACGUACCUGAACUUGUUUGGGAAGAUUGUGGGGGAGGUUGUGAUGGUGCAUAUGGUGUUGUAUAGAACCCUUCAUAUGGCUGCCAAUAUUCUCCUUGUUGAGCCUCUUUGGCUUGAUUUUGUGAGCCCUACACCAAAGAAAUUAAUUCCUUAAGAAUUUGAUUAUAAUCGAUUGAUGAACCUGAGUUUGGUUGGGCAUAUUGUAUAUGAGGUUGUGGUGGCUGCACAUGACUUGAAUAGAACUCCUCAUAUGGCUGCCAAUAUCCUUCGUGUUGAACUUGUUGAGAUUCCCACCACAUAGAAAUUUAAUGAUCACUCAAAUCUCUUUGUGAACGUUGAUUUGCUUGAUAUUCUUGCCUAUAAGACACACCAAAUGUAGGGACACUUUGCCUUGUGGUCCUUUCGGCAUACUGCGACAAUUGAGAAGUAAGAUUCGCUAUUUGAGCUUGAAUGUUAGCAAUUGCCAUAUAUUGCUUCUCUAGUACCUAAAAUCAAAGAAAGAAAACUAAAUCAAAUAUCAAAAGUAAAAGACACGAACAGAAACAAAGGGAGAUUAGCAAUUUUGCUAAUCCCCGGCAACGGCGCAAAAAUUUAGUGUGAAAAUUUUGUUGACACACAAAUUAAACCCUAUUGAUGACAAUUGUAGUAUUUAAGCAAGUAGGGAUCGUUCUAGACCGGGGAUUAACUAGGGAUGCUAAUCAACACAAACAAGACUAAAAAACACUAAACUAGACUCUAUAGACUCAAAACUAACUCAAAACACUCAAAACAGCAAGAAACUAUCAAAAAGACUCAAUUCUAAACCUAAUAAGUGAUGCGUAAAAUAACUAAACACACAAAUUAACCCUCUUGUUGACAAUUGUAGUAUGGAUAAGUAGGGAUCGUUCUUAAACCGGGGAUUAGGAGGGAUUGCUAAAACACUCUAAAUUGACUCAAAUAUGUAAAACAAAGUUUAAAACACUAAAACAAACCAAAAGACUCAAAACAGCACAAAAACACUCAAAACUGCCUUAAAAACACUUUCUGGGCAGUUUUGGGACUCUAACACAAACUUGGACGAAUUUUGGUUUUCUAAUGACCUAAAACACUUAAAAACAUAUUCUAAGACAAGUUCUAAUUAAUAUGACUUAAAGAAAUAAGGUAUGGUUGAUUUUGGACGAAAAUAAGUAAAACAAAGCAACGACAAUGUAAACAGAUUCUUAGACAAAAUUAAGUGAAUUGAUAAGAUAUGGGGUAACUAGAGGGUUCUUCUCCACACAUGAUACACUUGCAUUCAACCUUGAUUUCCAAUUUCUUCUUUCAAAAAACCAUGAAUCUCAAUGCCCUAGGUUAACUGUGAUAACACUUUUUUAACCUUCAAGUCUUCCUUAAAUUAUUGAAUUGGAUGGGAAUGCACAUGCAACAACUCAAAACAUUCUCUAAAAGUCCCUUACGUGAAAAGCACAAUAAAGAUACAAUCAAAGAUCAUUAAGCUUCAUGAAAACUAUAAGCAUUGGCGAGGCAAUUGUUACUAUGAAAAGCAUGAAACGUUUGCCAAGAAUUCACUAAACACGAUCGUUUAUAAGCGACCUCCACUACUUGCAAAUAUAAGGUUGUAACUAUUAGGUGAAACUUCCUUAUAUUUUAGCUUCAAAUUCCUACAUGAAAACUAAGUUGGCCACCUUAAUCAACACACAAAAAUAAGUCAUCAAUCAAAUGGUUAAGCAAAUUGCAUUCACAAUUCAUGAAAUAACAAUUAGACGUAAUCAAUUCAUCUUGCAAGCAUAAUCAUGGUAUUGAAUAACCCCCUAGCCAAAAAGGCUUAGUUCCUCAUGUUCACAAAACAAAGGAAAACAGAUUUAUACAUUGUAAAUAUAAGAAAGAGAACACCUAAAUAUUCCAACGAUUCAAUGUUGAACAGCUAGAACCUUCAAGCACUUCUUCUUCCUCUCCUUUGCUGCGGCACAAGGGUUGGGGGUGAGUUUAGGGAGUUAUGGAUGAUGUAGAAGGAUGGAAUUAAGGUUAGGAUGGAUGUAGGGGUCGGCUAGGGUAUUUUCUGGGCAGAAAAUAGGGUGAAUGGUGGUAGAAUGGUGCGGCUAAGAGUGGAAUGGUGUUUCUGGCGUGAAUGGUCAGUAUAUGGAUGUUUUGUGGCUGCAAAAGAGAGUUUAUUUAAAGGAUUUCAGGAAUUAAAACCCUAGGUUAUUUAGGUAAUCAGAAAUUAAGUCUAAGGCUUCUAGAAAUAGGAAACAAAAUCAGAAACUUAAGGGAAAUUGACUAAGAGGUGCGGCUAGGGUAUGAAACACAAAAGGAAUGUGUUUUAAUUCAGAAAAUAGGAAAGAAUCACUCCCUUGCACGGCAAGGAAGAUGGAAUUGUGCAAAAGGCAUGUGAGGUGCGGCAUUGAUGUAAACCAUGCAAGAAAUGUGUGCUUGAUGUCCUAGAAUACUUAGAAGACCUUCAAAGUUGAUAACACUUAGGGACACUUAGGAAAGGUCAAACCAAAGUAGGAAACCUUGGCUUAACUUUCCUACUUCAAGUAGGAAUCCUUCGUUGAUUAGGAAUCCUUCGUUGAUUAGGAAUCCUAACUUCUUCAAAUCUUCAAUUACGUCCAUUCCUUUUGCUCCAAUCAUGUGAUAAUCAUUCCAAGCCCAAUUUUGCUCCAAAAAGCUCCAAAAUGCAUCUUCUUGCAUCCUUUGGCCUUAGAAUCUGAAAACACACAAAAGUGACUUUAAACACUAAAAUAACUAAGGAAACACAACGUAAAUGCACGAGAACAAGCCAAUUAAGUCGCAUAAAUAUGCUCCUAUCAAAUUCCCCCACACUUAGCUUUUGCUAGUCCUCGAGCAAAACAAAGAAAUAAAACAAAACAAAACAAAUAAAACACAACCUAAACCUUCCAACAUUUGCCUCAGGGAUUUUCAAUGCACAUGACAUGUUAAAAAUCAUUAUCCCCACAGAUUUGAGUCAUCUUUACACUUGAGCACAUACUUAAUCAUAGUCACCACUUACUAGUUCACAAUUAACCAAUUUAAACAAUGUUUUGAAUGUAGUAACAUGCCUUAGAGAAAUCACUCAAUUCCUUACAAGAUAUGCACUCAAUUUUCACUCAGAUUUUCUAACUACACACCUAUACUAGUUAUAUGUGAGAAGAUUGAUGCAGAUACGAAAACGAACGCUCACAUAUAUGUAUCACAAAGAAAGCAAUUCCUGGAGUUAAAAAGCAUGUUUAGAUAUGAUCUCAUGAAUGGAAUGCUACUACUUAGAUGCGAGAACCAGUGACACCAUAUGCUCAUACCAAAUUCAAACUCCACAAAUUGAAACACUUAACACUUAAGAUUGAAGUCAAAGGUUGUAACGGGGCUUGGGGUGUUAGCUAACAAAUGAAGGAUAGGGAUAACAAACGUUCUUAAAGCAAUAGCAAGCAAAGUAAUGAAAUUGAAACUUAGAAUUCACUUAGAUUGCAGAAAUCAACUUUUAAACACGAAGGGAAGAUUCAAGCAAUACUUAGGGCCGAAUUCAAAGUUUUGGACCCUUUCUUCAACAAACAACACUUUAGAACUCUUUUUCACAUCUUUUCAACUCUUUUUGUUUUUUUCUUUCUACCCGUGCCUAUGGCACAUUAACUCACACUUCCCACACACUUGUUUUCUGCCAUACAUUAAUCAAAAGGAAUUCAAUUUGAAUCAUGCUUUACUAUGCUUUGAGAACAAGGGUAUGGAUGGUCCUAAUCUAGGCUAGGUGAGGAUAAUGUCGUUUAACAAAGAAUGUAGGCUAACAAGGCGCGAAGGGGUUAACUUAAACAUAAAAAUGAGGUAGGGCACACGGCAUUUUGGCUAAGGUGAUGGUAACUACACAACUUCAUCUUGAAUAUGUGUUAUGAAAAUCAAUAACAUGCUUUGAAUGAAAUGGGCAUGAGUUCUAGCAUUUGGAACUAAAUGAUGAAACGCCUUCUAAGUAGUAACCAAGCAAAGAAUAAUGAGAUCAUGCAACGACUUUAGAAAACAAUAAUGCACAGAUUUUAACUCUCCAAAUAAACGUUUAGGCUCAAGUCUCACAAGGUUGUAGCGUUUGCUUGAGUUCCUUCCUUCAAGCAUGUUACAAAAACUAAUUUUUUCCUUUAUGAUUACAUGUGAAUUCAUAAGUUAUAACCACAACCAAGCAUAAACAAAGAGUAAAUCAAACUUUCAUCCAUGUUAAUCACUCUCUUUAACAGCCAUGCAAUUACAAACCGAAUCCUCAUCAUUGUGUUGGAAGGUACCCUAAGACACAAACAAACACACAAAAACAAAUCAAAAACAACUCUUUUUGGUUUUUUUCAAAACAAUUUUUCAAUUUUUUCUGGGAUUUUCGGAUUUUUAGAACAAAACAUACUAAAACACACCAAAACAGCUUAAAACACUUAAAAACAGCAAGGAACAACACUUGAAGUUAUGGGUGAUAAAAUCCCACGAAUUUGCAUCAAAAACACUUAGUUACCCCCCCACACUUAAAUCAAACAUUGUCCUCAAUGUUCCAAGCAUAAAAUCACACCAAACAAAAGUAAACACACAAACAGCAACUUAACAAGUAAACUGGGCAGAUUAGAAAGAAUCAACAAAGAGAAGGGUUUUAGGAACGCAAAUAUGGAAUUGGAGUGAUUCCUAAGUCUUCCUUUGUUGAAUGCAUGGGUUGCCUUCCACGUAGCGCUUUCUUUAACGUCGUACAGCCAGACGGAGAACACCUUUACUCCUCCUUGGAACCCACGGCAUGCCGUGGGAUCUCCUUCACAACAUGCUCCACAAAGUUCUCAUAGUACGGCUUCAAUCGAUGUUCAUUCACCUUGAAUUCUUGCCCGGUUCUCAAGCUCUUAAUUUGGACUGCACUAGGCACAAAAAGAUUAGUAACAACAAACGGGCCAACCCAUUUGGAACGUAACUUACCAGGGAAUAGACGAAGAUGGGAGUUGAACAACAACACUUUCUGGCCAAGUGUGAAAGUCUUGCCUCGAAGCAUCUUAUCAUGGAAUGCCGUGGUCUUCUCUUUGUAAAUUCUAGCAUUCUCAUAAGCUUCAUGCCUUAUCUCAUCAAGUUCACUCAAUUGAAGCUUUCGAUGAAUUCCAGCUUGGUCCACAUUCAAAUUGAAGGUCUUGAUGGCCUAAUGCGCUUUAUGUUCUAAUUCCACGGGUAGAUGGCAUGGCUUACCAUACACAAGCCGAAAAGGAGACAUACCAAUGGGGGUUUUGUAAGCCGUUCGAUACGCCCAUAGUGCAUCAUCCAACCGUAAGCUCCAAUCUUUUCUAUUUGGCCCAACGGUCUUCUCCAAAAUCUGUUUGAUCUCACGAUUAGACACCUCGGCUUGGCCAUUGGUUUAGGGGUGGUAAAGUGUGGAAACCUUAUAUGUCACAUGGUACUUCUUGAGUAAUGCCUUAAUGGUACGGUUGCAAAAAUGAGACCCUCCAUCACUUAUUAGCACCCUAGGCAUCCCAAAUCUAGAAAAGAUAUUAGCUUUCACAAAAUCUGCCACAACUUUAGAAUCGUUAGUUCGAGUGGCUUUCGCUUUCACCCACUUUGAAACAUAAUCAACUGCAAGUAAUAUGUAAUUGAAACCAAAAGAUGAAGGACAAGGACCCAUAAAAUCAAUACCCCAAACAUAAAAAAUUUCAACAACAAAGAUGGGUACCUGCGUCAUUUGAUCUUUUGGGCCUAUAUUACUUAUUCGUUGGCAGCGAUCACACGUUAAACAAAAGGUUCUAUCAUCUUUAAACAAAGUAGGCCAAUAAAAACCACAUUCAAGAACCUUAAAAGCUAUCCUUUGGGUGCCAAAAUGACCCCCACAUGCAUAUGUGUGACAAAAACUUAAAAUGGAGUGAAAAUCUGAUUCAUGCACACAUCUUCUUAUAACCUGAUCUGAACAAUAUUUCCACAAGUAUGGGUCAUCCCAAACAUAAAAUCUAGCAUCCUUUUUAAGUUUAUCACGUUGGAAUUUGUUUAGGGUGCUAGGAAUUUGUUUACUCACCAAAUAAUUCACCAAAUCUGCGUACCAAGGCACACUUACCUUAAUGGACAAGAGUUGUUCAUCCGGAAACGUUUCAAAGAUAGGAAGAACCUCUUCUUCACGCACCAACCUGCUUAGAUGGUCGGCAACUACAUUGUCACUCCCCUUCUUGUCCUUGAUUUCGAUGUCAAACUCUUGAAGUAGAAGCAUCCAACGAAUGAGUCUAGGUUUAGCUUCUUUCUUUGUGAACAAGUACUUCAAGGCUGCAUGGUCAGUGAAAACAAUGACUUUAGUGCCAAUUAAAUAUGAUCUAAACUUAUCUAAUGCAAAGACAACAGCCAAAAGCUCUUUCUCAGUUGUGGAAUAAUUUAAUUGUGCAUCAUUUAAGGUACAAGAAGCAUAAUAAAUAACAUGUGGCAGCUUUGUUUCCUUUGGCCCAAAACAGCUCCAAGUGCAUAAUCCGAUGCAUCACACAUUAAUUCAAAGGGAAUGGACCAAUCUGGUGGAGUUAUAAUUGGUGCCGUGGUGAGGAGGUCUUUGAGAUGGUUGAAUGCUUGCUCACACGCCUCGUUGAACUCAAAAGACACUUCCUUCUGUAGGAGACGACAUAGGGGCUGUGCAAUCUUGGAAAAGUCCUUGAUAAAUCAUCGAUAGAAUCCUGCAUGACCAAGAAAAGAACGAACCUCUCUCACCGAAGUAGGAGAGGGUAAGUAGCGUACAAGAUCUAUUUUAGACUUAUCAACCUCAAUUCCUCUUUCAGAGAUUAUAUGACCCAAAACGAUACCUUGUUUAACCAUAAAAUGGCAUUUCUCCCAAUUUAACACAAGGUUUGUUUCAACACAACGUUUCAAGAUUAAAGUGAGAUUAUCCAAGCAAUUAUCGAAUGAAUUACCAAACACACUAAAAUCAUCCAUGAAUAUCUCAAUAAUCCUCUCAACAUAAUCAGAAAAGAUGCUAACCAUACACCUUUGAAACGUGGCAGGAGCAUUGCACAAACCGAAUGGCAUGCGUCGAUAUGCAAAUGUUCCAAAGGGACAAGUAAAAGUGGUCUUUUCUUGAUCAUCCGGGGCAAUAACAAUUUGAUUAUAACCAGAGUAUCCAUCAAGAAAAUAAUAAAAGGAAUGACCCGCUAACCUUUCAAGCAUUUGAUCUAGGAACGGCAAUGGGAAGUGAUCCUUCCUUGUGGUGGCGUUUAGCUUCCUGUAAUCAAUGCACACUCGCCAACCGGUUUGAAUUCGGGUGGGGACAAGCUCAUUCUCCGCAUUUUCUACAACCGUCACUCCAGAUUUCUUGGGCACACAUUGGAUAGGUGAAACCCAACGGCUAUCGGAGAUGGGAUAAAUCACACCACAAUCAAGGAGCUUGAUUAUCUCCUUUUUCACAACUUUCAUCAUCGGAGGGUUAAGACGGCGUUGAGCCUCUCUAGUUGGUUUGGCCCCCUUCUCAAGAAAUAUGUGAUGCAUACAUGUUGUAGGACUUAUACCUUUGAUAUCGGCCAAGGUCCAUCCUAGGGCAGAUUUGAACUCCUUUAACACACGCACUAGUUUCUCCUCUUCUUGUGCCGUGAGGGAUGAGGAGAUGAUGGCAGGUAAGGUCUCGUUUUCCCCCAAGAAAAUGUACUUCAAAUGGCUUGGUAAGGGUUUGAGAUCAAGGAUGGGUGCUUGAAUUAUGGAUGGAAGCAACUUGUAGUCGAAAUUGGAAUUGAAUCGAAGUUAGGAGACUUACCACCAUGCUUAGGUAAUGACUCAAGGGCAGCAACCAACUCAAUGAUUUCCUCACUAGGAGGCACGGCAUGGAAUGGUUCAUGUAUGCCGUGGGUUAGCAUAGAAUUUGCCCCCUUGGUUUUGAGUUCCCUGCCUCUUGUAAUGACUUUUUCAAGCGCAUCGGCAUUCAAAUCUUCAAGAUAUCCCUGCACCAAAGAGUCAAUUAUAUCAAUAGAGAAACAUGAAUGGUCCUCACUAGGGUACUUAAUAGAAUCAGAAAGAUUAAAAUUAAUAACUUCCCCAUCAAAUUCCAUGGACAAAGUUCCAUUAUACACGUCAAUCUUCGUCCGGGCCGUUUUCAUGAAUGGCCUUCCAAAGAGGAUGGGCAAUGAAGGGGCAUGGUCCGAUUCAUCCAUUUCGAGCACAUAAAAAUCCGCUGGGAAGAUUAAAUGAUCAACCUAUACUAAAACGUCUUCCAAAACUCCUUUUGGAUAAGCGUUAGAUCUAUCGGCCAAUUAUAUGAUUACACCAUCAUGCUUCAACUCACCUAAGUUCAUAGAUACAUAAAUGGAAUAUGGCAUAACAUUUAUAGAUGCUCCUAAAUCUAGCAUGGCAGAUUUGAAACGGGUAUUACCAAUGACACACGGAAUUGUAAAACUCCCCGGAUCUUUGCAUUUGGGGGGUAGUUUGCGUUGCAAGAUGGCGGAGACAUUUUCACCUACCUUUACAACCUCCUUGGUCGAAAUCCUCUUCCUAGUGGUGCAUAACUCCUUUAAAAACUUGGCGUAUCUCAGAACUUGCUUGAUUGCAUCCAAAAGGGGUAUGUUAACUUGAACUUUCCUAAGUGUCUCAAGGAUGUCCUUUUCAGCUUCUUCCUUCUUUGUUUGCAUAAACCUGCUAGGAAAAGGAACAUUCGAAGGAAAAACAUUAGUAGGAACUGAAUUUGACACAUUCUUACCCUUAUUGGACGAAUUGGACAGAUUUGGAGCCAUGGAGGCUUGCGGCAUAGGUGUGUCCACCUUUGCCGUGGGUAGGCCUUCUCCCUCCUCUUCAAAUUUCAGUUUUUCAUCCUCUUUGAGACCUGAUGUUGAUGGUUUAGAACCUGCCCCAACUUCUUUUCCACUUCUCAACAAUAUGGCUUUUGCACUUUUGAACCCUCCCUUCGGAUUUGGAAUGGUAGAACUAGGAAGUUGGCCUUGGUCUCGAAACUUCCCUACAAAAUCUGCAAUCUGCCCAAUUUGUUUCUCCAAGUGAUCCACCCUUUUGUUUUGGUUUUGCAUUGCUUGGGUGUGAUCGUCUUGCCCCUGAGAUAACUUGGUUAGUAUCUUAAGAAGUGCAUCAUUAUCUAGAGACGUACCUGAAGCAUUUGGGGCAGAUUGUGGUUGGACUUGAGGGGGUGCGUAUGGUUUGGUGUAGAAACCCGGGGGUUGUUGCCUAAAGCCUCCUUAUGGUUGGGAUUGUUGUGGCUCCCUCCACUUGAAAUUUGGGUGGUCUCUCCAACCGGGAUUGUAGGUAUUGGAAUAUGGAUCGUUUCUUGGUUGAUUUUGGCUUUGAAACCUAAUGGCAUUCGCGCUCUCCCAUCCACCAUUCUCAAUGAGUUGAGGACACUUUUCGGAGGCAUGUCCUUGGAUAGAACAUACGCCACACACCAUUGGUCCUUGAAUCUUCAUUCCCUCGGCCAUCUGAGAAACAAUGGAAGUAAGAUUAGCUAACUGAGAUUGAAUAUUGGAUGUGGAACUUACCUCAUGCACUUGUUGCUGUGGGGGUCCUCUUUGGCCUACGUCCUCGUAUUGUUGAGCGUUCAACGCUUGAUUAGCAAUCAAGAUCUUGGCAGCCAUGGGUGUUUUGUCCACCAAUGCUCCACUUACCGAAGCAUCGAGCAUUUGAUGUUCAAGUGGUAGGAGCCCCUCGUAAAAGUAUUGGAGAAGUAGUUCCCCCUUCAUCUGAUGCUGUGGACAAGAAGCAACAAGUGAUUUAAAACGUUCAUAAUAAGUGGGAAAAGACUCACCUUCCUCUUGCUGAAUACCACUUAUCUUUUUACGAAGAAGGAUGAUUCGAGAAGUUGGGAAGAACUUCUCCAAAAAUGCCUUCUUCAUACUCUCCCAAGACGUAACUGUUUUGGGAGCCAAUUCGUAUAACCAAUCCUUGGCUUUGUCCAUCAAAGAGAAUGGAAAAGCCUUCAUUUUCAAAAUACUUCCGUCGACGUUAACCGGAGUCAUACUUGAGCAAACCACCUCAAACUCUUUCAAAUGCUUGUUAGGGUCCUCCAUGGACAGCCCAUGGAACUUUGGAAUGUGGUGGAACAAACUUGACUUUAACUCGAACUCUUUGGUUUUACCUUGAGCAGCCGUGAGAUAUUAGAUACACAAGGGUGCGACAUUAUCCAAUCCCGAGGUGGAAAGCUCCUUGAGUGUACGGUUGUCCAUGGCCAUGCCUUGCUCUUCUUCACCCACUUGUGCCGUGGGUUCCUCCUCCUCUUCUAGAACUUGUUCUUCAAGGUCAGGUUCUGGGCUAGGUGGGUUUGACUCUUGUUGGUUCCUCCUUCUUCUCAAAGUUCUCUCAAAAUCGUCGUCAAAGUCCAAAAUAUGCUCACGAACAGGUUGGGAACUUCGAGUCAUGCAUUAGUACCUAAAAACAAAGAAACAAAACAAAUCAGCAACUAAGAUAGAAAAAAAACGAAAAAUAAAAAGAAAAAAAACGAGGGAUUAGCAAAAAUUGCUAAUCCCCGGCAACGGCGCCAAAAUUUGAUGCGUAAAAUAACUAAACACACAAAUUAACCCUCUUGUUGACAAUUGUAGUAUGGAUAAGUAGGGAUCGUUCUUAAACCGGGGAUUAGGAGGGAUUGCUAAAACACUCUAAACUGACUCAAAUAUGUAAAACAAAGUUUAAAACACUAAAACAAACCAAAAGACUCAAAACAGCACAAAAAAACUCAAAACUGCCUUAAAAACACUUUCUGGGCAGUUUUGGGACUCUAACACAAACUUGGAUGAAUUUUGGUUUUCUAAUGACCUAAAACACUUAAAAACAUAUUCUAAGACAAGUUCUAAUUAAUAUGACUUAAAGAAAUAAGGUAUGGUUGAUUUUGGACGAAAAUAAGUAAAACAAAGCAACGACAAUGUAAACAGAUUCUUAGACAAAAUUAAGUGAAUUGAUGAGAUAUGGGGUAACUAGAGGGUUCUUCUCCACACAUGAUACACUUGCAUUCAACCUUGAUUUCCAAUUGCUUCUUUCAAUAAACCAUGAAUCUCAAUGCCUUAGGUUAACUGUGAUAGCACUUUUUUAACCUUCAAGUCUUCCUUAAAUUAUUGAAUUGGAUGGGAAUGCACAUGCAACAACUCAAAACAUUCUCUAAAAGUCCUUUACGUGAAAAGCACAAUAAAGAUACAAUCAAAGAUCAUUAAGCUUCAUGAAAACUAUAAGCAUUGACGAGGCAAUUGUUACUAUGAAAAGCAUGAAACAUUUGCCAAGAAUUCACUAAACACGAUCGUUUAUAAGCGACCUCCACUACUUGCAAAUAUAAGGUUGUAACUAUUAGGUGAAACUUCCUUAUAUUUUAGCUUCAAAUUCCUGCAUGAAAACUAAGUUGGCCACCUUAAUCAACACACAAAAAUAAGUCAUCAAUCAAACGGUCAAGCAAAUUGCAUUCACAAUUCAUGAAAUAACAAUUAGACGUAAUCAAUUCAUCUUGCAAGCAUAAUCAUGGUAUUGAAUAACCCCCUAGCCAAAAAGGCUUAGUUCCUCAUGUUCACAAAACAAAGGAAAACAGAUUUAUACAUUGUAAAUAUAAGAAAGAGAACACCUAAAUAUUCCAACGAUUCAAUGUUGAACAGCUAGAACCUUCAAGCACUUCUUCUUCCUCUCCUUUGCUGCGGCACAAGGGUUGGGGGUGAGUUUAGGGAGAUAUGGAUGAUGUAGAAGGAUGGAAUUAUGGUUAGGAUGGAUGUAGGGGUCGGCUAGGGUAGUUUCUGGGCAGAAAAUAGGGUGAAUGGUGGUAGAAUGGUGCGGCUAAGAGUGGAAUGGUGUUUCUGGCGUGAAUGGUCAGUAUAUGGAUGUUUUGUGGCUGCAAAAGAGAGUUUAUUUAAAGGAUUUCAGGAAUUAAAACCCUAGGUUAUUUAGGUAAUCAGAAAUUAAGUCUAAGGCUUCUAGAAAUAGGAAACGAAAUCAGAAACUUAAGGGAAAUUGACUAAGAGGUGCGGCUAGGGUAUGAAACACAAAAGGAAUGUGUUUUAAUUCAGAAAAUAGGAAAGAAUCACUCUCCCUUGCACGACAAGGAAGAUGGAAUUGUGCAAAAGGCAUGUGAGGUGCGGCAUUGAUGUAAACCAUGCAAGAAAUGUGUGCUUGAUGUCCUAGAAUACUUAGAAGGCCUUCAAAGUUGAUAACACUUAGGGACACUUAGGAAAGGUCAAACCAAAGUAGGAAACCUUGGCUUAACUUUCCUACUUCAAGUAGGAAUCCUUCGUUGAUUAGGAAUCCUUCAUUGAUUAGGAAUCCUAACUUCUUCAAAUCUUCAAUUACGUCCAUUCCUUUUGCUCCAAUCAUGUGAUAAUCAUUCCAAGCCCAAUUUUGCUCCAAAAAGCUCCAAAAUGCAUCUUCUUGCAUCGUUUGGCCUUAGAAUCUGAAAACACACAAAAGUGACUUUGAACACUAAAAUAACCAAGGAAACACAACGUAAAUGCACGAGAACAAGCCAAUUAAGUCGCAUAAAUAUGCUCCUAUCAGUGAUUUGGACAAAAAUAGAACUUAGAAGACUCAAAGACCAAAAGAAAACAGGUUUUGACUCUAAAAACAAGACUUAAUGAAUGGGGAUUUUGUUUUGACGAAAUUGAAAGUUAAAACAGAAACUUUGAAAACAAACUUAACAAAAACGAUUUUGGAUGAAAAAGAAUGGUGAAAGGCUAGUUAGAGGGUUCCUUCUCCACACAUGACAUAUGCAUACGAAACGAUUUCCAAUUAUUCUUUCGACAAACCAUGAAUGACAAUGCCCCAAAUUAAUUAUAUUGAACUAAUUAAUUCUCAGAUUUCCCUAGAUUCAUUGAAUUGAAUGGAUAACACAUCACAACCAAGUUAUCCUUUAUCAAGUUCCCUAACUAUGGAAUACGCAUGAUAGAAACACUUAACAAAGAUCAUUAAGUUCAAUGGAAACCAUAAACAUUGACGAGGCAUUCAUAACUAUGAAAAGCAUGUUACUCUUGCCUAGGAUUUACUUAACACAAUCAUGACUAACGACUUUUACUACUCAUGAAUAUAAGUUCAUAACGAUUAGGUGAAAUUCCUUUAUACACUAGCAUCAAAGUCAUGCAUGCAAACUAAGUAUGCAUCCUUAAUUAACACACAAGAACAAGUUCUUAAUGAAACCGAUAAGUAAACCACAUCCACGAUUCAUGAAACAAUAAUUGGAUGAAAUCAAUUCAUAUAAAACAUAUAAUCAUGGCUUCGAAUUCACCUCUACCUAUAAAGAAAUUAGUUCCUCAUGUUCGCAAAUAAACAAAGAUAACUUAAAUUAAACAUUGAAGACAAAGAUAGAAUACACCUAGAAACGCUCCAACGAUCCAACGUCUUGAAUGGCAAGCACGGCUCCAGGUAGCGCCUUCUCCUUCCUUCCUUGCAAUACUCACGGCACAAUGAGGUGUGUAUGGUGAAUGGUGUAGAAAAAUAUGGUAGAGGGUGGUGAAUGAUUUAUGGGGCAAGGGUUGGUAUUUAUAGGCUAGAAUUCAUGCCAAAAUCCCUAAGGAUUUGGAUAGGUUUCUGAAAUUAAAAUGGGAUAAGGAUUGUGAAACCAAAACCCAAGUGGAAUGGGUUAAAACAAUAAAAAACCAAAGGGGAUUAGGCUAAUAAGGUGCAGCACUAAUUCCUACAAAGAAAGGGAUACAUUUGGCUUAAAUCAAGAGGGAAAAGGAUUGAGAUUUCAGGUUCUAGAGCUUCUAGAAAAGGGGGAAAACGCCAGAUUUUUAGAUGCUUCUAGAAAAGAUGUUUUAGCACCAAUUUAGGGGUUUUAGAAGGAUAAGGGUUCUAGAAUCUGAAAUAUAUAGUUUAAAUACAUAAUUAUCCCUUAGAAAUAGCUGGAAUCAAGGCACAAAUUGAUUUGGAUAAGGUAGGAUAAGAUAAGGUUAGGUUAGGCAAGGAUAAGAUAAGAUAAGGUUGGACAAGGUUUUGGAUAAUGUUCCUUCUUUUGAGCUGAUUUCUUAUCUUCCUUGACUUGGAUUUAUUUCUUCAUUGUUUUCAACUCAUUCCUAGCCUCUCGAACUUCAAAUUCGUCCAUCCAUCUUGCUCCAUUCAUAAGCUAUCCAUUUUGUGCCCAAAACUGCCUCAAAAUGCUCCAAAAUGCACUUUCUUGCCAACUUUGUCAUAUGGACCUACAAACACACGAAAAUAGCUUAAAACACUAUAAUAAACACAAACAAACUUUGAAAAUGCAAGAAAACAAGCUAACUAAGUCGCAUAAAUAUGCUCCUAUCAGAAGACGACGGCCAGGAUCCAAUGGGCCCUUCAGUCCUUGAAAAUAUGGAAAUAAGCAUGGUCCAUAUCAUGCCUGUGUCCGUCAUGAAAACAUUACGACGAUCCAAUGACGAACUCAUUCCUUCCGGAAUAACCAUGAGUAGCUUUGUCGGUGACAAGUCUCAAACCAAAGGAGUACUCCCUCUAGAGGUAAACAUCGCAGGUCGCAAUCACAUGACCGCAUUUUUUAUCGUCGAGUCCAAGAUCGACUAUAAUGCUUUUCUCAGUAGGGAUUGGAUCCAUCAAACGAAUUGCAUCCUUUCUUCUUUAUACCAAGUUCUCAUUUUUUGGGAUGGAAAAUCGAUCGUGGUCCACCCAGCCGAUACUUAUCCAUUUGAGACCAACAUGAUUCAGGCCUGUUAUUAUGAUGAUCACGUUGGCUACAUUACCUUACAGGGUUUUAAUGAAGAUGGACGGCCGACUCGGAUCUCAGUCCAGAAAGCCAUCAAGGUAAGCGCCGAGAUUGUCUACCAGGAUUCGGCAAGACUCGGCUUGGCUAACUUGAUCCCUACCACUGAUGAUUGACGUCAAAGGCGAGAGGCGUCGAGCCAUAAUUUCAUCCACAAUGGAACGCCUACUGGCCCAUUGGUAUGCUAUUUCCAAGCACCCACAUUCGGGCAUCAACUUAAUUAAAUUUUUGGCUGAAGAAGAUAACGGCCCGGUAUUUUUGUUGGAUAAAGUUCAGGCCGCACCGGCCGAACUCAAAGACAGCUGACCUCAAGUUAAGGACCCUUUAGAGGAAAUAAAUGUCAGAACGGCCGACGACCCUCGGCCGCUAUUUAUUAGUGCAUUAUUCCCCCAUACCACGAAAGUUAAACUCCGUCAAUUACUUAACGAGUUUAAAUAUUGUUUUUCUUUGAGUUAUCAUGAGAUGCCGGGUCUUGAUCGAACCCUUGUUGAACAUGAAUUACGCAUCAAAGCUGGUUGUAAGCCUUUCCGCUAGCCCCUUCGUCGGUUCUCGACUAAGUACAACUCGGCAUAAAGGACGAACUAGUUCAACUUUUAAAAGCCAGGUUUAUUCAAACUUCUCGAUACGUCGAGUGGCUGGCCAAUAUCAUCUCGGUACCAAAGAAAAAUGGCACCUUACGCAUUUGUAUUGAUUUUCGUAAUCUGAACCUGGUAACGCCCAAAGACGAGUACCCGAUGUCGAUCUCCGACUUGUUAAUUGACGCCGCCGCACAUCACGAGAUCUUAUCCUUCAUGGAUGGGUAUGCCGGUUAUAACCAGAUUUUCAUCAUCAAGGCUGAUGUCCACAAGACUACCUUUCGGUGUCCUGGGGCAUUUGGCACAUACGAAUGGGUCGUCAUGCCCUUCGGCCUCAAGAACGUCGGGGCUACAUAUCAAUGAGCUAUGAACACUAUUUUCCAUGAUUUAAUUGGUACCAUCAUUGAAGUCUAUAUUGAUGAUGUGGUCAUCAAAUCAACACGACGGCAGACGCAUUUAGAUGACCUCCGUCAAGCAUUCCUGCGUAUGCACCGGCACAAUCUAAAGAUGAAUCCCGCUAAAUGUGCUUUCGGCGUAUCAGCUGGGAAUUUUUUAGGCUUCUUCGUCCAUCACCGUGGUAUUGAGGUAGACGACAACAAGGCUUGCGCAAUCAUUAAUGCUCCACCACCGACGACUAAGAAACAAUUACAGUUGUUGCUCGACAAGAUCAACUUUCUCUGCCAAUUCAUUACUAACUCAGCCGAGAAAAUGAAAGCCUUUUCCACACUUUUGAAACUCAAUGACUCCGACACCUUCGAAUGGCGUGCUGACCACCAAGAGGCAUUCACGCAGAUCAAAGUCUCUCUAACGACUCCACCUGUCCUUAUGCCACCAUGACGGGGUUAACCUCUCAACCUAUAUAUCUCGGCGGCCGAAGAAUCCAUUGGUUGCCUUCUUGCACAGGAUAAUGACGCCGGACAAGAACAUGCCAUUUUUUACCUUACCCGGAACCUCAACCCAUCAGAGAUUAAUUACUUCGCUGUCGAGAAGCUCUGCCUUACUUUAUUUUUCACCGCGUUAAAACUCAGACAUUACAUGCUCCCAUCAGUCACUCAGGUCAUCGCCCAAAUCGAUGUCAUUCGUUACAUGCUCAUUCGACCGAUCGUAAAGGGUCGAAUUGACAAAUGGACGAUGGCCCUCUCUGAAUUCAGCUUGCAAUAUGUACCCUAGAAAGUUGUCAAAGGUCAAGCUCUAGCUGAUUUUUUGGCCCACCACCCUUCCCCGUACGAAUUCGGUGGCACUGUUGUUGACAUCGGACUAAUACAAACACGUGAUAAUUAUUGGACGAUGUAUUUUGAUGGGUCCAGUACUUCAGUCUCGACCGGCGUUGGGAUCAUUAUUCAAUCCCCUACUCAUGAUCGUUGGUAUUUUUCUCUCAAGCUCGAUUUCGAUUGUAUAAAUAAUCAGGCCGAAUACGAAACCCUAGUUAUCGGCCUCGGUGUGCUGCACAAUUUGCAGGCAACUCGUGUUCUUGUCCUUGGUGACUCCUAACUUGUCAUUAAUCAACUCAACGGGACUUUUCGUUGCAUGAGUUGUACUUUGGCGCCUUACCAUAUGGUUGCCAGCUAUUUGGCCGAAUCCUUCAAUGAAGUAACUUUCAAACACAUUUCACGAGUUCAUAACACUGACGCCGAUGAAUUGGAUCAAAUAGCUUCUGGAGCCCAACUCAUGGGGGGUAAAUUAGGCCGAGAUAUACCUGUGUUACUGAAGGAUUUAUUUUGAAAAACAUGUUCAUUUGAGCAACAUCAUAUAGCAUGCAAUUAACAAUUAAAAGGCGGAAUCAUGCUUGCAUGCACUCAAAAACAAAACAUUACCAUGAAAUUCAAAGCCUAGUAGAUUGGUGAACCAAUAAUCAACUCAAAACAAAGUGAGUUGAAAUUAAUACCUUUGUAGAUUCCUCUUUGCAUAAGCAAAGGCUAAUCACCCAAAGAGAUAGGGCCUUCAUUCCUUGCUUCUUAGAUCCAUGGAUUUGGAUGGAAGAAUAGGUUCUCUAAGUUCCCAAAAUUGAGAACCUCUAAGUCUCUUCACCAAGGUUUGAUUGUAGAAGAAAUGAGUGACCUUGGAGUAGUAGGAUUGCUAGAUGUACCCUCCAAGGUGUUAGCUUCUUUAGAGAGAAAAUGGAGAGACAAUUCUCACCCAUUUUCACCCAAAAUAAACCCUUCAUCACAUUAAUGAAUAUUUUGUUAUAAAGUCAUUUAUAUAGUCACUUCUUUAAGUGACCUAAAUAACCAAACAACCCUAAUUCAUCUUCAUGGCCGGCCAUAUAGGGAUUUAUGGGCUUUUGGGCUUUAAUGAAUCUUUAUUCAUUAAAUUGUCAUACAACUUAAGUUAAUGGGCUUGACGUUCGAAGCCCAUUGGGCCUUAAGGUCCAAAACUAUCCCGAAGUCUUUAACGAACUUAUUCGUUUGAUUAAUUAACAUAUUAAUUAAUCCUUGCCAUAAAUAAAUGAUUAAACCAUUUAAUCAUUCUUACUCAUUUCCGUUUAAUCUUCAAUCUCCACCUUUUAUGGUGUGCGAUCCAUUAGGUUCCUUUUAGCGAGGAGGCAGUGGGCGAUUAAAACCUUUUUUACAUCGAUUGUGAAUUGAAACAAUUUUCAAUUCUCCCUUUAGUGGUUAUACACGUAUAGGGCUUCCAUAAACCAUGGUUGACGCCUAGCAGCAUGUCAUGGUUACCCAAGCUAAUCAGAAGAGGAUAGAGAACCUAUUCAGUUCGGGAUUACAAAUGCAAUACGGUCUUUCUCUAAUCUAAUACUCUUGACCACAUUGUUUGGUAUGAUAGUUUAUUUGUUCAUGUCUACUAUCCAAUGUGAAUCGUUUGCUUAUAUGAUUUCCUUGAAUGUGAUUUGGAACACAUUCCACAAUCUCAUUCAUACUCUGGCCAGAGAUUCCAAAUCAUAUCAUAGAGUAUUCUCCCUCAACUGUUUGAAGGUUAGAGAUCCCUUGUUGCGCAUUCACUUGUCUCCAUAGCUAAGUGGCUUAACCCCAACGAUGCCGUGGACACCCCGAGGGGGUGACUUUGACAUAAUCAAAGAUCAAGGACUUAACCACAAGACAACUGUGAUGCCUCAGGUCAAAGGACUACUUUGCAUUAUCCCAACCAUGAGUUCUCAUGUGACAUGGAAUAUAAGAACUCUUCGUUGAUCACGUUCAGUGAACUCAUUCUCUAUUGAGCACCUACGUACUUGUCUUGAUGUCACACACACCAAUGACUCGAGACUAAUCACUCUCCCUGAGAGAAGACAUAGUACGUACUGAUCUUAACGGACUGUCAACGCCCAAUUGGCAAUCCUAUGAUCAGGAACGUUUAGGAUGUGUCUACGAAAGAAUGGUCUCAUGAAUCUAACUUCAUUAGAUUACAUUCUCCCAAUCACAUAUUCCUUGGACUUUAUCGUUUAAGCAUAUAACAUUUAUAUGAGACGGCUCAAACAAUAAUGUAUGCCCUUUAUAUGUAAAACUAGAUUAGUUUAACAUGUGAAAUGUCCGUAAAGUAUCAUCACAUGAUUGGCUUUAGGGCACAUUUCCAACAAUCUCCCACUUGCACUAGAGCCAAUCAGCUUGGUCAUCUUGAUGAUACCUCUUCUGUAGUCAUUUCAUAAAUGGCUGAAAUAGUAGGCCUAGGCAGUGGAUAUCUAUAUGUGUUAUCCACAGAAGCAACCUUGAGAAUAACGACGUCACCAUUAUACAUGAUUCUCAAUAAUGUGGUUCAGUCUCUCAUUUGUGUUCGGAUCUUGAUGAGACCUUGAUUUCCAGGCUUGAGCUAUCGCCCCAUUAGUGUCAUACACUUUCUGGUUGGAACCGAAUAGAGAGUUCAUAAAUGAACUUUCCCAUCCAAACAACAUUGUUGUAAACUUCUAUAUGGCAAUAUAUCUUGCAUUCAUAAUGGAACACACUAAAGUCAUACUUUAAUGUUUCCAUCCAAAUAUCUCUUUAGUCAUAAUAAAGAGAUAUAUGUUUAUCUCUUCAUUCAUAAUGAAGAAACAUCCAAUGAUGGAUUAGAUUCAUAAUCUAAUACAUUUACGCUUCCAUUACGUCACUUUGAUUCUUCCUCAUUCUUUGAGGAAUCUAUCCUUAAGUAUUUCUUAAAUACUUAAGGACUCACUUGACAGUUGCCACAGUUCUGAUCCUGGGCUUGCACUGAUAUCGUCUUGUACCGUUCUAGGUACAACUCAUAUCAAUGUUUUUCAUACAAUAUGAAAUACAUAAAUCACCUUUCUGCUUAUGCAUAAAGGAUUCAAUUUACGCAUUAUUUCUAUGGGAGUCAAAGGGUACGUUCCCUUUGAGAAGGGCAACUUGCUAGUCUCACUAGAAUCGUCCUUCUUAUUGAAGUUUAUCAUCAUAUGAGAAACUUCCUAGCAUCCAUUGUCUAUUAUUAGGGAUUGAUAUAAUCCAAUUAUAUCAUGAAAUAUAUCAUUAUAUAUUUCCAUCCCAUGUAUAUAGACUAUAUCUCCCAUAUACAUUCUAUCUUCAUAUAAUGUAUUAAAGUCAUAACUUUAACGAAGUAUUCUUCGAAGAAUUCUUUUCAUUUCCAAAAUUAAUAUAUCAUAUAUACUUACAUUUUAGGAACAUGAUUAACUCCCAUUAAUCUUUUGUAAAACUCGUAAACAAAAGAUUCAUUUACAUCUUGAUGAGAAAUCAAACGAUUUGAUCAUUUUUCCUCAUAAAAUGCAAAUAGCUCCUACUAACUUGCUAAGAUCCAUGAUGGAUGGAUCUCUAUAACUUACAUGUCUUGUGAUUUAUAGUUUUGGACAUAUAUUAUCAAGACUAUCUUAAUAAUGGUUUCGGAAACCCAUAUUAUGUCAAAACAUUGAAUCACCAUUUUAGUUGUAGCUUAGCAAUCUUCGAAUUAAUUGAAACUAAGACUACGUCAAAAAUGGUUUCUUUAAAGUCAACCAUUCUCUUUGAUUGUAGUCACCUUAAGCUACCAAUUAGCUUUGAAGGUUUCAUUAUUUCGAGUCAAAUGGUACUUUACCAUUUUCUUGAGUAUAUAUCGUAUAUGCACUCAUUGUAGUCAUAAAGUUCAAAACCAUUCAACUGAGACGGUUUAUAAAUCCUUAUCGACUACCUUGGAGCUUGUGGUAUAGGAACUAGGUUGUUAUAAUUGUUGAUUACUAUCUUGUCUCUCAAAGAACCCAUUCUUUGAGUUCUAUCUCUCGUUCAUUUGCUUUUAGGCAAAUCACAUUGUAGAAUUAUAAUGAACUACCCAACAAAACAACAUUUGUUAGUUGGUUUAUAGAAGCGAUAUCCAAAAGUUAAUUUAAGGAUAUCCCACAAGAUUGUUAUUAAACAAAUAUUGCUUGUUAGCACACAACCCCAAAUCUUUAACAUGCUUAAUAUUUGUCUUUCUUUCCAACUACAUCUUAUGGAGUCAUGAAAAUAUUGGAAGAUCUCUCAUUGACAAUCAUAUUGUUUUAGAAGUAUAUAUCCUAUAUAUGGGUAAUAGAUAAUAUCUAACGAACUAAAUCUUAUUCGAGUUCGUUCUUCUCCUAAUGGAGAAACACAUUAUCUUAUGAUGCUUAUUUCCUUGAUAUCUUUCAAGGAAACUCAUCUAAAGUGUUACCUUUCCUUGGAUCAAAUCUAAGGAGGUAAAUACUUUAGAUAUCUUACUCAUCUAUUUACAUUUCUUGAAUUCUUUGAAACCUUUUGCAAAGUAUUCGGACUUGUGUUUAUUCAAAAUAAACUAUAGUCCAACCGAGAGUGAUCUUCGGUGAAUGUCAUAUAACAUGAGUAGUAUUAUGUUGUGGACAAGUGCCACUAACAUCUAAGUGAAUUAACCUCAACAACUUUGUGAUUCUUUCUUCUUUCCAAAAGAAUAAAGAUUCGAACAUUUCGCCUCUAUACAAUUUUAACAAGAAGGUAUUGGAUCCGGAUCUAACGAUCCAAAGCAUCCUUGUUUCACCAACUCGUAACUUAUGUUUUAGAGGUAUCACAAUUUAGUUGGGAUUAGUCACUACCUUGCAACCUUUUGGGUUUUAAGCAUCAUUAUAUUCUAAACAGUUAACACUACCAUAUCAUCUCUACUAUAGAGACAAUCAAUUAGAUUACUAUAAUCCAAUUUCUUUGGUAGUUCAUAUGAGGAAGUAAGUACUAUCUGCUUUCGCAGAGAUCUAUAUCUUAUUCACGUUCCGUAUGUGAAGCACCUUUUCUUCUCUCAUAUAUCUUCUACUUCUUAUUAGUCACACUUUUACAACGAUUUGUAAAACAUAGUUACUAAUACGGAAUCAUACAUUCAAGUAGAAGAACCAACUGUUUUGAACUAUUCAAGAACAAUUUACAACACCUUCGAAAGGUGUGUUCUUGACACUUGCAAGACAUUUCUUGCAAAUACCCCUUCCAAUGUCCAUCCUUUCAUAAAGAAAGUUUGUUCCCUUGGAGUUAUUUAUCUUCUUUAUUUGACUUUCACCUUUGACUACAUUAGUCAUGGUCCCUAAACUCCCACUAUCUCUCUUGAAACCUUUUUCAAUUGUGUUAUACACAUCAAACAAUUUGGAGAGUAUGUGGUUAUUGUUUACUACAUAGUUUACCAUAAACUUAGUGAACCAUUAGGAUAGGGAAACUAAGGUGAAGUCCUUGCCUAGUUUCCGUCUCGUUAAGUGGUUUAACACUUCAACACUCAAUGAUUCAAAAUCAUCAUAAGUCCAUGUUAAUGGACUAUUUUUGUCAACCAACCAUUAUGUUCUAAACAUAAUUACAAACUUUCAAGAGUUGUACAAGGCAACUCUCAUUUCUUCAUUCAACAAUUUGUAAGUGAAGAAUCAUGGCACAUAAAGUGUCCAUGCCCUUGUGCUUACUUCUCAAGUUCUUUGUUCAAUUAACAAAGAAAUAAGCACUAAGUGUUUGUAUUGACUAAGGGUUGUUCAAAGCAACUCUUAUUUCUUCAUACAACAAUUUGUAAUUGAAGAAUUAUGACAUUAAAAGUGUUGUCCUCUCUAUGAUAGACCUUUUCUAACAUAUUCUUCUAAUGAUACAUUAUCAAUAGGAAGAUUGUGAGGAUGAGACUACUUAGGUACAUUUACAAGCCAUUAAAGACAAUCUAUGGUUUUGUAGUACCAAGUCCUUAAACUAAACGUUCGGCUUUUAUUUGUCAAGUGUUGGAUAGCGUUUGCAAAUAUAUUGGUAAACAAAUACAUAACGUAUAUAAAUUGAUUGAUUUUAAGCCAUUUGAUUCGGGUCUUUAAAUCAAAAUAGCACCACCCACUAUUUUUUGGCAAAUUCCAUAUCCCUCAUUGGAAUUCGAGAGUUUUGGAUGAAACUCUUAGUAGGUUAUGGGAGACUCACUAUUACCAAGCCCACCUCAGAAGAACUCCAUAUUGGCUAGCAACGAUAAUAAUGAGAGAGUACGCUUACUCAUUUGCAACUAAUGCAAGUACCCAUCUCGUUUGGCCUCUAGAGAAUGAUGCCUCAGAAGAACUCCAUAUUGGCACCAUUGCACUUAGUUAAGUCAUUCCCACCAUGCUAGUUCAAGUAGGGGUUCAAGAAUGGCCUCAGAAGAACUCCAUAUUGGCCACACUCGUUGCCUACCUUUCACUUCAUCAUAUGUUUAUAGGCUUCUCCUGAAUGUAAGCACAUACUUUGCAACCCCAGAACUGGACGAAUACAUUGUACGAGUCACAAACGAUUGAAGCCCACCACGGUGGAAGGCCACGAAAGAGUGUUCUAAGCACUCUCACGCUUAUCAACUUAAUAAUGGUUUGGUUGAGGGUUUUAGGUCUCAUCACAUAUAAAUAUUCAUUUUAAUCUCUAUUAAAACAAUUUUGGUCCUAUUACAACUAUUGGUCCAUAUGAUUGUUUUAGUUGUACAUAAUACUCCCACUAUGCUUUUAAAACGGUUUUUAAAGCAAGAGUAUAUGUUACUACUAACAUAAGGUUUGCAUUCAUUUGAUGGACUAUAUAGUUGCCUUAGGGCCUUAGGAUGACUAUGAACCUUUGUUUAGAUUCAACACGAGCCUUGUGUUGAAUCACGGUCUAGGGAUGGAGAUUGAUUUUAGUUACGCGUUUAAUCACAUUAAGGCGUGUUGUCUUAGGGGCGUUGGACCCAAUUACUUCAUUUUCAUGCAUAUCAUAUAAAGCAAGAAAGAAAUACUUCAAAGUAAAGGAUGAGCUUAUGCUCAUUACAACAUUUGCAUAAAACAAAUUACCUUAAAGUAAAGAAGGACUUAUGCCCUUUUACAACAUUUGAUCAAAUCAAAUUACAACCAAAAUCUAAUCUACACAUUCCCAUGGUUCAAACAAAUUUGAAACGCCUUUCACAUAGCUCAAUUAUAUUAGGCUUAGGUUCAUAAUCUUCCUUUAAUUAAUUAACGCUUUAACUAAUUAAUUGAAUGCAACAUUUUCAUUUGGUUUUUGUAUCCAUAAAAUUGAUUUAAGUGGAGCUAAACAAAAUGAAAAUCCAAUUCUCAUUUAAAGAGACAAAACAAUUUUGUUCUCAUCCUAUUUGGGCCAUCAUGCAAUAACCACAACUUUUUGGGCCAUAUUGCGAAAACAUAAACUUUUGGGGUCACUUUGUAAAAACACAAAAGUCACUACUUCAUGUAAAUACAACUAGAACCCAAAAUUUAAAUAAAUUCAAAACUUCAUUAAAGGAGCAAAACAAUUUGUCCUUUAGCGUUUUUAGGCCUUAACGUCAAAACGUAAAACUUUCGGGUCAAAGUACAAAUACACAAAAGUAUCAAAACUUUAUGUAAUUGCAUAAAAGCCCCAAAAAUACCCUAUUUUAUUAGGGUGGCCGGUUUUUAGGGAUAAAAAGGAGUGGUGGGUGUUUUGAUUUAUUAGUUUUGUCAAAAACAAUCAAGUAGUGCUUUCACCUUUCAAAAAAAAUAAUAUAUGUUUUGAUGAUUGAUAUUUCUUUCAUCAUUUAUACAAAUAUUUAACACUUUAAAUACUUUCAUAAAAAUAAUAUAUGUUUUGAUGAUUGAUGUUUCCAUCAUCAUUUAUACAAAUAUUUAACACUUUAAAUACAUGAUAAAUCAUUUGAAAAACAUAUAUCAUAAACUUUAUGAAAUAAAUCAAAACUUUGAAUCAAAAACACAAACCUUUGUGUUCUUGGCAAGAACAUCAAGAACAUAUGAAGAACAUCCAUGAAAACCCAUAAGAGCUCCAUGAAUGUUUUCAAGCCAAAAAACUCAAAUUUUUCAUCAUUCAAAAUGAGGCUAACAUCCUAGGGUACUUAGGGGUUCCAAAAGUCACCUUAAAACCAUUUUUAACAAGACAAACAUGAACCCAAAAAAUCACCCUUUGGAUUUGGCCGAAAAUUCCCAAAAUCAUGGCACCAAAUUUUAGCUCCAAUAUUCAUGCUCAUAUGAACUACAUCUUCAACAUUUGAGAUGGCAAAUUUUCAAACAAAAUUUACAUUCAAAGAAGCAAGAAUAAAGCUUGUAACAAUUACAACUUUUAAAUCACAAACUUAUGAACUACAAAACCCAAAAGGAUUCACCAACUACUAGACCUAGGCUCUGAUACCACUUGAAGGAUUUAUUUUGUAAAACAUGUUCAUUUGAGCAACAUCAUAUAGCAUGCAAUUAACAAUUAAAAGGCGGAAUCAUGCUUGCAUGCACUCAAAAACAAAACAUUACCAUGAAAUUCAAAGCCUAGUAGAUUGGUGAACCAAUAAUCAACUCAAAACAAAGUGAGUUGAAAUUAAUACCUUUGUAGAUUCCUCUUUGCAUAAGCAAAGGCUAAUCACCCAAAGAGAUAGGGCCUUCAUUCCUUGCUUCUUAGAUCCAUGGAUUUGGAUGGAAGAAUAGGUUCUCUAAGUUCCCAAAAUUGAGAACCUCUAAGUCUCUUCACCAAGGUUUGAUUGUAGAAGAAAUGAGUGACCUUGGAGUAGUAGGAUUGCUAGAUGUACCCUCCAAGGUGUUAGCUUCUUUAGAGAGAAAAUGGAGAGACAAUUCUCACCCAUUUUCACCCAAAAUAAACCCUUCAUCAUAUUAAUGAAUAUUUUGUUAUAAAGUCAUUUAUAUAGUCACUUCUUUAAGUGACCUAAAUAACCAAACAACCCUAAUUCAUCUUCAUGGCCGGCCAUAUAGGGAUUUAUGGGCUUUUGGGCUUUAAUGAACCUUUAUUCAUUAAAUUGUCAUACAACUUAAGUUAAUGGGCUUGACGUUCGAAGCCCAUUGGGCCUUAAGGUCCAAAACUAUCCCGAAGUCUUUAACGAACUUAUUCGUUUGAUUAAUUAACAUAUUAAUUAAUCCUUGCCAUAAAUAAAUGAUUAAACCAUUUAAUCAUUCUUACUCAUUUCCGUUUAAUCUUCAAUCUCCACCUUUUAUGGUGUGCGAUCCAUUAGGUUCCUUUUAGCGAGGCAGUGGGCGAUUAAAACCUUUUUUACAUCGAUUGUGAAUUGAAACAAUUUUCAAUUCUCCCUUUAGUGGUUAUACACGUAUAGGGCUUCCACAAACCAUGGUUGACGCCUAGCAGCAUGUCAUGGUUACCCAAGCUAAUCAGAAGAGGAUAGAGAACCUAUUCAGUUCGGGAUUACAAAUGCAAUACGGUCUUUCUCUAAUCUAAUACUCUUGACCACAUUGUUUGGUAUGAUAGUUUAUUUGUUCAUGUCUACUAUCCAAUGUGAAUCGUUUGCUUAUAUGAUUUCCUUGAAUGUGAUUUGGAACACAUUCCACAAUCUCAUUCAUACUCUGGCCAGAGAUUCCAAAUCAUAUCAUAGAGUAUUCUCCCUCAACUGUUUGAAGGUUAGAGAUCCCUUGUUGCGCAUUCACUUGUCUCCAUAGCUAAGUGGCUUAACCCCAACGAUGCCGUGGACACCCCGAGGGGGUGACUUUGACAUAAUCAAAGAUCAAGGACUUAACCACAAGACAACUGUGAUGCCUCAGGUCAAAGGACUACUUUGCAUUAUCCCAACCAUGAGUUCUCAUGUGACAUGGAAUAUAAGAACUCUUCGUUGAUCACGUUCAGUGAACUCAUUCUCUAUUGAGCACCUACGUACUUGUCUUGAUGUCACACACACCAAUGACUCGAGACUAAUCACUCUCCCUGAGAGAAGACAUAGUACGUACUGAUCUUAACGGACUGUCAACGCCCAAUUGGCAAUCCUAUGAUCAGGAACGUUUAGGAUGUGUCUACGAAAGAAUGGUCUCAUGAAUCUAACUUCAUUAGAUUACAUUCUCCCAAUCACAUAUUCCUUGGACUUUAUCGUUUAAGCAUAUAACAUUUAUAUGAGACGGCUCAAACAAUAAUGUAUGCCCUUUAUAUGUAAAACUAGAUUAGUUUAACAUGUGAAAUGUCCGUAAAGUAUCAUCACAUGAUUGGCUUUAGGGCACAUUUCCAACAGUUACGACAAGUACAUUCGGCCUUGAUUAAUUAGCAAGUUCUCCAACGAGACUGCAUGAUCCGUACACGGGUCAUGUCUUUGCCGUAGUUAUUAGAAUGAAAAGACAUUAUUGAGGUAUGUGCCGUUGAGGCAUUACCAGACGAUUGGAGAGGGACGAUUACGCGAUAUAUCGAUAACCCCAACAAAAAACACGACCGACGGACAAGGGUUCAUGCCACAAACUACGUAUUAUACUAGAACGAGCUUUAUUGAAAAUGACUGUUGCUGUACCUCGGGCAGCAAGAAGCUGCUCAAGCAAUGGCAGAAGUACACGAAGGAAUUUUUGGAGCACACCAAUCUGGACGAAAAAUACGUUGGCUGCUUCGACGGCACGACUAUUUUUGGCUGAGUAUUCUAAAGGAUUGUAUUGAGUACGUAAAAGGUUGUGUACAAUGUCAAAUCCAUGGGCCUGUACAGAGAGUAUCAGCCGAAUCAUUACAUUCAGUCACUAAACCAUGGCCGUUCCGACGAUGGGCCAUGGAUGUUAUCGGUAAAAUCACACCAUCUUCUGGUGCAGCCAAACAUGCGUGGAUACUUGUUGCAACGGACUACUUCACUAAAUGGGUCGAAGCUAAGUCAUAUGUCGAGCUAACGUCUAAAAAAGUUUAUAGUUUCGUUGAAGAAAACAUUGUGACCAGAUUCGGUGUGCCAGAAACAAUCAUAACAGAUAAUGGUAUGAUUUUUACAUUCGACAGAUUUAAGGACUAUACGGGAAAUCUAAAGAUUCAACUGGAGCAAUCUACGUCAUACUACCUGUAGGCGAAUAGACAGGCCGAAGCAAGUAAUAAGAUUCUUAUUGGUAUUCACGAAAAGAUGAUAAAAGAAAGGCCAUGCAUGUGGCACUUAAGGAUAAAUGAAGCAUUAUGGGCUUAUCGAACUUCUUUACGGAAGGCCACUGGAACAACUCUGUACGCGUUGACUUAUGGACACGACGCAAUGCUGCCCGUCGAGCUAAGUAUAAACUCGUUGCGAAUAAUUGAACAAAGUACUUUGUUCAGCACCGAGUAUAUUCAAGCCAUGAGACAAGAGCUAGAAGAUUUAGAAGGCACUCGGCUUGAUGCUUAUAACUUAUUAGUGGCUCAAAAGAAAAUCGCCGAGUAUGCAUAUAAUCAACGAGUUAGAUAAAAAACGUUCGACGAAGGAGAGCUGGUUUGGCAAACCGUACUACCCAUAGGAAUUAAAGACCCCAGGUUCGGCAAGUGGUCGCCGAAUUGGGAAGGGCUAUUCGUUAUUCAUAAAGUCCUCGGCAAGGGGGCAUACCGCCUUAGAGAUCGAACCGGUAUUAUUCACAAGUUGCUAAUCAAUGGAAAGUUUUUAAAGAAAUACUAUCCAGUCACAUGGGAAUGCAAGAAUAAAAGCUCAUCUUAUUUCAUAAAGUUCAUUUCAUUGACGGAUCAGUUUACAAUCAAAUAAUUAUACGGUGACGAAAGAAGAAGAGUUUCAAGAACGGCCUUCAGCUCCAACCACCUCACCUCGCCCAUUAUAACCUCAGCUUGCCGAUUCCUCUUGUCUAUCUUCAGCUGCUUGACUCGCUUUACGCUUGCCGCGUAUUCGGUUAAGCAAGAUUUACUUCCCGACUCAAAAUCCUUUGCAAGCUCAGAAGCAAUGACCGAUCUUCGAUUUGCCAGUUUGGCCAUUUGACGGUCAAGGUCGGCCAGGGUCUUUUUUUUUACCUUUAAAACUUCGACCUUCGGACGAAGAGUGUCUCGGACGACUGUCGCAGCUUUCAAGUCAUCGUUAGCCCGAAGAGCGUUCUCGAAAAUACUGAAAUAUUCUCGGGUCCGUUCCAAGGUAGACGACGCCUGAGUGAUAGCUUCGAUGCUCAAUUGACCAUCAGCUCCGAGGUCGUUCAGACAUGCACCCACCGAAUCAAAGCCUUUACGUUCGAGGACUUGUGAAGCUGAGAGAGACAAAACUUCUUGCAAUCGAACAAGAACAGUUGAUUCGGCAGGUUCAGUCAUAGCUGUCGAAGGACGGGCCGCUCUCAAAGUGUUGGAUAGAAGAGCAUCAAACUCGACUUCCCAUGAAGGCUGCACAAGAAAAUAGUUUAGACGCAAGGAAAAUCAUAAAAGAGUGUAGUAGGGAGGACUUGUUUUAAACCUGCCGAGAGGAGACUUCGGCCAUAUCUCCAGGUUCAUUGCUCGAACCCAAAGAGCUUAAUGGCCGAGCCCAAUGUUUCAGACUGCUUCUUAAUUCAUGCGGCUGAUGAAGGUUAUCUACGUUCGAUGGCCAUUGAGGUGGCCAAGAAAUAUAGAUAACACCUUUCGGCGUAUAAAAUUUUUGGUGAAAUGAAUAAUUGGGCACCUGACAUUUAAUAUUUUCUCGGUUCAGACUUGUUAUAACAAAUUGACAAGAGAAAGUAAUCGAGCCGUACAAAAGUCGAGGUCAUUUCUUGAGAAAGGAUGCCGAGGUCUUGGUCUUGCAGGUGAAUUGGAGUUUCUGAUGUCGCUUCAAAUUCGACGAUAGGCAUCUUUCCAUGAUUGACCGCAGGAGGAUGAACCUGAUCGGCCGCCUCAACCACGGGGGAAGGUUCAACGGAAGGAGCUUAGGUUUGUCGAGGGCGAUUCACCAACGGAAUGUCGUCACUUUCAUCAUCCUGAAACAAAAAAUGUUAACACUAUUUUGAUUUAAUAAGUAAAGGGAGUCGACAGCAUGAUUAUACCUUUUCUAAGAUGACUGUUGUUUGUUUUGGAUUCUUGGGGAGAUUCUUCCUGGUCAAAGGGGACGCAUUCCCCAGUUCAGGAACUCAUGUCGACCCUGGAGCUGUAGGCAAGUUGAAUGAUGGUACGGCGACUGGCUCAACCACGACCUCGGGGACUUCAGGUAUUGGUUGAGUUUGGGUUGCCAGGUUGGCCGAAGAAAGCCGAUUCUCUGCCCAAGCCUGAACAACGGGAGCAGGAGGAAAGGCACUUGAAGCAGUUGUCCCAGUGGUGUGGCUAUAAAUGACAUGAAUCUCUCGUGCUCAUUUAUUCGCCAAUUUCUUGACACGUUUUAGGGGGGGAGCUUCAUCUGCGGUCUCGACGUCCAGGUAAGGUUGUUUGCUCGGUGUGCUUUGUGCGGCGGCUUUGGUUUUCUUGGAGGAAGGGGCCAAUUCUUUCUUGACCACUACCGGGACGACCACGUUCGCCUAUUUCGGUACCCGAAUGCCUAAGACAGCGAAAUCUUGUUAAGAAAAAACCGUUCAAAUGUUAGGACAAAUAAAGGUAGAAAUAAUGGUAUACCUUGGGGUGAUUCUUUAGGUUGAAGGGCGGAGGUUUUCUUGGGCCGGUCACCAAAAAUUUUGUUGACUACUUCUUCGACCGCAGAGCCAAAGAAGUUGUAAGUAUAUGCUUCCCACCAGUCGCUGAAGGUAUUGGUGCCGAGAGAUUCAGGAACAGCUGGUCGGAGGCAAAAUUUCUUACACCGUUCCUGAAAUUCUUUCUCGGUGUCUCUAUACUCCCUUUCCGAGGAACCAGAGACGCUCCCCCGGUUUAGAAGGGAGCGAGAACAAAGUAGAGGCACCGGCAACCUUGAAGGUAGUCAAGCUGUCGGGCAGCAAAAUGGGGGUGGUAGACUUCCUAACAUGCUCGACGAGCAUCGUAACUGAGGGGAAGGUCACGAGUUAAGACGAACGACCCCCAAUUUUGACGAAGAGCGGUAUCUUCGCUUUCACUCCAAGUCGAUGUGGGAAGUUUGAUGAAGCGGGGGUAUUCUUGACGACGACAUAUCAAAAAUUUGUCAUCAGAAAGGACAUCCAGGCCGAAAAGAUGUUUAAAGACUUCUUUGGCUCGAUGAGGAGGUACUGGUCGAGAGGCCAAUUAAAGGCCGAGUGUUUCUAGCUGAAGUGUGGAAAAAUAAACCUGCAACCAGAGUUGGAACACCCAGAGAGGUCCAUUUCGGUGCGGGUCAAUUUUGUUGAUGGUCGUUUCUGCCUGGCAACAUAGAAGGUUGGCGAGAAUGGCAGGACUGAGUGCCAGAGAGUGACCACUAGCCAGGGUUUCUUCCACCAGCAUAUUCUUGACCAAACAUUUAUUCGACUUGGUACAAUAGAUAAACUUGUUGUACUAGUAAAAUUUGAAGGCCUCGUGUUCCCCCUUCCGUAGACUCGCAUCUCCCUGACUAGCAAAAUGGAUGAUAAGGGUGUUGUAGUUCAGGAAAUUCUUGUGCAAUUUCUGAACGUCGUCUUUUAAAGGUUCUCUACCUUCUUGGCUCAAUGUCUCGACGACCUGGUCGUCGAACAUCGCCUUGAGAUCAAGAUUGGAUGGGCGUCCAAUAAGGGUGGCGUCGACUGGGAUGCUAAAAGGAGUUAUAAGGCCGAAUGGAAGGACCAUGGUGUUGGUGGCCAAACACCAAAGGCUUAGAGCUGCCAUGAGGAGCUAUUUAUCCAUUAUAAUCUCUAUGGUCGAGAGCUUGAUAGCGUCGUAAAUACCAAGAGCUUUCCACUCUUUACUGAAGAAGUUUUCCAUUUGUACGACCCAGGCCACCCAAUUCGCAUUGGUCGAAGGCCAGGAGCCUUGGGGUUUUGUCUGGCACCACUUCGACCAAUUGAAUCCCUGCAGCAAACCUGCCAAACAGUGUUUUUUUUAACAAGUUGGUGAUGGACGACGACACCGUAUCUUUGAAGAGUGGGCCCAGAAUUUGGUGAGUGGUGUUUAACUCACCCUCGAAGUGCAGAAUCUUGAUGGCGUGCUGAUUGAUGAAAACCUUGCACUUGUUGCACUCGGGGGAGAGUUCUGAGAUGAAGGAGGCCAUUGAUGAAGGCUAGAAAUUUUUGAGAUGGAAGUUUCAGUUUUUCUGGUUUUUGAAGGUUUUAAGAACAGAGAAGCGAGAAAAUUUCAAGGGUUUUGGAGAACGUAAGGUACGAAUGCAAGGGAUCCAGGUAUUUAUAGGCAUUUGAGAAAGAAAGCUAAACGUUUGAUUUUCAAAAUCAAGGGUAGAAUCAAGCGGGAGAGGUAUUAAUCAUUGUACAUGCUCAGAAAAUUGAGGCGAGAAGAUCGAGGUUCUCGUGGAUUGAGGACACAUGAUGGCGUGUUACGGCGAGUUUAAUGAGAGAAAGACAUUUCAGCGGUCACAUGUUUUUAAGGAUCUUGAUUAAAGGCUGCUAGGGUAACCAGGGGUUUGACAUGUGGCAGGACGACUUGAAAAUCGAGAUCGUGAGGUUACGUCUCAUAAGUGCGCAUGGUGGUAGUUCCCAAGAGUUAGUUUCACUUCUUCAAGGUCGAGGCUCGAACUAGGAGUGUAGGUUGGCGACCUCAGAAGCGAGGGGGCAAUGUUUGGGCCCAAAAAUAUUGUUUUGGUCCGAGUUUAGAAUGGUUCUCGACCCAAUGUUGGUUGGGCCGAGUUUAGAAUUCUUAUCGGCCCAGAUGCCGUGUAUAGGUGCCUUUGAGGUUAUCUAGCUUAUGCACUGCGCGAUCAAAGUUGGCCAUAUCCCAUCAGGGAAUUGAGGAUGUGGACGAGUCCUAUUAUCAGAAGGAGUUUCGACAGGAUCAGGAUGCUGGAAUUAAAUACGGCCUGAUAACAAGUUAUAUUCAAAGUCCUAGUAGGAGUAGGAUUGGCCUAGGUAAAGUUGGAUCAGGGCAAAGAGUUCUAAUCUAUGAGUGAUUGGGAUUCAAUACAGGUUGGCUGCUAUAAAUAGGGAGAGAAGACAUCGAAACAAGCCCCUCCAAUUCAACACACAAAUUGCCAUGCGCAUUCUCUCGCUCUACGCGAAACCUCUCAACAACCUUGAGAUGUUUGUUUUCCUCUUUUCGCCAACGCACCUUCAGUUUGUGUUGGAAGUAUGCCCACAAAGCCAUUCAUUUAAUGUAAUAGCUUUUGGAAUACUUAUUGUAUUAAACUAUUAUAUGUUUAAUGAAGGGCAAAGCUUAUUGUUAAUCACUAUUUAUUGUAUCAUGUGUUUAAGCAAUAAGGGAAUCCAAGGAAAGUAUUUAAUCUGAGAGAGAAGUGAUCUAAGUAAGUUAGAUUAACGAGACCUUUCUCUUAUGUUCAUUCCUAAAACGUUCCUAGCCAUAGGAUUGCCAAUUGGGCAUUGACAAUCCGCUAAAGUUAGUAUGUGUUAAUGUCAACUCAAGCGUGAGUAUGACUAGUCUUAAGUCAUUUAGUGUUGGACACUAAGACAAACACGUAGGUUCUCAAAAGGGUAAUCGAGUACACUGAACAACGAUCAAAAGAGCGUUCGAACAUACAUGUCAUGUAAGAACUCGUUAGUUGCAAUAUGCAAAGUAGUCAUUUGACUUGAGGCAUCAUAGAUGUCUAAUGGUUAGGUCCUUGAUCUUUGAUCAUGUCAAAGGCAUUCCAUCGAGAGUGUCCACGGCAUUGUUGGGGUCAAGAUAUCUAGUCAUGUAGGCAUAUGAAUGAACAACAAGAGAUCUCUAACCUUCCAUGAUGGAGGGAGAAUACUUUAAGAUAUGAUUCAGGAGUCUUUGGCCAAAUCAUAUGAAUAUGACUUAGGAAGUUUGUUCCAAAUCAUAUUCAAUUGAAUCAUAUAAAGAAGUAUCACAUUGGAUAGUAGACAUGAAACAAACUAUCACUCAAACAAUGUGAUUAAGAGUAUUGUAUUAGAGAAGGACCGUAUUGCAUUGUAAUUGUAACUGGAUAGGUUCUCCAACCACUUCUACUUAGCUUGGGUAGCCAUGACAUACUGCUAGGUGUCACUCAUGGUUUGUGGAAGCCCUGAAGAUUAGCAAACACUAAUCUUCAACAAAGGGAGAAUUGAAAUGUUGUUUCAAUUCACAAUUGAUCGUUAAGUGUAACAAUCGCCCACUGCCUCGCUAAUUGGAACCUAAUGGAUCGUACAUCGAGUAAGGAUGAAAGUGAAGAAAUAUAAAUGAGAUGGAUAAGCGAUUAAAUGGUUUAAUUGAGAAUGGUCAAGAUUAAUUAAUUAGUUAAUUAAUUUUACGAAGGGUUCGUAUUGGGCUUUUAAGUUGGUUUUGGGUUUCGAGGCCCAAAAGUGUUUUGGUCCACAAGGCCCAUUAUGUUUAAGUUGUAUGACAACUAAAACAAAAUGGGCAAUUAGCCCAAUAACAAAAACAAGGCCGGCCAUAAGGGUGAGUGGAUGCAAACUUGAAUUAAUUACAAGUUUGCCACUCACAUGUGAUGUAGUAUAAAGUCAACUUUAUAGCUUUUUCUCAUUAGGGUUUUCUUGAGGCAAAGAAGAGAAACACUUUCUCUCUUUUCUAAAAGGAGGCCGGCCACUUAGGGAAGAAUUAGCUAGCAAUCUUUUCUUCUCUAAGUCAUCCAUUUCAUCUUCACACCUCAUCCUUGGUCUGGAGACUUAGAGACACCAAAUCUUUGGUGUUCUUGGAGAUCCUUUCCUCACAUCCUCAAGGAGCAAAGAAGCAUCAAAAGGAAGAAAAACACAAGGAAGAUCCAAGGAGCUAGGAGGUGACUUGAAGGCCGUCCACUUGGGUGAAUCCUUUGUGUAAACAAGGAUGAGCUUCAAGGCUAAUGAAUCUCUAAAUCCUUCCUGCUCUUUAAUAUUGUUAAAUAGUCUUGUGGUUCACCAUUCACUAGGCUUUGAAAGUCAUGGGUUUUAGAAUUGUUUUUGAAUGCAUGCCUACUUUAAUGUGUUAUUAGUUUGCAUAUGUGUUCAAAUGUUCUCACAUGUUCUUAGCUAGGAUAAAUUUUUUUCUUCAGUUUGGAUAAACAACACUGUGAAGGCAACCAGCGAACAUCUUCAGUUUAGAUAAACAACACUGUUGCCGUAUAAUCAGCCGACCGUGAAUCAUCUUCAGUUUGGAUAAACAUCAUUACGGCAAGCCUGAUUGGUUAUCUAUCUAAGUCUCGGUUGAGAAGGAUUUUUGAAUCCUUAUCGGUAGGGGUCGUCUCGUUAGCUUUCUCGGUGAAGUGAGGUGUUACAAGUUACUAUACUCGACACAUUGAACGUCGGGUCGUUUAUGAUUGGUUUUGAAUACGUCGAGUCGGUGAAGUGAGGUUUUAGAGUUCGGCAUUUUGACGGCCGAACCACUUUCAUAAUCAAGACAUAUAUUUGUUUUGAAUACUUGUGUCCCUAUACUCUGGUGUCGAUUCGGUGUGCUUAUACUCUUACGAAUAUAAUCACGGUGACCGAAUCCGGCGCCGACGAUUUGUGAACUUUGCAGAACUAGUAGCUUUGUCUUCAAGCUCUAGAAUCUGAAGGCCAAUGCGUGUUCCUUCCUUGACCGUAGUCUCAAGAUUGAGAAGUCAGCUGCGCAUCCAACGCAACAUCAACAAAUUUUACUCCUUGGCCGAGCUCGACCGACGAGUUGGCACGCCCUGCAUACAACUGAAGGACGUAGUUAGCUUACUAAUUAUUCAGCCUGCGCGCCACAUAGGCUUAGUAGUUUUUAGGGUAAGAAGAUCAUAAAGGAAACCCUACACUGAUGGGUGUCUGUCAGAACCGCCGUGGAGUCCUCGUGAGCCACCAGCAAGAACUUCUAUCUAGAACCUGGAGGGGCGCAAAACAGAAAACGUGAGUGGGCAAAAACAAAACUUUUCAAAACAAUUAAUCUUUCCAAAAAUAAUAACCCCUCACCGUAAAACCCGUAUAAUUUCCCAGAAAAUAGUACUACAUACGUAUAUAAGAACCAUGCUCGAGAAUAGCAAAACCCACAUGUAUGCCAUGUAAAUGAUCUCCACAAUGCAUAAGUAAGCCAAGUGAAAUGAAUCAAUAUAAAAUGACAUAUCAGCCGGAGUCACCUAACGUGAUCUGUACGGCUGAGUCUAUAACCCAUCAGUCAAGUCCUACACACGAGCCGGAACCACCUAAUGUGGUAUGUACGACAUGCUAGGUGUAAAUAAAUACGCUCAAAUGCUACGAUCACAUGAAGGCUGUGCAAAGUAUCGCAAGUCACCUAUGAGUCGGAACCACCUAAUGUGGUCUAUACGACAGGCUGGCACCUACCUUGGAUCCAAGGUGAGCGUGUGGUGCGGGAGGUGAACGAUCACAAGAUGGUUAGGCCCUGGCCUUGGGCGGAGCACUAACAUCGAGAUGCAGGACAAUGAAUUCUACACACAACAAGUCAUCACUAACUACUAUGUAAUCAUAUCAACAAUGUGUACUCACCUGAACUUACCUUAGCCUCCGCAAUAGCAUGCAAUAUUAUGCAAAGCUAUACUAAAUCAUAUGCUAAAAUAUAAAGCAAAUAUGACAUGGCAUUUUAAAACGUAAAAACCAUUUAAAACUAUUUCUGGGAAAACGUAAAGCAUAUAUAUGUAUAUAUAGAAAAUCAAAAGCCGGGUUGUAACCCCCUAAUCUAGCCUUGCUACGCUUGUCCUCCGGAAACAUCUCACCUAUAUAUGAAACCACUAUUUUAACAUCAAUUUUAAGCAUAUAACCAAAACCGUGUAAUAAUUUCUCAUACGUUGCUCAAUUGAGGUGUUUGAAUAUACCAUUGUGGCCUACUCAACACCACGAGCAUCUCCAUAUUUUUAGAAAAAUUUUCUGAUAUCCCACGCGUCUUCACGAGUCGGCCAAGGUACGGCCACACGCGCCGGCCACGAGUAGGCACGUGCUUGGCACAUGGACGGAAUCCCUAACGGCGUUAGGGAAUAUUCCAUUAAAUAGUAGCAAAGGAUUGGCCAACAAGGAUAGAAAAAGAAGGGAUUUUUAGGUAUGUGCACAUUCGGAUUGGGCAAGGUAAAGAAUGGGUGUGCAAUUGGUUUCCAAAAACAAUUUAAGGCCAAAUGUUAAUUGGACCCAACAAGAUGGGAACCUAAAUGAUUGGUUUAGAUUUUUGUUUCCUUAUUUUGGCUAGGGGUGGGCACACGCGUCGGCCACGCGCAGGCACGUGCCUGGCACACAGACGGAAUCCCUAACGGCUUUAGGGAAUAUUUUAUUAAAUAGUAGCAUAUACCGUUAACUUUACCUGACACUGUUAGUACGCCGUUAGUAUAUUUCGUCAAAGUUGACAGAAUAUUCCUUGUCUUCUCCUGUGGUCCUCAUUGGAGCCACCGCCAGUCGUCGUCUGCGUCACUGGAAACUGGAAAAACUUAAAACUUGAAUAUCUUUCUCAAAACUCAACCAAAUUCCACGAAUCUUAUAUGGAUUUAAAGCUCUCAAUAAGGAGAAGACAUCCAUACCUGAUUCGAGUCUUAAAACUAACAGAAAACGGUCAAAAUAAGCUCCGAUGCCUCUGGACAAAAUGGAACUUCUCGAAACCCGUACAUUCUGACGUCAACUUCGACCCAAAACUUCUUUAUGAUCUACGUGUAGUUGUUUAGAAGUUUCCUUAUGCUUUAAAAUGUAAUGAAACAACCAUGAUCACACUUGAGGAACUGUACCUCUCGUCGGAGCUUGUGGGUUCCCCCAGUUUCUGGGUUUAUUCCUCGACCUAUGGGUAUGAAUGAACUUGUAACCUAACGAGGAAUACGAUGGUGGUGUCCAAAUGGUCGAUCUGUGUCAAUUAGGUUAAGGUUGUAAAUGUGAGUCUCUUGGUUGUACGGACGAGAGAGAAACGUCGAGAAGAGAGGAGAGGGAAGGAGGGUUAUGUAUGAGCGUGUGGGUGUGUAAGCUUGUGAUUGGCCAACAAGGAUAGAAAAAGAAGGAAUUUUUAGGUAUGUGCACAUCCGGAUUGGGCAAGGGAAAGAAUGGGUGUGCAAUUGGUUUCCAAAAACAAUUUAAGCCCAAAUGUUAAUCGGACCCAACAAGAUGGGAACCUAAAUGAUUGGUUUAGAUUUUUGUUUCCUUAUUCUGGACCAGUUACAUUCUAACGUUCGUAACUUUCUCGUUACCACUCCGAUUCGAGCCUAACUCCCAUCAACGGCCUCAUGACGACGUGUACAAUUUAAUCACGCCAUCGAGAAAAAUAAUGUGAAACAAUAUACAUACGUCCACUUCACUAAGCCUCAAGGGCAUAAUUAUCAUUUCCACACAUUCAAGGAUAAAGUCUAUAUAUUAAUUCGGGACGGGUCGUCACAACCUACCCCCCUUAAGAAACAUUUCGUCCCUGAAAUUUUGUACACUAACAUAACAAACCACUAAUAUCCAUAAAAUAAGUGUGGAUACAUAUCACGCAUACGAUCGUCUGUUUUCCAAGUAACCUCUUCCAUUGAAUGGUUCCUCCACAAAACUUUCACCAUGCACACAGAUUUGUUCCUAAGAACAUUGUCCUUCCAUUCUAAAAUCAUCACUGGCUCCUCAUCAUAUGUCAAGUCUGGAUUAAUUUCUAGUGGCUGAGGAGGUAAUACGUGUGAUGGAUCAGAAACAUAAUGACGAAGCAUGGAAACAUGAAAAACAUCAUGCACAUUUGACAACUCCAGGGGCAACUCAAGCCUAUAGGCAACUUCACCAACUCUCUCGGUGAUCUGGUAUGGUCCAAUGUAUUUAGGACUUAACUUGCCAUUCUUCCCAAACCGUAUUACCCUUUUCCACGGUGAUAGCGUCAAAAAUACCCAAUCACCAACUUUAUACACCCUAUUAGUGGCAUGUUUAUCAGCUAGACUCUUGUCAAUCUUGAGCUGUUUUCAGGUUAGAUUUAAUUACCUGAAUAUUCUGAGUAGUCUCAUCUACAAUCUCUGGCCCCACUAAUGCUCUUUCACCAACUUCUGACCAACAAAGGGGAGUACGGCAAGAUUUACCAUAUAAUGCCUCGAAAGGUGACAUCCCGAUGCUAGAAUGGUAGCUAUUAUUAUAACCAAACUCCAUCAAGUCCAAACCCUUAUGCCAAGCGUCACCAAACUGUAGUAUCGACGAUCUCAACAUAUCCUCUAAUGUUUGGAUAGUCCUCUCAGAGUUACCGUCUGUCUGGGAUGAUAUGCCGUAUUAUAAAACAAUCUUAAGCCAAAAGCCUCCUGAAAUACCACCCAGAACUUAGAAGUGAGCUUAGGAUCCUGAUCGAAAAUGAUACUAACUAGAACCCUGUGGUAUUUAAGAAUUCUUGGUAUAAAUAACUCAGCUAAUCGGCUUAAAGAAUAUUUCUCCCUUACUGGAAUAAAGUGUGUUCAUUUAGUAAGUCGAUCCACUAUCACCCAAAUACCAUCAUAACCAUUUUGUGUACGAGGAAGCUUGUACACAAAAUCCAUAGUAAUAUUUUCCCAUUUCCACUGAGGAACAGGAAGUGGCUGCAGUAAUCCAAAAGGUUUCUUUCUUUCAGCUUUAACUUGUUGGCAAAUUGCACACCUACUUACAUAUUCAGCAAUCUCCUUUUUCAUACCUGGCUAAUAGUAGAAAGGUUUAAUAGUGUGAUACAUUUUGGUACUCCCAGGAUACAUCGCAUAAGCCGAUAUGUGCGCCUCAUCAAGGAUAUCUUUCUUUAGUUCGACAAUAUUUGGUAUGUACAUCCGGCUUUCUUGCAUAAGCAUGCCAUCAGAUUCCCGAAUUCUGAGAUCUUUCUUCUUCCCUCGUGACACUACCUCUAUUAAUUCGUGGGACUCUUCAUCCUCUUCUUGAGCUUCUAACACACAAUCUAUCAAAAUUGGACUGACAUGGAAACUAGCAAGUAAAGCUUCCUCUUUAUCCAUCACUCCUAAAUCAACUCCUAUAGAUCUCAACUUUGUGAGAAGGGGAAUACGGCAAGCAUAUAACGCAUUAAGUCAGCCUUGAGAUUUCCUACUAAGUGCGUCUGCCACUAUAUUUGCACGACCAUGGUGAUACUCAAUCAUGCAAUCAUAAUCACUGAGCAAUUCUAUCCAUCUCUACUGUCAAAGAUUAAGAUCUCUCUGGGUGAAAAGAUACUGAAGACUUUUAUCAUCUAUGAAAAUCUUACACUUUUCCCCAUAAAGAUAAUGUUUCUAAAUCUGCAAGACAAAAACAAUGGCUGCUAACUCAAGAUCAUGAGUAGGAUAAUUCAUCUCAUGAGGCUUCAAUUGUCGCGAAGCAUAAGCAAUCACCCUACCAUGCUGCAUAAACACACAACCCAGACCAUGCAAAGAAGCAUCAUUAUAAAUCUCAAAAUUAUCACUGUCGUCUGGAAGUGCAAAGAAGCAUCAUUGUAAAUCUCAAAAUUACCACUGUCAUCUGGAAGCGCUAGAACAGGUGCGUGAGUGAGACAAUAUUUUAGUUGCUGGAAACGUUACUCAUAAUUAUCAUCUCACUUAAAUUUAACAUCUUUUCUAGUUAACCUCGUCAGUGGUAAUGCUAUGAUUGAGAAAUCUUUAACAAAGCGUCUAUAAUAACUUGCUAGGCCAAGGAAACUCCGUACCUCUGUGACUGUUCAUGGCUGCUCCCAAUUCUCAACGGCUGCUACUUUCUGUGGAUCCACUUGAAUACCUUUAGCUGAUAUGACAUGCCCUAAAAAUGCUACUUGAUCUAACCAAAACUGACAUUUGCUAAACUUAGCAUAUAAUUGGUGUUCCCUCAAUUUCUUCAACACCAAAGUGAGAUGUCGUACAUGUUCUGCCUUAGACUUAGAAUACACCAAAAUAUCUUCAAUAAAUACAAUGAUAAACCUGUCAAGAUAUGGCUUGAAUACUCGAUUCAUCAAGUCCAUAAAAGCUGCAGGUGCAUUAGUUAACCCGAAUGGCAUCACAAGAAACUCAUAAUGACCAUAUCGAGUCUGAAAAGCCGUCUUAGGAACGUCUUCACUUCUGAUCUUUAAUUGAUAAUAACCAGACCUCAAAUCAAUCUUAGAAAACAAGCAGGCACCUCGAAACUAGUUAAAUAAAUCAUCUAUAUGUGGUAAUGGAUAACGGUUUUUAAUCGUCACCCGAUUCAGCUAUCGAUAGUCAAUACAUAGCCUCAAGGUCCCAUCUUUCUUCUGUACAAAUAAAAUUGAAGCUCCCCAAGGUGAAGUACUAGGCUGAAUGAAACCCUUAUCAACUAAUUCCUGUAACUGAGUUUUCAAUUCCCUCAAUUUAGCAGGAGCCAUUCGAUAAGGAGUUAAAGAAAUAGGAUAUGUACCUGGAAGUAAAUCGAUAGUGAACUCCACUUCUUGGUCUGGUGGUAGUCAAGGUAAAUCAUCAGGAAAUACGUCAGGGAAAUGCCUUACUACUCGUACAUCAUCCACAAUGAUAAGAGUAUCUACAUUUAAUACCACGUGAGCCAAAUACCCAUGACAGCCUUUCCUCAAUAACCUUUUAGCCCUCACGGCAAAAAUAACGCCGUGUCUCACUCCACUACGCUCGCCUACGAAUGUGACCAUAGGCAAGCCCGGAUGAUGGAAAGUGACUAUCUUUCCGUAACAAUCCAUCUUGGCACGAUUGUAAUGUAGCAAAUCCAUGCCCAAAAUAACAUCAAAAUCAACGAUAUCUAACGGAACGAGAUCAGCUAGCAUAACGACAUCCUCCACCAACAUGGGACAUCCUGGAUACACCUAGCUAACAUAACAUGUCUCACCUCUAGGCAUUAAAAACUCUAACCCAUACCCGAGAAGUGUGGGAUGAGGUUGGGUCGUCUGAGCAAACGUAUGAGAAAUAAUAGAGUGUGUAGCACCACAAUCAAUUAAUACUCUAGCAAAAUGGCCAAGGAUAUUUAACGUACCCAUAAUCAGAUUGGGUUGUUCUAAGCAUCUUGUAAAGUGAUAUGGUGAACACGGCCUUGUUGUUGUUGUCGUCUUCCACGACCUCUGUUAGCUUGAUUUCUAUGUCCUCGUCCCUAACCAGGCUGGUUAGGCUGCUAUGAUGAUCUUACACUGCUAGAAGCAACUUCAACAUUUUGUGACUGUCCUCCUAGAUACCAAUGUGAUCUACCAGCUAAAUACGAAGGAUAUAGAGUAUAACCUUUUAGGUACUGGGGAUAACCUCCCUGAUGAUACGGGUCAUGUGGAUACUGAUACUGUCUUUUAGAAUAUGAAGCUAUAUCACCCUGAUAGUGGUAUGCUUCACCAUAACUCGUCUGGGUAUAACCACUAGACCCCGGAAUCUGCUGGAUAGAAACUAGUGGUGGCAAGGCAGAUGGUUGGGAUUUUUGCUGGUUUUGUGGGCACUGGAUAGCCUGAUGUCCCAUUUGGCCACAAAUAAAACAUCCUUUGUUGCCUUGCCUGCACUCCCCAAAAUGUCGACUGUUACAUCUAUGGCAAAAUGGACCACCAGAACCACUAGAGCCUCUCUGUCCUUGGAAGCGAGAACUACUUGAAUGGCCACCCAUCCGCUGUGGGUGUAACUCAAACCUCCACUAGAAGAACUGGAACUAGUACAACUUCUCUAAAAACUCUGCGUCUUACGAGGUCCCUGUGAUGACUAGCCCUUAUCUUUAUUAUUAUUUUUCUUCUGGUUACUAUCUUUUUCUUCCUCUUCCUCGGUAUCACUGGGCAUAUUUUCAAAAUCCUCAACCCGUAGUAAAAUUUCAUAAAACUCCUGAUAUGUAGCACAUGAAGUCAUGGUCGCCAUAGAAUGCCACUUUUUUCUAGUACCCAAUCUAAAACGGCGAAGCAUCUUUGCCGGAUUUGCAGCAAUCUCAGGGUAAUAAAGAGAUAGAUUAGUGAACUUCCGAUAAUACUCAUUAGCUGACAUCUUUCCUUGUUUUAGGUGCGUGAAUUCUUGCUUAUUACGAUCUAUAUACUCUGGGGGUACAAAUCUCUUAUGGAAUAACCGUUUAAAAAUCUCCCAGUCUGCAGCUUCCUCUGGUGACAACAAAAAAGAUUCCUACCUCCACCCGGAUGCAGGCUCCUCACCCAAAAACCAAGUGGUCGUCUCGACCCAUCUAUCCUCAGGAAGAUUUCUAUGGCUCUGCAUUAAUUGAAAAGUUUUCUCGAUAUGAUUGAGCCAACGCUCGGCUCCCUCAGGCCCCUCAGUACCCAUAAAAUUAUUCAACUUUAGAUUAUACACAGUCUCCAGGGAAGUCCUCUAGGAGGACGAAGUGAAGACUGAAUGUCAUUGGUAAUUGCUUCCCUAAGUUGAGUAAUAUCGGGGAAACUAGACUCAGCUGAAGUACGUGGCUCCCUACGAGGCGGCAUAGUUCUGACAUAAGACAUCAAAAUAAUUAGAAUACUCACAAAAUAUGCAGGACUGCCAAGCCUAGGCUCUGAUACCAAACUGACACACCCCGACCCCAAUCGAGGCAUGUUGGCCGUCAUGUGAGGGUGACGUAGCCAUGUGCGUGUGCGGAAGUGAACGUGAUAUAAAAAUAUGGAUAAAUAAAAACCAACAAACUAAAUUACACUAGGCUAGCAUAUCAGUGCGAGUGAAAAUGUUAAAGUGCACAUACACACAUAACCAGAGCGUAUGUAUCAGAAUGCAGUUAAGAAGUCUAAUUACUAAUUAUACAGAUCAUAAAGGAAACCCUACACUGAUGGGUGUCUGUCAAAACCGCUUGUGGAGUCCUCGUGAGCCACCAGUAAUAACUUCUAUCUAGAACCUGGAGGGGCACAAAACAGAAAACGUGAGUGGGCAAAAACAAAACUUUUCAAAACAAUUUAUCUUUCCAAAAAUAAUAACCCCUCACCGUAAAACCUAUAUAAUUUCCCAAAAAAUAGUACUACGUACGUAUAUAAGAACCAUGCUCGAGAAUAGAAAAACCCACAUGUAUGCCAUGUUAAUAAUCUCCACAAUGCAUAAGUAAGCCAAGUGAAAUGAAUCAAUAUAAAAUGACAUAUCAGCCAGAGUCACCUAACGUGACCUGUUCAGUUGAGUCUAUAACCCAUCAAUCAAAUCCUGCACACGAGUCGGAACCACCUAAUGUGGUCUGUACAACAGACUAGGUGUAAAUAAAUACGCUCAUAUGCUAAAAUAUAAAGCAAAUAUGACAUGGCAUUUUAAAACGUAAAAACCAUUUACAACUAUUUCUGGGAAAACGUAAGGCAUAUAUACGUAUAUAUAGAAAAUCAAAAGACCGCUCACUAGUAUGUAGCCGGGUCGUAAACCCCUAGUCUUGCCUGGCUGCGCUCGUCCUCCAGAAACGUCUCAUCUAUAUGUGAAACCACUAUUUUAACGUCAAUUUUAAGCACAUAACCAAAACCAUGUAAUAAUUUCUCAUACGUUGCUCAAUUGAGGUGUUUGAAUAUACCAUUGUGGCCUACUCAACACCACGAGCAUCCCCAUAUUUUUAGAAUAAAUUUCCGACAUCCUAUGCGCCCUUACGCGCUGGCCAAGGCACGGCCACACUCGCCAACCACGCGCAGGCAUGUGCCUGGCACAUGGACGAAAUCUUUAACGGCGUUAGGGAAUAUUCCGUUAAAUAGUAGCGAGGGAUUGGCCAACAAGGAUAGAAAAAGAAAGGAUUUUUAGGUAUGUGCACAUCCAGAUUGGGCAAGGGAAAGAAUGGCGGUGCAAUUGGUUUCCAAAAACAAUUUAAGCGCAAAUGUUAAUUGGACCCAACAAGAUGGGAACCUAAAUUAUUGGUUUAGAUUUUUGUUUCCUUAUUCUGGCUAGGGGUGGGCACUUAGAACCGAAAACUGAAAUCGAAACACGAACCAAAUCGAACCGUACCGAACAGUUUGGUUUUGCGGUUUUGAAACGGUUUUUGUUUUGAAACCGAACCGCAACGUAGAAAACGGUUUGGUUUUAGUUUUGACUUUUAAAAACCGCACUGGAACCGAACUGCACCGCAAAUAUUAAUAAACAUUUAAUUAAAUGUCCAUAUUAUAUUUCAUGUUUUAAUUGGUUGUUUGUUAGAAUCCAUACACUUAGUAUGGACUCAACCACACUAGAAUAUCAUCAUUCAUCACUUUCUUUCGUUCAUUAACUCGAAGGACCUUUGUUAUUUUAUACCAUCACACACACACACACACAUAUUUGUACAAGGGUGGACUAAUCUUGUUAUCAAGAGUCGAACAAUGAUCUAAUGAAGUUCACACAUUUGAAACAUGAUAUCACAUAUUCUAGUAUGAAAGUUUCGCUCACAUUUAAUGAAUUCAAAGUUAUUCAACUUGUUUUAUGUUAUACCUUGUACGGGACACCCUUUUGUUGCAUAAACAUAUUUUAACAUCACAACUGCAUGCAACAUGCUAAUUGUUUAGAUAACAAUGUCUUUUUCCUAUUGCUACUGGGAAAUGCUUAUUAAUAUGUUAAAUUGCAAAUUGUACAUUUUUUCUUAAAAACCAAACCGAAACCGUUUGAAACCACACCUAACCGAACCGCAAAAAAUUUCAAUUUUGGUUUUGGUUUCACUCAAAACCGCACCGAACCAAACCGUGCCCACCCCUAAUUCUGGCUCAGUUACAUUCUAACGUUCGUAACUUUCUCGUUACGACUCCGAUUCGAGCCUAACUCUCGUCAAUGGCCUCGUGACGACGCAUACAAUUUAAUCACGUCAUCGAGAAAAAUAAUGUGAUACAAUAUACAUAUGUCCACGUCACUAAGCCUCAAGGGCAUACUCGUCAUUUCCACACAUUCGAGGAUAAAGUCUAUAUAUUAAUUUGGGAUGGGUCAUCAUAGACAGUUUGAAAAGUCUUGUUACAUAUAUCAACCACCGCUUAACCGUGCACAUGGAAAACAUGAUACUCGCUGUCGUUAUUUCACGGACAUGCAUGACUAUUAACGUCCUCUAAGUUUAUUUACCUUCUAAGUAUUAAUUCAUGUUACAAACAACCCAUUUAUUCCAUAAAUCAUUGAUGAAUGAACUUGGAACUAAACACCCUACCUUACUAUGUCUGUCGAAGCUUUAGUCACCGGAAAAAAUGGAACUUUUUGACCAAAAUAGAAAAUAAGGUACAAAACCUAGCUCAUUCUUCUCACCUUUCUCUCACAUCCUUUUGUUCGAAAUCAGAGGUAUGAGGUGAACCCAAAGCCUAGCUCACUCUUCUCACCUCUCUUUGGACUUCCAUCUCUUUGAAAUCGAAGCUCAGAGAUUUGAGGAAGGGAGAGAGAGUAGAGAGAGAUAAAUAAAAAAAAUGGGGGAGAGACAAUAAGGAAUAACCUAUUUAUAUGGGGUAUUAUAGUAAUUUUGAUUUUGUGCAUGGUGUUCAUGACUUGUGCAUUACCGGUUUGCCCUAUUUCUAUCCCAAGAUUAAGAAAUUGUCCUAUUUUUAGGUAUUUCCCAAAAUAUUAUGACUUUGACAAAGUAGUUGUAUCUAUAUAUAUAAAGGGAGAAGACCAGUUUGGUGAAGCAUUCAGAAAUGCCAAGAAAGCUCCUUUAUUUUCUUCACAAUUGAAAUCCAAAAAAAAAAAAAUGAGGACAAACUGGUAAAAAAACCAAAUUCAUCAUCCCAAAGGGUAGUUUGAUAACAGUUCUCACUCUUUCACAACUGAUACAACACGUUCCCACUCUUUCACAACUGCCCGUGCCAGUUUGCAUCAAACUCCGCUCCUCCCUCUUAACCUUUGGCCAACGUAAAACUCCAUUCAUUUUCUUCCUUCACUAGUUCUUCAAUCAUCUCACACGUAUUCAAAUAUUAUUUUUGUUUCCUUUUUUUUUUUUUUUUGCAGUUUUAAUUUAUUUGGGAAUUUUUUUAGUCCCCUAGAUUCUUCUAUUGCGACUCAAUUCCGAGAUCUGAUCGUGGUUUUUUGAAUUGCAGCAUAAAGAGGUGAUGAGGCUUUUCAACCCAUUUACAAAGGAUCUCAAUGCCAUUGGGUGUUUGAGUGGUAUUUUCGUUUCUAUUGUCUCUGUCUUUUUUAUCAUAUCAAUUCACAGGCAACAACCAAGUCCUCUCUCCUAAAUCGUCCUAAUUAGUCCCUUCAUAAACUCCUUUUAUUUGGAUUUUACAGCAAUCUCAUUAUUCAUUUAGCCUAUAUAAGAGCUGUAUUUACACCGGCUCAUUGUUCACAACCGUUUGGUAAUUGUUCCAUUGGUAAUUCUGAUGUGAAUCUUUCAUAUUCAUAACAUGUUAAUAGCACAUGGCAUGGCCGUUGACAUCUAUUGUAGUUUUUUAUUUAUUUUAGUUUUACAGAGGUGCAGCCGCUGAGUCCCGACCACGAAGCGGACAAAGUUGUAACGACAGUAUAAAAAGGUACUUCUACAAAAUUUCAAAGGAUUCUUAACCUCACACCUCUCUUCCGUCCUAUUCAUGUAUGAAAUAUUUUUCAAUUUGAUUCUUUCAUUGUUUGGGUGGUUUAGUUUAGUUCUUGAUUGAUUGGGAAUGGUUGGAUAUUAGUUACUUCCAUUAUUGCGUUACAACUUUUUUGUUAUUUUCUUAUGUUAUUAGAUAUUUCAGUUUCUGAUUGCACAAAUCUUGCAAUUGACCUUAAUUUGUAGAAAUGUGCCGAUUCACUCUUUUCAUUCUCUUUGUUUCUUUGCAGAUUUACGAAGAAGGAUUUGACUUUGAAAAAUCACUUCAAGCUGUGGAAAAUUUAUCUUCCAUUGAGAGGUUUUCAAAAUGUUGGAUGACAACAGUUGAAUAAUUUAUUCUCAAAUGGUAGUUUAUUGACUUACUUACUAAUUAGUAUGGUACAUUGACAACAUUAGUUAGUUAGAUUCAGUGAAUUUUAUAUCAAAAACGGAGUGUGCAUGAUUCAUUUGUUCACAUCACCCAUGCUAAAAGCUCUAUUUCACAGUAGGCUAUGUGCGACGUGAAGAAGAGCUUGCAAUAUCUUUUUAGUUCUCAAUUAGGUCAUCGAGUAAAGCCUCCAAAUCCAUUUCUUAAUUCAUAUCUAUUUUCUUAUGGGUUGUGCCGUACAAAGUUAAUCUAUUUUUCAAAUCAAUUUUUAUUUUGAAUUUUUGUGUUUGUGCUUAACCGAGUCUGCAGUAGAAAUGAAGUCAGGUGACGUUGUAACUUCCACCCCCGUUUGUCAAAAGGUGUGUAAAAUCUUCAUUACACCAAUUAAAGGUUCUCAUACUAUUUCCAAUUUUCGGUAUCGCACAUAAGAAAGGAUGGAGUUCUUGAUUUUUCAUAUGCCUUCAUAUGUCGAAUGUCAUCUAAAUUUAGUUGUAGUUAUUUGUUGUAACUUUUUGAAAUGGCAGUCUUAGUAUUUGCCCACCAAUUUUUGUGAAUUCCAAACUUUGCUUAUAAUUAUAGUCACGUAUAAACUUCCAAUUGGAUUUGUUCCCCGGCCAUACUAAUAUAAUACGAGUUCUUUUGCUUUUAUGUAGAAGUAAGAAGAUUGUUUUGCCCUUAUGUAUCCUGCUUCUUUCUGUUCACGAAGUUGCCAAGAAAAAAGUACUUUGUGAUCAUUUUCUUUUCUUCUUUUAUAGUAUGGUGAUGUGUGCAUAAAAUUUGUCUUUUUUUCUUUGUAUCAACAACCUAUUACCCGUCCGUCCCUAAGCAUGUUUUGUUAAGAAACUUUUGAUUUUUCUUUUGUUUAAUUUUUCAUCCGAUAACAUUUAAAUCAUUACUUUACGUAAAAUAAAAACGAAAAACAUGACAACUUUUUAGGACGUGCAUGGUAAAGAAAAAAUUCCUCUUUGCACAAUACAUUUAAAAUAUAUUUUGACAACUACAAUGAAAAAAAAAACUAGCACAAUACACUUUUAGAAUACACUUUUAGGGCACGUACGUGAUGCAAAUACGUGAUGCAAAAAUGCCUCUGGCACGCAUGGCGCGCACGUUAGUGCAGUGCGGAGAGGCUAGUAUUUACCAAAAGCUAGCGGUACAUCUCUCGACGAACCUCCUACCUAUGUGAAAUCAAUGAAUCAACGUCCAUGGGGCGUUUGCUACGGAUGAUGGCUCAGCAGUUGUGAGUCAACAAACUGUUGACAUUGGCACAGGUUCGGCGCUGGUUGGGGUGGUAUACAAUCUGGAUCAGGGUCUAGGUGGUUCAAGUGAUCUGGUUUAUCUUCAAGCCCAGAAAAUACGCGGAGUCUUCUUAUUCCUUAGGCCGGUAGGGAGUUGUCCUCUAGUCUCGUCUCCAUCCAUCGGGGCCGAUUUAACCUCUACGCUACCAGAGAGGAUGAAGUGAUAGCGAGGGGUGCUGGGAGCGGCUGGUGGCGACGGGUGCUGUGGAGUCGCCUGACAGAACGAAUGGGUGGCAAUAGUGUGGUCGAAUUGGUGCUUGCUGCCGACUUCGCAAUCGGUGUAUGGGUACCGCUGGCCACCACAAUACCACUGCGGGCCAACUGCUCAGUCUGAGCCGAAUAUGAAGCAGACCGGUGGCUCAUGAUCUAUCGGGGAGCCAUCUGCCCAAAAAAUACCAUUUCAAAUAUUUCCUAAACUUACAUGCAUCACUUAACCCAAUUCCAAUUCAAAAACCCAAUUCACGGAUUAUAUUAUCACGCAAUUCUAAUUUGUUGUUGACCCCAUUUGAUCAUAAACCCACAAUCCUAAUUUCGUUGUAGAGAAGAAACCCCAUUUUAUCACCUGCAUAUUCACAGAUUCACAUACUACCCCAAAUAAAACCCCAUCCACAUCUUCACACACAACCCCACAUACAAACCCAAUUCAUAAAUCUAUAUCAUUUUCACAAAUUCAAUUUAAAAAACCCAAGCAUACGCACAAACCCAUUUCAAUUUCACAAUUCCAAAACAAAUUAACAAAUAAAAUGAAAUUCAAAUAAAUUUACAAUUGCAGAGUGAGAGUGUUGCUAUGUUUGAGAGCGGGGGUCGAUGAGAGGGAUAGUGAGAGUGAGAGAACUGAUAGACCUGAGAGGGAGAGUGAUAGUGAGAGUACUGAGACGAGAGUGAGAGUGAGAGUGAGAGUGAGACAGCACUGAGAGGGAGAGUUUAAGAGCAGAGAGAGAGAGAGCUUGAGAGCAGAUAGAGAGAGGUUGAAACGGUGAGCAGGAAGAUGCUAUAAGGUUAUAACAUAACUCUUACCCAACAAAAGGUUCUUCGGGAGUUCGUUGGGUAGGUCUUUUUAAAAUGAGUACAUUGUAGCUAUGGUCCUUUAAUUUUAAUUCAAUUGGAGUAAUGGUCCUUCAACUAAAAAUUCAUUAUCAUUGGUCCCUCAACUCAUCAAAACGUGCAAAUAUGGUCCCUCAACUAAAAAUUUAUUACCAUUAGUCCCUCAACUUUAAUUCAACUGGAGAAAUGGUCCCUUAACUUUAACUCAAUUGUAGCAAUGGUCCUUCCAACAUAACUUGUUUUGACAAAAAUUUUGACGUAGUUGACGAAAAUGACCAUAAUUACACACUUUGAUGAGUUGAGUGACCCUAAUUGUAUAAAUGAUCAUUCCAACAUAACUUAUUUUGACAAAAUUUUGAUGAAAUUGAUGAAAAUGACUAUAGCUACACAUUUUGAUGAGUUAAGGGACCAAUAGUAAUGGAUUUUUGGUUGAGGGACCAUUGCUCCAAUUUGAUUAAAGUUGAGGGAUCGUUGCUACAAUUUACUCUCUUAAAAUUGCAACACAUGUCCGUCAACCUAACUUAUUGUUGGGUAAAAGAUUCAUUCUUCGGGCAAAAUUCAAGAAAAUUAAAAAAAUUUGUUUGGGAAAAAAUGGUGGGAAAUACUGAUUGCCGACGAAAUACAAGCAAAUUUCGUCAAGCAACUUAAAAAUUUGGGGCGAAUUUGAUUAUGAACGAAUUUUCAGACGAUUUUAUUUGAACUUAACCAAUGAAUUGUGAUAAUUGCUCGACGAAAUAUUAAUUAAUGGACUAGCGAAUGAUAUGGUUCAGUUAGGCAAUGUUAAAUUUUGGGGCCAAUUUGACUUUUAAACCAAAUUUUAGGCGGCCUUUUUUUUACUUUAAUCGACGUAUUAUAUAUAUGCUUCCAUUGGGCAAAGAUUAAAAAAAAAGUGUGAGUGGUGGGAGGGUCCAGAGUGAUGAGUUUGUUUCCUAAGGAUAUCAUAGUGUGUGGAUGGACGAUCUUGAUGUAAUCUGAGGUGAGAUAAUUGUGAUGGUUUGCAUCAGCUAUAAGAUUUGGAAUGAUUUUACUAUAGCUAAAAGUUUGAAAAAAAUUCGAUCGUCGUGUAAACUAGCUGUAUGUCUGACCAAAAGAUACUUGAAAGCCUUACAUGUGGAAAAAUAACAGAAAUAUUGAAGAGUAUUAAUGAUAGCGUUAUAUUGGAUGACAAAAUUUAGUUGAUAUCAUGUACAAAACCAACCUACAUUAUAUUCUUCAAUACCUCCGUUGUUCUUCCACUUGGAAGUCAACAUAUUAACUUCUGGUCACCACAUUCACCGACACAACCAAAUUACUCGACUAGCUUACAUGACGAGCCUUACUUCCUUUCAAACCACUAGUUAUAAUAUUAUAAUUCAAAUAUUAAAGCAACUAUGCACGCCCGUAAUUAACUCACCGAAGAUUGCAUCUACAUUGCUCUUCCACACACUAUGAUAUCCUUAAAAACAACCCCGUCACUCCAAACCCUCCCACCACUCACGAUUUUUUUUUUUCCACCACUCCCAUAAAUUCUAUGAAACUAGUAUAUAUAUGAAGAACAUACUGAUGAGAAAGAUGAAGAGAAAGUAAGUUAUUUAUAGUGGAUGAAUAGACGAACUUCCGUCAGCUAAUUACUGCGUCAGUGGAUUUUGUCCCCACGUGAGGUGGAUAUCUAUGACACAUCGAAAAUACAAUUGGACCUUUGACCAAUUAGGCUUUAUGCGACGGAGCUCUCAGGCAAGUUUUAUGUCAGUAGACUCCUCAGGCCUGUGACUGGAUGUCUGCGUACAUUGGAAAAUUAAAUUUGACCUAUUAUCUAUUACCCGACUAUUAUUUUACCCGACGGAGAUUCGUCGGGUAAUGCCUGUGUCAGUGGAUUCCCCUGCCCCUAACUGGAUAUCUGUGACACAUUAAAAAAAUAAUUAUGACCUGUUAGAUUUUACUCGACAAAAGUUCAUCAGGUAAAACCUAUGUAGUGGAUUCAUGCUAGUGAUGGCCAUCUGCACCACUUUGUAAAAGGAAGUUGGAAACUUUUGACCAAUAGAUAAAAUCGAACGAAUUCUGUCGGGUAAACCCUUUUCCCAACACAAGUGUUUGGCCUUACCUGUGGCUUUAUGUGACAAUUGGAAAUUGGCAUUGUAUAUUUGUGGCACUUUGAAAAUUGUAUACUCCUUAUUCCUAUCUAAUUAGAUAUCAUAUACGAAUAGAAUCGGUAAAACUAGUUUUGUAGAAUUUGUUUCGACGAAUGGAUUUCAUAAUUAACACCUGGUCUUUUUUUAUAUAUUUUCAUUAAUUGGAAUGCAAAUUUCCAAGAGUCAUAUGGUUUACAGCUUUACAAUCCAUAACAAAAUAUUGAAAAUAUAGAAAAAAAAUUACAUGAGAUAUACUUUGAUUUUAGCUAUUGCUAAUGCUUUGAUAAGUUAAAAAAUAUACCAAACAUUUAAAAUCAAAGCUCGACUGUGAAACACUUUUAAAUCCAAUUCUGCUUGAGCUUUACAAAUAGUGUUGAGCUUUUUUCUUGAAUGGCCUAGCCAUAGGAUUUAGGGCUUUUCGCCCAUUACGAUAGUAUCCUCCCCUUGUUCUUCCACAUGCCAGAAAUCCGAGCAACAUUGGGUAGUGGGUAAAAUGGUGUUGAACUGAAGAAGAAUGGGAAAAAGGAGAAAGAUGAAUAGGAAGGCACAAAGUAUAAAGUGGAGAAUGAAUGUAUGGAGGAGAAAAAGAAAGGGGAAGACACAAACUUAUAAAUUGAUGAAUAGAUCUUUGCUCGAUGAACUACUCCGUCUGGCAACUCUUAGGCCUCGUUUGGUACAUCGUAUAACACACCGGAUAGGAUUAAUUAUACGGUAACAGGUGUUUGGUGUCCCCAUGUAUUAAAUAGUCAGCCGACUCAAUACUCCAGCCCAACUUAUUAUAUACGGCUAACACCCGCUUAACUAUCCUUUCCAGAACCACGGUAUUAUUUAGUCAGGUUGAAAACAUGGCUUUCUCGCUCUCUCUAACUCCCAAGUUCUCCUUCGAAUCCCAGGUUCUCCUUAUUCUUCUUUCAUUUGAAUCCUAGGUUCUCCUUCUUCGUUUUCUCCUCCUUCCUCUUCUCUCAUCUGAAUCCCAGGUUCUCCUUCGAAUCCCAGGUUAUCAUUCUUUGUCUUUUUCCUCAUUCUUCUCUCUCAUCUGAAUCCCAGGUCCUUUUUCUUCUUCUAUAUGUUCCGCCCUUCUCCUCCUAUUUUUCUUCUUCCAGAUCCCAAAAAAAAAAAAAUGAUAUGUAUGUUGAAAAUUGCAAAGAUUCUAAAUUGGGUAUGUUGAAAAUUCGAACCCAGUUGAAGAAAUGGGUUGAGCGAUUUUUAUAUACUCCUACCAUUUGGAAUAAAGCUUGAUGAAUUCAUAAUAUCAAUGCUUGUGCUGGUUUGGCUACAGCAAGAUCUGGAUUUGAUGUAAUUUCAGUAUUGUUCAAAAUUCAUCAUUCAUCAAUAUAAUAAUAUUUUAAAGUCUUUCUUAUCCGAUAGAGUAUCCAACCAAACACAGUAUAAAUAAUACGGUUAUUAGUCCGAUAUUACACCAAACGUCCAACUAAUUUAGUCAGUACUAUCAGAUGAUUAUUUAUUUUAUUCGACUGAAAUAGUCAGUACAAUCCUAGCUACCAAACGAGACCUUAGGAAAGGGUUGAGCAAAUUCCAUGCUGGUGGAAUUUAUUACACGUCACUUGUGGACUUUUGACUAUCGAUAAUAGAGAUGCCUAACAGAGUUCUUUGUUGGGUAAGUUUAUCCUACACGAUGAACGGUGGAUUCAUCGGUUAAAAAAUUCCCCUCUUCGCGCCAAAAUUUUCUUGACGACUUGUUUCUUAACCUAAGAAAUGUGUCAGUUGCUUAAAUGCUUUCAGUCGACCCAAUAUAUAUGUUGACUGAUUUUGCCCUAGUAAUAAAAUUAUCCGUUGGGCAAAUACAUUUCAAUCUACGAAAAUAUGUCUGUCGGGGUAAGAUUUAGUAAGGCAAGCCAUAAUUUCUAGUAGUGAUUAUGGAGCCAAAUAUAAUCAAGAAAAAUAUAGGGGCGACGCAAUGAUUUUUGGGCAAAAAAUACAAGAUUACCCUUGAGGCACAUCGAGAUUUCUAUGUGUAAGCAGUGAACAAUCAUCACUCAAUCAAGGUCAAAAGUAAUCAGAAUAGGUAUUUAUUCAAACCUAUUUCAUCAACCCUCAUCAAAUCUUUCCCACAAGGUAACUCCCAAAUUAUUUCUUUCAAAUUAUAUUAAUUAGCUAAUUAAUUGAUUUAUUACUCAAUUAAUUCAUUAAUUAGCUAAUUGAUGGUGAUUAACACCAAAAAAUACCAAAGGUGGCCGGUUCCCACCUCUCCAAAGGGGGCCAGCCACACCCCAAAAAAUACCACCUCAUUUUCUCCAAAACCCAAUUCCAAGCUUUUGGCAAAAUUCUCUAAAUUCUCCAAACACUUUUCCCUCAAAAUUCUAACUUUGGCAUCAGAGGUUCUUCGGCCAAAGCCCCUUCAUUCAUCGUGGGUGCGUGAGGCUCUUGGCCUUGACCUAAGGUGUUAAUUGUUUUUACAGGUGCAUUUUCGUCCAAGAACAAGAAGGAAGAAAUUUGCAUCCAUAAAUUGGUGUUUUCAUUGAGAGCCUUGAUUAAAUGCUUGUAGAAGACUCUUGCAUUCAAGGUUUUUCGUUUUCUUGUUCAUUUGUAGAUUUUUCGUACGUUCUUAUUCUUGGAAUUUUUAUUUGUAAAAAUUCUUUGAUAAAAUGUAAAAGAAAAGUCCAAUGGCAAGAGAUUCGGAAACCUCGAUGAACGGAAAUUCCAACGUUUAAGGAUUAGGACCAUGAUGAUCUACAAGACUCAACACAACGAUGAGUGGAGCAGCACCACCUUGGCAACCACCACGGUGGCCACCAUGGUAGCCACCAUCGGCAAGGCCCACAGAGCCACAACCACAGCCUAAGCCAUGCCAUUCAAACCCACACGGGCCCAAGCCCAAGGCGAGAUGGCCCAAGCCACUCAAGCCCUACGCGAGCCUAAUGCGUUGCCAAGCCAAACCUUAACCUCACACCCAUGUGCACCACACGCAAAGCAGCCCACUCCCGUGGCCUAGCUUGCUUCUGUGGACCAAUCUGCUCAUGUGGCUUUCUAAGUAGCCCAAAUGAUCCCAAGAUUAGUCAACCAUCCCAGCUUCAAAUUUCAGGGCUUACAACUGAACUAAGGGUAUUUUUCACCACAUUUCUCCGCAGAUUUGACAUUUCUCAACUCAAAUCUCGUGCUUGGAGUUUACCAUACUUCUACUACUUAAAGAGACGCAUUCCUUCCAAGCUCUUCCAAUUCGAAUAGUGAACAACACUUGUAUUGACAAGUCAUAGAGUUGACAAGUGCCCUUGCACAGCAGACGACCUUGGUGAAUCAGCUCUUGUAGCUUACCAAGAUCCAACGUGCCCCAGACAAGGUGUCUCAAAGUAGGACAAGGGCAGACGAAUAACCUCUCCAGCAAUGUCCCAGCAGGUAGCUACUCGACCAGCCACGAACUGAGCGUUCAGGCAGUGUGCACUCUCGACUGGGCCUUAAGAUAGCGUAUACUCCCAUCUAAGCACGCAGAGGAGCGUGCAUUCUCGACUAGGACCACGGACAAGUAAACAUUCACGAUUGGGGCCACACUCCGAUAGUCAACAUAAGAUACCUUUUGGGCGAAUUGUUCAUUCGCUGCUAGGCCCGCAAGGAGCAUCCUCCACCUUACAUUGGAGUAGGCAGCACGAAUGACGGAGAGAAACAAUCACUCAAUCUCGCUUAAGUUCAACUAGCAGCUUGCAAAAAUCCCUUGCCUGCUAGAAACAAACCACAUGCACCACAGCCGCGACGUAGACAACCUAAGCAUGAAGAAGAGCAGCCUAGACUAGUAGGUCAAGACUGGAAGCAGCCGAGAGCUCUGCUACCCUAACAAAGGUAGAUUCAGGAAGAGGUAGAGAAGCUCUUAAAUGACCGAUUAUGCAAUUUCCAAUACAACUAAGUCGCCAUUGAAACACUACGACUAGACAUGACCAACAUGAGCAGGUCACCUUUACGGACGAGAUCGAGCAGGCAGAUGUUGGAAAUGUGCCCUAAAACAAAUCAUAUGAUGAUACUUUACUGACAUUUCACAUGUUAAACUAAUAUAGUUUAAUAUAAAGGGCAAAGAUUAUUGUUUGAAGCCAUCUCAUAUAAAUUUUAUACGCUUAAACGAUAAGUCCAAGGAAUAUGUAAUUGGGAGAAUGCGAUCUAAAGAAGUUAGAUUCAUGAGACCAUUCUCUUUCGUAUACAUAUCCUAAAUGUUCCUGAUCAUAGGAUUGCCAAUUGGGCAUUGACAGUCAGUUAAGAUCAGUAUGUGCUAUGUCUUCUCUUAGGGAGAGUGACUGGUAUCAAGUCAUUGGUGUGACUGACACCAAGACAAGUACGUAGGUGCUCAAUAGAGAAUGAGUUCACUGAACGCGAUCAACAAGAAGUUCUUAUACUCAUGUCACAUGAGAACUCAUGGUUGGGAUAAUGCAAAGUAGUCCUUUGACCUGAGGCAUCAUAGUUGUCUUGUGGUUAGGUCCUUGAUCUUUUACUAUGUCAAAGUCACUCCAUCCGAGGGUGUCCAUGACAUAGUUGGGGUUAAGCCACUUAGCCAUGGAGGCAAGUGAAUGAGCAACAAGGGAUCUCUAACCUUCAAAUUGUUUAAGGGAGAAUACUCUAUCAUAUGAUUAAGAAUCUCUGGCCAGAGUAUGAAUGAGAUUUAGGAAGUCGUUCCAAAUCACACCGUGCAACAAUCGCCCACUGCCUCGCUAAAAGGAACCUAAUGGAUCGUACACCGUGUAAGGUAGAGAUUGAAGAAACAACGGAGAUGAGUAAGGAUAAUUAAAUGGUUUAAUUAUUUAUGGCUAGGAUUAAUUAAUAUGUUAAUUAAUCAAACGAAUAAGUUCGUUAUAGACCUAGGGUUAGUUUUAGGCCGCAGGGCCCAAUGGGAUUUGAAAGUCAAGCCCAUUAACUUACCUUAAGGCCGGCCAAAUAGAGGAGGGUAGUGAACUUGCUUUAAUUGUAAGUUUGCCACUCCAUUGUGAGGUGGUAUAAAGGCAACUUUAUAGCCAUUUCAUCCUUAGGGUUUUCUUUUGGGGAAAGGAUGAGAACACAAUGCUCUCAUUUUCUCUCUAAGAGGUCGCCCCCCUUGGAGGAGAUUAGCUAGCAAUCUCUCAUCCUCCAAGGUCACUCAUCUCUUCUUCAAGUCCCUCCUUGGUGUGAAAAAAUUAGAGGUUCUCAAUUUUGGGAACUUGGAGAAUCCUUUCGACCAUCAUCCUCCUAGAAAUCGAUGGAACUAAGAAGCAAGGAAUGAAGGCCCUCUCCUUGGGUGAUUAGCCUUUGUUUAUGCAAAGAGGAAUCAACAAAGGUAUAAAAUAUCUCAACUCACUAUAUUCUUGAUUUGAGUCUUGGUUCACCUUUCUACUAGGCUUUGAAUUUCAUGGGUAAUGUUUUGUUUUGAGUGCAUACAAGCAUGAUUCCGCCUUUAAUUGUUAAUUGCAUGCCAUAGAUGUUGCUCAAAUGAACAUGUUUUUCACAAAAUUUCCUUCAAGUGGUAUCAAAGCCUAGGUCUAGUAGUUGGUGAAUCCUUUUGGGUUUUGUAGUUCAUAGUCUUUGAUUUGAAUGUUGUAAUUGUUACAAGCUUUAUUCUUGCUUCUUUGAAUGUAAAUUUUGUUAGAAAACUUGCCAUCUCAAAUGUUGUAGAUGUAGUUGAUAUGAGCAUGAAUUUUGGAGCUAAAAUUUGGUGCCAUGUUUUUGGGGAAAUUCGGCCAAAUCCAAAGGGUGGAUUUUUGGGUUCUUGUUUGUCUUGUUAAAAGUGUUUUAAGGUGACUUUUGGAACCCCUAAGUACCCUAGGAUGUUAACCCCCUUUUGAGUAGUGUAAUUUUGAAUUUUAUUGAAUGAAAACAUUCAUGGAGCUCGUAUGAGUUUUCAUGUGUGUUCUUCAAUGUUCUUGAUGUUCUUACCAAGAACAAAAAGUUUGGUGUUUUUGAUUCAAAGUUUUUGGUUGAUUACAUAAAGUCUUUGUUUUGUGUUGGUUGGUGUGACUUUUCUAUCAACAAGACAUUUAUUUGAAAAGAUGAUUGAAAUGUUGAUAGAGUGUUUGAAUUUUUUGUACAUGAUUGGUACUUUUUUCUUACACACCUAUACCUUCUUUUUCACACCAACCCAUCACCUAUCCUUUUCAACUUGCAUGACUUUAUGACUUUGUUUUUUUUUAUCAAAAAACCACUCCCUCACACUACCAUGAUCGGCCACCCUACAUGUAGGGUACUUUUGAGGCUUUUAUGCAAUUACAUAAAGUUUUGAUACUUUUGUGUAUUUGUACUUUGACCCGAAAGUUUACGUUUUUACGUAAAGGCCCAAAAUCACUAAAGGACAAAGUGUUUUGCUCAUUUAAUGAAGUUUUUGCAUUUGUUGAAAUUUUUGGGUUCUAGUUGUAAUUACAUGAAGUAAUGGACUUUUGUGUUCUUACAAAGUGACCUUAAAAGUUUGUGUUUUGCAACAUAGCCCAAAAAGUUGAGGUUAUUGCUUUUCGGCCCAAAUUAGUUGAGAACAAAAUAGUUUUGUAUCUUUAAAUGAGAAUUGGAUUUUCAUUUCAUUUAACUCUAUUUAAAUCGAUUCUAUGGAAACAAAAACCAAAUGAAAAUGUUGCAUUCAAGUUUAAUUAGUUAAAGCGUUAAUUAAUUAAAGAAAAUGGUGAUUAUGAACCUAAGCCUAUGAUAAUUGAGCUAUGUGAAAGGCCGUCUCAAAUUUGUUUGAACCAUGGGAAUGUGUAGAUUAGAUUUUGGUUGUAAUUUGAUAUGAUCAAAUGUUGUAAAAGAGCAUAAGCUCUUCUUUACUUUAAAGUAAUUUGUUUUGAUCAAAUGUUGUAAAAGAGCAUAAGCUCUUCCUUACUUUGAAGUACUCCUUUCUUGUUUUAUUUGAUAUGCAUGAAAUUGGAGUAGUUGGGUCCAACGCCUAAUAGGAAAAACACGCCUUAAUAUGAUUAAACGCGUAUCUAAAAUCAAUCACCAUCCCUAGACCAAGAUUCAACACUAGGCUCAUGUUGGAUCGAAUCAAAGGUUCAUAGUCAUCCUAAGGCCCUAAGGCAACUAUAUAGUCCAUCAAUGAAUGCAAACCUUAUGUUAGUAGUACCAUAUACUCUUACUUUAAAAACCGUUUUACAAGCAUAGUGGGAGUAUUAUAUACAACUAAAUCAAUCACAUGGACCAAUAGUUGUAAUAGGACCAAACUGUUUUAAUUAGAUUAAAAUGCAUGCUUAUAUGUGAUGAGACCUAAAACCCUCAACCAAACCAUUAUUAAGUUGAUAAGCGUGAGAGUGCUUUGAACACUCUUUCAUGGCCUUCCACCGUGGUAGGCUCCGAUCGUUUAUGACUCGUACACCAACUUCACCCUAUCAUGGGGGAGUACAAAGUGCGUGCUUACACUCAGGAGGAGUUCUAUAUGCAUAUAUGAUGUUGUGAAGGUAGGCAAUGAGAAUGAUCAACAUCAUAUCGUUGUGAGGUUGUUCUUGAAACCCUACUCGAACUCGCAUGGUGGGAAUGACUUAACUAAGUGCAAUGGAGCCAACAUCAUAUCAUUGUGAGGCUUCAUUCUCUAGAGGUCAAAUAAGAUGGGUACCUGCAAGAGAUGCAAAUGAGUAAGCGUACUCUCUCAUUAUUAUUGAUGCUAGCCAACAUCAUAUCAUUGUGAGGUGGGCUUGGUAAUGGUUAGUCUCCCAUACCCUACUAAGAGUUUCCUCCAAAACUCUCGAAUUCUGAUGAGGGAUAUGGAAUUUGCCAAAAAUAGUGGGUGGUGCUAUUUGAUUUAAAAACCCGGAUCAAAUGGCUUAAAAUCAAUCAAUUUAUAUUCGUUAUGUAUUUUUUUACCGAUAUAUUUGCAAACGCUAUCCAAAACUUGACAAAGAAAAGCCGAAUGCUUUAGUUUCUGGACUUGGUACCACAAUCCCAUAGAUUGUCUUUAAUGGCUUGUAUAUGUACCUAAGUAGUCUCAUCCUUGCAAUCUUCCUAUUGAUAAUGUAUCAUGAUAAGUCUAUCAUAAAGAGGACAACACUUUUAAUGUCAUAGUUCUCACUUACAAAUCGUUGUAUGAAGAAAUACGAGUUGCUUUGAACAACCCUUAGUUAAUGCAAACAUUAGUGCUUAUUUCUUUGUUAAAUGAACAAAGAACUUGAGAAGAAAGCACAAGGGCAUGGACACUAUAUGUGCCAUGAUUCUUCACUUACAAAUUGUUGUAUGAAGAAAUGAAAGUUGCCUUGAACAACUCUUGAAAGUUUGUAAUUAUGUUUAGAACAUAAUGGUUGGUUGACAAAAAUAGUCCAUCAACAUGGACUUAUGAUGAUUUUGAAUCAUUGAGUGUUGAAGUGUUAAACCACUGCACGAGACGGAAACUAGACAAGGACUUCACUUUUGUGUCCCUAUCCAAAUGGUUCACUAAGUUUAUUGUAAAUUAUAUAGUGAACAAUAACCACACGCUCUCCAAAUUGUUUGAUGUUUAUAACACAAUUGAAAUAAGUUUCAAGAGAGAUAGUGGGAGUUUAGGGACCAUGACUAUUGUAGUCAAAGGAGAAGUCAAAUCAAGAAAGCAAAAUAACUCCAAGGGAACAAACUUUCUUUAUGAAAGGAUGGACAUUGGAAGGGGUAUAUGCAAGAAAUGUCUUGCAAGUGUCAAGAACACACCUUUCGAAGGUGUUGUAAAUUGUUCUUGAAUAGUUCAAAACAGUUGGUUCUUCUACUUAAAUGCUUGAUUCCAUAUUAGUAACUAUAUUUUACAAUCGCUGUAAAAGUGUGGCUAAUAAGAAGUAGAAGAUUAAUGAGAGAAGAGAAAGUACUUCACAUUCGGAACGUGAAUCAAAUGUAGAUCUCUGCGAAAGCAGGUAGUACUUACUUCCUCAUAUGAACUACAAAAGAAAAUGGAAAAACAAAGAUUGUCUUUACAUUCCAAUUUGAAUAAAGGAACAUAAUUCGGUAUGAGAAAUGGAUGAAUGUUUUAUUUGACAAAACAUUGUUCUUUAUUAAUGAAUGAUUAGAUUAUUGUAAUCUAAUUGAUUAUCUCUAUAGUAGAGAUGAUAUGGUAGUGUUAACUGUUUAGAAUAUAAUGAUGCUUAAAACCCAAAAGGUUGCAAGGUAGUGACUAAUCCCAACUGAGUUGUGAUACCUCUAAAACAUAAAUUACGAGGUGGUCAUAGAUGGAUGCUUUGGAUUGUUAGAUCCGGAUCCAAUUAAGGCUGGGCACGGGUCGGGGCGAGCCGGGCCGAACCUAAGUUUGUAGGAACCUGACAUUACCCGAAACGGGCCGGGACGGGGCGGGGAUUGGAUUUUCUUGUAUAGGAACCGGACAUUACCCGGCCCGGUUAAAACGGGCCGGUUCGGGCCGGGUCCACGGGUACCCUUUUUUUUUUUUUUUUUAACUGCACUGCACAGUUUGCAAACUGCACAGAUUGCAAUUUGCAACUGCACAGAUUGCAAUUUGCAACUGCACAAUCACAGUGACACUGCAUUUAUGCAGAUUUUGCACAAAUUCACCAUUAUUCACAUCUAAUCUAAGUACAAAGUCUAAUAUCCAAGUUCAUAAAUUAAGUUUUAACAAUACAUCCAAAAUAACAAUAUUACAUCAUCCUCCAACAUCUAAAAAUGAAAUCCACAUACACAAUAUCGGCUGAUCCAGUACGACAUCUCCGGUGCUCCUUUCGGAUCUCGGCUCGCCAACCUCAACCACCAUGCUGGCUCUUUGCACUUUGCUCCUGGCUCUGAUCUCUCCCGCACUGUCCUCAUCAUCCCCUUGCGCGAACUCAACAUCUCCUUCGUCACUGGUACUACUACUAUUACCACUCUCGAGAUUAAGAUUUGAGUAAAUCUCAGAAAUGCUUAUCAAAAGUGCUUUAAGUUUGAUGAUUUUACUUUCUAAAAUGCUGAUCAGUAACAUUUUGGGUAUUCCAUUAAGUUCUUGACGGAUCGAAUGCACGUGCAGCUCUGAAUUUCCUUUCUCUAACAGCUCGUUAAAGUGAAAUAUUGCGUUUGAAUUCCGAAUAUAUGAAUUCUCAAGACCAAAUUAAGCAGAAUGUUUAAUCUGAUUGAUUCUUAAACUAUAACUAAUUUAAGUGAGCUUGUUAAGUUCGUUGAGUACCGACCAGCCUUUCCGUUGGUGAUUCCUAAUUGCAGAUUACAUUACCCAGAAGCAGCCUCUGGGAGGUUUGCUGUUUUUGCUGCCCCAGAUAUUUAGUAUAUGGAGAGGUGCCAAUGAAGAAUUAUCUGGCCGAACUUGAAAAAUUACUUAUUCAUUCCAAGAUACCUGUGAGUCAAACUGCCAUAACUUUUCUUGUCCUUUUUUACUUUCUGGCAAUUAUUUUUCUGUUUCUUACAGCUUCCUAGUUAUUGUUUAACUUUUCAUACUCGUGGAAACAGAUAUGAAAAAAAACUAGCCUUAAGCACUAGAGGUUAAAAUACUAACAAAUAACCACAAUUCCUGCAUCUAAAAUAUCCUAGCAUCACUGAUUAGAUAGCAGGUUCAAAUAAAAUGAGGAAGCUUUAAGAGAAACAUAUCAAUAACCAUAGAUUGGAGCUAGAACUCUUUAUUAUACUAAAAAUAGAGAAACCAGAUCAUUUUUGCCGAAAACAAUAGAGAAAACAUCAACCCACUCACACACAGAUCAGAGACAAAGGCGUUUGGAACCCUGAAAAUUUAAAUAGUUACCUGAAAAUUUAAACAGAUCAGAGACAAAGUCGCAGCUGGUGAUGCUUUGUGAACGGCGGCUUGUGGCUGGCGCAGAUGGUUUACGGCGGGUGAUCUGGGUAUAUGCCUGGUUUACGGCGGCUUGUGAAGGUUUAGGGUAGGUGAGAUGGGAGAGAGAGAGAGAGAAAGAAAGACUGAGAGAGAGAGAGAUCGAGAAGAAGGAGAUCGAGAAGGAAGAGAUCGAGAGAGAUCGGGAGAGCGGAGAGAUCGAGGGAGGCGGAGAGAUCGAGCGGAGAGAUCGAAUUAGGUCUGAAUCCUGAUAAUAAAAGGGUGAGUGACAGUGAGGGUCGAAUUCUAAUAAUAAAAGAGACGGUAAUCACGGUAGACCAACGGUCCGGGCCGGGGGCUCGUUUUCUCCAAUCUUUAGAACCGGCCCGCCCCGUUAUUUAUCUGGAACCGGCCCGCCCCGCCCCGUUUUGUAUUUGUAAUUCUUAGACCCGCCCCAUACCCGCCCCGAACCGCAAAGACCCGCCCCGACCCGCGGGUCCAGGACCCGUUUGCCCACCCCUAGAUCCAAUACCUUCUUAUUAAAAUUGUAUAAAGGCGAAAUGUUCGAAUAUUUAUUCUUUUGGAAAGAAGAAAGAAUCACAAAGUUGUUGAGGUUAAUUCACGUAGAUGCUAGUGGCACUUGUCCACAACAUAAUACUACUCAUGUUGUAUGACAUUCACCGAAGAUCACUCUCGGUUGGACUAUCGUUUAUUUUGAAUAAACACAAGUCCGAAUACUUUGCAAAAUGUUUCAAAGAAUUCAAGAAAUGCAAGUUGAUGAGUAAGACGUCUAAAGUAUUUACCUCCUUAGAUUUGAUCCAAGGAAAGAUAACACUUUAAAACAGUUUCCUUGAAAAAUAUCAAGGAAAGAAGCAUCAUAAGAUAAUGGAUUUCUCCAUUGAGAAAAGAACGAACUCGAAUAAGAUUUAGUUCGUUGGAUGUUAUCAAUUACCCAUAUAUAGGAUAUAUACUUCUAAGACAAUAUGAUUGUCAAUUAGAAGAUCUUCCAAAAUUUUCAUGACUCCAUAGGAUGUAGUUGGAAAGAAAGACAAAUCUUAAUCAAGUUAAGAUUUGGGGUUGUGUGCUAAUAAGCAAUAUUUGUUUAAGAAUUAUCUUGUGGGUAUCCUUAAAUUAACAUUUGGAUAUCACUUCUAUAAACCAACUAACAAAUGUUGUUUGUUGGGUAGUUCAUCGUAAUCCUACACUAGGAUUUGCCUAAGAUAGAGCAAAUGAACGAGGGAUAGAACUCAAAGAAUGGGUUCUUUGAGAGACAAGAUAGUGAUCAACAAAUAUAACAACCUAGUUCCUAUACCACAAGCUCCAAGGUAGUCGAGAAGGAUUUAUAAACUGUCUCAGUUGAAUGGUUUGAACUUUAUGAUUAUGUCAUAGAGUUACACCUCUUAAUUCGAAAGAAAUAAGAAUGAAAAUCCUUAUGACUACAUUGAGUGUAUAUACAACACAUACUCAAGGAAAUGGUAAAGUACCAUUUGAUCCGAAAUAAUGAAACCUUUAUAGCUAAUUGGUAGCUUAAGGAGACUACAAUUAAAGAGAUUGGUUGACUUUGAAGAAACCAUCUUUGACGUAGUCUUGGUUUCAAUUAAUUCGAAGAUUACUAGCUACAACUAAAUGGUGAUUCAAUGUUUGGACAUAAUAUGGGUUUCUGAAACCAUUAUUAAGUUAGUCUUGAUAAUGUAUGUCUAAAACUAUGAAUCACAAGACAUGUAAGUUGUAGAGAUCUAUCCAUCAUGGAUCUUAGCAAGCUAGUGGGAGCUAUAAGCGUCUUAUGAGAGAAAGUUCAAAUCAAUUGAUUUCUCAUAAAGAUGUAAAUGAAUCUUUUGUUUACUAGGUUUACAAAAGAUUAGUGGGAGUUAAUCAUGUUCCUAAAAUUUAACAUAUAUAUGAUAUAUUAAUUUUGGAAAUGAAAAGAAUACUUCUUCGUUAAAGUUAUGACUUUAAACAUUCUACAACGAUAGAAUGUAUAUGGGAGAUAUAGUCUAUAUACAUGGGAUGAAAUUCUAUAAUGAUAGAUUUCAAGAUAUAAUUGGAUUAAAUCAAUCCCUAAAAAUAGACAAAAGAUGCUAGGAAGUUUCUCAUAUGAUGAUAAACUUCAAUCAGAAGAACAACUAUAGUGAGACUAGGAGGUAGCUUUUCUCAAAGGGAACGUACCCCUUAACUCCCAAAGAAAUAAUGCAUAAAUAGAAUCCUUUAUGCAUACGCAGAAAGGUGAUUUACGUAUUUCAUAUUGUAUGAAAAACAUUGAUAUGAGUUGUACCUAGAACGGUAGAAGACGAUAUUAGUGCAAGCCCAGGAUCAGAACCAUGGCAACUGUCAAGUGAGUCCUUAAGUAUUUAAGAAAUACUAAAGGAUAGAUUCCUCAAAGAAUGAGGAAGAAUUAGAGUAACGUAAUGGAAGAAUAAAUGUAUUAGAUUAUGAAUCUAAUCCAUCAUUGGAUGUCUCUUCAUUAUGAAUGAAGAGAUAAUCAGAGUGGGAGAUUGUUGGAAAUGUGCCCUAAAACCAAUCAUAUGAUGAUACUUUACGGACAUUUCACAUGUUAAACUAAUAUAGUUUAAUAUAAAGGGCAAAGAUUAUUGUUUGAAGCCGUCUUAUAUAAAUGUUAUACGCUUAAACGAUAAGUCCAAGGAAUAUGUAAUUGGGAGAAUGCGAUCUAAAGAAGUUAGAUUCAUGAGACCAUUCUCUUUCGUACACAUAUCCUAAAUGUUCCUGAUCAUAGGAUUGCCAAUUGGGUAUUGACAAUCCGUUAAGAUCAGUAUGUGCUAUGUCUUCUCUUAGGGAGAGUGACUGGUCUCAAGUCAUUGGUGUGACUGACACCAAGAAAAGUAUGUAGGUGCUCAAUAGAGAAUGAGUUCACUGAACGCGAUCAACAAGAAGUUCUCAUACUCAUGUCACAUGAGAACUCAUGGUUGGGAUAAUGCAAAGUAGUCCUUUGACCUGAGGCAUCAUAGUUGUCUUGUGGUUAGGUCCUUGAUCUUUUACUAUGUCAAAGUCACUCCAUCCGAGGGUGUCCACGACAUAGUUGGGGUUAAGCCACUUAGCCAUGGAGGCAAGUGGAUGCGCAACAAAGGAUCUCUAACCUUCAAACCGUUUGAGGGAGAAUACUCUAUGAUAUGAUUAAGAAUCUCUAGCUAGAGUAUGAAUGAGAUUUAGGAAGUCGUUCCAAAUCACAUUUAAGGUAAUCAUAUAAGUAAGAGAAUCACAUUGGAUAGAAGACAUGAAUAAACUAUCAAACCAAACAAUGUGGUCAAGAGUAUUGUAUUAGAGAAAAACCGUAUUGCAUUGUAAUCCUAAACUGAAUAGGUUCUCCACCUCUUCUGAUUAGCUUGGGUAACCAUGACAUACUGCUAGGUGUCACUCAUGGUUUGUGGAAGCCCUAAACAUGUAUAAUCACUAAAGGGAGAAUUGAAAGUAAAUUUCAAUUCACAAUCGAUCGUUAAGAGUAACAAUCGCCCACUGCCUCGCUAAAAGGAACCUAAUGGAUCAUACACCGUGUAAGGUAGAGAUUGAAGAAACAACGGAGAUGAGUAAGGAUAAUUAAAUGGUUUAAUUAUUUAUGGCUAGGAUUAAUUAAUAUGUUAAUUAAUCAAAUGAAUAAGUUCGUUAUAGACCUAGGGUUAGUUUUGGGCCGCAAGGCCCAAUGGGAUUUGAAAGUGAAGCCCAUUAACUCACCUUAAGGCCCGCCAAAUAGAGGAGGGUAGUGAACUUGCUUUAAUUGCAAGUUUGCCACUACAUUGUGAGGUGGUAUAAAGGCAACUUUAUAGCCAUUUCAUCCUUAGGGUUUUCUUUUGGGGCAAGGAUAAGAACACAAUGCUCUCCUUUUCUCUCUAAGAGGCCAACCCCUUAGAGGAGAUUAGCUAGCAAUCUCUCAUCCUCCAAGGCCACUUAUCUCUUCUUCAAGUCCCUCAUUGAUGUGGAAAAAUUAGAGGCUCUCAAUUUUGGGAACUUGGAGAAUCCUUUCUACCAUCCUCAUCUUAGAAAUCGAUGGAACUAAAAAGUAAGGAAUGAAGGCCCUCUACUUGGGUGAUUAGCCUUUGUUUAUGCAAAGAGGAAUCAACAAAGGUAUAAAAUAUCUCAACUCACUAUGUUCUUGAGUUGAGUCUUGAUUCACCUUUCUACUAGGCUUUGAAUUUCAUGGGUAAUGUUUUGUUUUGAGUGCAUUCAAGCAUGAUUCCGCCUUUAAUUGUUAAUUGCAUGCCAUAGAUGUUGCUAAAAUGAACCUUGUUUUUCACAAAAUUUCCUUCAGCAGAGCUUCCACGCAAGUUUAACAUGCCACAUUUCACAUAUUUCAAAGGAGAUGGAGAUCCGGAAAGGCACUUGAAUUACUACCGAAACACAAUGGUCCUUUACUGGAACAACGAUGCUUUUAUAUGCAAGAUAUUCGCCACCACUUUGCAAGGGGAGGCGCAAGAUUGGUUCCACACCCUACCGCCAUAAUCCAUCAGGAGUUUUGAUGAUCUUUCCUUGGUUUUCACCAAGGAAUACUAAUCCUACCGCUCGAUCAAGAAAAAGUCCAACCAUUUGUUCAAUGUGAAGAAGAAUCUAAAGGAGUCGCUAUGUGACUACGUAAGGAGGUUCAAAGCAGAGAAGGAAAAGAUAGCCGGAUAUGAUGACUCGAUAGCAAGUCCAGCCUUCUAAAAAGGAUUCCCAGCAGACCACCCACUAUUCGGAGAAUUGAUCAUGGAAAAAGAUCUAACUCUGGUAGACUCUUUCGUUCUGGCAAAGAAGCAUGCACAUUGGGACAAGGCUCAACUAGCAGACAAGGCAACUGAGCAACCUCGGAAAGAGUCGGCAGUGGCUCAAAAGAAAGAGGACGGGAAACAAUCCAGCAAAAGCAGGCAUAAGGCCAAGCGUAGGGACUGACCUAUGACCAAGGAAGGCCCGACAACCAAGAACUACUCGAAGUUCUCAAUCCUGAUCCACCAAAUCCUUCGCGACAUCAGGAACGAGCCAUGGUUCAAACUGCCGAAACAAUCAAAUGGAGAUACUUCCAAGUUGGAUCACACCAAGUAUUGCGCACUCCACCAAUGACCCAGUCACAUAAUCGACGAUUGCUACACUUGGAAGAACUACUUAGAGAACCUCGUGAAAGAAGGCAAGGUUGACAGAUACUUGGACAAGCCAACUGCGCAGCCUAGAAGGAACGCAGACGACUGCGAAGAGCUACCAACCAAGACGAUUCAGAUCAAUGGCAUAUUCUCCGAAUUCGAGCACUUGGGGGCCACCAACAACUCUAAAAAGAGGAAGAUCCAGCAUACUCUACUAGUCUCAUAGGUCCAAACAGUUGAUACCCAACCUGGACCCAUCGUUGGCUUCAUUGAGCAGGAUGUAAAAGCAUCGACUUCCCACACGACGAUGCACUAAUAGUAUCUGUCCAACUAGCCCAUGCUAUAGUCGACAUAAUGAUAGUUGACAACGGAAGUGCGGUCAACCUACUUCAGUUCUCAGUCAUUCAAAAGAUGGGCCUUGAAAACACAAUCAUACGUUGAGUGGAGGUACUCUCGAAUUCAACGGGCACAUCUUGACUGCCAUCAGCUGCAUAAUACUUCACCUGAAAACACCACCAGUUGUCUCAAAGCAGACGUUCACGAUCGUAAGCUACCCAUCUCCUUAUAAUGGGAUUCUUGAGAGACCUUGGUUGAUCAUGUUGGAUGCCGUCACUUCCGUUAAGUAUACAAAAAUCUGAUUCCAUAUCUCGGGAGGAGGAGUCGAAGGAAUCAAGUCUAACCAGGCUGCAUCUUGACGAUGCACUUUGCAAGUACUAAAGGAAUCAAAGAAGAAAACCUUUACCCCCGUAGAGGCUACCAAUGUCCGAAAGGACGAAAAAGGUACCCAAUAGCAAUUACAGCAUGCGAAUCAAGAAAAUGGUGCCUAAGCAGAUGAGAUAGGAUGGAAACCUAAAGAGGACGCCGAUGACAUCAUUUUUUAUCCCCAACAGCCGAAAAAGACAGUUAGAAUCGGCUCACGUCUAAGCCCAAUCAAGAAGGAAUGCUUUCCUUAGAGAAAAUCGUGACAUCUUUGUAUGGUGACCUUUUGACAUGCCCGACAUCGAUCCCAAGAUAUCUUGCCACAAGCCGCAUGUCGACCCCGUUGCCAAACUGGUGAUCCAAAAAAAAGGCAUUUUGCACCUAAACGAGUAACGAUCAUUAAAGCAGAAAUUGACAAGCUACUGGAGGCCAGAUUCAUAGAAGAGGUAGCGCACUCAGCAUGGCUUGCCAACAUCGUGUUAGUGAAGAAGAAAGAGAAGGGCAAAUGAAGGGUUUGCAUAGACUAUAUUGACCUUAACAAAGCAUGCCCAAAAGAUCCUUCAUCUUGAGCUCCAAAAAUGCAAUUUAAGCCCAACACGUCAUUUUCGAGCAUUGCGCAUCACUCCUUUAUUUUAUUUCCAGAAAAUAACCGCUUGAUGGAAAAAUCUCAUAUUUUGAUACAAUCAAGCUAAGUGACUCACGAACGUCCUCCAACUGGAAUUACUCCAAAAUUCCCAGCAACAGCACCAUUUUCUUGAUAGGGAAUUUUACUACUCAUGUGAACGGGCUAAAACUCCUAUUAUACUUGCAAGAAUCACAAGGUUGUUGUAGUAUAAACGAAUCUCGCAAGGUCGUUCUCCACAGGGAUUAUUAAAUAAUUCGAAACUAACCAAAUUCCAAUUAAUUAUUGUAAAAUAGAAAUUGAGGUGAUUGAUUUUAUAACCUACUUAAAUUGAAAACGAAAUUAAUUAAUUAAAAUAAACAAUCUGCAAUAUUAGAACAGGGGGAAAAAGAAAACAAUUUUGGAAGAAUCAAAUUAAGAAAGCACUAGGGUUCCACCAUCACCUAGCAAUCCUAUGAACUUUUACCAAUUACUCAUGAUCUACACAUGCCACUUUGAAGGUUAGAUUUUCCUAAUUCGUAUUCUACUUGGAACCUCCAACGUAGAACGUAUAUCUAACAUGCAACCCGUCCGGAUGUUCGGAUCAAAUAUGAACAUGAAAGACUCAUUAUGCUUUAUGAAAACCCUUUGAAAAACCAUGCAACCCUUAAGACGUGGUGUUCAUCCUAAGUGAAAUUACAAUUAUUAAUCAUAAGAAGCCAACGUCAAUUUCAGGGAACCUUCUGACCAAAAUUGCAUCAAAUUACUUUUCUAAAGAUCCUAAUGGUGAUCAAGCAUUAAGACAAUUAGAUAGUUUUUAUCCCAGUGAUUAACAAUUCAAAGUAUGCAUGCAAUCAAUCAUAAGCAACUAAAUAAAAAUCACAUAUUCAUGCUAAGGCUCAAGGCUUCGCCCUAGCAAAAGAAAUUCGUUACGCAUAUUCAUAAUUGAAAUCAUAGAAAAUAUUAUUAAGAAAAGGAUUGAAAACACCUUCAAGUAGAAAAUCUCCAAAACCCUAGCAAUUCUCUUUGUCUCCAAAAUUGCAUAAAAUAAAGCGUAGAGAAAAACUGUAGACGGCCAAGCAAUAUAUCUGCUAAGCCCCCAUACAAACCCUAAAAACAGGUCCUUUAUUCCCCCUAGGAAACUAAAAUUAAUAAUCCAAUAAAAUACGAAACAUAACCCUAAAUUAAAUGGUAAAAUUCGCCUAAAAUCUGAACAACCACAUUUUGGACCCAUAAGCUGCUCCAAAACUGGCUCAAUAUAGCAGGAUUUAAUGUUUGGAAUAUUCUGAACACUUCUCUAGAAGGCCACGAACCCAUCCGAGGUCAUCUUGGGCUCCAAAAAUGCAAUUUAAGCCCAAAAACGUCAUUUUCCAACACUGCGCAUCACUCCUUUAUUUUAUUGCCAGAAAAUAACCGCUUGAUGGAAAAAUCUCAUAUUUUGAUACGAUCAAGCUAAUUGACUCACAAACGUCCUCCAACUAGAAUUACUCCAAAAUUCGUCCAUUUGGUCCUAUUUUGCUCCAGAGGAAGUUGAAAGUCCUAUAUUGAAAAUACAAUUCAAAGCAUCAAAAUUCUUCCAAAAUAUUAACCAAAAUAUACUAAGAAUUGGGUAAAAUAUAUAAUAUAAAAUCUACUCAUCAAUCCUUAUCCACUUCCCCAAAUCGAUCUAUUACUUGAUUCAACUUCUAGGAACCAGCAUAUCAACUUCUUGGAUGCAUACUCCGACUAUAACCAAAUAGCGAUGUAUGAGCCAGACAAUGACAAAACCUCGUUCAUGAUUGAGUGAGGCACCUACUGCUGUUACAAGGUCAUGCCCUUUGGCCUCAAGAACGAGGGAGCCACUUACCAAAGGUUAGUAAACAUGAUGUUGGAUAAGAAAAUUGGGGAAGCCAUGGAGGUCUAUGUUGAUGACAUCAUGGUGAAAGGCAAGCAGUGGUCAGACCACAUCGGUAACCUGGCGAAAACUUUCAGCAUCUUUAGAAAGUACAAGAUGAAACUCAAUCCUGCCAAAUGCACGUUUGGAGUAUCUUCAGGCAAAUUCUUAGGGUACCUAGUAGCCUAAUGAGGAAUCGAAGCACAUCCCACUCAAAUUCGAGCGAUCCUAAACCAUAUUUUCAAGCUCAUACAGUCAUCGUCAUGGCUCAAUAUCCUCUACGGUCAAUCCUACAUGGUUCAAACGCUUCUCAAUGCGUGAUUAUGUGGGCAUUGGAACUUGGCCAAUAUGGUUUAGUUUUUCGACCCUGUACGGCGAUAAAGGCCCAAGCCUUGGUGAACUUCAUAGCAGAAUUCACGCCAAGCCUAAGCGACACAACAGAGCGGCCCCACGAUGCCCCAUAAGUAGCUGAGCACACUUUAGCCUUGCCUGCUCCCCUCAACAGAGACUUAUGGCAUUUGCUUGUUGACGACACAUCUAACUAUAAAGGCUCAGGAGCAAACGUGGUUCUUAUCACCCCAGACAGUUCAAUGCUCGAACAGGUAAUCACUUUGGGCUUCAAAACAUCCAACAACGAAACAGAGUAUGGGGCCUUACUAGCAGGCUUUCGAAUGGCAAAAAACUUGGCGGUGAAAAAGCUUGCAAUUCAUUCUGAUUCCCAGCUAAUCACCAGCCAGACUACUAGGGAGUACACGACAAAACAUCUAAGGAUGGUGCAAUACCUAGAGAAGGUACGUAAGCAACUUGAAGCAUUUCAGACUUACACUCUCACUUAAGUUCCGUGGGCAGACAACGCCCACGCGGAUGCGCUAGUUAGCUUAGGCUCUUCCCUCGACCGCCAACUCAAACGCUCUAUUUCGAUGGAGUAUUUAGACAAGCCAAGCAUAGAGGUGGAGCCGGCAGCCGAAGUGGCACAAGUUAGUGUAACUUCCAACUGACAGAGUUCUAUUAUAGACUACAUUGCCAAUGACACACUUCCCACAUAAAGAUUGGAGUCUAGAAAGCUCCAAAUAAAGGCAGCACGCUACUACAUGUGGAACAGCAUUCUCGUCCGAAGAUCCUACACAAGACCAUAUCUCUGUUGCCUAGCACUUCCCAAUGACCUAAAAGUUCUAAGCUCAAUCCACGAAGGUGUUUGUGGAAAUCAUUCUGGAGGUCGAUCCUUAGCACAGAAGGCUCUUAACGCAUGCUACUGCUGGCCUACCAUGCACCAAGAUGCUAAGGAGUUAGUACAAAAGUACGACAACUGCCAACGUUACAAGCCGGUACCAGCACUGCUUGCCAGCGAACUACACUCGUAGACUAGUCCUUGGCCAUUCAUGCAGUAGGCAAUCGCUCUGGUAGGGCCAAUGUUGCCCCUUACUGGGGGCAGAGGCAUGAUGAUCACGGCAACCGAUUACUUCACCAAAUGGGUAAAAGCAAAGCCUAUGACAACCACAUCUCAGACGAACAUUGUUGGAAAUAUGCCCUAAAACCAAUCAUAUGAUGAUACUUUACGGACAUUUCACAUGUUAAACUAAUCUAGUUUAACUAUAAAGGGCAAAGAUUAUUGUUUGAGCCGUCUUAUAUAAAUGUUAUAUGCUUAAACGAUAAAGUCCAAGGAAUAUGUGAUUGGGAGAAUACAAUCUAAAGAAGUUAGAUUCAUGAGACCAUUCUUUCGUAGACACAUCCUAAAUGUUCCUGAUCAUAGGAUUGCCAAUUGGGCAUUGACAGUCCGUUAAGAUCAGUACGUAUUGUGUCUUCUCUCAGGGAGAGUGACUAGUCUCGAGUCAUUGGUGUGUGUGACAUCAAGUCAAGUACGUAGGUGCUCAAUAGAGAAUGAGUUCACUGAACACGAUCAACGAAGAGUUCUCAUAUUCAUGUCAUAUGAGAACUCAUGGUUGGGAUAAUGCAAAGUAGUCAUUCGACCUGAGGCAUCACAGUUGUCUUGUGGUUAAGUCCUUGAUCUUUGAUUAUGUCAAAUUCACCCCAUCGGGGUGUCCACGACAUCAUUGGGGUUAAGCCACUUAGUCAUGGAGACAAGUGAAUGCGCAACAAGGGAUCUCUAACCUUCAAACCGUUUGAGGGAGAAUACUCUAUGAUAUGAUUUAGAACCUCUGGCCAGAGUAUGAAUGAGAUUUAGGAAAGCGUUCCAAAUCACAUUCAAGGUAAUCAUAUAAGCACACGAAUCACAUUGGAUAGUAGACAUGAAUAAAUAAACUAUCAAACCAAACAAUAUGGUCAAGAGUAUUGUAUUAGAGAAAGACCGUAUUGCAUUUGUAAUCCUAAACUGAAUAGGUUCUCCACCUCUUCUGAUUAGCUUGGGUAACCAUGAUAUGCUGCUAGGUGUCACUCAUGGUUUGUGGAAGCCCUAAACGUGUGUAAUCACUAAAGGGAGAAUUGAAAGUAAGUUUCAAUUCACAAUCGAUGUAAAAUGGUUUUAAUCGCCCACUGCCUCGCUAAAAGAAACCUAAUGGAUCGUACACCGUGUAAGGUGGAGAUUGAAGAAACAAUGGAGAUGAGUAAGAAUAAUUAAAUGGUUUAAUUAUUUAUGGCAAGGAUUAAUUAAUAUGUUAAUUAAUCAAAUGAAUAAGUUCGUUAAAGACCUCGGGAUAGUUUUAGGCCUCAAGGCCCAAUGGGCUUCGAACGUCAAGUCCAUUGACUUAAGUUGUAUGACAACUUAAUUCACAAAGGCCCAAAAGCCCAAACAAAACCCCAUGGCCGGCCAUUUAGAGGAAGGGUAGUGAGCUUGCUUUAAUUAGAAGUUUGCCACUCAAAUGAAUAAAGGUAUAAAUAUGACUUUAUAGCCAAAAUUCAUUAGGGUUUGUUUUGGAGAAAAUUGGAGAGAAUAUGUCUCUCCAUUUCUCUCUAAAGAGGCAGGCCCCUUGGAGGGUGUAUCUAGCCAUACUACUACUCCAAGGUCACUCAUUUUCUUCUCCAAUCUCUCCUUGGUGUGGAGACUUAGAGGUUCUCAAUUUUGGGAACUUGAAGAAACCUUUUCAUCUAUCCAAAUCCAUAGUUUUUAGAUGCAAGGAAUGAAGGCCCUCUCUUUGGGUGAUUAGCCUUUGCUUAUGCAAAGAGGAAUCUACAAAGGUACAAUUUCAACUCUCUUUGUUUUGAGUUGAGUUUUGGUUCACCAAUCUACUAGGCUUUGAAUUUCUUGGUUAAUGUUUUGUUUUUAAGUGCAUGCAAGCAUGAUUCCACCUUUAAUUGUUAAUUGCAUGCUUAUAGAUGUUGCUUAAAUGAACAUGUUUUCACAAAAUCAUCAUUCAAACAUAAAAUGCUUCAUAUGGAGGAACAUCAUUUGCUGAUUUGGCAUCCCUCAGUCUAUCGUCACAGACAACGGCCCGCAAUUCGUGGGUAAAGUUUUGGCGAAGUUCUUUCAAAAGUAUGGCAUCAAGCAGCACAUGUGCACACCAAGAUAUCCUCAAGGCAAUGGGCAGGUCGAAGCAUCCAACAAGACGAUCCUCGAUUGCCUCAAGAAAUCCUUCUCCGUUAAGAAGAGAAAAUGGCCAGACGAACUCCCCGGAUGUUUAUGGGCACAUCGCACCACCAAAAGAUGAGUAACCAGUGAGACUCAUUUUUCUUUCGUAUUUGGUUCAGAAGCAAUCAUUCCUCCCAAUGUCAUCGUGCAAAGUAUCAACACUCUACUGCCAAACAUUGAGCAGAACAGGAAGGAGAUGGCCACAAGCUUAAAUCUAGCAGAGGAGAAGCGCGAGCAGACUAUCACCCGCAUUGCAGCCUACCAGUAACAACUCCUUUCCAGCUAUAAUAAAGGGGCCAAGAUCCGCCCGUUCCAACCCCUAAGAUCUAGUCCUAAGGAAAGCCUUCAUCAUUGUUCGCAUAAAAGGCUCCAAAAAGAUGGAUCUGAUAUAGGAAGGUUCGUACAAGAUUAACAAAGUAGGCGGCAAGGGUAGUUACACCCUCGCCACCAUGGAUGACAAAUAGAUCGAAAAGAAGUGGAGCGCCUACAAUUUGAGGAAGUACCAUGUUCGACCUCUUGCUACAUCAAAGCCCGAAGACUCAAAUAGCUCAACGGGCACCACCUCGCAAGUCGAUGACUAUCUAGUUGUUAUGCAGUUCCUACCUUACAGCUAAGUUAUCGUUCAUUUUAAUCAUUUUUCGAUGAGGAAUUUAGAAGUAAUCUAUAACUUGGCUCGGCUGCAUGCUUACAACAACAGAUCACUUAUGCACUUCAAAAGAAGACGGUGCCCUUCCUAGAGGCUUAUCGCAGGAAUUGCACUCCCCGAGAGACCAACCAUACUCUCGAGUGUGAGAGGGUAAACCAAUUCUCUGACACCCACAUGGGUUUUCUCUCCAAAGUAGGAAGAUAAACUCUACAUUCCGAAUAUCCAGACGUGGAUGAGCCAGGCUACCCUAAUAUAACUAGAUGCACAAUGGCUUGCGCCGGAAUUCCUAGAAGUAGCCAUAAUGGCAUUUUUCAAGGCUUAGCUAACUGAAGGAUUUUGGGUUUCUUGGCCUAAUCCGUAGGGAACCAGGCCCUAGAGACAGAGGGGGCACAUAACGCAGUACGCCAUAUGGACGGCUGCCUUGGAACCUUAAAGGGAGCCUACGGUUUCUGGAAGACUGCCUACGGCUUGCCUUUCGAGUAGUAAAGCCACGCUAGGCUUAUACAACCACACGCUUUUGUGAAAGGUUAAACAAGCUAAUGUGCAUAUACGAAGCUUUAUCCACUAUCGACAUGUUACGUAGUCGAUAAGCUUCACCUCUGCCAAGCAUGGAAUGACCUACACCAAGUCCUAAAGUGUUGUGAUACUUGCUACGCAACCUACGAAAUUGGAGAAAUCCAAGGUUAACAGCCUAGUGGUUACACGAACUUGUCUGCUUCUGUAAGUAGGGCGUCCGGCUACCAACCCUAUGGCUAACAACUUUGCAAAGUUCUACACCAACACCUACGGCUACAUAGGCUACAUGAGCCUGUUUGCUUAUAGAAAAGUAGCACGCCUACCACUGGUCUAUAAAGUCUAAAGGUUAGGGAAUGAACAAAAAGCGAAGAUGGAAAAAAAAUGAAGGAAACAAGUUUAUUAAAUUUUCUAGCAAAAUUGAUAAACCACUAGCAAAGAUUGAAGGAGUUUAAGUAAAGAAAAAACAACAAGGAAAAUAAAGAAAAUCCUAAAGGCUACCUAGAAGACUACUUUUCAGCAGCUUAGACAUUAUACGACUACUUUGUCACCACACCUUCAGAAGCCGUGACACUCUCAGUAGCAGCACCAUCCAACACUUCACCCCUAGCUGCCCCAGCCUGGGCACCAACCUCUCCGACUACUUCACCAAUAGAAGACUCAAAAGUAAAGGCAAGCAAGUCUUCCGGAGUAAUAGAUAAGGUCUCCAAGUCUUUACCAGAAAACUCAAAGUCAGACGGCUGCCCAAAGAGAUGGUCUACAUAACCCAACUUGUAGAAAUCAGCUUGACUCUGAGUAAGUGAAGCCUCAAACCCAUCAUUCUUACCCUUCAACUGCUCAUUCUCCUCAAGCAAACAAGCACAGACCCGUUGCAGCUCCUCCACUUCUUUCUUCAGACUAUCGUUGAUCUUCAAAGCACCUUAGAGUUCCAACACUUGAGGCUCAAGCCUAUCAACGGCCUUUUUAAAGUGGAUCACUUGGUUGUAAAUAGCGAUCAGUUCUUCAUCCUUUAUGUAAGCAGCGGAGAUGAGCUCAGAGAUGACACGCUCAAGGUCUUGACUCUAAGGUAUGUAACACCCGAUCUCAUUCUCUGUACUUUCAUACUUUACUUGGGUUGUGUCAAGCCUAGUCUUCAAAUCCACGAUCUCUUAGUGAGUGGUCUUAAGUAGCAGAGAAGUGGGGGCAGAUACAUUAGACCCCUUCAAAGCAGCAAGCUCAGAUUCCAGCUUUUUUACUUUCUCGAUUGAUGAGUGAGCUUUGGUUGCCACAGUUCUUGCUACCUCAUUGGCAAUCUUGGUAUCCUAUUGAUCAAGGAACAUAGACUUGGCUGCCAAAAUCAUCGUUUUCUGCAUCAUGGCCAGUAGAGCAAUCUUCCUAUACUCGGUUGAAUGCUUUGUGAAGAAACUUGGGCUAACAACCCCUUUGACGUCAUCGAAAAAUUUGGCACAUACAUCCAUGUCCUCAAGCAGAUUUGGUCUCAAAAGAAAAUAAAUCUCAGCAACUUCCCCGAAAACAUACUUGGUGGAUUUCUCAUAGCUGCCCGUACGAGAAGUUUCCUUCUUCUCAGCAGACAAGUUAGUUUCAAUAGUAGAGGGAAUAGGUUUUUGUGCCAUUUUAGCAGGCAAAGGCACCUUGUCACUCUUCAUAGUAGUAAGCCUCUCCAAAGGUGAACCAGACUUAGCCCCAGAUGGGUGUUUUGGCAUAAAUUUCGGCACUGAAGGCACGAAGGAACUUCUAUGCUAAGCAAUCCUAUCAGCAACCGAACUAGCCACCUUUGGAACGGCAAGCGUCACCGGCACGAAUCUAGCAACCUCAUCCUUAUCACCCUUGGGAAAAGUCAAGUCAAUCACAAGCUUGGGGGCAGCCAGUGAACCCUCACAAGCAGCGGAAUAAGUCUUUAGCUUUUCUCAAUUGGCAUCUCUUGAGCAGGCAGGGAAGGUUUCUUUUUCCCACCUUCGCUUACAGUGGGCUCCACGACGGCGAUCAGAUGAGCUAAUGCCUUUGCCUUGAUCCACUUUAUCUCAUCUCUUGGGGGCAGCCUACCUUUCUCCCUACAACGAGGACUAAGCAACCAACGCCACUCACGGUACUACAAAAGCAGGGGGAGAGAAUCAGAAAAUUAGAGAGCAGCUUAGUACAAAUACAAAGCAGCCUACUUACUAUAUGUGAAAAUCGUUGGAAUACACAGCUCGGGGGAAGAAUCAGACUCCCACUCUCCACUUAUCUCCAAAGUCUCAUUGGCCCAGUCAUGAUCUCCCUUGCUCGAAUAAUCGAAGAGCCUAUGGCGGGAUUGCAAUUGCCCAACUCCCUCGAUGUGGCCUAUGUCAAAGAAGUACCAAAAUUCAUUGACGGUUACAUCUAAGUCAAAGAAUUGGCUUAGAUUGAGGAAUCCCACCAUCACACGAACCGCAUUCGGAGAGCAUUGAGCGGGGGCACACUUCAUAUUGCAAAGUACUUCCUAGAAGAAGCGAGGCAUGGGAAAAGUAAAUCCCAACAUAAAGUAGUAGGGGUGGAACUUGAUGGCCCUUCGAGCCCCACCACAUGGCUCACGGCUGCUACCAUCUUUGACACGCUUCACAACGUACUCCCGACAAAACAACAUGCAUGUACGCCUUAAGGAAGUCUCUCAACAAGUCAUCAGAGAUAAUUUUGAAGUGAGCAGCCUUGAAGUAGCCAACCUUGCUUAAAGACCCGUCUUGACGAUACAAUGUGGAACCCCAUCAUCAUUGUUGUGGCUCGAGGAAGACAUGCUCGAAGAAAUUCUACAAAAAUGCGAAGAAAAUUUGUUAGAUGGCUGCCUAAAAAAACAAAAAAAGGAAGAGCAACUCUCGGCCCCAGGGCCCAAUAGGGCUAUCGGCCUCUCUCCCUUAUCUCAUAGACACGGGCCUGAGCCCAGCCAUAAAAAAAAAAAAAAAAAAAAAAAAGGUGAGGCAGCUCUCAACCUAACUAGGCGAGCCAAGCCUGGCGACCAGCUGCUUACCCUUUCUUCUCUCAUGCAUGGGCCCAAGCCCAUCAUGCAAAAAAAAAAUGAAAGCCCAAGCCGCAGGAUCCCAGCGGCCAUGCCAGGCCCCACAGCCUGGUUUAUCUUCUCCCACCCCCGCAGGCCUCACGUUCCAACUUCACUGGAGAAAGGUUGGUGCUCCACUUCUUCUCGUGGGCCAAGACCCACUCAUCUAGCCCAGCUUCCUGGCCCGCGCCAGCAGUACCAACCCUUGGCCCAAGCCGAGCCGAGCCGCCACCACGCCGCAUCUCACCACCCACAGCAACAAUGUCAUGGCUUAUUCAAGAUUUUUUCACACAUCCUCGACCACCGUUGAGCCAAAUUUCAAGACCCGAGGCUCCCAAAAAAUUAAGAGGACAAGGAAAAAUUAAAUUUUUCUUACCUUGAAGUGACGUGAAGACGAAGCAAGCAACGAAAGACGAUCUUUUGCACGGGUAAGAUGUAGAAGAUUGCUAGAAGAGGGGGAACAAAUAUUCUCUAAGCUUUCUCUCUCUUGUAGGGAAAAUAAAUCGCUUUCCUAAGUUGAUUUAAUAAUCCACUUAAGGUGGACUUAAAUAAGUUUUGGGAGAAAUUUAUUUCCUUUUCUUGCUGCCCUUUCCUGCGAACAGCCCAACAUAUGUGGGGGCAUUUGUGCAACAAAAAAUAAUAAAGAAAAAUAUGGAGGCGACACGUGGAUUUUUGGGUAAAAAAGACAAGAUUACCCUUAAGGCACAUCGGGAUUUCUACGCCCAAGCAGUGGACAAUCAUCCCUCAAUUAAGGUCAAAAGUAAUCAAAAUAGGUAUUUAUUCAAAACCUAUUUCAUCAACCCUCAUCAAAUCUUCCCCACAAGGUAACUACCAAAUUAUUUCUUUCAAAUUAUAUUAAUUAGCUAAUUAACUAAUUUUUUUACUCAAUUAAUUCAUUAAUUAGCUAAUUGAUGGUGAUUAAUACCAAAGGUGGCCGGUUCCCACCUCUCCAAAGGGGGUCGGCCACAACCCUAUAAAUACCACCUCAUUUUCUCCAAAACCCAAUUACAAGCUUCUGGCAAAAUUCUAACUUUGGCAUCAGAGGUUAUUCGGCCAAAGUCGCCCCCCCCCCCCCCCAAAAAAAAAGAUUAAUUGUGGGCGCGUGAGUCAUUUUCGUCCGAGAACAAGAAGGAAGAAAUUUGCAUCCACAGUGAUGGUGGUAUCACUUGUAAUAAAGAAAAAAAUGAAGGAAAGAGGAUGGGGUUUGAAUUUUCGACGGUGAUCAAAUAGAUGAGAAAUUGAGAGUUAGGAGAGAGAGGGGGGGGGGGGGGUGUUUGAUAUGCAUUCAUUUAAACUUCCCAAACCAAAAGUCUCGUUGUGAUGCAUCAUUUUCUCUGUGCCGUGUUCUUGAAACCGAGUACUCAGUUGGGCUAUUUAAUCAGCAAUUUAUAUUGGCAGACAUUUUUGGUUCAAUUUUUGUAACCAAGUCUCAGAAUGCAGAUGAAAGUUGUGGAUACCAUCUUUUUCCAAAAUAGGGAAGCACAAAACAGAAUCCAAAUGAAUCAAAGGACUUUAUUGUAGCACUGUAUUUUGCAACCAAUGCCACAUGCAUUCUACCGACCUCACAGAAGGGAAAAAGUUGAAAAAACAUACGCAUGCAUAAAUCUUUGUCAUCCUAUAUAAUUUUCUUUUUCUUUUUCCCAAAAUGUUCACAAAGUCAGUCUCAAUUGGUGACAUAUAGGUAGACUUAUAUACUAAUAGAACAUUUAUUUACCAUAUUAUUAUUGACAACAUCUCUCACGCGCUUAUAAAACUGGGUUAUACGUAGACUGAUCUCACAUACGAAACUCGGGUAUAUAGGCGGACCAUACUAAAAUUUAAUGGUAUAUAAUAUAUAUAAAUUCAAGUGAGUUUCACCAUUAACAACAUCAAUUUUCGAUGUGAGAUUCAUUUUUAUAGACGGGUUUACAUAAAUCUCACUAAUUACUAUGAAUAUUGGGUUUAGGGUUUUAAUGAAUUUUUUUAUUUUUAUUUUGUUAUACAAGAGAUAGUCUACCCUAAAUAGUGUUCAAGCUAACUUGGCUAAGUUCAUGUCUACAAUUCUUGUAGUGAUGUUAUAAUCUUAUACUAUAAAACUCAAGAGAUUGCUAAAAGCAAGUUUGUACCAAAAUAUGGGAUCCAUUUGUAUAUAUGGGUCCUCGAUUUGAAUAUCAACAAUCGUAAUUAGUAACUGUGGUAUAAAAACGUUUCUCAUAUGGAGGCGGCAGAGAAGGAGCUAUAACUAUAAAUUAACCCAAAGGAGACUAGAGCUAGUUAGGUGCAAAACCAAAAAAAUGGAUUCUCAAGCCGAACCCAAGCUUGAAAUUUUCUUUUUUCCUUACAUACUUGGUGGUCACUUGAUCCCCAUGAUAGACCUAGCCAGACUCUUUGCUUCUCAUGGCGUGAAGGCCACCAUUGUCACAACCCCUCACAAUGUCCUCCUCUUCCAAAACCCCAUCCUCAGAGACCAACAACUAGGCUAUGAUAUAGGCUUCCUCACCUUAAAUUUCCCGGCUGAAGAGUUUGGUCUCCCGAACGGUUGCGAAAACGAACUCACAACCACUAAUGGUGACAUGUUCACCAAACUCUUCAUGGCUGCCAUGAAGCUCCAAGACCCUCUCCGGAAGCUCCUUAGCCAGACCCGACCGGACUGUCUUAUCUCGGACAGGCUUUAUCCUUGGAUUGCAGAUGUCACUAACGGGCUUGGAAUCCCUAGGGUUGUGUUUGAUGGGAGUGGCUGCUUCUCUCACUGUGUGGAGGAAAGUCUCAGACGGUAUGCUCCACAUGAGAAAGUUGUGUUUGAAACUGAGUCUUUUCUCGUGCCCGGCCUACCCAACCAAAUCGAGCUCAAAAGGUCAAUGCUGCCGGAUUAUGUCAAAGCCGAAAAUGUGUUCACUCAUUUUCUCAAUGAGGCUCUAGAGUGUGAGAUUAAAAGCUAUGGGAUUGUGGUGAACAGCUUCUACGAGCUAGAACAAGCUUAUGCUGAUUACUUUCAGAAGGAUAUGAAGAGGAAGAUAUGGCACAUAGGGCCGGUCUCAUUGUACAACCGGACCAACAUCGACAAGGUCGAAAGAGGCAUCAAAACCUCCAUUGAUGAGCAUAGUUGUUUGAGUUGGCUUGAUUCUAGAGACCCCAACUCAGUUCUUUACAUAAGCUUUGGAAGCAUGCCAAGAAUCACUUCAGCUCAGCUUUUGGAAAUUGCUCAUGGGCUUGAAGCUUCCAACCACCCUUUCAUUUGGGUGAUUGGGAGGAUUUUAGACUACUCAUCAAAAGAGAAGCAACAAGUGGAAAGUGUUGUGCUUCCUGUGGGAUUCGAAGAAAGGAUUACGAAAUCGAAAAGAGGGCUUAUGAUAAGAGGCUGGGCUCCUCAGCUUUUGAUUUUAGAACACCCAGCUGUUGGUGCUUAUAUGAACCAUUGUGGGUGGAACUCCAUCAUUGAAGGUGUCACAGCUGGUCUGCCAAUGAUCACAUGGCCUUUCUCCUCGGAGCAGUUCUACAAUGAGAGGUUCAUUCUCAAUGUCAUAAGGGUUGGGAUUUCAAUGGGGAAUGAGGACUGGGUUCCACUGAAGGAGGUGCCUAGGGUGACCAUAAAGAGGGACAAGGUUGCCCAUGUUGUGAACAGACUAAUGGGAUGUGAAGAAGAUGAAGUGGUUGACAUGAGAAAGAGAGCAGAAGAGUUUAGAGACAAAGCCAUGAAAGCUUUUGAAAAAGGUGGCUCUUCUCAUUCCAAUGUUCAUGCUUUCAUUGCCGAGCUCAAGUCUUGCCGGAAAAUUAGUCAAAAUGGUCAUUAAUUUGUAAAGAAGGUUGAGAUUUCAUUCUAAAUUCAGGAAAGUAGCUAUUGGAGUUCGGGUCAAAGUUCAAAACUAGGGUUUGUCAUCUCCGAAACUCCACAUUUUCUAUUUUAUGGUUUAUUUUAUUUUAUAUAUUUUUAUUACUUUCCCUUGUAUUCUAUGUGAAUUGUAAGAGUAGGGCUUUUAGCUUUUUUAUUUUGGCAGCAUUGAUCAAUACCUGUCUAAGUGUAAGCAGCAUAAAUUGGGAAAUUUAACAAAAAGCUUCCGGUAUUUUAACGAAAAACCACAUUUUUACAUUAAAAAGUCAAUCUUAGUACUAUUCAUUUUACCCUUUAUUUUGUUCUUAUCGUUAAAACUCAAAGUUUUCAAACCAUUUUUAUUAGUUUUUCUUUUUAAAUUAUCUUGUUUUCAGAAGAGUCUGAGGGCAUUUUAUCCUUUUGAAAGGAGGUGGCCACUUUGGUACCAAUUGGCAGGCAAAUAAUUGGCGAAUUGGAUGGUACGAAGUUGUUUCGUUGUCAUCAUUCAAUCAUUAAUUUGACUGGAGAGUAAGUUAUGGGAUUUACUUGGAGAUCAAUUGAUUUCACUAACUCUUUUGUUUACUUAUGUUAUUUAUUUAGGAAAGUGUUAUUAGCACUUCAAAAAUCUCAUUCUACACUCCUCACAAGUGUAUUUCUCUUUCUAAAUAUAGAAAGUUUGGAGUGUAGAACGAAAAUUUUGGAGUACUAAUAACAAUUCCCUUUAUUUAUUGUAUUAGUCCGUUGUGAAAUAAGAAAAUGUUGGGAGCCUAUAUGCACUUUCAUUAGGGUAAAUAUUUUAUCAAAUAAUAAUGUGUUUGAGUAGGUCAAUAUCCUAUGUAUUUGUAAAAUAAAAUUUUAAAUUGAUCUCAAGUUGAGGGGUUCACAAUCAUAAAUAGAACGUGAUUUUUACACUUUUAUUUUUCUCUUCUUUUUAUCUCGUAGUUUAAUAGAGAGAGAAAAUUAUUUAGUCUUGGUGAUACUAAGGGUCAUCCACGUUAGGUGAGGAUUGGGGGAAUUAUUUUAGAUCAUUUUGGCAAUUGUUAAUGUUGUUUUGUGGCUUCUAUUGAGUUGCUUCUUGUAUGGAGAGAUCGAGUUGCAUGCACUUAAUUAAUUAUGUUUUGGAUUUAGCUUCGACGACUGUACGUAUUUGCAGAGAUGAGAAUAUACAUAUAAGGCUUACAGGAUCCACUCCCUUGGGCGAUGUGGGAUGUUACAAUCCACCCCUCUUAGGGGCCCAACGUCCUCGUCGGCACACUUCCAACCAAGGAUUGGCUUUGAUACCAAAUUGUCACAUUCCGGCCCGGGCCCCCACCACAUCCUGGGCUAGACUCCACCAUAGCAUGAUAUUGUCCGCUUUGGGCCCCGACCACGACCUCACGGUUUUGUUUCUGGGAAACUCACACGAGAACUUCCCAGUGGUUCACCCAUCAUGGGAUUGCUCUCGCGCGAACUUGCUUAACUUCAGAGUUCCAAUAGAACCCAAAGCCAGUGAGCUCCCAAAAUGUCCCGUGCUAGGUAGAGAUGAGAAUAUACAUAUAAGGCUUAUAAGAUCUACUCCACUGGGCGAUAUGAGAUGUUACAUAUACCACACCUGGUGGAGAGAGUUAUGCACUGGGAGCAACACGUACCAUGUGUUCACAUGAAUGAUGUACGUACCAUACAAAAACUUUCAAAUGAUUGAGUCAGGGCAUGUGAUUGUGGUUAUAGACGAUUACUGAAGAAAGUACCAAACAUCUCGAAUGGAAUGGAUAUAGAAUUGGUAAGAUCUAUCAUGUCAUGGGUCCUUAAUUGUGUUUGAAACUCAGGUAAACCUAAUAUGUUUGAGGUUACAAAAGUUCUGUCAAAUUCAAUCAAUUCACUUAUGUAAUAUAUCUUAAAUUAAAAACCGAUCAUCACAACUGGCUAAUCUAUUGGGGUCUUAGUUCUUUCUAACUGCCUUGUGUAUGUUUAGAGAACAAAAGAUGGUAGCCUAGUAUUGUAGUUCAACGAUCAAGUUUUAUGUAAUUCGACUCGCCUAAUAUAUUAUCGUACUUUCAUUAAAAUAAAAAAUUAACAGAUCAUAUAUAUAUAUAUAUGCAUCUCCUUACCAAGUGUUUGUAUGGUAUGCUUUUAGUAGCAGUUUAUUCCAUUCUCUUUCUUCUCUCUCCUCAUGCAUUAUAUAUAUACAUAUAUAUACAUUGUUCUAAAAAUCUCCGUCUAGCGCCGCCUAGGUGCUAGGAGGUUGGCCACCGCCUCAAUUAACAAUUAAUGCUUAGGCAUUUGAAAAUUAAGAAAAGGUGCCUAGACCUGCAUAGGCGCCCGCGUAGAUCGCCUAGGCACCCGCCUAGCUCAUCCAGACCUAACUAAACACCCGCCUAGGUUGCAACUCACUUUGACAAAAAAUAGAUUAACUUUUAUUUUGCAUUAUUUUUUGAAUAAAUUAUAAGAGACUUGUUGAAUACUUAAAUAAACACACAUUAUAAGCUUGUUCCCUAUGUUUUCAUUAUGUUCCAAUACUUCAUAAUAUAUAUGUCAUUCUAUUUCGUAGUUUAUGAUAUAAUUAUAUAUAUAUAUUAAGUAUAAAUAGACACUUAUUUACACGAAAUAUAAUAAAUUUCCUUAAAUCCGUCUAGUCCCCCUAGGUGCUAGGCUCCAGCUCCGGCCUAACUAGCACCUAAUGUAUUUCAAAACCUUGCAUAUAUAUAUAUAUAUAUAUAUAUAUAUAUAUAUAUAUAUAUAUAUAUAUAUCGAAAUUCAAACUCAUCUAACGGGGAUAAAUAGAAUGGUGAGCAUACACCACACUAAAUAGUGCCCCAAAAGCAUACCAUACAAACACUUGGUAAGGAGAUGCAAAUCAACCAAGGCUCUCUUCAAAGAGCAGGUUAGCAAUUAUACUAGGAGGUUACUCGAACCAGUUACAAAUAUUACCAAUCUACAAAGCAAAACAAACUAAACGGUGGCCGGCUUCAUUGGCUUGGUGUUGCAUAUGGGAUGAAGAAACUCUAGUGAUAGUUCCCUCUAUUUGAUUUUGAUUUGUUAUGAAGCAAUGAUAAAAUCGUAAAAGCAAACAAGUUUAUGUGAUUAUUGAUAUCUUUCCUAAAAAAAUGAAUAUAAAAGAAAUUUGAACAUGCACCUAAUUUGUUUGGGUCAGGUGCAUUUCACACCUUUUUUUUUUUAGAAAGAGUAGGACAUCCAUUAAAAGAUUGAAUGAAUAGGUACAUAAGAGGAUAGAGUACAUUAUCUGGGCCUUGAUAAAUCUUCUCGGAGAUUUUAAUCUUGUCAAAGAGAAAAGAGUGUCUUGUACCAAGAAUUAUAGAUUAGAAUUAUCCUCAAUUAAAAGAUCCGCAAUCACAUGGAGGUUCUUCAAACCGUGUAAAACUUGAUCCAAAGACAAUCCAGAUGGUGCAAGUGGAGGAGCAAUCUUGUUUGCCUCCCGUCACCUUAAAAUUUUAAUUUGGGAUGAUUUUGAAAUGGGUCAUGGAAUUUCAAUUUUCUCUUGUUGCACCACAAAGCAAUGAAAUCGCACCAAUUUAUGCCUUCGGUGUGAUUGACUGUUUUAUGAUUCAUUAAAUUGAUGACAUAUUAUAGGACCUUUAUAUAAGCGUGUUCAUGAUCACAAUGCUUUCUUGGCAUAGUUGUCAACCGAUGGUACUGUCGUUUACUUGUUCACGGGUUCGACUCCACACUUGCUCAUGUUUAUUAAUUUUGAUUUCUUUCCUAUUGGGCAUUGUCCGGGUAACCAUUUUGGGCUUUUUUAAGCUAGACUAUUUGUUUCUUUUUUGGAAUAUUUGUAGUUUAAUUUCUUUCAUUGUUUGUUCAAAAAAAUAAAAAACAAACAUUUCUUUCAUUAUAUAACAUAACUUUUGCGAAUAAAUCUGCAAUUAGUAAUAUCAUAAUAAAUUAAAAUUCUUAAAAGCUUAAAAAUAUAAUAUUUAAAAGCCCCUUCCUUAUAUGACACCAUUAAAUAGAAUACAUGUAAUAAUAAGAAUUGUUUAUUCUUUUGAUCACCGUUUAAAAGUUAUCAAAUUAUAAGUUUCAUCCAUUUGAAGACUUUAAUCAUCUAUAUAUCAAAAGAAUAUUAUAAUACAACUUUGCUCAUACCUACCGUUAGAGACACAAAUCUUGGGGGGGGGAGGGGGUGGGGGUGGUGAGAAUAAUCCUUGCUUUAGAGUGUGAGCAAAAAUGCAAUAAAGAUGCUAAUAAAGAUGCUAUCAAUAGCAUAACCAGUAAUUCGUUUAACACAAAUUUUUCAUGAGAUGAACUCUAGAUGCUAAUAAAGAUCAUUAAUGGUUAUGAUUAUGGUAUUUGUACGGUGAUACGAUAACUACGUAGUCAUCACUCCAUGCUUUUUGUAUUUAAAAAUUAAGGAGUUUCAAACAAAAAAACAUAGGAUUUCAGAUAGGUGCAUACCACCACAUUAUGCUUCAUGUUGUUUUUUUCUUUAUAUCAAUUUACGCCAUAAUUAAAAAAAAAACUAUAAAAGAAAAUGCAACAAUAAAAAAUUUAAAUCAUGUAAGGGUCCCGUUUGAGUCCCGCACAGGACUUCUAAAAUCUCAAGACCGGCCUUGCUCAUCAUUGAUCUCUCCUUGGGGCCAAUGAGGUUAAAGAGUUAGAAGUCUUAUCCUCUACCUUCUUUCAGGAAAUCCAAUCUAUCAAGAAGUGCAUCUUUUCAAACCUCACGGUUCAACAUUAAAAAAUUAGAACCUGAUAGCCUAUUUGUAUAAACAUGCACGUAUACGUUAUUGGUUUUUAUAGUUGGUGCGAUUAGGGCCGUUCUUGAGUAAGGGCGGGGAGGUCAACCACCCGGAGUCCCUCAGUUAUUGGGACCCCAAAUUUAUUUUUAUUAGUAUACAUAGAUGAAAAAACAUGUAAAAUAUUUAAUAUUAGAGUUAUUGUGGGCCUAAAAAUUAAGGUGAAGCAAUGAGCCACUUCUCAUAAAUCCUAAAUUUGGAGGAGUCGAGCUAAAUAAAGGAGUACUAUAAAACACUUCCAUAAAAUGGAACAUGGAGAAAUAGAAGAAAAGUGGGAUUUUGAGCCCAAGACUUGAAUGCGUGUAAAAGGCCAAUAACCUCACUAGCAUAGGGGGAGGGGCAGUAUGAGAUCGUUUUAUAAUAUAUUGAGUAAAUUGUAGCAAUGAUCCAUCAACUUUAAUCAAAUUAGAGUAAUGGUUCAUCAACUAAAAAUUCAUUAUCAUUGGUUCCUCAACUCAUCAAAAUGUGUAGUUAUGGUUAUUUUCAUCAAAAUGUGUAGCUAUGUUCAUUUUCGUCAACUUCGUCCGAAUUUUGUCAAAAUGAGUUAUGUUGAAAAGACCAUUGCUACAAUUGGGUUAAAGUUUGAGGGACCAUUGCUCCAAUUGGGUUAAAGUUGAGAGAUCAUUUCUCCAGUUGGAUUAAAGUUGAGGGAUCAAUGGUAAUAAAUUUUUAGUUAAGGGACCAUAAUUGCACGUUUUGAUAAGUUGAGAGACCAAUGGUAUUAGAUUUUUAGUUGAGGGGAUCAUUGCUCUAAUUGAGUUAAAGUUAAGGGAUCAUUGCUACAAUUUACUCUAAUAUACUGCAAUCAUCUUUAACAAAAACUGACUUGAGUAUCAGAGUGUUUUCUUGUAGGUACCCAUCUCUUCAAAUUUCUCUUAAAUCCUAACCUAGUUGUAGAUAAUAUAAGAAAUUAAGAAAGAGGUAGUUUGAUUGAAGUGGUUGAAAAAUUACGACAAAGGUUAAAUAGAUUAUCAAUUUUGUGCAUCGAGAAGGAUAUGUUGUAAAGGCUUAACUUUGUAAAUGUGAUUGGUGCUUUUGACUCUAAAAAUGCUAGAAGAAGAAAUUUUCAAUGAAUGUAUAUAUAUAUAUUUUUUUUUUUUUAACAAAUGAUAUUAUUUAGACUAAGGGGAUGAGGGAGUGAGUUAAGCCUUACAAUGGCCAAUCAUAAUAAUUUAGUUCAAAUUCGUCUUUAACAAUGAUUGUAUUCUUAUAAAAUUUAUUUCAGACAAUCUUUUAUGUAUUAAGCCCAUAGAAGGGAUAGAGAAAAAUUCCGUCGUUAAUUUUUAUUUUUCUUGUGAAAAUAAUGUGUCAAAAAGACCCCAAUUUUGUUUUUCACCAUAGGCCACAAAAACUCAUGAGCGACCGUGGGUGUGGUUGGCCCAAUUAAACACUUUAGUAAGCAUUUGUUUUUUUGUCUUGGGCCAAAUUUUAAGGGAGCUCACCGGUUAAAUGACAUUACGGCCUGCUAACAAUCCUUCGCCGCGUGGGCUUUGUCAAGAAGAUGAUUGGAAUAUGAUAUGUGAUAGGUAUUUUUACCACCUGCAAAAGUAGGGAUAAAAACACUUAAAAAAUACUUGUAAAAGUACAAGGUUGUCGAAGUAUAGCAGCUCAAGCAAUGUCGUUUUCCGCAGGGAUUGAAUGAAUAAUAUGUAUUUAACCUAAUUCUUAAUUAACUAUUUGAAAAUAAAGUUUAGAAGAGGUGAUUUUAUGACUUAAAAUAUUAAAAACGAAUUUGAUUAAAAACAAUUAAAUAAAUUGACAAAGUAAAGAAAACAAAAGAAAAUAGUUUUGAAAAUAAAGUUAUAGAAGCCUAGGGUUCCGCCGUCCCCUUAAACAAUCCUAUGUAGAUUUACCAAUUACUUAUGAAUUACACAUGCAACUUUGAAGGUUAGGUUUUCCUAAUGCAUAUUGUACUCAUGGUAUUCAAGCUAGAACGUAUAUCAAACAUGCAAUCCGUUUGUGGUAUUCAGAUCAAAUAUAAACAUGCGUGACUUAUUACCCUUUGUGAAAACCUUUUGAAAAACCAUGCAACCCCUAAGACGUGGUAUUCAUCCUAGGUGAAAUUACAAUUAUUAAUCACAAGAAGUAAUACUCAAUUCCCCAGUGGUUUUCCGAUCGAAUUGCAUCCAAUUACUUAUCUAAACAUCCUAAUGGUGGCUAAGCAUUAAGAUAUAAAGAUAGUUUAAAGCAUAGUGAUUAAUAAUUCAAAGCAUGCAUGCAUAAUAUCAUAAGCAAUUAAAUAAAAACUACAUAUUCAUGCUUAGGCUCCAGGCAUCGCCCUAGCAAACGAAAAUUAGUUACGAACAAUCAUAAAACAAAAGGAAUUUUAUUGAAAUAGAAAAAUGAUAGAAAACACCUAGAAAAUAAACUUGAAUCUUCAAAACCUAGCAAAGUAUUGAUGCGUGCGUUCCCUCCCCUUCCUUUUACCCUAAUGGCUAAAUAUCUUAUUUAUACUAAUACAAAAUAAAACCCUAAAAUGUCUUAGAAUAAAACUAGGAAACAUAAUAAAAUAAUAAAACAGAAAAUAAAAGGUUUCUUAUUUGAACUAGAAUUCGGAGUUCUCAGAAAAUCACACUUUUGACCUACCAAAUCAACUCCGAUUUGGUCUCAAAAUAUCUCUUUUGAAAGCUUGAGACCCCUACAAAUCCUCAGAAGGAACCUUCCUCAAAAUAUGCCAUCUUAACCUUCAAAAUGCCCAAAACGUCCAGAAACGUCAAUCUGGAAAAGCUUCGCGCUGGGCCUUUAUUUCUUCACCACGGUCAAACGGCUUGGUAGAAAAAUCUGGAAUUUUGACACAAUCAUCUUGAAAGACUCACGAACAUCCUCUAAUUGGAAUCACUCCAAAAUUCAUCCGGUUGGUUACUUUUUGCUCCAUAGGAAGUCGAAUGUCCUACAUUGAAAAUAUAAAACAAAGUAUCAAAGUUCUACCAAAAUAAUCAAUAAAUUAAUGCUAAGAAUAUGGUAAAACAUAUAGUAUAAAAUCAACUUAUCAAUAUAUUUGAUAAUUUUGUUAUUUUGUUAUAUUUAUUAUCUUUUUGUUUGUUUGGGUAAACAUAUUUUUCAUAAAUUUGAUUGAGGUGCAAAACACCGAAUUUAAACAGAUAAAUACACUAGAAAUUGAAAGAAAUAUAAAUAAAUAAAAUCAAGGGGGAAAGAGAUCAUAGCAUGAUGAAGGUUGAUGAAGAUUGUUGGAUAUGAUUGAUGCUUGAUCAGAGACUUAGAGAUGACAGGAUGCAAUUAACACAUAUUAGAACGAUCUGAAUACUUUAACAUAAAUAACUAGAUAAAAUGACAACGACAUGAUUUGGUUGUUCCUACUCCUACUUGUGAGAUUUUGAUUUUAAAAAUAGCUCAAUUGUCCCAAAUCACAUUUCUGGUUUUUCUAGUUUGACCAAUAUUUUCAAUUUGACAACUUGAAAUUACAUGGAUCCGGUAGGGCAAGUUUAGCCUUCAAGUGUAUGGAUGACCUAGAGUUUAGUUAAGAAACACACGAGGGCUUUAACUGGUGCCAAGAACUUCCCUUUGGCAUCCCAUCAAACAGUUAUAGUCAAACUCUCUGCCUCCUAUUUUCUCUCUAGCCUUAAACCCCCACAUCUCUAAACCCAUUUCUCAAUUUCUCUAUCGGUGCAUCCAUGGCUUCUUCAGAAACUCCAGUCGUCAUGUACUUCUUCCCAUUUGUAGGCGGAGGCCACCAGAUUCCUAUGAUCGACAUGGCCAGAGUCUUCUCCUCCCAUGGAGCCAAAGUCACAAUCCUAAGCACCACUCCCGCCGACGCCCUCCGCUUCCGAAACUCCAUCCGCCGCGAUCAAACCCUCAACCGCUCAAUCACCAUCCACGUCCUCAAGCUCCCAGGCGACGACGCCUCGGCCGACUCUUCCAUGACCUCAGCCCCCCUCACUGACACCUCAGUCCUCCAAGAAUCCCUCAGGCAAUUCAUCACCCUAAACCUACCCAAUUGCAUCGUAAUCGACGUCUUCCACCGUUGGGCGGCACAAGUCAUCGACGAGCUUUUCAUCAAACGGGUGGUGUUCAAUGGAAACGGGUUAUUCUCCCGCUGCGUCAGUGAGUGUAUCGGCCGAUUCGCGCCGCAUCAGAAUGUGGGUUCUGAUUGCGAGCCAUUUCUAGUGCCGAACUUGCCCGAUCGGAUCGAAUUGACGAAAUCUCAGCUGCCUUCUUUCGCAAGAAACAGGCCAGGGCUUCCUGAUAAGGUGGGAAAAGUAGAGGAGAAGAGUUUUGGGGUUGUGGUGAACAGUUUUUACGAAUUGGAGUCGAAAUAUGUGGAGUAUUUCACGACUGAGUUGGGGAAGAAGGCAUGGCCGAUCGGCCCGGUUUCGCUAUACAACCGAAGCAACGACGAUAAGACUGACAGAGGCCAAGCAGCCUUGGUCGAUGAGCAGAGCCUCCUGCAUUGUCUGAAUUGGUUGGAUUCCAAGGAACCUGAUUCGGUGGUUUAUAUCAGUUUUGGGAGCUUGGCUCGGUUGUCUGCAGCCCAACUCGUCGAAAUCGCACAUGGGAUUGAAUCUUCGGGGCAUAAUUUCGUUUGGGUAAUCGGAAAAAUCUUCAGAGCGGUGGAGGACGGUGGUUAUGUGGGAGACAAAGAGGAUUGGAUUCCGGCGGGAUUUGCAGAGAGAAUGUGGGAAAUGAAGAGAGGGGUUGUGAUAGGGGGGUGGGCCCCGCAGAUUCUGAUACUGGAGCACUGCGCUGUUGGCGGGUUUGUGAGCCACUGCGGGUGGAACUCGACAUUGGAGAGCGUGAGCGCAGGGGUGCCCAUGGUGACUUGGCCAUUGUCGGCGGAGCAGUUCUACAAUGAGAAGCUGAUAACUGAUGUGUUGGGCAUUGGGGUGCAAGUGGGGAGUAGGGAAUGGGAGUCGUGGAAUGUGGAGAGGAAGGAACUGGUGAGGAGAGAGAAGGUGGAUGCGGCGGUGAGAAGGAUGAUGGGCGGCAGUGAUGAGGCGGCGGAAAUGAAGAAGAGAGCGAGAGCGCUUUCAGAGAAGGCGAAGAGAGCUGUGGAAGAAGGUGGGUCUUCAUAUGUAGGGGUGGAUGCUCUGAUUUUAGAGAUCAGAUUAUCGAGGAAGAAUUAGUGACAAAGUUUUUGCCAUGCAAAUUACAAAAGAAAUGUCUCCGGCACACGUAAAAAUUUCUUGUCAUACAUAAAUAAAGUGAUUGCAAAACAAAUUAGAAUUGAAAUCAGUGCCGUAUGUUCAAGGGUUUCAAGAUCUAUGAGGGAUCUUAUGUUCCUAAUUGAUGUCGAACCCGCCAAACAUAUAAGAAAGAUGACAGCCAAAAAGGAAAGAUUGGUAGGGCUCUCAGCUCGGCAAUGGAGGUAAACAUACUGAACUGUGUGAGCAAAUGCAUUGACAGAUGGAGCCAACUAUUCCAUAAAUACGGGGGACAGUACUGAAAACCGUGUCGUGGGGAGGUGGAUGGUAGAACCACCGCAACCUUCCCCUCCACCUCAGUACAACUCUUUCCUUUCUUCUCUUGAGAAUGAGCUCCAAAAUGCAAGUGAAUGUGGCCGCAAUUGGGAACAGCAAACCAAGUAGUGCGUAGUGAGGCUUAUACAUGGAGGAAAGCUGAUAAAAACAGCCAAACAAAUCUCCAGGCAGAAGCCAGUGAGUAAAAAGCUCCGAUCAACUACUGAAGUAGCCUACAAAAUUACAGAUAUCACGAAAUUAAUUAGUAAUAUAUCAGUUAAGAAUAAAUUUAACAAAUCUUGCAAGUGAUGCGGUAGACUAGCACACAAAUUAAAAUUCCGCAGAAAAUGUAAUUGUAGUAAGAGCAAAGCAAGGAUCGUUCAAUUCCGGGAUUAGAAGUUAGAAGGGCUGCUAAUCAAUACAGACUAAAUAAACAAAACUAAAUCAGACAAACUAACCAAGAAUGGGGUAUUUGAAUGAAUUGGAUUAUAGAACUGAAAUCAAAUUAACAACUAAACAAGGAGUAAACAACAACAAUGAAUUAAAAUUUGAGUGAUUGAUGGAUGAAAGGAUUCUUCUCCACACUAAACAUAUGCAGAUAAAGAUUUCCAAUUAUUCUUUAUAUAAACCGUGAAUAACAAUGCCCCAAGUUAACAGUGACACACUCAUUAACCCUUAGAUUUUCCUAAGCUCAAUAAAAAGGAAGACACUUCACUCCUCAAAUUAUUCUUAUCAAGACACCUGUCUACCACCAAAGAUCAUUAAGUUCUUUAAAAAUCAUAAGCAUUGAUAAGGCAUUCGUAAUGACACAUGAUAUUCUUGCAAAGGAGUUACUUAACUCAAUCAUGACUGAUGACUUUUACUACCUGCCAAUACAAGUUCAUAACGAUUUAGGUGAAAUUCCCUUGAAUUCUAGCAUCAAAUUCCAUCAUGCAAGCUGAGUUGCAACCUUAAUAAACAUAUAAGAAUAAGUUCUCUAUAAACCAGAUAAGUAAAUUACAUUCACGUUUUAUGAAACAAUAAUUGUAUGUAAGCAAUUUAUAUAAAACAUAUGUUCAUGACUUUGAAUUCACCUCUAGCUAAAAACAAAACAUAGUUACAUAUGUUCUUUAUAAUUGAAAAACAAUUUACAAUAAACAUUGAAACUAAUGAAAAGAACUCUGGAUUUCCAGUGCAAAUUCCCCCACACUUAGUUUUUAGUCCCCGAGCAAACAAAAAAAAAAAAAAAAAAAAAAAAAACAACAACAACAACAAAGACCUAAACCUUCCAACAUUUGCCAUAGGGAUUUCCAAUGGCUCAUGACAUAUUAAAAAUCACUACUUAAAUAGAUUUUAGCCAUCCUUACUCUUAAGCUUAUACAUAACUACAACAACCAAUCACUAGCGCACAUUUAAUCAAUUAAAUAAAUUUGAAAGUAGUAACAUACCUUAGAGAAUUCACUCAAUUCAUCAUCAAAUAUACUCUUUAUUUUCACACAGAUUUUGUGAUUACAGUUCCCUAUACUAGGUAUAUGUGAGAAGAUUGGUGUAACAUGUAGACUAGUACUCACAUAUAUUAUAACAAAGAAGACAAUUCCUGUAAUUAUAUAUAUAUAUAUAUAUAUAUAUAUAUGAUCUCAUGAAAGGAAUGCCAUUACUUAGAAGCGAGAACCAGGGAUCCCAUCUGAAGGAAAUACUUGUGAAAACUAGCUCAUUUGAGCAAUAUCUAUGCAUGCAAUUACAAUUAAAAGGCGGAAUCAUGCUUGUAUGCACUAAAAAACAAAACUUUACCCAUGAAAUUCAAGGCCUAGUGAGUGUGGUGAACUAAGACUCAACUCAAGAACAAAGUGAGUUGAGAAAUAUUAUACCUUUGUUGAUUCCUCUUUGCAUAAGUAAAAGCUAAUCACCCAAGAGAUAGGGCAUUAAUUCCUUACUUCUUAGCUCCAUGGAUUUCUUGGAUGAGGAUGGUAGAAUGGAUUCUCCAAGUUCCCAAAAUAGAGAACCUCUAAAUCUCAACACCAAGGAGAGCAUUGAUGAAGAGACGAGUGACCUAGAGGAAGUAGGAUUACUAGCUAUUUUCCUCUAGGGUGAUUGACCUCUUAGAGAGAAAAGGAGAGCAUGUGUUCUCUCCAAUUUCCUCAAAGAAAAUCCUAAAUGAAUUUUGGCUAUAAAGUUCUUUAUAUAGUCCCUUCACUUAAGUGACAAAAGAACCAAAACCCUUCAUUCUCUAAUGUGGCCGGCCUUAAGGGUUUAUUGGGCUUUCAAGCCCUUUGUAUAUUCAAGUUGUCAUACAACUUGAGUUAUUGGGCUUGACAUUCAAAUCCCAUUGGGCCUUGAGGCCCAAAACUAACCCGAGGUCUAUAACGAACUUAUUCGUUUGAUUAAUUAACAUAUUAAUUAAUCCUAGCCAUAAAUAAUUAAACCAUUUAAUUAUUCUUAGUCAUCUAUGUUGUUUCUUCAAUUUCUACCUUACACGGUGUACGAUCCAUUAGGUUCCUUUUAGCGAGGCAGUGGGCGAUUAGAACUCUUUAAAUCGAUUGUGAAUUAAAACAUACUUUCAAUUCUCCCCUUAGUGAUUACUCACCUUUAGGGCUUCCACAAACCAUGAGUGACACCUAACAGUAUGUCAUGGCUACCCAAGCUAAUCAGAAGAGGUGGAGAACCUAUUCAGUUUAGGAUUACAAUGCAAUACGUUCUUUCUCUAAUACAAUACUCUUGACGACAUUGUUUAGUUUGAUAGUUUAUUCAUGUCUACUAUCCAAUGUGAUUCUUUUACUUCUAUGAUUACCUUGAAUGUGAUUUGGAACGACUUCCUAUAUCUCAUUCAUACUCUGGCCAGAGAUUCUUAAUCAUAUCAUAGAGUAUUCUCCCUCAAACGGUUUAAAGGUUAGAGAUCCCUUGUUGCGCAUUCACUUUCCUCCAUGGCUAAGUGGCUUAACCCCAACUAUGCCUUGGACACCCUCUGAUGGAGUGACUUUCACAUAGUCAAAGAUCAAGGACCUAACCACAAGACAACUAUGAUGCCUUAGGUCAAAGAACUACUUUGCAUUAUCCCAACCAUGAGUUCUCAUGUGACAUGAGUAUGAGAACUCCUUGUUGAUCGUGUUCAGUGGACUCAUUCACUAUUGAGCACUUACAUGCUUGUCUUGGUGUCAGUCACACAAAUGACUCGAGACCAAUCACUUUCCUUAAGAGAAGACAUAGCACGUACUGAUCUUAGUGGACUGUCAAUGCCCAAUUGGCAAUCCUAUGAUCAGGAACUUUUAGGGUAUGUAUACUAAAGAGAAUGGUCUCAUGAAUCUAACUUCUUUAGAUCACAUUCUCCCAAUUACAUAUUCCUUGGACUUAUCGUUUAAGCAUAUUAUAUGAGACGACAUUAAACAAUAAUCUUUGCCCUUUAUAUUAAAUUAGAUUAGUUUAACAUGUGAAAUGUCCGUAAAGUAUCAUCAUAUGAUUGGCCUUAGGGCACAUUUCCAACACCAUCUGCUCAUACAAAUUUUAGACUCCACAUAUAGAAACACAACAAAUGAGACAAAAGUCAGGGUUGUAACGAGGCUAAGGUACUGGCUAAUAAAGAGAGGUUAAGGGGCUAAGGUACUGGCUAACAAAAGUUCUCAAAAAUAUAGUAAGCAAUGUAAUGAAAUCAACAACAUAGAAGUCACCUCUUGAUUGCAUACCCAACUAUAAACAUAAAUGAGAGACUCAUACAAAAUUUAGGGUCAGAUUUCACUUGAUGGACUCUUCAUGUAUCAAAUGCUAAAAACCAAGAAACUUCAGGGUAGUAAACUGUGAUUAACCCAAAAAAAAAAUAUACAUAUGGUGGGCUAACCACUAACCCAGGGGGAAUUCUGGCCUAAAAAUUUUCCCCAAAAAUGAUUUGUUGGUUAAAGCUCAUAUUUGGCCCAAGGGUUGGAGCAAGUUGGUGUAAGUUUAAAACCUAAAAUUUAAGUUUUACUCCAAGGGUAUGAGUAGGUCUAAGGGUCCUAUUUUAUUUAACUCUUCUUUAUUGACUCCCGUACCAUUAGGGAGAGGAGAUUGAGACGAUCUUGAGUGUCAGGCAAAGCUGAUACACAUUCAUACUAGAAAUCAUUUGAACUUCUAGCUAAAGAACUUGGGGGUGACCUAAUGCACAAGAGAGAACUUUAAAUUUUAAUUUUUUGUCUCUUUCUUUGUAAGGUAAGGUGCGGACCGGAAUCCAACUGUCAUGAUUUGUUGAGCUCAUGGUAGAAUCGGACUGUUGUGUCCCAGUGUAAUUAAAAACUAUUAACUUUUUUUAUUCACUUGGUAUGUUUUUGUCAGAGAGAAAGGAGGAGCUGGAGAACUAAGUGAUUAUUUGCACGUUGAAGAAGGAAGAGACUUAUAGAGAGGGAUAUGGGGUGAGUAAUCGAUUCCACUAGGUGUGUUUUUGUCGACGAGAGAGGAAUAAAUUAGGAUUGUCUUCGCGGGGAAAGAGAGGUUGAGGGAAGAAGUUGGUAAAGGGUGGGAGUGUUUGAUUUCAAAUGGACUAAUUGCGACCUGGUGAAUCCUAUACCUUUAAUUUUUUUUGGUUCACUAGGUGUGUUUUUAUCGGAUAUAGAGGGAUAACCAAGGGUUGUAUUCAGGGGAAAGAGAGGCAGAGAAAGAGAGCUAGUGAAGGGUGUGAGUGCUCGAUUUUAUGUGGAUUGAAGUUGUUGUUGAGCGAAAAUUGUACAAGAAAUGUAACAAAUAAAUCACUCGACACAAUCUCACCCUCGUUCAUUUUCUUGAAGAGGGUUUUAUUAAUUUUAGUUUGACUCAUUCUAGACUACGUGUCUAUUAAUUACAAUUUUUUGCUAAAAAGGAAAAACCCUUUGAUUCCAAUAUGAAUAAAUUGUAACUUAGGGAUUUGGGUGUUUGUUUGGUUUUGCGGCCGCACCUAGGUUGAGCCUUAGAUUGCUUACAUAUCCAUUUUGAGGGAUCAAGCAACUCGUAGUUCAUGGUGAAAUGUGGUUUGGGAUUUUCAAUGAGUGAAUGACCCACUAAAAAAAAGAAAGGUUUUGUGUUUGGUUUAUUUGGAUACCUUGAAUUUGUUUGAGUGAAUUUGGUUGAAUGGACCAGGGAUUCGAAUUGGACUUGUGGUGAAUUUGGUUAAGUGAACCAAGGAUUCAAUUUGGUAUUUUGGUUUUGCAGUCACGUCUAGGAUGUGGAACUAGACUGCCUACGUAUCUUUGGUGGAAUCAAACUGACGUAGUUCAUGGUUUUCAAUGAGUCAAUGACCCACUGAAAAAGAAAAUUUUGUUUGCUUGGAUAUGGUGUAUUGUGCAAUUUCAGCUCGUGCAGGCAAGGAGCAUUUAAUGCUUUGUGUAGUUUCAGCUCGUGCAAGCGAGGGCUUUGUGUCAUUUGGAGCUUUUGAUGCCUUGUGUAGUUUUAGCACAGCUCGUGCAAGUGAGGACUUUGUGCCAUAUGGAGAGUUUGAUACCUUGUGUAGUUUUAUCUCGCGCAGGCAAGGACUUUGUGCCAUUUGGAGUGAUUUCAUAAUAUUUGAUAUUUGAUACGACUUUGUGGUAUUGGAAAGUUAAAGCGACUUUGUACCAUUUAGAAUUUGAAGUGGCUUUGUGCCAUUUGGGAUUUGAUGUGGCUUUGUGCCAUAGAGUGGGGCAAUAUCCCACUUGAGCAGCAUUCCUCAUAAAAUGGGGAACUUUGUUUGUAGACUUCUUUCUUCAUCUUGUAGAACUUACAAUCCCUUUGGCAACCGGAGGCCUAAAUUUAUAAAAGAAACCACAUGAUUUCAAAUUGGAGAGCUAUGGCUUUUUUUAAAGGUUGCCACAUGAGCGUCUUUCGUAAUUAAUUUAGGAAGUUGUUAACAAGCUUUUUUUCCUUCUAUGUGAACAUGAACUCUUUCAAGUCCAAAUAGGACUUCCCAUGGCAGACAAAAUAAACAUCUUUUAGCUAUAGACUAACCCAAGGAAUUUUGUUUCCUUGCAUACUUGCCACGGCAUCAAAGAGGGAUCAAAGAUUUUGAUUUCAAAAAAGCCCUUUCGAGCUUUCUCAUUUUUCAUAGUUUGAAUCUUAUCUCUUGAAGCUCUACCAAGCAAUCGAUAGGCUCUUGAUCCAGUGUAAAAUCUAAAUGUCGUGCCUUGGCUCAUGCUUGUGCUGAAUCUAUUUGGCUCUCUUAUGUUCUCUGUGAGCUUUGAUUCCCGGCCACAUCACCCACUUUUUUGUUUUGUGAUAGUCUCAGUACUUGACAGGCAAUCCUGUCUUUCAUGCUUAAACAAAGCAUAUAGAGCUUGAUUAUCAUUUUGUUGGUGAACGGGUCAAGUUGGGUACUCACAAAGUGCAGUUUAUUUCUUCCAUUGAUUAACCUACUGAUAUUCUCACUAAAGGACUCUCUACACCUUGCUUUGAUUAUCUAUGUUCUAAACUUGUCAGUCCAAGAUCGCAAAGUUUAAGGAAGGUUGCUAGUGUUGGAGAAUCCAAUUAAGAUCUCAUGGGUUAGGUUUUGUAAAUCCCUAUGGACUUUGGAUAACUUGUACUCCAAGUCAAUUGACUUAGUAUAUAUUUGUGUUAAGACUCUCUCUUUCUAUUUUUGAAGUUUGCAUUCUUCUCUCCUCUGCUGCUCUCUCUACUCUCUCUUAGCUUUUUGCUAUCUGUCUCCCCUUUUCAUUUGAACCUAUCCUUUGUCUUUUCAUAGACGCAAGGAGCAGUUCAGAGAUCCUUUUCCGUUUUCUAUUACAUAUACCACUUUCUUGGGAUAUGGAGAGGUUGAGAGAAGGCCAUCACUUAGUGGAGAAUGUGGGAGGGCAAGGACAAGAGCUCGAAAAUUACCCUUCAAUGUCAAAUUGCAUUUCUGGUGGGCCAUAUUGAAGAUGGCAAUUUAUGGGCCAUGCAAAGCCGGCCCAAAUGCCCGAGCAAUUUAAGGGCCUUGCGCUAGCAAAUGUUUUUUUUUUUGGUAAGUGUAAAACUUGCGCAUCCUGAGCGAGUGGGUCGACAACUUCUGAUCUAUUUUGCCAAAAUAACAUGUACGUAAUUGUGCACAUCACAAAAAUACUUACUCGAUUUGCUUUUGCUUGAAAAUACUAAUAGGUUUCUAUCUUUUAGGGAAAAAAAAGGCCAGAUACCAAAUACCAAUUAUCAUCCCAAAUGUCUAAUUAACCUAAGUUUCCCUAGACCAUCUCUUUCCAUUGUCUGAACAGUCCUUAUCUUUUAGGGGUUAUUCUGAUGUUGAUUGGGUUGGAUGUCUAAACACUCGUCAUUCCACUUCAAGCCCUCUCAUUUUUCAUGGUCCGAAUCUUAUUGGAGCUAUACCAAGCAGUCAAUCGUCUCUCAGUCCAGUACAGAAUCUGAAUAUCAUGCAUUAGCUCAUCCUUGUGUUGAAUCUAUUUUGUUCUCUUACGUGCAUUGGCUCAUCCCUGUGACAUCACCUACGUUUUUGUCUUGUGAUAAUCUCAAUACUACUUACAUGGCUGACAAUCCAGUCUUUCAUGCCCGGACGAAACAUAUAAAGCUUGACUAUCAUUUUAUUCUUGAACGAGCCAUGUUGGGUAUCACAAAGUCUAGUUUUUUACUCAUUCUAUUGAUCAACCUGCAGAUCUUCUCACUAAAGCACUGUCCACGCCUCGUUUUGAUUAUCAACAUUCCAAACUUGUCACUCUGAGAUUGCCAAGUUUGAGGGGGGUUGUUAGUGUAAGAGAAUCCAAUUAGGAUUCUUAUAGGCUAGGUUUUGUAAAUCCCUAUGGACUUUAGAUUACUUGUACUCCAAGUCAAUUGACUUGUAUGUAUUUGUAGCUUUGUGAGAUCAAUUAAAUCAAUACAAUAUGAUUCUACAGGGUUGUUGCUUUUUUUGUUUUUUUUCUUCUUGCCCAACGGCUUUAAUCACUGGAAGGUUGCUUCUAGAGUGAAGAGGGAUUGGCCAGGGUUGUUGCUUUUGUUAUAGAGAGAGGUCAUUCACUGGAGCAUUUCUUUGUAAGAGCAUGUGGGAAACUAACUUUGCUUCGAAGGUACUAUGCCAUUAAGUGGAGAUUUGUGCAAGGAAAGAAAUAGGAUAAAUUACAUUUUGCACCCUUGAGUUUUGGUGUAAUUACAACCUCAUACAACACCUUAAAAAUAUUUCACUUUCAUACAUUUACUUAACAUUUAUUGCAAUUUCAUACAUCCGUUAGUUAAACUGUUAAUUUGACUGUUGAGUAUGUGGCAAUUAUAGGGUCACAUAUUUUUGCUGAUGUGGCAGCUAACUGGUCAAUAAAUUAUAAAAUAAAGAUUUAAUUUUUAAAUGAAGCCAAAAUAAAAUAUAAAAAAAAACAAAAAGAACAUUGCUGGUGCUGGCUGGACUCGACACAUUCGACGACGAGACCAUCCUAGCUACUCUCUAAGGUCCAACCCGACCUCAUCCUCUCUCCACAACCCAACCCCAACUUGCGCUAGACUUCCCAAAGCCAUCGUGGUUCAUGCCUCCACAGUGUUUUCGACUUCGACAUCAAUCUUUGGGCUCCGUCUCUGGAUCGUCAUUAGAAUCAUCUUUGGUUCUCUAUUCUCUGAUAAUCCUGACCUUCUUUCUCCUCUCCUUCUAGCUCACCUCCCACCACAGCUACCGGGCCUAUAACGCCCAACCCAAGCCUGCUGACGUCGUCCAGCUGGUUUUGUCGGACCACAUCCACCACUGCGAGGUCCGAUUCCUCCCUGAGUUCUUUGAUUCUUGCUCGAAUUUGAUGGUUUUCCAGUGGAGUAGGUCGCCAUGACCUACAAAAAUUUCGCCCAUUAGACCUUUGUACAAUUCUGAAGCCGAUAAUGUGAAUCCUGGUGAGAUGGCGGCAUCGUCGUCGUUAAAUCUAACAAUGAGGAAUGAGGGAUUGUGAUGGAUAGAGUGGAUGAGAAGGUGCUUGUAUGUGGCGUGUGAGAUGAGAGAGAGAGGAGAGAGUAGAGGAAAGCCUGUGUGUUGGGCGUUGGGUUCAUCCUGCUUUUCUACAUAUUUUGGGAUUACGGAAGUGAGGAUUUUAAGAGUGGGAUUUGGGAAGCAGAUGAUAUUUGUGUGGAGUCAAAAAUAAUCACAAAGCGACAAGUGGAUUUUUGGACAAAAGAGGGCAAAAAUACCCUUGAGGUACAACGGGGUUCCUACACUCAAACAGCAGACAAUCAUUCUUCAACGAAAUCAAAAGUGCCCAAAAUAGGUAACAAAUUCAAAGUUAUUUCAUCCAUUCUCAUCCUAUAUUUUCCACAAGGUAAUUAUUUCAUAACCUUCAAAACAUCCCAUAUAAAUUACAUAACCCCCAAAAUAUUUAUUCCAAAAAUGUGUUGAUUAACAAAUUAAUGGAUUAAUUGCCUAAUUAAUCCAUUAAAUCACACAUUAAACCAUAAGUUACACCCUAAAAAACAUCCAAAGGGGACCGGCCACCCUAUCCCUAUAAAUAGGCUCCCAUUUUCACCAAAAGAUGAUUCCAACACACUUGCAAAGUUCCCAAUACUCUCCAAACACUUUUCUCUCUAAAUUCUAACUUUGGCAUUGGAGGUUCUUCGGCCAAAGCCCCCCUCCAUUCAUCGUGGGCACGUGAGGCUCUUGGCCUUGACCCUAAGGUGUUAAUUGUUUUGUAGGUGCAAUUUUGUCCAAGAUCAAGGAGGAAGAAAUUUACAUCCACAAAUUGGUGCUUUCAUUGAAAGUUGAGUCCCACACUCGUAGAAGACUCUCGCAUAAAAAGGUUUUUCUCUAUUUUCUAGUCCACUUGUAUUUUUUCAUGCGUCCUUAUUAUUAGAAUUUUUUAUUUGCAAAGAUUCUUUGAUAAAACGUAAAGGAAAAAUACAAUGUCUAGAAAUUUAGAAAACUCCACGAGUGAAAAUUCCAAUAUUCAAGAAAUGGGACCGCGGUGAUCCAUAAGACUAAAUGUGAUCCUAGGGGUAGCGGUACCACCACCACGAGUUUCCACCACGGGAACCACCGCAGUGGCUACUUCGGUAGCCACCCGUGGCGAUGUCCAUGGUGCCUUCACCACGGUCCGAGCCAUGCCAUCCAAGGCGGCUCACGGUAUUAAGGCCACGACCUAAGCUUCACUCUUGCAUGCAUCAAGCACCGAGCAGCCCAUUCUUGUGGCCCAGCUUGCUCCGACUGAGCAACCUACUCUCGUGACCCAGCCUGCUCCCACCAAGCAGCCUGCUCCAGUCAAGUAGCGCACUCUUGUGGCCUAGCCUGCUCCAGCUGAGCAGUCCACUCUCGUGGCCCAGCAUGUUCCCGUGGCCUUCCAAGCAGCCCAAAUCGAUCCAAGUUUAGUUCAACCAUCCCGGUUUCAAAUAUCUGGACCGACGAUCGAACCGGGAGCAUUUUCACCACAUUCUUUUUCGGAUUUGACAUUUCCCAACUCAAAUCUCGUGCUCGGAUUUUACCAUACUUCUACUGCUCAAAUGGAGAACAACACUUGUCUUGACAAGUCAUAGAGUUGACGAGCGCCCUCACACAGUAGACGACCUUGGUGAACUAGCUCUUGCAACGCACAGAGAUGCAACAUGCCCUAAACGAGGUGUUCUGAAGUAGAACAAGGGCACACAAAGAACCUCUCCAGCAACAUCCCGACAAGCAGCCACUCGACUAGGCCCACAACCGAGCAUUUAGGUAGUGUACACUCUAGAUUGGGCCUCCGAGAUAGUGUAUACUCUCGUCUCAGAGCGCGGAGGAGCGUGCACUCUUGACUAGGCCCACAAACGAGCAUACAUUCACAAUUAGGGUCACACUCCGAUAGUCAACAUGAGCAACCUUCCAGGCAAAGUGUUUAUUCACGGCUAAGCCCGCAAUGAGCAUCAUCCACCUCACAUCGGAGUAGGCAGCACGAUGGACGGAGAGAAGCAAUCACUCAAUACGGCUUAAGUUCAACCGAUAGCCUGUGAAGAACUCGCCCUCAUGCUAGGAGCGCGCUACACGCACCGUAUCCGUGACAUAGAUGAGCCAAACAUAUGGAAGAGCAGCCUAGACUAGCAAGUCACGGUUAGGAGAGCGCUACACGCACCGUAUCCGUGACAAAGAGGCCUUGAGCACCAUCCUUCACACUUGUGCAACAGCAACCCUUCAUCAUUACUUAACAUUUCUGCCACAAGAACAUGGAACAAAUACAUGCAAAUGGAAAGAAAGACACACUGCAUGGGCAGAAAGUGUAGUGAUUUGUGGCUGAAAUGAUGAGUGCAUGUGUGUGCAAAUGUAGAAGGAAACAUGGACAGCACAUACUCAUGCAAACUGUACAUGCAAAGGAAAUGGAGUGGUCCUCUCCCUAGCCUAUAAAUGCAUCCACCAUUCUGAUUCUUAAGGGACACCAUCUUGAUCCAUAAUUUUUACAUCCCACAAACACUUUCAUUUCCCUUACCGUGACCUUCAUCAUUCAUCCGGCCAUUCCCCAUUCACCAUACAUUCAACCACAUUCACAUAUACAUUCAUCCAACAUAUCCUAAAACAUGAAGCAUACAUUGUCAUCUUCCCUUGGCCGAGACAUUCACAAAUCCUAAAUACAUUCCUAACCUCUCCAUAUAUCCAUACACAUCCUAGACACUUGUGCUGCAACAAGGUGGUGAAAACGAAGGUCCUUGGCGUUUCAAGCUUGGAACUUUGGAGCGUUUUAGGUGUACUUCGUUCUUGCUUUCAAUGUUUACUUUGUUAUUUUCAGAUUUUGUUGCAAUUAUGAGUAGCUAAACCCCUAUUUAGUUAGGGGGAAGUUUGAAGCCAUGAACAUGCUUGAGAUAUGAAUUGAUUUCUUCCAAUUGUGAUUUGAUAAGUUGUGAUUGCAAUUCAAUUAUUUAUCUUUUUCAUAACUGAUUCUUGCAUGUUUAUUAAGGAUGCAUACUUAGUUUUCAUGCAUGAAUUAGACGCUAGAAUAUAAAUGAGUUUCACCUAAUCGUUACAAGUUUAUAUUCAUGAGUAGUGAAAGUUGUUUGUCACAAUCGCGUUAAUUGAAUUCUUGGCAAAUGUAUCAUGCAUUCAUAGUUACAAUUGCCUCGUCAACACUUAUGAUUUUCAUUGAACGUAAUGAUCUCUGAUUGUAUCUCUAUGAUGCAUUCAUAUAGGGGACUUUUAGAGAAUUAUUUGAGUUGUUGCAUGCAUUCAUCCAAUUCAAUGAGUAAAGGAAAAUCUGAGGGUUAAUUUGUGCAUCACGGUUAAUCUGGGGUGUUGAGCAUCAUAGUUUAUUGAAAAGCAAUUGGAAAACGAUUCAUAUACAAGUGUGUUGAUAGGAUUUUUAACGUCUAUGCAAAUAGGGUCAAAAUCACAUGAAAUACUUGCAAGAAUACAAGGAUAUUGUAGUAUAGAUGCUCAUGCAAGGUCGUUUUCCUCAAGGACUAUUUGGAUAAUUUGUGUAGAAACAAUUCCUAAUUAAAUACUUAGAAUUAAAACUUGAGAAAAGAGAGUUUGAGAAUGGGUAAUAUUAAAAACGAAUUUUAAACAAAAACUAAAAUAAUCGAAGAAAAGAGUUUUAAAUACCAAUUUAUAAAGGCACUAGGGUUCCACCAUCACCUAGCAAUCCUAUGAAUUUCUACCAAUUACUUACGAUUUACACAUGCUACUUUGAAGGUUAGGUUUUCCUAAUAUAUAUUCUCCUCGUGAUAUUCAAGCAAGAACGUAUAUCUAACAUGUAAUCCGUCUGUGAUAUUCAGAUCAAAUAUGAACAUGCAAGACUCAUUAAGUUUUAUGAAAACCUUUUGAAGAACCAUGCAACCCCUAAGAACGUGAUAUUCGCCUUAGAUGGAAUUACAAUUAUCAAUCACAAGAAGCAAUACUCAAUCCUCCGGUGAUAUUCCGACCGAAUUGCAUCCAAUUACUUGUCUAAACAUCCUAAUGGUGGCCAAUCAUCAAGAUAAUUAGAUAGUUUAAAACAGUGAUCAAUAAUUCAAAGUGUGCAUGCAAUCAAUCAUAAGCAAUUAAAUAAAAAUUACAUAUUCAUGCUAAGGCUCAAGGUUUCGCCCUAGCAAAAGGAAUUAGUUAUGCAUAUUCAUAACUGAAAUCAUAGAAAAUAUUCUUAAGAAGAAAAGGAAUGAAAACACCUUAAAGUAUAAAAUCUCCAAGAACCCUCGCCAAGUUCUUUGUCUCUGAAGUUGAAUAAUAAUAAGCGUAGAGAAAAAUGUAGACGGUCAAAGCAAUAUAUUUUGCUCAGCCCCCACAAACCCUAAGACAUAGGUUUCUUAUUCCAACUAGGAAACUAAGAAAAAUAAUAAAAUAUCUUAGAAAAUAAAACCCUAAUUAAACUAGGAGAAUCUGCCAAAUACUUGUCCAGCCACGUUUUAGCCUCAGAUCUCCUCCAAAUCCUGCCCAAGACAGGUUGUUUUAAAGAUAAGGAUCUUCCGAACACAUCUCCAGAAGGUCACGAAACCAUCCGAGGUCAUUUUGGGCUCCAAAAACGCAAUUUAAGCCCAGAAACGUCAUUUUCCAGCACCGCGCAUUGCUCCUUUAUUUUAUCACCAGAAAAAUAACCGCUUGAUGGAAAAAUUCCAAAUUUUGAUACGACCAAGCUAAGUGACUCACAAACGUUCUCCAACUGGAAUUGCUCCAAAAUUCAUCCAUUUGUCCAUGUUUUUCUCUAAAGGAAGUCGAAAGUCCUAUAUUGAAAAUACAAUUCAAAGUAUCAAAAUUCUUCCAAAAUAUUAACCAAAAUAUACUAAGAAUAGGGUUAAAUAUAUAAUAUAAAAUUCACUUGUCAAAAUACCCCCAAACUUAGCUUUUUGCUUGUCCUCAAGCAAAACAGGACUAGAAAACAAAAAUAAAAACUAACAAACUUGACACUUAACUAAAACUUAGCUAAAAUAAAAUUCUCACUUUCAAGUUGCAAUCCAUAGAAAAUGUUAAAAAUUAGAACAUCUUUUCAAAAGUUCCAACCAAUCCCACCACAAAGUCUAAGCCAUUUAGAAUCAAUUAGAAAAGAAUUCACAAACUUCCUUUGGUGUAAAGUGAACCAACAUAGUUAAAGAGACUCGACCAAAACUCUUACCUCUCAUCCCUUUAUUCGUACUUCACAUACUAACUUCAUAUAUAUAUAUAUAUUUUUUUUUUUCUUCUUUUCUUCUUUUCGAGUUUUUUUUUAAUUUUUUUUAAUUUUUUUUAAUUUUUAAAGUAACAGUAGUGGUCGUGUAAUGUCGGUUCACUUAAGCUUUCGAUCCAACCCAUGUAGCGAGCUUUAGGUCAAUGACUCCCAAACCACUAAGGCUUUAGGGCAUUAGGUGUGGAACACCCCUAAGGACUUAUUAACCCGAGCUGAAAAAGGCUACGAAACCAACUAACCACCCUGCCUCAUGCCAAAACUCUGCCAUUUGACGCGAGAAUCACUGCUGAUUAGGCAGGACUGGCCCGGUUACUAGGCAGAACCUCGGGUGAGACAAUUAUUACUUUAUAACACAUACUAACUUUACUUUAUUUAGAACAAAAAUAACAAUAACAACAAUACACUUAGACAAAAAGCAAGUGUUUCAAUCUCACUCCCCACAAACCAUGUUGGUGUGAAUGUGCAAUUGUCAAAGUAUAAUUCAUGAAUUGGUGUCUAAGUAAUGAUAAAUAGAAAAGACUCUACUGUGGGAUUAAUCUUUACCAUGUCCAUUUGUUCUAAUGUUUAAAAUAAUCUAUGGAUAUUAGCUUAAAAACGAAAAAAUUUAACUGACACAAAAUAAAAACCCUAAAUUUUUACUACUUUCCCACCCCCAAACUUAUUUCACACUUUGUCCUCAAGGUGUGGAAAAUAAAUAUAAACUAAAAAAAAAAACGAAAAGCAAAACUAGAAAAGAUAAAAACAAAAGUCUAGACCAAAGAACUAAAAGAAAAAGGAAAAUAGAAAUGAAACAAAGAAAUAAAAAAAUGAAAUAAAUAAGAGAACAAAAAAAAUAACAAAAAGGAAAAGUAAAAAAUAAAAAAUCACCUAACAUAAGAAACAUUGGGCCGUGACAAAAUGAUGCACAUAGCCUCGUGAUGACCCUUUGGAUUAUAACCCAGCCUACAAACCAAAGAAACCGAAAGGAACAUUGGAUGCCGAUUUGAAAUUGGAAUGGCAUGCAGCUGGCAUGUGCAUUAGAAAGUGGGAUUAUGCUAGUUCCCAUGUCUGAAGAAAAAAAAAUCACGAGCAGUCCUCACAGUCAUUGUUAGGAAAUGAGCCCAAACGGCUAUUUUCCUUUUACCAAAUCGAGAGCCAAACGACACUGUAUUUUCCCAGUUUAAAAUAACCCUCUCGGACAGAGACACAGGGCCACACGAUGAAAACACGUGUCAUACAUCCGUGUAAGAAACUCCUUAGGAUUCCAAUAGAGACGCUGAAAUGUGUUACAGUCACCCAUUGUUAUGUCAGAUGGCAUUUAGAACCCCUAGACCGCAUUAUUUCUCGCAAGCUGCACCUCCAUAACAGAUCUCUCUCUCUUAUCUCUCAGAAGUUUAGAACCCAUUUCUCUUCAAAAUGAAAAGAAAAAUUUCCGUCUCCCACUCUAGAAAAUCCGAAGAGACUCACGGAGCGUUUGCCAUGUUCAAAAACUCGUAACCCAACCAGUAAGUCAAACCUUUAUGUCACAGCAGCUCCUGCAUCCUCUCAAAGAGGUGUCUCCGUAGCCUUCAAGAACCGCAACAAACAAACCUCUGUGAGUCCCGAGCCGUGGUAGAGUAAGCUGAAAAAGUGACGAUGCGGAAGGUAAAAAUCCUCCUCAAUUUGUGUUAUUUCCGUGUCAGCUUGAUGUAUUUGGGUAAACAAGAUCUAACACAUGCAUGUGUGUUUAUCCGUAUGAAGUCCUCCAAACUUGCAGAUCUGAGCCGAUGUACACCACGCACUCGGAUUGUCAGCAAAAUCUGAAACCAGUUAGUGUCUGCCAUAGAAAUGAUGCACAGUGCAGCUCCAAUCAUCCCACAGAGGUACACAUCUUCACACCAACUAUCGUAAUGUGGUGAUUUCCAUGUCGCCUAUAACUCCACCAUGCAAAUGUAUAAGCUAUGUGUCUCGUUGGUGUGCAAAGGUGCUUGAGAUGGAUGCUGGCCAGGAGCAAGGACACGGCAACAGAGACGACAUUUCGGACCUGAGGCAUGCAGAGGUAAAAAAUUUUGUUCUCUACCAAUGAUGACCCCCAAAUUGAUACACCUGUUUCCACUGGAACUCAUACACUUGAUUGUUCUGUUGCAGGGAAAAUACCCCAGAUCGGCAAAGGAAACGUGAUGACAAAACCAUUAGCUUACGCUGAAGAAUGGCCACUUAGCAAAAUAGAGAGGUAUAACAUCGCAUCGCUGCUUGUAUAUGACAGAUUUGCUACUGGAUGUAUGAUUCCGUCUAAAAUGAUCUCUCUGUGCAUUAAGUUUUGUUUAUCUUGUUUGCUGGCUGCAUAAAAAUCAGGUGUUGAAAUCAGAGGUAAAAAUGUGGAAGAUACUAUCGGUAAAAUAAAACAAGUAAAAGCAAAGAAUGUUUUGUUUUUUUUUGUUUUUUUUUUUUUUUUUUGUUUUUUUUUUUGUUAUUGUUUUUUUUUUUUUUUAAAGAACAUGAAAGGCAGCCUAGGAAUUUAAAUGCAGCUAGAAAUUGAAAGUAAUGAAAGAAAAAUGAAACAAAGUAAAGAAAAACUUAGAAAGUUGGGUUGCUUCCCAAUAAGCGCUUGAUUUAAAGUCUGUAGCUAGACGUUGCAGAAAUCUGGUGGCUAAGUCACUGGAUCCCUCAGAGUUAAUGACUCGCGUGUUGUGUCAUAGGGUGAUUCCAAGUAUGGUUUGAGCCUGUGACCAUUGACCUUGAAUUCAUGACCUGUGACCUCAUUUUUUAUCUCUACAACCCCAUGCGAAUAAACUUUAGUGACCACAUAUGGCCCUGUCCAACGUGACUUAAGUUUGCCAGGAAACAACUUUAAUCUGGAAUUGAAAAACAACACAUUUUGCCCUGUGUAAAAUUCCCUGUGAAGGAUUUUACUGUCAUGAAAUGCUUUAGUCUUGUCUUUGUAGAUUUUUGAACUUUCAUAUGCAUCAUUACGAAUCUCAUAGAGCUCAUUGAGCUCCAACUUACGCUUCUCCCCAGCUAAAUCAUAUGCAAAAUUUAGCUCCUUAAUAGCCCAAAACGCCUUGUGCUCUAGUUCCAUAGGUAAAUGACAUGCUUUCCCAUACACAAGUCUAAAUGGCGACAUCCCAAUUGGGGUUUUAAAAGCUGUCCUGUAAGCCCACAACGCGUCAUUUAAUUUUAAACUCCAAACCUUACGUGUAGAGCCAACUGUUUUCUCCAAAAUCCGCUUUAAUUCUCUGUUUGUAACUUCCACUUGACUAGAUGUCUAUGGAUGAUAGGGUGUAGCCACGCGAUGAGUAAUCCCAUACUUUGCUAAUAACGCAUCAAACUGUUUAUUAAUAAAAUGCUUCCCCCCAUCACUAAGAAUCACCCGUGGAAUUCCAAAACGUGGAAAUAUAACCCCCUGGAGGAAUUUCAGUACCACUGAUCCUUGAUUAGUUGGUGUUGCAAUGGCCUCGACCCAUUUAGAAACAUAUUCCACAACAACUAAAAUGUACUGAUUCCCAUGAGAUGAUGGGAAUGGUCCCAUGAAAUCAANAUAUUAAAAACGAAUUUUAAAACAAAAACUAAAAUAAUCGAAGAAAAGAGUUUUAAAUACCAAUUUAUAAAGGCACUAGGGUUCCACCAUCACCUAGCAAUCCUAUGAAUUUCUACCAAUUACUUACGAUUUACACAUGCUACUUUGAAGGUUAGGUUUUCCUAAUAUAAAUAUUCUCCUCGUGAUAUUCAAGCAAGAACGUAUAUCUAACAUGUAAUCCGUCUGUGAUAUUCAGAUCAAAUAUGAACAUGCAAGACUCAUUAAGUUUUAUGAAAACCUUUUGAAGAACCAUGCAACCCCUAAGAACGUGAUAUUCGCCUUAGAUGGAAUUACAAUUAUCAAUCACAAGAAGCAAUACUCAAUCCUCCGGUGAUAUUCCGACCGAAUUGCAUCCAAUUACUUGUCUAAACAUCCUAAUGGUGGCCAAUCAUCAAGAUAAUUAGAUAGUUUAAAACAGUGAUCAAUAAUUCAAAGUGUGCAUGCAAUCAAUCAUAAGCAAUUAAAUAAAAAUUACAUAUUCAUGCUAAGGCUCAAGGUUUCGCCCUAGCAAAAGGAAUUAGUUAUGCAUAUUCAUAACUGAAAUCAUAGAAAAUAUUCUUAAGAAGAAAAGGAAUGAAAACACCUUAAAGUAUAAAAUCUCCAAGAACCCUCGCCAAGUUCUUUGUCUCUGAAGUUGAAUAAUAAUAAGCGUAGAGAAAAAUGUAGACGGUCAAAGCAAUAUAUUUGCUCAGCCCCCACAAACCCUAAGACAUAGGUUUCUUAUUCCAACUAGGAAACUAAGAAAAAUAAUAAAAUAUCUUAGAAAAUAAAACCCUAAUUAAACUAGGAGAAUCUGCCAAAUACUUGUCCAGCCACGUUUUAGCCUCAGAUCUCCUCCAAAUCCUGCCCAAGACAGGUUGUUUUAAAGAUAAGGAUCUUCCGAACACAUCUCCAGAAGGUCACGAAACCAUCCGAGGUCAUUUUGGGCUCCAAAAACGCAAUUUAAGCCCAGAAACGUCAUUUUCCAGCACCGCGCAUUGCUCCUUUAUUUUAUCACCAGAAAAUAACCGCUUGAUGGAAAAAUUCCAAAUUUUGAUACGACCAAGCUAAGUGACUCACAAACGUUCUCCAACUGGAAUUGCUCCAAAAUUCAUCCAUUUGUCCAUGUUUUUCUCUAAAGGAAGUCGAAAGUCCUAUAUUGAAAAUACAAUUCAAAGUAUCAAAAUUCUUCCAAAAUAUUAACCAAAAUAUACUAAGAAUAGGGUUAAAUAUAUAAUAUAAAAUUCACUUGUCAAAAUACCCCCAAACUUAGCUUUUUGCUUGUCCUCAAGCAAAACAGGACUAGAAAACAAAAAUAAAAACUAACAAACUUGACACUUAACUAAAACUUAGCUAAAAUAAAAUUCUCACUUUCAAGUUGCAAUCCAUAGAAAAUGUUAAAAAAUUAGAACAUCUUUUCAAAAGUUCCAACCAAUCCCACCACAAAGUCUAAGCCAUUUAGAAUCAAUUAGAAAAGAAUUCACAAACUUCCUUUGGUGUAAAGUGAACCAACAUAGUUAAAGAGACUCGACCAAAACUCUUACCUCUCAUCCCUUUAUUCGUACUUCACAUACUAACUUCAUAUAUAUAUAUAUAUUUUUUUUUUUCUUCUUUUCUUCUUUUCGAGUUUUUUUUUAAUUUUUUUUAAUUUUUUUUAAUUUUUAAAGUAACAGUAGUGGUCGUGUAAUGUCGGUUCACUUAAGCUUUCGAUCCAACCCAUGUAGCGAGCUUUAGGUCAAUGACUCCCAAACCACUAAGGCUUUAGGGCAUUAGGUGUGGAACACCCCUAAGGACUUAUUAACCCGAGCUGAAAAGGCUACGAAACCAACUAACCACCCUGCCUCAUGCCAAAACUCUGCCAUUUGACGCGAGAAUCACUGCUGAUUAGGCAGGACUGGCCCGGUUACUAGGCAGAACCUCGGGUGAGACAAUUAUUACUUUAUAACACAUACUAACUUUACUUUAUUUAGAACAAAAAUAACAAUAACAACAAUACACUUAGACAAAAAGCAAGUGUUUCAAUCUCACUCCCCACAAACCAUGUUGGUGUGAAUGUGCAAUUGUCAAAGUAUAAUUCAUGAAUUGGUGUCUAAGUAAUGAUAAAUAGAAAAAGACUCUACUGUGGGAUUAAUCUUUACCAUGUCCAUUUGUUCUAAUGUUUAAAAUAAUCUAUGGAUAUUAGCUUAAAAACGAAAAAAUUUAACUGACACAAAAUAAAAACCCUAAAUUUUUACUACUUUCCCACCCCCAAACUUAUUUCACACUUUGUCCUCAAGGUGUGGAAAAUAAAUAUAAACUAAAAAAAAAAACGAAAAGCAAAACUAGAAAAGAUAAAAACAAAAGUCUAGACCAAAGAACUAAAAGAAAAAGGAAAAUAGAAAUGAAACAAAGAAAUAAAAAAAUGAAAUAAAUAAGAGAACAAAAAAAAUAACAAAAAGGAAAAGUAAAAAAUAAAAAAUCACCUAACAUAAGAAACAUUGGGCCGUGACAAAAUGAUGCACAUAGCCUCGUGAUGACCCUUUGGAUUAUAACCCAGCCUACAAACCAAAGAAACCGAAAGGAACAUUGGAUGCCGAUUUGAAAUUGGAAUGGCAUGCAGCUGGCAUGUGCAUUAGAAAGUGGGAUUAUGCUAGUUCCCAUGUCUGAAAGAAAAAAAAUCACGAGCAGUCCUCACAGUCAUUGUUAGGAAAUGAGCCCAAACGGCUAUUUUCCUUUUACCAAAUCGAGAGCCAAACGACACUGUAUUUUCCCAGUUUAAAAUAACCCUCUCGGACAGAGACACAGGGCCACACGAUGAAAACACGUGUCAUACAUCCGUGUAAGAAACUCCUUAGGAUUCCAAUAGAGACGCUGAAAUGUGUUACAGUCACCCAUUGUUAUGUCAGAUGGCAUUUAGAACCCCUAGACCGCAUUAUUUCUCGCAAGCUGCACCUCCAUAACAGAUCUCUCUCUCUUAUCUCUCAGAAGUUUAGAACCCAUUUCUCUUCAAAAUGAAAAGAAAAAUUUCCGUCUCCCACUCUAGAAAAUCCGAAGAGACUCACGGAGCGUUUGCCAUGUUCAAAACUCGUAACCCAACCAGUAAGUCAAACCUUUAUGUCACAGCAGCUCCUGCAUCCUCUCAAAGAGGUGUCUCCGUAGCCUUCAAGAACCGCAACAAACAAACCUCUGUGAGUCCCGAGCCGUGGUAGAGUAAGCUGAAAAGUGACGAUGCGGAAGGUAAAAAUCCUCCUCAAUUUGUGUUAUUUCCGUGUCAGCUUGAUGUAUUUGGGUAAACAAGAUCUAACACAUGCAUGUGUGUUUAUCCGUAUGAAGUCCUCCAAACUUGCAGAUCUGAGCCGAUGUACACCACGCACUCGGAUUGUCAGCAAAAUCUGAAACCAGUUAGUGUCUGCCAUAGAAAUGAUGCACAGUGCAGCUCCAAUCAUCCCACAGAGGUACACAUCUUCACACCAACUAUCGUAAUGUGGUGAUUUCCAUGUCGCCUAUAACUCCACCAUGCAAAUGUAUAAGCUAUGUGUCUCGUUGGUGUGCAAAGGUGCUUGAGAUGGAUGCUGGCCAGGAGCAAGGACACGGCAACAGAGACGACAUUUCGGACCUGAGGCAUGCAGAGGUAAAAAUUUUGUUCUCUACCAAUGAUGACCCCCAAAUUGAUACACCUGUUUCCACUGGAACUCAUACACUUGAUUGUUCUGUUGCAGGGAAAAUACCCCAGAUCGGCAAAGGAAACGUGAUGACAAAACCAUUAGCUUACGCUGAAGAAUGGCCACUUAGCAAAAUAGAGAGGUAUAACAUCGCAUCGCUGCUUGUAUAUGACAGAUUUGCUACUGGAUGUAUGAUUCCGUCUAAAAUGAUCUCUCUGUGCAUUAAGUUUUGUUUAUCUUGUUUGCUGGCUGCAUAAAAAUCAGGUGUUGAAAUCAGAGGUAAAAAUGUGGAAGAUACUAUCGGUAAAAUAAAACAAGUAAAAGCAAAGAAUGUUUUGUUUUUUUUGUUUUUUUGUUUUUUUUUUGUUUUUUUUUUGUUAUUGUUUUUUUUUUUUUAAAGAACAUGAAAGGCAGCCUAGGAAUUUAAAUGCAGCUAGAAAUUGAAAGUAAUGAAAGAAAAAUGAAACAAAGUAAAGAAAAACUUAGAAAGUUGGGUUGCUUCCCAAUAAGCGCUUGAUUUAAAGUCUGUAGCUAGACGUUGCAGAAAUCUGGUGGCUAAGUCACUGGAUCCCUCAGAGUUAAUGACUCGCGUGUUGUGUCAUAGGGUGAUUCCAAGUAUGGUUUGAGCCUGUGACCAUUGACCUUGAAUUCAUGACCUGUGACCUCAUUUUUUAUCUCUACAACCCCAUGCGAAUAAACUUUAGUGACCACAUAUGGCCCUGUCCAACGUGACUUAAGUUUGCCAGGAAACAACUUUAAUCUGGAAUUGAAAAAACAACACAUUUUGCCCUGUGUAAAAUUCCCUGUGAAGGAUUUUACUGUCAUGAAAUGCUUUAGUCUUGUCUUUGUAGAUUUUUGAACUUUCAUAUGCAUCAUUACGAAUCUCAUAGAGCUCAUUGAGCUCCAACUUACGCUUCUCCCCAGCUAAAUCAUAUGCAAAAUUUAGCUCCUUAAUAGCCCAAAACGCCUUGUGCUCUAGUUCCAUAGGUAAAUGACAUGCUUUCCCAUACACAAGUCUAAAUGGCGACAUCCCAAUUGGGGUUUUAAAAGCUGUCCUGUAAGCCCACAACGCGUCAUUUAAUUUUAAACUCCAAACCUUACGUGUAGAGCCAACUGUUUUCUCCAAAAUCCGCUUUAAUUCUCUGUUUGUAACUUCCACUUGACUAGAUGUCUAUGGAUGAUAGGGUGUAGCCACGCGAUGAGUAAUCCCAUACUUUGCUAAUAACGCAUCAAACUGUUUAUUAAUAAAAUGCUUCCCCCCAUCACUAAGAAUCACCCGUGGAAUUCCAAAACGUGGAAAUAUAACCCCCUGGAGGAAUUUCAGUACCACUGAUCCUUGAUUAGUUGGUGUUGCAAUGGCCUCGACCCAUUUAGAAACAUAUUCCACAACAACUAAAAUGUACUGAUUCCCAUGAGAUGAUGGGAAUGGUCCCAUGAAAUCAAUACCCCAAACAUCAAAUAACUCAACAAUUAGAAUACUUUGUUGGGGCAUCUCAUUCCUCUUGGAUUGGUUGCCGACUCUUUGAAAUCGGUCACAAGCUCUACACCAAUUAUUUGCUUCUUUAAAUAAUGUAGGCCAAAACAACCCACUUAGCAGAAUUUUCUCUGCUGUCCUUUUCUGUCCAAAAUGUCCCCCACAUGCAUACUGAUGAGAAAAACGCAAAACACAGUCUUGUUCAACCUCAGGAAUGCACCUGCGAAUAAUCUAGUCGGGACAAUACUUAUAUAAGUAUGGUUCAUCCCAGAAAUAAUGCUUGACAUCAGACAAAAACUUCUUUUUCUGCUGAAAUGAAAAAUCGGGAUGCACAACACCCGUAGCCAAAUAAUUAACAAGAUCAGCAAACCAGGGUGUAUUAAUUUGGGCAGCAAAGAGCUGCUCAUGGAAAACGCUCACUCAAUGGUAGAGAAUCUGCCUCCUUAGUUGCUGGAAUAAUUAAUCUGGAUAAAUGGUCAGCCACCACAUUUUCACUGCCUUUCUUGUCUUUAAUCUCUAAGUCAAAUUCUUGGAGUAAAAGAACCCAUCGAAUCAACCUAGGCUUUGCAUCCUUUUUAGACAACAAGUAUUUUAAUGCAGCAUUAUCAGUAUAAACAAUUAUUUUAGCUCCAACCAAAUAAGACCAAAACUUCUCUAAGGCAAACACAACUGCCAAUAAUUCUUUCUCUGUGGUAGCAUAGUUAAGUUGUGCAUCAUUGAGUGUACGACUUGCAUAAUAAAUGACAUGCGGAAGCUUGUCUUUCCGCUGUCCUAAAACUGCCCCAAUAGCAUAAUCAGAAGCAUCACACAUUAAUUCAAAUGGUAAACCCCAAUCUGGUGCAGCAAUGAUGGGUGCCGAAGUUAGGAGUGAUUUCAACUUGUUGAACGCUUCUAAGCAAGCCUCAUCAAAAUUAAAUGGUGCAUCUUUAGCCAAUAAAGUGCACAAAGGUCGGCUGAUCUUGGAGAAAUCCUUGAUGAACCGACGAUAAAAUCCUGCAUGUCCCAAAAACGAUCUAACACCUUUUACUAAUGUAGGGGGUGGCAACCUUGCAAUCACAUCAAUUUUAGCUUUGUCAACUUCAAUGCCUUUGCUAGAAAUUGAAUGACCCAAAACAAUUCCCCGUUUCACCAUAAAAUGACAUUUUUCCCAAUUCAGCACUAAAUUUGUUUCUUGAUAUCUCUCAAGAACUAAUGACAAAUUAUGUAGGCACUGAUCAAAUGAAUCUCCAAACACAGAAAAAUCAUCCAUAAAAACUUCCACAAUUCUUUCAACCAAGCCAGAAAAGAUACUCAUCAUACAACGCUGAAAAGUGGCGGGUGCAUUGCAUAAUCCAAAUAGCAUCCUCCGAUAGGCAAAUGUUCCAAAUGGGCAUGUAAAUGUUGUCUUCUCUUAAUCCUCUGUUGCAAUUGGAAUCUGAUUGUACCCAGAAUAGCCAUCCAAGAAAUAAUAAAAAGCCCUGCCAGCCAAUCUUUCUAACAUUUGGUCAGUAAACGGUAGAGGAAAAUGGUAUUUUCGUGUACCUGCAUUUGGCUUCCUAUAAUCCACACACAUACGCCAGCCUGUAGUUAAGCGCGUAGGAAUAAUCUCAUUGUUGUCAUUUUUAACUACUGUCAUGCCAGUACGUUUAGGAACAACCUGCGUAGGACUCACCCAUUUACUGUCUAAAAUAGGAUAAAUCAUACCUGCAUCAAGUAAUUUCAUAACCUCUGUUCUGACCACCUCUUUCAUAAUUGGGUUAAGACGGCGUUGAGCAUCAACUGUUGGCUUCACGUUGUCUUCCAUUAAAAUUCUGUGCAUACAGAUUGCUGGGCUAAUACCCUUGAUGUCGGCAAUUGUCCAUCCUAGUGCAUCUUGAUAUUUCCUCAAAACACGAAGCAAUUUAUCUUCUUCUGUGGGAGUUAAAUCAGCUGCAACUAUAACUGGCAGUGUUUCUGCAGCCUCUAAAUGUGCAUAUUUUAAAUGUUCUGGUAAGGGCUUCAGCUCCAAUUUUGGUGGCUGUUGUCUGGACGGCUUAAAGGGGUUGUUUUGGCUCCCCUAAGCUCUCGUAAACAUUUCUAAACCUUGGCAACUGUGUGGGCAAACUGUCCAAUGCGUGAAUGUACUCAAGAACACCUUCAUCUUCAGAAUCUGUUCCUAUUUCCCCUUGUAAAACGUGCAGCAACUUAUCUGUAUUUGAACUGGCAUAAAAACUAUCUUGAACCAUAUUGUUUAACACAUCAAUGCGCAUACAAUCUUGCUGUUCAGCAGGAUGUUUUGCUGCCUCAAACAAAUUAAAUACCACAGAUUGGUCUUGAACUCGUAAAGUUUGCGUUCCAGCUUCCACAUCAAUUAAAGUUUUAGCUGUUACCUUAAACGGCCUCCCCAAAAUGAUAAGUGUUUGAAGGUCUUCAUCCAUGUCUAAAACCAUAAAAUCCGCCGGUAGAUAAAGAUUAUCAACCUUAAUAAUAAGAUCUUCAAUAACACCUCUUGGAUAAGUGAUUGAACGGUCAGCUAGUUGAAGUAUAAUUGAUGUAGGCUUUAAAUCUCCUUGUCCCAAUCGCUGGAAAACAGAAAAAGACAUCAAAUUAAUACUCGCACCCAAAUCAAUUAAAGCACUUUUAAAAUUAGAAUUUCCAAUAGUACAAGAAAUAUUAAAACUCCCUGGAUCUUUUUUCUUAGGUGGCAGUUUGUGUAGCAAAACUGCACUGCAUUGUUCAGUCAAAACAACUUUGUCCAAAUCUGCAAGCUUCUUUUUGCUGCUGCCAACCUCUUUUAGAAAUUUGGCAUAUGAUGGUAUUUUCUUGAUUGCAUCCAACAAUGGAAUGUUGAUUUGAACCUUGGAUAAUGUCUACAAGAAAUCUUUAAGUUGUUGAUCUCUUGCUUUAGGAAUUACACGUUCAGGGUAAGGCAGUGGAGGGUCAUAAACACGCUAAGAAAUCUGUUUUGGGACUGUUUCUGUACUGUGUAGAUUCUGUUUUUCUGCAGAUUUGUCAGGUUCUGCUGCUGGCAUUUCAGAUUCUGCAGUAAUUGGCACUGCAGGCAGAUUCUGUUCAGUAUAAAUUGCACGAUUGUCAUAACUUUUUCCACACCGUAAAGUUCGAACAACAUUGCAGUCUUCAUGUCCUCUUGGAUUAGGCACUGUUUGACUAGGAAAUUUGCCUUUUCCUCUAUCUGAAAUCUGUGCAACUAGCUGCCCAAAUUGUUGCUCCAAACUUUUAAUUGAUGCUUCAACAUUUUGAAUUCUUUGAUUGCUGCCUUCCAUGAAUGUUUGUGUUGUAGCUGCCAGUUUAGAAAGUUGAUCUUCCAAGGAUGGUUUUGAUGGCACAAAAGGUUUUUGUACAUGCUGGAAUGGUUUUGAAUUAUUCUGAUUAUCACCCUAUUUGAAAUUAGGAUGAUCCCUCCAUCCUGGAUUGUAAUGAGUUGCAUAUGCAUCAUUCCUAGGCCUUUGAUAGCCGUUCAUCAUAUUAACAUGUUGCUCCACAAGCUCUGGGUAAGAUUCUUUAUGUGGACAACCCAAUAUGUUGUGUGUAGCCAUGCUGCAGAUAGUGCAAACUGUUGCUGCAGGUGGCUGCUGCUGUAGAAUUGGCUAUCUAUUGUAGAAUAAUAUCAAACUUGGCAUCAAUUUUCUUCUCCAUCUUUUCCAUUUGUGCAGACAUAUUAGGAGAACCUGCUGAUAACUCAAAAAUGCCCAUUUUCUGUGAAUGUUUUGCUGCCCAUUGUUGAGAUUCUGUAGCCAUUGUAUCAAAUAAUUCAAAUGCUUCUCUUGCAGAUUUAUUUGACAAUGAACCCCCAGUUGAUGCAUUAACAUGGCUUUUGGAUGUAGGAUUAAGCCCAUCAAAGAAAAUAUUCAUUUGUGUAUCUGGAUCAAUAUUAACAUGUGGACAUUUUAUAUACAUCUCUGUAUAUCUCUCCCAUGCUUCAUGAAAUUCUUCGUUUGGCUUUUGAGUGAAUGUCAUAAUCUCCCGCUUGUAAUUCAAUGUCUUGGAUGCCGGAUAAUAUUUGUUCAGGAAUCUUGUAUGCAAUUGUUGCCAAGUAGUAAUGCUAUUAGCUGGUAAAGUGAAUAACCAAGUUUUAGCCUUAUCCUUCAAAGUAAAAGGAAAACGACGUAACUUAAUAGCCUCGGCAGAAAAACCCCUGAUCAAGAUAUUUUUGCAACCCACGAUAAAUUUUGCAACAUGUAAAUUCACAUCCUCGUUAGGCAGCCCAUGAAAAGUAUGUAAAAUUUCAAGCAUAUGGUGCUUGAUCUCAAAUGAAUCGCCAUCUUCCUGGGCAGGAUAUACAAUACAAUUAGGAACAUCAUUAGCUCGGGCAGCAAAUGACUCUCUUAGUGGCCUGCCUGCAGUAGGCAAUUGCAACGCCAUUGUGAUUUUAUCGUCUACAAAACCAGCAAAUAAUUUUUUCAGAAAUGUGCCUUGCAGUUCACCGUCCCAAACCAAAUUAUUUUCUCUCCUCUGUCUAUGCAGUGUGCGUUCGGGUUCUGGAUCAAACUGUGCAAUCUGGGCAGUUCCUGAUCUGGUCUGGACCAUGCAGUUUACAGAAUUUGCAAUAACACAAAAGCGUUAAAAUAAAUUGAUUUUUUUUUGAUGAAAAAUAAUAUAUAAAAAAAUAAUCAGAAAAAGUUUAAACAAAAAUUAUCUAAAAUAGUCCCCGGCAACGGCGCCAAUUUCUUGAUAGGAUUUUUAACGUCUAUGCAAAUAGGGUCAAAAUCACAUGAAAUACUUGCAAGAAUACAAGGAUAUUGUAGUGUAGAUGCUCAUGCAAGGUUGUUUUCCUCAAGGACUAUUUGGAUAAUUUGUAUAGAAACAAUUCCUAAUUAAAUACUUAGAAUUAAAACUUGAGAAAAGAGAGUUUGAGAAUGGGUAAUAUUAAAAACGAAUUUUAAACAAAAACUAAAAUAAUCGAAGAAAAGAGUUUUAAAUACCAAUUUAUAAAGGCACUAGGGUUCCACCAUCACCUAGCAAUCCUAUGAGUUUCUACCAAUUACUUACGAUUUACACAUGCUACUUCGAAGGUUAGGUUUUCCUAAUAUAUAUUCUCCUCGUGAUAUUCAAGCAAGAACGUAUAUCUAACAUGCAAUCCGUCUGUGAUAUUCAGAUCAAAUAUGAACAUGCAAGACUCAUUAAGUUUUAUGAAAACCUUUUGAAGAACCAUGCAACCCCUAAGAACGUGAUAUUCGCCUUAGAUGGAAUUACAAUUAUCAAUCACAAGAAGCAAUACUCAAUCCUCCGGUGAUAUUCCGACCGAAUUGCAUCCAAUUACUUGUCUAAACAUCCUAAUGGUUGCCAAUCAUCAAGAUAAUUAGAUAGUUUAAAACAGUGAUCAAUAAUUCAAAGUGUGCAUGCAAUCAAUCAUAAGCAAUUAAAUAAAAAUUACAUAUUCAUGCUAAGGCUCAAGGUUUCGCCCUAGCAAAAGGAAUUAGUUAUGCAUAUUCAUAACUGAAAUCAUAGAAAAUAUUCUUAAGAAGAAAAGGAAUGAAAACACCUUAAAGUAUAAAAUCUCCAAGAACCCUCGCCAAGUUCUUUGUCUCUGAAGUUGAAUAAUAAUAAGCGUAGAGAAAAAUGUAGACGGCCAAAGCAAUAUAUUUGCUCAGCCCCCACAAACCCUAAGACAUAGGUUUCUUAUUCCAACUAGGAAACUACGAAAAAUAAUAAAAUAUCUUAGAAAAUAAAACCCUAAUUAAACUAGGAGAAUCUGCCAAAUACUUGUCCAGCAACGUUUUAGCCUCAGAUCUCCUCCAAAUCCGGCCCAAGACAGCUUGUUUUAAAGAUAAGGAUAUUCCGAACACAUCUCCAGAAGGUCACGAAACCAUCCAAGGUCAUUUUGGGCUCCAAAAACGCAAUUUAAGCCCAGAAACGUCAUUUUCCAGCACCGCGCAUCGCUCCUUUAUUUUAUCACCAGAAAAUAACCGCUUGAUGGAAAAAUUCCAAAUUUUGAUACGACCAAGCUAAGUGACUCACGAACGUCCUCCAACUGGAAUUGCUCCAAAAUUCGUCCAUUUGUCCAUGUUUUGCUCCAGAGGAAGUCGAAAGUCCUAUAUUGAAAAUACAAUUCAAAGUAUCAAAAUUCUUCCAAAAUAUUAACCAAAAUAUACUAAGAAUAGGGUUAAAUAUAUAAUAUAAAAUUCACUUAUCAUGUGUCAUGUGUGAAGAACGGACCUCUAACUAAUCCAUCCAUCAUCUUAUUUCUUAAAUUCGUUUUACUAUCUGCCUAGUUUUCUAACUUGUUUGUUUGUUUCAAAUUCAUCAAAACUAAAAUCCCCUUUUUACUUUCUCAUUUCAAAGUGUUUAAAAUCUGUUUUGUUUGUGUUUUAGAGUGUUUUGAGUCAAGUCAAAACCUAAAUUUCGUCCAAAGUUUUGUUAGAGUCAGAAACUGCCUAGUUUGUGUUUUUAGGUAUUUUUGAGUGUUUUUAAGUUGUUUUGAGUCUGGUGAAUCUGUUUUGAGUCGUUUGAGUCUAUUCAAACGUUUUUAACUUUGUUUUUAUGUUUUUGAGUUAGUUUAGAGGUUUUAGCAAGCCCUCCUAAUCCCCGGUUUAGAACGAUCCCUACUUGCAUUUUUACUACAAUUUGACAACAAGAGGGUUUAAUUUGAGUGCUUAACUAUCAUCGCAUCACAGGCCUUCGAAUGGCAAAAGACUUGGCGGUAAAGAAGCUCGCAAUUCAUUCUAAUUACCAGCUAAUUACCAGCUAGACUACUGGGGAGUACACGGCAAAACAUCCGAGGAUGGCGCAAUACCUAAAGAAAGUACGCAAGCAGUUUAAGACAUUUCAGACUUACACUCUUACUCAAGUUCCCCAGGCAGACAACGCCCAUGCAGAUGUGCUAGCCGGCUUAGGACUCCGCUCUCGACCACUAAUUCAAAUGCUUUAUUCCAGUGGAAUAUCUAGACAAGCUAAGCAUAGAGAUGGAGCCGGCAACCAAAGUGUCACAGGUUAGUGUAACUCCUAACUGUCAAAGUUCUAUUAUAAACUACCUGGUCAACGACACACUCCCCACCAAAAGAUUGGAGUCUCGAAAACUCCAAAUCAAGGCGGCACGCUACUACAUGUGGAACGACAUUCUCAUAUGAAGAUCCUGCACUGGACCACGUCUCCGCUGCUUAGUGCCUCCCCGAUGACUUAAAGGUUCUAAGCUCAAUCCAUGAAAGCAUUUGUGGAAAUCACUCCGGAGGUCGAUCCUUGGCACAAAGGGCUUUUAACACAAGCUACUAUUGGCCUACCAUGCACUAAAAUGCUAAAGAAUUAGUACAAAAGUACGACCGCUGCAAAACGCUACAAGCCGGGACUAGCAUUGCCUGCCAGCAAACUACACCCGCAGACGAGUCAUUGGCCGUUCAUGCAGUGGGUAGUUGACCUGGUAGGACCUAUGCCACCUACUAUUGGCGGCAUAGACAUGAUGAUUGUAGCAACUGACUACUUCACCAAAUGGUUAGAAGCAGAGCCCAUGAAAACCACGAUUCAAACGGACAUAGAGCGCUUCAAAUGGAGAAACAUCAUUUGCCGAUUUGGCAUCCCUCAGUCCAUCAUCACCCACAACAGCCCGCAAUUUAUGGGCAGAGAUUUGGCCAAGUUCUUCCAAAAGUAUGGCAUCAAGCAGCACAUGUCCAUGUCAAUAUAUCUUCAAGGCAAUGAGCAAGCCAAAGCAUCAAACAAAAUGAUCUUCGACUGCCUCAAGAAAUCCCUUACCAAUAAGAAGGGAAAAUGGCCAGACGAACUUCCCAAAUGUCUAUGGGCAUAUCGCACCACCAAAAUACGAGCAACCGGUGAGACUUCUUUCUAUUUGGCAUUUGGCUAAGAAGAAAUCAUUCAUCCUAAUGUCAUCAAGCCAAGUAUUAUCGCUCUACUACCAAGCAUUGAGCAGAACAGUAAGGAGAUGUCCACAAGCUUAGAUCUGGCAGAGGAGAAGUGAGAGCAGACCAUUACCUGCAUCGCAACCUACCAACAACUCAUUUCCAACUACAACAAAAAGGCCAAGAUUCGGCAGUUCCAUCCCGAAGAUCUAGUCCUAAGAAAAGCCUUUAUCACUGCCUAUGGAGAAGGCUCCAAAAAGAUGGAUCCUAUCUGGGAAGGUCCAUACAAGAUCAGCAGAGUAGGCGGCAAAAGUAAUUACACCCUUGCCACCAUGAAACAAUAAAAAGAUCGAAAAGCAAUAGAACGCCUACAAUCUGAAGAAGUACCAUGUGUGACCUCCGGCUACAUCAAAACCCGAAGACUCAAGAAGCUCGACGGGCACCACCUCACAAGCCGAAGACUAUCCAGUUGUUAUGCAGUUCCUACCUUACAACUAAGUUCUUAUUCGUUUCACUUAUUUUUUAAUGAGGAAUUCAGAAGUAAUAACAACUUGGCUCGGUCGUAUACUUACAACAACUUAUCACUCCUGCACUUCAAAAGAAGACUGCACCCUUCUUAGGGACUGAUUGCAGGAAUUGUGCCCCCCGAAGAACCAAUCAUGCUUUCUAGUGCGAGAGGGUAAACUAAUAGCUCUCCAGUGUGAGAGGGUAAACCAAUUCCCCAACACCCAUAUGGGUUAGCUCUCUAAGAUGGGAAGAUAAACUUUACACUCCGAAUAUCCAGACGUGGAUGAGCCUGGCUGCCCUAGUAUAACUAGAUGCACGAUGGCUUGUGCCGAGAUUCCUAAAAGUAGCCACAAUGGUCUUUUUCAAGACUUAGCUAACUAAAGGAUUUUGGGUCUCUUGGCCUAAUCCAUAGGGAACCGAGCCCUAGAGACGGAGGGGGCACAUUACGCAGUAUGCCCUACAGACGACUGCCCUGGAACCCUAAAGUUUAUACCGAGUGCACUAAGGUAGCCUACGGUUUCCGGAAGACUGCUUACGGCUUGCCCUUCGAGCAUUAAAGCCGUGCUAGACUUAUUUAACCGCACAUUCUUGUGAAAGGUUAAACAAGCUAGCGCGCAUAUGCGAAGCUUUAUCCACUGCCGACAUGCUGCGUAGUGGAUAAGCUUCACCUCUACCAAGCUCGGAACAACCUACACCAAGUCCUAAAGUGUUGUGAUACUUGCUAUGCAACCUACGGAAUUGGAGAAAGUAAAGGUUAACAGCCUAGUGGUUACGCAGACUUGUCUGCUUCUGUAAGUAAGGCAUCCGACUGCCAACCUUAUGGCUAACAACUUUGCAAAGUUCUACACCAAUACCUACGGCUGCAUAGGCUACGCAAGCUUGUCUGCUUAUGAAAAAGUAGUAUGCCUGCCACUGGUCUAUCAAGUCUAAAGGUUAGGGCAUGAACAAAAGAAGCAAAGAUGAAGAAAAGCGAAGGAAGCAUGUUUAUAAAUAAUUAGCAAAGGCCGAAGGAGUUCAAGCAAAACAAGUGAUACAAGGAAAAACAAAUAAAAUCCUAAAGGCUACCUAGAAGACUACAACAGCUUGGACAUCCCACGACUACUCGGUCGCCACACCUUCAGCAGCUGCAAUACUCUUAGCAGCAACAUCACCCCUGGCUACCCUAGCCUGGGCAUUAACUUCUCCAAUUACUUCACCAAUGGAAGCCUCAAAAGUAAAAACAAGCAAGUCUUCCAGAGAAAUAGAAAAGGUCUCGAAACCUCAAGUCCAUCAUUCUCACCCUUCAGCUGCUCAUUUUUCUCAAACAGACCAACAAGGAUGCACUAUAGCUCAUCCACUUCCUUUUUCAAACUUUCAUUGAUCUUCAGUACACCUUGAAGUUCCAACACUUGGGUUCAAGCCUAUCGACGAUUCUCUUGAAGUGGAUCACUUGAUUAUAAGCAGCAAUCAACUCUUCAUCCUUUGCAUAAACAGCGAAAUGAAGCUCAGAAAUUGCAAACUCAAGAUCUUGAAUCUGAGGUAUGUAACAUCCAAUCUCCUUCUUUGCACUUUCAUACUUAACUUGGAUCGCGUCAAGCCUAGUCUUCAAGUCAAUUAUCUCUUGGCAAGUGGUCUUAAGCUGCAGAGAAGUAGGGGCAUAAAUAUUAGACCCCUUCAAAGCAACGAGCUCAGGAUCUAACCUCUUGAUCUCCUUAGCUGAGGAAUAAGCUUCAGCUGCCAUAGUCUUCGCCACUUCCUUGGCUGCCUUGCUACAUCUGCAUCAUAGCAAGCAGAGCAGUCAUUCUAUAUUGGGUCGUAUGCUUUGCGAAGGAACUUGGGCAAAUAACCUUUCUAACGCCAUCAACAAACUUGGCACAAACAUCCAUGUCUUCAAGCAAAUCUGGUCUUAAAAGCACAUGGAUCUCAACAGCCUCCCUAGAAGCAGGCUUAGUGGAUUUCUCACAGCUACCCAUGCGAUCAAUCUUUUUUUUCCCAGCAGGCGAGUCAGUCUCUACAGCAGAGGGAGUGGGCUUUAGCGUUACUUUAGCAGCAGAGUCCACCUUAUCGCUCUUCAUAAUAACAAGCCUCUCCAAAGGUGAACCAAACUUAGCUCCCAACGGACUUCUUGGUACAGACUUCGGCACUGGGGGCAUGACAAGACCUCUACACUGAGCAACCCUAUCAGCAAUCGUACUAGCCAUUCUCGAUGAUAGGCGCCACAUGCUCAAAUCUAGCAGCCUCGUUUUUCUUCCCAUCAGAAGAAGUCAUGGCAAUCACAAACCUCUCGGCAGUAGGCAGACCCUCACUAGCAGCGAAAUAAGUCUUCAGUUUUCUCUUAACCAGCAUCUCUUGAGUAGGCAGGGAAGAUCUCUUUUUUCCAUCUUCAUUCAUAGUAAACUCUACGACAGCAAUCAGAAGAGCCAAUGCAUCUGCCUUGAUCUUCUUUACCUCAUCUUUCGGGGGCGGCCUACCUUUCUCCUGACGAAGAGGACUAAGCAGCCAAAGAAAUUCACGGUACUUAGUAGAGGAGCUCAACCCAGCAUUCUAGCAGGCAGGAGGCUUACAUGCCCUGCAUUCCAGCAACCCAUGAAGCCCACGACCUCCUCAUUUCUUUCAGUCGCGAGCCUGGCCCGAGGAAGGUCCAAGAGCCUAAAGGACAUGAGCCAUGUGGCUCGCCUAACACUGCACCCCAGCGCCACAUUCCGCGGCCCCGGCCACACAAGUUGCCCUUGGCUUUAGCCAAGCCAAACAGCCCAAGCAGUGGCCCCUGCCACGACGCCUCUUCGGCCUAUGCCGAGCUGACUCCUGGCCCUUUCUAGCUGACAUGCCACACCACCUCGACAGCUGCCCGCAAUAGCACUAUCCAAGAAGAAAACAAGAAAAAAUUAAAUUUUUCUUACAUUGGUAUGGCACGGAGAAUACGAAGAAAUUAACGAAAGACAGUCCUUUGAACGAGCGAGAUGUAGAAGAUUGCUAGAGGAAAGGGAACAAAUAUCCUCUAAGCUCUCUUUCUCUUGUAUGGUAGAAUAAAUCGCUCUCCAAAGUUGAUUUAAUAACCCACUUAAUGUGGACUUCAAUAGGAUCCUUUCCUAGAAUGACCUAAUUUCCUAUUAAAGAGGGAAUCUACAUCAGGACGCAGUUCCUAAAGCAAGAUGAUCUCUACACCUGCUGCCUUUUCCUAUGAGCAGCCCAACAGGUGUAGGGGCAUUUGUGGAGCCAAAAAUAAUCACAAGGCGACACGUGGAUUUUUGGACAAAAGAGGGCAAAUAUACCCUUGAGGUACAACAUGGUUCCUACGCACGAGCAGUGGGCAAUCAUCCUUCAACCAAAUCAAAAGUGCCCAAAAUAGGUAACAAAUUCAAAGUUAUUUCAUCCAUCCUCAUCCUAUAUUUUGCACAAGGUAAUUAUUUCAUAACCUUCAAAACAUCCCAUAUAAAUUACAUAACCCCUAAAAUAUUUAUUCCAAAAAUGUGUUGAUUAACCAAUUAAUGGAUUAAUUGCCUAAUUAAUCCAUUAAAUCACACAUUAAACCAUAAGUUACACCCUAAAAACAUCCAAAGGGGACCGGCCACCCUAUCCCUAUAAAUAGGCUCCCAUUUUCACCAAAAGAUGAUUCCAACACACUUACAAAGUUCCCAAUACUCUCCAAACAUUUUUCUCUCUAAAUUCUAACUUUGGCAUCGGAGGUUCUUUGGCCAAAGCCCCCCCAUUCAUCGUGGGCGCAUGAGGUUCUUGGCCUUGACCCUAAGGUGUUAAUUGUUUUGUAGGUGCAAUUUGUCCAAGAUCAAGAAGGAAGAAAUUUGCAUUCACAAUUUGCAUCUGGAUUUUGCUAAAGAGUUUUCAAGGGAGGUGAGAGUGAGAAAUUGGGUGUGUAGGACUUGUUAAGAAAUGGAAAUUGCAUGGUGCCAAAUGCUAGAGGGAUUGUGGGGUUUGGAACUGGGAUGGAUUUGAAGGUGUUUCCAUGGAAGAUUAUUGAGAUGGAAAGUGGAAAGAUGGAGAUGCACAGAAAAAGAGAGGGGUAGCUGGAGAAAGAAGAAUCGGAGGUUUCAUAUUUAUUUUUUAUUCAAAUUUUUUUUUUUAAUAUUUAAUUAUUUUGAUUCACCACAUCACCAAAAUAUGUUAGUUUUAUAUUUGUCACGCCACUACUUAACGGUCAAAUUAAUGGUUUGAGUAAAGGAUGUAUGAAAUUGCAAAAAAAUGAUAAAUAAUGUAUGAGAUUGAAAUGUUUUAAAGAUGUUGUAUGAGCUUGCAAUAGCACCCAAACCUAAGGGGGUAAAAUGUAAUUUACCCAAAGAAAUAAUAAAGAAGAAUAAAACUUUUACCUUUGAUUCUUCUUCCUCGUGAACGUUCUGCAUAAUUGCAACCUUUUGCUUCUUUCUUCUCUUUCUGUUAAGACUCGCUUUUUGUAUGUCUGCAGUUUGCAUUCUUCUCUUCUCCACUACUUUCAACUCUUUUAGCUUUUUGCCAUUUGUCUCCCACUUUCAUUUGAACCUAGCCUUCGUUUUUUUAUAGACUCAAGGAGCAGUUCAUAGAUCAUUUUCCGCUUUUUAUUAUGUGUACCACUUUCCUAGGAUGUGAGAGGUUGGCAGAAGGCCAUCACUUAGCGGAGGAAGGGUAAGGAAAAGAGCUAGACCUGGCAUUUUUAACUCGACCCAACCCGAUCCGUUAAAAUUAGCAUUCGAGUGAGUGAUAAAGGGUUGGGUGGUUAACGGGUUAACCCAUUAAUCACUCGUUAAAUAACGGGUCAUUUUGGGUAAACCCAUGAAACCCGUUAACCACUCGUUAACACCCGUUAUUGAGGACUUUUGUGUAAUUUCAAUAGUCCUAAGCCCAAGUGGGUGGCCCUAUGUGGAUCGAACGGCUGCAAUCGACUCUCAAAAACUUUCCACCUCUGUAAAAAAAGACAGCUCUUAGAUUCAAUCCCUUGUGCUCACCUUUGCUACACCUACAAUUCUCAACUCAGAUCCACGUCCGUCAAAAGAGACAUCCCACAAAUUACAUUUCCAGCUGGCCAUAUUGAAGAGGGCAAUUUGUGGGCCAUGCAAAGCCCACCCAACUGCCCAAGUCCGGCCACGCCAGUAGGCCGUCUUUUUUUUUUGUGUUGGUGAAACAUGCGGAACUGAUAAAAUCACCGGAUAGAUGACCUUGUUGGUCCAAUUUCGAAGAGCAUUUUGAUAGUAAAGAUGGGUUUGUUAGUGUAUAAGAUUCCAACUAGGAUUCUCAUGGGCUAGGUUUUGUAAAUCCCUGUGGACUUUAGAUUACUCGUACCCAAGUCAAUUGACUUGUAUAUAUUUGUAUCUUUGUGAGAUCAAUUAAAUCAAUACAAUUUAAUUCUACUUGGUAUCACUCGUUUAGGUUUCCCUUUCUUGACAAAACCCUAGCCCCUUUUUGCUUCAAAUUAACUCCUAGCUAUUCCCCCUUAUCUUUUCUUGAUGUGCCCUAGCUUCUUCCAUGGCUACUCAGGCUUCGUAUACAUCACCCAUGUUGGACCCUCUCUCUCUGGUCCCAACGUUGCCCACUUAUGCAAACUCAUUGAUUCCAACUACAUACUUUGGCUUAGUCGAAUGAUGUCGUUUCUUCUGGGUCAUAAUUUAUUUGGCUAUGUGGAUGGCUUUAUUCCAGCCUCUGCCGCCACUUUUCCUGCUGUUGAUAAGGAACCCACUACACCAAAUCCUGCUUUUGCUAUGUAGUUCCAGACUGAUCAACUAGUUAUUAGUUAUCUGACUUCCACACUUUUCGAGCCUAUUUUGUCCCUUGCUAUUGGAAAAACCUCCUUUAAAGCUAUACGGGAGUGUCUACGUGUGCACUUUUCUCAACAAUCUCUCGCCAAUGCCACAAAUCUUCAGUUUCAAUUUCUGGCACUUACGAAAGGUUUACGUACCAUCUCGGACUACUUUCAAUAGCCUAAGUUUUACGCUGACUCUCUUGCUGCUAUUAAUCAACAUGUCUUUAAUAUUGAUUUAGUGAGCUCUAUCCUUGAAGGUCUUGGUCUUGAUUAUUCUAUGUUUGUUACAGCUAUAAUGAAUUCUCCACCUUUCCCGAAGUUCCCCGACCUACGUUCUCGUCUCUUGACUUUUGAGAACUAGACUCGACCUGUUCCCACUGCCAAUUUUCUGCAACAGCACAUGGGCCAACCUUCUAUACAGCAAUAUGAGGGCCAGCCUCAUCUUUAUCAGCUUAUUAAUCAAAACAUGCAGCAUCUCAUUCGUCAUCUCUUACCACAACAGGCAUCAACAUCUCAAUCCUCCCUAUGUUGUUGAUUUCCAAGUGUAAGUCCAUGAUGCCGUGAUGCAGCAAAGCCUGCCACGUGCCAGAAAUCAAGGUCGUGGUGGGUUUCAUCAGCAUCCACAUGGCUGGGCUCGUGGUGGUGGUCGUGGUGGCCAUAGUGGCGAUGAUUGCGGUGCUCCUCCUGGUUUUUGGAUGUCUGCAUCUCCCCGUUCCUCCCUUAGCUGAUUAUGUGCGGCUACUGAUCCUACUUAGUACUUUGAUACGAGAGCCACUCACAACAUGCCCAACAAUGGGGUUGCUCUUCAUAACCCAUCUCCUUAUAAUGGUAACGAAACUAUCCUCGUUGCUAAUAAGACUUCUCUUCCUAUAACUCACAUUGAAUCUUCUCCUCUCACCUUAGGUUCUCAUCAAUUCAAAUUAAAUAAUGUCUUAUAUGUUCCCUACAUUAAGAAAAAUCUUCUCUUUGCCUCUCAGUUUACUAAAGAUAAUUUUGUUAUCAUUACUAUUCAUCAGUUUGGUCAAGUAAUCUCUGAUUUUUACUAUGGUUGUUUGUUGUUUCAAGGCAGCCAUGAAGGUCAUCUUUAUCUCGUCUCGCCAUCACGUCUAUUUGCCUUUCAUGUUGUUCCUCUUCCUUGUGGCACUCCUGUCUUAGUCAUCCAUCUUCCAAAGUUUUGUCUAAGAUGUCUUUAGGUUCUAUGUCACAAUUAUAUAAGGCUUUUUGUAAGCCAUGUGUACAUUCUAAGUCACACAAUUUACCUUUUAAUUCCAAUACAGUUAUUGCUCUGUUUCCAUAUUAUUUAAUUCAUUUUGAUGUUUGGAUGUCCACUACUCCGUCAAAUUCGGGAUUUCAUUAUUAUGUAUUAUUUAACGAUGAUUAUAGUAGUUAUUCAUGGAUUUUCCCUAAGCGGGCCAAAUUGGAGGUUUUAAUGCACUUUGAAACCCUUUAUCAUAUGGCAAGUGCCUUCGCCCAUGAGCGGUAGGUCUCGGGUUCGAGACUUGGGAGCAACCUCUCUAUAAAAUGGGGGUAAGGCUAGUCGACAUUCACCUCUCCCAAACCCUGCGUAAAGCGGGAGCCUUGUGCACUGGGUACGACCUUUAUGGUGGUACUGAAUAUAUUAAUCAUUCAUUUGAAACAUUUUGUCAACAAACUGGAAUUGUUCAUCGUGUCUUAUGUCCCCACACUCCUGAACAAAAUGGCCUAGCCGAGCGCAAACACCAAUAUAUAUCCACCGUCACCCAUCUUCUUCUAAAUACUGCCCACGCUGCCCCUUCCCUUUAGGUUGAAGUCGCCCUCACUGCUAUCUUUAUUAUUAAUCUUCUUCCUACUUUGGUUUUGGGUUGGUCUAGUAAUUAUUUUCGUUUAUUUGGUCAUCAUCCCUAAUUGUCCCCCCUUCGUAUGUUUGGUUGUGCAUGUUAGCCGCACUUAGGAGCUUAUAUCACUAACAAAUUGGAACCUUGUUCCAAAGAAUGUCUUUUUGUAAGGUACAACUCUCAACUAAAGGCUACCGUUGUCUUGACUCAACCAUUAAUGGGAUUUUUAUCUCUCAUGUCACUUUUGACGAGAAUAAUUUUCCGUUUGCCCCACCUACUACCUAUGUAGCUCUACCUCCUAAUAUUCUGCUUCUUUUGGAACCUACGCAUGCACCUCUCAUCGGAGCCCAACCUAGUGUGCCUCCCCUUAGAGCCUAGCCCAUCAUGCCUCCUUCUGCAACUCCACCUAUGCGUCUAAUCUUGCAGCCUGACACACUUCUUCCCGUGCCCAACAUGUUUACUUCUGUCCCUCCGACCAGCGUGCUGAGCCACGUGGCGCUAGUCUACAUGCCGUCGCCACUUGCUUUGGAUCUAGGUUAGCCCAAUUAGGCCCAACAUCUCUGCAGCCUUCCAGCCAAUUUUUGUUGAGUCCUCAGCAGACCACUAUACCAGCGCCUUUCUUGCUUGUCCCAUUUGGGCCUUCCUCACUCCAUCCUAUGGAGACUAGAUCACGCACUGGCCACUCUCAACCCAUAUUCUGACGGCAUUGUUCAUUACCCAGUGCCCCAUUUACUCAGGCCUCCAUCUCUGAUUCCGUUGAACCCACAUGUUUCACUUCGGCCUUACGUCUACUUGAGUGGUGUAUCGUCAUGACUGAAGAAUUUAAUGCUUUACUUAAAAAUGGUACGUGGUCUCUUGUUUCUUGUCAUCCUCUCAGAAUUUUGUUUUUUGCAAAUGGGUUUUUCGGAUUAAGUAUAAUGCAGAUGGUUCCAUUAAGUUGUAUAAGGCUCGUCUAGUUACCAAAGGCUUUCAUCAGCAAUAUGGGUAUGAUUAUGACUUAACAUUUAGUUCGAUUGUUAGUUCUGCCACCAUUCGUUUUGUGUUCAGUUUAGCAAUCACUCAUGAGUGGUCUACUCGGCAACUAGAUGUCAAAAAUUCUUUAUUGUAUGGUUGGUUACAAGAAAAUGUUUAUAUGGUUCAACUGUCUGGUUUUGUGGACCCUCAAUGACCCCAUCAUGUCUGUAAACUGCACAAGGCUCUUUAUGGUCUCAAACAACCUCCCCAGGCUUGGUUUUAGCGCUUUAGUACAUUUAUCCUCCGUCAAGGCUUCAUUCAAAGUCUUGCUGACCUAUCUCUCUUCACUUUUCACCAUGGUACGACACAUCUUGUUUUACUACUUUAUGUCGACGAUAUUGUGUUAACUGGCAAUGAUUCAAUAGCUUUUCGACGAUGAAUUUGUGAUUAAAGAUCUUGGGCUUUUUAAUUAUUUUCUUGGUCUUGAGGUUCAUCUUACCUCUGUUGGUCUCCAUUUAUCUCAAACCAAGUAUGCUCUCGAUUUACUUAAGCGCUUGUAGUACUCCUAUUACAUCUCGUGAUCAGUCAUCUAAUCAAGAUGGUACACUUCUUUCGGGCCUACGGAAUUCCAUAAUCUCUUGUGUUCCCUUUAGUAUCUUACUUUGACUCGUCUGGUCAUCGCCUUUGUGGUUAAACAUAUAUCUCAACUCAUGUCACAUUCCACUCAGGCUCAUCUUAUCUCUGCAAAAUGAAUGCUCAGGUUUGUAAAGGGUUCCCUGGACCAUGGCAUCUCCUUCCGUCGUCCGAACGGUCCUCCUCUUCCCUGGGGUUACUAUGAUGCUGAUUGAGAUGGAUGUCUAGAGACUCGUCCUUCCACUUUGGGUUUUCUCAUUUUUCAUGGUCCAAAUCUCAUCUCUUGGAGCUCUACUAAGCAAUCGAUAAUCUCUUGGUCUAGUGCGGAAUCCGAAUAUCGUGCCCUGGCUCAUGCUUGUGCUGAAUCUAUUUGGCUCUCUUAUGUUCUUCUUAAGCUUUGAUUCUCGGUGACAUCACCCACGUUUUUUAUUUGUGAUAAUCUGAGUACUACUUACAUGGCUUCCAAUCUUGUCUUUCAUGCUUGGAUGAAGCAUAUAGAGCUUGAUUAUCAUUUUGUUUGUGAACGGGUCAAGUUGGAUGCUCACAAAGUCCAGUUUAUUCCUUCCAUUGAUCAACUUGCGGAUGUUCUCACUAAAGGACUCUCCACACCUCAUUUUGAUUAUCAACGUUCCAAACUAAUGUCACUCCGAGACCACUAAGUUUGAGGCGGGUUGUUAGUGUAGGAGAAUCAAAUUAAGAUUCUCAUGGGCUAGUUUUUGUAAAUCCCUAAGGCCUUUAGAAUACUUGUACUCCAAGUCAAUUGACUUAGUAUAUAUUUGUAUCUUUGUGAGAUCAAUUAAAUCAAUAUAAUAUAAUUCUACAGGGUUGUUGCUUUUGGUUUUUUCUUCUUGGCCAUAAGAACAAGUCCACCGUUGGACCUUGCUAGGGGGACAGGCGAGAGGAAAGGGCCCGAGGGCCGGUGGGUUCAGCUCCAGCGUUAGGCAGCCCGAGUGAGGGUGGGAGCCCGAGGGCCAGGCCCGUGAGGGAUUGACAGCCCUUAAGCCUGAGGGGUGUGACGUCGGUCCAUUUUUUUAUUUUUUUUGUAUCAGGCGCGUGCCCCUCACGUGCGCGUGGGGGCGCGUCAGCUGACACGUUUUCAGAUUGAAUGACCCGCGCGCAUUGACCAUUGGGAAGCCACUAGCCUUCCCACGGUCCGUUCGAUCCCAACGGCUCUUUAAUACGAGUCGUCCGAUUUUCAACGGUACGAAAAAAAAAAAGCUGAUUUAAUAUCAGCCGUUCGAUCUGAGAUCAACGGUUGAUGUUAAUCUGUUUUAUAAAUUAAAAAAGAAAAAAGAAAAAAUAGUUUUAAAAUUAAGAAAAGUUACCGUUGUGACACGUGGCACAAUGAGAACGAUUUAAAAUAUCUUAUCCGAAAUUACAAGUAAAUUUAUUUAGUAUUAUUUUGUAAAAAAAAAAUUAGUAAUAUUUUAUUGCCUAUUGCCAGGUGCCAGGGCUAUUCAAGUGCAAGGGUAUGCAACAGGCAGUUACUGUUCAUUGGGGCAGUUACUGUUCACAGGAUGGAUUGAAUAAUGAAUUACCUGGGGGAGGGCUCCAAGAGUGGAGUUGCUCUAAAGAUUGGUUGCUUUAGGCAGGAUGAUACAUCAACUGGCCCUCAUUUAAGACUUUCAACAACAAUAGGCUAACUGUGGUGGGUUCUUAUUAUUAUAAAUACAUACAGUCAUCGUAAGCCUUGCAUGGACCAGCCCAGUCGCAAUCAGUGUACUUCCCAUCGGUUCCUACAUCCAUGUUUAUAAAUAAAUAAAAUGGUCAAUUUGUCAUGUUAAAGAUGUCAUACAAUAUUUUGCUACAAUGCUUAUAAAUCUGACAGUCAGAUAUAUUAUAAUGACACUCAAGGAUCAUAUAUCUGUCUAUCAAAUGAUGGUCAUGCUAAGUAUUUGUAAAUCCGUAUAAGUACUAAGUACAAUAAUAUAGGGCUCAAAGAGAUUUGGCAACCCUAGAAAAACAAAGAAUUUGACUCCUCAUUGAGAAGGAGCAAAUUUCUUCUCACCUGCAAAUCACAAUUCGACUAAUAUAUAGAAAAAUCUUGAUUUUUGACCGAGUAAUUUGUACGUGUGUGAUAUGUAGGUAGAAAAAUAUGGAUCAUCAAACGUAAACAAUGUAAAAAAAUAAAUACAAAUUUAGUCUGAAAGUAGACAAUUUUACCAGCUCAAUGAGCAGAUGCAACGAAAGAAAUCAUGAGGAAAAUGAUAACAAAUUGAAACAUGGGUGAUGCCAUUGUCUUGUGAAUGACAAAAUGUACGGAGAAGUCUGUACUUUUAUAGUGUCAUCGAUCGAUAAUUUGAUAUUAAAGCACAAUAUUUUCCUUAAUGUAGUUGCCAAAACUAUUUCGAAUAAUUAUUAAUUUUUGGUUCGAUUCUUUCUUUGUUUAACAAUUUUCAAUCUGAUUCGAAUAAUCUUGCAGCUAAUGUACGUGAUUUGCUUUAUUUUUGUUGGCAUGAGUUGAUAGAGUGAGUUCAGACUCCUCAUUAUAGCAGGAUUUGUUACCUUUUUUUAUCUCUCUGUAAUCUGGGUAGGUUUUGUUAGUUUUAUUCUUUCCUUGUAUCAUAUAUAUUGCCUCCUAAAUUAGCAUAUGAACCAACACAAAGUAUGUUACCAGAGAAGACUAUUCUCUUGACACGUAGAGCCACAAUCGGUUCUUCCAUCCUACCAUAACUGAAUCUCUAUAAACCCAUUACUACUUCAAAUACUACUAGCCUACCUAUGAACCUGACGUUGAUUCCCCAAGUGGUGAAGCAAAUCAUGCACCAUGAUACAUCCGCUGCGCAAAUUUGCAUCAAAAUCACGAUGCCAAUUAUGGAGUUUGGUCCCAAAGUUUUAGAUGUUUGUUGUUGGCAAAGACAAAUUGAGAUAUUUGUUUGGCAAUAGUAACCCAAGUUCUCCUAAAUCACGAACGGAGAACACUAUUGUCAAAGGAUGGCUGAUCAUUUCUAUGGAAACCAAUUUAAUUGGGUAUUUCAUUUGAUUACAGAGCUCGAAAAAGGUUUAGGACGCAGUUGCUCGAACUUACUAUGAUGGCUCUAAUGUAUCCUAGGUAUACGUAUAUGAUCUCACUUGCAAUGCCUCUCGAACGCAGCAAGAAGGAUGAUCUGUUGAGGCGUAAUAUAAUGAUCUUUAGUUAUUAUGGCAGGAGAUCGUUAAUUGAUGCCCCGAUCCUAUAAAGUGCUGUGAUGAUAUCUGUCGAUGCAAAUUUUUGCCGUCUUCAGUCUUAACGAAAAUGCACCUGCAAAAUAAUCAACAUCUUUGAUCAAAGACCAAAAGCCUCAAGUGCCCACGAUUUGAUAAAAAACCAAAAGCCUUAUGCGCCCACGAUGAGUUGGCGGGGUGGUUUGGCCAAUGGAUCUCCGAUGCCAAAGUUAGUCUCUCUCAAAAAAGGGAGUGUUUAGGGUUUUCUAUAUAUAGAAAAGGCAUCCCAUUUUUGGUGGAGAAAUAAGGUAUUUAUAGGGAGUGGCCAACCAUUUAGGGUUGAUUUGGUGAAUAUAUUCCCAAGAUAUUGUGUAAAUAGUAUCUUAGAAAUAAAGGUAAUUAUCGCUAAUUAAAUAUAAUUGGGAUUACGUACUUGAUAUUUGUCUUCAAUUGGGAAUAUAUUAUUGAUAGGAUUUAUGGAAAUCCUAUCAUUAAAUACCUUUGAUUUUUCCUUGCCACGAGCAGGGGAUCUUUGAGCAGUAGUAGUCUACCGCCUGCUUGUCCUAGGAUGUUGAUCUGCGUGUGGGAUGCCCUUCUUAUUUAAUAGGGGCAAUCUUGUCUUUCUUAGCUGAGAAUCCACAUGUUGUCUCUAGAAUAUUUGGGAUUAUUUUGGCUUCAUAGCAUCAAAAGUUAUAAUAAGAUUGUUCAAACGCAUCGAGUGUAUACUCUACUUGCUAGUUCAGAUGAUAUAUUUGAUAAAAUUCGGAGUGAUGUGCUCCUAACUGAUAUUCUCCCCUCAGUUGAACAAACCUUUACCUACGUUGGACGAGAGGCUAUAAGACAUUUUGUAAUGAUGAGCACCAUUACUAGUGCUGUAAUGGUUUCUCGACCAAUGAUACAUGAUGUUGGUUAUGCUCAUGGUCGUCCAACCUCCUCUCGACCUUCACUUGUGGCUACUGCUCUUGUACUCACUAGUUGCAAACGUCAAGGUAGAUCACAGUCAAGAACUAGGUCCCUCUUCUCAUGGCCCUAGAGUCAAAUAACUAGUUCUAAACGAGGAUGCACCUAUGGAGGUAGCCCAAAGCAUGGUCGAGAUGAUUGUUUUCAACUUCGUGGUUACUUGGAAUGGUGGAAACCUUUGAAGCUUUAAAAACAACGUAAACGUGACACUUCGACAAGGAGGCCGGGACAAGCUUUUCUUGCAACUACAACUUCUCAAUUAUCCUUGGUCCAUCAGACAAAUUCCUCUGGUGCAUCUGCCUUAACCGACUAUUACCCGGAGACUUCAGGUAACUGUGGAUAUGCUUUACAUAUUUCUGGGGGUUAUGAUCCGGUGGUUGGAUUAUCGAGCACAAAAACAGGUAGAUCUUGGAAAUUGCCUGAGCUUUGUUGCUUUGUGCUAAUGUCCAAUGCUUCUCUUAGGACGAUGUUGUUGCAACUGCUACCUGUCUCAUGAAUCAGAUACCAUCCAAAGUAUUGGACUUUCAAACUUCGUUACAGUUUAGCCCCUACUAUCUACCUUAGUUUAUCUCUAUAAAAACCCUAAACUUGAUCUUUGUGCUACCACCGAGCAAUAUCUUCACUAAUAAUAAAAAUCUGAAUGUGAUGUCAAAGAUCUGAACCAUUCAUCUUUCUGAAACCACUAAAAGAUCAUGUUUUCAAAAAAGAAAAUCUAAAAAAAUGAAAUCCAAUGAGAAGAAUGAAGUGUAAAUGUAUAUAACAAUCGACGAUUAAAUAUAAAUAUAGGGUUUAUGGAUUAUGGUAUCGAAUUUCGGAGUUGACCCCUUUACAAAAGUUGUAGAACUUGUCAUUAUGAGUAUAUUUUCUUUUUACAUUUUUCAUACUUGUACAUUAAUUAUUAUAUAUAUAUAUUUUUUAAUUUUGUACUCAAAUAAAAACGCUAUCAUGAGAGUUUGAAGGGUUAAAAAUCCAAAUGACGAUGUGACCAUCGUUUUGGAUUCUCCCUAAAGCUCUAAAGAUAUUUGGAUUCUCCCUUUUUUUUUUUUUUUUUUUUGAGACACUACGCUUGCGGUAUACUUUGGACUUUUGAGAGCCUAAUCACUCUGCAGACAGGACUUGGGUUAUAGGGGACCGCAUGAACAAGAGGACCUCCAUCCCCUUUUCUUUGCUGCAGAUCGUCUCUUAGCAUUUUUAAUCCCUAAAUUAGAUAACAACUUUGAAGGCAGCAACCUACACCAAACAAUUUCAUUGUCUUUUAUUCAUUUAUUCUAGUGAGAGCCCACUUCGGCUUUAACUUGGUAUUUGGUGGGAAGGAUUUGAACAUCCUUUCUUCUGCACAACUGGUGAUUUGAAUGUCCUUUCUACGUGGACACAUAUUGUGCCAAGAAAGUGCUUGAUGAGUAGAUCCGAGCCGUUGUGGAUGAACAUCUUAGAGGAGUUCACUUUAUGGCACCUCCAUGUCUGUGUGUAGACAUGCUGUGCCGAGAAAAUUCUUGACAAGAAGACUUCGACCAUCCUUCUAUGCGAACUGGUUAAGUUCUUGCGAACAAAAAGAAAGGCAAGAAUUGAUGUGCCUUUCUUAUGGCAGGAACUAUUUUUGUUCUUGCAUGCCGAACUGCUACAAUCACUGGAAAGCUGACCUUGUUGGUCUAAUUUCAAAGAGCACUUUGAUAGCGGAGAAGGGUUGUUGCUUUUGGCUUUUUAUUCUUGCACAACGACUUUGAUCGCCGGAAGUUUUCUUCUAGAGUGAAGUGGGAUUGGCACCAUUUUGAUUUGUUAUAGAGAAAAUUUCUUCACUAGAGCAAUUAUUUGUAGGAGCAUGUUGGAAACUAACUUUGCUUCGAAGUUCCUGUGCCAUGAAGUGGAGAUUUGUGCAAGGAAAGAAAUAAUACAACAACAACAACAACAAAGCCUUUUCCCACUAAGUGGGGUCGGCUAUAUGAAUCCUAGAACGCCAUUGCGCUCGGUUUUGUGUCAUGUCCUCCGUUAGAUCCAAAAUCAAGUCUUUUCUUAGGGUCUCUUCCAAAGUUUUCCUAGGUCUUCCUCUACCCCUUCGGCCCUGAACCUCUGUCCCGUAGUCACAUUUUCGAACCGGAGCGUCAGUAGGCCUUCUUUGCACAUGUCCAAACCUCGGAUAUCCUCAUUCCCAAUCUUAUCCUUUCUCGUGUGCCCAUACAUCCCACGAAGCAUCCUCAUCUCCGCUACACCCAUUUUGUGUACGUGUUGAUGCUUCACCGCCCAACAUUCUGUGUCAUACAACAUCGCUGGCCUUAUUGCCGUCCUAUAAAAUUUUCCCUUGAGCUUCAGUGGCCUACGACGGUCACACAACACGCCGGAUGCACUCUUACGCUUCAUCCAUCCAGCUUGUAUUCUAUGGUUGAGAUCUCCAUCUAAUUCUCCGUUCUCUUGCAAGAUAGAUCCUAGGUAGCGAAAACGGUCACUUUUUGUGAUCUUCGCUAGAUUGCUCCGGUCAUUAGUGUGGAUAAGUAUAUAAAUGGAUAGAGAUAGGAAAGCAAACACAAGAUGUACGUGGUUCACCCAGAUUGGCUACGUCCACGGAAUAGAGGAGUUCUCAUUAAUUGUGAAGGGUUUACACAAGUACAUAGGUUCAAGCUCUCCUUUAGUGAGUACAAGUGAAUGAUUUAGUACAAAUGACAUUAGGAAAUAUUGUGGGAGAAUGAUCUCGUAACCACGAAACUUCUUAGUACUGGAGUGUGGUAUCGUCUUGACUUUCCUUAUCUGUCUCAUAGGUAGAUGUGGCAUCUUCUCUGGAAGUACUUGAUGAGUAGUUUUUAUAUUAUAUAUUUUACCCUAAUCUUAGUAUAUUUUGGUUAAUAUAUUGGAAGAAUUUUGAUACUUUGAAUUGUAUUUUCAAUAUAGGACUUUCGACUUCCUCUAGAGCAAAACAGGACCAAAUGGACGAAUUUUAGAGUAAUUCCAAUUGGAGGACGUUCGUGAGUCACUUAGCUUGAUCGUAUCAAAAUUUGGGAUUUUUUCACCAAGCGGUGGUUUUCUGGCGAUGAAAUAAAGAAGCAGUGCGCAGUGCUGGAAAGUGACGUUUUUGGGCUUAAAUUGCGUUUUUGGAGCCUAAGAUGACCUCGGAUGGGUUCGUGGCCUUCUGGAAAAGUGUUCAGAAUAGUCCAAACAUUAAAUCUAACUAUUUUGGGCCAGUUUUGGAGCAGCUUAUGGGCCAAAACGUGGCUGUUCAGUUUUUAGACGAAUUUUAUUAUUUAAUUUAGGGUUUUGUUUGCUAGGGUUUGUGUGGUGGCUUAGCAAAUAUAUUGCUUGGCCGUCUACAGUUUUGAGGACGCUUUAUUUUAUGCAAUAUUGGAGACAGAGAGAAGUGCUAGGGUUUUGAAGAUUUUCUACUUGAAGGUGUUUUCAAUCCUUUUCUUAAUAGAUAUUUCUAUGAUUUUAAUUAUGAAUAUGCGGAACUAAUUUCUUUUGCUAGGGCGAAGCCUUGAGCCUUAGCAUGAAUAUGUGAUUUUUAUUUAAUUGCUUAUGAUCGAUUGCAUGCGUACUUUGAAUUGUUAAUCACCGGGAUAAAAAACUAUCUAAUUGUCGUAAUGCCUGAUCACCAUUAGGAUCUUUAGAAAAGUAAUUUGAUGCAAUUUUGGUCGGAAGGUUCCCUGAAAUUGACGCUGGCUUCUUGUGAUUAAUAAUUGUAAUUUCUCUUAGGAUGAAUAUCACGUCUUAAGGAUUGCAUGGUUUUUCAAAGGAUUUUCAUAAAGCAUAAUGAGUCUUUCAUGUUCAUAUUUGAUCCGAACGUCCGAACGGGUUGCAUGUUAGAUAUACGUUCUACGUUGGAGGUUCCAAGUAGAAUAUGAAUUAGGAAAAUCUAACCUUCAAAGUGGUAUGUGUAGAUCAUAAGUAAUGGGUAAAAAUUCAUAGGAUUACUAGGUGAUGGUGGAACCCUAGUGCCUUCUCAAUUUGAUUUUCUCAAAACUGUUUUUUUUCUCUAGUCCUAAUAUUGCAGAUUGUCUUAUCAUUAAUAGUUAAAUUCGUUUUUAAUUUAAGUAGGUUAUAAAAUCAAUCAUCUAAAUUUCUACUUUACAAUCAUUAAUUGGAAUCUGAUUUGUUUCGAAUUAUUUAAUAAUCCCUGUGGAGAAUGACCUUGCGAGAUCCGUUUAUACUACAAUAACCUUGUGAUUCUUGCAAGUAAAAUAGAAGGUUUUUAUCGCAUUCACAUAAGCAGUAAAAAUCCUAUCAAGAAAAAUUCUUACCUAUUACUUAUGAUCUACACAUACCACUUUGAAGGUUAGAUUUUCCUAAUUCAUAUUCUACUUGGAACCUCCAACGUAGAACGUAUAUCUAACAUGCAACCCGUCCGGACGUUCGGAUCAAAUAUGAACAUGAAAGACUCAUUAUGCUUUAUGAAAAUCCUUUGAAAAACCAUGCAAUCCUUAAGACGUGAUAUUCAUCCUAAGAGAAAUUACAAUUAUUAAUCACAAGAAGCCAGCGUCAAUUUCAGGGAACCUUCCGACCAAAAUUGCAUCAAAUUACUUUUCUAAAGAUCCUAAUGGUGAUCAAGCAUUACGACAAUUAGAUAGUUUUUAUCCCGGUGAUUAACAAUUCAAAGUACGCAUGCAAUCGAUCAUAAGCAAUUAAAUAAAAAUCACAUAUUCUAUGGUUGAGAUCUCCAUCUAAUUCUCCGUUCUCUUGCAAGAUAGAUCCUAGGUAGCGAAAACGGUCACUUUUUGUGAUCUUCGCUAGAUUGCUCCGGUCAUUAGUGUGGAUAAGUAUAAAUGGAUAGAGAUAGGAAAGCAAACACAAGAUGUACGUGGUUCACCCAGAUUGGCUACGUCCACGGAAUAGAGGAGUUCUCAUUAAUUGUGAAGGGUUUACACAAGUACAUAGGUUCAAGCUCUCCUUUAGUGAGUACAAGUGAAUGAUUUAGUACAAAUAACAUUAGGAAAUAUUGUGGGAGAAUGAUCUCGUAACCACGAAACUUCUUAGUACUGGAGUGUGGUAUCGUCUUGACUUUCCUUAUCUGUCUCAUAGGUAGAUGUGGCAUCUUCUCUGGAAGUACUCUUCCUCCAUCCAGGGGUGGUAUCUGUAACUGAUGGAGAUGCACAAGGUAAUGUAUCAAUGUCACUUGAAGCUUACUUGUAGUUUCAGGCUUGGUCAAGCGCGAUACAAACCAUGUAGUAGGAGUCCCCCAAGUCGCCGAGCUAGGGGAUCUGCUGAAAGAGGUGACAGACAAGGUAAACAAUCAGAGCUCCGGCUGAUUGUUCACAUUCUCCCUAUCUUGCAGGCAGCAUGAAGGAUAAAGAGAAGAAAAAUGAGAAGAGAUGAUACGGGAUACUUUUGCUUUUGAAGAAGUAACUUUCCACAGGCUUAUUCUUGAACUGGGCGGGAGGGUUUUCUGGUUUCCUCCAGAGAUAAGGCCGACUGAAGAAUUUGAGGGUCAAAACAAGUCCAUCAAAUCUAGAGUACGUUCGACCCUGCUGAUAUGGGAUACUUUUUCUUUUGACAGAGUAAUGGAUGUAUCGGCACGUGUGCUGUUACGCUUGUCUCCACAUGCUUCCUUGUAUCCUUCUCACUUGCCCUAUCUGUUCCUCAGGCAGAUGCGGGAUCUUCCCUGGAAGCAUAAGGUGUUGAAGAUGAGUACUCGAGAGCAAUGCCAGGUAAGUAAUCAGGUAAGGGGUUCCAGGCAGUCAGUUCCUGGCUGGAAGCUUGAUUCCAAGUGCUGACUGAUUGCUCUCUUUCUCCUUGUCUUGCAGGUAAGAACAAAGCCAAAAGAAAAGACAGGGAAAAAGCAUGAUAUGGGAUACUCUUGCUUUUAACCCUGAUGAUAUGAGAUAUUCUUGCUCUAGUAUAGCUUGUUUACAGAGGUAUUAUCGGGGGGAAAGAAAGCUGAAUAUUUCGAAAGGCUUCGUUGGGAGUGCCCUCUCAGAUAAGAGGAAGGGUUGAGCAUUUUUGCAGGUCUGCCUGUCCGUUGGGGAUGGAGGUCGACAUAUAUAGGAGUCUCCCUAACAUCAAGUAAUAAUGCUAUUCCUUUACCCUGCUUGGUCAUAGCACGGUAGUGGGAGCUGCCAGCUUCACAAGUUUUAACUCUGUCAGAGCACUUUGAAAAAGUGGUCUGUGGUAUCUGGAAAGCUGAUGUUGCGUGUGAAGAUUACAGACAAGCUUUAUCCAAGGAGAUCCAGCUCUUGAAGUUGGGAAAGUGGUGCCUCUUCGGUUUUCGAACAAGCAAUCCUGUCGGGGAUCUGGCUCUCGAGAUUCGGAGAACGAUGCCUCUUCGAUUUUUGAGAAAGCAAUCCUACUGGGGGUCUGGCUCUCGAGAUUCGGAGAGCGGUGUCUUCGAUUUUUGAGAAAGUAAUCAUGUUGGGAGUCUGGCUCUCGAGAUUCGGAGGCGGGUGAUGCCUCUUCGAUUUUUGAGAAAGCAAUCCUACUGGGGGUCUGGCUCUCGAGAUUCGGAGAACGAUGCCUCUUCGAUUUUUGAGAAAGCAAUCCUACUGGGGGUCUGGCUCUCAAGAUUCGGAGAGCGGUGUCUUCGAUUUUUGAGAAAGUAAUCAUGUUGGGAGUCUGGCUCUCGAGAUUCGGAGGGCGGUGCCUCUUCGAUUUUGGAGCAAACAAUCUUGUUGGGAGUGUUUUCUCGAAUGUGAGUAAAGGUUGGGCAUGUUUGCUAGUCUACCUUGCCACGAAGCACAGAGGUUGACACACAGGGACUUUCCAAUUAUCCAGCAGUGGUACUGUUCCUUUACCCUCUCUUCGAUUUUUGAGAAAGUAAUCAUGUUAGGAGUCUGGCUCUCGAGAUUCGGAGGGCGAUGCCUCUUCGAUUUUGGAGCAAGCAAUCUUGUUGGGAGUGUUUUCUCGAAUGUGAGUAAAGGUUGGGCAUGUUUGCUAGUCUACCUUGCCACGAAGCACAGAGGUUGACACACAGGGACUUUCCGAUUAUCCAGCCGUGGUAUUGUUCCUUUACCCUCUCUUCGAUUUUUGAGAAAGUAAUCAUGUUGGGAGUCUGGCUCUCGAGAUUCGGAGGGUGGUGCCUCUUCGAUUUUGGAGCAAGCAAUCUUGUUGGGAGUGUUUUCUCGAAUGUGAGUAAAGGUUGGGCAUGUUUGCUAGUCUACCUUGCCACGAAGCACAGAGGUUGACACACCGGGACUUUCCAAUUAUCCAGCAGUGGUACUAUUCCUUUACACUUGUGGGUAAUAAUAUGGUAGCUAGACCUUCAAAAUUUAUGUGUCUAAACUUUGUUAGUGUUGUUUCUUUGCUAAUCUUUUACCCUUCUUGGUCAGAGCGAUGUAGUGGGAGCUGCAAGCUUCACGUGUCUCAACUUUGUCAGAGAACUUUGGCAAAGUUAUAUGUGGUACCCAUGAGCUACUGUUGCGUGUGGGAAGUGGGUGAUUGAACAGUACGAUUCAUGUGCUUUCUACUUCGCCAGAAAUCUACGACAGAAUGCCCAUAAUUUCCGCAAAGCUGAGUGUGCGUAUGACAGGUGCUGACAGGGCUGGAAAAGUAGGUGCCUCUUCAAUUUCUGAGAUCGGCCCUCGUGGUCUCUGAGCAGCCCAGCUUUUGAGAAAGCAAGCCUCUUCGAUUUCUGAGAUCGGCCUUCAUGGUCUUUGAGCAGCCCAGCUUUUGAGAAAGCAAACGCCUCUUCGAUUUCUGAGAUCGACCCUCGUGGUCUCUGAGCAGCCCAGCUUUUGAGAAAGCAAACGCCUCUUCGAUUUCUGAGCAGGCGCCUCUUCGAUUUCUGAAGCUUCAUCGAGUGCAGAUUUUUAUAGGGGCAGACAUUAAGUUCCAAAGCACACUUGAAUAUCCACCAGUAGAAGCUCAAUUCUUGCACUUCUAAGAUCUUGAUUUGUCCGACCUCUUCUCUCUUCAACACCUUUGAAAAUGUCUGGCCCCUCCGACCGUCGUUUUGACUUGAACCUUGUUGAAGAGGCAGCCCCGCCUUCUCCAGACAACAUAUGGCGCCCAUCCUUCGUCUCCCCUACUGGUCCUCUUACCGUUGGGGAUUCCGUGAUGAAGAAUGAUAUGACCACUGCGGUAGUGGCCAGGAACCUUCUCACUCCCAAAGAUAACAGACUACUUUCCAAACGGUCUGAUGAGUUGGCUGUUAAGGAUUCUCUGGCUCUUAGUGUUCAGUGUGUAGGUUCUGUGUCUAAUAUGGCCCAACGCCUACUUGCUCGAACCCGCCAAGUUGAAUCAUUGGCGGCUGAAGUGAUGAGUCUCAAACAGGAGAUUAGAGGGCUCAAGCAUGAGAAUAAACAGUUGCACCGGCUCGCACAUGACUAUGCUACAAACAUGAAGAGGAAGCUUGACCAGAUGAAGGAAUCUGAUGGUCAGGUUUUACUUGAUCAUCAGAGAUUUGUGGGUUUGUUCCAAAGGCAUUUAUUGCCUUCGUCUUCUGGGGCUGUACCGCGUAAUGAAGCUCCAAAUGAUCAACCUCUGAUGCCUCCUCCUUCUAGGGUUCUGUCCAGUACUGAGGCUCCGAAUCAUCCCCCUCCGGUGCCUUCUCUUUUUGGGGCUCUACCGACUACUGAGACUUCUCCUAAGCAACCUUUGUGAAGGCUCCCUCUUGUUUGUUUAUUUUGACUCAAGUAUAUGUACAUAUUUGUAACAUAUCGGGGAUAUCAAUAAAUAAGCUUUCCUUCAUUUCAACGUAUUGUGUUAAAUACACCAAAGCCUUCUUCGCUAAGUUCUUUGAAUUUUCUUUUGUUGAAGCUUGUAUGUUGAAGCUUUGUGAGUGGAGCAUAUAGGUUGAGGUAGUGUUCCCUUAAUUUCCCGAGUGAGGAAAACUUCUCGGUUGGAGACUUGGAAAAUCCAAGUCACUGAGUGGGAUCAGCUAUAUGAAUCUUAGAACGCCAUUGUGUUCUGUCCUGUGUCAUGUCCUCCGUUAGAUCCAAGUACUCUAAGUCUUUUCUUAGGGUCUCUUCCAAAGUUUUCCUAGGUCUUCCUCUACCCCUUCGACCUGAACCUCUGUCCCAUAGUCGCAUCUUCUAAUCGGAGCGUCAGUAGGCCUUCUUUGCACAUGUCCAAACCACCGUAACCGAUUUUCUCUCAUCUUUCCUUCAAUUUCGGCUACUCCUACUUUACCCCGGAUAUCCUCAUUCCUAAUCUUAUCCUUUCUCGUGUGCCCACACAUCCAACGAAGCAUCCUCAUCUCCGCUACACCCAUUUUGUGUACGUGUUGAUGCUUCACCACCCAACAUUCUGUGCCAUACAGCAUCGCCGGCCUUAUUGCCGUCCUAUAAAAUUUUCCCUUGAGCUUCAGUGGCAUACGGCGGUCACACAACACGCCGGAUGCACUCUUCCACUUCAUCCAUCCAACUUGUAUUCUAUGGUUGAGAUCUCCAUCUAAUUCUCCGUUCUUUUGCAAGAUAGAUCCUAGGUAACGAAAACGGUCGCUCUUUGGUAUUUCUUGAUCUCCGAUCCUCACCCCUAACUCAUUUUGGCCUCCAUUUGCACUGAACUUGCACUCCAUAUAUUCUGUCUUUGAUCGGCUUAGGCGAAGACCUUUAGAUUCCAACACUUCUCUCCAAAGGUUAAGCUUUGCAUUUACCCCUUCCUGAGUUUCAUCUAUCAACACUAUAUCGUCUGCGAAAAGCAUACACCAAGGAAUAUCAUCUUGAAUAUGUCCUGUUAACUCAUCCAUUACCAACGCAAAAAGGUAAGGACUUAAGGAUGAGCCUUGAUGUAAUCCUACAGUUAUGGGGAAGCUUUCGGUUUGUCCUUCAUGAGUUCUUACGGCAGUCUUUGGUCCUUCAUACAUAUCCUGUAUAGCUUGGAUAUAUGCUACUCGUACUCCUUUCUUCUCUAAAAUCCUCCAAAGAAUGUCUCUUGGGACCCUAUCAUACGCUUUUUCCAAAUCUAUAAAGACCAUGUGUAAAUCCUUUUUCCCAUCUCUAUAUCUUUCCAUCAAUCUUCGUAAGAGAUAGAUUGCCUCCAUGGUUGAGCGCCCUGGCAUGAACCCGAAUUGGUUGUCUGAAACCCGUGUCUCUUGCCUCAAUCUAUGCUCAAUGACUCUCUCCCAGAGCUUCAUUGUAUGACUCAUUAGCUUAAUAACCCUAUAGUUCAUGCAAUUUUGUACAUCGCCCUUAUUCUUGUAGAUAGGCACCAAAGUGCUCGUUCGCCACUCAUUUGGCAUCUUCUUCGUUUUCAAAAUCCUAUUGAAAAGGUCAGUGAGAGCCAUGUUAUACCUGUCUCUCCCAAAACUUUCCACACUUCGAUUGGUAUAUCGUCUGGGCCUACUGCUUUUCUAUGCUUCAUCUUCUUCAAAGCUACAACCACUUCUUCCUUCCGGAUUUUACGAUAAAAAGAGUAGUUUCUACACUCUUCUGAGUUACUCAACUCCCCUAAAGAAACACUCCUUUCAUGUCCUUCAUUGAAAAGAUUAUGAAAAUAACCUUUCCAUCUGUCUUUAACCGCGUUCUCUGUAGUAAGAACCUUUCCAUCCUCAUCCUUGAUGCACCUCACUUGGUUUAGGUCCCUUGUCUUCUUUUCCCUUGCUCUAGCUAGUUUAUAGAUAUCCAACUCUCCUUCUUUGGUAUCUAGUCGCUUAUACAUAUCGUCAUAAGCCGCUAACUUAGCUUCUCUCACAGCUUUCUUCGCCUCUUGCUUCGCUUUUCUAUACCUUUCACCAUUUUCAUCGGUCCUAUCCUUGUAUAAGGCUUUACAACAUUCCUUCUUAGCCUUUACCUUUGUUUGUACCUCCUCAUUCCACCACCAAGAUUCAUUUUGGUGUGGGACAAAGCCCUUGGACUCUCCUAAUACCUCUUUUGCUACUUUUCGGAUACAACUAGCCAUGGAAUCCCACAUUUGGUUAGCUUCCCCCUCUCUAUCCCACACACACUGGGUGAUUACUUUCUCUUUGAAAAUGGCUUGUUUUUGUUCUUUUAGAUUCCACCAUCUAGUCCUUGGGCACUUCCAAGUCUUGUUCUUUUUUCUCACUCGUUUGAUAUGUACAUCCAUCACCAAUAAGCGAUGUUGAUUAGCCACGCUCUCUCCUGGUAUAACUUUGCAAUCCUUACAAGUUAUACGAUCCCCUUUCCUCAUUAGAAGAAAAUCUAUUUGUGUUUUUGACGACCCACUCUUGUAGGUGAUCACAUGUUCUUCUCUCUUCUUAAAGAAGGUGUUGGCUAAGAAGAGAUCAUAUGCCAUUGCAAAAUCCAAGAUAGCUUCCCCAUCCUCGUUUCUCUCCCCAAAACCAUGGCCACCAUGAAAACCUCCAUAGUUGCAUGUCUCCCUGCCCACGUGUCCAUUUAAAUCUCCUCCUAUAAAUAACUUCUCCGUCUGAGCAAUUCCUUGCACCAAGUCUCCAAGGUCUUCCCAAAAUUUCUCCUUCGAACUCGUAUCCAACCCUACUUGAGGUGCGUACGCACUAAUCACAUUGAUAAGUUCUUGUCCUAUUACAAUCUUGAUUGCCAUGAUUCUAUCUCCUACCCUCUUGACAUCUACAACAUCUUGUGUCAAGGUCUUGUCCACGAUGAUGCCAACACCGUUUCUAGUUCUAUUUGUGCCUGAAUACCAUAGUUUAAACCCUGAGUUUUCUAGAUCCUUUGCCUUACACCCAACCCACUUAGUUUCUUGUAGGCACAUAAUAUUUAUCCUUCUCCUCACCAUAACUUCUACUACUUCCAUAGAUUUUCCCGUCAAGGUUCCUAUAUUCCACGUUCCUAAACGCAUUUUGCUCUCUUGAACUCUACCCUUCUGUCCUAGCUUCUUCACCCUUCCCCGUCUAAUAGGAUCAAAGUACUUCUUUUGUGUGUCCCGUGUAAAGUUGAUAGAAGCAUAUGCUCCCAAACAACUUUGAGUGGAGUCGUUCGAAAAGAAGUUUCUAUAGCCCCCUUGCUCAUUUAACACUGCAUCCGGGUGCCGAUGGAGAUACAGCGACCCUUGCUCACUUAUCACUGUGCUCAGGCCACACAGCGCGCCACUUACGGGUGACGCCCUAGCUUUAGCGCGAUUUCGUUCUGGAUUCAUUUUCAUAAGGAUUCGACGUGAUCAUGGAGUGCCGGUUGUCGACUACCUGACGCCUUCCCCCUCCUCCUUUAUCCGGGCUUAGGACCGGCAAUGUAAGAUAAACUUACACGGCGGAGUUGGAAAGAAAUAAUAAAGAAGAAUAAAACUUUUACCUUUGGUUCUUCUUCCUCGUGAACAUUCUACAUAAUUGCAGCCCUUUGCUCUUUUCUUCUCUUUCUAUUAGGACUCUAUUUCUAUUUCUGUAGUUUGCAUUCUUCUCUCCACCGCUGCACUCUCUACUCUCUCCCACCUUUUUGUCGUCUGUCUCCCCCUUUCAUUUGAACCUAGCCUUCGUCUUUUAAUAGACACAAGGAGCAGUUCAGAGAUCAUUUUCUUUUUUCUGUUACAUGUACCACUUUCUUGGGAUGUGGAGAGGUUGAGAGAAGGCCACCACUUAGUGGAGAACGUGGGAGGUUUGGGAGCGUCCAUACAGACACGAACUCAAACUUGUCACACAUUGAGCUCCAUGUGUGCGUGUGGGUUGCAGAGAUUUUUUCUCCUUUUCCUAAUUAAUAUAUUUUCCUUUGUGAAAAUUGUUAGAACUAAUCAAAUGUCAAUUAUACAAUAUAUAAUAAUUUGCACAGUUUAUUUCGAAUGAAAAUUUGACAAUAGAUACAAUAUUUCAAAAUAUAAACAAUUAAUGAAAUUGCAUAUAAAAUCACAAAUCACUGACUUGUUAAUGAAGGUAAAGGCUUGCAGUAGCAAUCUCCUAAGAUAGAAAUUCGCCCUUACGCUAGUGCAGUAGUUCAACAAAUGUCUAUCUUGUAGGAUACAACUAUCUAAUCCAAAUUCUUGCACUCGAACUUGGAUUCUUGGCGAAUUUACUAAGUGUUUCUCUGUGAAGAAUUAAGGAGAAAGCGAUGGAAUUGAUGAUAUUGGUUUCUGAUAUUACUGCCAUAUAUAUAAUGGCAUAUUUGAAUAGACGUAACCGUUCAUGCUUAUCAUUUUAGAAUGGAAGUAACUGUUUAAUCAAUCUUAUCCUUUCGAAAAAAACUGAAGCCAAAAAUCAAAAACAGAACUUGUGUUUUUUGUCCAUCCGAGCAGAAGAGCCCCAAGGCCCAUCUUUGACAUUUAAUAUAACUAACAAACCCUCUAAGUCUAAGGCCUAAGGUCCAUGGCUUUGGCCCAAUUUCUUUCAAACCAUAAGUGAGGGAACUCGCUUAUAAAGAGGAGCUUCAAAAGAGGAAUGGGCGAUGUGGGACUAAAAGUUCCUCACAAGUUCACAAGUUCCAACAAAAAUAUAUAGUUCAACAGAUGCGUUUGGAUUGGAGUUGACAAGAGUGGUUCAUCCAAACCUCUGAAGAAACCCAGAUUGUGAAAGUUAGUCUUUGAAGAAAUUCAUAACCUCUAUUAUAAUCUAUUUCCAUUCCAUUUUGGUUUUUAUAAUUUGGGGAUUUGAAUCCAUAGUGGCGGGUGGUUACCAUUGGAUUUGGUUGAAAUCGUGAAAUUGAAUAUUAUAAUAUAUAUAGGUGUAAAACUUGUGUUGGGUUCUGAUAAGUUGUGUUGUAGUUAUGUAGAUUUGUAGUAGAUAUACAUUGAAUCGUAAUUCGAUGGAAGAUGAGUUAGAAAUAGAAGAAAUUAUGGUGGAAAGAGAGGAUGUAGAUGCAGGAGAUCAAUUUGGUGCACGGAAAGUUGAAUUUACUGUACCAACGACAGAAGAUGAGUUGAAACCCAGUUUAAAAAUGGAGUUUAGUUCGUUGGGAUGAUGGUUAUACUUUUUACAACAAUUAUGCACUUCGUAAGAGAAUUUGUUGUGAAAAGUUUGUUGUAACAAUUUUCAAAGAAGGACAAUGUGCACAGACAAAUAUUUGCAUAAGUAAAAACAAGAGAACUUAUUGGAAGUGCACAAUGGAGGAAUUAGAAAUAUUGGUUGCACCCAAAAGGACAUGUAUAAUGUCAAGCGGCUAGUGUGAGUUCAUCUAAUCAUGCUUGAUGCGAAAAUGAUCAAAGAGCAUUUUGAGGAUGAAAAAGAGAAAAACGAUUCAUUCUAUUUCAAGAUGGAGAUUGACAAAGGCGGAACACUUGACAAUUUCUAUUGGGGGGAUGCUAAGUCACGACGUUGUUAUGGCCAUUUUGUGAUGUGAUUGUGUUUAACACCACUUUCAACACCAAUGUGUACGAGAUGAUGUUUCCUCCUUUGUUAGGAAUUAAAAAUCAUGGUCAAACCACGGUAUUGGGUUGUGCAUUCUUAAUAAAUGAAAAAAUCGAGGAUUUUGAGUGGUUAUUUGAAGGAUUCCUUAAAGCACUGUCGGGUAAGCCGCCCAAAGUCAUAAUUAUGUAUCAAGAUGGCAUAUGAUUAAUAAAUUCAAUGACAACAGUUGGGUUGAAGGCAUUUGAAAAGAUUUGCAUGAUUGCAUAUGGGAUUUUGAAAGCAAAUAAGAAUUUGAGGUAAGGUGGAAAGGGUUGGUAGAAGAACAUGAGUUGGUUAAUAAAGUGUGGUGUGAGCACAUUUAUGAAUUAUGUGCAAAUUGGGUUCUGGGAUUUUGUAAGCAUGCUUUUAUAGCUGGAAUGUCAAGCAGUCAAUGUGCAGAGAGUUUUCAAUCCUCUUCAAGCAAUAUGUGCAUAGGAAGCACUCUUUGAUUGAAUUCAUCAUUCGGUUUAAUCGAGCCCCUAGACAACAACGUUAGAAAUAGGUGGUUAUUAACCAUAAUGAUGAAAAUCAUGCCCUUCCAUUGUAGCUUCGCACUGCAAUGGAAGCUUAAGAUGGGCAAAUUGUACACCCAUUAUAUGUUCGAACUGUUUAAAGUGGAGGAAUUGAAUAGUGUGGCUUGUUUCUUAAGGGAGAAGUCAGGGAAUGGGAAUGAGGCAGUGUAUGAAGUACUUGAAAGGGUUGUGGAGGUGACAAAAAUGAAGAGGUUGGUGGUUGAUACGAUCUCAGAUUAUGCUAAAUGCAUAUGCAAAGAGAUGAAGUUUCGGGGAGUUCCUUGUCAGCAUAUAUUGGCCUAUUUAAGAAAGAAACAAAUAGAGUUGCUUCCUUAACAUUACAUAUUGAAAAGGUGGCUUCAAAUCGCCAAAUCCAGUGUUGUUUUUUAUAGUGAAAGUAAAUGUGCCGACAAUUCUACUGUGUCUAACAGAGCUCAGUUUUCAAGAAAAACUUCAUAUCUGAUUGACAAAGUGGUGAUGUCAGAGGAAGCUACCCAACUUCUGUCCCGGACUUUGAAGUUCUUGGAUACGAAACUGAACUCUUUGGUUGGUGGUAAUCUUGGUCGAAAAAGAAAAGAGAGUGAAGAGAGAGGUAGGAGUUCUCAAACCAAGUUGCUUAAAGAUCCAAUUCAAAUUAAAAGAAAAGGGGCGUCAAAAACAAGUACAAAAGAGAAGUGAAGUCAAUAUUGAAGACACACUGGUGGCAAGAAGAAUUGUCCAUAACCAAACACAAGGUAGGCAAUGAAAUUAAUUAUCGCUUAGGCUUUACCUCACAAUAUAUUAGGGGUUGAAAUUAGUAGAACAAUUUUGGAUUGUUUUCUAAUUGUCCAGGUCUUGCCCGACCGAUGCCAAAAAAACACACAGAGACCGCACCUAGCGUUGUUGACACUGAUAGAAAUUGUGAUACAAUAAUUGUGACUUGUGAUGAAUGUAUACAAAUAUUUGCGACACCUUAUGACCCGUCUAUGAAAAUAAUACUUUAUAACUUAUAUCGAAGCUUGAAAUUACAAUAUACUAAAAAAGUGCAGUAAAGGUACAAGAUACCGUGCCGUAAAUAUUUAAGAAGGCAAAUUUCAAUGUAAAAAUCCUUUAGUGCCUUAUGAGCCGCCUUUAUGUGCUCAUGAUCCUUGUAAUCACCACCAUCUCUGAUGAUGUCAUCCACAUGUGAGGAAAAAAAUGCAGUCUCAAUCAUAUCCCUUGUGGUUAGCAUAGAGGUAUGAACAAAAUUUCUCAAUCAUAUCUCUACGCUGGGUAACACCCUUCCUGGUGCUCGGCUUCAUGAUCUUUUGUUUAUCUUUGUCUUUGCAAAUUUGAUUGACCAAAUUGGUCAUCCGAUUGGCUUAGGUUGGCAUCCAUUGGAUGGAUGAGGAAAUAAAAAUUCCAACGAUAUUAAUAGUUAAAUAAUAUCUUGGGAUUAUCUUAGAAAUAUGCCUUAUUGGAUAUGAUUGGGCAUCCUUACUUGUUUGGGUUGAUCUUCAAUGAGAAGAGUAUUAAAUAUAUGAUUUAGUAAUUAAUCCUAUAGUUAAUGCAUUUGACUUUUUCCUCCUUGCCAUGAGCAAGGGAUCUUAGGUAUGGUUUGGGGUUGAGAUGAUUUAAAAAAAAAACUAGAAUGAAAAAAAGCUGGAGUAAAAUUUGUGUUUGGUAACUCAGCUUAUUUUCAAAGUCACUAUCAUUUUAAGCUGAAAAGUGGCAAAAUGCUGAAGCAGUAAAAUGCAGCUUCUCAAAACCAGCUUUUUUUUUAAGAGACGGGUGAACAGUAGAAUUUAAUGAAACUUUCACAAUCUCAUAAAUACCUUCCUCCAUUUCUCCUUCUUGCUGCGCAGAGCUCUUCAUGAGUCUCUGUCUCUCUCUUCUUUCUCUCUCUAGAACCAGAAGCUCCAAGUCUAUAAGGUUCGUUUUGGCAUCGAAUCGGGUCCUGCAUUUGUAUAAAUCGGAGUCGUUUGAUUGGUGCUGGAAGGGAUUCGGAUUUCAACGAUCGAAUUCGCUUUUUGUCUAAGUGGAUGGUAUGAUUAUGGUUGAAGAUGAACCCGAUGUGCUGCAUUGUGCCGAUUUCGGUCGAUCGAGACCGGGGCACCCCGGUGGCGGCGAAAAUGAAGAAUUUUGAUCUGGGUUUUUUCACAACAAAAAAGAAGGUGAUUUGAACUUUUUAGAGAGAGAGGAUUUGGAUGGAGUGCUUGCAGUUGUAUCAUUAAAGAAGAAGACCAGAGGAUAAUGGAAUGGAAUAAAAAAUGGCAAAAGUGGAUUAAAAUAUCGUAAGAAUAAUGACUAGAUAAUGCUGGAACGAAAUUAAAAAAAAUGGAAAUAGUGGAUUAAAAAUUGUAAAGAAAAUUAACCUAUAUUUGUUAAGAAAAUUAAAUUAAUAGCACAUCUAGUAUUAUACCCUUUUUGGUCAUUUCACACAAUCACAGCUGUUUUACAUAAAAGUUUACCAAACACUAUCAUACUGCUUUUUUUUUCCAAAAGCACUUUUACAAAAAAGUUUACCAAACACUCUGCUGCUUUAUUUCACAGCCGCUUAUUCUCACAGCACAGCAAAAGUAGUUUUUUUUCAAAGCACAACAAUACCAAACCAGCCCUUAAUGAUGUCAUCAGCAGCUGCUCUAGCCUCCAGCGAUGUUGGACUGCGCGUGAGAAUCAUUGUGAGUCAUGCCCAUUUAAUGGGGACAUUCUUGUCUCUUUUGGGAAGAAAUUCACGGCUCUAAAAAAUUUUCAAUUACUUUUGACUCCACAUUAAUCUUUUUGUGUGAUAUGGUAUGGAGUAUUAAUAUAUUAUACUGAGAUUGUUUUUGUAUGGUGUGGAGAAAGCACACUUCAAAUCCUGCAUUCCAUCUAUUUGAAAAUGAAAUAUAAGAGAGAAUAUGUUGUUUUUUUUUUUUGGAUGGAAGAGAAUAUGUUGUUCAGUUGUUGUACUGUAGUGCGUGAACAGAGAAAAAAAGCAUUAAAAAGGCCUGUGGACUAAAUGACUCCUUGAAAUUUCGAAUGCUUAUCUAUAUAUAUAAAGAGAGAAGACCAGUUUGGUGAUGCAUUCAGAAAUGCCAAGAAAGCCCCUUUAUUUUCAUCACAAUUGAAAUCCAAAAAAAACAAAAUGAGGACAAACUAGUAAAAAAACCAAACUCAUCAUCCCAAAGGGUAGUUUGAUAACAGUUCUCACUCUUUCACUACCGAUACAACACGUUCCCACUCUUUCACAACUGCCCGUGCCAGUUUGCAUCAAACUCCGCUCCUCCUCUUAACCUUUGGCCAAUGUAAAACUCUAUUCAUUUUCUUCCUCCAUUAGUUCGUCAAUCAUCUCACACGUAUUCAAAUAUUAUUUUUGUUUCCUUUUUUUUUUUUUUGGGAAAUUUUUUAGUCCUCUGGAUUCUUCUAUUGACACUCAAUUCCGAGAUCUGAUCAUGCUUUUUUGAAUUGUAGCAUAAAGAGGUGAUGAGGCUUUUCAACCCAUUUACAAAGGACCUCAAUGCCAUUGGGUGUUUGAGUGGUAUUUUCGUUUCUAUUGUCUCUGUCUUUUUUAUCAUAUCAAUUCACAGGCAACAACCGAGUCCUCUCUCCUAAAUCGUCCUAAUUGGUCACUUCAUAAACUCCUUUUAUUUGGAUUUUACAGCAAUCUCAUUAUUCAUUUAGCCUAUAUAAGAGUUGUAUUUACACCGGCUCAUUGUUCAUAGCCGUUUGGUAAUUAUUCCACUGGUAAUUCUGAUGUGAAUCUCUCAUAUUCAUAACAUGUUAAUAGCACAUGGCAUGGCCGUGGACAUCUAUUGUAGUUUUUUUUUAUUUCAGUUUUACAGAGGUGCAGCCGCUGAGUCCUGACCACGACGCGGACGAAGUUGUAACGACAGUCUAAAAAGGUACUUCUACAAAAUUUCAAAGGAUUCUUAACCUCACACCUCUCUUCCGUCCUAUUCAUGUAUGAAAUAUUUUUCAAUUUGAUUCUUUCAUUGUUUGGGUGGUUUAGUUUAGUUCUUGAUUGAUUGGGAAUGGCUGGAUAUUAGUUACUUCCAUUAUUGCGUUACAACCUUUUUGUUAUUUUCUUAUAUUAUUGGAUAUUUCAUUUUCUGAUUGCACGAAUCUUGCAAUUGACCUUAAUUUGUAGAAAUGUGCCGAUUCACUCUUUUCAUUCUCUUUGUUUCUUUGCAGAUUUACGAAGAAGGAUUUGACUUUGAAAAAUCACUUCAAGCUCUGGAAAAUUUAUCUUCCAUUGAGAGGUUUUCAAAAUGUUGGAUGACAACAGUUGAAUCAUUUAUUCUCAAAUGGUAGUUUAUUGACUUACUUACUAAUUAGUAUGGUACAUUGACGACAUUAGUUAGUUAGAUUCAGUGAAUUUUAUAUCAACAACGGAGUGUGCAUGAUUCCUUUGUUCACAUUACCCAUGCUAAAAGCUCUACUUCACAGCAAGCUACGUGCGACGUGAAGAAGAGCUUGCAAUAUAUUUUUAGUUCUCAAUUAGGUCAUCGAGUAAAGCCUCAAAAUCCAUUUCUUAAUUCAUAUCUAUUUUCUUAUGGGUUGUGCCGUACAAAGUUAUCUAUUUUUCAAAUCAAUUUUUAUUUUGAAUUUUUGUGUUUGUGCUUAAUCGAGUCUGCAGUAGAAAUGAAGUCAGGUGACGUUGUAAACUUCCACCCCCGUUCGUCAAAAGGUGUGUUAAAUCUUCAUUACACCAAUUGCAGGUUCUCAUACUAUUUCCAAUUUUCGGUAUCGCACAUAAGAAAUGAUGGAGUUCUUGAUUUUUCAUAUGCCUUCAUAUGUCGAAUGUCAUCUAAAUUUAGUUGUAGUUAUUUGUUGUAACUUUUUGAAAUGGCAGUCUUAGUAUUUGCCCAGCAAUUUUUGUGAAUUCCAAACUUUGCUUAUAAUUAUAGUCACGUAUAAACUUCCAAUUGGAUUUGUUCCCCGGCCAUCCUAAUAUAAUACCAGUUCUUUUGCUUUUAUGUAGAAGUAAGAAGAUUGUUUGCCCUUAUGUAUCCUGCUUGUUUCUGUUCACGAAGUUGCCAAGAAAAAAGUACUUUGUGAUCAUUUUCUUUUCUUCUUUUAUAGUAUAGUGAUGUGUGGAUAAAAUUUGUCUUUUUUUCUCUGUAUCAACAAACUAUUACCCGUCCGUCCCUAAGCAUGUUCUGUUAAGAAACUUUUGAUUUUUCUUUUGUUUAAUUUUUCAUCCGAUAACAUUUAAAUCAUUACUUUACGCAAAGUGAAAACGAAAAACAUGACAACUUUUUAGGACGUGCAUGGUAAAGAAAAAAAAAUUCCUCUUUGCACAAUACAUUUAAAUAUAUUUUGACAACUACAAUGAAAAAAAAAAAAAAAAACUAGCACAAUACACUUUUAGGGGCGCGUAGCGCCCGUGAUGCAAAAAUGCCUCUCGCACGCUGUGCGUGCGGAGAGGCUAGUUGUCCUAUGUUGUAGCGGCCUAAAUAAUUUUUUUAACUGAUUCUUUUUCACGAUCUAUCCACCAUUUGUCAUUUUUAAUUAUCAGAUUAAAAAUUCAAACGAAGAUAAUAUACAUAAUUUAAAACGACUGUGUAAGAAAAAAAAAAUGUAUAAUUUUCGUUUUUCGCUACUUGCUCUUGUUGUUUUGUGGACUUUUUGAUUCCGAGAGCUCUAAUAUGAGGAAUGAGGAUCCUCUUUGAAUUCUUUUUGUCAGGAUCCCAGAGGUCCUCCAAUCACGUCCGUUCAUUGUACAUCGUGAGGUCAUAAAUCCUUGUAAAUGUUUUAUUUAAAAUUGAAUAUAAACAGUAUAUGACUAAAAUUGACCGCACAAUAUACGAUGAACACACAUGAUUGGAGAAUCUCUGAGAUCCUCAUAAAGAGGAUCCGGAGAGGAUCCUCAUUCUAAUGUGAGUAAUGUCACUUAAAAUAUUCCUAAAAUUAAGUGAGGAUCAAGACUCGUGUACGGCUGUUGUCUUCCUUGGUUGACCAUGCACUUCACAUCGUUAAACGUUGAAGUAAAAUAUGAGUGAAAUGCGGUUGAUAUUUGUAAAUUGGAAGUUUUAUUUUUUAUUUUUUAAUGAAGUAAAUUCAAAGUAUGAUAUGGACAGUUUGGUGACACUAUUAUUUUUAAUUUUUGAAAAUUGAACUUGAAAUAUUAUUUGGUAAUUUUCAGUUAAAAAAAUGUAAAACACAUGACCAAAUUUUGAAAACUCAAAAAACUGAAAAUUAAAAAAAAUGUAUAAUUUGUUGUAGGCAUAAUUUACUGAACAAUUAUGGAGGCCUUAGAGAGAGAGGGGGUGCGGCAAUAGAGAGAAGAAUAGAGAGAUGUGUAAUUGUAGGUGUGUGAUAUCUCACCCCAUUGUGCCUUUAUUUAUAGUAGUAGGAAGGGUAAAACCUUUCCCUUUAGGAUUACAACAUUUAAUAGGUAAUCAAAUCCUAAUAGGAAUAUAAGAUACAUUCCCAUAUUUCCUAGGAUUUACACAAUCACAUUCCUAUUCUAAAUAGGACUGCAACACUCCUCCUUGAGUGUGUAAAUACUCAAGUAAAUGGCGCAUCAAGUCUUCAUUGAUGAAGUAAGUAUAGUUGAUGAAGUCGUCGGCACAAUGGGCAAAUGUGAGUCUCAAAUCAACUGAAGAAUGCAUAAAAAGUAAAACUCACAAAAUCUCGCUAUGGUAAAACCCAAUGUGGGAGAAAAACCCAUAGUCUAAGGAGAAAAGUGAGAAGUUGCAUUAACUCAAAACUAUACGUCUUUUGGACGCAAGUAGAAGAGCUUUCAAGGGUAUGAUCAGCCCAGGAUGGGUGUCUCGUUAAAACCUAGUUAGGUAGCAAAAACCCAGUGGGAAAAAUGCUCCUAAUCGUAGGGAAAAGAGUACAUUAAGAUCAAGUGAGUAUACUUCUGGAUACUGAUAGGAGCAUAUUUAUGCGACUUAAUUGGCUUGUUCUUGUGCGUUUACGUUGUGUUUCUUUAGUUAUUUUAGUGUUUAAAGCCAUUUUCUUUUGUUUGUAGGUCUUAAUAACAACCUUGGCAAGAAAAGUGCAUUUUGGUGCAUGUUGGAUCAAUAUUGGGCUCAAAUGGAUUGCAUGCAUGAGGAUGGACGUUUUGGGCAUAUGUGUGUGCAAGUGUGUGUGUGUAAUUGCAAGGAUAAAUAAUGACAACUCAUACACAUGCAAAGAAGCCCACAUGCAAAGUGAAAGACUCUAAGUACAAAGUAUGCAAGAAGAUGCAUUUUGGAGGCCUUUGGAGCAUGUUUCGGGCUUGGAAUGGAUAGCAAAUGCAUGGGCCAAGUGGAUGGACGAAUUUGAGAACUAAAGAGGCCAAGAAUAUGAAGAAUUAUGGUCCAAAAGAUGAAGAAAACAGCCCAAAAAAUCUGUCACCCCAACUUGCAUUCCUUGCCAUGCAAACCACAUAGAAUUCCCUUUGGAUUCCAUGCCAUGCUUGAUCACUCUUGUCCCCUACAUAAUUUCUGAUUUCAUGCUUUAAUUCAUUUAAUUAUUUCACUCAAUUGCUUGAUACCUCUUGUUCCCUUCACCCAUUAGAUUUUAGACAACCUUUACAUCCAUUACAUGCACCAAUUGAUGCUCCAUCAUUCACAUUUGGAAUCCAAUGCCAUGUGCAACACAUGUUGUUGCACCUUUGACCCAUUUGUUGACACAUUUCACCUCCCUUUCCAUCUCUAUGCAAUGUACACAAUCAUUCAUGCUCCCUAGCUACAACACCACUCCAUUUUACCCUUCACACUUUGCAUCAUUACUUCAUUUUCACCCUUGGACCAUUGCACACCACACACACAAAUUGCCAUGCAUUUCAUCCUUAACCUAACCUUAUUUUCUAAGGUUUUUGGGGCCUAUAAAUACAUGUUUACACCCCUUGGCCAAAGAACAAUCCCCCAUAUUCAUCAUUUUAUCACAGAAAUUCGUCCUUACACACCCUAGGAAGCAAAACACCCCAAAAACACCAUUCUAGUGCCUAGAAAACAUAACAACCACUCCACCUUCUUCCACCCUCUUUGCCUAGUUUUUCCACCACCUUCCAACCAUCAAACACUCUUCCACACUCACCCUAAACCCCUCCAUAUCAUUCCCCAUCCAUUCUACACCAUAAAUCCACCCAAAAAUCUGUCCACAAGCUUCAUGCCGCAACAAGGAGGAAGGGAGAUCCAUUGAUGCACUUGCUUUCCAAGUUGGAGCAUUUUAGGUGUUUUCUUUCCUUUGAUUUUAAUGUCUAAUUUUAUGUAUCUUUGUAUUGCAAGAAUGAGGAACUAAACCCCCUUAGUUGGGGGGUGAUUUGAAACCAUGUACAUGCUUGCAAUAUGAUUUGAUUACAUUCAGUUGUUAUUUCAUAAGUUGCGGAUUCAAUUCGUUCAUCUACUUGAUUGAUAACUGUAUGUGUGAUUGAGAGUGCACGCUUAGUUUUCAUGCAUGAAUAUGAUGCUAGAUUAUGAGGGAGUUUCACCUAAUAGUUACAAUCUUAUAAUCACAAGUAGUGAAGGUCGCUUGAAAACGAUCGCGUUGAAUGAAUUCUUGGCACUAGUUUCAUGCUCAUCAUAGUAACGAAUGCCUCGUCAACACUUAUAGUUCUCAUUGUGCUUCAUGAUUCUUGAUUGUAUCUUUAUUGUGCUCAUCACGUAAGGAACCUUUGAGGAAUGCUUUUGAAUUGUUGUAUGCGCUUUUCCAUCCAAUUCAUUAACUUAAGGAGAACUUGAAGGUUAAUUUAAGCGUAUCUAAUUAACUUGGGGUGUUGAGUUUCAUAAUUUAUUGAAAAGAAACAACUGAAAAUCAUUUUGUUUGCAAGUGUGUCAUGUGUGGAGAAGAACCUCCUAACUAGCCUUUUAUCCAUCCUUUUCAUCCAAAAACGUUUUACAAUCUGUUUUGUUUUAAAGUUUCUGUUUUGUUUUCAAUUUUCGUCCAAAACAAAUCCCCCUUUAUUUUGAAGUCUUAGAUUAGUUAGAAAGUGUUUUGAUUUGUGUUUCUAAGUGUUUUUAUUCAAGUUUUUAUCCAACUUCGUCCAAGUUCUUGUUAGGUUCUCAAAACUGCCCAGAAAGUGGUUUUUAGGUAGUUUUGAGUCAUUAGGUUGCUGUUUUGAGUUUUAUGUUUGUUUAAGUAUUUUAAAGUAUAGUUUUGCAUUCUUUGAGUCUAGUUAGUGUUAAAUUUUAAUUUUAUUUUUUGUUUAAGUCAGUUUUCAAGUGUUUAGCAAUCCCUCUUAAUCCCCGGCCUAGAACGAUCCCUACUUACAUACUUUACUACAUUUGAUAAAAGAGGGUUUAAUUUGUGUGCUUAUAUAUUUCGCAUCAAAUUUUGGCGCCGUUGCCGGGGAUUAGCAACUUUGCUAAUCUCUUGGAUUGUUUUCUUUCGAAUUAUUGUAUUUUGUUUAAGUUUCUGUUUAAGUUGCUGAUUUGUUUUGUUUUCUUUGUUUUUUAGGUACUAGUUUAUGACCCGUAGCUCACAACCUGUUCGUGAGCAUAUCUCCGACUUUGACGGUGAUUUUGAGAGGACUUUGAGAAGGAAAAAGAAAUUGCAAGAGUCUAAUCCUCUUAGUCCCGAGCCUGAAUUAGAAGAGCAAGGUAUAGCCAUGGACAACCGUACACUCAAGGAGCUUGCCGCCUCGGGUUUGGAUAAUGCCGCACCAUUGUGUAUCCAAUAUCCCAUGGCUGCUCAAGGUAAAACCGAAGAGUUCGAGUUAAAGUCAAGUUUGCUCCACCACAUUCCAAAGUUCCAUGGGCUUUCCAUGGAGGAUCCGAACAAACAUUUGAAGGAAUUUGAAGUGGUGUGCUCAAGUAUGACUCCGAUUACCGUUGACGGAAGUAUUUUAAAGAUGAAGGCUUUUCCAUUCUCUUUAAUGGACAAAGCCAAGGAUUGGUUAUACGAGUUGGCUCCCGGUACAGUUACAUCUUGGGAGAGUAUGAAGAGGGCGUUUCUGGAGAAGUUUUUCCCAACUUCUCGUAUCAUUCUUCUUCGUAAAAAAAUAAGUGGAAUUCAGCAAAGCCAAGGUGAAUCUUUUCCAUCUUAUUAUGAACGAUUUAAAUCACUUGUUGCUUCUUGUCCACAGCAUCAGAUGAAGGAGGAGUUACUUCUUCAAUACUUUUACGAAGGUCUUUUACCACUUGAACGGCAAAUGUUGGAUGCUUCCGCGGGAGGAGCUCUAGUGGAUAAGACACCUAGGGAUGCCAAAACUCUCAUUGCGAAUCGAGCACUCAAUGCACAACAAUAUGAAGGUGUUGGGCAAAGAGACACCCCACGGCCACAUCAUGUCAAUGAGGUAAGUUCUAUUUCUGAGUUACAAUCCCAAAUGGCUAACCUUACGUCUAUGUUAUCGCAGUUGGUUGAAGGCCCCAAAACGCAAGGAACUACAAUCUGUGGUGUAUGCUCCAUUCAAGGACACCAAUCUGAUCAAUGCCCUCAAUUAAUUGAGAAUGGAGGAUGGGAAUCGGCCAAUGCUGUGGGUUAUGGGAAUCAAAACCAACCAAGGAAUGAUCCUUUCUCCAAUACAUACAACCCGGGAUGGCGUGACCACCCCAAUUUCAGAUGGAGAGAUGCACCACAAUAUGGCCAACAAAGUGGAUUCCGACAACCCCCGGGUUUCUUUCCAAGGCCAAUGGAACCACAACCACCUCCUCAGGCACAAUCUUCCCAAACCAACCCAGGUAACGUCUAUGAAUGAUGAUAAAACAUAUCAGUUACUAACCACCAUGGCGCAGGGAAUGCAGAACCAAGCAAAGGAGGUUAAUGAGCUGAAGAAGCAAAUGGGACAAAUGGCCGAAUUUUUGGGGCAAUUCCGUGAAAAUGGUAAGUUACCAAAGCACUACGGUGGUCAAUCCAAAGGGUGGCUUCGAAUCUGCAAAGGCUAUCACAUUACGAAGUGGAAAAGAGGUGAGAAACAAGGAAGAUGAGAAGAUACAACUCAAGGAAGAUGAGAACACCUACCCCACGGCAAGGGUACCAUCACCCAUGCCGCAGCCAUCUAAGACAUCCCAUCCGUCCACCUCAGGUAAGAAUGUUCCAAAUGUUGUGAUUUCGAACACUAAUCUGCCCAAUGUUCCUUUCCCUCGUAGAUUUGCACAAUCGAAGAAAGAAGAAAGCGAAAAGGACAUUUUGGAUACCUUUCGAAAAGUCCAAGUGAACAUUCCUUUACUUGAUGCUAUUAAGCAAGUGCCCAGGUACGCAAAGUUUUUAAAAAGAAUUAUGCACAACUAGGAAAAGAAUUUCAAACAAAGAAGUUGUGAAGGUAAGUGAAAAUGUAUCUGCGGUUUUGCAACGGAAGUUACCUCCAAAGUGUAAGGAUCCAGGGAGCUUUACUAUCCCAUGCGUAAUUGGAAACACUAGAUUUGAAAAAUGCAUGUUAGAUUUAGGUGCUUCUAUUAAUGUUAUGCCAUAUUCCAUUUAUGCAUCAAUGAACCUUGGUGAGUUAAAACAAGAUGGCGUGAUAAUUCAAUUGGCCGAUCGUUCUAACGCUUAUCCCAAGGAGUCCUUGAGGAUGUUUUAGUGCAGGUCAAUCAAUCUUAUCUUUCCUGCAGAUUUUUAUGUCUUAGAAAUGGAGGAUUCAAGCCAUGCUCCAUCAUUGCCAAUCUUGCUAGGCCGACCAUUCAUGAAAACAGCGAGAACAAAAAAUAGAUGUGUUUAUGGGAACAUUAACCAUGGAGUUUGAUGGAGACAUUAUUCGUUUUAAUCUUUCUGAAACCAUUAAAUAUCCAAUGGAGGACCAUUCUUGUUUCGCUAUUGACAUUGUUGAUUCUUUGGCACAGGUACAUUUGGAUCGAAUGAACGACGAUGCCACUUGAAAUAGCCUUAGUACACGGCAUAGGAGCAAGAAACAAGUGUGGGGGAAUCCAAGCAACCCACGGCAUGGAAUCUGACCAUAUUGCCGUGCCCCCUUGUGGUGAAGUGUUUGAAAUGGUCGCGGCCCUCGAGUCAUUGACAUCACAUUCUGGUAAGUCUUCACUCUCAAUUUUAGAUUCGGUUUUGGCUAACAAGUUACUUCCAUCCAUUGUGCAGCCACCUACACUUGAGUUGAAGCCAUUACCUAGUCACUUGAAGUAUGUUUUCUUGGGAGAAGAUCAAACACUACCCGUCAUCAUAUCUAGCUCACUCACGGCCCAAGAAGAAGACAAGUUGAUAAGGGUGUUAAAGGAGCACAAAUCUGCCAUUGGAUGGACCUUGGCGGAUAUCAAAGGCAUUAGUCCCACCACGUGCAUGCAUCGCAUCCUUUUGGAGGAGGGAGCUAAGCCAUCUCGGGAGGCUCAACGUCGCCUUAAUCCACCCAUGUUGGAAGUAGUAAAGAAGGAGGUUAUAAAAUUGCUUGACUGUGGUGUUAUAUACCCUAUUUCUGAUAGUCGUUGGGUGUCUCCCGUGCAGGUUGUUCCAAAGAAGUCCGGGAUCACGGUGGUGAAGAAUGAAGAACAAGAGCUUGUACCCACUCGUGUGGUGACCGGUUGGCGUGUUUGUAUUGAUUACAGGAAGUUAAAAUGCCAUGACAAGGAAAGAUCACUUUCCGUUGCCAUUCCUGGAUCAAAUGUUAGAAAGGUUAGCCGGUUAUAAAUUUUAUUGCUUUCUUGAUGGAUAUUCCGGAUAUAACCAAAUUGUGAUAGCUCCGGAGGACCAAGAAAAGACAACGUUCACGUGCCCCUUUGGCACCUUUGCAUACAGGCGCAUGCCAUUUGGUUUGUGCAAUGCCCCUGCGACAUUUCAACGAUGCAUGGUGAGUAUCUUUUCUGAUUAUGUGGAGAAAAUUAUUGAGAUAUUCAUGGAUGAUUUCAGCGUGUUUGGUAAUUCAUUCGAUCAUUGCUUGAGUAAUCUGACCUUAAUUUUGAAACGUUGUGUUGAAACGAAUCUUGUGCUUAAUUGGGAAAAAAUGUCACUUCAUGGUUAAGCAAGGUAUUGUUCUAGGACAUAUUAUUUCUGAAGAAGGCAUUGAAGUGGAUAAAUCUAAGGUAGACCUUGUUCGUCACUUACCCUCUCCAACUUCGGUUAGAGAGGUUCGUUCGUUUCUUGGUCACGCAGGUUUUUAUAGGCGUUUCAUAAAGGAUUUCUCCAAGAUUUCACAACCACUAUGUCGAUUGCUUCAAAAAGAGGUGGCUUUCGAGUUUUGAUGAUGCAUGCUCCAUGGCAUUCAAGCAAUUAAAAGAAGCUCUUACUUCGGCUCCCAUUAUCACACCUCCAGAUUGGAGCCUUCCAUUUGAGUUGAUGUGCGAUGCUUCGGAUUAUGCGAUUGGUGCUGUUUUGGGGCAACGAAAGAACAAACAACCUCAUGUUAUUUAUUAUGCCUCUAGGACACUAAAUGAUGCUCAAUUAAAUUACUCCACCACUGAAAAAGAAUUACUUGCUGUGGUAUUUGCAUUAGAUAAGUUCCGAUCAUACUUACUUGGUACUAAAGUUAUUAUUUUUUACUGAUCAUGCAGCUCUCAAGUAUUUACUCACAAAAAAGGAGGCCAAGCCUAGACUAAUUCGAUGGAUGUUGCUUCUACAAGAGUUUGACAUUGAGAUUCGGGAUAAGAAGGGCGUGGAGAAUGUGGUGGCUGACCACCUAAGUCGAAUGGUGCAUGAGGAAGCAUCGCCAAUUUCUGAAACCUUCCCCGAUGAGCAACUAAUGUCUAUCCAGGUAAGUGAGCCUUGGUACGCGGAUUUGGUGAAUUAUUUGGUGACUAAACAAGUUCCUAGCACCCUAAACAAAUUCCAACGUGAUAAACUUAAAAAGGAUGCUAGAUUUUAUGUUUGGGAUGACCCAUACUUGUGGAAAUAUUGUUCAGAUCAGGUUAUAAGAAGAUGUGUGCAUGAAUCAGAUUUUCACUCAAUUUUAUGUUUUUGUCACACAUAUGCAUGUGGGGAUCACUUUGGCACCCAAAGGACAGCUUUUUAAAGGUUCUUGAAUGUGGUUUUUAUUGGCCUACUUUGUUUAAAAGAUGCUAGAACCUUCUGUUUAACAUGUGAUCGCUGCCAAAGGACAGGUAAUAUUAGCCAAAAAGAUCAAAUGCCGCAGGUACCCAUCUUUGUUGUUGAAAUCUUUGAUGUUUGGGGUAUCGAUUUUAUGGGUCCUUUUCCUUCAUCUUUUGGUUUCACCUACAUAUUACUUGCCGUUGAUUAUGUUUCAAAGUGGGUGGAAGCGAAAGCCACUCGAACUAACGAUUCUAAAGUUGUGGCAGAUUUUGUGAAAACUAAUAUCUUUUCUAGAUUUGGGAUGCCUAGGGUGCUAAUCAGUGAUGGAGGGUCUCAUUUUUGCAACCGUACCAUUGGGGCAUUACUCAAGAAGUACCAUGUGACGCAUAAGGUUUCCACACCUUACCCACCCCCAAACCAAUGGCCAAGCCGAGGUGUCUAAUCGUGAGAUCAAACAGAUUUUGGAGAAGACCGUUGGGCCAAAUAGAAAAGAUUGGAGCUUACGGCUGGAUGAUGCACUAUGGGCGUAUCGAACGGCUUACAAGACCCCCAUUGGUAUGUCUCCUUUUCGACUUGUGUAUGGCAAGCCUUGCCAUCUUCCCGUGGAAUUAGAACAUAGAGCUCAUUGGGCCAUCAAGACCUUCAAUUUGAAUGUGGACCAAGCUGGAAUUCAUCGAAAGCUUCAAUUGAGUGAACUUGAUGAGAUAAGGCAUGAAGCUUAUGAGAAUGCUAGAAUUUACAAAGAGAAGACCACGGCAUUCCAUGAUAAGAUGCUUCGAGGCAAGACUUUCGAAAUUGGGCAGAAAGUGUUGUUGUUCAACUCCCGCCUUCGUCUAUUCCCUGGUAAGUUACGUUCCAAAUGGGUUGGCCCGUUUUGUUGUUACUAAUCUUUUUGUACAUGGUGCAGUCCAAAUUAAGAGCUUGAGAACCGGGCAAGAAUUCAAGGUGAAUGGACAUCGCUUGAAGCCAUACUACGAGAACUUUGUGGAGCAUGUUGUGGAGGAGAUCCCACUGCAUGCCGUGGGUUCCAAGGAGAAGUGAAGGUGUUCAUCGUCCGGCUGGAAGACGUUAAAGCAAGCGCUUUAAGGGAGGCAACCCAUUUAUUCUGUUUGAUUGUCUAUUUUAUUACUUGUUUAAUUAUUUUUGGUUAUGACUUUCUAUUUUGAAACAUUAACAAAUAAUGCAAAGGAUUUUAACAUUAAACUUCGUGGAAAUGAACAGCAAAGCUUCGCCGUACAAUUCCAAAUCCAGUUCAAGUUCAAAGCUGUGGAAAGUCAACAAGAUCAACUAUCUCCAAAACCAGAUUUGCGUUCUUAAACUCUACUCUGUCUGGUUUUUACUUUGCCAUAUUUGUCAUGUUUAUUUGUCGUUUGUUAUUUGCUUGUUUUUUGGUGUGAGUAUAUGCUUGAAACAUUGAGGACAAUGUUUGAUUUAAGUGUGGGGGGGAGUAACCAUUGUUUUGGCAUGAAUUCGUAGAAAAUUUAUCACCCAUUACUUCUAGUGUUGUUCCUUGUUGUUUUAAGUAUUUUUAAGCUGUUUUGGAGUGUUUCAGUGUUUUUGACAUAAAAUCCAAAAAAUUCAUAAAAAUUUGAAAAAUUGUUUUUGAAAAUCCAAAAAAUAGUUGUUUUUGUGCCGCUUAUUUGUGUCUUAGGGUACCUCCAACACAAUGAUGAGGAUUCAGUUUGUAAUUGCAUGACUGUUAAAGAGAGUUUAAACAUGGAUGAAAGUUUGAUUUACUCUUUAUUUAUGCGUGAUUGUGGUUAUAACUUAUGAAAUCACAUGUAAUCAUAAAAGAAAAAUUAGUUUUUGUACAUGCUUGAAGGAAAGAACUCAAACUAACGCUACAACCUUGUAAGAAUUGGCCUAAAUUUAUUUGGAGAGUUAAAAUCUGUGCAUUAUUGUUUUCUAAAGUCGUUGCAUGAUCUCAUUAUUCUUUGCUUGGUUAUUACUUAGAAGGCGUUUCAUCAUUUAGUUCAAAUGCUAGAACUCAUGCCUAUUUCAUUCAAAGCAUGCUAUUGAUUUGCAUAACACAUAUUCAAGAUNGCUCUUCNNNNNNNNNNNNNNNNNNNNNNNNNNNNNNNNNNNNNNNNNNNNNNNNNNNNNNNNNNNNNNNNNNNNNNNNNNNNNNNNNNNNNNNNNNNNNNNNNNNNNNNNNNNNNNNNNNNNNNNNNNNNNNNNNNNNNNNNNNNNNNNNNNNNNNNNNNNNNNNNNNNNNNNNNNNNNNNNNNNNNNNNNNNNNNNNNNNNNNNNNNNNNNNNNNNNNNNNNNNNNNNNNNNNNNNNNNNNNNNNNNNNNNNNNNNNNNNNNNNNNNNNNNNNNNNNNNNNNNNNNNNNNNNNNNNNNNNNNNNNNNNNNNNNNNNNNNNNNNNNNNNNNNNNNNNNNNNNNNNNNNNNNNNNNNNNNNNNNNNNNNNNNNNNNNNNNNNNNNNNNNNNNNNNNNNNNNNNNNNNNNNNNNNNNNNNNNNNNNNNNNNNNNNNNNNNNNNNNNNNNNNNNNNNNNNNNNNNNNNNNNNNNNNNNNNNNNNNNNNNNNNNNNNNNNNNNNNNNNNNNNNNNNNNNNNNNNNNNNNNNNNNNNNNNNNNNNNNNNNNNNNNNNNNNNNNNNNNNNNNNNNNNNNNNNNNNNNNNNNNNNNNNNNNNNNNNNNNNNNNNNNNNNNNNNNNNNNNNNNNNNNNNNNNNNNNNNNNNNNNNNNNNNNNNNNNNNNNNNNNNNNNNNNNNNNNNNNNNNNNNNNNNNNNNNNNNNNNNNNNNNNNNNNNNNNNNNNNNNNNNNNNNNNNNNNNNNNNNNNNNNNNNNNNNNNNNNNNNNNNNNNNNNNNNNNNNNNNNNNNNNNNNNNNNNNNNNNNNNNNNNNNNNNNNNNNNNNNNNNNNNNNNNNNNNNNNNNNNNNNNNNNNNNNNNNNNNNNNNNNNNNNNNNNNNNNNNNNNNNNNNNNNNNNNNNNNNNNNNNNNNNNNNNNNNNNNNNNNNNNNNNNNNNNNNNNNNNNNNNNNNNNNNNNNNNNNNNNNNNNNNNNNNNNNNNNNNNNNNNNNNNNNNNNNNNNNNNNNNNNNNNNNNNNNNNNNNNNNNNNNNNNNNNNNNNNNNNNNNNNNNNNNNNNNNNNNNNNNNNNNNNNNNNNNNNNNNNNNNNNNNNNNNNNNNNNNNNNNNNNNNNNNNNNNNNNNNNNNNNNNNNNNNNNNNNNNNNNNNNNNNNNNNNNNNNNNNNNNNNNNNNNNNNNNNNNNNNNNNNNNNNNNNNNNNNNNNNNNNNNNNNNNNNNNNNNNNNNNNNNNNNNNNNNNNNNNNNNNNNNNNNNNNNNNNNNNNNNNNNNNNNNNNNNNNNNNNNNNNNNNNNNNNNNNNNNNNNNNNNNNNNNNNNNNNNNNNNNNNNNNNNNNNNNNNNNNNNNNNNNNNNNNNNNNNNNNNNNNNNNNNNNNNNNNNNNNNNNNNNNNNNNNNNNNNNNNNNNNNNNNNNNNNNNNNNNNNNNNNNNNNNNNNNNNNNNNNNNNNNNNNNNNNNNNNNNNNNNNNNNNNNNNNNNNNNNNNNNNNNNNNNNNNNNNNNNNNNNNNNNNNNNNNNNNNNNNNNNNNNNNNNNNNNNNNNNNNNNNNNNNNNNNNNNNNNNNNNNNNNNNNNNNNNNNNNNNNNNNNNNNNNNNNNNNNNNNNNNNNNNNNNNNNNNNNNNNNNNNNNNNNNNNNNNNNNNNNNNNNNNNNNNNNNNNNNNNNNNNNNNNNNNNNNNNNNNNNNNNNNNNNNNNNNNNNNNNNNNNNNNNNNNNNNNNNNNNNNNNNNNNNNNNNNNNNNNNNNNNNNNNNNNNNNNNNNNNNNNNNNNNNNNNNNNNNNNNNNNNNNNNNNNNNNNNNNNNNNNNNNNNNNNNNNNNNNNNNNNNNNNNNNNNNNNNNNNNNNNNNNNNNNNNNNNNNNNNNNNNNNNNNNNNNNNNNNNNNNNNNNNNNNNNNNNNNNNNNNNNNNNNNNNNNNNNNNNNNNNNNNNNNNNNNNNNNNNNNNNNNNNNNNNNNNNNNNNNNNNNNNNNNNNNNNNNNNNNNNNNNNNNNNNNNNNNNNNNNNNNNNNNNNNNNNNNNNNNNNNNNNNNNNNNNNNNNNNNNNNNNNNNNNNNNNNNNNNNNNNNNNNNNNNNNNNNNNNNNNNNNNNNNNNNNNNNNNNNNNNNNNNNNNNNNNNNNNNNNNNNNNNNNNNNNNNNNNNNNNNNNNNNNNNNNNNNNNNNNNNNNNNNNNNNNNNNNNNNNNNNNNNNNNNNNNNNNNNNNNNNNNNNNNNNNNNNNNNNNNNNNNNNNNNNNNNNNNNNNNNNNNNNNNNNNNNNNNNNNNNNNNNNNNNNNNNNNNNNNNNNNNNNNNNNNNNNNNNNNNNNNNNNNNNNNNNNNNNNNNNNNNNNNNNNNNNNNNNNNNNNNNNNNNNNNNNNNNNNNNNNNNNNNNNNNNNNNNNNNNNNNNNNNNNNNNNNNNNNNNNNNNNNNNNNNNNNNNNNNNNNNNNNNNNNNNNNNNNNNNNNNNNNNNNNNNNNNNNNNNNNNNNNNNNNNNNNNNNNNNNNNNNNNNNNNNNNNNNNNNNNNNNNNNNNNNNNNNNNNNNNNNNNNNNNNNNNNNNNNNNNNNNNNNNNNNNNNNNNNNNNNNNNNNNNNNNNNNNNNNNNNNNNNNNNNNNNNNNNNNNNNNNNNNNNNNNNNNNNNNNNNNNNNNNNNNNNNNNNNNNNNNNNNNNNNNNNNNNNNNNNNNNNNNNNNNNNNNNNNNNNNNNNNNNNNNNNNNNNNNNNNNNNNNNNNNNNNNNNNNNNNNNNNNNNNNNNNNNNNNNNNNNNNNNNNNNNNNNNNNNNNNNNNNNNNNNNNNNNNNNNNNNNNNNNNNNNNNNNNNNNNNNNNNNNNNNNNNNNNNNNNNNNNNNNNNNNNNNNNNNNNNNNNNNNNNNNNNNNNNNNNNNNNNNNNNNNNNNNNNNNNNNNNNNNNNNNNNNNNNNNNNNNNNNNNNNNNNNNNNNNNNNNNNNNNNNNNNNNNNNNNNNNNNNNNNNNNNNNNNNNNNNNNNNNNNNNNNNNNNNNNNNNNNNNNNNNNNNNNNNNNNNNNNNNNNNNNNNNNNNNNNNNNNNNNNNNNNNNNNNNNNNNNNNNNNNNNNNNNNNNNNNNNNNNNNNNNNNNNNNNNNNNNNNNNNNNNNNNNNNNNNNNNNNNNNNNNNNNNNNNNNNNNNNNNNNNNNNNNNNNNNNNNNNNNNNNNNNNNNNNNNNNNNNNNNNNNNNNNNNNNNNNNNNNNNNNNNNNNNNNNNNNNNNNNNNNNNNNNNNNNNNNNNNNNNNNNNNNNNNNNNNNNNNNNNNNNNNNNNNNNNNNNNNNNNNNNNNNNNNNNNNNNNNNNNNNNNNNNNNNNNNNNNNNNNNNNNNNNNNNNNNNNNNNNNNNNNNNNNNNNNNNNNNNNNNNNNNNNNNNNNNNNNNNNNNNNNNNNNNNNNNNNNNNNNNNNNNNNNNNNNNNNNNNNNNNNNNNNNNNNNNNNNNNNNNNNNNNNNNNNNNNNNNNNNNNNNNNNNNNNNNNNNNNNNNNNNNNNNNNNNNNNNNNNNNNNNNNNNNNNNNNNNNNNNNNNNNNNNNNNNNNNNNNNNNNNNNNNNNNNNNNNNNNNNNNNNNNNNNNNNNNNNNNNNNNNNNNNNNNNNNNNNNNNNNNNNNNNNNNNNNNNNNNNNNNNNNNNNNNNNNNNNNNNNNNNNNNNNNNNNNNNNNNNNNNNNNNNNNNNNNNNNNNNNNNNNNNNNNNNNNNNNNNNNNNNNNNNNNNNNNNNNNNNNNNNNNNNNNNNNNNNNNNNNNNNNNNNNNNNNNNNNNNNNNNNNNNNNNNNNNNNNNNNNNNNNNNNNNNNNNNNNNNNNNNNNNNNNNNNNNNNNNNNNNNNNNNNNNNNNNNNNNNNNNNNNNNNNNNNNNNNNNNNNNNNNNNNNNNNNNNNNNNNNNNNNNNNNNNNNNNNNNNNNNNNNNNNNNNNNNNNNNNNNNNNNNNNNNNNNNNNNNNNNNNNNNNNNNNNNNNNNNNNNNNNNNNNNNNNNNNNNNNNNNNNNNNNNNNNNNNNNNNNNNNNNNNNNNNNNNNNNNNNNNNNNNNNNNNNNNNNNNNNNNNNNNNNNNNNNNNNNNNNNNNNNNNNNNNNNNNNNNNNNNNNNNNNNNNNNNNNNNNNNNNNNNNNNNNNNNNNNNNNNNNNNNNNNNNNNNNNNNNNNNNNNNNNNNNNNNNNNNNNNNNNNNNNNNNNNNNNNNNNNNNNNNNNNNNNNNNNNNNNNNNNNNNNNNNNNNNNNNNNNNNNNNNNNNNNNNNNNNNNNNNNNNNNNNNNNNNNNNNNNNNNNNNNNNNNNNNNNNNNNNNNNNNNNNNNNNNNNNNNNNNNNNNNNNNNNNNNNNNNNNNNNNNNNNNNNNNNNNNNNNNNNNNNNNNNNNNNNNNNNNNNNNNNNNNNNNNNNNNNNNNNNNNNNNNNNNNNNNNNNNNNNNNNNNNNNNNNNNNNNNNNNNNNNNNNNNNNNNNNNNNNNNNNNNNNNNNNNNNNNNNNNNNNNNNNNNNNNNNNNNNNNNNNNNNNNNNNNNNNNNNNNNNNNNNNNNNNNNNNNNNNNNNNNNNNNNNNNNNNNNNNNNNNNNNNNNNNNNNNNNNNNNNNNNNNNNNNNNNNNNNNNNNNNNNNNNNNNNNNNNNNNNNNNNNNNNNNNNNNNNNNNNNNNNNNNNNNNNNNNNNNNNNNNNNNNNNNNNNNNNNNNNNNNNNNNNNNNNNNNNNNNNNNNNNNNNNNNNNNNNNNNNNNNNNNNNNNNNNNNNNNNNNNNNNNNNNNNNNNNNNNNNNNNNNNNNNNNNNNNNNNNNNNNNNNNNNNNNNNNNNNNNNNNNNNNNNNNNNNNNNNNNNNNNNNNNNNNNNNNNNNNNNNNNNNNNNNNNNNNNNNNNNNNNNNNNNNNNNNNNNNNNNNNNNNNNNNNNNNNNNNNNNNNNNNNNNNNNNNNNNNNNNNNNNNNNNNNNNNNNNNNNNNNNNNNNNNNNNNNNNNNNNNNNNNNNNNNNNNNNNNNNNNNNNNNNNNNNNNNNNNNNNNNNNNNNNNNNNNNNNNNNNNNNNNNNNNNNNNNNNNNNNNNNNNNNNNNNNNNNNNNNNNNNNNNNNNNNNNNNNNNNNNNNNNNNNNNNNNNNNNNNNNNNNNNNNNNNNNNNNNNNNNNNNNNNNNNNNNNNNNNNNNNNNNNNNNNNNNNNNNNNNNNNNNNNNNNNNNNNNNNNNNNNNNNNNNNNNNNNNNNNNNNNNNNNNNNNNNNNNNNNNNNNNNNNNNNNNNNNNNNNNNNNNNNNNNNNNNNNNNNNNNNNNNNNNNNNNNNNNNNNNNNNNNNNNNNNNNNNNNNNNNNNNNNNNNNNNNNNNNNNNNNNNNNNNNNNNNNNNNNNNNNNNNNNNNNNNNNNNNNNNNNNNNNNNNNNNNNNNNNNNNNNNNNNNNNNNNNNNNNNNNNNNNNNNNNNNNNNNNNNNNNNNNNNNNNNNNNNNNNNNNNNNNNNNNNNNNNNNNNNNNNNNNNNNNNNNNNNNNNNNNNNNNNNNNNNNNNNNNNNNNNNNNNNNNNNNNNNNNNNNNNNNNNNNNNNNNNNNNNNNNNNNNNNNNNNNNNNNNNNNNNNNNNNNNNNNNNNNNNNNNNNNNNNNNNNNNNNNNNNNNNNNNNNNNNNNNNNNNNNNNNNNNNNNNNNNNNNNNNNNNNNNNNNNNNNNNNNNNNNNNNNNNNNNNNNNNNNNNNNNNNNNNNNNNNNNNNNNNNNNNNNNNNNNNNNNNNNNNNNNNNNNNNNNNNNNNNNNNNNNNNNNNNNNNNNNNNNNNNNNNNNNNNNNNNNNNNNNNNNNNNNNNNNNNNNNNNNNNNNNNNNNNNNNNNNNNNNNNNNNNNNNNNNNNNNNNNNNNNNNNNNNNNNNNNNNNNNNNNNNNNNNNNNNNNNNNNNNNNNNNNNNNNNNNNNNNNNNNNNNNNNNNNNNNNNNNNNNNNNNNNNNNNNNNNNNNNNNNNNNNNNNNNNNNNNNNNNNNNNNNNNNNNNNNNNNNNNNNNNNNNNNNNNNNNNNNNNNNNNNNNNNNNNNNNNNNNNNNNNNNNNNNNNNNNNNNNNNNNNNNNNNNNNNNNNNNNNNNNNNNNNNNNNNNNNNNNNNNNNNNNNNNNNNNNNNNNNNNNNNNNNNNNNNNNNNNNNNNNNNNNNNNNNNNNNNNNNNNNNNNNNNNNNNNNNNNNNNNNNNNNNNNNNNNNNNNNNNNNNNNNNNNNNNNNNNNNNNNNNNNNNNNNNNNNNNNNNNNNNNNNNNNNNNNNNNNNNNNNNNNNNNNNNNNNNNNNNNNNNNNNNNNNNNNNNNNNNNNNNNNNNNNNNNNNNNNNNNNNNNNNNNNNNNNNNNNNNNNNNNNNNNNNNNNNNNNNNNNNNNNNNNNNNNNNNNNNNNNNNNNNNNNNNNNNNNNNNNNNNNNNNNNNNNNNNNNNNNNNNNNNNNNNNNNNNNNNNNNNNNNNNNNNNNNNNNNNNNNNNNNNNNNNNNNNNNNNNNNNNNNNNNNNNNNNNNNNNNNNNNNNNNNNNNNNNNNNNNNNNNNNNNNNNNNNNNNNNNNNNNNNNNNNNNNNNNNNNNNNNNNNNNNNNNNNNNNNNNNNNNNNNNNNNNNNNNNNNNNNNNNNNNNNNNNNNNNNNNNNNNNNNNNNNNNNNNNNNNNNNNNNNNNNNNNNNNNNNNNNNNNNNNNNNNNNNNNNNNNNNNNNNNNNNNNNNNNNNNNNNNNNNNNNNNNNNNNNNNNNNNNNNNNNNNNNNNNNNNNNNNNNNNNNNNNNNNNNNNNNNNNNNNNNNNNNNNNNNNNNNNNNNNNNNNNNNNNNNNNNNNNNNNNNNNNNNNNNNNNNNNNNNNNNNNNNNNNNNNNNNNNNNNNNNGCUCUUCNNNNNNNNNNNNNNNNNNNNNNNNNNNNNNNNNNNNNNNNNNNNNNNNNNNNNNNNNNNNNNNNNNNNNNNNNNNNNNNNNNNNNNNNNNNNNNNNNNNNNNNNNNNNNNNNNNNNNNNNNNNNNNNNNNNNNNNNNNNNNNNNNNNNNNNNNNNNNNNNNNNNNNNNNNNNNNNNNNNNNNNNNNNNNNNNNNNNNNNNNNNNNNNNNNNNNNNNNNNNNNNNNNNNNNNNNNNNNNNNNNNNNNNNNNNNNNNNNNNNNNNNNNNNNNNNNNNNNNNNNNNNNNNNNNNNNNNNNNNNNNNNNNNNNNNNNNNNNNNNNNNNNNNNNNNNNNNNNNNNNNNNNNNNNNNNNNNNNNNNNNNNNNNNNNNNNNNNNNNNNNNNNNNNNNNNNNNNNNNNNNNNNNNNNNNNNNNNNNNNNNNNNNNNNNNNNNNNNNNNNNNNNNNNNNNNNNNNNNNNNNNNNNNNNNNNNNNNNNNNNNNNNNNNNNNNNNNNNNNNNNNNNNNNNNNNNNNNNNNNNNNNNNNNNNNNNNNNNNNNNNNNNNNNNNNNNNNNNNNNNNNNNNNNNNNNNNNNNNNNNNNNNNNNNNNNNNNNNNNNNNNNNNNNNNNNNNNNNNNNNNNNNNNNNNNNNNNNNNNNNNNNNNNNNNNNNNNNNNNNNNNNNNNNNNNNNNNNNNNNNNNNNNNNNNNNNNNNNNNNNNNNNNNNNNNNNNNNNNNNNNNNNNNNNNNNNNNNNNNNNNNNNNNNNNNNNNNNNNNNNNNNNNNNNNNNNNNNNNNNNNNNNNNNNNNNNNNNNNNNNNNNNNNNNNNNNNNNNNNNNNNNNNNNNNNNNNNNNNNNNNNNNNNNNNNNNNNNNNNNNNNNNNNNNNNNNNNNNNNNNNNNNNNNNNNNNNNNNNNNNNNNNNNNNNNNNNNNNNNNNNNNNNNNNNNNNNNNNNNNNNNNNNNNNNNNNNNNNNNNNNNNNNNNNNNNNNNNNNNNNNNNNNNNNNNNNNNNNNNNNNNNNNNNNNNNNNNNNNNNNNNNNNNNNNNNNNNNNNNNNNNNNNNNNNNNNNNNNNNNNNNNNNNNNNNNNNNNNNNNNNNNNNNNNNNNNNNNNNNNNNNNNNNNNNNNNNNNNNNNNNNNNNNNNNNNNNNNNNNNNNNNNNNNNNNNNNNNNNNNNNNNNNNNNNNNNNNNNNNNNNNNNNNNNNNNNNNNNNNNNNNNNNNNNNNNNNNNNNNNNNNNNNNNNNNNNNNNNNNNNNNNNNNNNNNNNNNNNNNNNNNNNNNNNNNNNNNNNNNNNNNNNNNNNNNNNNNNNNNNNNNNNNNNNNNNNNNNNNNNNNNNNNNNNNNNNNNNNNNNNNNNNNNNNNNNNNNNNNNNNNNNNNNNNNNNNNNNNNNNNNNNNNNNNNNNNNNNNNNNNNNNNNNNNNNNNNNNNNNNNNNNNNNNNNNNNNNNNNNNNNNNNNNNNNNNNNNNNNNNNNNNNNNNNNNNNNNNNNNNNNNNNNNNNNNNNNNNNNNNNNNNNNNNNNNNNNNNNNNNNNNNNNNNNNNNNNNNNNNNNNNNNNNNNNNNNNNNNNNNNNNNNNNNNNNNNNNNNNNNNNNNNNNNNNNNNNNNNNNNNNNNNNNNNNNNNNNNNNNNNNNNNNNNNNNNNNNNNNNNNNNNNNNNNNNNNNNNNNNNNNNNNNNNNNNNNNNNNNNNNNNNNNNNNNNNNNNNNNNNNNNNNNNNNNNNNNNNNNNNNNNNNNNNNNNNNNNNNNNNNNNNNNNNNNNNNNNNNNNNNNNNNNNNNNNNNNNNNNNNNNNNNNNNNNNNNNNNNNNNNNNNNNNNNNNNNNNNNNNNNNNNNNNNNNNNNNNNNNNNNNNNNNNNNNNNNNNNNNNNNNNNNNNNNNNNNNNNNNNNNNNNNNNNNNNNNNNNNNNNNNNNNNNNNNNNNNNNNNNNNNNNNNNNNNNNNNNNNNNNNNNNNNNNNNNNNNNNNNNNNNNNNNNNNNNNNNNNNNNNNNNNNNNNNNNNNNNNNNNNNNNNNNNNNNNNNNNNNNNNNNNNNNNNNNNNNNNNNNNNNNNNNNNNNNNNNNNNNNNNNNNNNNNNNNNNNNNNNNNNNNNNNNNNNNNNNNNNNNNNNNNNNNNNNNNNNNNNNNNNNNNNNNNNNNNNNNNNNNNNNNNNNNNNNNNNNNNNNNNNNNNNNNNNNNNNNNNNNNNNNNNNNNNNNNNNNNNNNNNNNNNNNNNNNNNNNNNNNNNNNNNNNNNNNNNNNNNNNNNNNNNNNNNNNNNNNNNNNNNNNNNNNNNNNNNNNNNNNNNNNNNNNNNNNNNNNNNNNNNNNNNNNNNNNNNNNNNNNNNNNNNNNNNNNNNNNNNNNNNNNNNNNNNNNNNNNNNNNNNNNNNNNNNNNNNNNNNNNNNNNNNNNNNNNNNNNNNNNNNNNNNNNNNNNNNNNNNNNNNNNNNNNNNNNNNNNNNNNNNNNNNNNNNNNNNNNNNNNNNNNNNNNNNNNNNNNNNNNNNNNNNNNNNNNNNNNNNNNNNNNNNNNNNNNNNNNNNNNNNNNNNNNNNNNNNNNNNNNNNNNNNNNNNNNNNNNNNNNNNNNNNNNNNNNNNNNNNNNNNNNNNNNNNNNNNNNNNNNNNNNNNNNNNNNNNNNNNNNNNNNNNNNNNNNNNNNNNNNNNNNNNNNNNNNNNNNNNNNNNNNNNNNNNNNNNNNNNNNNNNNNNNNNNNNNNNNNNNNNNNNNNNNNNNNNNNNNNNNNNNNNNNNNNNNNNNNNNNNNNNNNNNNNNNNNNNNNNNNNNNNNNNNNNNNNNNNNNNNNNNNNNNNNNNNNNNNNNNNNNNNNNNNNNNNNNNNNNNNNNNNNNNNNNNNNNNNNNNNNNNNNNNNNNNNNNNNNNNNNNNNNNNNNNNNNNNNNNNNNNNNNNNNNNNNNNNNNNNNNNNNNNNNNNNNNNNNNNNNNNNNNNNNNNNNNNNNNNNNNNNNNNNNNNNNNNNNNNNNNNNNNNNNNNNNNNNNNNNNNNNNNNNNNNNNNNNNNNNNNNNNNNNNNNNNNNNNNNNNNNNNNNNNNNNNNNNNNNNNNNNNNNNNNNNNNNNNNNNNNNNNNNNNNNNNNNNNNNNNNNNNNNNNNNNNNNNNNNNNNNNNNNNNNNNNNNNNNNNNNNNNNNNNNNNNNNNNNNNNNNNNNNNNNNNNNNNNNNNNNNNNNNNNNNNNNNNNNNNNNNNNNNNNNNNNNNNNNNNNNNNNNNNNNNNNNNNNNNNNNNNNNNNNNNNNNNNNNNNNNNNNNNNNNNNNNNNNNNNNNNNNNNNNNNNNNNNNNNNNNNNNNNNNNNNNNNNNNNNNNNNNNNNNNNNNNNNNNNNNNNNNNNNNNNNNNNNNNNNNNNNNNNNNNNNNNNNNNNNNNNNNNNNNNNNNNNNNNNNNNNNNNNNNNNNNNNNNNNNNNNNNNNNNNNNNNNNNNNNNNNNNNNNNNNNNNNNNNNNNNNNNNNNNNNNNNNNNNNNNNNNNNNNNNNNNNNNNNNNNNNNNNNNNNNNNNNNNNNNNNNNNNNNNNNNNNNNNNNNNNNNNNNNNNNNNNNNNNNNNNNNNNNNNNNNNNNNNNNNNNNNNNNNNNNNNNNNNNNNNNNNNNNNNNNNNNNNNNNNNNNNNNNNNNNNNNNNNNNNNNNNNNNNNNNNNNNNNNNNNNNNNNNNNNNNNNNNNNNNNNNNNNNNNNNNNNNNNNNNNNNNNNNNNNNNNNNNNNNNNNNNNNNNNNNNNNNNNNNNNNNNNNNNNNNNNNNNNNNNNNNNNNNNNNNNNNNNNNNNNNNNNNNNNNNNNNNNNNNNNNNNNNNNNNNNNNNNNNNNNNNNNNNNNNNNNNNNNNNNNNNNNNNNNNNNNNNNNNNNNNNNNNNNNNNNNNNNNNNNNNNNNNNNNNNNNNNNNNNNNNNNNNNNNNNNNNNNNNNNNNNNNNNNNNNNNNNNNNNNNNNNNNNNNNNNNNNNNNNNNNNNNNNNNNNNNNNNNNNNNNNNNNNNNNNNNNNNNNNNNNNNNNNNNNNNNNNNNNNNNNNNNNNNNNNNNNNNNNNNNNNNNNNNNNNNNNNNNNNNNNNNNNNNNNNNNNNNNNNNNNNNNNNNNNNNNNNNNNNNNNNNNNNNNNNNNNNNNNNNNNNNNNNNNNNNNNNNNNNNNNNNNNNNNNNNNNNNNNNNNNNNNNNNNNNNNNNNNNNNNNNNNNNNNUUGGAAGUAGUAAAGAAGGAGGUUAUAAAAUUGCUUGACUGUGGUGUUAUUAUACCCUAUUUCUGAUAGUCGUUUGGUGUCUCCCGUGCAGGUUGUUCCAAAGAAGUCCGGGAUCACGGUGGUGAAGAAUGAAGAACAAGAGCUUGUGCCCACUCGUGUGGUGACCGGUUGGCGAGUUUUGUAUUGAUUACAGGAAGUUAAAUGCCAUGACAAGGAAAGACCACUUUCCGUUGCCAUUCCUGAUCAAAUGUUAGAAAGGUUAGCCGUUAUAAAUUUUAUUGCUUUCUUGAUGGAUAUUCCGGAUAUAAUCAAAUUGUGAUAGCUCCGGAGGACCAAGAAAAGACCACUUCACGUGCCCCUUUGGUACCUUUGCAUAUCGGCGCAUGCCAUUUUGGUUUAUGCAAUGCACCUGCGACAUUUCAAACGAUGCAUGGUGAGUAUCUUUUCUGAUUAUGUGAGAAAGAUUAUUGAGGUAUUCAUGGAUGAUUUUAGCGUGUUUGGUGAUUCGUUUGAUCAUUGCUUGGUAAUCUAACCUUAAUUUUGAAACGUUGUGUUGAAACGAACCUUGUGCUUAAUUGGGAAAAAUGUCAUUUUAUGGUUAAAGCAAGGUAUUGUUUUAGGGUCAUAUUAUCUCUGAAAAGGGCAUUGAAAGUGGAUAAAUCGAAAAUAGAUCUUGUACGUCACUUACCCUCUCCGACUUCGGUUAGAGAGGUUCGUUCGUUUCUUGGUCAUGCAGGAUUUUUUAUAGGCGUUUCAUCAAAGGAUUUCUCGAAGAUUAGCACAACCUCUUAUGCCGACUCCUACAAAAAAGAAGUGGCGUUUGAAGUUUGAUGAGGCAUGCUCCAUGGCAUUCAAGCAACUCAAGGAGUUGUUACUUCGGCACCCAUCAUCACACCUCCAGAUUGGAGCCUUCCUUUCGAGCUUGAUGUGCGAUGCGUCCGACUAUGCUUUAGGAGCUGUUUUGGGGACAAACGAAAGGAACAAACAAGGCCGCAUGUCAUUUAUUAUGCCUCACGGACACGUUAAAUGAUGCACAAUUGAACUACUCCACUACGGAAAAAAGAACUUCCUUGCCGUUGUAUUUUGCUUUAGAUAAAGUUUCGAUCAUAUUUAAUUGGUACUAAAGUAAUUGUUUUUCACUGAUCAUGCAGCUCUGAAGUACUUGCUCACCAAAAAGGAGGCCAAGCCACGGCUAAUUCGAUGGAUGUUGCUUCUUCAAGAGUUCGACAUAGAGAUUCGGGACAAGAAGGGAAGUGGAGAACGUGGUGGCUGACCACCUAAGCCGAAUGGUGCAUAAUGAGGAAGCUUUGCCGAUUUUGGAAGACAUUCCCGAUGAGCAAUAAUGUCUAUCCAGGUUAAGUGCAGCCUUGGUAUGCGAUAUUGGUUGAAUUUAUUUGGUGUCAAAACAAGUUCCUGAGUUCACCCUAAACACCAACGUGAUAAACUUAAAAGGAUGCACGGUUUUAUGUGUGGGAUGAUCCAUACUUAUGGAAAUUUGUUCCGAUCAGAUUAUACGUCGUUGUGUGCAUGAUUCUGAAUUUUCAUUCAAUUUUGAGUUUUUGUCACACAUAUGCAUGUGGGGGCACUUUGGCACACAAAGCACAGCCCUUAAGGUUCUUACAAUGUGGUUUUUAUUGGCCUAGUAUUUUUAAAGAUGCUAAGAACUUUUUGCUUAACAUGUGAUAAAUGCCAACGAAGGACAUGGGUAAUAUUAGCAAAGGGACCAAAUGCCGCAGGUUUCUAUCCUAAAUGUUGAAAUUUUUGAUGUUUGGGGUAUUGAUUUUUAUGGGUCCUUUUCCUUCAUCUUAUGGUUUUCACAUAUAUUAUUGCUUGCGGUUGAUUAUGUUGUCAAAGUGGGUGGAAGCAAAGGCCACCCGAACUAAUGAUUCUAAAGUGGUUGCAGAUUUUGUGAAAACUAACAUUUUUGCAAGGUUUGGGAAUGCCAGGAGUGCUAAUUAGUGAUGGAGGGUCACAUUUUUGCAAUCGGACCAUUGAAGCGUUAUUGAGGAAAUACAGUGUCACCCAUAAGGUUUCUACACCUUACCAUCCUCAAACCAAAUGGCCAAGCCGAGGUUUCAACCGUGAGAUCAAGCAAAUCUUGAGAAGACCGUUGGGCCAAAUAGGAAAAGAUUGGAGCUUACGGUUAGAUGAUGCACUUUGGGCGUAUCGUACGGCGUACAAAGACCCCCAUUGGAUGUCCCCCUUUUCGACUUGUCUAUGGCAAGGCCGUGCCAUCUUCCCGUUGAAUUGGAGCACAAGAGCACAUUGGGCCAUCAAGAAGUUUAACAUGAACCUCGUGGACCAAGCAGGAAGUCAUCGAAAGCUUGCAAUUGAAUGAGCUUGAUGAGAUACGGCAUGAGGCGUACGAGAAUGCAAGCAUUUACAAAGCAAAAGACCAAGGCUUUCCAUGACAAGAUGAUUCGUGGGAAACAUUUCGAAAUUGGGCAGAAAGUGCUAUUGUUCAAUUCCCGUUUACGUUUAUUCCCGGUAAGUUACGUUCUAAGUGGAUUGGACCGUUUGUUAUUACUAAUGUUUUUGUACAUGGUGCAGUCCAAAUUCAAAGCUUGAAAACCGGGCAAGAAUUCAAGGUGAACGGACAUCGUUUGAAGCCAUAUUAUGAGAACUUUGUGGAAGCAUGUUGUGGAGGAUAUCCCACUUGCAUGCCGUGGGUUCCAAGGAGAAGUGAAGGGUUCUUCGUCCGGCUGGAAGACGUUAAAGCAAGCGCUACUUGGGAGGCAACCCAAGGCAUGGGAGGCAACUAGAGGAAGCUGUUCCAGAUUUGCGUUCCUUAAACUCUUACUCUGUUGGUUUUUAUUUGCCAUAUUGUCAUGUUUAUUUGUGUUUGUUGUUUGCUUGUUUUUGUGUGAUUUUAUGCUUGAAACAUUGAGGACAAUGUUUGAUUUAAGUGUGGGGGGGUAACUAAUUGUUUUUUGAUGCAAAUUCGUGGGAUUUUAUCACCCAUUAACUUCUAAGACUUGUUCCUUGCUGUUUUUAAGUGUUUUUAAGCAGUUUUGGAUGUGUUUUAGUGUGUUUUGAAGUAAAAAUCCCGAAAAUUACAUAAAAAUUUGAAAAAUUGUUUUUAAAAACCCAAAAAGAGUUGUUUUUGUGUGUUUGUUUGUGUCUUAGGGUACCUUCCAACACAAUGAUGAGGAUUUCGGUUUGUAAUUGCAUGGACUGUUAAAGAGAGUUAUUAAACAUGGAUGAAAGUUUGAUUUACUCUUUGUUUAUGCUUGGUUGUGGUUAUAACUUAUGAAUUCACAUGCAAUCAUAAAAGAAAAAAAAUCAGUUUUUUGUAACAUGCUUGAAGGAAGGAACUCAAAUUAACGCUACAACCUUGUGAGACUUGAGCCUAAACGUUUAUUUGGAGAGUUAAAAUCUGUGCAUUAUUGUUUUCUAAAGUUGUUGCAUGAUCUCAUUAUUCUUUGCUUGGUUGCUACUUAGAAGGCGUUUCAUCAUUUAGUUCCAAAUGCUAGAACUCAUGCCCAUUUCAUUCAAAGCAUGUUAUUGAUUUGCAUAACACAUAUUCAAGAUGAAGUUGUGUAGUGACCACCACCUUAGCCAAAAAGCCAUGUAUCCCUAUGUCAUUAUAUGUUUAAGUUUUAACCCCAUUGAGCCUUUGUUAGCCUACGUUCUUUGUUAACCCACAUUAUCCUCACCUAGCCUAGAUUAGGACCAUCCAUACCCUUGUUCUUAAAGCAUAGUAAAGCAUGAUUCAAAUUGAAUUCCUUUUGAUUAUGUUGGCAGAAAAAACAAGUGUGGGGGAAGUGAUUUCUUGUGUGUGUGUGUGCCAAAAUCAUUCAUAAGGCACGGUAAAAGAAAAGAAAAUUCGUGGAAAAAGAAAUGAAAAGAAGAAAAGUGUGAAAGAGAAAAGGAGUUGAAAAAUGUGAAAAAGAGUUUUCCAAAGUAUUGUUUGUUGAAGUAAGGGUCCAAAACAAUGAAUUCGGCCCUAAGGAGUUGUUUGAAUCUUCCCUUGUGUUUUAAAGUUAAUUUCUGCAAUCUAAGUGAAUUCUAAGUCUCAAUUUCAUUGCUUUGCUUACUAUUGCUUUGAAGAACGUUUGUUUUCCCUAUCCUUUCCUUUGUUAAGCCAACACCCCAAGCCCCGUUACAACCCUUAACUUCUAUCUUGAGUGUUAUGUGUUUCAAUUUGUGGAGUUUUGAAUUUGGUAUGAGCAUAUGGUGUCACUGGUUCUCGCAUCUAAGUAGUAGCAUUCCAUUCAUGAGAUCAUAUCUAAACAUGCUUCUUAACUCUAGAAAUUGCGUUCUUUGUGAUACGUAUAUGUGAGCAUUCGUUUUCAUAUCUACAUCAAUCUUCUCACAUAUAACUAGUGUAGGGUGUGUGUAGUUAGAAAAUCUGAGUGAAAAUAGAGUGUAUAUCUUGUAAGGAAUUGAGGGAAUUCUCUAAGGCAUGUUACUACAUUCAAAAACAUUGUUUUAAUUGGUUAAUUGUGAACUAGUAAGUGGUGACUAUGAUUAAGUAUGUGCUUGUGUAAAGAUGACUCAAAUCUGUGGGGAUAAUGAUCUUUAACAUGUCAUGUGCAUUGGAAAUCCCUGAGGCAAACGUUGGAAGGUUUAGGUUUGUGUUUUUAGUUUGUUUUUGUUUGUUUUUUCUUUUGUUUGUUUUGCUCGAGGACUAGCAAAAGCUAAGUGUGGGGGAAUUUGAUAGGAGCAUAUUUAUGCGACUUAAUUGGCUUGUUCUUGUGCGUUUACGUUGUGUUUCUUUAGUUAUUUUAGUGUUUAAGCCAUUUUCUUUUGUUUGUAGGUCUUAAUAACAAUUGGCAAGAAAGUGCAUUUUGGUGCAUUUGGAUGGAUUGCAUGCAUGAGGAUGGACGUUUUGGGCAUAUGUGUGUGCAAGUGUGUGUGUGUAAUUGCAAGGAUAAAUAAUGACAACUCAUACACAUGCAAAGAAGCCCACAUGCAAAGUGAAAGACUCUAAGUACAAAGUAUGCAAGAAGAUGCAUUUUGGAGGCCUUUGGAGCAUGUUUCGGGCUUGGAAUGGAUAGCAAAUGCAUGGGCCAAGUGGAUGGACGAAUUUGAGAACUAAAGAGGCCAAGAAUAUGAAGAAUUAUGGUCCAAAAGAUGAAGAAAACAGCCCAAAAAUCUGUCACCCCAACUUGCAUUCCUUGCCAUGCAAAACCACAUAGAAUUCCCUUUGGAUUCCAUGCCAUGCUUGAUCACUCUUGUCCCCUACAUAAUUUCUGAUUUCAUGCUUUAAUUCAUUUAAUUAUUUCACUCAAUUGCUUGAUACCUCUUGUUCCCUUCACCCAUUAGAUUUUAGACAACCUUUACAUCCAUUACAUGCACCAAUUGAUGCUCCAUCAUUCACAUUUGGAAUCCAAUGCCAUGUGCAACACAUGUUGUUGCACCUUUGACCCAUUUGUUGACACAUUUCACCUCCCUUUCCAUCUCUAUGCAAUGUACACAAUCAUUCAUGCUCCCUAGCUACAACACCACUCCAUUUUACCCUUCACACUUUGCAUCAUUACUUCAUUUUCACCCUUGGACCAUUGCACACCACACACACAAAUUGCCAUGCAUUUCAUCCUUAACCUAACCUUAUUUUUCUAAGGUUUUUGGGGCCUAUAAAUACAUGUUUACACCCCUUGGCCAAAGAACAAUCCCCCAUAUUCAUCAUUUUAUCACAGAAAUUCGUCCUUACACACCCUAGGAAGCAAAACACCCCAAAAACACCAUUCUAGUGCCUAGAAAACAUAACAACCACUCCACCUUCUUCCACCCUCUUUGCCUAGUUUUCCACCACCUUCCAACCAUCAAACACUCUUCCACACUCACCCUAAACCCCUCCAUAUCAUUCCCCAUCCAUUCUACACCAUAAAUCCACCCAAAAAUCUGUCCACAAGCUUCAUGCCGCAACAAGGAGGAAGGGAGAUCCAUUGAUGCACUUGCUUUCCAAGUUGGAGCAUUUUUAGGUGUUUUCUUUCCUUUGAUUUUAAUGUUCUAAUUUUAUGUAUCUUUGUAUUGCAAGAAUGAGGAACUAAACCCCCUUAGUUGGGGGGUGAUUUGAAACCAUGUACAUGCUUGCAAUAUGAUUUGAUUACAUUCAGUUGUUAUUUCAUAAGUUGCGGAUUCAAUUCGUUCAUCUACUUGAUUGAUAACUUAUUUGUGUAUGUUGAUUGAGAGUGCACGCUUAGUUUUCAUGCAUGAAUAUGAUGCUAGAUUAUGAGGGAGUUUCACCUAAUAGUUACAAUCUUAUAAUCACAAGUAGUGAAGGUCGCUUGAAAACGAUCGCGUUGAAUGAAUUCUUGGCACUAAGUUUCAUGCUCAUUCAUAGUAACGAAUGCCUCGUCAACACUUAUAGUUCUCAUUGUGCUUCAUGAUUCUUGAUUGUAUCUUUAUUGUGCUCAUCACGUAAGGAACCUUUGAGGAAUGCUUUUGGAAUUGUUGUAUGCGCUUUUCCAUCCAAUUCAUUAACUUAAGGAGAACUUGAAGGUUAAUUUAAGCGUAUCUAAUUAACUUGGGGUGUUGAGUUUUCAUAAUUUAUUGGAAAGAACAACUGAAAAAUCAUUUUGUUUGCAAGUGUGUCAUGUGUGGAGAAGAACCUCCUAACUAGCCUUUUAUCCAUCCUUUUCAUCCAAAAACGUUUUACAAUCUGUUUUGUUUUAAAGUUUCUGUUUUGUUUUCAAUUUUCGUCCAAAACAAAUCCCCCUUUAUUUUGAAGUCUUAGAUUAGUUAGAAAGUGUUUUGAUUUGUGUUUCUAAGUGUUUUUAUUCAAGUUUUUAUCCAACUUCGUCCAAGUUCUUGUUAGGUUCUCAAAACUGCCCAGAAAGUGGUUUUUAGGUAGUUUUGAGUCAUUAGGUUGCUGUUUUGAGUUUUAUGUUUGUUUAAGUAUUUUAAAGUAUAGUUUUGCAUUCUUUGAGUCUAGUUAGUGUUUUAAAUUUUAUUUUUAUGUUUUUAAGUCAGUUUUCAAGUGUUUAGCAAUCCCUCCUAAUCCCCGGCCUAGAACGAUCCCUACUUACAUACUUUACUACUUUGAUAAAAAGAGGGUUUAAUUUGUGUGCUUAUAUAUUUCGCAUCAGAUACUCCCCCUGAGUUUGACAUAACUUCUAAAUGAGAACUACAAGCAUUGCAUAUGAGUAGUUAGGCAUACCAAUUCCUCGAACAAGCUUCUGGAAGUUUUGACUUCGGCAGUGACAUCGUGUAGAGGUCGGCAAGGUUGUCUGGGAUCGGUUUGCAUGACUUCAAUCUCCUGAUGCUUUGCUGAUGUAUAUGUAGACGCAAUAUGUAGACGCAAGAUGUAGACGCAAUAUGUAUCAUGCUUUGCUGAUGCUUUGCUGAUGCUGACUUUGUUGAUGUAUCAUGGCUUAGUCGGGUUGAUACAUGUGGCAUAAUCUUCAUGGAUCGUCGUUGGGACUCAACGAUGGAUGAAAAUAUAGCAAGUACUUCGAAUAUGCUCAACAAGAACUCCUAACCAUGUCCUACUUGUGGCAUAGUGAAGUAAGGUGAGUCUUGGAACGAUUCGAAGAUUUCGCAACUAGGGUCAUAUCGUGGACCUCAAAGAUAUUGCGAUAUCCCUAACGAUAAAGACAUAACCAUUCGGAGAUUUUGCCUUGUGCUGGUUUGAUAAGUAACUAGCGUCAGCAUAACAAACAAGGUAAGCAUAAUUUCGAGGAUCAGGGGGGUUAGAUCCGCUCAAGAUGCAUUGGGAUUUGCCCACGUAAAACCUUCAGGGUACGUCUUUAAUACCAAUUCAGUGGUUGCGUGUAGGCGCGGUGCUGCAUCUUUACCAAGAUCAACAGCGAAUGAGAUGUCCUGUCUAAAUACAAUGAGCUAAGUACAACGAAGCGCAAAGUUGAACGUUUAGAUAUGGAAUUUCGGAUUCCAUAAACUCUUCAAGAGUCUCAUUUGCAUAUAACGUAUGGACAAUCAUGGGUAUACUUAAAUGUGACACAUUCCGGGUGUAGUUCGACUGGUAGACCAAAAUACCGUUAGAACAAUGCUUCAACUUCAAGUCAAGGCAUAAACGAGUUUUCCCAAGAUCCUUCAUCUCAAAUUCCAUCUUCAGAUGCGAGGCAGUUUUCUCAAGCUCUUCUAGAGUUUUAGUGAGAUUCAUGUUAACGACAUAAACUCUAACUCUAGCAAUUUGGAAUAAGACUUCAUAGUUUAACACGCAAGGGCAUAAUUCAUAUCCUUGACUGAUCAAAUAAUCACUUAGACUGGUAUACCACAUCCGUCAAAAUUUUCAAUCCAUAAGUGAACGCCUCAAAACGAGUUAAGAGAGUGUUCCAUGGUUUGGAACUAUUUGAACCAGUCCAUGUAAUUCUUCAGGAACUUACACGUAAAUCUCUGUAUUUAUAUCUCUAUGGAGAAAUACUAACCACAUUUCAUAAUGCUGCUAUCAAUCACAGGAAGUUUUGAGAGAAACCUUACGCCGUAAGGCGUGCAUCAUAUCGCACUAUUUCAUUCAUCUCAUAACGUUUCCUUUCCCACUUGUAACUCAACAGGGUUACCUUGGGCAGUGUAGGAACGACAGGUCCAAUACACACUUUGGUAAGGAAUUUGACCUGGAUUGUAACUUUAGUUGUCCAAUCAGUUCUACGUUGUCACUUAAUCAACGGAACACGGUUGAUAUCGUCGUUUUUCAUUUAUGUCGAUAGCUACCAUAUAAGUGAAAACAUCAUCGAUGAUAACCUCAUUUCAAUUCAAUUUUCUCAUCCAAACUAGUAUACUGGACCAAGAACUUCAAGUCUCGGGAGUAAUCCGGAUUAAUCUCAUGAGAUGGAAAUGAUUUGAGACAGCGAACGAGUUUAGAUUCAUUGUUGUGCUAUGUCUUCCUCUUCCAGGGAAGUGAAUCCUACGAACCGAAUGAUAUGUUGUGCUCCAGGCCAAGACAUAUUGAUUGGCUAUCCAUCGGUGUACUGGACCGUCCAACAGGGGCGUCCAAACAUUCCAACAUGGGCGGCACACCCUCCAGGGAUGUUGACUCGAUGUCCGUUAAGUACGUCUAUCCUUGCAGGCAUGUUUGCAGCUGGUAUAUGAUCUCGUCACUUUAGCUAGAUCAGAAGAAUGCGUUUGGAGCAACAUUCUGAAAUCUAGAAUUCGUCGCACUUACUUAUCACACUUGUGCGGUAUGGGGAUCGAGAUGAGACAUAGUGGGCAACAUCCAUGCAAAUUCAUGCCAUUCUACAAGAACAUUGACAUUCUUAUCUCCCUCUAACGGCGGGAAGACUGUCUCAUUAAAGUGACAACCCGCAAAUAAACGGUAAAGAGAUCGUGUGCAAGGGCUUGAAGAGAGCUAGUGUGAAGGAGAAUCAUGAUCGACAAAAGAUACACAUCCUUCUUUGAGGACCUAUAGUGGUAUGUUGCGGCGGCGUAACUUGGCACAUGGAAUGCGCACCCAAAUGCGUAAAUACGAAAGUCGUCAGGUUCGUACCUAGUAACCAACUGUAACGUCAUAUAAGUUGGGUGGCAAUGGGCCUUAAGGCGGACCAACAUAGCUACGUGCAAGAUUGCAUAGCCCUAGGCAAAGACCGAAAACUUGGUACGUUUACCAAAAUUCGGGCGAUCAUUUAAGUUGCGCUUUAUGAUCGCUAGGCUAGGCUAUUUGGGAUGAACAUGGGAAUGCGAUGUUCAAUUAAAAACCCAAAAUGACAUGCAAUACUUUAUCGAAAACCGUCGAUAUAAACUCUCUGGCAUUAUCCAGUCUUCCAGACCUUAAAGGAUAAGUAGGGUGGUGAACCCUUAAUCGGCCAAGAGGUUUAGCAGUAAUGUGUGUGGACAAACAUGUUACCAGUUUAUUGAUUCAUCAACCAAAACCAUAAAUAUUUAUAUGGUCCGCAUUUUGGUUGGAUUAGUCCAUGUAUAUUCCUUUGAAUCCACUGCGAAAAUGGAGUCGUGUCGUAUCUUUGCAAGAAAUGAUAUAGAAAAUCAAUUUCCCUAAUGAGCAAGAUUGGCAAAGUGUGCUUGUAGGCACAAAAUCCUUACUUCAGAUAAGGAGAUGCGUUGUAGCAUCAUUGUUCGACCUAAGUGUCCCAAAAGGUCAUGCCAAAGCAAGUAAACUGCUCAAUCACCAAGCUAUAAGCCGGCCACAUGUGGUGUAUUCCCAGUUGGGAGACAACCCAUUGGCCCCAAAUCAAAGCUUCAGGCUCAUUUUUGGAGGUGGUGCAAAGAUAUUUCACUCUAUUUCCUUCAGUGGUUUCAUUUAUGAUCAUUGUCAUCUCGAAUAUCCUUAAAAACUCAACGUCAGGAAGAAUUUAAGGUCCCUUAAAUGAUAAUUCAGUAUCAUUCAUACAACGAGGAGCGUGCCAAUGCUCUUAAUCAGGUUGGAUAGACCUGAAGUCGUUGUUAGAGAUGUGAUUUAGGUGUAAAGUUAGUGUGGGUAGUACGCAUUCAUCCAGACAACUAACUUUCUCACAUUCCUACCUAAUCACGUGUUUAAUUGAAUCAGUCACAUGUAUUAAGAAACAUGAUUCAAUUAACUCAUAUUCGAGGACAAUAUCAAUAAGAUUAUCCAUAAGUAAAACAUACACCAAACUUGAAUCCAAGAACAAGGAAAAAUGUUCACAAAGUAAAUUUACUAAGGGGAUUUGGCCAAUAAGGCCAUCCAUGUCGAAAUUUUGCUCUGCUAAUGAUGUUCGGUGGAGCAAAAUCAAUCUCACAUAUUGACUACUAGAAUGGUACUCCUCAACAACAUUGGUAGGGGCACGAACAGGUGCAUAACCAAUGAUCUAUUCCAUCAAGACAGGAGUAGAUUCUUGCAAGGUUGAGGUUCGAGAAUAUUGUCCCUUAUUCUUGAAGUUUUAGGUCUUAUGUACCAAGGAUCAUGCUUCGGGCAUGAUGCCACACCUUGGUAAGCCCUGAUUAUACUAUAUGUUUGUGAACAUAAACUCAAAAUUGUAUUGUGAAAGAAUAUGCCAUUCAGUGUCUCCCUGCCAAAGCAGUGCAUCACCAUUUGGUUAGGUUUUGACUGAACUGGGUCGAGCUAUUCGGUAGACUCCAGCCGAACUAGGUUCAUACCUUUUGUCUCACGUUUGUGGUAGUAAUCAGAUCCGUGAAUUUGGUAAAUUUCCACUUUCUACACUGCUGCUUCAGGAGCGAGUUAGAAACAUGGAAUGACGAGAAAAGUAUUCUCCAGUCAAGAUUCGAUCGGAUUUAUAAAAUUCAGAAUUGUACUCAUUCAUGGACGUAAUCAUGGUUUGCUUCGGGCAAUUUCUUUCAUGAUUAGACGGUCUAUAGAAGCGAGCCAAAGAGCCAUGGAAUCCUCGUUCGGGAAGUAUUUCCAUUUGUAAUGCUUUGAGCAUAAGUCUUCGAAUGAAGAUUAUGACGGAGGCUUAUUCAACUCUUCCUUGCCAUUGUUAGCAUCAAUGGUUUCUCAGCUUCUUGAUAGUCAAGUGGAGAUUCACGUCUUGUACCCCACCUAAAGUGGUUUCUAUUAGAAAACGUCCAAAUCAGGAAAAUCAAACUUGUGACGGUUCGACAAUCCACUGAAUUUGAGGCAACAAGAUUGUGAUUGGUGUUAUGGGAAUGAAUCAUCCAUAAGCAUCAAAGUUAGAACAUUCGAGUUCUAAGACAUGGUUUUCAUGAAAAACGUCGGGUUUUCAUGGGUGUAUUGUUUUAUGAAAUCUUCGGGUUUCAAAGGCACUAAAUUUGAAACUACAGGUUCAAUUUAGUUUAUGAACGUUUAGUUCAUAAAGGAGAGGUUCCUGCAAGAAACACAGAAUGCAAUAUACUAACUUAGUGUAGUGGAUUUGAGUUGUCUUCGGGAACUCAAGUGUGAGAGCUUCAUUACUACGAAAGUAUGUGACGGUUCAAGAAGAGAAAUAAAUUAUUGAAUCGUUAAUGUCCAAAAGUGAUCUUCAGGUCAAUAAUUUUGGAUUCAUUAUCAGAUUAAUGGACUGUAGGUCACUUUUAAUUAAUUCAAUAGAUCGGGACCAUUCAGGGUCGAUUGUAGAAGCAAAAUAAUGUUAUUAGAUCGAAAAUAGAGGGCAAAAAAUAAUUGGGCUUAAUGCCGGGGGUUAAGAGGCACGGGUUGGGUGCCUUAAGCAUAAGGCGAGGCCCAAAUGUUCAUUUGGUGGUGGCUGCAGGCCACGGGUGAGGAAUGGGAGACCCUAGCCACAGCUGGGUCGUGUUUUGGGCCACAAGGGAGUGCACGGACAGGUCUAGCGCAAGCUGGCCUGUGGGUUGUCACGGGGAUCCCAGCGAAGACUGGUUGCAUGAAAGUAGUCCCAUAGUGACUGCAGGUCACGGACUUGGGUAUGGGUGGCGUAGUGACAAGCCCAGCAUAUGCUGGCUAUAUGUAUGCGGGCCAGAGCAAUAAAACCCAGCAACCAAAAAGGUUGCAGCGUGUGUAUGGAAGGACAGCCCAGACAAUUGGGCAGGUUGGAUGGCUGCGGGCCAAGGCCAGUGUGCAUAGGCUCAGGGCUGCAGGCCCUAUCGAGGUAAAAUCCAGGCCUAGGCCUGGUGAUUAUUUGCAUAAUGAUGGUGCGGUGGUGUGCCACACCAUGUCCUGAUUCCCCCAUGUUUUUUUUCAAAUCCUUUAGGGUUUAGGAAAACCCGAAACAUGCUUCUAAUUUAAUUGAAUACUUUGACUCACAAAUUCCACAUAGCAAUUAUUGCGUAAUGUAUGAAACAAAUAUAUAUAUUGACCAAUAUAUGAACAUAUACAAUAUAUAUAUCGGAAGGUAAAUAUAAAUGUAGGGGGUUCAGGCAUCAUGGGGAAUGUUUUCAUGCUUCAUGGGUCGUUUCAAAUAUCUUCCUUUAUUUUAAGCGUACCUGAGUAGCAGAAAACAACAAAAGCCUUUGAAUUUGUAGAAGAUCCUUCUUGAAAGCCGGAAUUCUCCAAUGCUUUGUAUCACGUUCAACACAGAAAAAUUAAAUUGAAUCAAUAGCAUGUAGAUCAAUUUAAUAAAAUAAUAAAUUAAUCAUGAAAAGAAUGAUUAAAACGUAAUACUCCCCAAAUUGAAGAUCAAACUCUCUUGUUAGCGUAGCGUCAAGAGCGUGCUGAUAACGUGUUGUAGGCAUAAUUUAAUGAAAAAUUUUGGAGGCCUUAGAGAGAGAGGGGGUGCGGCAAUAGAGAGAAGAAUAGAGAGAUGUGUAAUUGUGGGUGUGUGUUAUCUCACCCCAUUGUGCCUUUAUUUAUAGUAGUAGGAAGGGUAAAACCUUUCCCUUUAGGAUUACAACAUUUAAUAGGUAAUCAAAUCCUAAUAGGAAUAUAAGAUACAUUCCCAUAUUUCCUAGGAUUUACACAACCACAUUCCUAUUCUAAAUAGGACUGCAACAUAAUUAUCGUUUUUCUCUACCUGCUCUUGUUGUUUUGUGGACUUUUUUAUUCUGAGAGCUCUAAUGUGAGGAAUGAGGAUCCUCUCUUAAUUCUUUUUGUCAGGAUCCCAGUGAUCCUCCAAUCACGUCUGUUCAUUGUACAUCGUACGGUCAUAAAUCAUUGUAAUUUUUUUGUUUAAAAUUGAAUAUAAACAGUACCUGACCAAAAUUGACCGCACAAUGUACGAUGAAUAGAUGUGAUUGAAGAAUCUCUGAGAUCCUCAUAAAGAGGAUCCGAAGAGGAUCCUCAUUCUGAUGUGAGUAAUGUCACUUAAAAUAUUCCUAAAAUUAAGUGAGGAUCAAGACUUGUGUACGGCUGCUGUCGUCCUUGGUUGACGAUGCACUUCACAUCGUUAAACGUUGAAGUAAAAUAUGAGUGAAAUGCGCGUGAUAUUUGUAAAUUGGAAGUUUUAUUUUUUAUUUUUUAAUGAAGUAAAUUCAAAGUAUGAUUUGGACAAUUUGGUGACACUAUUAUUUUUAAUUUUUGAAAAUUAAACUUGAAAUAUUAUUUGGUAAUUUUCUGUUAAAAAAAUGUAAAACACAUGAUCAAAUUUUGAAAACUCAAAAAACUGAAAAUUAAAGUAAUUAUCAAACCACACAUAAGAGUAAAUAAGCGUUUUAUAACAAUAGUAUUUAGAGUGAGGAAUCUCUCCAAGUUGCUUUUCCACUUAGGUUGAUAAUUCGGAUGGAAACUGAAAUUAUUGAAUUCAUUGUGGAUGCCAAUUUCUUCCUUCUUGUUCUUGGACGAAAGUGCACCUGGAAAAAAAAUUAACAUCUUAGGUCAAAGCCAAGGGCCUCACACACCCACGAUUAAUGGAUGGAAGGGGCUUUAGCUAAAGAACCUCCGAUACCAAAGUUAGAAUUUUGAGAGAAAAGUGUUUGGAGAAUUUAGAGAAUUUUGCAAGAGGAUUCAACUUAGGUUUUUGGAGAAAUGAAGUGGUAACUAUAGGGGUGUGGCCAGCCACCUUUGGAGAGGUGAGAACCGGCCACAUUUGGUGGUUUUUAGGUGUAAUUGCAAGAUAUUAUGCCACCAUAAUAUCUUGCAAUCAAUUAGAAAAUUAAUUAAUUAAUUUAGGUAAUUAAUUCUAUUUUGAAUGAAUAUUUGGAGGUUACCUUGUGGGGAGGAUUUGAUGAGUGAUGAUUGUCCUUUGCUCACGCGUAGGAAUUCCGAUGUGUCUCGAGGGUAUUCUUGUUUUUUAACCCAAAAAUCCAUGUGUUGCCUCCAUAUUUUUCCUGAUUAUUUUUGGCUCCACAAAUGCCCCCACACCUGUUGGGCUGUUCACAAGAAAGGGUAGUAGGUGUAAAGAUCUUCUUGCUUUAGGCAACGUAGGAUUGUUUCCUAGUUUGAUGUAGAUUCCCUCUUUAAUUGGAAAUUGGAUCCUUCUAGGGAAGGGAAAUAAAUCAUUUCUAAUGUCUAUUUAAGUCUACCUUAAGUAGAUGAUUAAAUCAACUUUAGAGAACAAUUUAUUCUACCCUACAAGAGAGAGAAAGCUAGAGGAUAUUUGUUCCCCUUCCCCUAGCAAUCUUCUACACUUGCCCAUGCAAAAAACCGUCUUUCGUUGCUUUCUUCGCCUUGUCCGCUCUGCACCGAGUUAAGAAAAAAUUAAUUUUCCUUGUCUUCUUUUUGGAUAGUGUUAUCGCGGGGCAGCCGUCGGGGUGGUGUGGCACGUCAGUUGACAGGGGCCAAGAGUCAGCUCGUUAUGGGUCAAGGAGGUGUUGUUGCAAGUACCAUUGUUUGGGCUGCUCAGCUUCGCUCUCCAAUGGCAGAUUGUGCCGCUGGGGUCGCAGAUUGAAGCAUUGGGGCGCAAUGCUAAGCAAGUUGCAUGGCUUAUGUCAAUUGGGCUCUUGGACCUAACGCGGGCCAGGCUGGUGAUUGAGAGAAAUGAGGAGGUCGCGGGCUUCAUGGGCUGCUGGAAUACUGGGCAUGCAAGCUUCCUGCCUACUGGUUAGAGAGAAAAAAAUGAGGAAAAAGCUAGUAUAAGUUGAGCUCCUCUGCUAAGUACCGCGAAUGGUGUUGGUUACGUAGUCCUCUUCAACGGGAGAAAUAUGGGCUGCUUCCGAGAGAUGAGGUAAAGAGGAUCAAGGCGGAUGCAUUGGCUUGUCUAAUCGCUGUUAUGGAACCUACUAUGAAUAAAGGUGGAAAGAAGAUAUCUUCCCCGCCUGCUUAAGAGAUGCUGGUUGAGAAAAAAAUGAAAACUUCAUUUGUUGCUUAUGAGGGUCAGCCUGUUGCUGAGAGACCUGUGAUUGACAUGACUUCUUCCAAUGGGAAGAAAAAUGAGAUUGCUAGAUCUGAGCCUGUGGCACCUGCCAUGUCGAGAAUGGCUAAUACGAUUGCUAAUAAGAUUGCUCAACGUAGAGGUUUUGUCAUGCCCCAAUGCCGAAGUUUGUACCAAGAUGUCCGUUGGGAGCUAAGUCUGGUUCACCUUUAGAGAGGCUUGCCAUUAUGAAGAGCGAUAAGGUGCACUCUGCUGCUAAAGUGGUGCCAAGGCCCACUCCCCCUACUGCUAAGAUUGAUUUGCCUGCUUGGAAUGAAGAGACUGCUAGCAUGGGCAACUGUGAGAAAUCCACUAAGCUUGCUUCUCGGGAGGCUGCUGAGGUCUGUGCGUUUUUUAAACCAGAUAUUCUUAAAGACAUAGACGCUUUUGCCAAGUUUGUUGAUGACGUUAGAGGGGUUGUUUGCCCAAAUUCCUUUGCAAGGCAUAUGACCGAGUAUAAGAAGACUGCCUUACUUGCCAUGAUGCAGAAGAUGGCUAUUCUGGUAGCCGAGUCUAUACUCCUUGACCAAAAGGAUACUAAGACUGUCAAUGAGGUGGCAAAGGUUAUGGCCAAAGCUUAUUCUUCUACCGAAAAGAUCAAAAGAUUGGAAUCUGAACUCGUCGCUUUGAAGGGGUUUAAUAUCUCUACCACCACUUCUCUGCAGCUUGAGACCACUCGCCAAGAGAUCGUUGAUUUGAAGACUAGGCUUGACGCGAUACAAGUUAAGUAUGAAAGUGCAGAGAAGGAGAUCGGAUGUUACAUACCUCUAAUUCAAGAUCUUAAACAUGUCGUUUCUGAGCUUCGUUUCGCUGUUUAUGCAAAGGAUGAAGAGUUGAUUGUUGCUUGUAACCAUGUGAUCGACUUCAAGAAAGUCGUUGAUAGGCUUGAACCCUAAGUGUUGGAACUCCAAGGUAUGCUAAAGAUCAAUGAAGGUUUGAAGAAAUAAGUAGAGAAUGAGCAACUGAAGGGUGAAAAGGCUGGGCUCGAGUGAUUUCUACAAGCUGGGUUAUGUAUAUUAUCUCUUUGGUAGGCCGUCUGACUUCGAGUUUGCUGGGAAAGACUUCCAAACCUUUUCUAUUUCUUUGAAAGACUUGUUUGCCUUUACAUUUAAGGCUUUUAUUGGUGAAGUAGUCAAAGAAGUUGGUGCCCAAGUUGGGGCAGCUGUGGAUGAAGCGCUGGAUAGUUCUGCUACUGAAGGUGCUGCGGCUACUGAAAGUGUGGCAACCGAGUAAUCGUGGAGUGUCCAAGUUGCUGAAGAGUAGCCUUUUAUGUAGUCUUUAGGAUUUUCUUUGUUUUCCUUUUUGCUUUUUCUUUGCUUGAACUCCUUCGGUCUUUGCUAGUUGUUUCUCAAUUUUGCUAGAAAAUUUAAUAAACUUGCUUGCUUCGCUUUUCACCAUCUUCGCUUCUUUUGUUCAUGCCUUAACCUUUAGACUUUAUAGACCAGUGACAGGUGUGCUACUUUUCUAUAACCAGACAGGUCGCAUAGCCUAUGUAGCCGUAGAUGUUGGUGUAGAACUUUGCAAAGUUGUUAGCCAUAAGGUCGGCAGUCGGACGCCUUACUUACAGAAGCAGACAAGUUCGCGUGACCACUAGGCUGUUAACCUUGACUUUCCCCAAUUCUGUAGGUUGCAUAGUAAGUGUCACAACACUUUAGGACUUGGUGUAGGUCGUUCCGCGCUUAGCAGAGGUGAAGCUUAUCGACUACGUAGCAUGUCGACAGUGGAUAAAGCUUCGUAUAUGCACGCUAACUUGAAGGGCAAGUCGUAGGCAGUCUUCCGAAAGCCGUAGGCUACCUUAGUGCACUCGGUAGCAGCUUUAGGGUUCCAGGGUAGCCGUCCAUAGCCGUACUGUGUAAUGUGCCUCAUCCGUCUCUGAGGCAUGAUUCCCUACAAAUUAGUCCAAGAGACCUAAAAUCUUUUAGUAAGCUAAGCCUUGAAAAAGACCAUUAUGGCUACUUAUAGGAGUGCAAGCCAUCGUGCACCUAGUUAUACCAGGGUAGCCUAGCUCAUCCACGUCUGGAUAUUUAGAGUGUAAGUUUAUCCUCCUGCCUUGGAGAGCAGACCCAUGUGGGUGUUGGGGAAUUGGUUCACUUUUUCGAACUGGAGAGCAUGGUUGGUCCCUCGAGUGGCGCAACUCCUGCAAUAAGUCCCUAAGAAGGGCGUGGUCUUCUUUUAAAGUGCAAGAGUGAUCAGUUGUUGUAAACAUGUAGUCGAGCCAAGUUUUAGAUUACUUCUGAAUUCCUCAUUGAAAAAUGAGUGAAACGAACGAGAACUUAGCUGUAAGGUAGGAACUAUAUAACAAUUGGGUAGUCCUUGGCUUGCGAGGUGGUGCCUGUUGAGUUACUUGAGUCUUCAUGCUUUGAUGUGGCGGGAGGUUACACAUGGUACUUCUUUAGGUUAUAGGCAUUUCACUGCUUCUCAAUCUCUUUGUUGUUCAUGGUGGUAAGGGUGUAAGUACCCUUACCGCCUACUUUACUGAUCUUGUACGGACCUUCCCAGAUGGGAUCUAUUUAUUUGGAGCCUUCUCUACGGGCAGUGAUGAAGGCUUUUCUUAGGACUAGAUCCUCGGAUUGGAACUGCCAAAUCUUAGCCCUGUUGUUGUAGCUGGAGAUGAGCUAUUGCUGGUAGGCUGCGAUGCAGGUGAUGGUUUGCUCGCACUUCUCUUUUGCCAAAUUUAAACUUGUGGCCAUCUCCUUACUGUUUUGCUCAAUGCUUGGCAGUAGAGUGCUGAUACUUGGCAUGAUGACAUUUAGGAAGAAUGAUUGCUUCUAAACCAAAUGCCAAAGAGAAAUUAGUCUCACCGGUGGCUCGCCAUUUGGUCGUGCGAUAUGCCUAUAGAAAUCCAGGGAGUACAUCUGGCCACUUUCCCUUCUUGUCGGAGAGGGAUUUCUUGAGGCAAUUGAGAAUUAUCUUGUUGGAUGCUUCGGCCUACCCAUUAACUUAAGGAUAUCUCGGUGUGGACACUGCUUGAUGCCAUACUUUUGGAAGAACUUCGCCAAAUCUUUGCCCACGAAUUACGGGCCGUUGUCAGUGACGAUGGAUUAAGGAUACCAAAUCGGCAAAUAAUGUUCUUCCAUAGGAAGUGCUCUAUGUCCACCUGAGUUGUGGUUGUAAUAGGCUCUACUUCUACCCAUUUAGUGAAGUAAUUGGUUGCCAUGAUCAUCAUGCAUCUACCCCCAGUAACGGGCGAUAUUGGCCCUACUAAGUUGAUUGCCCAUUGUAUGAACGGCCAAGGACUUACUGUGGGUGUAGUUCGCUAGCAGGUAGUGCGGGUACUAGUUUGUAGCGUUGGCAACGGUCGCACUGUUGCACUAACUCCUUAGCAUCUUGUUGCAUGGUAGGCCAGUAGUAACCUACGUUAAGAUCCCUCUGCGCUAAGGAUCGACCUCUGAAGUGAUUUCCACAAACGUUUUCAUGGAUUGAGCUUAGAACCUUUAAGUCGCCGGGAGGAUCAUCAGAGAUGUGGUCUAGUGUAAGAUCUUUGGGCGAGAAUGUCGUUCCACAUAUAGUAGUGUGCUUCCUUUAUUUAGAGCUUUCUAGUCUUUAACCUUCUGUGGGGAGUGUGCCAUUGACUAAGUAGUCUAUAAUAGAACUUUACCAGUUUAGAGUUAUACUAAUAUGUGACACUUCGACUGCCAACUCCGCCUUAAUGCUUGGCUUGUCUAGAUAUUCCACCAGGAUAAAGCAUUUGAGUUGGUGGUGGAGGGCGUAGCCUAAGCCGGCUAAUGCGUCCGCGUGGGCAUGGUAUGCCCGUGGAACUUGAGUAAGGGUAUAAGUUUGAAAUGCCUCAAUUUGCUUGCGUACUUUCUUUAAGUAUUGCGUCAUCCUUGGAUGUUUUGACGUGUACUUUCCAGUAGUCUAGCUGGUGAUUUGCUAGGAAUGAGAAUGAAUUGUAAGCUUUUUCACCACCAAGUCUUUUGCCAUUGGGAGGCCUGCUAGCAGGGCUUCAUACUCCGCUUCGUUGUUGGAUGCCUUAAAGCCUAGAGUAAUCGCCUGCUUGAGCAUCGAACCAUCUGGGAUGACAAGGACCAUGCUUGCUUUCGAGCCCUCGUAGUUGAAUGCAUUGUCGACGUGCAAAUGCCAGAAGUCUCCAUCGGGGGAAGCAGGGGUGGCUAGGGCGUGCUUGUUUACUUUCGGAGCGUCGUUAGGUCACUCUGUUGUGUCGCCUAGGCUAUGCGUGAAUGAGUGGUAUUGAGCCACAGAGCUGGGGCCAUGUUACACGUAGCAGGAGAUGCUCAACUGUCGAUUUAAGGCUGCUUUAGAGCUAAAUUAUAGAGCAAGGGUCGGCUGGGGCCACGUGACGCGCAACAAAAGAUGGUGCUCAAAUUGUCGAUACAUGUUGCUCAUAUGUAGAAUCUUCUGGGACGACGAGGAAAAAACUUGCUUCCGAUCGUCAUUCUAGUGUUCGUCUAUCCAUGGAGUUCCUUUUGAGCUGAGUUGUUGCAUUUGUAAAAAAACUUUGCACCGCCAGUGUUUGCGCCUUUAUCGUCGUAUUUCUGGAUUGGGCUUAAUAUUGCAUCAUGAGGAUGACUGCAUGCGUCUAAAGGUAUAACUUAAGCUUCCGGGUUGCAACAAUUAUCGCCAAAGUUAGCUUUUGAAUUUCUGGUAGCUGGUUUCCGCAUCGAAAAUAGCUUUUGAACUGUGGAAUAUAGGUAGUUGGGCCCCCAGCUCUUCUCGUAUGAGGGUAAAGCUUAUUGUUGCUUCAGAUGCGGCUGCUUGUCCAGUCAGACCUUGAAUAUCCUUCAGAGUAGUAGGGGACAUCAUAUUCAAGAUUGGUCAGAUUUGCCUUGAAUGUGCAUCGGUGAACCUCGUCCCAAAGUGCAUGUUUCUCUGCCAGAGUGAAAGAGUCUGCCAGAGUUAGAUCUUCUUUCAUUAUCAAUUGUCUGAACAACGAGUGGUCUUCAAGGAGUUCUUUUUGAAAGGCUGCUCUAGCUAUCGAGUCGUUGCAUCUAACUAUCUUUGUCUUCUCUACUUUGAACCUCCUCUCAUAGUCAUGAAGCGACUUCUUUGGGUUCUUCUUGACGUUGAACAAAUGGUAGGACUUUUUCUUGAUUGAGUACUAGGAUGAAUAUUCUUUGGUGAAAACCAAAGAAAAUUCGUUGAAACUAUGGAUUAUAGCGGCAGGGUGUAGAACCAAUCUUGGGUUUCGCCUUGUAGAGUGGUGGCGAAUAUCUUGCACAUGAGAUCGUCGUUGUUUCGAUAGAGGAUUAUUGUGCUUCGGUAAUGCUUUAGGUGUCUCUUCGGGUCUCCAUCCCCUUUGAAGGAUGUGAAAUAUGGCAUACUGAACUUGCAUGGAAGCUCUGCCUGCUCGAUCUCAUUCGUGAAGGGUGACCUGCUUAUAUUGGUCAUGACUCAUCGUAGUGCCUCGUUAGUGACCUUGUUAUGUUGGAAAUCGUGUAAUUGCUCGGUCAUGAGCCUUUCUACUUCUUCCUAAAUUUACCUUUGUUGGGGUAACGGAGCUUCCGACUGCCUUGGGUUGUGACCUACUGGUCUAGGCUGCUCUUCUACGUGCUCGGCACGUCUAUGCCACGGCUGUGGUACAUGUGGUUCGUUCCUAGUAGGCAAGGAAAUUCUUUGCAGGUUGCUGGUUGAGCUUGAGCCGGACUGAGUGACUGUUUCUUUCCGUCCUUUGUGCUGCCUACUCCGAUGUAAGGUAAAUGAUGCUCCUUCUGGGCCUAGCCGCAAAUGAACACUUCGCCUAGAAGGUUGCUUAUGUUGAAUAUCGGAGUGUGGGCCCAAUCGUGAAUGUAUGCUCAUUCAUAGGCCUAGUCAAAAGUGCAUACUCCUCUGCGCACUAAGACGGGAAUAUACGCUAUCUCGGGGUGUACACUGCUCGAAUGUUGGGUUCGUGGUUGGUCGAGUGGCUGCUUGCUAGGACGCUGCUGGAGAGGUUAUUCGUCUGCUCUUGUCCUACUUUGGGACACCUUGUCUGGGGCACGUUGCAUCUUGGUACGCUGCAAGAGUUAAUUCACCAAGGUUGUCUACUGUAUGAGGGCACUCGUCAAUUCUAUGACUUGUUGAGACAAGUGUUGUUCUCUAUUUGGGUUGGAAGAGCUUGGAAGGAAUGCAUCUCAUUGAGCAGUGGAAGUGUGAUAAAUUCCAGGCUCGAGAUAUGAGUUAGGAAAUGUCAAUGUGGAGAAAUGUGGUGAAAAUGCCUCUGGUUCAAUCAUAGGCCCAUAAAUUUGAAGUCGGGACGGUUGAAUUAAUCUUGGACAUAUUUAGGCUGCUUGGAAGACCACGGGACCAGGCUGGGCCAUGGGAGCAGACUGGGCCGCGGGAGUAGGUUGGGCCAUCGGUGAACAAGAAAAUGAAAAACUUGAAUGCGAGAGCCUUUUAGUAACGUUUGAUCAAGACUCACAAUGAAAGAAUCAAUUUGUGGAUGCAAAUUUUUUCCUUGUUGUUCUUGGACGAAAAUGCACUUGCAAAAACAAUUAACACCUCAGGGCAAGGCUAAGAGCCUCACACGCCCACGAUGAUUUGGGGGGGGGGGGGGAUGGGCUUUGGCCGAAGAACCUCCAAUGUCAAAGUUAGAAUUUUGAGGGAAAAGUGUUUGGAGAAUUUAGAGAAUUUUGCAAGGGGUUUGAACUUAAGUUUUUGGAGAAAUGAAGUGGUGUUUAUAAGGGUGUGGCCAGCCCCAUUUGGAGAGGUGAGAACCAGCCACAUUUGGUGGUAUUUGGGUCUAAUUGCAAGAUAUUAUGUCACCAUUAUGAUAACCCGUCCCAAAUCUUACGUUUUUACAAAAUUUAAAAGUGUGAUUUUACGAAAAUGCCCUUAGAGGUAAGGGUUAUGACUUCCGUUGACAACGUAUAACGAGGUGUAUAAAUUAAUCCAUUAGCGUUUUCCUGAAAUACUCGACAUUACGGAACUGUAAACCCGAGAAGUACUUUUGCUUUGGUCACUAUUUUUAUAUUUUUUUUCAAAUGUAUUUAUUUUAUUUAUCAUUUAGUGAUUUUAAAAAGAGUUGAAAAAGGAGGAAAGAAGAAGAGGGGAAACGACAAAGGGAAGAGAGAUGGGUUGUUGCCCAAUCGCACGAGAGGAAGAGAGGAACUGACCAACGAAGGAGAAGGGAAAGGAGGGAAAGGAGGGAAGAUGUGAAGGAGGGGGGAGGUCGGGUCUUCUUCUUGACCCGCGCGACCCGGCCAAGCUUCAAGGCCAAAUUCGGUCAUUUUCCUGCCAAUUUUCGGUGAAUUGUCUUGAACCACUACCUGAAAACACCACCCUAGCUCUCCCUCUUCCAUCUCCAUCCAAAAUUUGAAGAAAUUUGGUUGAAGUUUGGUGGAAAAACCACCAUGGGUGCCGCGGGAAGGAUUGCUCGAGAUCCACCAAACCUGAAACAAUUUCAUUCAAUUACCACUACCAAAACACUCCCUUAGAACCCAGGAACAAAGCCCAAGCAGUGGUGGAGGCGUCGACGAAAGUUUGGAGGUCGAAUCGAAUCACACCAAAUUCUAGGGUUUCAUACGGUUUUAGCAAACUUGGAGCCUUUCUAGACCAAAUGGAACUUGGCAACAGGUAUAAAGUUUAUUCUACUCUUUGAGAUCUUCAAUUCUAUAAUUUUUGAGAAUUUUUAAAAAUAGUUGAAUUUUCCGGCGAGUCGGAGCGGCCGACCGCCCCCCGUGACGGCGCGUGUGGUGGCACGUGGCCUGUGGGCCAAUGAUGUUUAUUUAAGUGCUAUUAGAUGCCUUGGGUGCAUAAUUGAUAUCCGUAUGACAUAAUUUCAUUAUUUGUGCUUAGUUUCAUUUCGACACGUGAAUAGGUCAAAAUAUGAAUCGACGAUCCGACCAUUCGAUCGUCACCAAACUUUAAUACAUUAUAGUACAUAAUUUUUUAGGAUUAUAGGAACUUACGGAUCGGGAAUCUGAUGUACGGAUCUUCCCGAAUUGGAUUUGUAAGUUUAUAAAAUAAAUGUUAACCGUCACUUAGUUUUGGGCAAUUGACGGAGAUCCGACCGUUGGAUCGUAAUGAAAUUUUAGUAUGUUAUUCUAAAAGUAUAAUGUGAAUCUUUGGAGGUUAUGGAUUAGGAAUCUGAGUUGUGGAUCUUCUGGAUUGAGUUUUGUAGGGUUGUGGACCCAAUCGUCGAUCUUCGAUCGACAGUUUAUUGGUGGUCAAUGGGUCUUAAACUAUUUUAGAAUGUCCUUGAGGAUGUGCUUUAUGUGAAUUACGUAUUCUAUUGAUAAGAGUUCUGAGAUGUGAUUCUAUAAUUGGUCACAGACGCCAAUCGUUUGGGACCCCUUAAUGUGCGUGCUAGGGAACCAUAGCGUGGACUCCAGGUGAGUGAGUCUUUUCCUUUCCAUCGUAUAUUAUAUAUAUAUAUAUGUGUGUGUGUGUGAUUGAUAAUUCCAUAAAUGUAUAUAAUUGAUUAUGGCUUACGAUUAAUAUGAAUGCUUUGAAAUAAUUAUUGUGAACUACGAAUGGCUUGAUCCCUGUUUAGGGUACGUAGGCAGUCUAACGAGACGUUAGAUGCAGCCAUAUAAGAAAUGAGAUUAAAUAAUCGAGACAAUAGCCUUGUUUAAGGAAUUGAGCAAUGUGAGGGAUAUUGUGAAAAUGUGCGUUUUAACUUUAUGUUUUGGUGAUUAAUAGUUAGUACAUCGUAUUAUAUAAUUGGAAAUAUUAUGAAAUGUUUUAAUUUUAGAUUUUAUCAUGGCAUAUCCAUAUGUAUAUUCCUUGCACAUAAUUAUUGUGAACGCUCUGAAGUGCAAAGGUGAAUGCAGGACACACAAGUAAGUUCAGGUAAGUUUAGAUAAGUUCAAGUAAGUAUACGGUAUUAGGUGAAUUGAUGGGGUUAUGAUAUGACUACAUUUACGUUUUAGGCAACUCCGACACUGUUGUACAGGUUGCAAUAGUAGGCAACUCCGGCAUUGUCGUACAGGUUGCCUAUGAGUCAUAUAUGUUGUAUUAGAUGCAUUUAAAGCUCAUAAACCUGCACUCCGGUGUUAGUGCUCCUGCUCGUGGCCAAGGCACAGUCUUUCACGUGAUGUUCACUUCCCGCACCAUACGCUCACCUUGAAUCCAAGUUAGGUGCAUAGGCCUGUCGUACAGACCACUAUAGGUGGUUCCGACUCAUAGGUGACCCGCGAUCACUCGCACAGCUUUCACGUGAUUGUAGCCCUAGAGGGUACACAUUCACACCCAGGCCUGUUGUACAGACCACUACAUGUGGUUCCGACUUGUGUGCAGAUGUAGUGCCAUACAUGCCACUAGAAGUGACUCUGGCUUAUGUGCUAGCAAUGAUUGAUGAGUUAUGAUUUCAGUCGUACAGGUCACUAGAGGUGACUCCGACUUAUAUGCUAGCCACGAUUGAUGAGAUCUGUAAUGAGAUAUGGAUAAGUCAUACAGGUCAUUAUAGGUGACUCUGACUUAUGAGCUAGCAUAUGUAAUGAAUACGUGACGAGCUAGCAUAUGUGAUGAAAAUGUGAUGAGCUAACAUAUGUAAUGAAUACGUGACGAGCUAGCAUAUGUGAUGAAUAUGUUAUGAGCUAGCAUAAGUGAUGAAUAUGUGAUGAGCUAACAUAUGUGAUGAAAUAUGUGAUGAACUAGUAUAUGUGAUGAGAUAUGGAUAAGUCGUACAGGUCAUUAUAGGUGACUCCAACUUAUGAGCUAGCAUAUGUAAUGAACACGUGACGAGCUAGCAUAUGUGAUGAAAAUGUGAUGAGUUAGCAUAUGUAAUGAAUACGUGAUGAGCUAGCAUAUGUGAUGAAUAUGUUAUGAGCUAGCAUAUGUGAUGAAUAGGUGAUGAGUUAACAUAUGUGAUGAAAUAUGUGAUGAACUAGUAUAUGUGAUGAGAUAUGGGUAAGUUGUACAGGUCACCCUAGGUGACUCCGACUUGCGUACUAGUGUGAGUUAUUAAUCGCAUGAUUAUUUGAUAUUAUUGAUAAGAUGCUGUGUUGUGGUAUAUUAUGAUUUUUUUUCUUCUGGAAAUUAUACAGGUGUUGUAGCGAGGGGUUAUAAUGUUUAUAUGGUUUCUAUUAAAAUCUUACUUACAAGGCUACUCACCCUUGUCUUGUCUUCACCCUCCAGGUUUUAUUAGCUGAGCUUUCUUAUCGUCGAAGAUUCGUAGCGAUUCUUAGUAUCGGAGACUACUUCGAGGGUACGAUUCUUAAUUCACUCUUCUGUACUUGCUUAUGCUCUAACGUCACGUUUGAAAUGGGUUCAUUCCCGCUCAACGGUGCACUCUGGUAUUUAGGCACUCUUAGGUUUAAAUUUAUUCAUAUUUUUCCACAUCAUCACACUUUAUGGCUACGUCACCUUCCAGGUGUUGGCCAACACAGUGUGAUUUGGAGUCCUAGUGGACAUUUUGGUCGGGGUGCGUCAACCAUAAUAUCUUGCAAUCAAUUAGGAAAUUAAUUAAAAAAUAAAUUAAUUAAUUAGAAAAUCAAUUAAUUAAUUUAGGUAAUUAAUCCUAUUUUGAAUGAAUAUUUGGAGGUUAUGUUGUAGGGAGGAUUUGAUGAGGAUGGAUGAAAUAUGUUUGGAAUAAAUACCUAUUUUGAUCACUUUUGACCUUGAUUGAGUUAUGAUGGUCUGCUGCUCACACGUAGGAGUUCCGAUGUGCCUCGAGGGUAAUCUUAUAUUUUUAACCCAAAAAUCCAUGUGUCGCCUCCAUAUUUUUUUUGAUUAUUUUUUGCUCCACAUUCAUGUGCAAGUGUCUCAGUGAAAUCUUUAUUAUAUUUUCUUUAUUAUAUUUUUGGUAACGAUAUCAAAAUCUUCCAUCCUUCUGCGUUUUGCUAAACUAAGCAAAAUUUGGUAAGGGUUCUCCAUAAGUAAUGUGCCAUUUAGGUGUGCCCAAAUUUGAUGUCAAAUAUCAUAUGGCGUGAAGAAUAGUUAUCAGUCCCGACAUUUCAGGUUCAAUUGGGAGACUUUUGGGGUGCCGAAACCCUAAACCUUCCGCCAUUUCUUAGUAUUUAUUACAUUCGUUAUAUAGAUAAAUAUGACAUAAUCUUGUAUCUGCAGUUUCUUUUCUCUGAGAAGAAACUCAAUGUUAAUAGUUAUUUUAUUUCUUUCGUUAUGUGACUUAUAGACUGCCGUAUACAAUCGAGAAUAAAUUUAUCUGUAUGACACUAAAGAAUGGUUAGAAACGCAAAUAUUAGAGACCUUCACCGAUGUUAAUUUUUUCCUUAACAUUCUUCUCCAAUUCCUCUAUACAACUCUAACUUCCUGGUUAUGUGGAUUUCUUUGGAAGCAUCGAGAGGUGUGAUGCAAUUGAUUAUGUGACCUAAGGUACCGUUUGGUACGUGGGACGGGACGAAACAGAGUGGAACGAGGCGUUCCGUCCCACGUUUGGUGUGCCUAAAACGGGUGGAACGCGCUGUUCCACAUGACGAGUUUUGGGUGAAUUUUUGUUCCGCCUCACCCCCCUGGAACGAUUCGUUCCACAUCCGUGGAACACAAAAUUAUAACCUAUCCGUCUCCUUCUUCCUCCUUAUUUCCAUCUGAGGGCAUCUUUGCUCCUUCUCCGUUCCGUCUCGUCCUGUCCCGUCCCAUCCCAUUCCGUUUCAUCCCAUCUCGUCUGCAUACCAAACGAUACCUAAGAGCAAGUCCACCCAUUGUAAAAAGGUAAGGACAAGAGCUUGGAAAUUUGCCCUUCAACCUGAAAUUGCAUUUCUAGCCGACCAAAUUGAAGAGGCCAAUUUUUGGGUCAUGCAAAGCCUGCCCACAUGCCAGAGCAAUUUAAGUCCCGCCUUGCACCAACAUGCAUUCUCCCUUUCUGUGUUUGAACAUGUAAAACAUGCACAUCCUGAACGAGUGGACCGACAACUUUUGAUAUCUUUUUGGCAAAAUUACAUGUACGUAAUUGUGCACAUUACAAAAAUACUUACUCGAUUUUCUUUUGCUUUAAAACCCUAAUAUGCUUCGUUCUUUUAAGAAAAAACACCAAAUACCAAAUUCCAUGCCAAAUGUCUAAUUAUCCUAAGUUUCCACGUGGCAUGAAGAUUAGUAAUUGGACUCUGGCAAGAGACACUCACCCGGAUGCUCAAACGGGCCAAGGAAGCUGAGAAAACGAGCUAUGGAAUUGUUGUGAACAGUUUCUAUGAGCUCGAAUCGGUUUAUGCAGAUUAUUACAGAAACGUGCUUGGGAUGAAAGCUUGGCAUAUUUGCCCUGUUUCUCUAUGCAAUAGAAACAAUGAAGAAAAAGCACUUAGAGGAAAAACAGCUUCUAUCAACGAGCACGAUUUCUUGAAGUGGCUUGAUUCAAAAGAACCUAAUUCGGUUGUUUAUGUGUGUUUUGGAAGCAUGGCUAAAUUCAAUGCCUCUCAGCUUAUGGAGAUUGCAAUGGGGCUUGAGGCUUCUGGGAAGGACUUCAUUUGGGUUGUGAGGAUCGGACAAGAUUAUGACGUGGAGAAAGAGGAUUGGCUGCCAGAAGGGUUUGAGGAUCGGAUGGAAGGGAAAGGACUAAUCAUGAGAGGGUGGGCCCCGCAGGUUCUGAUUCUUGAUCAUGGGGCAGUUGGCGGGUUUGUGACUCACUGUGGGUGGAACUGGACGUUGGAAGGGAUCGCUGCCGGGUUGCCGAUGGUGACGUGGCCGGUGUCGGCGGAGCAGUUUUACAACGAGAAGCUGGUGACCCAAGUGCUGAAAAUUGGUGCUGGUGUUGGUGCUCAGAAAUGGGUUAGGGUUGUGGGGGAUAGCGUGAAAAAGGAAGCUGUUGAGAAAGCUGUGAGGAGGAUUAUGGUGGGUGAGGAAGCACAGGAAAUGAGAAGCAGAGCUAGGGAACUUGCAGAGCAAGCAAAGAGGGCUAUUGAGAAAGGAGGAUCAUCACACUCUGAUUUAAAUGCUCUAAUUGAAGAGUUGAGUUCCCAGUAGUUGGAGUUGGAGCACACAUUCAGAUGGACUUCGCUUUCUGAAUAUUUCAGAUUCAUAAAAGAAUGAUCAAUGUUGACAGUGACUAAAAGUUUAGUUGUUUUUCUUUCGACCCAGAUUAGACUUUCAUGGUGCAUUUUAUUUAUCUUAAGGGUCGUAUAUUUGCCCAACCAAUGAAAUAAUUCUAAGAUCAUCUUCAACUCUUGGGUUAAAACUUUAAAUUUCUAACCUAGAAAAUUUAGGUUUUAAACCAGAAACAGUUUUUCUACUCCAACCAUUAUAGGUUAAAUUUUUAGCUCGAGAUUAUUAAAUAAUGAAUUUAGGAUAAUUUUUUUCUUAAAGUAAAUUUCAAAAAAAAAAAAUUAUGUAGACUAUUAUAAUUUAAUUUUAUGAACAUUUAAACCUAAAUACUGAAAAAUUACUAAACCGACACCAUCAAACUUGUGGAACACUAUCAAAGAAUAUGAAACACAUCAAAGAAUAUUUUUUUUUAAAUUGUUUUAGAAGUUGGAUUUAAAUUUGGACCAUUAGAUUUUAUUUUACCAUUGGAUUUGAUCAUAUUAGAUCUUAACCGUUGAAUUCAAUGAAUUUAUUGUUAGGAAUGUCGGUACUACAAGAUAGAGAAUGCACAAGGUAAAGUAGAAAAUGGACACCAAGAAUUUAUGUGGUUCGGCAAUUUAUGCCUACGUCCACGAAACAAUGAUCAAUAUUCACUAUAUGAAAAAGAUGAGUACAACAAGACUAGUCUUACCAAGCCAAAGACAAGGCUUGAUGGAUACAAGAAAGUAUGACACACUUUCUAUCACUCUAAACUUCACUCAUAAUGUGUAGUGGAACACUCUCACUCUCACUCUUGGAGUGGAACUUUAGCUUUGGACUUGAUCCUAGAAAGGCCUACAAGUUUUGGCAAAGAAGUCUCACGUUCCCUUUGCCAAAGGUACGUCAUUGAACUCUUGUGAGCACUGUUUAUUCGGAAAACAAAGAAGAAUUAGUUUUUCUGUUCCAUCUACAAAGAAAGGAAAUUUGUUAGAUCUUUUUUAUUCAGAUGUGUGUGGUCCCAUGGAAGUUGAGUCACUUGGAAGAAAUAAAUAUUUUGCUACUUAUAUUGAUGAUGCUUCACGAAAGGUCUGGGUGUUGUUGUUGAAAUCCAAAGACUAGGUGUUUCAGACAUUCCAGGAGUUCUAUGCCAUGGUGGAGAGGGAAACCGGGAAACCUCUCAAGUGCCUUUGUAGCGACAACGACGGCGAGUACACAUCUCACCAGUUUAGAGAGUAUUGUGUGAAACAUGGCAUAUAACAUGAGAAGACAGUUUCUGAAACUCCACAACAUAACGGUGUUGCUGAAAGAAUGAAUCGAACCAUCAUGGAGAAAGUCAGGCGUAUGCUGAGGACUACAAGUUAUCUAAGCAGUUCUGGGGUGAAGCUGUGAGGACAGCCUGUUAUUUGAUUAACCGAUCUCCAUCAGUACCAUUAGGUCUUAAUGUUCCAGAGAGAGUAUGGACUGGUAAUGAUAUGUCCUACUCUUAUUUGAAGGUGUUUGGUUGCAAAGCUUUUGUGCAUGUGCCCAAAGAGCAGAGAUUGAAGUUAGACUACAAAGCUACACCGUGCAUCUUUCUUGGUUAUGGCAGUGAAGAUUUUGGUUACAGAUUAUGGGACCCAUACCAAAAGAAGUUUAUCCAAAGUAGAGACGUGUACUUUUAUGAAGAUCAAACAAUUCGGGAUUCGGAUAAAGAGGCACAACCAGAUGGCGCAAUCAGAGGAGUUGAUCCAUUAGCUUCAGAUGAAGAAAGUCAUGAUGACAUCCCUGAAGCAGCUGCCAAUAAAGUGCGUGCAGAACCAGAUAAUGUUGAUCAGGGGGAGCCUGAUCAAGAUGUGUCAGACCAUGAGAUUGCUGAUCAGGGGAAGCCUAGUCAAGAAGAGCAGAUUCAACGAGAACCCAAUCAGGUGGAGCCUCCAGUCUCGUAAGAGAAUGAAGAUCAGGUCAGAGGAUCCAGCAAAAGUCGAAGACCGUCUACCAAGUAUUCUUCAUUAGAGUAUGUCAUGUUGACUAAUUAUGGAGAGCCUGAAACUUAUGAGGAGGCCAGAGCUCAUAACGACAGUGACAAAUGGAUGAAGACAAUGGAGUCAAAGAUGGAUUCCUUAUUAAAGAAUGAUAUCUAUGAGCUAGUUGAGCUUCCAAAGGGCAGAAAAGCAUUGAAAAACAAGUGGGUGUUCAAAUUGAAAAGGGACGACAACAUGACAAGGUACAAGGCUCGUUUGGUUGUCAAAGGUUUUGGUCAAAAGAAAUGAGUUGACUUUGAUGAGAUUUUCUCACCGGUGGUGAAGAUGACUUCCAUUUGAGUUAUCCUUGUAUGGCAGCAAGCAUGGAUCUUGAGCUCGAGCAGUUAGACGUUAAAACUGCAUUUCUCCAUGGCAAUUUAGAAUAGGAGAUAUACAGGGAGCAACCCAAAGGCUUUGAAGUCAAAGGUAAAGAAAGACAGUGGAAUAAGAAGUUCAACUCAUUCAUGGUGAGUAAUGGGUACAAGAGAACUCAUGCUGACUCUUGUGUCUAUAUCAAACAAUUUUCUGGAGGUGAAUUCAUCAUUUUAUUGCUUUAUGUUAAUGACAUGUUGAUUGUCGGUCAAGAUGCUUCUAUGAUUAAAAAGCUCAAAGAAGAGUUAUCUAAGUCCUUUGACAUGAAGGACUUAGGGCCAGCCAAGCAGAUUUUAGGUAUGGAGAUAAUUCAUGACAGAAAAUCCAAGAAGUUGUGGCUGUCACAAGAAAAGUAUGUUGAACGGGUGCUUGAAAAGUUCAACAUGAAAGCAACCAAACCGGUAGGCUCACCUUUAGCCAAUCAUAUCAAGUUGAGUAAAGAGUCGUGUCCAAAACAUAUGAAGAAAAGGAGAAAAUGGCAGUUGUUCCCUACUCUUCAGCAGUAGGAAGUAUCAUGUAUGUAAUGGUGUGCACACAGCCAGAUAUUGCUCAUGCAGUAGGUGUGAUGAGCAGGUUUCUCUCUAAUCCAGGGAAAGACGAUUGGAAAACUGUUAAGUGGAUUCUCAUAUAUUUGAAGGGGACUUCUAAGAUGUGCUUGUGCUUUGGCGGUUCCAAACCAAUCUUGGAAGGAUUUACAGAUGCUGACAUGGGAGGUGACCUAGAUGGUAGAAAAUCUACGUCUGGGUACUUGUUUACUUUUGCAGGGGGAGCCGUGUAUUGGCAAUCCAAGUUGCAAAAGUGUGUUGCUUUGUCCACAACCAAGGCUGAAACAUAGCUGCUACAGAAGCAUGCAAAGAGCUGUUGUGGCUAAAGAGGUUUCUCCAAGAGUUGGGUUUGAAGCAUAGUGAUUAUGGCGUUUAUUGUGUUAGUUAGAGUGCUCUGGAUUUGAGCAAGAAUACUACAUAUCAUUCACAUACCAAGCACAUUGAUAUUCAUUAUCACUAGAUUAGAGACGCUAUCGAGAGCAAGUUGCUACAACUGAAGAAGAUUCAUACCGAUAAUAAUUCUUCAGACAUGUUGACAAAGGUAGUCACAAAAUCAAAGUUGGAAUUUUGCAUUAAGGUUGCUGGGAUGGACUCGAGGUAACUUAGAGUCAUGAUCGAAAUUCUUCCCUCAUAAACUGGAGGGGGAGAUUGUUGGUAUAUGGUCCAACCCAUGAUGAAUGUUCUAGAUUAUUCUAGUAAGCAAGUGAGGUGGCUGGAGCAUGCUAGACAAUUCUAGCAUGUUAUUAAGUUGAUGGAAGAAGCUAGAGAGUACUAGCUUCCUUGGUUGCAAAUGGAAAGAUCUAGAAGCUACAAUUUUGUGGCUAGUCUAGAAUUAUCUAUGCUAGAGGUUUGAAGAAUACACUAGAAACUAGUAGAAUGCCAAACCCUCACCUAUAAAUAUAGCUGUGAUGUUGUAGUGAAGUAACCAAUUAAGAACCAAGUGUGAGUAGCGAAUGAUCAAGUCCAAAGCUAGAGUUCCACUCCAAGAGUGACAGUGAGAGUAGUAGUGAAGUUUAGAGUGAUAGAAAGUGUGUGUCAUACUUUCUUGUAUCCAUCAAGCCUUGUCUUUGGCUUGGUAAGACUACUCUUGUUGUACUCAUCUUUUUCAUAUAGUGAAGAUUGAUCAUUGAUUCGUGGACGUAGGCAUAAAUUGCCAAACCACAUAAAUUCUUGGUGUCCAUUUUCUACUUUACCUUGUGCAUUCUACUAGUUUCUAGUGUAUUCUUCAAACCUCUAGCAUAGAUAAUUCUAGACUAGCCAUAAAAUUGUAGCUUCUAGAUCUUUCCAUUUGCAACCAAGGAAGCUAGUACUCUCUAGCUUCUUCCAUCAACUUAAUAACAUGCUAGAAUUGUCUAGCAUGCUCCAGCCUCCUCACUUGCUUACAAGAAUAAUCUAGAACAUUUAUCAUGGGCUGGACCAUAUACCAACAUUUAUAAAUAUAAAAUUAAAAAAAAUACACAUGGUGUGCCAGCCACAAACCCAGGUAGAAUGCUGGCCUAAAUUUGCCCAAAAAAAUGCGUUUUGAGUUAAAACUCAUAUUUGACCCAAGGGUUAAAGCAAGUUUGGGUAAGUUUAAAACCUAAAAUUUGAGUUUACUCCAAAUGUUGGAGUAGGUCUAAGGGUCCUAUUUUCUUUAACUCUCCUUUAUUGACUCGUGAGUGUCAUACUGAGCUAGAUAUAAUGAAAUAUAUAUCUGAUUACAUAGAUAAAUCUUCUUAUAAUAUAAUUUACAAGUAGUUCGAUAUAAAUUCCUAAACACGGCAUUGGUUGGAUUUCACAAGAGAGAACUUUAGAUUAUAAAUUUUUGUCUCUUUCUUUGUAAGGACAUUUCUAAGGUGCGGACUUUGCAUUCGAACCUUGUGUGUGGACCAGAAUCCAACUAUCGUGAUUUGCUAAGCUCAUGGUAGAACCGGGCUGUUGUGUCCCAGUGUAAUUAAAAACUUUUAAUUUUUUUAAUUCACUAGAUAUGUUUUUUUUUUUGGAGAGAAAGAAGGCGGCAUAGAACUGAGGGAUUAUUCACACGUUAAAGAGGGAAAGAGAGGCAGAAAGAGGAAUCUAGGGUAAGUAAUUGACUUCACAGGGUGUAUUUUUGUCGACAAGAGAGAGGAAGAGAUUAAGAUUGUCUUCGCGAGAAAAGAGAGGCCGAGGGAGGGAGUUGGUAUAGGGUGGGAGUGUUUGAUUUCAGGUGGAUUAAUUACGACCCGGUAAAUCCUAUACCUUGAUUUUAUUUUGGUUCACUAGGUGCGUUUUUAUCCGAGUGAAAGCUGAGGAUUGUAUAAGCAGGGAAAGAGAGACAGAUAGAGGGAUUUAGGGUGAGUAAUCAUUGGGUUCGUUUUUGUCGAGGAGGGAUGGAGAGAUUAAGGUUGUCUUCGCGGGGAAAGAAAGGUGGUAGGAGGGAGUUGGUAAAGGGAAUGAGUGUUCGAUUUUCAGGUGGAUUGAUUGCAACCUGGUAAAUCCUAUACCUUUAACUUUUUUUGGUUCACUAGGUACGUUUUUAUUGGAGAGUGAGGGAUACCUGAGGGUUGUAUUCGCUAUGAAAGAGAGGUAGAGAGAGAGAGCUAGUGAAGGGUGUGAGCGCUCGAAUUUAUGUGGAUUGAAGUUGUUGUUGAGCAAAAAUUGUACAAGAAAUGUAUCAAAUAACUCACUCAACACAAUCUCACCCUCGUUCAUUUUUCCGAAGAGGUUUUUAUUAAUUUUAAUUCGACCCAUUCUAGACUACGUGUCUAUUAAUUACAAUCCUUCAUUAAAAAGGAAAAACUCUUUGAUUCCAAUAUGAAUAAAUCAUAACUUGGAGAUUUGGUUGUUUGUUUUGUUUUGCAGCUGCUCCUAGGUCGAGCCUUAGAUUGCAUGUGUACCCUUUUUCAAGGGAUCAAGCCGCUAGUAGUUCAUGGUGAGAUGCAGUUUGGGAUUUCAGUGAGUAAAUGACCCGCUAAAAAAGGAAGGUUUUGUGUUUGGUUUAUUUGGGUGCCUUAAAUUUGUUUGAGUGAAUUUGGUUGAAUGGACCAGGGAUUCGAUUUGGACUUUUGGUGAAUUUUGGUUGAAUGAACUAGGGAUUCAAUUUCGUAUUUUGGUUUUGCAGUUGUGUCUAGGAAAUGGUACUAAACUGCCUAUGUAUCUUUGGCGGAGUUAAACCGACAUAGUUCGUUGUUUUGAAUGAGUGAAUGACCCAUUGAAAAAGAAAAUUUUGUUUGCUUGGAUUUGGUGUCUUGUGCAAUUUCAGCUCGUGCAGGUAAGGAGUGUCUAAUGUGUUGUAUAGUUUCAGCGGGCUUUGUGCUAUUUGGAGCAUUUGAUGCCUUGUGCAGGCAAGAACUUUGUGCAAUUUGGAGUGUUUGAUGCCUUGUGCAGCUUUAGCUCGUGCAGGUGAGGACUUGUGUCAUUUGGAGCGAUUUUGUACUAUGUGGGAUUUGAUGCAAAUUGUGCCAUUUGAAAUUUGAAGCGGCUUUCUGCCAUAUAGAAAUUGAAGUGGCUUUGUGCCAUUUGAAAUUUGAUGUAGCUUUGUGUCAUAAAGUAGGCAAUAUCCCACGUGAGCAGCAUUCCUCAUAAAAUUGGAAAUUAUGUUUGCAGACUUCUUUCUUCUUCAUGUAGACUUUACAAUCUCUUUGGCAAGAGUAGGAGAGAUUUUUCAGUGUGACCAGAAUAUGGAGUAGUACACCAUGUGUCCCUAUACACCAGAAUAUGGAGUUAAUAACCUUAAAAAUAAAAUUUCCCACCACUUAUAUAAAAACAUGUGGUGUACCAUUCAUGUUCCGGUUGCAAUGAAAAAAUUCUCCAAGAGUAGGCCGAAAUUUAUAAAGAAAUUGUGGAGCCGAAAAUAAUCAAGAGGCGACAUGUGGAUUUUGGAUAAAAGAGGACAAAAAUACCCUCGAGGCAUAUCGGGAUUCCUACGCAUGAGCAGCGGGUAAUCCUCCCUCAACCAAUUCAAAAAUGCACAAAAUAGAUAACAAGUUCAAAAUUAUUUCAUCCAUCCUUAUCAUAUAUUCUCCAAAAGGUAAUCAUUCCAUAACUUCCAAAACAUUCCUUUUAAAUUAUGUUAAUUGGCUAAUUAAUGGAUCUAUUACCUAAUUAAUCCAUUAAUUGCCAAUUAAAUCACCAAUUGCAACCAAAAAAUACACAAGAGGCUGGUCACCUUCUCUCCUAAGGGGAAAGGCCAUGCUCUAUAUAUUCAACCUCAUUUUCUCUAAAAACCUAAGUUCCAACACUCUUUCAAAACUCCCAAAAACUCUCUAAACACUUUUCUCUCUAAAUUCUAACUUUGGCAUCGAAGGUUCUUCGGCCAAAGCCCCCUACCUUAAUCCAUCGUAGGUGCGUGAGGCUAUUGGCCUUAACCAAAGGUGUUAGUUGUUUUGUAGGUGCAAUUUUGUCCAAGAUCAAGGAGGAAGAAAUUAGCAUCCACAAAUUGGUGCUUUCAUUCAGAGUUGAGUCCCACACUCGUAGAAGACUCUCGCAUCCAAGGUUUUCUAUUUUCUUGUCCAUUCUCGUGGCCUAGCUUGCUCCGGAGGCCCAAUCUGCUCCCAUGGCCUUCUGAGCAGCCCAAAUCGAUCCAAGAUUAGUUCAACUGUCUCGGCUCCAAAUUUUCGGACCGAUGAUCGAAUCGGUAGCAUUUUCACCAUAUUUUUCUUCGGAUUUGGCAUUUCCCAACUCAAAUCUCGCGCUCGGAGUCUACCACACUUCUACUUCUCAAGGAGACACAUUCAUUCCAAGCUAUUCCAACCCAAAUGGAGAACAACACUUGUUUCGACAAGUAAUAAAGUUGACAAGCGCCCUCGCACAGUAGACGACCUUGGUGAACCAGCUCUUGCAGCGCAUCAAGAUGCAACGUGCCCCAGACAAGGUAUCCCGAAGUAAGACAAGGGCAAACAAAGAACCUCUCUAGCAGCGUCCCGGCAAGCAGCCGCUUGACCAACCACGAACCGAGCGUUCAAGUAGUAUACACUCUCGAUUGGGCCCCCAAGAUAGCGUAUACUCAUGUCUUAGCGCUUGGAGGAGCGUGCAUUCUUGACUAGGCCCACGGACGAGCAUACAUACACGGUUGGAGUCACACUCCAAUAGUCAACAUAAGCAACCUUCUAGGCGAAGUGUUCAUUUGUGGCUAAGCGCGCAUGGAGCAUCAUCCACUUCACAUUGGUGUAGGCAGCACGACGAACGGAUAUGAGCAGUCACUCAAUCUGGCUCAAGUUCAACUGACAGGCUGCGAAGAACUCACUCGCUUGCUAGGAAUGCACCACACGCACCGUAUCCGCGGCAUAGACGAGCCAAACACAUGGAAGAGCAGCCUAGACAAGCAAGUCACGGUUGUGGGCAGCCAAGAGCUCCGCUACCUCAACAAAGGUAAAUUCAGGAAGAAGUAGAGAGACUCUUGACCAAGCGAUUUUGCAAUUUCCAACGCAACGAGGUCACCGAUGAGGCACUACGAUGGAACAUAACCAACAUAAACAGGUCACCCUUCACGGACAAGAUCGAGUAGGCAGAGCCUCCAGGCGAGUUCAGCAUGCCACAUUUCACAUCUUUCAAAGGGGAUGAAGACCUGGAUAGACACUUAAAGCAUUACCAAAGCGCAAUGAUCCUCUAUCGAAACAACAACGAUCUUAUGUGCAAGAUAUUCGCCACCACCCUACAAGGCAAGGCGCAAGAUUGGUUCUACACCCUGCUGCCACAAUCCAUCUGGAGUUUCGACGAACUUUCUUUAGAUUUCACCAAAGAAUGUUCAUCCUAUCGCUCAAUCAAAAAGAAGUCCAACUAUUUGUUCAACGGUAAGAAGAACCCAAAAGGUCGUUUCGCGAUUAUGUAAAUAGGUUCAAAGCAGAGAAGGCAAAGAUAGUCGGAUACAACGACUCGAUAGCUAGAGCAGCUUUCCAAAAAGGACUUCCCGCAGACCACCCGCUAUUCAGAAAAUUGAUCAUGAAAGAAGAUCUAACUCUGGCAGACUCUUUCGCUCUGGUAGAGAAGCAUGCACUUUGGGACGAGGCUUGCCAAUGAAUAUUCAUGGACUUGAAGAAGUAUCCGACAUCACCUCCCUACUAUCCAAACCGAAAGCAGCGAAUGACUUAUUCACAUGUUUGACAGUAUCUAAAGCAGCAAUAAGCUCUACCAUCAUACGAGAAGAGUUAGGGGCCUGACUACCUUUAUUCCACAGUUUAAAAGCUCUCCUUGAUGCUAUCAUAAAUUCAAAAGUUAAUUUUGGCGAUAGUUGUUGCAACCCAAAAGCUCAAGUUUUACUUUCAAAUGCAUGCAGUCAUCCUCAUGAGGCAUUAUUCUGCCCAUUCCAAACGCGCAACGAUAAAGGCGUAGACUCUGGCGGAUGCAAAGUUUUAUGAUGAACGUAACAACUUGGCCCAAAAGACACGCCAAGGGCAAACGAACACUGGAAGGACACACUUAGAAGCAAGUUUUGUCCUCAUCGCGCUAAAAGAUUCUACAUAGGAGCAACAUGUACCAUGAGUUGAGCACCACCUCCUGCUGCGCGUCUCACAGCCCAAGCCGACCCUUACUCCAUAAUUUAGCUUUAGAGUGGUCCAAUACCAGCAAUUGAGCAUCUUAUGCUACGUGUAACAUGGCCCCAGCUCCAUAACUCCCUACAACGCAUUCACGACGUAGUAGAGCGGCCCAACAACACCCCUAAGGUAGUCAAGCAGGCCCUAGCCGCGCUUGUUUCACCAGAUGGAGACUUCUGGCAUUGGCAUGUCGACGACACAUCCAACUACAAAGGUUCAAGAGCAGGCGUAGUCCUUGUCACCCCAGACAAUUUGAUACCCGAAUAGGUGAUCAUUCUAGGCUUCAAAGCUUCCAACAACGAAGCAGAGUACGAGACUCUACUAGCAAGCCUCCGAAUAGCAAAAGACUUGACGGUGAAAAAGAUCGCAAUUCAUUAUGAUUCCUAGCUAAUCACUAGCCAUACUACUUGAGGCAUUUCAGACUUACACCCUCACUCAAGUUCCACAGGCUGACAAUGCUCACAUGGACGUACUAGCCGGCCUAGGCUCCGCCCUCGACUACCAACUCAAACGUUUUAUUCUGGUGGAGUAUCUAGACGAGCCAAGCAUAGAGGCGAAGCCAGCAGCCGAGGUGUCACAUGUUAGUAUAACUCCAAGCUGACAAGAAUCCAUUGUAGACUACAUGGUCAAUAGGACAUUCCCCAUGGAAAGAUUAGAGUCUAGAAAGCUCUAAAUCAAGGCAGCACACUACUACAUAUGGAACGGCAUUCUCAUCCAAAAAUCUUACAUCGGACCAUAUCUCCGCUGCCUAGUGCCUCCCUAUGACUUAAAAGUUCUAAGCUCAAUCCACGAAGGCGUUUGUGGAAAUCACUCCGGAGGUCAAUCCUUAACACAGAAGGCUCUUAACGUAGGCUACUGUUAGCCUAUCAUGCACCGAGAUGCUAAGGAGUUAAUACAAAAGUGCGACCGUUGCCAAUGCUACAAGCCAGUACCAUCACUGCCUGUUAGCGAGCUACACCGGGCAGAUGAAUCAUUCGAUGUUCAUAUAGUGGGCAAUUGACCUGGUAGUACCUAUGCCACCUGCUACUAGGGGCAGAGGCAUAAUGAUCGUGGCAACCGAUUACUUCACCAAAUGGGUAGAAGCAGAGCCCAAGACGAACACGACUCAAACAGACAUAAAACACUCCAUAUGGAGGAACAUCAUUUGCCGAUUUGGCAUCCCUUAGUCCAUCAUCACCGACAAUGGCUCGUAAUUUAUGGGUAAAGAUGGAGCGAAGUUUUUCCAAAAGUAUGGCAUCAAGCAACACAUGUCCAUGUCGAGAUAUCCUUAAGGCAAUAGGCGGGCUGACGCAUCUAAUAAGGUAAUCCUCGACUACCUCAAGAAAUCUUUCACCAACAAGAAGGGAAAAUGGCCAGACAAACUCCCCGGAUAACUAUGGGCAUAUCGUACCACUAAAAGAUGAGUAACCGGUGAAACUCAUUUCUCUUUGGCAUUUAGCUCAGAAGCAAUCAUUCAUCCCAAUGUCAUCAAGCCAAGUAUCAUCGCUCUACUACUAAGCAUUGAGCAGAACAGUAAGUAGAUGGCCACAAGCUUAGAUUUAGCAGAGGAGAAGCGCAAGCAGACCAUCACCAGCAGCAGCUCCUCUCUAGCUACAGCAAAAGGGCCAAAAUCCAGCAGUUCCAACCCAAAGAUCUAGUCCUAAUAAAAGCCUUCAUCACUGCCCUCGAAGAAAGCUCUAAAAAGAUGGAUCCCAUCUAGGAAGGUCCGUACAAGGUUAGCAGAGUCUGCGGCAAGAGUAACUACACCCUCACCACCAGGAAACAACAAAAAGAUCAAAAAAUAGUGGAGUGCCUACAAUCUGAGGAAGUACUAUAUGUGACCUCUCACAACAUCAAAGCCCGAAGACUCAAGCAACUCGACGGGCACUACCUCACAAGCCGAUGACUAUCCAGUUGUUAUGCAGUUCCUACCUUACAGCUAAGUUCUCGUUCGUUUUACUAGUUUUUCAAUGAGGAAUUCAGAAGUAAUCACAACUUGGCUCGACUGCAUGCUUACAACAACUGAUCACUCAUGCACUUCAAAAGAAGAUUGCGCCCUUAUUAGAGACUCAUUAUAGGAAUUAAACUCCUCGAGGGACUAACCAUGAUUUCUAGACGAGAGGGUAAACUAAUUGCUCUCCAGUGUGAGAGGGUAAACCAAUUCCCCGACACCCACAUGGGUCAGCUCUCCAAGACGGGAGGACAAACUCUACACUCCGAAUAUCCAGACGUAGAUGAGCCUGGCUGCCCUAGUAUAACUAGAUGCAUGAUGGCUUGCGCUGGGAUUCCUAGAAGUAGCCACAAUGGUCUUUUUCAAGGCUUAGCUAACUAAAGGAUUUUGGAUCUCUUGGCCUAAUCCACGAGGAACCGGGCCCUAGAGACGAGGGGGGGCACAUUACGCAGUACGCCAUACAGACGGCUGCCAUGGAACCCUAAAGCUACUACCAAGUGCACUAAGGUAGCUUACGAUUUCUGGAAGACUGCCUAUGGCUUGCCCGUCGAGUAGUAAAACCGCGCUAAACUUAUACAACCGCAUAUUCUUGUGAAAGGUUAAACAAGCUAGCGUGUAUAUACGAAGCUUUAUCCACUGCCGACAUGCUAUGUAGUCGAUAAUUUUCACCUUUACCAAGCACGAAACAACCUACACCAAGUCCUAAAGUGUUGUGAUACUUGCUACGCAACCUAUGGAAUUAGAGAAAGCCAAGGUUAACAGCCUAGUGGUUACGCAGACUUGUCUGCUUCUAUAAGUAAGGCAUCCGGCUGCUAACCCUAUGGCUAACAACUUUGUAAAGUUCUACACCAAUACCUACGUCUGCAUAGGCUACACGGGCUUGUGUGCUUAUUGAAAAGCAGCACGUUUACUACUGGUUUAUAAAGUCUAAAGGUUAGGGCAUGAGCAAAAAAAGUGAAGAUGAAGAAAGGCAAAGGAAGUAUGUUUAUAAACAACUAGCAAAAGCCAAAGGAGUUUAAGCAAAACAAGAGCUACAAGGAAAAACAAAGAAAAUCCUAAAGGCUACCUAGAAGACUACACUUCAGCAGCUUGGACAUCCGACAACUACUCGGUCGCCACACCUUCAGCAGCCGUGAUGCUCUUAGCAACAGCAUCAUCCAACGCUUCACUUGGCUGCCCCGGCCUGGGCAUCAACUUUGCCAACUAUUUCAACAAUGAAAGGCAUAAAAGUAAAAGCAAGCAUGCCUUCCGGAGAAAUAGAGAAGGUCUUGAAACCUCGAGCCCAUCUUUCUCACCCUUCAGCUGCUAAUUCUCAUCGAACAAACCAACACGGAUGCGCUGCAGCUCAUCCACUCCCUUCUUCAGACUUUCGUUGACUUUCAGUACACUUUGAAGUUCCAACACUUAGGGUCAAGCCUAUCGACGAUUCCCUUGAAGUGGAUCACUUGAUUAUAAACAGCAGUCAACUCUUCAUCCUUUGCAUAAGCAGUGAAACGAAGCUCAGAAACUACAAACUCAAGAUCUUGAAUAUGAGGUAUGUAACAUCCAAUCUCCUUCUCUGCACUUUCAUAUUUAACUUGAAUCUUAUCAAGCCUAGUCUUCAAGUCGACGAUCUAUUGGCAAGCAGUCUCGAGCUGUAGAGAUGUGGGGGCAAAAACAUUAAACCCCUUCAAAGCAACGAGCUCAGAAUCCAACCUUUUGAUCUCCUCGGCCUAGAAAUAAAACUUUAGCUGCCAUAGUCUUUACCACCUCCUUGGUAACCUUGCUAUAUCUGCAUCAUAGCAAGUAGAGUAAUCUUUUUAUAUUUGGUCAUGUGCUUCGCAAACGAACUUAGGCAAACAACUUUUCUAACGCCAUCAAUAAACUUGGCACAAGCGUCCAUGUCUUCAAGAAGAUCUAGUUUCAAAAGCACACAGAUCUUAACAACCUUCCCAGAAGCAGGCUUAGUGGAUUUCUCCCUGCUGCCCACGCAAGCAUCUCCUCAUUCCUAAUAGGCGAAUCAGUCUUAGCAGCAGAGGGAGUGGGCAUUGGCGCCACUUUAGCACUAAGCCCACCUUAUCACUUUUCAUAAUAACAAGCCUCUCCAAAGGUGAACCGAACUUGACUCCUAACGGACGACUUGGUACAGACAUCGACACUAGGAGCAUGAUAACACCAUUACGGUAAGCAAUCCUAUCAGCAAUCGUACAAGCCAUUCUCGACAUGGCAGGCGCUACAUGCUCAGAUCUAGUAGCCUCAUUUCUCUUUCAUUGGAAGAAGUCAUGUCAAUCACAAGACUCUCGGCAGCAGGCGGACCCUCACAAGUAGCGGAGGAAGUCUUCAGUUUUCUCAACCGACAUCUCUUGGGCAGGCGGGGAAAAUCUUUUCUUUCCACCUUCAUUCAUAGUAGGCUCCACGACAGCGUUCAGACGAGCUAGUGCAUCCACCUUGAUCCUCUUUACCUCCUCUCUCAGAAGCAGCCCACCUUUCUCCCAACGAACAGGAUUAAGCAACCAAUGCCAUUCACAGUACUCAACAAUGGAGCUCAACCCAUACCGGUUUUUCCCUUAUUUUUCUCUCGGUCCAACAGGCAGGAGGCCUGCAUGCCCAGCAUUUCAGCAGCCCAUGAGGCCCACAACCUCCUUGUUUCUCUCAAUUACCGACCUGGCUCACGUCAGGUCCAAGAGCACAAAGGACAUAAGUCAUACGGCUCGCCUAGCACCGCGCCCCAGCCCCUUAAUCCGCUAUUCUAGCCACACAGCUGCCCUUGGCUUUAGCCAAACCAAGCAACCUAAGCAGUGGUCCCUGCCACAACACUUCCUCAACCCAUGCUGAGCCGACUCCUGGCCCCUGCGAGCCGACGUGCCGCACCACCCCGACGGCUGCCCCACAAUAGCAUUAUCCAAGAAGAAGAUAAGGAAAAUUAAUUUUUUUCUUACCUCGAUGCAAUGCAGAGAAGACAAAGAAAGCACCGAAAAACGGUCAUUUGCACGGGCAAGUGCAGAAGAUUGCUAGGGGAAGGGGAACAAAUAUCCUUUAGCUUUCUCUCUCUUGUAGGGUAGAAUAAAUCGCUCUCCAAAGUCGAUUUAAUAAUCCACUUAAGGUAGACUUAAAUAGGUUAUGAGAGAAAUUUAUUUCCCUUUCCUAGAAGGAUCUAAUUUCCAAUUAAAGAGGGAAUUUACAUCAAAAUAGGAAGCAAUCCUAUGUUUCUUAAAGCAAGAAGAUCUCUACACCUGCUGUCAUUUUUUGGGAGUAGCCCAACAGGUGUGGGGGCAUUUGUGGAGCAAAAAAUAAUCGAGAUGCGACAAGUGGAUUUUGGAUGAAAAUGACAAAAAUACCCUUGAGGCAUAUUGGGAUUCCUACAAGCGAGCAGGGGGCAAUCCUCUCUCAACCAAGUUGAAAAUGACCAAAAAAGAUAACAAGUUCAAAAUUAUUUCAUCCAUCCUCAUCCUAUAUUCUCCACAAGGUAAUUAUUCCAUAACUUCCAAAACAUUCCUUUUAAAUUAUGUUAAUUGGCUUAUUAAUGGAUUUAUUACCUAAUUAAUCCAUUAAUUGCCAAUUAAAUCACCGAUUGCACCAAAAAAAAUACACAAGAGGCCGGUCACCCUCUCUCCCAAGGGGGCCGGCCAUGCUAUAUAUAUUCAACCUCAUUUUCUCUACAAACCUAAGUUCCAACACUCGUGUAAAACUCCCAAAAACUCUUUAAACACUUUUCUCUCUAAAUUCUAACUUUGGCAUCGGAGGUUCUUCGGCCAAAGACCCCCCAAUUCAUCGUGGGAGCAUGAGGCUUUUGGCCUGAACCAAAUGUGUUAGUUGUUUUGUAGGUGCAAUUUUGUCCAAGAUCAAGGACAAAGAAAUUUGCAUCCACAGAAAUCACAUGAUUUCAAAUUGGAGAGCUUUGGCUUAUUUUUUUUUUUUUUUAAAUGUUGCCACGUGAGUGCCUUUCCUAAUUAAUUUGGAAAGUUGUCAGCAAGCAUUUUUUUUCUUCUAUGUGGACAUGAACUCUUCCAAGUCCAAAUAUGACUUCCCAUGGCAGAAAAAAUAAACAUCUUUUAGCUAAUUAUUGCAUUUAAAAAAAAAAAACAAAGCUACUUCUUUGGAGCUGCGGCAAAGGCAUUCUUUGAUCAUAAUGAAUCCUAUACCAAUUAGGUAGUAAUUGGUAUGCUUUUAUUUGGCGCAAGGAAUUUUGUUUCCUUGCAUACUUGCCACGGCAACAAAAAGGGAUCAAAGAUUUUGAUUUCAAAUAAGCCCCUCCAAAGUCUCUAAAGCUAUUUGGAUUCUCCCUUUUUUUUAAGAGACCACGCUUGCAGUAUACUUUGGACGUGUAGGAGAAAUACGUAGAAUACUUUGUUAUUUCAUUCAUUUUUUAGGGUUUAUAUAUAAGCACACAUGCCUUAUUCUACAAGGAAUUCUACAAGGAAUAUAAUUAUAAAGAUACGGAAACUAAAUACAAGAGAUUACAACCAAUUAUAAAACCUAAUCUUACCAAAAAUAGGAAUCCUAAAAUAUUUACAAUUAAAACUCAAAUCAACACUCCUCCUCAAGUUGGUGCAUAGAUAUCAUACAUGCCCAACUUGAUAAUUGAGUCCUGAAAAAACUUUGCUAGAUACUCCAUGAGUAAGAACAUCAGCCAGCUGCUCCUCUAAAUUCACAAACGGUGUAGACACAAUCUUCAUUUCAAGAUUUUCCUUGACAAAGUGUCUAUCAACCUCCACAUGUUUUGUUCGAUAAUGUUGUAGCGGAUUAUCUAUUAUCUCCCUUGCAGAUUAUUGUCAUAAUAUAAUUUCAUCGCCUCAUUUGGUUCAAAGCCAAGACAUUUAAAAAAUUUACGUAACCAAAAAAGUUCACAUAUUCUGUGUGCCAUACCCCUAUACUCAGCUCCAACAGAUGACCUUAACACCACUUUCUACUUCUUACUACGCCAUGUAACCAAAUUACCUCCAACAAACGUAAAAUACCCAGAUGUAGACCAUCUGUUAGUAACAUUGUCAGCCUAAUUUGAAUAUGUAAACCCAUCAACCUUUAGAUGUCCAUGUGUUCUAUAAAGUAUUCUCUUACCAUGCACAGGCUUCAAAUAUUCCAAAAUUCACAUUACAGCAGCCAUGUGAUCUUCACUAGGUGAGUACAUAAACUGACUUACAACACUCAUAACAUAUACAAAAUAAGAGCGAGUAUGAGAUAAAUAAAUUAAUCUCUCCACAAGUCUUUGGUUUCCACCCUUAUCAAUAGGAACCAGGUCUAGAUAAAUACCUAAAUGAUGUUUUUCUACCAUAGGAGUAUCCACAGGUUUAUACCUUAAUAUACUAGUUUCAUUCAAUAAAUCCAACACAUACUUUCGCUGCGAUAAGAAUCAUAUCAUCCAUAUAAAUAAUUAAAGCAGUUAAUUUGCCAAGCCAACGCUUCAAAAACAAAGUGUGAUCUAAAUGACUAUGGUGAUACCCAUAUUUCUUCGUUGCUUGAGUAAACCUGUCAAACCAAGCACGGGGCAGUUGCUUAAGUCCAUAAAGAGACUUACGCAAUCUGCAUUGCUGUAUUACCACUUGCACCAUAGCCUAGUGGAAAGACCAUAUACACUUCCUCUUCCAACUUCCUAUGAAGGAAUGCAUUCUUCACAUCAAACCGUUUACUAGGCCAAUCCAUAUUUGCAGCUAAGGAAAUCAAAGCACGUAUCAUAUUCUUCUUUGCUACCAGAGAAAAGGUUUCUUGAUAAUCUACACCAUACGUUUAAGUGUACCCCUUAGCCAAUAACCUUACUUUGUAAUUAUCCAUUGAUCUAUCAGCCUUGUACUUGAUUGUAAGCACUCGACGACAACCAACAUGUUUCUUCCCUUUUGGUAAUUGCACUAUCUUCCAGGUUUUAUAUUUCUGUAAAGUUGACAUCUCUUCAUCCAUCGCUUAUAUCCACUUAGGGUCUUGUAAGGCUUCUUGUACCGGAGUUGGAAUUUUAAUUGAUUCCAUAUGGUUUACCAAAGCCCUGUGUUUUGGUGAACAACGAUCAUAUGAUACAUAAUUAGUAAUCAGAUACUUGAUCUUCCCUUCUGGAGAGAAAAUAUCAGGUGGCACACCAUGAUUUUGUCUUUCUGGCAAUUUAUAAGUACUCACACUAAUAUCAAGAUUAGUUGUAUUAUCAUUUAAAAUACUUAACUCUUGGAUAUUCAUAAGAGAUGGAACAAGCACUGCAAGAUCAGAGAGAGAUGGUUCUACGGACAUACUGGGAAAUUCGGCAGAUUCCUGCUGGAAUGGGAUGUACUAUUUGGUGGGAGCUUGCGGAACUGGACUGUUUUCUUUGAUUACAGCCCGUUGAACUAGGCUGCCGGGUUUGGUAGGAGCCUCCCAAACUUCUUGAACUGGGCUGCUUGAUUCAGUAGGCUCCAAUCGAACUGGGCGGAUUUCCACAACUUAUCUUUCUCCCCCAUAAGUAUAUUCCAACCAAAUUAGUUCACCAAUAUCAAUAAUCUCCCCUAGUAAUCUGAAUUGGAUACAGAUGAAGAAUAAAAAUAUUUAGACUCCAAGAAAGUCUCAUCCAUAGUUACAAAAGUGCGUUAACUACCAGGAUGAUAACACUUCAAUCCCUUAUGAUCCGGGAAAAAAUCCAAGAAAGACACAGCGGAGUGCACAAAAAUCAAGCUUAUUGAGAUGAGCUUUCUGAGUGUGAACAUAGACCACAUAACAAAAAAUCAUAGGUGACAAAGUAUUAGUAAAAACCACUAGAACAUGUUGAGUAAGCUCCUAAAUUGGUGUUCCAUAAUUGAAGAUCCAAUACGGCAUACGAUUCACAACAUAAACUGCAUAUACAAUUGAUUCAGAAUAGAAGCGUUUGCGAGCAGAUGCACCAAUAAACAAAGCAUAAGCUAUCUCUAGGAUAUGACGAUUCUUCUUUUCUGCCAGCCCAUUUUGUUGUGGGUAUACGGACAAGUAGUUUCAUGAACAAUCCCAUGAUCUUGUAGAAACUUAGAUAACUCAGAAUUUAUGAUCAAUCCCAUUGUUAGAACACAAAACUUUAAUAUUAGAGGAAUACUGAGUUUUAACCAUCUGAUGAAACAGACAAAACACAUCACCACCCUCACUUUUAUUUUUCAACGGAUAUACCUACGUCAUAUGGGUGAAAUCAUCCACGAAAGUAACAAACUACUUAAUUCAUGAAGUAGUACUAACAGGGGAAGGCACAUAUACAUCAGAGUGAAUGAACGCAAACGGAAAAGGCCUUUGAUUCAUACUUGAAGGGAAUGAAGCACGAUGACUUUUAGCUAAAAUAGAUACCUCGUACUUUAAUUCUAAGUCUUCAAUACCACUGAACAAAUCAGGUAUCAUAUAUUUCAAAUAACCAAACGACGCAUGCCCAAAUGACGAUGCAACAACAAUAACUUCUGUAGAUUACUAUUACGCGACGCAGGAACGAAAUUAGCUCUUCUAGCAACCAUGUCAUCCACAUAAUAUAGCCCCUAUCUCUUAGUGUCACGCCCAAUGAUCCCAUUUAUCUUAAUAUCCUGUAGUAAGCAAAAUAAAUGAUAAAUUAAUACAACACAAUCCAACUGUUCAAUGACUUGUGGUACAAACAAUAAGUGAUGGGACAAUGAUGGAACCAAUAAACAAUUAUGCAAAGGAAGAGAAGGUGUAAGACACACUAUUCUUGCUCCAACAACAGAAUCAACAGUACCAUUAACAAUUGUCACAAACUUUCUGUGAGGAUGUGUCAUAGAUUGAAAUAAGGUUUUGUCAUAUGUCAGAUGAUCUAUGACCCCGAAUCCAAAAUCCAACUUGUAUUUGUCAUGUGAGAUAUUUCAACAAGCCCGCAACGUGGGACCCAAUUAGUGGGUUAAACGUGAGAGAUCCACACAUCGACAACCACGUGGAGCCAAUGAGACUCACCCUACAUGCAAGACCAAGGGACCCACCCAUCACGUGGCCAUUCAGGCCCACUCCCAGGCUCUGAUACCAUGUAGAAAUAUUAGAGAGACAGGUCAAAUGUCCACUUCCAACAACAUCGAUAUUGUGCCUAACUUGGUAAUUAUCACAUGCACAAUGUGUCAGGCUUGGAGUUUUAUCACAAAAAAAGGUCUCAAUAGUAAUUGAAGUAGGAUCAAGAUAUUUAAAUUCUUAUUUUUUCAGAUAUACAAUCAAUGUGAGAUAUUUCAACAAAUACCCCUACACAGUACUAUAAUUGCUUAAGCACAACAAUUGCACACGACAAAAAAAUUGUUGUUUGACACAACAGCACGGCAAGUCCCAAAAGUACCAAUUGCCACACACGGCAUAGAAAGCAGAAAACCAGUACAGACAGCACCUCACGGUAUACAAGCAGCAAAGCACGAACAAGGAUUGUCUGCCUUCCUUGUUCCCGUACCCUCCUGUUUUGUAUGGUCACGGUUAAGCCACAUCAACAUUUUAUAUUGUUUUUUUAUAGAGAUAAUAAGACAAAAUGAAUAGUAAUAUAAAAUGUUGACGUGACUUAACCGUGACCACACAAACAGGAAGGUAUGGGAGGGCACGGAAAUAAGGAGGGCAGACAAUCCUUGUCCGCAAAACACAUGCUGCAAUCAGUACAGCACCACCAAAACAAUAUAUUGCAAUUAGUUCAGCAAUUAUGUGGGUAUAAUGUAUCAAUUCACGAGCUGCAACCGCAGCAAAUCCUUUUUUCUUUUUUGUUUUGGUUAACAGGAUUACACGUACGCCUGCAAUCUUGUAGGAAGCAGCAUGAACUCCUUUUUUUUUAGUAAUGAUAAAGAAACUAAAUUUAUAAACUAAUUUUUGUAAACUAAAUGAAAUAGAAGUUGAUGAUUAUAUUAUUACUUAAACGUUGAUAAACGUGCUCAUUUCCUAUUGAUGACACAUCGUGCGGUCAGAGACUAUUUUAAAUAUUUUUAUUUAAAAUUAAACACAAACAGUACUCGAAAAAACUGACCGCAUGAUGUACGAUGAACGAACACGAUUCACGAAUCCUCAAAAUCCUAACCAAAAGGAUCUGAAGAGGAUCCUGUUGGUUUGCGCAUAGCUACCACACUUGGUACCUAGAACGGUGCAGCAACAAGCUGCAGCGAAGCACUACACGGAGAAAUUUUUCUGAGUGCCUAGAACAUGAAGUGACGUGGAGUUCCUAGCGAAUAGAACCAUAACACCUAGCUAUUUCAGUUUUUAAUGUAAAAAAAAAUAUUCCCACAUUGUUGUUUAAGUGAAGUUUUGUUAAAUAACCAGAAUUUUUGGUCAACUGGAUUCCGAAUUUACCGCUAUCUAAUUCCAAAUUUAUCCCUUCCACGCAAAACAUCCACAACACCAGUGACUACCCACCUUUAUCGCCACCCUGUGACUCUACCGAGGACGUCCCAUCCAUUGUCUCUUCCUCCUUUUCCUUCUCCUCUUCCCUCUUUUCUCUCCCAUUCUUAUGUUAACAUGUAACCCGAGAGUAGUAGGCCGCACCCUCAGAUCUACUAUCGCCGGCCUCCGAAUUAAAGGCUUGUGAGGUCAGCUGAAUCCUGAUCAGUUAAUCAUGUUUAAGGGCUUGUAGAUCAAUCAUUGUGUUUCUUAUUUUAUUUUGAUUUUGGUAAUAUUUAAUUGAUCUACAAAAUGAUUAAGCAUGAUUAAAAUUGUAAAUAUCAGAUGGAUGGUUUCUUCCCUUCCCAUAUCCCCUCAAAGCCCAUAGGUUGGGCGCUAACGCUUUACUAAUAUAAUAGUAAGGCUCUUCUGCUGAGCGAAGCUGCGCCCUUCUCGAGCCUACUUAAAUAGCUUACGCUUACCAAGCCUAGUCUACUAAAAUAGGGCUACAACAAGCUUUCCCCCUUUGUUUGUUGUGGGUCGCGCCUCACCGCAGGCACUGAAUGAAAUGAAUGGAGAUCCUCCUUCCCCCUGGUUAAUUACCAAGAACUUCGUUGCCACUAGUGGCAAAGAAAAAUUCUACCAUCCUACCCCAAAGCAACUCUGAGCCUAAAGAUAAGAGAGUUCAGUCUACAAGAAACUGGCAGAGCUUUAGCCAUUGGACUACAUCCUACCUAAACAGUAACCCUUUUUUUUGUUCGUUCUUCGGUGGAGACAAAUUCCUUCCGACUAAUGAAGAGGCUACUCCAAUCUUCCCAUUCAUUCCCAGUGGAAUGGUGGAAAUGGUAGUCGGCGCAGAUGGGGAAAGAGAAAAGAUGGUUGGUCGAUCUGGGGAAUUGGAAUCAAUUAAUGACUGUUUUUUUUUAUUAUUUUUAUCCAAACAAUUAAUUUUUAAAAGAGUUCUCUCUGUUUUAAUUGUUAUUUUACAGUGUCAGUAAGUAAUUAGUUGGGAACACCACCUGUUAUGCUUAUGUGCGUACUUUCGGUCCUCUGAAAAAUUUCUCCACUAUAUGGGAGUAGUGAUAGAAUUUUUACUACCUAUAAAAGUAAAGAUAAAAAUGCUUACAAGAGUACAAAGUUAUCGUAGUAUAACAGCUCAAGCAAAAUCAUUCUCAACAUGAUGAAUGACUCAUUUGUAUUUAAAUCAAAUCUUAAUUAAUUAUUUGAAAACAAAGUUUGAAAAAUUUUGAAUUUAUAACUUGAAAUAAUUGUUUGGGCCCAAAAUGUUGGUUUGGGCCGAGUUUUAUUUUCGGCCCGGAAGGUCUUACGAAGAGGUUAUCGUGGAUCAUCUAGUUCAUGGGUUUCCUAGCCUAGGUCGGCCAAGUCUUGCUGCGAGACGCGUAAUUGAAUCCUGGCACAAUAAGGAGUUUCAGCAAGAUAAAGACAUUGAUAACCCGGAAGUGAAUGCGGCUUGAUAAAGGACUGGGUUCAAAGUUGUAGCGAAAAUAGGACUAGUCGAGAUAGUGUUUGACCUGAAUAAGAAGUCCUACUCCGAGUAAGGUUUUAACUCGAUCUAGAGAAUACCUGCUGCUAUAAAUAGAGGAGGCUGUGCAUCAUUCAAGCCCCCUCCAAUUCAACACACAACUACCCUACGCAAAUUCUCUCAACAACCUUGAGAUUUUUUCUUUUCUCUUUUCGCCGACACACCUUCAGUUUGGAUAAACAGCACUGUGGAGGCAAUCGGUGAUAUCUUCAGUUGGCAUAAACAGCACUGUCGCCGUAGAAUCAGCCGAUCUCGCAGCAUCUUCAGUUGGCAUAAAUAGCACUACGUCAAGGCCGAUUGGUUACCUAUCCAAGUCUCGGUCGAGAAGGAUUUCUGAAUCCUUGUUGGUCGAGGUCAUCUCAUUAGCCUUCUCGGUGAAGUAAGGUAUUACGAGUUACUACAUUCGGAACAUUAGAAGCCAAAUUUGAUAUUGAACUUUGCUAAGUUAACGGCCUUGUCUUCAGGCUCUAGAACCCGAAGGCCGAGACAAGUUCCUUCCUCAGCCGCAAUUGCAAGACGCAAAAAUCAGCCGCGCACCCAACGUAGCACCAACAUAUUUUACUCCUCGGUCGAGCUCGACCGAUGAGUUGGCACGCCCCGCACACAACUGAAGGACGUAGUUAACUCAGAGAUUACUCGGCCUACGCGCCACAUAACCUUGGUAGUUUUUAGGGUCAACAUUUUGGCACGCCCAGUGGGACACGGUGCUAAAACUACGAAGUUCAUGCCAAUUGAGACAUGAUCGGUUAAAAAGAAAAUAGCUAUAGGAAAGUCAACAACCGAUUUGCCAAUUCAGAACAUAGGACAAAAUGUACUACAGGCACAUAAUCCCCUUAGUGUCGUGACACAUGAGUCCACAAGCACGACUCGCCGAGAAAGGGAAGUUGGUCUCGCCAGUCAGCUUCGCAGUCUAGAAAUCCCUAACAAAACACAUGCGUUCUUAAUGAAGGGACAGUGGAGGACUGUGAUGACGAUGGUGGUGAAGGCUCUGAUCCACCAAUGAGAUCGUUUCUUCAAAGACGACUUGACGAACAGUCUCGGACGCUUGAACAGACAUUUAGUCGAGGAAUCGAUAAACUGCAUGACGUGAUACGCAGUACCAGUGAGACAGAAACUAGAUUGCUUGAAAUGCUGGUUAGCAAGGUUUACGACGACAGGUCCGUCGAUUUUUCCCAACCACCAAGAAAUAAUCUGUUACCAAUAUUACAGGCCGAGCCAAUCCUUGCUCGGCUCAAGCCAAUUGACUUAGAAAAAAAGAGGAGGAUCAAGCAGUCGAUCAGCCGGAUCCGACCAAAUGAUCGAAACACCUGUUGAUAUAAUAGAGGUCCAAAGGAUGAUCGAUUCGGCCUUGAAAAAAGGGUCGAAAUUCCCAAAAUUCAUUCAUCCAUACCCGAUCUAUGAGGAGAAAUUUGAAUAUCCCAAAGGUUUCAAAAUUCUAGAUUUCAGCCUUUUUACGGGAGAAUCAUCCUUGUCAUCAUUAGAGCACGUCGCUCGAUUUACAGCGCAAUGCGGAGAUGUCAAUAGUGAUUUUCAUAAGUUUCGGCUAUUUAACUUCUCGUUGACAGGCUCGGCAUUCGCGUGGUAUAUUAACCUCCCUUCUAAUUCCAUCCAAAGUUGGGAGGAACUGGUCAAAAAAUUCCAUGAACAGUUCUAUCGACCAGGAAUGGAAAUGUCAGUUUCCUCAUUAGCCAGAAUGCCUUAAACGAUUGAUGAGUGGCCCAUAGAUUACUUCACACGGUUCAAGUCAGCCUGAAAUUGGUGCCGAGUUCCUCUCCUCGAGGUCAAGUUUGUCAGGCUUGCCUUGAACGGGUUAGAUGUAGAAUAUAAAAAGAAAUUCUUGGGGGCAAAUUUUCGGCAUAUGUAUGAAUUGGCUCAACACGUCGAGCAGUAUGAUUAUCUACUCCGAGAAGAAAAGAUAUCAAAAUCUCCAACCCGAGGAACAAUCUACAAGAACCCUUCAGUCAAUUAUGCAUCAACCGAAGGAGAAGAUUCCCAAUAUGCCAGUAUAGAUGCGGCCGAAAUUAUCAUAGAUAAACCGUACAUAUGUAAGGCAUUAGUUCAUCCUAACUCCACAGAUCCCAAAAGUCGUUCAACCUCUGAAGAAACCGCAGUUAAAACAUGAAAAGUUUAUACUUUUGAUAUCACCAAGGCUGAUGCAAUUUUUGACCAGUUGUUGCUUGCGAGGAUUAUCAAACUUCAACUAGGACAUAACAUCCCUAAGGCCGAAGAAUUGAAAGGGAAGAUAUAUUGCAAGUACCAUAACUCAAACAAGCACACGACAAAUAACUGUGUCGUGUUUCGAUACGCCAUCCAAAGCUGGAUUGAUAACGACAAACUCAGAUUUCUGGAAAAGAAAAUGGGUGUUGAUACCAACCCAUUUCCCACGGCAACAAUAAAUAUGGUAGAUGCCCGCCUACCUAGGGACAAAGGAGAAGGGAAAGUCGAGUUCGUUACAAUGUAACGCAUUCUGAAGCAGAAUUCUCGACCACAGUUCAAUAUUGAUUUUUGUUUAAACAAGCCACCCAUAGCUCUUUCGGGAUCAGCUAUUGUCCAGCACCGAUGAAGAUGACGGGUCGGUGGUUUUAUGUAGACAGUGUAAAGCAAAUGUCAACGCCGAGCCAAAGGAAAAGCUAUCUCAGGCUCUGAUACAUCAACCUAUGGCCGCAACACAUCAAAAGGUGCUUGACGCAGGUCAUAAUCAAAGGGUCUUUGAUAGGCUCAGCUCUAAAGCAUGGUUUGAAGAGAAACCUUCAGUCAGACGAUACCUCGACUUCGAAGCACCUUUUUAUAACGAAGAUUAUUACGCAUGUAAUUCUAGCAGCUCAGGUUCUUUGCCGAGCCAGAAAACUUUCAAACCUCCUGAACCUCAAGAUCAGCGUUAGUAUACUUAUCACUCUUCUAAAAGUGUACACACUGCACUGUCCAAAUCACAGAAGCAUCAGCACCAAAGAAUAGACUGCAUGGCCCGCCGAUGAGCAGCCCAGGAAACUUCGGUCUCUAAGUGGCGACCGAAAGAAAAAAUUGGCAAUGAUGAUGAAAGACCAUCCCCAACCAUUAUGACAGAGUUGGUUCAAGGAAAACAGGCGGUCAAUCAUGAUUUUGAAACUACAUUUACGGAUCAAACUUCUUCUUCGGCCCGGGGAAAUGAAGGAACGCCUUGAGCACUUCAGGGAGGAAGCUGAAAGCAAACUUUCCUCGCUAACCCCACAGGAACCUUUAAUCAAAAUUUGACGGAAUUUACAUCCACCAUUCCUUGGGGAGGCCUUGGAAUACAUGCAAGAGUUCCAUAAAAAGCAUUUGGCUAACGAUUUAUACGGUUUGUCGAAAGCAUGUCAAGAUACAAUUGAUCUCGUUCUAACUUGUCCAGAUGCUGAAGGAAUUAUUCAAAAGACCUCGGUUGAAAGCUAGGUUCCAGCACAUAUGGGAAGCUCGAGUCCUCGAGUUUGAAGUUGACCCAUACACUGAUAUCGACGCAGCAGACCUUCCCUUCUCGUUCGAGGACCUUCAGCAUUUACAAUACCACUUCGAAGUUUUUUUGGCCGUUUCUCUCUUCGGCUUUACGGCCGAUGAAAUGGAAUGUGUCCCACGAUUGGAUGCCUAUCUUGACACCAGGGAUGUCCGCAUCAUGUACUAGGAGCAAGCUCAUCUCCCGCCACGUGUCCCAGACUCAAUUCCGGUUCCAGGGGAACUUUAGGCCAAUAAACAUAACGAGAAGGCUUCCGAAGAGGCAUCACGGGAACAUACCAUUGAAAUAGGAAAAGAAGAUAUGCUCAAUACAAAUCCAAUAUAAAGAGGUUCCAUAGAAGGUGACCAGGAAGGAGAUGAGCCUGAAAAAGAAGAUCGUAACCCGAUAGGUCAUUCGAUCCUCGAUAACAUGGAAAUUAGUAUGGUCCAUGUUUUGUCGGCCGACUUUCAACCAAGCACAUUCCAACCGAAUUUCUUGGAUGUACUGAGGAAGUUAUUCACAUUGACUUUGUAACUGUUGCCGAAGAUGAGUCAACAACGAAAGAUGACAACCUCAAGACAACUAUGGCUUAAUUAUUUUCUCGAUCAUCGUCAACCAAUCUCCAUCAUUUAAAGUCGUUGUAUGUAACGGCUUAUAUCGAAGGAUACCCAGUCUUCAAAAUUUUCGUUGACUGUGGAACAACUGUUAAUAUCAUGCCUGUAACCAUCAUGAAAGCGUUACGUCGCUCUAACGACAAACUUAUUCCAUCAGGGAUCACCAUGAGCAGUUUCAUCAGGGACAAAUCCUAAACUAAAGGGGUGCUUCCACUAGAAGUGAACAUCGCCGGUCGUAAUCACAUGAUCGCCUUUUUCAUCAUCGACUCCAAGACCGAGUACAAUGCACUGCUCGAUCGAGAUUGGAUUCAUCAAACAAGCUGUAUUCCCUCAUCAUUGUAUCAAGUUCUCAUCUUUUGGGAUGACAAAUCGGUUGUUGUUUAUCCGGCCGAUGCUCAGCCCUUAGAAGCUAACAUGAUCCAAGCACGAUAUUAUGAUAACCACGUCGGCUACAUCACCUUACAAGGUUUCAAUGAGGAAGAAAGACCUACUCAAAUAUCUUUUCAGAAGGCCAUCGAGGUUGGCGUCGAAACUGUUCACCAGGAUUCGGCGAGACUCGGAUUGGCUAGCUUCAUUUCCGAUCCUGAUGUUUGACACCAGUCAGACCAAAUACUGAGCCGUAGUUUCAUCGACCAUGGAAUGAUUGCUGGCUCAUUGGUAUGCGAUCUCUAAACAGUCAAAUUCAGGCGUUAACCCCAUAAAGUUCCUCGCCGAAUGAGACAAUGGUCCUGUUUUAUCUCUUUAUAAAGUUCAAGCCGCCCUGGCCGAACUCAAAGACAGUCGGCCUCAAGUCAAAGAUCCGUUGCAGGAAAUAAAUGUUGGGAUGGUUGAUGACCCUCGACCAUUAUUUAUUAGUGUUUGGUUGCCCCGUUCUAUCCGAUCUGAACUUUGUAACUUACUCAGCGAGUUUAAAGACUGUUUUGCUUGAAGCUAUCAUGAGUUGCCUGGCCUUGACCGAACCUUUGUCGAACAUGAAUUACGUAUCAAACCUAGUUGCAAGCCUUUUCGACAACCUCCUCGACGGUUCUCGACCGAAGUACAGCUUAGUAUAAAAGAUGAAAUUGUUCGACUUUUAAAGACCGGGUUUAUCCAAACUGCUCGAUACGUCGAAUAGUUGGCGAAUAUCGUACCAGUGCUAAAGAAAAAUAGGGCCUUACGCAUUUGCAUUGAUUUUUGAAAUUUGAAUCUGGCAACACCCAAGGAUGCAUAUCCCAUGCCAAUUUCAGAUUUGCUAAUCAAUACCGCGGCUAAUCAUGACAUGCUGUCAUUCAUGGAUGGACAUGCCAGUUAUAACCAGAUAUUUAUUACCGAGGCUGAUGUUCAUAAAACUGCUUUCCGCUGCCCAGGGGCACUUGGAACCUACGAGUAGGUAGUCAUGCCAUUCGAUCUCAAAAAUGCUGGUGCCACAUAUGAACGCGCGAUGAACACUAUUUUUCAUGACCUGAUCGGCACAACCAUAGAAGUGUAUAUUGAUGACGUCGUGGUCAAAUCGAAAAGUCACCGAACGCUUAUUGAUGAUCUUCGGCAAGCUUUCCUUCUCAUGGGUUGACAUAACCUUAAGAUGAACCUGGCCAAAUGCGCCUUUGGUGUGUUGGCCGGUAAUUUCUUAGCUUUUCUUGUCCACCAUCGCGGCAUCGAGGUAGACGCGAAUAAAGCUCAUACGAUUAUUGACGCCCCACCCCCGACGACCAAAAAACAACUUCAUUCCUUGCUCGGGAAAAUAAAUUUUCUUCGCUGCUUCAUAGCUAAUUCUGCUGGCAAAAUGACGGCAUUCUCUACACUUUUGAAACUUAAGAACUCAGAUAAGUUUGAGUGGCGUGAAGAACAUCGAGCAGCUUUCACGUAAAUCAAGGUUGCUCUUGCAACUCCGUCCGUCCUCUUACCGCCUCGACGUGAUAAACCCCUUAAGCUUUACAUUUCAGUGGCUGAAGAAUCCAUAUGUUGCCUCCUCGCGCAAGAUACUGAUGUUAGGCCAGAACAAGCUAUUUUCUAUCUCAGCCGAAACCUCAAUACUCCAAAGAUCAAUUAUUCACCCAUCGAGAAGCUUUGCUUGGCUUUGUUCUUCACCGCAUCAAAACUCCGGCACUAUAUGCUCUCAUCCGUUACUCAGGUCAUCGCCCAGACGGAUGUCAUUCGAUAUAUGCUUACUCGGCCAAUAGUCAAAGGCCGAAUCGAGAAAUGGACACUGGCACUAUCGAAGUUUAGUCUGCAAUACGUCCCACAAAAAGCCGUCAAAGGACAAGCGCUUACUGAUUUCUUAGCCUAACACCCCUCUCCAUAUGGGUUCGAGGGCAACAACGUUGAAAUCGGAAUGAUGGGAGCAUGUGACAAUUAUUGGACGAUGUAUUUUGAUGGUUCUAGUAAGUCGACAUUGGCCGACGUGGGGAUCGUACUUCAGUCUCUACACUAACACCACUGGUUCUUUUCCCUCAAUUUGGAUUUCGAUUGUACCAACAAUCAAGCCAAAUACGAAGCCCUUGUUAUCGGCCUUAGCAUGCUUCAUGAUUUGCACGCCGCUCGUGUUCUCGUCUUCGAUGAUUCGGAGCUUGUGAUUAACCAACUCAAUGGAACGUUUUGGUGCAUGAGUUGCACUCUGGUGCCCUAUUGCAUGGUUGCCAGUUACUUGGCCGAGUCAUUCGACGGUAUCACGUUCAAUCAUAUUUCCCACGUUCGGAACAUCGUCACAGACGAACUCACUGAAAUAGCCUUCGGAGCACAACUCCUGGGGGCGAGUUUGGCCGAAUGAUACCCGUUUUACGGUAAUCGUAUCUGGCUUUGGUUAAUCAACAAGUCCUCCAGUGCAACCAAGUCAUCCGCACACGAGUAAUGUCUUUACCUUCAUUGUUGGAAUGAGAGGAUCCUGUAGAUGUUUGCGCGGUCGAGACGUUACCAAACGACUGGAGAAGGCCAAUUAUGCAAUACCUUGAUAAUCUCAGAGACAAACACGACCGAAAGACAAGGGUCUAUGCCACAAACUACGUCUCAUACCAAAAUGAAUUGUAUCAAAAUGGUGAGAAUGGUUUAUUAUUGUUACGCCUCGGCCCGCAAGAAGCCGCCCAAGCAAUCACAGAGGUACACGAAGGAAUUUACAGAGCCCAUCAAUCAGGACGCAAGAUGCGUUGGCUACUUCGCCAACACUAUUACUUCUGGCCAAGCAUAUUGAAAGAUUGUAUUGAGUAUGCACGAGGAUGCGUCCAGUGUCAAAUUCAUGGACCUAUCCAAAAAGCCCCGACCGAAUUACUUCAUUCGGUCACCAAACCUUGGCCGUUCAAAGGAUGGGCAAUGGACGUGAUCGGUAAAAUUACACCAUUUUCUGGAGCAGCGAAACAUGCAUGGAUACUCGUGGCAACUGAUUAUUUCACUAAAUGGGUUGAAGCAAAAUCAUACGCCGAAUUAACAUCCAAGGAGGUUUGCUAUUUUGUGGAGGAACAUAUUGUGACCAGAUUCGGUGUACCAGAAAUGAUCAUAACUGAUAACGGCACAAUCUUCACAGCUGAAAGGUUCAAUGAGUAUACGGCGAGCUUAAAAAUUAUGCUUGAGCAGUCCACACCAUACUAUCCACAAGCGAAUGGAUAAGUCGAAGCAAGCAAUAAGGUUUUGAUCGACAUUCUAAAAAAAAUGAUAAAAGAAAGACCUGGCAUGUGGCAUUUAAAAUUGAAUGAAGCCUUAUGGGCAUACCGGACUUCACCCCGGUCGGCAAAGGGGACCACCCCAUAUGCGUUAACCUAUGGACAUGACGCGAUGUUACUGGUCGAGCUAAGUGUAAAUUCUUUACGCGUGAUCGAGCAUAGUAGUUUGUCCAACACCGAAUACAACCAGGCCAUGUUACAAAAGUUACAAGAUUUGGAAGAAGAUCGACUUGACGCUUACAAUCUUCUAGUGGCACAAAAGAAAAUUACCGAGCAAGCUUAUAAUCAAAGAGUCAAACAAAAAACGUUCGGCGAGGGAGAGUUAGUUUGGCAAACUGUGCUACCCGCGGGAAUUAAAGACCCCAGGUUCGGUAAAUGGUCAUCGAAUUGGGAAGGACCGUUCGUCGUCCAUAAAGUCAUUGGCAAGAGGGCAUAACAUCUUAGAGAUCGAACCGGUAUUAUUCAUAAGUUGCCAAUCAAUGGAAAGUUUUUAAAGAAAUACUACCCACUCACAUAGGAGAUGCAAGAAUAAAAGCUCAUUUCAUUUCAUCAAGUUCAUUUCAUUGAUAGGUCGGUUUACAAUCAAAUAAUUCUAGGGUGAUGAAGGAAGAAGAGUUCCAAGAAGGGCCUUCAGCUCCAACCACCUCACCUUCCCGGUUCUUCUUAUCCAUCUCCAACUGUUCGAUUCGCUUCACGUUCGCCGUGUAUUCGGUUAAGCAAGAUUUGUCGCCCGACUCAAAGUCCCUCAUACGCUCAAAAGCAAUGGCCGACCUUCAUUUUGCCAGUUCGGCCAUUUGACGAUCAAGGUCGGCCAGGGCCUCUUUUUUGGCCUUUAGGGCAUCGACCUUCGAACGAAGAGUGUUUUGAACGGUUGUCGCAGCUUUCAAGUCAUCAUUAGCCCGAAGAGCAUUCUCAAAAAUACUAAAAGAUUCCCGGGUUCGUUCCAAGGUGGACGACGCUUGAAUGACAGCUUCGGCACUUAAUUAACUAUCAGAUCUGAGGUCGUUUAGGCAUGGACCCAACAAAUCAAGACUUUUACGCUCGAGGACUUGUGAAGCCGAGAAAGAAAAAACUUCUUGCAACCGAACAAGAGCAGCUGAUUCGGCAGGUUCAGGCUCCAGAAGUACUUGAUAAAAGAGCAUCAAACUUGACUUCCCAUGAAGGCUGCACACGAAAACAGUUUAAGCACAAGGAAAUCACGAAAGAAUGCAGCAAGAAGGUUUUUUUUUUAAACCUGCCGAGAUGAGACUUCAGCCAUGUCUUCGAGUUCAUUGCUCGAACCUAAAAAACUUAAUGGCCGAGACUACUUCUCAUUUCACGCAGCCGAUGAAGUUUAUCUACGUUCGAUGGCCACUGAAGUGGCCAAGAAAUAUAGUUAACACCCUUCGACGCGUAGAAUUUUUGAUGAAAAGAAUGGGUAGUCACCUGACAUUUAGUAUCUUCUUAGUUUAGAAUUCUAAGGCAGAAAAGUAACCAAAGAGAAGCGGUAAGGGUACUUACGAAGGUCGAAGUGGCUUCUUUGGAAGGAAUGUUGAGGUCCUGGUCCUACGGGUGAACGGGCGUUUUCGCCGUCGCUUCUGGCUCUAUGACAGGUUGUUUUCCACGAUCGGCCGCAGAAGGGCCGACUUGAACAACCGCCUUGGACACGGGGGGAGGUUGAGUGCGUGGUUGAAGGUGACUCACCAGUGAAAUCUGGUCGCUCUCAUCGCUUCUGUCGCUCUCUUCUAGAACGACUGCCGUUUGUUUUGGAUUUUCAGAAAGAUUUUUCUUGGCCGAUGGGAUUGCCCCUUCCAAGACAGACGUAGCAGCUGACCCCGAAGAUGCCUCGACUUCUGGCUCUACGGCAGGUUGUUUUCCACGAUCGACCGCAUGAGGGCCGACUUGAACAACCGCCUCGGACACGAGGGGAGGUUGAUUGCGUGGUUGAAGGCGACUCGCUAGUGGAAUCUCGUCGCUCCCGUCUCUUUCUUCUCUAACGACCGCCGUUUGUUUUGGAUUUUUAGGUUGAUUUUUCUUGGCCGAGGGAUUUGCCCCUUCCAAGACGGGCACAGCAGCUGACCCCAAAGCCGCAGAUGCCUCGACCAGUGGAGCAACAACUGGUUCGACGACUUUAGAAACAGGCCGAACUUCUGUCGAGGCUUGGACGACAGGGGCAGAAGGGGAAACACAAGGAAUCAUCGCCUCCGUAGUCUAACUGGAGAUAACAUGAAUCUUCUGUUCUCCUUUCUUCGCCAACUUCUUGACCUGCUUUGCGGGUCAAGGGCCUCUUGGAGAUAGUCGAUUUUUUUCUAGCCACAGCCGCAUCGUUCCUGAAACUCCCUUUGGCAUCCUUGCAAUCUUUUUCUGAAGAGCCAAAUAGGCGUCCUCAGCUUAGCAUAGAGCGAGAGGUAAGAAAAGGUACCGGGCUACCCUGAAGAUAGCCGAGUUGUCGAGCAGUGAAGUGGUGGUGAUAUACCUCCCAACUCGCUCGGUAAGCUAUAUACCUCCCAACUCGAUCGGUGAGCGUCACACCUAAGAGGAAGGUCACGGGUAAGCACAAACGAUCCCCAUCAUUGACGGAGAUCAGCAUCAUCAUCUGCACUCCUUGCUGAUGUGGGGAGUUUAAUCGACAAAUGAUACUCUCAACGACGGUAGAUCAAGAACUUGUCGUCGGAAAGGACAUCAAGGCUGAAGAAGUAUCUAAACACGUCUUCAGCUUGGUGAGGAGGUGCUGGUCGAAAAGCUUGCUAAAGGCCGAGCAAUUCAGUAGGUGAGAAGCUGGCGAGUUCUGGCCGAAGAGUGAUGAAAUAAACCUGCAGCCAGAGUUGGAAUACCCAGAGGGGGCCACUCUGGUGUGGGUCGAUCUUGUGGAGGGUCAUCUGGGCCAAACAAUAUAGGAAAUGGCAAGAAUGGCUGGACUAAGCGCCAUGGUGUGACCACUAGCUAGGGCUUCGGCCAUCGGCAUGUUCUCGACCAAGCAUUUAUUGGACUUGGUAUAACAAAAAAAUUUGUUAUACCAGUAGAAGAGGAAGGCUUCGUGUUCCCCCCGCCGUAGGUUCUCCUCCCCUCGGCCAGCAAAAUGGAGGUAAAGGGUGUUAUAGUUAAGGAAGUUCUUAUAAAGUUUAUGAACUUCUUCCUUUGAGGGUUCUUGACCUUCUCCGCUCAGCGUUUCGAUGGCCCAAUCGUUGAAAAGUGCCUUUAGGUCGAUGUUCGACAAGUACCCGGAGAGGGUAGCAUCAACUGGGAUGCCAAAAGGGGAAGUCCCUAGGAUCGCGGUAAUGUCAAGGAUAGUGGGGCCAAUGAGGCCGAGGGGGAGGACCAUAGUGUUGGUGGCUGAGCACCAGAGGCUUGAGGUUGCCAUAAGAAGCUCCUUGUCCACGACAAGUUCCAUAGACGAAAGGCAAAUAGCAUCCUAGAUGCCAAGAGCUUUCCAUUGCUCAUUGAAAAUCUUUUCCAUCCGUGCAACCCAGACUGCCCAGGUCGCAGUGGUCGAGGGCCAGAAGCUUUGGGGUUUUGCUGAAUCCCACUUCGACCAUUCAAACCCUUGCAGUAGGGGUGUUAGGCAGUGAUCCUUGAAGAGUUUGGUGAUGGCUGGUGGCACUGCAUCCUUAAAAAGUGGACCAAGGAUCUGGUGGGUGGUGCUCAUGUCGCUUUCAAGGUGCAGAGUCUUAAUUGAGCGUUGGUCGAUGAUUGUCCCGCAUUUGUCGCAUUCCUUAGAAAGCUUGGAGAUGAUGGAGGCCAUUGGAAAUGGUUUUGAAGCUUUUCUGGGAAGAAUUCAAGGGGUUUUCUUUGGUUCUUUGAACAUGAGAGAUUUUGGAGAAUUUCAAAACGUAAAGAAUGAAUAAUAGAAGUCCAGGUAUUUAUAGACUUAUGGAAGGAAAGAUCCAGCGGGGAUUUUUUAAAAGUUAGGGUGAGAGUGAUCGGGAAGAUCACUAAUAAUUAUGGAGUGAUGGAGAGUAUUAACAGACCCAAGAGAAAGAACCGAAAAACUCGCAGAUUGAGGAUUCAUGAUGAUAUCGUGAAGGCAUUCUUUUAUGAAGAAAGAACGUUUCGGUGUUCGCACGAUCUCAAGGGUACCAAAAGAUUCGCAAAUCAAGAUUGCACGAUGGCAUGCGGCGACAGGUAUAAUGAUUUGUGGACGUUUGGACUUCUGCACGUCUUAAAAAUCUCGCGGAUCAAGGGGGUAAUGAUGAAAGGACAUUUCAAGUCAUGCUGAGAAGAGGACACUUGGCGGGAUAUCUAACGAAAUCAAGAUCGUGCAAUCGUGCUUCAUAAAUGCACCUCGGGAGAUGGAGUGUGGUUUCACUUCUUCAAGGUUAGGGCUCGGCCAGAGAUUUCAGGCCUGAAAAAGCCUCAGAAGCGAGGGGGUAAUGUUUGGGCCCAAAAUGUUGGUUUGGGCCGAGUUUUAUUCUUGGCCCGGAAAGUCUUCCGAAAAGGUUAUCAUGGAUCGUCUAGUUCAUGGGCUUCCUAGCCUAGGUCAGCCAAGUCUUGCUGUGAGACGCAUAAUUGAAUCCUGGCACAAUAAGGAGUUUCGACAAGAUAAAAAUAUUGAUAACCCAGAAGUGAAUGCGGCUUGAUAAAGGACUGGGUUCAAAGUCGUAGUGAAAAUAAGACUGGUCGAGAUAGUGUUUGACCAGAAUAAGAAGCCCUAAUCCGAGUAGGGUUUUAACUCGAUCCAAAGAAAACCUGCUGCUAUAAAUAAAGGAAGUUGUGCAUCAUUCAAGCCCCCUCCAAUUCAACACACAAUUGCCCUAUGCAAAUUCUCUCAACAACCUUGAGAUUUUUUCUUCUCUUUUCGCCGACACACCUUCAGUUUGGAUAAACAGCACUAUGGAAGCAACCGGUGAUAUCUUCAUUUGGCAUAAACAGCACUGUCGCCAUAGAAUCAGCCGAUCUCGCAGCAUCUUCAGUUGGCAUAAACAGCACUGCGUCGAGGCCGACUGGUUACCUAUCCAAGUCUCGGUCGAAAAGGAUUUCCGAAUCCUUGUUGGUCGAGGUCAUCUCAUCAACCUUCUCGGCGAAGUGAGGUGUUACGAGUUACUACAUUCGGCACAUUGGAAGCCAAAUUUGAUAUUGAACUUCGCUAAGUUAGCGGCCUUGUCUUCAGGCUCUAGAACCCGAAGGCGAAGACAAGUUCCUUUCUCGGCCGCAAUCGCAAGACACAGAAGUCAGCCGUGCACCCAACGCAACAUCAACAUAUUUUACUCCUCCGCCGACGAGUUGGCACGCCCUGCACACAACCAAAGGACGUAGUUAGCUCAUAGAUUACUCUGCAUGCGCGCCACGUAGACUUGGUAAUUUUCAAGAUCAACAAUAAUAUAAACGAAUUUAAUAAAAAAAAAAGAAUUGAAAAGAUUCAGCCAAAAGAAAAUGAUUUUGAAAAUCAAUUAAAGAGACACUAGGUUCCAUUGUCGUCAUUAACAAUCAUAUUCAAUUGGGUAAAUUACAUUUUCAUACAUCAAGUUUGGGCUCUAUUUCAAUUAUUUACAACAUCUUUAAAACAUUUCACUUUCAUACCUUAAGUACUAUUUUAUUUCAAAAUAAUAUCUCCGUUACAUUUUCCAUCCAUUGAUCAGUUAAGUGCUGAUGUGGCUGCCACAUAUAUGCCAUGUGGCAAAAAAAGAAUUAAUUUUUCUUUUAAAACUUGAAUUUUCUCAAAAAAAAAAAAAUGGAAACCCAUCCCAUCUCCCCGCCCAAACCCAGUUCGUCACCCCUUGCAACAAGAAGAAGAAGGAGGAAGAGAAGAAAAAAAAAAAAAAAAAAAAAAAAAGCACCAACCCAGAUUCGUCUCCCCCCCCCCCUUCACUCCCUAAAACGUGCAAGAAGAAUAAGAAGAAGGAGGAAGAGAAAAAAAAAAAAAAGUAGCAGCCCAGAUUCGUCCCCCCCACCCCCUCUCCCCCCAAAAAAAAACUCCCUAAAACCUGUAAGAAGAAGAAGAAGAAGGAAGAAAAGAAACAAAAUAGCAGCCCAAACCCAGUUCGCACCCCCCCGGGACCCACCUGCCUUCCCUCUUCGCCCCCCCUGCCUUGCGACCGAGAACUAGACCAUGAACUUCAUAUUUUAGGGAUUUUCAGUGUGGGUGAAUUUCAAAAAUACUUUGAGAUAGGGAGUUUGAGUUUGAGAUGAUUUUUGGACUGGUUUUGUGGUAGAUCCACCUAAUCUCGGGUGGGAUUUUUGUGGGUGGGUAAUGAGGGAUUUUUGGGAUGGGUGAUAGGGGAUGGGAGAAAGGGGUGGCUCGAGUGAGAUUUGGGGGUGGGUGAUGAUGGAUGGGAGAAGGGGGUGGGUCGAGGAAGACGAUUUCUGGGCUUUUUUUUUUUUUUUUUUUCCUCUUCUUCUUCUUGUUGCAGGUUUAGGGAUGUGGGGGGUGGGGGGUGGUUGCGGGGAGAUGAGAUGGGUUUCAAUUUUUUUUUUUUUUUUUUUUUUUUUUUUUUUGAGAAUAUUCAGGUUUUUAAAAAAAUAAUUAAAAAAAAAAUUUUGCCACGUGGCAGACAUUUGGCAACCAUGUGGCAUAUAUGUGGCAGCUACAUCAACACUUAACAGAUCAAUGGAUGGAAAAUGUAAUGGAGGUAUUAUUUUGAAAUAAAAUAGUACUUAAGGUAUGAAAGUGAAAUAUUUUAAAGAUGUUGUAAAUAAUUGAAAUAGAGCCCAAACUUGAUGUAUAAAAAUGUAAUUUACCCUAUUCAACUGUAUCAAUUAGUUAUGAACUUUUACAUACAUGUUUUGAAGGUUAGGUUCAAGUGAAAACUUAUAUCUAACAUGCAAUCCGUCUGUGAUAUUUAGAUCAAAUAUAAACAUGCAAGACUUAUUAAGCUUUGUUAAGAGCGUGAUGUUAGCCUUAAGUGAACUUACCAUUACUAAUCACAAGAAGCCAUCCUCAAUUUCAGGGUGAUAUUCCAACAAAAAUUGCACAAAUUACAUUUCUAAAUAACGCUUGUCGGCAACAGUGUUAUAGUUGGAAUAGUGAAAUUCACGCGUUUUCAACUUUAUCAGAGAUCUUUGACAAAGUUGUACGUGAUAUCCAAAAGCUGAGAUUGCGUCUGAAAAAAUUUAUUCAGGAAAAUCUGGCUUUUGAAAUUCAGAGAGCUGUGCUUCUUCGAUCUCUGAAGAAGUGGCUCUGUUGCCUCUUCUUUUAUAGAGGUAUUGAUUGUAUUCAAAUUUGCACACUUUGAAGAUUUCCCACUUGUGAAAAUUGUCUCUGCUGUAUUUUUGAGAUUUCACUAUAUCCAACCUUUUUCUUUCAUCAAUUUCUGAAAAUGGCUUGCCCAUCUAACAUUUGCUUAGAUUUGAGUCUUAGGACUAAUACAGGCGAGCCGCAUCACGAUAAUAUAUGGCGCCCGUCUUUCUUAUCUUCAAAUGGUCCUCUUACGGUUGGGGACUCUGUGAUGAAGAAUGACCUAACCGCUACAGUGGUAGCUAGGAAUCUUCUCACUCCUAAGGAUAACAGAAUCCUUUCAAACCGAUCUGAUGAGGUUGCCAUUCAAGACUCUUUGGCUCUCAGUAUUCAAUGUGCGAGCUCUGUCUCUAAUAUGGGCCAAUGCCUACUUGCUCGAACUCACCAAGUUGAAUCAUUGAUGGCUGAGGUGGCAAGUUUUAAACAAGAGAUCAGAGGGCUCAAGCACGAGAAUAGAGUGUUACACAUGCUCGCAAAUAAUUACUCAACGAGCAUGAAAAGAAAGCUCGACCAGCUACUGGAAUCCGAAGGUCGGACUCAAAAUGACAAUCAAGGGUUCAAGUCUUUAUUCCAAAGACACCCAUUGUCUCAACCGUCUGGAGUUUCACCAAGUACUGAGGUUCCAAAUAAUCAACCUCUGGUGCCUCCCCCUUCUGGGGUACUUCUGAGUACUGGGGCUUCACAUGAGCAAUUUUUGUGAAGGCUCCCUCAUGUUUUCAUGUGUAUGUACAUGUCUGUAAUUCAUCGGAUAUAUCAAUAGAUAAGCUUUAUUUCAUUCAAUGUAUUGUGUUAAAUACAAUAAAGCAUAUACUUCACUUAAGAUGUGGUACUUCUGGACCAAAUAUCAAUUUAUCUUUACCCUCACGAAGAUAAAUGAUCUUUCUUAGUGUCUACAUCAUUUGAGUGUUCAACUCAUAAUCUUCAAUUCAUAUGGUUCUUUUAUAAACAUCAUGGAUAAGAUUCGUGUUGGCAUAUUGUUCGAUCUACAGUUCGAGACAAUAUUUCUCUCAACACUUUAUUGACUCUUCAGGAGUCCCAAUUUAACAUCAUCAACUCUUCAGGAGUUAAUGUCAUCGAUUCUUGCAAGAGAUUUUAGUAUGUUGCAACAAUAUCAUAAUGAUAGUACUCACUAAGGCAAUUAUACCAUCCAUUGGUAUUGAGUACAUAUUUAUGCUUUACCCUUCGGGGGCUUACUUCAAGCAAGUUGAAUCCUUCGGGGAUUUUCUACACUUCAUGACACAUUUUCUUUGGAAUUUAUACAGAGCAAUUUGCUCCCAUGUAUAAUUGAGGGAUUUACUUAUGGAGAUAUGAUGUGGGCGACUCACAACCCUUCGUAUAUAAUUCUCCAUUCAUAUGAACUCGUUUACAACCUUGUGUCAUAUCAUGUGAGUGUAAUUCACUGUAUUACAAAUGCCCAAUGUAACCUCCUUGGUUCAACAUCUUUUGGCUAUUUGUAUUACAUUCAAAUAUAUAGGUCCAUUUUCCCACGUUCUUACAAAAUUGUAAUGGAAUUGCCUUUCUCCAUCUUUGUUUUUCGUUGAAAAGAACAAGACUCAAUAUCAACACAGCUCAUUGAUGAUUUUAGUAGCUACUUGUAAAAACCAAAAUUACCAUUGGUUAUCAUCAAUCUGUGAUCCCAUAUUCUCAUGUGCAUGCACAUGCAUAAAAGCUUUUUAUUUCUUUGGAUAUCCAUUGCUUCUUCAAGGGCAUUACACUAUCUCUUCCAGGAUAGUCGUAAUUUAGAGAAUGCGGAUCAUAACCUCUUAUUGAGCGUUAUAGAGCUUGGAUCUUAAUCUCCAUUUCUGGGAGUUGAGUCAUUGGAACCUAUACAUCUAUCAUGCUUCAUGCAUGAGACAUCAACAUUCCCAUGUUCGCGGAUUAUCCUUUCUGGAUGUGUAUCCAUGCGGUAACUAUCAUGCUUCUGGCAUGCAACAGUUAUGCUUCGGGAAUUCAAUAGUUCAGUAAUGUAAUAUUCUUCUUCUUUCGAAUGACUGAACCUUUUUGAGUCUGAGGGUUUGUCACGCUUCAGGCGUGCAACAGAUAACUCAUUUACUGCCUCAUUAUUUUGUCCAAACAGGGAUAUCAAUUCUUGUAGGCACAUUUGCAACAAGUAUAUGUGAUUUCAUCACUUUCGUUGCAUCAUUAAAUGCAUCUGGCAUUUGAUUGACACAUCAUUGCAUCAUUCAAUUAUUCUUACUUCAUUUUCUCAUUGAUUGCUUCGUGAAUCAAAAUAAGACAAAUUCUCUUCGUUCUUCUGGAACAAUCAUUUCUCGUCAUUCUUCUGGAAUGAUAUUUUCUCAUCGUUCUUUUGGAACGAUAUUUUCUCCCCCUAACGGCGGGAAAAUUGUCUUAUCAAAAUGACAGUCUGCAAACCACGCGGUAAACAUAUCCCCAAUCAAGGGUUCUAAAUAUUGAAUGAUAGAUGAUGUUCAACAUCAAUGCCCAUUUCAGUACGUUGUGGCAGUGCAAUAGGCACAUAGAUAACACAACCAAAAACUCGUAAAUGUAUAAUGUUUGGCUAGUUCCCAAACACGAGUUGUACUGAGAAAUAUUGAUGGUUGGAAACUGGUCUCAACCGAACUUAAUAAUGCGUCAUAAAAUGACAUGUCCCCAUGUAGAAAACUGGUAAUUUCGUUUUCAUGAGCAGAGCGCGGGUAAUCAAUUUCAUCCGCUUAAUAAAUGCUUCUGCUAAACCAUUUUGAGUAUGGACAUAAGGAACUUCUGGUCCUUAAUAGUCUGUAGACUGAGACUCUUAUGGCUUUUAUUACAAUUAAGUUGAGGCACUGUGGCACUUCAAACUUAAGGUACUCAUCAAGAAACUUCAUGUCCGAUCUAGGGACUUCAUGUUUGAUCUUUUUGCAUGAUGGAACUUCGGGUCCAAUCAUUUUAUGUGAUGAGGAUCAAGAAACUGCAGGUUCUGAUCUAAUCAAGGAACUCUGGGUCAUUGUUAUACUCAUCGUAACAAAAGAUAAGUACAAUAAAUAAAUUAAAGCAAUAGGCGGUAAUUACAGCCAUAGUAAAUAAAUUACAUUUAAGUAAAUAAAGCUUGUGAUAAGGGCUUUAAUUUAGCACCAUUCACAUAAAUCAAAACUUAAAGCAGUAGGCGGUAAAACCGUCCAUGAUAAAAAAUUGCUUUAAAGUAAAUAGAUCUUGUGAAAGGAUUUUAAACCAACACCAAUUCACAUAAAGAAAUAUAUAUUUUCUCUUCUUUCUUUUCAGAUGGUACGACACCAUCCAAAAAGUCUUCACCCUUUUGGUUUUUUUUCUUAGUUUCCACAUGGUGUCUGACACACCAUCAUUUUUCUUUUAUUUUAUUAUUUAGAUGGUGCAGAUGCACCAGGCACCAAAACCUUUUUGUUUCUUUCUUUUUCAAAUGGUGUUGUGCACUAUUGACUUUUUCAGAUGGUGCCAUGCAUAUUCCAUAAACUUCCCCUUUUUUCUUUCUUUGUCUGUCUCUACCAGUCUCAAAACCCAGGGCCAGCUAGAAGGUCACACAAAACCAAUUCAAUCUAGAAAGGCUACCAGAGAUUGGCGUUGUUCUUGCAUGGCCCAGAGAACAUGGCAUCAUAAAGCAAGAACCUCCAUACUAAGACAUAGAUGACAGCGGGGUUGAUGGAGGCACAAGAAAGGGAGGCAUGUGUGGAUUCAUUCUUGCCAUCACCAUCUCAGACAACUGAGUAUUCAUGGGAGUUCUCGAGAUCUGUCGAAAAUGACGCGAUCUGGGUUUCCAAGUCUAAUGAGAUUCUUCUGGAUCUUUGGAAACCAGUUGUCAGGUACGAGUUUUCUUAUCUCGUGAUGACUUCAGGUCGUUGUAAAUUUCAAUUCUCACCGAAAUUCGGUGGGGCGCUUCUGGCGCGGUGGGAGAUACAGAAAAUGGACAUACCUUUUAUUUUGUGAGAUUUUAACUGACAGGGGUAGGAGAUAGAUAAUGCUUCACCGGAUUUAUGACGUUGUGCUUUCCACUGACAUGCGAGCUUCUCGUGCUGAUAACGUGUUGUAAAAUUGAUGGUGGGUGCAGUGGAAUAAAUAAACAAGACACAUAAUUUACGAGGUUCCUCUACAGUCAGUGUGACUGGAGUACAUCCUCGGGGCAGCAGUGAUGCUUUCAUUGUAAUCUGAAAAUAAGAGUACAAAGAUAAAUCUCUCUUUCUCUCUACUCUUCCUCUCUUUCCUCUUCCGUGAGUCUCUCUCAUAUAUUUUUCGUAUCUUUUGAUUGCAUUCGAGUGCUCUAUUUAUAGAGCAACUCGUAUUAUUACAAUUGACAUUUACAACAUCCAAUGUAGAAAAACGAUCUCCUGCAUCCAAAGUCAAUUCCCAUUUUCAUGGGUAUUGAAAACUUAUGCCAAAGUUGAAAACCCAUUAUGUGUGAGAAUUGGAAAGUCUUCCAAGGUACUGUGGGCAUUCACUACCCAGCAGUAUUUUCAACACUGAAAAAUUACUCUACUUAACCAAGGUCUUAGGUGGGGUUCUUGUCAAAUGCGAUUUUGAACUACAUUAUUACUAGUCCACUGUGAAGUUAAGGUCAUCCACCUCCCUUUUAGUCUAGAUAAUAUGAUAUGUUAAAAAAAAUAAUAAUAAUAAAAUAAAACAAUGGUUGUUGUACAUGACAUACCGGCUGACGUAUACAAUUGAGAGGGACAAACUUUUCUCCUUCUGUCAAUAGUGGGAAGAAUCAAAAUCUUCACAUACUCCACUUCUAUAUAUUUGAGCUUUCAUGUAUCACAAACAACGCCACCGCCACCGCAGCCCUAAGACAUUACGUCAUCCAUCUUCAUUCGUAAAUCCCAAUAAUCAUGGGUAGCGAAAAUCGUGAUUUCCACAUCUGUUUCUUUCCUUUCAUGGCUCACGGCCACAUGAUACCGAUCUCCGACAUGGCCAAGCUCUUUGCAUCCCAAGGAGUAAAAACCACCAUAGUCACCACUCCUCUAAAUGCCCCAACAUUAUCCAAAGCCACCCAAUCAAGUAAAACCUGCUCCGGCGGCGUCGAAGUCAGAAUCAAAACCAUCAAGUUCCCUUCUGUAGAAGCCGGUCUGCCAGAAGGGUGCGAGCAUGUCGACUCACUCCCCUCACCAGAAUUCAGGACCAAUUUUUACAAAGCAACAAGCCUUCUCCAAGAACCUCUAGAGCAUCUUCUGCUCCACGAAAACCCUAGUUGCCUUGUGGCAGACUUUCUUUUUCAUUGGGCAACUGAUGCUGCUGCAAAGUUUGAUAUUCCAAGGCUAAUUUUUCAUGGCACUAGUUUCUUUGCCAUGGCUGCCUCAGAUAUUGUGACAAAGUAUGAGCCGUUCAAGAACACUUCGUUGGAUUCGGACCCUUUCAUGAUUCCGGAUUUUCCUGGUGAGAUUACGAUGACACGAGCCCAAGUUCCUGAUCAUGUCAAGGAAAAUAUCGAAAACGACUUGAUCCGGAUGGUCAAACGGGCCAAGGAAGCUGAGAAAACGAGCUAUGGAAUUGUUGUGAACAGUUUCUAUGAGCUCGAAUCGGCUUAUGCAGAUUAUUACAGAAACGUGCUUGGGAUGAAAGCUUGGCAUAUUGGCCCUGUUUCUCUAUGCAAUAGAAACAAUGAAGAAAAAGCACUUAGAGGAAAAGCAGCUUCCAUCAACGAGCACGAUUUCUUGAAGUGGCUUGAGUCAAAAGAACCUAAUUCGGUUGUUUAUGUAUGUUUUGGAAGCGUGGCUAAAUUCAAUGCCUCUCAGCUUAAGGAGAUUGCAAUGGGGCUUGAGGCUUCUGGGCAGGACUUCAUGUGGGUUGUGAGGACCGGACAAGGUUAUGACAUGGAGAAAGAGGAGUGGCUGCCAGAAGGGUUUGAGGAUCGGAUGGAAGGGAAAGGACUAAUCAUAAGAGGGUGGGCCCCGCAGGUUCUGAUUCUUGAUCAUGGGGCAGUUGGCGGGUUUGUGACUCACUGUGGGUGGAACUCGACGUUGGAAGGGAUCGCUUCCGGGUUGCCGAUGGUGACGUGGCCGGUGGCGGCCGAGCAGUUUUACAACGAGAAGCUGGUGACCCAAGUGCUGAAAAUUGGUGUCGGAGUUGGUGCUCAGAAAUGGGUUAGGGUUGUGGGGGAUAGCGUGAAGAAGGAAGCUGUUGAGAAAGCUGUCAGGAGGAUUAUGGUGGGUGUGGAAGCACAAGAAAUGAGAAGCAGAGCUAGGGAACUUGCAGAGCAGGCAAAGAGGGCUAUUGAGAAAGGGGGAUCGUCACACUCUGAUUUGAAUGCUUUAAUUGAAGAGUUGAGUUCCCACUAGUUAGAAUUGGAGCACACAUUCAGAUGGACUUCACUUUCGGAAUAUUUCUGAUUGAUAAUGUUUUGUACAAAAUCUAAGUAAGAAUAGUCACUCAUAAUUCAUGAACGAAUGAUUAAUGUUGAGGAUAGUGACUAAAAGUUUAUUUGUUUUUCUUUUGACCCAGAUUAGACUUUCACGAUGCAUUUUAUUUAUCUCUAAGGGUCAUAUAUUUGCCCAGCCAAAGAAAAUAAUUCUAAGGGUCCUAUACUCUUUUCUUUAACUCUCCUUUAUUGAUCACACAUAGCUAGAUAAAAUGAAAUAUGGAUCUGAUUACAUAACAAAAUCUUCUUUAUAAUAUAAUUUACAGGUAGUUCAACGUAAAAUCCUAAACAUGGCAUUGGUUGGAUUGCACAAGGGAGAACUUUAGAUCAUAAACUAGCAAUUGGGCAUGCUCGAUGCCGUGAGUUUUAUAACUAUGUUAAACAUGUAGAAUAUAUUAAAAUCCAUUUACAUCCAUAUCAAACUGUAUUUACAUCCUUAUGUUCAAUAAGGAACAAAAGAUAGGUGUCUGUAGAAUACAUUACGUAGCAAAAAACUUGGAGAUUAAGAUGUUCAUAUAGAUGUAAUACACAUAAAAGUAUCUUUGUUCCACAUGUCCCAACUUUUCACAUUGUUCCUCAGGACUUCACUCUUCUUUCUUCUUCUUUGCCAAAGAGAUGUUCUUCUUUUACCAUUUGAUUUAUUCAGCUAUUCCUUGUCCGUUAAAAUAUCGUGUGAAUAUAAUUGAAACCUCAUACAACAGAUAAAUAACUAGGAAAGAAAGAAACACAUGCAUGAAUAAAAAAAGUUUUAAACCAUACCUAAUAUAUAAUUAAGCUCAGAGCAAUGAAAACAAAAUAAACAAAAUAUAAAUUAAAGAAGAAAAUUGGGGGAGCUAGUUUUGGACAUACACCAACCCGCAUUCUUACACUCUUCUUCCUGUUUUCUCGAAAUCUUUCCAGACAUCAACGAGAGGAGUUUGUGCAAUGAAAACAGAAUUUCUAUAAUACUAAUUGCUUCCAUCCAAUAAGGCAGCAUUAACUUACAAUGCUUGAUCCUCAAGUGGAGCAUUGUUAAAAAAUUCAUGCACUCGAGCAUCUUUUGAGUUUGAUUACUACUACUUAAGCAUUCUAAAAAUUGGCCCUAAACCCCAAACCCCAAACUCUAUUUAGACUCAUGAUGAGCAAAUUCAAUAUAUACUAAAACUCAAAUUAUAUUAUAUAUAUACUAAAAGAGAAAAACGCUUGAAACACUGUUCAUUUUCCAAUGUUCUUCCAUUUUUGCCCUUUCCAUGUUUCUGUGGACACUGUUUAUUCUACUGUGUAAUUCCGCUUUUGCCCCUGCUUUAGUCUUUGGUCUUUUAUUCCAUUUCUAGAUUCUUCCUUCCCACAUCGUUUUAGCAUCUCGACCCGUCUUUUCUCUAGAUGCUUCCCCCAUAGUUUCAGACUCUCGACCCACCUUUUCUCUGUCUGGCUCCUGCUAUCCCCGUCUCCCUCCUCACCUCCUUUCCCAAUCUCCCAAUUUAUUUUCAAUUUACACUUAAAUCUCAUAUGAAUCUCCUUGGUCUCAAAGAUGUCCUCUCUGAACCCAAAAAAGCUUUAGCCUUCCGACGACUCUGGUUGCCAUAAUCAAUCUUGGUCGUUGGCCGACAACCAGACUACAACAUCGUUUUGACUCACUCCAGCAUCCGCAGAUUCCAGCUUCAAACCCUUUCCGACCUUUUUUGCCAAAAUCGUUCUCACCGAUUUGUCAUCAGUUAAGAUCCUGAAGUUUUUAUUUGGCAUCCCAGACCUCAUCUUUCUUGCCACUGUGCCUCAAAACUUUCAUAUCGGUACAUCAACUCAACUCUCAUUUUGAUAGAACCCCACUUCAACCUUUACUCAAAUGCAAGAUAUACUAACAAGAACACUAAUACAAUCAAAUAUUCAUUCACCCUUUGCAUUUGCACAUAUCUCAGCUUAUAUAGCUGGUUGCAGGCUAAAGAAAUCCAACUCUACAAUUGACACCUGGCUAACUAAGUGAUGCCACUUGGCAUCCUAACAUUACCCUUCCCUUAGAAAUCAACAUUGUCCUCAAGGUUUAGCUUUGAAAAUUCCAGUAGCAUUUUUUUUUAUUAUGAUUUGGCAAUGGAUCCAACUACUAUAGGUUGAUCUAGAGACAAUGAGCGACAUAAGCCAGUAGUAUAUAGCAGCAGCAUUCCUAUUAAUUUGCUGCAGCAAUAUGCUUCCACAAGUAGUACGAGGACUGAUAUGUUUUUCCCUUGUAAACGAGCAACAACAUAUGUACUGAACUAAUAAAACCAUAAGUCUGCUUCCACCAAAAGUUCACUGCUGAAAACAUUAACUCCACAUUACACCCUGUCCAAAAUUGAGCAAUGAUAUUGACCAUACAAUCAGAAUUUCCAGCAUGCAUAAGGAUACCCAAUGCAACUAUGCACACCACUACUCCAUACAUUUCAAUACCCACUUAAAGAGCCUAACUUGUACCUCUACUCUCAAAAUAUCCAGCAAGCAAAUAAUUCCAAGAAAUAUUUGGUUUAGUAAUUUCACACAAAUCUGGGUCCAAGAAAAACCUCAAGGUAUUAUGCUCAUUGCCACACCUAGAGUCCAGAUGCAUAAUGACACUACUCACAUGAACUGAGCACCUACAUAGAAAGUCCACCCGUACACCAACACUAUGAAUUUGUUUCCUUUCUUUCUCAGCAAACAAGGCACCAAUCACAGCAGUAAUCACAAAAUUAAAAACCAUGCUUGUAGUAUUAUUUGGAAAUUUGUGUAUUAAUACCAGCGGCCUUAUCGGUUGACAAGAAUCUGCCCUCUCAAUUGGCAACCCCCAAGUUUUGCGCAACACAAUAUUUCCCACAAUCUAAUUUGUUUUACCAAUUGAGAUGAGUAUGAAACGUAAAGCCUCAUCUACAAUCCAAGGUGGAAUUGCAAAUAUAGCUUCUACAAUGGGCAUCAAAGUAGUACUAGCUUCCCAAAUCAAAUUAGUUCUCCAGAGAGUUAACAAUAACAAACCCAAAACACUAGACCCAUCGUCCAGUUUUGGCAUGUGCAUUGCACGAGUGAAGGCAACAUCCAAUUUCCUAUGCUCAUCAUAUUUGCUACUAAGAUGGUAAAGAAUACCAUGGUCACUCAUUGUCAUCAUUCUUCUACCAGUUAAUAUACCACCCUCAAGUAAAUGACUAGUAUAUGGCAAACCAAAAGAUCCAUGAACAUUCCUUUCAAAUGUUAGUUUCUUCUGCCCGUAAAAGCUAUGAACCAGAUAAUCCUCCCUAACAUUUGGGAAUUUCUUCUUCCCUGCCCCGCUCAAUUGAAUAUUUGAACUAUAAAAUUCUCCACCUACUGUUGAUAUAUAACCCUUGAGCUAAUAUCUUGGAGCUAAAGUUACAAAUUUUGAUUUUCCUUUUAUGUGCUUUAUCUUGCUGAUGUAAUCUGAGCCAUUGGAUCAUAGUCCAAAUGGUCUCUUCUCUAGCAUAGGAUCUAAGUGAUAUAACAAGACAAGUGGCAUCAUCUCAUAGGAUGAUAGCAAUGUAUGGUUGAGAUUGUGUUGUGUAUUGGUGAGUGAAGGAUCUCCCUUCCUCUACAUACAUAACGGUUACAAAUGUAUUUUUGGAUAUAGAGUGAAAUCGAAGAGACACAUUCAAUCUUCUUCUCUCUCAUUUCUCUGUUUUGUUCUUCAACCUCCAACAUAGAGAUCUCCAUUGAAAAACACAUAAAACACAAACUCUAAUAUGGCUUCAGAGCCAGGUUCGGUUAUCUAAACUGGGCGUAAAUCUGUGAAAAGAAAACUGGAAUUGAUUCGAGCUGCAAUCUAGCUCAUAUGACGAUCGAGGUGGUGUGAUUUCUUGAAUCCGAUGUCUAACAUGGCAGGAUCAGGCACUGCUGAGCUUCGCACACCAGUUUUCAAUGGAGAAAAUUAUGAGUUCUGGAGCAUUCGAAUGAAAACCAUUUUGAAAUCUCAUGGGUUAUGGGAUCUCGUUGAAAAUGGGUUCGAUGCUUCAGAUCCAAAGAAGGAGAAGAAGAAGAUAGAAGAGAUCGAGGUCACGGAAGUGGAGAAGCCAACGUUAGCUGAAAUCCUGAUGAAGGAUGCUCGUGCACUUGGGUUGAUCCAAGGUGCUGUCUCAGACCAAAUUUUCCCCAGAAUUGUGAACGAAGAGACCUCAAAGGGUGCUUGGGACAUUCUGAAGCAAGAGUUCAGAGGAGAUAAGCAAGUAAGGAGCGUAAAAUUGCAAGGUUUGCGUCGAGAAUUUGAAUAUACUCGCAUGAAAGAUAGUGAAUCCUUAUCUGUAUAUCUCACUAGAUUGUUUGAUAUAAUGAAUCAAAUGAAGAGUUAUGGUGAGGAUCUGUCUAGAGAGAAAGUUGUGCAAAAAUUGUUGAUUAGUUUGCCUAGAUCAUAUGAUCCUAUUUGCUCCGUAAUUGAACAUUCUAAGGACCUUGAAACUCUUGAGAUUCAAGAGGUAGUUGCUUCUCUGAAAAGUUUUGAACUCAGAUUGGAUAGACAUGCUGAAAAUUCUACUGAACGAGCUUUUGCUAGUCUAAAUGUUGGAGGUAAAAACUCUAAGGGAAUAGGUUAUUCUGGAAAUCAAAAGUUUCAGAAAAACUGGAAAUUCAAAGGAAAGAAGUGGGAUAAUAAGCCAUAUUUUGUUCAAAGACCAAAUGUCUCUAAUGAUAGAAACAAGACAUCUUGUAGACACUGUGAUAAAUUGCAUUAUGGCAAAUGUUGGUUUGAAGGGAAGCCAAAAUGCACAGGUUGUGGGAAACUUGGGCAUGUGAUCAGAGACUGCCAUGGAAACAAAAAUAUACAGAAUGUGAACUAUGUAAACCAUGUUGAAGAAACUGGUACCCUGUUCUAUGCAUGCAAUGCUAUGACAGAUGUGAAGGUGAAUCAUUCAUGGUACAUUGAUAGUGGUUGUAGUAACCACAUGACAGGUGAUGAAAGGUUACUAAUCAACAUCCAAAGGAAUCUGACUUCCAGGGUGAAGAUGGGAACUGGAGAGAUUGUUCAGGUUGCAGGAAAGGGGACUCUUGUUAUAGAGACCAAAUUGGGAAGAAAGCACAUUCAAGAAGUGAUGCUUGUUCCUGGACUUGAAGAGAAUCUGCUAAGUGUUGGACAGAUGAUGGAGCACGGGUACUAUCUAUUGUUUGGAGGAAAUAUUGUGAGUAUCUUCGAUGGUUGGUCAAUGGAUAAUCUUGUGGUUAGAGUGCAGAUGACAAACAACAGGUGUUUUCCUCUUACAAUGAUGCCAGCAAAUCAGAUAGCCUUGAAAGCAAGUGUGACACACUGUAUGCAGAUAUGGCAUAAGCGUUUGGGGCAUCUAAAUAACAGAAGCAUCAAAAUGCUUGAAGAUCAAGAAAUGGUUCAUGGAUUGCCUCAUUUGGAGAAAACCUCUGUUUGUGUGUGAAGGCUGCAUGCUAGGAAAGCAACACAGAGAGUCUUUUCCAUCAAAAUCAGCUUGGAGAGCAAAAUUUCCUUUGGAAUUGGUUCACACAGAUAUCUGUGGACCAAUGCAAACUGAAUCUAUCUCUGGAAAUAAGUACUUUCUGUUGUUCACUGAUGAUUGUACUAGGAUGUCUUGGGUAUAUUUUCUCAUAAACAAGUCAAGUGCAUUUGAUUGUUUCAAGAAGUUUAAAGCAAUGACAGAGUUGCAGUGUGGAUAUAAGGUGAAAUGUCUAAGGAGUGAUCGGGGUGGAGAGUUCUUAUCAACUGAAUUUGAUAGUUACUGCAAUGAGCUUGGAAUUCAAAGGCAAUUAACCAUGGCAUAUUCUCCUCAACAGAAUGGAGUAGCUGAGAGGAAGAAUAGGACUGUGGUGGAAAUGGCAAAGUCUAUGAUGCAUGAAAAUGGUCUUUCUUAUGCAUUUUGGGCAGAGGUUGUGAACACUGCAGUCUACAUACUUAAUAGAUGUCCCUCAAAGUCCCUCAAGAAGAUAACUCCAUUUGAAGCAUACACUGGUAGAAAACCAGGCAUUGCACACUUGAAGAUCUUUGGGUCACUAUGCUAUGUGCACAUUCCCUCAACACUAAGGCAUAAGCUUGAAGAAAAUAGUCGCAAGUGUAUUUUUGUAGGCUAUGGAAUCUGUGAAAAAGGGUACAGAGUGUUUGAUCCAAGUUCUAAUAAGAUCAUCCUGUCUAGAGAUGUACACUUUGAUGAGAAUGCUUCAUGGGAGUGGGAGAACACUGAUAAGAGUGAAAUACAAGUUCCCAUGAUUAUUGAGAAUCAAAUGGCAGAUUGUAGUGAAGGACAGAAUCAAGUGGAAGUAUGUGAACCAAGACAAUUCUUGGAUACAUCAACUCAAGUGGAGGAUGUUGUUGCAUCACUGUGAGAAUGUUUUCGAAAGUUCUCAAACAACUGAUCACACACCACAGAAAUGGAAAAGUGUAAAUGAGAUCAUGGCUCAGUGUAACAUGUGCAUUGUAGAACCUGAAAACUAUGAAGAUGCUAUUCUAGAUGAGUCAUGGGAAAAUGCAAUGAAAUCUGAGCUUGAAAUGAUUGAGAAGAACAACACAUGGGAGCUAGUUGAUAGACCAUUUAACAAGCCAAUCAUUGGUGUUAAGUGGGUCUAUAAAACCAAGUUGAACCUUGAUGGAUCCGUGCAGAAAAACAAGGCCAGACUGGUGGCAAAAGGUUAUUCCCAAAAGCCUGGGAUAGACUACAAUGAAACAUUCGCCUCGGUUGCAAGAUUAGAUACUAUUAGGACCUUGAUAGCACUUGCUGCACAGAAGGAAUGGAAUCUAUAUCAGUUGGAUGUAAAAUCUGCUUUUCUGAAUGGAACUUUGAAGGAGGAGGUUUAUGUUGAGCAGCCACAAGGUUUUGUGAAGGAGAGUGAAGAAACCAAGGUGUAUAAGUUGAAUAAGGCUCUGUAUGGGUUGAAGCAAGCUCCGAGAGCUUGGUAUGAUGAGAUAGAUUCCUAUUUCGGCAAGGCAGGUUUCAAGAAGAGUUCUAGUGAAGCAACACUUUAUGUCAAAACUAGUGAAGCUACAGGUAUCAUUAUUGUUUCACUCUAUGUGGACGAUAUUGUAUAUACUGGAAGUUGUCCAAAACUACUCGAAGAGUUCAAAAAUGAGCAUUAUGAGAUGACUGAUCUGGGGUUACUUCAUCAUUUUCUUGGCAUGGGAGUAGUGCAAACAGAUAAAAACAUUUGUAUCCACCAGAGAAAAUAUGCAAUGAAGCUUAUUGAGAAAUUUGGGAUGAAAGAUUGCAAAUCAGUGACAACACCACUGGCUGUGAAUGAGAAGUUAUGCAAGACAGAUGGUAGUGAAGCAGCAAAUGAAAGUGAAUAUAGACAAGUUGUAGGUAGCUUGUUAUACUUGACUGCUACAAGGCCGGAUAUAAUGUUUGCUUCUAGUUUUCUUGCUAGAUUCAUGCAUAACCCUAUAAAGAAACACAUGGGAACAGCCAAAAGGGUGUUGAGAUAUAUUCAGGGCACUCUUGAUUUUGGAAUUGAAUUUGUAAAAGGGAAGACAACUACUCUGAUAGGGUACUGUGACAGUGACUGGGCAGGAAGUGAGGAUGACAUGAGAAGCACCUCAGGAUAUGCAUUUACACUUGGAUUCGGUAUGUUUUCAUGGGCAUCAAUCAAACAAAACACGGUGGCAUUGUCCACUGCAGAAGCAAAAUAUGUCAGUGCUGCAGAAGCAACAUCACAUGCUAAAUGGCUAAGGUUUGUGCUUGAAGAUUUUGGUGAGGAGCAAGUGGAAGGCACACCAAUUCUGUGCGACAACACUUCAGCCAUAGCAAUGGCAAAGAAUCCAGUUCUACACCAGAGAACUAGGCACAUCAUUAGGAAAUUUCAUUUUAUCAGGGAAGCUAUCCAAACAAAGGAGAUUGAACUUGUCUACUGCAAAACAGAAGACCAGACUGCAGAUAUAUUGACCAAGGCUCUGUCAAAAGAUCGAUUUGUCUACCUAAGAGAUCUACUUGGUGUGAAAUCAGCUAAAGGGUUAGAAGGGAGUGUUGAUAUAUAACCCUUGAGCUAAUAUCUUGGAGCUAAAGUUACAAAUUUUGAUUUUCCUUUUAUGUGCUUUAUCUUGCUGAUGUAAUCUGAGCCAUUGGAUCAUAGUCCAAGUGGUCUCUUCUCUAGCAUAGGAUCUAAGUGAUAUAACAAGACAAGUGGCAUCAUCUCAUAGGAUGAUAGCAAUGUAUGGUGAGUGAAGGAUCUCCCUUCCUCUACAUACAUAACGGUUACAAAUGUAUUUUUGGAUAUAGAGUGCAAUCGAAGAGACACAUUCAAUCUUCUUCUCUCUCAUUUCUCUGUUUUGUUCUUCAACCUCCAACAUAGAGAUCUCCAUUGAAAAACACAUAAAACACAAACUCUAAUACCUACAACCUCAAAUAUUCCAUCUCGGCUACAUUCAAUAGAAUCUCCAGAUGCAUUCAUACAAGAAAAAUGAAUAUUCAGAGUAACCAUAUACCUGAAUUUUGAGCCUCCACCCUUAUCUCGAAUACCCUUGCAAUAGCACAUGUCAAAAUUGACAACAACAAGAUGAUUUGAGUCAGGAAUUUCAUCAAACACGUUGAGAGCAAGACGAGUUUUCUCAGCAGGUACAAUAAAGGGGUUAGCUUCCUCCAAAAAAUUCCUCUUUUUCGCAUUAAGAACAAAACCCAACUCAUAAAUUGCCAGAAAAUCCAUUGAGUUGAAUUAAGAGAGACAAAUAGUUCCAUCUUUGUUAUAUGCAGUAGCAUUUUCAGAUUGUUUUGUACAAGAAGAUAUGAGGAUUGUACUAAUCUUGUACCUGAAUAUUCUCGAAUGGUCCUUCCAAAUCUUGUCUUUUGCCAAACCACCACCUUUAUCAUGAAUUCCUUUAUGGUAGUGGAAUUGAAGAAUAAGUACAACACCAGUAGAAGCAUCAUCUUGCACCAAAAUGGUAUCAACUUUUCCUCUAGUGUCAGAAAUCGGCAUAUGAUAGCCCAACUGAAAAUCACAAUCUAUUGAUUGUGACCUUCAUCAAACACCUGGAAUGUAGGUGAAUCAAUUUUCACGAACCUAUCAUCAGAAACAGGAAUUGUGAAAAUGAAAUCCUGGACCACGUCGUUCUUGCAACUAGAUUCACGAAUAGAUGAAGGCGCCAUCCCAAACUGAAUGAAUUUAUGUCCAAAAGAAGUAGCCAAGCCAUUACGAAAUGUAGAACCCAGAACAUAAGCUUGAACCUUGGAUUUCCUGCAAUUUGAAUCAAGAACUGGAGAAGCUAUUACAUAAUCUUCAACUUUCUUGUUGAAUAAAGAAACCAACUCCUUUGCGGUGCCUGCCUUGCGAUUAGAAUCAAGAAAUGGAGGAAUUUUCACAUAAUCUUUAGCUUCCCUGUCGAACAAAUUGAAAACCUCUUCGUCCUCCACAACCAAAGCUUUCCAAAAAAACCCACAACUUUCUUCAAAUUUGGAAUUGGAACAAAAUAUUGCAGAACCAUCGUCGUCGUGUUUGUCGUAGUCGCGAACUUUCUUGAAUCUCUUCAAUAUGGGUCGUAAACAAGGACGAGUCUUGGGCUUGUAACUUUGAUGAAAUUGAGAGAGUUGAUUCACUCUCUCUUUGGCAUGAAUUUUUUUCCUCAUGGAAGGAUUGAAGCUUGAGAACGACUUGGUUCGAUUUCUCAAAAGAGAUAGGAGAUGCCAUUUUGAUGAACAGCGGAUGUGAACCCCUAUCGCAUUUGGCCACAAAAUCAUGGUAUAGUUUCUCGAAUCGAGCAUCAGAAGAAUCUUGACGAGCUUCCAUGGCGUCAAAUCGCUAAAUUAGCACAUUGAGAGUGUCAUUAAUCGCAGCAAGAUGGUUAUGAAAUUCCAUGGCUUCCUUCGUUGACGCACGAUUCAAUCGGCAAAAGAGAAGGGAUUGAGGAAUCAAGACUGGCUUGAUACCAAUGAUAGAACCCCACUUCAACCUUUACUCAAAUGCAAGAUAUACUAACAAGAACACUAAUACAAUCAAAUAUUCAUUCACCCUUUGCAUCUGCACAUAUCUCAACUUAUAUAGCUAGUUGCAGGCUAAAAAAAUCCAACUCAAUAAUUGACACCUGACUAACUAAGUAAUGCCACUUGCAUCCUAACACAUUUAUUUCAACAGCUCAACUCUCUUUCUAUUUCAAACCUAAAGAUUGAUUAUUUUCCUUUUUUUUUCUCUGUUUUUAUUUUCCAGGGAAAAAACACCAUCUUUGCCGAAAAAGUUUGAAUUUUUCUCGGGAAUUCUCACCCAUCCCUGAGAUUUUCUUUGGGGGUUUUGGUUCUCGGGUUGCGAAUUUAAAAGGGUUUUGUCUUUAAAAGGAGAUGGAUAUCGGUGGUGAUGAUCGGUGUUCAUUGUUGUGUGGAUGAUCCCAGUGGAGCUUUGGUUUUCAGCUUUGGUGAUUUCUGCGUGAAUUUUUGGGGAUUUGGUUUGGGUUUCUGGGUAAGCAACUGUCACUCUAUUCAACUUAAAUUUAGUUCACUUUUUUUUUCCCCUUAAAUUUGUUUGAUGGCAUGAUUGUUUGAUCCUUUUACUAAAAUAGUCAUCAAUAAAUGUUGGAAUUUUUAGUAGUUUUGAUUUCUUUUCAAUUUUUAUUUUAUUUUAUUUUCAAGCCCUGAGUUUUGUAAGAACCGUCUACCCUGUGCAUACACUAGAUACUCCUAACAUUUCAAAUAAACUACCAGUGAGUUCUAUAACUUUACUAAUAUUUAUUUGCAACACAAGUUAAAUUGUUGGUUUUCUGUUUGUCAAUGCGUUAGCUUUUCUACUCUCUACCUUGCAUUAGAGGUUGCCAUAUCAGGUGAGUUCAAGUUCUACUUAGUACACAAGGUUGUUUUUAACAAAGUCUCUAAUUUGUGUGCUCUUCAUCAUGUCUUUUAUUUUGGUGGCAGUUAGGUGUCAUUAAUAUGAAGUGUGAGCUAGUUAAUGUAGAUGGCGUUUAUGAUUGAUUGCUGGUGGGGAAUAGUAUAGGGACAUGCUCCACAGAAGUAUAAUUGGAAUGGAUAAAAUAGGCUCUUUCAGAUAGUGUGUGAGCUUAGACUAAAGUGACAUGUCUGUUUUAUAUAAAUUCGUUUUUUCAAUUUGCAGAAGCUUUUCCCUCUCAUUGGGCAUAUAAACAACAUGUGUGGUUAAUUGUUUUGCCAUCUUUGUGGUCAUUUUUAUUCUUUCUAUGCAUGUUUUUGGUAGCAAUUUAACAACUGAUUGUAGAAACUUUUGUCUUUGUAUGUUGAUGCUUCUUAAUAGUGGUGGUGCUGUGCAUGUUCUUGGUUAAAUUAAUCGAGUACAUCCGUAAUUUGGAAUAGUUCUUUUCUAGAUUGGCAAGAAUUUUUCCAGUCAAGGAGAUUGUUGGAUACUUCUGCUAAUUGGAUCAAUGGAAGCGAUAACCAGUGAUUGGGGGUAUCUUUUGGCAGGAUUACAAGGACUUUGUUGCGGAUGGGAUUCAAACAGAACCUUUCAACUUGAACGAGGAAAGGGAAUGCAGAUGGAAAGUUUAUUAAAUAUGCCAUUAAAAAUGAAGUCAAGUUAAACAUGUUUAUCAUUUUUGGCAAUAAGCAUGUUCAUCAUUCAUGGGUAGUUAAUGCUAGAGUGUUUAUUGUACAAUUAGGUUCUUGGAGUUUACUGAUGAUUUGCUAUGCGUGUAGGUCAUAAAAUAUUUUUUAUACUGAAGCUUUCAUCUCUUUGAUUAAAAUCAGUUGAAUUAAGUAAUUCAGUCGAUUACUUAAUUCAUGAAAAGAGACAACCAAAAAACAACGUGGAGGUGGAGUCAAAUGCAAAAUCAUAGAAUCAGAAAUUAAGGUAAUCUUUAUACAUUUCGUUUGAUUUGUUUGAAUAGGAUGAUUUAUAACUGUUUCGGUAUUAUGUUUCUUCGUAUGCAAAUUACCAUAUGUAUUUGAGAGCACAGCUGAUGUAAGUUCUCUCUUUAUGCCUCUAUCUCUCUGUGCAUCGAUCUGUUUUCUAUCAAUUUUAUUGUUUUGUAUGCAUUAUGUUUAUCCUGAACCAAAGUUUCCUAAUCUUUUAUUUAUGAGUGUGUGCUGCUCGGUCUCCAAUGAUUAUUUAUAUUUCCGAGGGUAUAAUGGGAGUAAAAAUCCAUUCAACCUCCACCAAAUUGUUGGGAAUCCAAUUCAGAUGCUUAAGUGAUUUUUUUAAGGUUUGAAAUCGAAAAGUAGAGUGCAAAUUUCGUUCGUGAUGAAAAACCUACAGGAACAUUAGUUCUUAGCAUAUGUGAAACAUGUGUGAAUUUUAAUCACAAAGUGCAGUUGUACUCGAGACUGAGAGAGUGGCAUUUAAUUGUUCUCCUAUGGGAUGUGGUUGAUCUUACCCUUUAUAUGUUUAAUUUUAUAUAUACUUAGUUGAGUUAUUUUUUCCUUUUGGGAUUCAGGCCCAGACACUAUUGAUCCCUCAAAUUUUUCGCCAUGCAGCAAAAGGUGGUGACUCACGCAAAUAGCUGACUCCUUUUCAAUAGAAAGCAAUAGCCAAACUAAACCAGCUGGGAAAUAACGUUCACCAAUCACUGUCUUGGCACAUUUACUUAAGUGAGUACAUUGUUAUUCAUUCUGGCCGUCUUUCCAAGAUCAAGCCCCUUGCUCAAUUGGAUAAAGUUUGCAUCCUCAGUUGUGCCGUAUCGACAGGUUUGGAUUUUUGGGUGCCCCUCUCAUGUAGCAAAACAAAAAAUUAUCUUCAGUUGCUGUUAUUGGCCUUGCAGUAAGUUUGGACAAACUUUGUUGAUCCCAAAUUCUUUGUUCUAAUAAAUUGCAUUUAUUUUCUCUUCCGUAUUCAUAUUGAUACAUGCAUGAUCUUGGCUAUUGAAGGUGCAAGAUUUCUGGGGCGCCACUAAGUAUUGGGGUGGAGUCGGUGGACUUGAAUCCCAAGAGGUUUGACAAAGGUAUUUAUAAUUUUUUCCCAUUUUGAUUUACCAUGGUUUAACAGUAGUUUAGUGGGAAACCUAGAAAUAGAUUUUUGCUUAUAACAUUCUUUCCUUGGUGAUAACUAAGAAAUUCAGAGUAAAUGGAUUUGUGAAUUCGAAUGACAAUGACAAACCAGUGCAUGAGAUGAAAAUGAUUCGCUGUUCUUAUUAUCUGUGGGACAUGAAGUUCGUCUCAAAUUGUAGCUUCCUCGGUUUCUCAAAUCUCAACGAUCAAUUUGCAGUGUCCCUCAAGCGGUUUCUCUCAAACUCUUACGAUUUGCAUUUUGCUUCUCUCCCUACACUCUCAUCAGCACUAUCACUGCUCUCUCAAAUGAGCACUACAAGUUUAAGCCUAAUGCUGGUAUGUGAUUUCCACUCCAUCUCUUCCUUUUUUUUUUUUUUUUAAGGGUAAUUUUCAACCCUUUUGUACAAUCAGGUAAUUCUCCAUAUAAUUGAAUAAUACUGUUUUUUUUUCUCUCUCUCUCUCUCUCUCUUUUUUAGCUCCAUCAGUUCAUUUCCCUUGACAUCUGACUUAAGUAAAUGGGAAAUCAUUAAUUGGUAUGGAUCAAGAUAUAUUUCUUUUGUGUUUUUGGACAAUUUAAAGGGAUAUGCAAAUAGAUGGGAACAGUAGAAUUCAUUUUGAUAAAAAAAAGAAGAGAAAAUAACCUUGCUGGUUUAUACUUCUUGGUUGUUUGAUGAAGUUUGCACUGAGUUACAUAGAUUGACAAAUUUAGAUUUUUAUAUUGAAUUUUUACUGAUUCUUAUUCGUAAUAUAUAGCAAGAGAUAUCUUGGGCAAAGCAAAAAGAAUAUGCACCAAUUCAACAACACGAUGACCACGAAAAAAGAUGGUCAUUCCCAAACAAGCCAGACCAGAGAUUGAACAAGAAAAAUCAUAAACACAGAGCAGAUGGUUGUGAAUCCUUUGAUUGGUAAGAAAUUGUGUGUUGUUCAUGUGCAUUCUUCAUUGUUUGCACUUUCAAUUUAAGAGGAUGCAAUACAUUUUCAACGUUACCAUAUCGUUUCAGAUAAUCAAGGGAGGAUUUCCAUGAUGUGUUAUUAGGGUAGUUCAAGUGCAACAAUUUUGUGCCAGACAUUAGUUUGAAACAUUGAUAUUUUUCAGUUCGUUGACUGCCUUCACAUAUCUCUUCCAUUUUAAAUGAUUGAGAGCUUAAUAUAUUUGUGUUUAUACAAAAAUAAAAAAAUGGUUAUAAUUGGAAUAUUGCGCUUAAUCUUCUUUUGGUAUUUGUUUGAUUUUCUUUUGUUGGCUGUGUUUUGUAGCUCAUCAGAAACAGUAAGUAAAAGCUAUAACCAAAGGCUUAUGUAUUUUUUUCAAAUGGUUUUCAUCUAUUGUAGGUAAACGGGAGCUACUGUGCUCUUUAUGCAGUAAGGUUUACCAUCAGCUCUAGAUAUGAGCAUCAUGGCAAAGUUGAAGUAUGUGUAAAUGGCAAGAGUUUAGGCCUGAACUGGAAGUUGUGGCGAGUGUAACUAUAUUGGGACAUGUAAUGAGAAGAAAUGUUUAAGUAGCUGUGGGGAGGUAAUAAACAUGUUUACUUCUGGCCUAUGCUUACUUUAAGGUAAUUGCCAAACCGGUUAAUUACACACGAAGCUAAAAACUUUUGGCCAACUAACCUUAUCUUAAUGCUUUAAUACACUACUUUGUUUCCAAUCCUGCUUAAAAUUGAAGAAUGACUAUUCUUGCAGAGUUGUGUUGGACAAAACAACUAUCCUCGGGGUAGCUGUAGCACCUGAGAAUUUUGAAGGUGAUCUGAUCGGAGGCCAUUUGCAACUAAUGAUUCUCAAUUUCUCGAGUACACCAGUAAAGGUCCUCUAUCUUCAUUUCUCAUUGACAUUUUUUCUCCUUGAUAACAUAGUUCACAAGGCUUUUAGCCUGUUAUUAUGAUUACUGUUAAACAAUUAUUCUUAGAGAGAGAGAGAGAGAGAGAGACGGAUAUACCAACUGGUGCAUUUUGAAGGAGUACUAGAACAUCAUUAUUGAAAUUAGAUGACAGUGUUGGGUUCAUGGAUUUUGGAUUCGGCAUUCUCUGAAAUUAGCCAAGGAGUGGAAAUUUUGAUUGGUUUGAUUGGUAAUUUGGUAUGUUCUUUAAAUUCUAUAAUUAUGAGAGAAACAGAAAUUAUCGUAUUAUAUAUUUUAUCAGCAUUUAACAUUGGUGAUUGUGAACUAUCUUUGUAUGUUUAUCAAUUUAUUCUUUAUGAUUUUUAGUUUCCUAAAUGAAGUUUGACAUGUAUGAAAUUUGACAAUUGAUCUUCUUUUGCAUUCUUGCAUUUGAACUGCAAGUUAGUUUAUGCUAAAUGUUGUUUAAUAAUUUAGAGAAAAGGUUUCAAUUGGUUGUCAUGCAAUGCAGCUGCAAAUUUGAUGAUUUAGAAUUAGCUUAUCCAUCUUCCAUACGAUUUCUAAUCCCGCAGCAACGCGCGAGCAGUAAUUUCUAGUAUAACUGAAACAUUGUUCAUAAGUAGUGUGUUUCUUUUUUUGCCCCUGUUAGGUUUUUGUUAUUACAGGUAUGCCAUUGUCUUACAAACUAUAUAUGUUGAUUCUUUUUUGUAUUUUUUCUUUCUUCUCUCUCUCACUCCUCUUCGUGACUCUGCUAGCGACGACAGCGAGUUGUUGUCGUCCGAACGUCAGUGAGUCGGACCUCAUCGUUACGGCUAGUCUCAUCUCAGGAACAAGAAACAGUUGUUGCAUGCCUCAAAUUGUUACUGUUUCGAUGAGGGUUUUCGAACUUAACCCCAAUUGUAUUUCGAUCUCUCUCUUUCUGCAUUUUCGAUAGGUUACUAUUUUUCACGUUCUAUUGAUUAUGAAUUCUGAUGUUUUGCGUUCAAUUUGGGUUUUUGGAAUUUUGGAAUUUUGAAUUUGUACCUUAUUUUCCAAAAUUAUUCCCUAAUUUCACAUUUUUCAUUUUGUACAGCCGUGGGUGAGACACAUAAUUCUACAACCUCUUCAAGGUGUACACGCAGCUAGGAAAAUUUCAGCGAGAAAAAUCCCCAAAAACUCCUCCUCCUGGUCUGUCAUUGAUAUCUCAGCUCUAUCUCUCUCAAUCUUGAGGUACCUGAUGUUGGCUUCCGUUUUCAGUCUGAAAUAUAUAAUGAUUUAUUUGAGUUUGCUGGGAUUUAUUCAAUUCAACCGGGGUGGGUUUUUCAGUUGUUUGGAUUUUUUUUUAUUAAUUUAGGUUUCUGGGUUUUUUUUUGUUGGUAUGGUUCAUACGGAAUGAAAAAUUUAUGCGUUCUUUUGAUUUCGAGGCAUGCAUCAAGCGUCCAUCUUUUUUUUUAUUUUUUUUAUGAAAUCAUGUUCAGUGAACUUAUUUUCUAGGGGAUUGAAUUACCCAGAUUACCCAUAUAUAUAUAUAUAUAUUAGCCAGUCCUUAUGACCCAUAUUCAUCAAUGCCAUCACCUUCAACCCCAAAAACACCUAGCUUUGCUAAAUCAUCCCCUUAUGUCAAGAAACAUCCUAUGAAACAACUUUUUUCUAUCCCUCAUAAUAUCAAUAAACGGCAAUCGCCAAACAAAAUAGUAAACGACUAAAAUAUUUAACAACCUUGGAAAGGUUUAAUAAGUCUAAGAAAGAAAUCACGGUUAAAGAUCUUCAAGUUAAAGUGAAUAAAAUAAAAGAUGAAAUUAAAUUUUUAAAAUCAGAAAAUAUAGAAGUUCGUACUCAUCUUAGUGAAAUCCAAACCCAUUCAUUAAUAAAUCCCCAAAAAGAAGAACUUGCUAGUUCUUCCUCCAGUUCUGAGUCAGGAUCUCAAUCAACUGAGAACCUAGUUUUAAGUCUUUUACAUAAGAUAAGAAUUCAGAAAUGGUAUUCUAAAAUUACAAUAGUAAUAGAAGAUUUUCAUUUGGAAACAAUUGUUUUGAUUGAUUCCGGCGCAGAUUUGAAUUGUAUUCAAGAAGGGUUAAUACCUACUAAAUAUUUUCAUAAAUCAACUGAAAUACUUAGUGCUGCUAAUCAAUCUCCUAUGCAUUUGAAAUACGAAAUACCUAAAGCGCAUGUUUGCCAAAAUAAUGUUUGUUUUAAAACCCCAUUUGUUUUGAUCAAAUAUUUCUGAUUCAAUUAUAUUAGGACUUCCAUUUUUAGCACUUAUAUAUCCUUUUAAAGUUUAUCAUAAUAAAAUUACCACUAGAGUCUUAGGACAGAAGGUCACAUUUGAGUUCUGCCUGGAAACAGACCUUAAAAAACUAAGACAUUUACAGAAAAACAAUAUUUCAAAAACUAUUAGUAUUAUUACUAAUAAGUCACAACAUAUUAAUUUCUUAAAAGAAGAAAUUAAUCACAAAAGAAUUAAAGAACAGCUAACAAAUAAGUCUUUGUUAGAAACUAUUAAUAAUUUUCAAAAGAAACUUAUUAAUGAAGUAUGUUCUGAUAUCCCCAAUGCUUUUUGGCACCGAAAACAACAUAUUGUUAAACUUCCUUAUAUGAAGGAAUUUAGUGAGUCUAAAAUACCUACUAAGGCUAAACCAAUACAAAUGAGUCAAGAAGUCAUGGAAUUCUGCAAAACAGAAAUCCAAGAACUUCUUAAUAAAGGUAUCAUUAGGAAAAGUAAGUCACCAUGGUCAUGCCCUGCAUUUUAUGUUCAGAAAAAUGCAGAAUUAGAAAGAUGAACUCCCAGAUUAGUUAUUAAUUACAAACCUUUGAAUGAAGUCUUGGAAUGGAUUAGGUAUCCAAUCCCCAACAAAAGAGAUUUAAUCAAAAGGCUUUCUCAAGCAGUUAUUUUUUCAAAAUUUGAUAUGAAAUCAGGCUUUUAUAAAUGAAUCUGAUAAAUACAAAACAGCUUUUGUAACUCCUUUUGGACACUAUGAAUGGAAUGUAAUGCCUUUCGGCUUGAAAAAUGCACCAAGUAAAUUUCAAAAUAUUAUGAAUGAAAUUUUUAAUCAGUAUAGUCAUUUUUUGAUUGUUUACAUUGAUGAUGUGCUUAUUUAUUCAAAGUCUAUAGAUGAACACUGGAAACAUUUGCAUUUGUUUGCUAGAAUAAUUAAGUCCAAUGGAUUAGUUGUUUCUGCUGUUGGAACCUUAUUGGACUCUAAACUUAUCUCAUUCGGGUUUUGUGUUUAGUGAAAACUGAGAACAGUUAGAGUUAAUAGGUAAACAAACUUCUUUCCUUUAAAGUAGGACAUUAAGGGUUAAACGUGUUGGUGAGUGGAUAUCCCACGUUGGAAUGUAAAUGAGCGUGCAGUUUUGCCAAGCAGUUUCUGUGAUAGGUGGAAACGGUUGUGGUUACACGUUUAUAAAAGGACAAGUCCCUGCUCAAGAGGAACACGUUCAUAUAUCAGAAAAUCUAGCCCUAUUCUAGAAAGAACAUCAGGUCCUCCUUGAGUAGAAGAUUUCCUUUUCUUCCCUGCGAUCAAUGGCUUCACAAGGUCAGAACUACAAUCACAGUAUUUGAUGCAUGUUCGUAAUCUAUGUUUGCGGCUAUAUUAAAACUCCAACAUUUGGUAUCAGAGCGUAUAAUAGCUCUUCAUAGAUUCUUUUAUGCGUAUAAGGAAGUUUGCUUAAUUGAUUUAUUAGUCUUUUCGCGUUUUCCUGAUGAUUUGGUUUCUUGAGUAUCACAAGUACAGGAAUGGAUCUUGCGCUAAGAUGAUUUAAGUUCCAACCUUAACAUCAUUGAAGGAUACAUGCUGAUAAAACCAUUUAAAACAAAUGUUUGUAAAGCUUUACCAAAGUGAAGUUUUUUUUUUUUUAAGAAAUUUUGUUUAUAAGGACGGUGGCAUGGUUGUGUUUUUAUAAGUCAUGACAUGAUAACGUACUACUCCAAAGAGAAGAGGGUUAACUGGUUGGAUUUGUGAAUCAGUACAUAGGUUUUUAAUGAAUGUUUGAGCCAACUAUUUUCUUAUCCAAAGAUUUGAAAUAUGUGUUGUAACUUAAGUAUUUGUUAAAAGGGCUAUGUAAUCAGGAUGCAUAUGGUUUUAUGUGUAUAAAAAAAAAAAAAAAAACUGCAGCAAUGUAUCUUGCCCAAAGGUGUUGCAUAUACUGUGAUAGUUGUAACAUUGUCUACAAUGUUGUUUAACUUUUAUUUGGUUUGACAGUGAAUGCGAAUGCACUGAGCUUUUCCUCCAUUGAACCACUUAACGGAGGGAAUUUCAAAAAGUGGAGACAGGAUGUAGAGAUCGUGCUUGGCUUGAUGGACUAUGACCUUGCACUGAGGGAGGAUGAACCACCUGCUGUGACAGCGAACAGCACUACAGAGCAAAGAUUGAAGUCUGAGAAAUGGGAGAAGUCAAACCGAAUGGCUCUCAUGGUCAUGAAAAGGUCCAUCAGUGAGGCUGUGAGAGGUGGCAUACCAUCCUGUGACAAAGCUAAAGCUUUUCUUGAAGCUGUUGGAGCAAAAUUCAAGAUGUCCGAGAAAGGAGAGAUGGCGAACCUGAUGACCACACUGACUUCUCAGAAGUUCGAUGGCAAAACGAGUGUCCGGGAGCAUAUACUGAAAAUGGUGGAGGCUGCCGCCAAGCUCAAGGAUCUGGAGGUACCAAUUGAUGAUUCCUUUGUUGUUCACAUGGCUCUCUCAUCCCUUCCUGAGUCAUUUGAACAGCUUAAGGUGUCAUACAAUACUCAAAAGGAGAAAUGGAGUCUGGAUGAGAUGAUUUCUAUCUGUGCACAAGAGGAGAGCAGGCUGAAUCGUGCAAAAGGUGCAGUGGUGAACCUUGUUGACUAUAAUGCAAGUAAGAAUCCUAUGGUAAAUGCUGGUAAGCAGACUAAGCCUUUUAAUUCCUCCACUACUACUGCCAAUGUUGCUUCUUCCUCUAGAGGACCUCAAAACUUUAGGCCAAAUUUGGAGAAUGUGAAAUGCUAUUUUUGCAAACAAUAUGGACACUUGAAAAGGGACUGCGAGAAACGUAAAAAAUGGGCAGUGAAGAAAGGAAAAGGUACAAAUAUUUUCAAUGUUUUUGUUUGUUUUCAAACUUUACUUGUUGAAGCCCCUCCAAAUACUUGGUGGUUUGACACUGGUUGUUCGGUGCAUAUUACCAAUUCCUUGCAGGGAUUUUCAAGAAAAAUGUCAACAAGUAAUGAAGUCUUUGAAGUGCAUGUGGGCAAUGGGAAUAAAGUGGCUGUGGAAGCAAUAGGCAACCUCAAGCUCAAGUUGUCGUCAAGCUUUAUUUUAGAACUUUCAAAUGUACUUUAUGUUCCUACUUUAACUAGGUCUUUAAUUUCUGCUUCAAGACUUGUAAAAGACGGUUUUGCUUUCGUUGGUGAUGAUGAAAGCAUAAGGAUCUUUAUGAAAAAUAAUUUGAGUCAAUUGCUGGGCGUUUGCUUUUUAGACAAUGAUUUAUGGAAAUUAGAUUGUGUUGUCAUGAAUGAUUUGAGUUGUUACACUCUAGACUCUUCUGUUCGAAUGAAAAGGCCCUUAUCAAAUGAUCUUUCUUCCAUGCUUUGGCAUAGAAGGUUAGGUCAUAUUUCAAAGAAAAGACUGCAGCGUUUGGUGCAUGAAAAUAUUUUGCCAGCCUUGGAUUUUAAUGACUUGCAUGAGUGUGUGUGGAUUGUUACAAAGGCAAGUUAACUAAAACCAAGAAAAAGGACGCAACAAGAAGUCAAAAACUGUUAGAAAUAAUUCAUUCGGAUGUUUGUGGUCCUUUUCCAGUUAAAACAAUCUGUGGAAAUAUUUAUUUUGUGACUUUCAUUGAUGAUUUUUCAAGGUAUGGAAGUGUCUUUCUAAUUUCAGAAAAAUCACAAGUCCCAAAUUGUUUUAAAAUUUUUAAAACAGAAGUAGAGAACCAAUUAAACACUACAAUUAAGGUUUUGAGAUCGGAUAGAGGAGGAGAAUACUUUGGCAGGUUCACCGAGGCUGGGCAACAAAAGGGACCGCUGGCUAUGUAUCUAGAAGAGUGUGGCAUCCAAGCUCAGUACACCACACCUGGGACGCCUGAUCAAAACGGUGUGGCGGAGAGGAGGAAUAGGACAUUGAUAGAGAUGACAAGAAGCAUGAUGAGCAGGUCAGUUCUACCUCAGUUUCUUUGGGGAGAAGCAUUAAAGAUGGCAAACUAUAUAGUGAAUCGUGUCCCUAGCAAAUCAGUGAGUAAGACACCCUUUGAACUUUGGACUUCGAGGAAACCUAGCAUCAAUCAUCUACAUGUUUGGGGUUGUAGGGCAGAAGCAAGAAUGUAUAAUCCACAUGAAAAGAAACUUGAUUCAAGAACAGUGAGUUGUCACUUUAUUGGCUUUCCUGAGAGGUCUAAAGGAUACAAGUUUUAUGCUUCACACUUGCAGACUAGGGUUUUUGAGACUAACAAUGCAAAAGUUCAUCGAGGAAGAAGUAAAUGGUGAUGAAAAUGCAAGCAGUUUUGUUUUUCAGGAUCUUGGGAAUCCCACUGAUGUGUCGAGCAAUAAUGAUGAAGGGAGUCAAAGCCUUGGAGAAACUAUAGUUUUUGAAACUAGUUUCUCGCAGCCAUCACGUGAAAAUAAUGCUGCAGAGGGUUAUCAAAUAGAUGAACCACAACAAGAUGGACCAAUAGUUGAACCUAAUGCUAAUGAGUUACUAAUUGCCUUGGAAGCACCAAGAAGAGCCUCACAAAGAAUUCGCAGAUCGGCUAUUCCAGAAGAUUAUAUCACUUACUUUUGUGAAGUUGAGCAUGAUGAAGGUAUAAUGACUGAUCCAGCAACUUUCAUGCAUGCAAUUAAAAGUGAAAACUCUUUAUCAUGGCAGCGAGCAAUGGAAGAGGAGAUAAGGUCUAUGCAUUCUAAUCAGGUGUGGACCCUCGUAGAGAAGACAGAAUCUAUGAUACCCAUUGGAUGCAAAUGGGUGUACAAAACUAAGAGAGAUUCGAAAGGGAAGGUUGAAAGGUUCAAAGCGAGAUUGGUGGCUAAAGGCUUCACUCAAAGGGAAGGGGUAGACUAUAAUGAAACAUUUUCUCCCGUGUCGUCCAAGGAUUCCUUGCGGAUAAUCUUAGCACUCGUGGCACACUUUGACUUGGAACUACACCAAAUGGACGUCAAAACGGCAUUUCCAAAAAUGACUUGGAGAGGAAAACCAUGUUGAACAAACCCUAUGCUUCAUUGGUAGGAAGCUUGAUGUAUGCUCAGGUUUGUACAAGACCUGACUUAGCUUACUCAAUUAGUGUACUUGGGAGGUAUCAAUCAAAUCCUGGAGAACAACAUUGGGUGGCAGCUAAGAAGGUAAUGAGAUAUUUGCAAAGAACAAAAUCACACAUGCUUGUGUAUGGAAAGAGUGAAAACCUAGAGGUGGUAGGGUACUCUGAUUCGGAUUUUGCAGGCUGCACAGAUGACAGAAGGUCCACAAGUGGUUAUCUGUUCUUCAUAGCUGGAGGAGCAAUCUCGUGGAGAAGUGCAAAACAGAAGACGCUUGCGACAUCGACCAUGCAAGCUGAAUAUAUUGCUGUUUUUGAAGCCAAACAGAAAGCACUGUGGAUCAAGGAUUUAGUCAGUCUAAUGGGAAUCGUGGACAGUAUUUCAAGACCAAUUGUUAUACACUGCGAUAACAAAGCUGCUGUAUUCAUCUCUAAGAACAACAAGCAGUCUUCUGCAAAUAGACUGAUGGACAUCAAAUAUCGAUCUGUCAGAGAGGAUGUCAAAAGUGGUUUGGUGGUAAUUGAGCAUAUUGACACUGGUUUGAUGAUAGCAGAUCCCCUCACCAAACCAUUACCAGUUGCAGUGUUCAAGCAGCAUGUUGCAAAAAUGGGGGUACUGGAGUCUUUUGAUUCCGUGACUAAGUGGGAGUAAAACUUAGUCUUGUCUUAUUUGCUUUGAAGUUGUUUAUUGCAAUAGAUGAAUUCUAAAUUUAUUUCAUGUACUGCUUUUGAUUUGAGCUGGUAAUCAUUAAUGAGACUUGGCUGAAAAGCUAUGAUCAUAUAAGUGAUAUUUCUGCAUUAAAGCUUGAUUGUUUUAAAAGCUUUUCAGGUGGCUAUUUGAUCCUACUUUUCAGCAUGCAGAAAAGUUGAAGUUGGAUUAUUGCUAACUAAGGCAACGUUAAGGUAAUGGGAAAAAUAGUGGGAGCAUACAGUAAAGCUCUCUUAUAGCUAACAUGUUUAAGCAUCAUACGUGAAUAAUUGAAUGUUAUAGUGAUUUCAGAGUGGCUGCACCAUUUUGUGCAAACUUUUCUGAAGUUCUAUGACUUGAGUCAUUCAUGGUGGAUGUGUGAGGAUGUGUUUAUUUAUUUAUUAACUCAUGUGAUCACUAAGGAACUGUUGUCAGUAGAAACAUUGCUCAAAACAAAGACGAUGAGUUUAGGUCCAAGUGGGAGAAUGUUGGAACCUUAUUGGACUCUAAACUUAUCUCAUUCGGGUUUUGUGUUUAGUGAAAACUGAGAACAGUUAGAGUUAAUAGGUAAACAAACUUCUUUCCUUUAAAGUAGGACAUUAAGGGUUAAACGUGUUGGUGAGUGGAUAUCCCACGUUGGAAUGUAAAUGAGCGUGCAGUUUUGCCAAGCAGUUUCUGUGAUAGGUGGAAACGGUUGUGGUUACACGUAUAAAAGGACAAGUCCCUGCUCAAGAGGAACACGUUCAUAUAUCAGAAAAUCUAGCCCUAUUCUAGAAAGAACAUCAGGUCCUCCUUGAGUAGAAGAUUUCCUUUUCUUCCCUGCGAUCAAUGGCUUCACAAGGUCAGAACUACAAUCACAGUAUUUGAUGCAUGUUCGUAAUCUAUGUUUGCGGCUAUAUUAAAACUCCAACAUCUGCCUCUAAGAUUAAACUGUUUCAAACGAAUGUUAGAUUUUUAGGGUACAAUAUCCACCAAUCUACCAUUCAACCCAUAGAUAGAGUUAUCCAAUUUGCAGAUAAAUUCCCAGAUCAGAUUACUGACAAAACCCAACUCCAAAGAUUCCUUGGAUCAUUAAAUUAUGUCUGCAAAACAUGUUUUACAAAAAGAUGUUCAAAACAUUGCAUCAAAACAGAUUUUUGCACGAUGGCAAGCCAUAUUAAGCAUUUUUUUAUUUUGAUAUCGAGUACAUUAAAGGCAGCCAUAACUGCAUUCCAGAUUUUUUAACCAGAGAAUUUUUGCAGGGAAAGAAUGUCAGGAAAGAACAACAAUAGUAGCCAGAGGAGGCUUCCAGCCACUCUGCCAUCUCCACCACCAAAAAAGGAAUCUAUUCCCAAUUCCUCAUCAUCGGCCCUAGCCAUACCAAACAGAUUUGUUCCCUUAGGAUCUCCAUUAGGAUCAACCGUUGGCCAAUUCCGACCAAACUACCAAACGGCAUUAGCCAGUCCUUAUGACCCAUAUUCAUCAAUGCCAUCACCUUCAACCCCAAAAACACCUAGCUUUGCUAAAUCAUCCCCUUAUGUCAAGAAACAUCCUAUGGAACAACUUUUUUCUAUCCCUCAUCAUAUCAAUAAACGGCAAUCGCUAGACAAAAUAGUGGUAAUUGCAUUAGCAUCUUUAUAAUCUUCAUUAUAAUUCUCACCUUCAAGCUAUAUAUAUAUAUAUAUAUAUAUAUACUGUUUGAGAAGGCAAUUAAAAUUUUACUCAUUUCUAGAAUAUGACAAAAAACAGAUUGUAUUAUUUUGUUUUAUAAGAAAGUAUAUUACCAUCAUUAUGUCAUUGGCUAUUCUUUGGAAAAUUUGUUUGCAAGUUCUUGAGGUUAGCAAUUGUAAUUAAGAUAACGAAAAGAUUUGGACUGUCAAAUACCUAACAAUUCAAAGAAAUAUACUAUAAACCCAACAACAUUCUUAUGUUCUAUUUAACAGGUUAUUGAAUGACACCAUAUUUCAAAAAUAUUUUAAAAUGAGUUGAGGUAAUGGAUGCCUUGAAAAUAAUUAGACCCUUGAGAUUUUCUUUUUAAUGUUUAGUCCGGUUCAUCUCUUCUUUUUCUGUAUGAAGGGAUACAACAUUUGUGGCUACUUGAGAGCUUAAAAUAAGCCUAGGAGAGCUUUUAUGUUAGAUCUCUAGUUAUGAUUGUAAUGAAAAAGUUUGUUAUAUGAUUGUGUCUCAAUUGACUUAGUGCCAUUGAAAAGGGAUCAACUUUUUAUCAUUGUUUUAAGUAUGCUAUAGACUGGCAAAUAGAACUUUGUUCUACGUCGCUUUAGAAACAUAUAUAUACAUGUAAUCACUUGAUUCACCUAUAUUAUGAGGUAUUUGAUAUGGAGCAGACACAAUCAUAUGACAUUGUUGUACAAUUCUUAAGAAUGUCUAAAACUGAAGAAUUUAUAUGAUUUGUAUAUAUAUGAAAACUUGGUUUUGAUAGGAACCAAAAGUUUGGCCAUAAUAAUUUGUCGUUACAAUAAGAUUAAUCAUUCAAUGGGGUUGUGUUUAAUUUUUUUGGAGUAUAAAUUAAAGGGUUGAGCUUGAUGGCUUUACCCUUUUCUUUUUUGUCUUUUCUAUGCUUUGCUUUCUCUAAUUUUUAAAUUUAUUUUUUUGCUAAUUAGUGUGAGAAAAUGGCUUCAAAAUUGGAAUUUCCAAUAUCUGGAAAAAGGAAAACAGGAAGAGAACACCAAUAGUGGUGACGAUGGAGAAUCCCUUCUUUGCGGUGGAGACGGUCUCUGUGCAACAUUCAGCCCAGUUUAUAAGAGCAGGGAUCAAAAUGAAGAACCAAUGACAUGGGGAUUUGUUUAAUUUUAUCAAGUUUUGUACUGAGGUAAAACUCCCCCCAUUUAACAUAGUUUUAAAUGCUGCAUGUGUGUAAAUAAGAUUGUGAGUAUGGUUGUAUAUAUGUAGUAGUAAAAUUAGAAACAUUGUUGUAAUUAUGUGUAACUAGAGUUGUAAACCCACGGCAUCGUGUGAGUUUUUUUGCUUGUAGGAUAUGGUUUGGCAGUUCUACUGCCAUUGUUCUAAUAUUCACAUCUUUUACAUUUGAAUUCCUAACUGCCCUUUUAUUAACAUAAUUAGUUACAAAAAGCAAAAGUGAGCCACAUAGUAUUCAGCAAGAAAAAAAACAAAGGCAUUUCCAAACAGAAGAUUAAAUAUUACACAACAGUGAGUCACAUGCGUACUCGAAGGGGGGAAGGGGAAAGGCUAUUGUCUUCCGGCGGCGAAUUAGGGACGCAUGCGCACAGUCCAAAGCCAAUGCAUAGGAUGGUAUGUUUUGACCAUUCAAGUCCCUAGACACACAUGUUGUAAACUGAAAUAGAAAGGAACGAAGUUACCCGAAAUAUGUAGAAGCCUUGAAUGGUGAAUGAAUCUUGGGAUGGGUUGCGGACUAAGUCGUUCUCUUUAAGACGUUUCGCGGCUCUGCCCAAAGUGUGCAAGCAGUUCACAAAUAUCAUGUCGUCCCAUGAUAAAACAGCCUAGAACCUUCUUCUUCUGAUGAGGUUCUUCCUUGCACACCGGAAGAAACCUCGAACUCACACCCUUUUCAAUAUGUUGCUUUCAGAACUCAAUUUUUGUUUUGAAAAUUAUAAAAACUAUUGUUUUCUUUUUCCUGCACCUUCCUUCGUACAGGGGAUCAAUAUAUAUAUAGAUAUAUGAAAUAGACGUUGCAGUGCUAAAUAAUUUAGGGGCUUAAAAACUGCAAGGAAUUAAAGCAGAAGAAAUCAAAACGUACGAAUCAACAACGGAACAAAAUUAAGUACAUGGACUUGAUCUUUAUCUUCAGAUAAGGAAUCUCAUCUUUAAGAUGAGAAGCUUUCUCACGUUUCUUUUUAUGGAAAUAAAUCAAUUGUCAAAUCAUAAGUUAAAAAUAAAUUUAUAAGGUUAAUUACUAUUUACGUUUUAUAUUUAAUAUUUGUAAUAAAUCAAAAUAUAAAUAUAUUUAAAAUAUUCGGAAGCCUCGAGAGUUGAGAUGCAAUUGAUUAUGUGACCUAAGUGCAAGUCCACCUGUUGUAAAAGGGUAAGGUCAAGAGCUCGAGAAUUGCCCUUCAACCUCAAAAUGCAUUUCUAGCGCCCAAAUUGGAGAGGGCAAUUUGUGGACCAUGCAAAGCCCGCCCAAUUGCCCGAGCAAUUUAAGUCCGACCUUGCGCCAGCAGACGUUCUCCCAUUUUUGUGUUGGUAUGUGUAAAACACGCACAUCAUAAGCGAGUGGGCUGACAACUUCUUAUAUCUUUUGGUAAAAUCACAUGUACGUAAGCGUGCACAUUACAAAAAUAAUUACUCAAUUUGCUUUGGCUUUAAAAUCCUAAAAGGCUUCUAUCUUUUAGUAAAAAAAGGCCAAAUACCAAAUUCCAUGCCAAAUGUCUAAUUAGCCCAAGUUUCCACAUGGCAUGAAGAUUAGCAAUUGAGCUCUAGCAACAGAUAUAUGAAGUAGAAUUCUCUUCAUUCCUAUUUUUAUCCCUUUUUCUUCGAGUAUUUAUUAAUAAUAACCAAAAUUUAACACUCAAUUUUAUAAAUGUCACAUUUUAUGAAAACUUUCAAAUAUAACAAAAAAACUCAUGUGAAUAGACCUAAAUACCCAAAAAAAAAUCCAAAAACUCAUUCAUACAUAAAAGGAAAACACUUGAAAAGAUCUCCUCUAUAUCGUUGUUAAAAGUGCGAGACGGAGAGGGGAGUUGGUAAACGUCGUGGAACAGUUCCGAGUGUUCAACAACCAACUAAUUGAGUACAAACUUGAAAAUUUGACUCUCAUGUUUGAAACUCAAAUGCUACCGUUGAUACAAUAUCAUCCCAGUAGAAUAUGCUUUACAAUCAUCUUAGCACACAUGAUAUUAGUUGAGGUUUCUAACUCAUUGAAAUCAAAUGGCAAUCUAAUUGUGCUUACAAAUUUCUCUAAAAUUUGUUGGAUAACAGUUUAAAACAACAACAGUUUUCACAGGAGGAUCUUUCCAAUUUAAUUCUUGCUUCUCUUCGCCGCAAAUAUAAUUAAUCUAUAACCCCUAUUAGGAAGUUCUGAAUUAUACCAGACCUCACAAACCAAUCAAAACUAAUUGGGUGAGGGUUUUGCCACUUAAUUAUGUCUAUUUGGUUUUAAUUUUAAGGGUAUUUUUAUCUAUUUAAGUGGAUUUUCUGUUAUAUUUGAAUUUUUUUUAAUAAAAAGUGAUAUUUAUGAAAUUGGGUGUUAAAUUUUGGCUAUUAUUUAUAAAAUACUCAUUUUUCCGCUCCUGUCACAGUUUUCUUUUUGUCUUUCUCUCUCUAUUAAAAAAAUUAAUAGAAGAUGGUGGUGUGGCUUUGUUUGUACCAUACUUAGGGCCUCCGUAUUUAGAUCUCGUAUAAAUACUCCGGGGACUCAAAUGUAAUUAUGUAAUAAAUGAAGGGGCAAAUAUGUAAUAAGUGAAGAGCCCUUAUUCUAUAAAAGGGACUCCUCACCCUCACAAUUAGGAGGGGCUCUCAUAUUCAGAGCAAGCCCCCUCACCCUCUCAAAGCCUCACUCACAUUACAGAGGCUUUCUCCCUCACAAUCCUCUUAGAAAAAUACAAUAUCAGUGUGGACAUAGCCCAAACAUUGGGGUAAACCACGAUACAUCUUGUGUUAUUCACUUUCUUGCAGAUUCACGGUCGGAUUUACAUUGUUCCAAGACCUCCGGUUUUGUGCAUCAACAGGCUUAAUCAUAACUGUUUAAAUAGGAGGGGAGGGAAGGGGAGAGAGAUUAGGAGGGGAGAGAAUCUUCCUCCCAUUUUGUUGGCACUGAGAGACCGAAAAUUGCCCUUCAACCUCAAAUUGCAUUUCCAGCGGACCAUUUUAUAGUGGGCAAUUUACCCGAGCAAUUUUAGUCUACCCUUACGCUGUCUGGCGUUCUCUUGGUGUGUGUAAAAUAUGCACAUUCUGAGUGAGUAGGUCGACAACUUCUGAUAUCUUUGACAAAAUGACAUGUACGUAAUUGUGCACAUCACAAAAAAUACUUACUCAAUUUGCUUUUUCUUGAUAACCCUAAGAGCAGUUCCACCGGGGAACCUUUAGGCCGACACCCAACCAAUCCACUCCAGCCUAGCAGAUAGGCUAGCACCCAGCCCAAGCUGGUCUCUAGGCCAGCUCAAAAUGUGCUAAGCUCUUGCCCGACCUACAUGACACCAUGCGAUACCGCCACGCCUCCCUCGACCCGAAUUCAACUCCCUGGGUGUGGAGCACCUCCUUGGCAAGCUCCGGCGAGGAGACGACGACCAGGUUGAGUUGCCCCAUGCGGAGGAGGAAGCAGUCGUUGAAUUUCUUGGCGAGGUUGGUGGGGCGAUGAUCACGGCGACGAUGGCGAUGGCGACGACCGAUGGUGAGGCGAUGACUGCGGAGUUUUGAAAUGGCAAUGCCGACAAUCACGGCAACAAAGAGACCCAAAAGGGUCUUUUUUAGGAGGAGGAGGUCCAUUUUUGGGGGAGUGUUGGUGUGGUGAGUAGUUUGGUAGGCGUACAAAGCGAAAUGUAGAGAGAGUUCCGGUGGGAGAGUGAAAAGUGGGAAGAAGAAUAAGGGAUAAUGUUAGAAAUUAGAAAUUAAAUUAUUAUUUUAUAAUAAAAAUUAAUAAUAUUUUAAUAAAAUUGACUAGGCUAUUUAGUUUUAGGGGUGGAGAUGCAUUUGGCCUAUUACUGUUCAUUGGGGUCUAUCACUAUUCACUGAGUGAAUUAAAUGGGCUGGGUGCUGGCGCGUUUUUUAAGGGUGGAAUUGCUCUAAUAGGCUUCUUAAAUAACUCCAAAUACCAAAUACCAAGUACCAAAUUUCAUGCCAAAUGUCUGAUUAACCUAAGUUUCCACAUGGCAUGAAGAUUAGCAAUUGGACUUUGGGAACAGACACCUCGCUGGCAUUGAGAGACUUUUGAGAUGCCAAAAUCUAUUGCUUUGCACAUUGACGUGGAGAGAUUUUUCAGUGUGGUUAGUACACAGGGUGGUACACCAUGUGCCAUGCACUAUACAAAUUGUGAGAUAUAUGUGUUAAAAAGUUAAUAACUUAAAAAAUAUAAUUUUCCACCACUUAUAUAAAAACACGUGAUGUACCACCCGUAUUCCAGUCACAAUGAAAAUUUUCUCAUUGACGUGGGCAAUUUCAAGCGCAUUGAUAGGAACAUAUUUAUACGACUUAGUUAGCUUGUUUUCUAGCAUUUUCAUAGCUAGUUUCUACUUAUUAGAGUGUUUUAAGCUAUUUUCAUGUGUUUUCAGGUUCAAAUGACAACGUUGGCAAGAAAGUGCAAUUUGUAGCAUUUUAGAGCAGUUUUGGGCCAAUAAUGGAUAGCACAUGUAUGGAGCAAGGUGGAUGGAUGUUUUUGAAGUUCAAGAGGCUAGAAAUAUGUUGAAGAGAUGAAGAAAAUAAAGUCGAGACAAAGAAGAUAAGGAAUUAACUAAAAGGAAGGAACAUUAUCCAAAACCUUAUCUUAUCCAAACUAACCUUAUCUUAUCUUAUCCUAUCCUAAUCUUAUCAUACCUUAAUUCCAGCUGCAAGGUGGAAUCAAUUGCACAUUAAAUCACCUAAAUACCCCUUUCUAAAAGCCUUAUCCUUUGCCUAAAAGAGUGUUGCACCCUUUCAUCCUUAAGCUUCUAGAAAUCUGCCAAAUAUUCCAUUCUAGAAGCUUUGUGCCAAAUUUCCUAGUCCUAUUCCCUUAGGAUUGUGUAAUCCUUCUCCUCCACUACUUUGUGCCGAAACCCUAGCCUAUAAAUACAUAUUUUCUCACCAUAAUUCACACAACACACAAUAGAGAAAUCAGAGAGGAAAAUAUACAUGAGUGUCGCAAGUUUCUGAGUUCUUUCAGAGACUUGUGUCAAGCUUUGCAAGGGAGGAAGGAGGACUUGUGCCGUGCCUAGCAGCUAAGGAUUGUGCCAAAUCUGCCAUUGGAGUGCUUGAGUGUUUUUUGGUUCUUUCUAUCCUUAGUUUUAGUCCAAUGUUUAGUUUAAUUUGGUUUUCAAUUAUGUUGAACAUGUGGAACUAAUUUCGUUUUAGUUAGAGGAGAAUUCGAAGCCAUGAACAUGUAUGUGAUAUGAAUUGAGUACUUCCAGUUAUGAUUUCAUAAAUCGUGAAUGCAAGUUUGAUUGAUAACUUGUUCUUGUGUGUUGAUUAAGGAGGCCUACUUAGUUUGCAUGCAUGAAUUUGAUGCUAGAGUAUAAGGGAAUUUCACCUAAUCGUUAUGAACUUAUAUUCACAAGUAGUAAAAGUCACUAAUCAUGAUUGUGUUAAGUGAAUUAUUGGCAGGAGUAUCAUGCAGUUCAUAGUUAUGAAUGCCUUGUCAAUGCUUAUAAUUUUCAUAGAACUUAAUGAUCUUUGAUACGUAUCUCUAUUAUGCAGUUCAUGUAGGGAACUUGAUAAGAAUAAUUUGGUUGCGUCGCUGAGUCCAAUUCAAUGAAUUUAGGAAAAUCUGAAAGUUAAUUUGUGCUUCUCAUGAUUAAUUUGGGGCAUUGUCAUUAAUGGUUUAUUGGAAGAAUAACUAGAAAUCGAUUUGUAUGCAUGUGUGUCAUGUGUGGAGAAGGACCCUCUAACUAGCCAUUCACCCUUUAAAUCACCAAUUUCGUCCAAAGUAUUUAGAGUCUUUAAAUCUGUUUAGUUUUAGUCUUAAAUUCGUCAAAAACAAACCCCCCCCUUUCUAUUUCAUGUACUUAGGUUAGAAAUUGUCUAGAUUGGUUGUUUUACAUUGUUUUGAGUAUUUUGAGUUCAAUUUUCGUCCAAACUACAUUCUAGUUAUUGUUUUGAGUAAAUUCAACUUAGUUUUGUGUUAUUUGAGUCAGUCUAGCUUGUUUUGAGUUGCUUGAGUCUAGUUUCAGUUUUUAAGUUUAAUUUGUGUUGAUUAGCGUCCCUAGUUAAUCCCCGGCCUAGAACGAUCCCUACUUACGCGUACUACAACUAUCUUAAUAGGGUUUAAUUUGUGUGUUAGUUUCUACCACAUCAUGCAUUGCAGAUGCUAUUAAUACGUCAUUAUCAUAAAGACAAUAUAAUUUAUAUUCUCAAUUGAUGUUUAUGAAUGUAUAAAACUCAUUAAAUUUAAUGAAUGUUGAACGAUAAUAUAAACGUUAACUUACAACUUUUAUUCAAGUGAUUAUUUUUUUGUUGAACAAAUGACAUUAUUUACUGUAAAGCAAAGGGAGUGGUCUAAGCCUCACAAUGGACUACUAACAAUGUGGUUCAAAUUUGUCUUUAGCGAGAAUCGAACAUAAGACCUUUCACUUACAAGUGAAGAGGAAUAUCACUGAACUAGUACUAAGUGAUUAUAAAAGAUGGAGAAAUCACAAAGAAAACUUAUGUCUCGUAAUUUCCAUAAAAAUCAUAGAAUUAAAAGGAACAAGUUUUCUUCACGAAUACUCUAGUUUAUAUCUUCACUUGAACAAAAUAAACAAAUUAAGGUUUAAUUUUUAUUUAACAUUCAUUAAACCUAAUAAUUUGUCAAAGACAAACCAAUUCUAGAGGACCCUUAGGGGGUCCCCUAAGGCCAUCUCCAACUGAACUGUCCAGAGCACCAGAGGGCCAAAAAUAGCCCGAAAAUCGUCCCCAACCUAGGGCUAGGCCAGAGGACUCGUGGGCCCCAUGGAAUCUGAACGGGCCAGAGGGCUGGCCAUCUUCAGCCAGCCAACCAGCCCACUUUGAUUUUUUUUUUUUACUUUUCACUUGCCCAGCCCGAUUCCCUUUUUGUGUUUUUCUUAUUUCAACCCACUUUAGGGCCUUCAAUUUUUGGUGUCAGCCCAUUUUUUUGUUUUGUUCUUAACAGCCCACUUUUUUUUGGAAUUUUUUUUUUAAUUUCUAAUUUUUUCCUACACCAUUUCUCACAUAUUUUUUCACCAUUCCAUAUUGUCUUGCCUCAUUUUAUUUCAAUUCUUCACAUUUCAUACUAUAGGCCUUUGGCCAUCGGUUGGAGAUGGUUUUUUGUGACAGGGCUAAAAUGAGCCCUCUAGUCCUUUGGCCCUCGGUUGGAGAUGGAGGCAAAUAUGGCCCUACAUUGUUCAUUAAAAUAUUAAUAUCUUGGAGGGCCAAAGGGCUAAAACGAGUCAUCUGGCCAGCCUUCGGUUAGAGAUAACCUAACAAUCUCUUGAAAAAUUACUCUACUUAACCGAUCGUUGUUGUACAUGACAUACCAGCCAAUGUAUACAAUUGAUAGAGACAAACUUUUCUCCUUCUGUCAAUAGUGGGAAGAAUCAAAAUCUUCACAUGAGACAAACUUUUGUCCUUCAGUCAAUAGUGGGAAAAAUCAAAAUCUUCACACUCCACUUCUAUGUAAUUGAGCUUUCAUGUAUCUAUUUUGACCCAAUUUUACAUUAUCGGCCCGAGUAAUCGAAGCCGUUGAAUGAGCAUGAUUUUAGACCGUUGAACGACAAAGUGGUUGAAAUGAUUUUUCAUUAUUAUUGAGAAAUAAUAUUGUGAUUUUAAUCAUGAUAUUAUCUCUUAGUAAUAUAUUAAAUUAUUUGAACCUAAUAUUACUCUAAAUCUAAGAUAUGCACGGUAUCAGAUAAUGAAGCAUGCAGGACAAGACAAUAUUAUGACGUCACUUGGAAGCUAUUAAUGGGGUUGGAUUUUGAAUUAAUUAUUAUCCAUUUUAAAUUAUGGUGAUAAUUUGUAAAAAGCGAACAGGGAUCAGGAUGCAUGCAUGGAUGGGUGUAAAGGUGAUGGAAUUUAUGAUGAUGAGAUAAGAAGCCUAGGUAGGCUAGGCUAUGAUGGUGAGAUAAGAAGCCUAAGUAGGCUAGGCUAUGAUGAUGAGAUAAGAAGGCUUUUGGUUGGAUAGGCUUUCAUUUUGUCAGAAAAUCACGAGUAGCCAUCUAGAAGAUAGGCUUUAGCCUAUGCCACAGAUCAGUAUUUCAGUUCUGCGAGUUAAGAGUUGCAGUUGAACUCUACAAAAGUAUUCGGCCAUGCUAAGCAAAAGAUAUGAAUGCUAUAAAUACAAGGUGCGCUGCAUCAUUUAGGCUCUCUUCAAUUCAACACACAAACUACCCUGUGCAAACUCUCGCUCUACACGAAACCUCUCAACAACCUUGACAUUAUUAUUUUCUUUUUUCCGCCAACACAUCUUCAGUUUGUAUAAACAACAUUGUGGAGGCAACUGGCGAUGUCUUUAGUUUGGAUAAACAGCACUGAAGCCGUAGAAUCAGCCAAUCAAGGAGCACCUUCAGUUUGGAUAAACAACACUGCUUCUCGGCCAACUGAUUACCUAUCCAAGUCUCGGUCAACAAGAAUUUUCGAGUCCUUGUUGGCAAAGGUCAUUUCAUCAGCCUUCUUGGUGAAGUGAGGUGUUACCGGGUUACUACAUUCUGCACAUUGAAAGCCGAAUCUGAUAUUGAACUUCACAAAACUAGCAGCCUUGUCUUCAGGCUCUAGAACCUGAAAGCCGAGACGUGUUCCUUCCUCAGCCGCAGUUGUAAGAUCAAGAAGUCAGCAGCGCGCCCAAUGCCACAUCAACAUAAUUUACUCCCCGGCCGAACUCGGCCAACGAGUUGGUACGCCCCGCACAUAACCAAAGGAUGUAGUUAGCUUAUUAAUUACUUAGCCUGCGCGCCACGUAGGCUUGGUAGUUUUUAGGGUCAACAGUAUCACAAACAACGCCACCACCACCGCAACCAUAGCCCUUGGACUUUACUCCAUCCAUCUUCAUUUGUAAAUCCCAAUAAUCAUGGGUAGCAAAAAUCGUGAUUUCCACAUCUGUUUCUUCUCUCUCAUCGCUCACAGCCAUAUGAUACCGAUAUCCAACAUGGCCAAGCUCCUUAAAUCACAAGGAGUAAAAACCACCACAGUCACCACUCCUCUAAAUGCCCCUACAUUCUCCAAAGCCACCCAAUCAAGUAAAACCUGCUCCGACGGCGUUGAAGUCAAAAUCAAAACCAUCAAGUUCCCUUCUGUAGAAGUCGGUCUACCAGAAAGGUAUGAAUCUAGACUCAAUCCCCUCACCAGAAUUAAGCACCAAUUUUCUCAAAGCAACAAGCUUUCUCUAAAACCUGCUUGAGCAGCUUUUGCCCAAAGAAAACCCUAGUUACCUUGUGGUAGACGUGUUUUUUCCUCGGGCAACUGAUGUUGCAGCAAAGUUUAUUCGAAGGCUAAUUUUUCUUGGCACUAGUUUCUUUGCCAUGGCUACCUUAGAUAAUAUGAGAAGGUAUAAGCUGUUCAAGGACACUUUAUCCGAUUUGGACCCUUUCGUGAUUCUGGAUUUUCCUAGUGAGAUUACGAUGACAAGAGUGUUAGCGUUUAUAGCUUUUAGUAUUGAGUUUUAUGAAGUUUCGGAUUGUAUGGGAAGAGAGAAAAUUGCAGAGAAAAUGCAGCAAUGGUGCUGCGAGAGUGAUGAAGGUUCUGAUUACUAUUCCAUUCACCUCCAACCAAAUAUAACCGUUAGAGGAGAGAGAAAAGAGAUUCUUCUCUAACAACUUACAACAAGAUCAAAUCCUAGCCUUAGAUUUUAUCACCCUAUGAGAUGAUUACACAUGUUAUAAUCUAUCACUUAAAUCUUAGGCUAGAGAGGGAGGUCGCUUGGACUAUGAUCCAACGACUCUCAUUACAUCUUAUUUAAGCCUUAUAAAAAUAGGAUUCAAAACUCUAACUUUGGCUCCAAGAAAUCAGCUCAAAGAAGUUAAGCACCAACAUUCCCUUCUAACCCUUUAGCUGAUUUCACUCCAAGUAGUUGUCUUAGGCAAGCAAAUCGAUCAUUUGGCAAGGUCUUGGUGGGUAUGUCUUCAAUCUAGUCUUUUGUUUUGCAAUAAACCAGUUCAAUUUCCUUUGCUUGGAUGGCUUUUAUGAUGAAAUGGAAUUUUCUGCAAAUAUGCCUAGUUUUCUGGUGGAAAACUGGGUUCUUUGCCAUUGUUAUAGCAAAAGUGUUGUCACACAGAAUUGGUGUGCCUUCCACUUGUUCCUCACCAAAGUCUUCAAGCACAAAUAUUUGCUAUUUUGCCUGUGAUGUAGUGCUGUUGCACCCAUAUUCUGCUUCUUCUGUUAAUAAAACCACUUUGUUGUGUUUGAUUAAAGCCCAUGAAAACACAUACCCUGAGGUACUUCUCAUGUCAUCCUCACUUCCAGCCCAGUCAUUGUCACAGUACCCUAUCAAAAUGGUUGCCUUCCCUUUCACAAACUCAAUUCCAAAGUCAAGAGUACCUUGGAUGUAUCUUAAUACCUUCUUAGUUAUUCCCAUAUGUUUCUUUGUGGGAUCAUGCAUGAAUCUUGCAAGUAAGCUAGAAGCAAACAUUAUAUCUGGUUUUGUAGCAGUCAGGUAUAACAAACUACCUAUAAGCUUUCUAUAUUCACUUUCAAAUGCUGCCUCACUGCCAUCCACCUCGCAUAACUUUUCACUCACAGCAAGUGGUGUUCCCACAAACUUGCAAUCUUUCAUUCCAAACUUCUCAAUAAGCUUCAUUGCAUACUUUUUUUGGUGUAUAAAAAUGUUUUUCUCUGUUUGUAUAACCCCCAUGCCAAUAAAGUGAUGAAGCAGUCCCAAAUCAGUCAUCUCACAGUGCCUCAUCAUGUCACUUUUGAAUUCUUUGAGCAAUUUUGGACAACUUCCAGUGUAUAUAAUAUCAUCCACACAGAGUGAGACGAUAAUAAUAUAUGAGCCUUCACUAGUCUUGACAUAGAGUGUUGCUUCAGUUGAACUCUUCUUGAAACCUGCAUUGUUGAAGUAUGGGUCUAUCUCAUCAUACCAGGUUCUUGGAGCCUACUUCAACCCAUACAAUGCUUUAUUCUACUUAUACACCUUGGUUUCCUUAUUUUCCUUCACAAAUCCUUGUGGUUGCUCAACAUAAACCUCUUCAUUCAAAACUGCAUUCAGAAAGGCAAACUUUACAUCCAAUUGAUAUAGGUUCUAUUCUUUCUAUGCAGCAAGUGCUAUCAAGGUUCUAAUAGUGUCUAACCUUGCUACUGGGGCAAAUGUUUCAUUGUAGUCUAUCCCAGGCUUUUGGGAGUAGCCCUUUGCCACUAGUCUGGCCUUGUUCUUUUGCACAGAUCCAUCCAGAUUAAACUUAGUUUUAUAGACCCAUUUAACACCAAUGAUUGGCUUGUCAAAUGGUCUGUCGACUAGCUGCCAUGUCCUGUUUUCUUAAUCAUCUCCAGCUCAAAUUUCAUGGCAUUCUUCCAUGACUCAUCUAUAGCAGCAUCUUCAUAGCUUUCUAGCUUUACAAUGCACAUGUUGCAAUGUGCCAUGAUCUCAUUGAUAUUCUUCAAUUUCUGUGGUGUGUGGUCAAUUGCUUGAGAGCUUCCAAAAUCACUCUCACUCAAUAGAGUACCAACUUCAUUCACUUGAGAUGAUGUGUUCAAGGAUUAACUUGGCUCACAAGUCUCAAUCUACUUUUGACCAUCAUUGCAAUUUGCCAUUUGAUACUCAACAACCAUAGGAACUCUCAUUUCACCUUUCUCUAUGUGUUCCCACUCCCAUGAGACAUCUUCAUCAAAAGUAACAUCUCUAGACAAGAUAAUCUUUCUGGAAAUUGGAUCAAACAACCUAUACCGUUUCUCACAGGUUUUCUAGCCCACAAAAAUGCAUUUGUGACUAUGUUCUUCAAGCUUAUGCCUUAAUGUUGAAGGGAUAUGCAUAUAGCCCAAUGAUCCAAAGAUUUUUAGGUGUGCAACACCUGGCUUUCUGCCACUGUAUGCCUCAAAUGAAGUCAUCUUCUUUAAAGACAUGGAGGGACAUUUGUUAAGUAUGUAGACUGCAGUGUUCACAACCUCUGCCCAAAGUGCAAAAGGAAAACCUUUUUCAUGCAUCAUAGACUUUGCCAUCUCCACCAUAGUCCUAUUCUUUCUCUCAACCACUCCAUUAUGUUGGGGGGAGUAUGCCAUGGUUAACUGUCUCUAAAUUCCAAGCUCAUUGCAGUACUUGUCGAACUCAGUUGAUAGAAACUCUCCACCCCUAUCACUCUUGAGACAUUUCACUUUGUAUCCACACUGCAGCUCAGAAAUUGCUUUGAACUUUUUGAAACAUUCAAAUGCACUUGAUUUGUUCCUGAGGAAGUAUACCCAAGACAUUCAGGUACAAUCAUCAGUGAACAAAAUGAAGUACUUAUUGCCAUAGAUAAAUUCAGUUUGCAUUGGUCCACAGAUGUCUGUAUGAACCAAUUCCAAUGGAAAUUUAGCUCUCCAAGUGGAUUAUGAGGGAAAUGAAUCUCUAUAUUGCUUUCCUAGCAUGUAGCCUUCAUAUACAAUAUAAGUCUUCUCCAAUUUAGGCAGUCCAUGAACCAUUUCUUGGUUUUCAAGCAAUUUGAUGCUCCUAUCAUUUAGAUGUCCUGGUCUCUUAUGCUCUAUGUGUAAACAAUGUGUCACACUUGCCUUCAAUGCCAAUUGGUUUGUAGGCAUCAUUGUAAGAGGGAAGCAUCUGUUAUUUGUCAUCUGCACUCUAACCACCAAGUUGUCAAGUGACAACCAUUGAAGAAAUUCACCACAUUUCCACCAAACAACAGAUAAUAGCCAUGAUUCAUCAUUUGUCCAACAUUGAGAAUAUUCUCCUCAAGUCCAGGGACAAGUAUCACUUCUUGAAUGUGUUUUCUUCCUAGUUUAGUCUUUAUCACUAGAGUUCCAUUUCCUGCCACCUGAACAAUUUCUCCAGUCCCCAACUUCACUCUAGAAGUCAAAUUUAUCAUAAUAUUGACUAACAAUCUCUCAUCACCUGUCAUGUGGUUACUACAACCACUGUCAAUGUACCAUGAAUGAUUCACCUUCAUAUCAGUCACUGCAUUGCAUGCAUAGAACAAGGAACCAAUUUCUUCAACCUGGUUUACAUAUAUACUUUCUGUAUACCCUUAUUUCCAUUGCAGUCUCUAAGUAUAUGCCCAAACUUCCCAAAACCUGUGCAUUUAGGCUUUCCUUCAAACCAGCACUUGCCAUUAUGCGAUUUAUCACAAUGUUUACAAGCAGUUUUGUUUCCAUCAUGAGAGACAUUUGGUUUGGGAGUAAAAUUGGGCUUAUUAUCCCAUUUCUUCCCUUUGGAUUUCCAGUUUUUCUGAAACUUUUGAUUUCCAGAAAACCUCCUCCUUUGAGAUUAUUGGCUCCAACAUUUAGACUUGUAAAAGCCAUAUCUGUAGAAUUUUAAGCAUGUCUAUCUAGUCUGAGUUCAAAACUUUUCAGAGAAGCUACAACCUCCUGAACCUCAAGAGUCUCAAGGUCCUUGGAGUGCUCAAUUAUAGAGCAAAUAGGGUUAUAUGAUCUUGGCAGACUAAUCAAUAAUUUUUGCACUAUUUUUUCCCUAGAUAGAUCCUCACCAUAAUUCUUCAUUUGAUUCAUUAUAUUAAACAGUCUAGUAAGAUAUGCAGAUAAGGAUUCACUAUCUUUCAUACGAUUAUAUUCAAAUUCUCGACAUAAACCUUCUAGUUUUACGCUCCUUACUUGCUUGUCCCCUCUGAACUCUUGCUUCAGAAUAUCCCAAGCACCAUUUGAGGCCUCCUCGUUCACGAUUCUGGGGAAAAUUUGAUCUAAAAUAGCUCCUUGGAUCAACCCAAGUGCGUGAGCAUCCUUCAUCAGGAUUUCAGUCAUCAGGAGCUUUUCUACUCCAGUGAUCUCAGCCUUUUUAUCUUCAUCUUCGAUCUCCUCAUUCUCUUUCUUCAGAUCUGAAGUAUCGAAAUCGUUUUCAACAAAAUCCCACAAUCCAUGAGAUUUCAAAAUAGUUUUCAUUCGAAUACUCUAGAACUCAUAGUUUUCUCCGUUGAAAAUUGGAGUACAAAGCUCACCUGUACUCGAUCUUGCCAUAUUAGACAUUGGAUUCAAGAAAUCGCACAAUCUCGAUCAUCAAAUGAGCUCAAACACAACUCGAAUCAAUUCUAGUUUCUGAAGCCAUGUUAGCAUUCAUAGCUUUUAGUAUUGAGUUUUAUGAAGUUUUGGAUUGUUUGGGAAGAGAGAAUUGCAGAGAAUAUGCAGCAAUGGUGCUACGAGAGUGAUGAAGGUUUUGAUUACCAUUCCAUUCACCUCCAACCAAAUAUAACCGUUAGAGGAGAGAGAUGAGAGAUUCUUCUCUAACAACUUACAACAAGAACAAAUCCUAGCCUUUGAUUCCAUCACCCUAUGAGAUGAUUACACAUUUUAUAAUCUAUCACUUAAAUCUUAGGCUAGAGGGACAACCUACUUGGACUAUGAUCCAACGACUCUCAUUACAUCCGAAUUAAGCCUUAUAAAAAUUGAAUUCAAAACUCUAACUUUGGCUUCAGGAAAUCAGCUCAAAGAGGUUAAGCACCAACAAAGAGCACAAGUGCCUGAUCAUGUCAAAGAAAAUAUCGAAAACGACUUGACCCAGAUGCUCAAACGGGCCAAGGAAGCUGAGAAAAUGAGCUACGGAAUUGUUGUGAACAGUUUCUAUGAGCUCAAAUCGGUUUAUGCAAAUUAUUACAGAAACGUGCUUGGGAUGAAAGCUUGGCAUAUUGGCCCUGUUUCUAUGUGCAACAGAAACAAUGAAGAAAAAGCAGUUAGAGGAAAAGCAGCUUCUAUCAAGGAGCACGAGUUCUUAAAGUGGCUUGAUUGAAAAGAACCUAAUUCGGUUGUUUAUGUGUGUUUUGGAAGCGUGGCUAAAUUCAAUGCCUCUUAGCUUAAGGAGAUUGCAAUGGGGCUUUCACCUAGGCCGAUUUUUAGAACAUUGAUAAAUAUUAAACUGAAAAAAAUAUGCACAUAUGGUGGGCCACCCACUAAUCCAGGUGGAAUUCUAGCCUAAAUUUGCCAUAAAGUUGGGUUAAAACUCAUAUUUGGCCAAAGGGUUAGAGAAAGUUGGGGUAAGGAUCCAAUUUUCUUUAACUCCCCUUUAUUAACUUGUGAGUAUCACACAAAGCUAGAUAUAAUGAAAUAUAUAUUUGAUUACAUAGAAAAAUCUUCAUAUAAUUUACAAGUAGUUCGAUAUAAAAUCCUAAACAUGGCAUUGGUUGGAUUUCACAAGAGAGAACUUUAGAUUAUAAAUUUUUGUCUCUUUCUUUGUAAGGGUGUUUCUAAGAUGCGGACUUUGCGUCCCAAACUUGUGCAUGGACCGGAAUCUAACUGUUGUGAUUUGUUGAGCUCAUGGUAAAACCGGGGUGUUGGUAUUUUUGUUUUGCAAUUGCAUUUAGGAUGUGGUACUAGAUUGCCUACGUGUCCUUGGUGGAAUCAAACCAAUGUAGUUCGUGGUUUUCAUUGAUCAGUCAAUGACCCAUUGAAAAAGAAAAUUUUGUUUGCUUGGAUUUGGUGUCAUGUGCAGUUUCAACUCGUGCAUGCAAGGAGUGUUUAAUGUCUUGUGUAGUUUCAGCUCGUGCACGUAAGGGCUUUGGGCCAUUUGGAGUGUUUAAUGCCUUGUAUAGUUUCAGCUCGUGCACGUAAGGGCUUUGGGCCAUUUAGAGCGUUUAAUGCCUUGUGUAGUUUCAGUUUAUGCAGGUAAGGACUUUGUGCCAUUUGGAGUGUUUGAUGCCUUGUGCAGUUUCAACUCAUGCGAUUUUGUGCCAUAAGGUGGGGCAAUAUCCCAUGUGAGCAGCAUUCCUCAUAAAAUUGGGAACUUUGUUUGCAGACUUCUUUCUUCUUCUUGUAGAAUUUACAAACUCUUUGGCAAGAGGCACAAAUUUAUAAAAGAAACCACAUGAUUUCACAUUGGAGAGCUAUCGUUUUCUUUUUCUUUUUCUUUUUUUUUAAAAAAAAUAAAUAAAUAAAGGUUGCCACGUGAGUGUCUUUCCCAAUUAAUUUGGGAAGUUGUUAGAAAGCUUUUUUUUCUUCUCUGUGAACAUGAACUCUUUCAAGUCCAAAUAAGCCCCUCCUAAAGCUCUAAAGUUAUUUGGAUUCUCCUUUUUUCUUUUUUUCUUUUUAGAGACCGCGCUUGCGGUAUACUUUGGACUUCUGAGAGCCUAAUCACUCUGCAGACGGGACCUGGGUUGUGGGGGGACCACGUGAAUAAGAGGACCUUCAUCCUUGUUCUUUGUUGCAGGUCGUCUCUUAGCAUUUAUAAUCCUUGAAUUAGAUAACAACUUUGAAGGCAGUAGCCUACACCAAACAAUUUAAUUGAACUGAACGUCCUUUCUUUUGCACAUUUUGUGAUUAAAGAAGAACAUGCAGCCGUCGACGUUUGGAAUUGAAUGAGAUGCAGUGGGGACUCUCUCCUUGUUGCUACAGUAGGGACUGGUGAUGACAUCGUCAUUUGGCGGUUGCUUCCUUGUUCUACACGAGAUGCAGUCUUCAAAACCAUCGUUGUCUACAGAAUUUUUUCGUAGUGUUUAGCGUACAAAUGUCGUGGUGUAGAGAUGUCAUUUUCACGUAUAGACUUGUUGUACCGGAAAUUCCUUGACUAGUAGAUUUCGACCUUUUGCGCCGAGAAAAUGCUUGACGAGUAGAUCCGAGCCACUGAUUUUGAACAUCUUGGAGGAGUUCACUUUCUAGCACGUCCGUGUCUGCGUGCAGACAUGCUAUGGCAAGAAGACCUCGACCAUCCUUCUAUUCAUACUGGUUACGUUCUUCUGAAAAAAAAGGCAAGAAUUGCUAUGCUCAUCUUUUGGCAAGAUCCAUUUUUGUUCUUGCAUGCCAAACUGCUACAAUCAUCGGAAAGCUGACCUUGUUGGUCUAAUUUCGAAGAGCACUUUGAUAGCGGAGAAGGAUUUGUUAAUGUAGGAGAAUCCAAUUAGGAUUCUCAUGGGCUAGGUUUUGUAAAUCCAUGUGGACUUUAGAUUACUUGUACUCCUAAUCAAUUGACUUGUAUAUAUUUGUAUCUUUCUGAGAUCAAUUAAAUCAAUACAAUAUAAAUCUACAUGGUAUCACUUGUUCUCCCUUUCCUUGCAAAACCCUUGCCUCUUUUUCCUCCAAAUUAACUUCUAGUCGUCCCCCCCCCUCUCUUCUUACCGUGCCCUAGCUUCUCCCAUUGCGACUAGGCUUCGUCAUCCUCCACCCAUGUUGGGCCCUCUCUUUGGUCCCAACAUUGCCCACUUUCUCAAAGUCACUAAUUCCAACUCCUACUUCGGCUUAGUCAGAUGAAGCCAUUUCCUCUGCAUCAUAAUUUAUUUGGCCCAUGUGGAUGGCUCUAUUCCGGUCCCUAACACCACUCUUCAUGCUACUGACAAAGCGCCCAUUGCACCAAAUCCUGCUUUUGCUACGUGGUUCCAGACUGAUUAACUAGUUGUCAGUUAUCUGACUUCUACACUUGGACUUGGAUUGUCUGCUCUCCCAUUUCGGUGCCCUCCCCGUGUCCUCCUGUUUUGUGUGGUCACGGUUAAGCCACGUCAAUAUUUUAUAUUAUUUUUUUAUAAGAAUAAUAAAACAAAAAGAAAUAAUAAUAUAAAAUGUUGACGUGGCUUAACCGUGACCACAAAAACAGGAGGGCACGGAGAGGGCAUCAAAAUUGGAGGGCAGACAAUCCAAGUCCUCUACACUUUCCAAGCCUAUUUUUUUCCUGCAAUUGGGAAAAUCCUCCUCUAAAGCUAUUUGGGAAUGUCUUGCGCACUUUUCUCAGCAAUCUCUCACCAAUGCCACGAAUCUUCGAUUUCAACUUUUGGCACUUAUGAAAGGCUCCCGUACCAUCUCGGACUACCUUAAAUAGGCUAAGUUUUAAUUUGACUCUCCUGCUGCUAUUAAUCAACCUGUCUUUAAUACUGAUUUGGUGAGCUCUAUCCUUAAAGGUCUUGGUCCUGAUUAUUCUAUGUUUCUCAUAGCUGUAAUUAAUUCUCCACCCUUCCUGGAGUUCCAUGACCUACGUUCUCGGCUCUUAACUUUUGAGAACCAGCCUCGGCCUACUCCCGCUGCCAAUUUUAUGUAGCAGCCCGUGGGUCAAACUUCUCUGCACAGCCAGUGGGCCACCCUCAUCUACACUAACUCGUUAAUCAAAACCUGCAGCAUCCUAUACAUCCUCUCCUACCAGAGCAGGCCCAUUACCAGCAACCCAACCCUCCCCAAGUUGCUGCCUUCUAAGUGCAAGCCCAUGAUGCCGUGCAGCAACAAGGCCUGCCACGUGCCAGAAAUUGAGGUCGUGGUGAGUUUCACCACCGCCCACAUGGGGUCGUGAUGGCCAUCGUGGCGGUGGAUGCGGUGGUCGUGGUGGAUGGUAGCCCAAUAAUUAUGGGUUUAAUCCUCCUAAUCAGCAAGGUAUCCUCAGUGCUCCUCCUGAUUUUUGGUGUAGUUAUUGUAACUCACAUGGCCACCAUGUCUCUACUUGUCUGCAUCGCCCCGCUCCCCUCAUUGUUGGUUAUCAUGUUUUUCCACCUAGUGCGGCUAAUGAUCCUACUUGGUACCUUAAUAUGAGAGCCACUCACCACAUGACCAACAAUGGGGCCGCUCUUCAUGACUCAUCUCCUUAUAAUGGUAACGAAACUGUCCUAGUUGGUAACGAGACUUUUCUUCCUAUAACUCAUAUUGGAUCUUCUUUUCUCACAUUAGGUUCUCAUCCACUCAAAUUAAAUAAUGUCUUAUAUGUUCCUUUCAUUAAGAAAAUCUUAUCUCUGCCUCUCAGUUUACUAAAGAUAAUUCUGUUGUCAUUACUAUUCAUCCGUUUAGUCAAGUAAUUCUCAAUUUAUAUUGUGGUUCUUUGUUGUUUUAGGGCCGCUGUGAAGGUCAUCUUUAUCCCGUCAGCCCAUCAUGUCCGUUAGCAUUUCAUGUCAUUUCCUCCUCCUUGUGGCACUCCCGUUUUGGUCAUUCGUCUUCCGAAGUUUUGUCUAAGAUGUCUUUAGGUUCUAUGUCGCAAAUAAAUAAGGCCUUCUGUAAGCCAUGUGCACUUUUUAAGUCGCACAAGUUACCUUUUAAUUCCACACUCUUGAACAAAAUGGCUUGGCCAAAAGCAAGCACCAACAUAUAUCCACCGUCACCCGUCUUCUCCUAAAUACUGCCCAUGCCGCCCCCUCCCAUUGGGUUGAAGUCUCCCUCACCGUUUUCUUUAUUAUUAAUCUUCUUCCUUCUUUGGUUUUGGGUUGGUCUAGUCCCUAUUUACGCUAAUUUGAUCGUCAUCCCAAUUUAUCCCACCUUUGUACGUUUCAUUGUGUUUGUUACUCGCAUUUUGGAGCUUAUAUCACUAACAAAUUAGAACCUCGUUCCAAAGAAUUGUUUUUUGUAGGUUACAGCCUCAACAUAAAAGUUAUCGCUGUCUAGACCUAACCAUUAAUCAGAUUUUUAUCUUUCAUGUCAUGUUUGAUGAGAAUAAUUUUUCGCUUGCCCAACCUGCUACCCCUGCAGCUCUGCCUCCUUUUCUGCUUCUCUUGGAACCUGCGCAUGCACCUCUCCAUGGAUCCCAGCCCAGCGCACCUCCCCCUAGAGCCCAACCCAUCAUGCCUUCUCAUGAAACUCCACCUAUGAAUCCAAUCUUGCAGCCCGGCCCACUUCUUCUCGCACCCAGCCCAGUGGUUCCCGCUCCCAGUGCGCCUGCUUCUGUCCCUCCGACCAGCGCGGCGAGCCAUGUGGCGUCAGUCUACAUGCCAUCAAGCCCAACAUCUCUGCAGCCUUCCAGCUAACUUUUGUUGAGUCCUCAGCUGGCCACUAUACCAGCGCCCUUCUUGUCUGCCCAUGGAGACUAGAUCACACACUGCCCGCUCUCAACCCAAACAGUGUUCCAACGACACUGUUUGUUACCCACUGCCCCAUUCACUCACGGAGUCCAUCUCUAAUUCCGUUGAACCCACUUGUUUCACUCAGGCCUCACGUCCCCUUGAGUGGCGUACAGCCAUGACCGUGGAAUUUAAUGCUUUACUUAAAAAUGGUGGGUGGUUUCUUAUUCCCUCUCAUCCCUCUCAGAAUUUAGUUGGUUGCAAAUGAGUCUUUUGGAUUAAGUAUAAUGCAGAUGAUUUCAUUGAGCUGUGUAAAACUUGUCUAGCUGCCAGCAAUAUGAGUUUUAUUAUGACAAGACAUUUAGUCUAGUUGUUAAGCCUGCCACUAUUCCUCUUGUGCAUUUACUCAUGAGUGGUCUAUUCAACAACUAGAUGUCAGAAAUGUUUUCUUGCAUGGUUGUUUAUAUAAAAAUGUUUAUAUGGUUCAACCGCCUGGUUUUGUGGACCCUCAACAACCCUAUCAUGUCUGUAAAUUGCACAAGGCUCUUUAUGGUCUCAGGCAGGCUCCCCGAGCUUAGUUUCAGCACUUUAGUAUAUUUAUCCUCCGCCAGGGCUUCAUUCAGAGUCUUGCUAACCCAUCUCUCUUCACUUUUCACCAUGGUAUGACACAUCUCAUUUUACUACUUUAUGUCGAUGAUAUUGCGUUAACUAGCAAUGAUUCAAUGGAUCUUUUGGGCAAUGAAUUUGAGAUUAAAGAUCUUGGGCCUAUUCAUUAUUUUCUUGGUUUUGAGGUUCGUCCUACUUCUGUUGUCUCCAUGUAUCUCAAACCAAGUAUGCUCUCGAUUUGUUCGUGAACGGGUCAAGUUGGGUACUCACAAAGUCCAGUUUAUUCCUUCCAUUGACCAACCUGCGAAUGUUCCCACUAAAGGACUCUCUACGCCUCGUUUUGAUUAUCUACGUUCCAAACUUGCCACUCCGAGACCGCCAAGUUUGAGUGGGUUGUUAGUGUAGGAGAAUCCAUUAGGAUUCUCAUGGGCUAGGUUUUGUAACCAUGGACUUUAGAUACUUGUACUCAAGUCAAUUGCCUUAGUAUAUAUUUGUAUCUUUGUGAGAUCACGGGAAGGUUGCUUCUAGAGUGAAGAGCGAUUGGCACCAUUUUGAUUUGUUAUAAAGAGAGAUCCUUCACUGGAGCAAAUCUUUGUAAGAGCACGUGGGAAACUAACUUUGCUUCGAUGGUCUUGUGCCAUGAGUGGAGAUUUGUGUAAGGAAACAAAUAAUAAAGAAAAAUAAAACUUUUACUUUUGAUUCUUCUUCCUCGUGAACGUUCUACAUAAUUGCAGUCCUUUGCUCCUUUCUUCUCUUUCUGUUAGGACUCUCUCUUUCUAUUUCUACAGUUUGCAUUCGUCUCUCCUCUGCUGCUCUCUCUACUCUCUCUCAGCUUUUCGUUGUCAGUCUCCCCCUUUCAUUUCAACCUGGCUUCGUCUUUUUAUAGACGCAAGGAGCAGUUCAUAGAUCAUUUUCCAUUUUUGUUACAUGUACCACUUUCUUGGGAUGUGGAGAGGUUGAGAGAAGGCUAUCAUUUAUGACGCGUUUACGUAACCGUAAUGAAAAUAGGAGGAAUUUAAUUGAGGAGGAGUUGGAAUGAGGAGAACUCAGAAUCAGAUUCAUGUUGAAGCUGUUUACUUAAAUGUUCUAGAAUUGGAAUAGAAAUGACACUAAUUUCAUAAAACUGUUUACUAAUUUAGCACAAUCGGAAUAUAAACCAAUAUGAUUACUAAAAUGCCCUUGUCCCAAAUCAAGUAUUUUAUAUACUUUUUUUUAAUAAAAUUUGGUAUAAUUUUUAAUAGUAAGAAAAAAGAUUAAGUUGCUUUUUUUAUUUCAUAGACACACUAAAAUACUUUUGUUUAAUUUUUUAUUUAUAAAUUUAAGUAUUUACUUUAAUAUUUAAAUUUUCUCACUCAAGUUGUAGUUUCUUCUCUUCAGCAUAUGCAUGGAGUUGUGCAUAAUGUGAAUGAGCAUGGAGUUGUGCAUAAUAUGAAUGAGCAUGGAAAUAAAAAAAAGUAAGGAGUUGUGCAUAAUUAAACUAGGGUUAGUGGGUUUAUAAAGGAUAGUCUUGGAAAUAAAAAAAAAGUAAGUGACAUAAAGGGAACAAAAGUGUCAUUCCGAUUGCCCAAGCAAUCAGGAAUUGAAUUGCCACCUACAUCUAAGGAAUCCAAUUCCACCAAUACAAGGAAUUGAAUUCCAAAGUUUGUGCUCCCCAUUGCUUUUUUGAUUCCUCAAUGUUUAGUAAACACCGGAGUACUCCGUAAUCGGAAUUUAAUUAUACAUUUUCAUUCCGAUUACGGAUACGUAAACAUGCCCUUAAUUGAGAACGUGGGAGGGCAAGGAUAAGAGCUCAUAAAUUGCCCUUCGACCUCAAAUUGCAUUUCCAGUGGGCCAUAUUGAAGAGGGCAAUUUGUGGGCCAUCAAAGCCCGCCCAAAUGCCUGAGCAAUUUAAGUCCCACCUUGGGCCAGCAAGUGUUCUCUCUUUUUUUUUUAUACGUAUAAAACAUGUGCAUCCUGAACCAGUGGGUCGACAACUUCUUAUAUCUUUUUGGCAAAAUGACAUGUAUGUAAUUGUGCACAUCACAAAAAUACUUACUCAAUUUGCUUUUGCUUGAAAACCCUAAUAGGCUUCGUUCUUUUAAGAAAAAAACGCCAAAUACCAAAUACCAAAUGUCUAAUUUACCUAAGUUUCGUUCUCAAAAAAAAUAAAAAAUAAAAAUUACCUAAGUUUCCACAUGGCAUGAAGAUUAGCAAUUGGACUCUGGCAACAGACACCUCACUGGCACUGAGAGACUUUUGAGAUGCCAAAAUCUAUUGCUUUUGACAUUGACGUGGGUAAUUUCAAGCUAUAUAUAUAUUUUAUUUUUUUUGGUUUUUUCAGCCAAAAGAAUCAUAUAUUAAAAAGAAAACAUUUGGAUCGAUACAACCAUUCCCAACAAAAUCAAAACGAAAAGCAUGUGAAGCAAAAUCAAGAAUAUGAUGCUCUCACAUAUGACAACCAGUUAUUAGAAGACAGCAAAGGCAUCAACAACAAAAUUUGCCUCUUUAAAAAUAGGGUUCCAAUAUAAUUUAUAUUCUCAAUUGAUGUUUAGCAAUGUAUAAGACUCAUUAAGUUUAAUGAAUGUUGAACGAAAAUAUGAAUGUUAACUUGCAAAUUUUAUUCAAGUGACUAUAAAAGAUGGAGAAAUUAUGAAGAAAACUUAUGUCUCGUAAUCUCCAUAAAAAAAUGGUAGAAUUAAAAGGAACAAGUUUUCUUCAUGAAUUCUCUAUCUUGUAACUUCACUUGAACAAAAUAUACAAAUAAACAUUUUUAUUUUAUUCUAUGCUCAUUAACCUAAUAAAUUGUCAAAGACAAACCAUUUUUAUUUUUUAACAAACAAUAUUAUCUACAUAAAAAAGGUGGGAGAGUGGGCAAGCCUCCCAAUGGGCUAAGCUUCCUAAUGAGCUAGUAAAAAUGGGUUCAAAUUCGUUUUUGGUGAAAAUUGAACCUAAGACCUCUCAUCUACAAAUGAAGAAAAAUGCCUCUAGACCGUAGCGGAAAAAAUUACUCUACUUAACCGGUCGUUGUUGUACAUGACAUACCGGCUGAUGUCUACAAUUGAGAGAGACAAACUUUUGUCCUUCUGUCAAUAGUGUGAAGAAUCAGAAUCUUCACAUACUCCCCUUCUAUACAUUUGAGUUUUCACGCAUCACAAACAACGCCACCGCCACCGCAGCCCUAUUGAAAUCCCAAUAAUCAUGGGUAGCAAAAACCGUGAUUUCCACAUCUGUUUCUUCCCUUACAUGGCUCACGGCCACAUGAUACCGAUCUCCGACAUGGCCAAGCUCUUUGCAUCCCAAGGAGUAAAAACCACCAUAGUCACCACUCCUCUAAAUGCCCCAACAUUCUCCAAAGCCACCCAAUCAAGUAAAACCUACUCCGGCGGCGUCGAAGUCAAAAUCAAAACCAUCAAGUUCCCUUCUGUAGAAGCCGGUCUGCCAGAAGGGUGUGAGAAUCUCGACUCACUCCCCUCACCAGAAUUAAGCACCAAUUUUCUCAAAGCUACAAGCUUUCUCCAAGAACCGCUCGAGCAGCUUCUGUUCGAAGAAAACCCUAGUUGCCUUGUGGCAGACGUGCUUUUUCCUUGGGCAACUGAUGCUGCUGCAAAGUUUGAUAUUCCAAGGCUAAUUUUUCAUGGCACUGGUUUCUUUGCCAUGGCUGCCUCACAUGUUGUUAGAAAGUAUGAGCCGUUCAAGAACACUUUGUCAGAUUCGGACCUUUUCGUGAUUCCGGAUUUUCCUGGUGAGAUUACGAUGACACGAGCCCAAGUUCCGGAUCAUGUCAUGGAAAAUAUCGAAAACGACUUGACCCGGAUGCUUAAACGGGCCAAGGAAGCUGAGAAAACGAGCUAUGGAAUUGUUGUGAACAGUUUCUAUGAGCUCGAAUCGGUUUAUGCAGAUUAUUACAGAAACGUGCUUGGGAUGAAAGCUUGGCAUAUUGGCCCUGUUUCUCUAUGCAAUAGAAACAAUGAAGAAAAAGCACUUAGAGGAAAAACAGCUUCUAUGAACGAGCACGAUUUCUUGAAGUGGCUUGAUUCAAAAGAACCUAAUUCGGUUGUUUAUGUGUGUUUUGGAAGCAUGGCUAAAUUCAAUGCCUCUCAGCUUAUGGAGAUUGCAAUGGGGCUUGAGGCUUCUGGGCAGGACUUCAUUUGGGUUGUGAGGACUGGACAAGAGUAUGACGUGGAGAAAGAGGAUUGGCUGCCAGAAGGGUUUGAGAAUAGGAUGGAAGGGAAAGGACUAGUCAUAAGAGGGUGGGCCCCGCAGGUUCUAAUUCUUGAUCAUGGGGCAGUUGGCGGGUUUGUGACUCACUGUGGGUGGAACUCGACGUUGGAAGGGAUCGCUGCCGGGUUGCCGAUGGUGACGUGGCCGGUGUCGGCGGAGCAGUUUUACAACGAGAAGCUGGUGACCCAAGUGCUGAAAAUUGGUGUUGGAGUUGGUGCUCAAAAAUGGGUUAUGGUUGUGGGGGAUAGCGUGAAGAAGGAAGCUGUUGAGAAAGCUGUGGGGAGGAUUAUGGUGGGUGAGGAAGCAGAUGAAAUGAGAAGCAGAGCUAGGGAACUUGCAGAGCAGGCAAAGAGGGCUAUUGAGAAAGGAGGAUCAUCACACUCUGAUUUGAAUGCUUUAAUUGAAGAGUUGAGUUCCCACUAGUUAGAGUUGGAUCACACAUUCAGAUGGACCACACUUUCUGAAUAUUUCCGAUUGAUAAUGUUUUGUACACAAUGUAGUAAGAAUAGUUACUCAUAAUUCAUAAAAGAAUGGUCAAUGUUGAGGAGUGUGACUAAAAGAUUAGUUGUUUUUCUUUUGACCCGGAUAUUAGAUUUUUAUGGUGCAUUUUAUUUAUCUUAAGGGUCGUAUAUUUGCCCAACCAAAGAACAUAAUUCUAAGAGCAUCUCUAACUUUUGGGUUAAAAUAUAAAAUUUGUAAGUCAUAAAAUUUAGAUUUUAAAUCAGAAACAGUUUUUUUGCUUCAACCCCUCUGGGUUAAAAUUUUAACCUGAAAUUAUUAAAGAAUGAAUUUAGGAUACUUUUUUUUUCUUAAAGUAACUUUGUUUUUAAAAAAAUUAUGUAGACUAUCCUAAUUCAAUUUUAUGAAUAUUUUUACCUAAAUAUUGAACAAUCACUAAACCGACCCCAUGAAACUCGUGGAAUACUAUAAAAGAACAUGAAACACAUGAAAGAAUGUUUUUAAAUUGUUUUAGAUGUUGGAUUUAAAUUUAGACUAUUAGAUUUUAUUUUACCGUUCGAUUUGGUCAUAUUAGAUCUUAGGGUUCGUCACAAGCCUAAUGUCGGAAGGCUCAACCUCUAUAUCAUAGGGUUCGUCACAAUGAAGCCCAAUAAUGAGGCAAAAAUCCUUCUUCAUUAAUGGAGCCACUUCACAGCCGACUAAAUAGGUGAGUUCCUCUAGGUCUUUCACCUGUUGAUUAACCAAUCUACGGAGCGGCAACUUAUGCACCAAUUAGCCAUUGAAGGCCAACUUAUCGACAUGCUCUAAGCAUCCAAGCAGGAUGCCCUAAAGGCAGCAAUCUGUGAGUCAUUAAACUUUUGACGCAGGACUCCUAGCACAUGACUUGCUUGGGAUAGGUUGUUAGCCCUUCCCUAUAGGAUUCCUUUUCUUUUAUUGCUAGUUGAACUCCCUCAUUUUCCCUCUCAUGUAGAUAGUGUUCUAGAAAUGGGUCUAGGCGGCCACAUAGGUGUUGGGUGACAGAGAACCGCCUCGAUUUAGGCCAAAUCGUCUAACAAAAUUGGGUAGGAGUUAAGCGCCCACCUAGGCGCUUUCUAGGCGGUGAUUCAAGCGGUUCUUUUUUUGCAGUCUCUCUAUCGUUUUUGGUUGCCGUUGCAUCUCUCGACUUCUCUCACUGCUGAUCUGAUGGGAAGAUGAAAGGUGGGAGAGAACAGUGAGGUGGUGAAGGCAAUGAGAACGGUGAGGUGGUGAAGCAAUGAGAACGGUGGAUUGCGAAGCAAAGAAAGAAGCUUGCAACUUUGUCUAUGUGCUGUAGGAGAGGUGUGGAAUCAAGAGAAGAAAGACGAUGAUUGACAUUCUGAGAUAAGAAACUGAAAUGGUAGAGUGAGAGAUUGAUAAAAGAGGAAGUUUUGAGAGCAAUUCCACCCAUAGAGCCCUUCCCCCUGGCAAUCCACUAUUCAAUCCACCCUAUUAAACAGUAACUGCCUUAAAUGAAUAGUAACUACCAUUAAUGAACAGUAAUUGCCAUUUACAUCUCCACCCUUGGAACCCUUCCCCCUGGCAAUAAGCAAUUAAAAUAAUAGUUUUGUUUGUUUGUUUAAAUAAUAAAAAACCCCUCUCUCUCUCUCUCUCUGACACAAAAAAAAAAAAAAAUUACAAAGCCCUCGGGCCACAGGCCCGUCGACUCCCCACCCCCCCUUCGCUCGGGCUCCCACCCUCACUCGGGCCCUUCCCUGCUGGAGCUGCUCCCACCGGCCCUCAGGCCCUUUCUCCUCCCCUGUCGCCCGAGCAACCAGCAUCCGCUGGAGUUGCUCUGAUGGGAGAGGAAAAGAUGACACGGAGAAAGAAAAAAUGAAUAAAAUAUAAAGGGAUUAAUAAAACCAAGGCCAAGACUCGGUUUAAGAGUAGAAAAAUAAAUAUAAUAUUGAAAUGAUUGAUAAAACAACAAGACCAACUUGAUAAAAUGAUAAAACCAAGACAAACUUGACAAUUUGUCCUAUCCUCUCGCCCAGCCAACCAACAAGUUCUAAAUGGACAAGGAUUGUCUGCCCUCCUAGUUGUGGUGCCCUUCCAUGCCCUUCUAUUUUGUGCGGUCACGGCUAAACCACGUCAACAUUUUAUAUUAAUUUUUUAAUGAGAUAAUAAGACAAAAAACAAUAAAAAUAUAAAAUAUUAACGUGGCUUAACCGUGACCGCACAAAAUAGGAGGGCAUGGAAGGGCACCACAACUAGGAGGGCAGACAAUCCUUGUCCGUUCUAAAUAGACCAAGUUCAACUUGACAAUUUAUUUGUAGUUUUUGGUAAUGUUGUAUUCUUUCUUUUUCUUUUUUCAAGUCUAACUUAUUUAUAUAGUAAAAAUAUAUAAUAAAUGUACUUAAAACUGUCUAAUCUGUCUAGGCCCCCGCCUAGCCGUCUAGGCGCUAGGUCCUUGACCGCCGCCCGACUAGUGCCUAACGUCUUUUAGAAUCUUGCAUGUAGACAUAACAAUACAAGCAUUCAACAUAACCAAAUUCAAAUUGACUUUUGGGGAAGAAAGUAUGACAUCGUGGAACGAAGGACUUUGAACGCAACUGGAAGCAAGCAAGCACCACGUCCUUUCUGAAGAGCCGAUUAGACAAAUUAUGAACCAAUUUCGAACGAACUUCUCUUGAGUUUUGAACGAGCAGUGUGGAAGUCGAUUGAGUUUUAAAUGCCACGUCGAAGAUGACAAACAUUGGACAACUUCGAUUGAGUUACGAACGCUAUGGAAGUUGAUUGAAAUUUGUUUGAAAUCAUUCAUGAGAGAGUUUUGGGUGGUGGAGACGAGAAGUUUAAUGCAAAUGUAACUGUUGUGGGGAGCGAAAGAGUUUUAGUUAAAAAAACUGUUGUUGUGCUCAACGACUUUUAAUGAUGGGUCAUUUAUGACCCAGUUUCACUGCAAGUUGUCUUUGAUUGAUUUGUUUACAAGUGUUGAGAUAAAAUCCAACCGCCUAUACUCGUCCACACAAAUGGAUCACAAAACUCGGUAUGCACAUUAGAAAACUCGAUCAAGGAAUACUUAUUUUUGAAUCCGAUUACAAUCUAUGCUUGGAAAAAUAUUGGAUUGGACAGUUUUUUUUUUUUAUUUUUCUUUUAUUGAUCUGAUUCAUAUUCCUCAGUUAAAUGGUUCUUUCUUAUUGUUUUCAUAUGUUAUGGAGUUCUUAUUUGUGGUAGAAAAAUUCCACCGUCUUCAGUCUUGACGAAAUUAUACCUACAAAACAAAUAACAUCUUUAAUCAAGGCCAAAGCCUCACACGCGCCCAAGAUGUUGGGGGUUUGGCGAAUGCAUCUCCGAUGUUAAGUUAGUUUCUCUUAAAAGAGAGAGAGAUAGUUUAAGGCUGAAGUACUUAGUGUAGGACCCCACUUCGCACCUUCCCGGAAUAGUGGAUAUUCAUACUCUGUUCAGACUUUAGGCCGGAUUGAACCUGAAGAGUCAUCGAUCUACCCUCCGAAGGCCCUAUAUCUUUUGUGGUUCCCAAAAUACAAUCCCAUAUGCCCACUCCGGUCAGAGGGGCAUCGAACACACUUCACAUCUGAUCCUAAUACACUCCACAUUUUGGUGCCAAUUGCCUUCUCCCAUCCAAACAUUUUUCCCUCUGCCACACGGAAGCUAGGGGAGAGAAAGUCACAUGGGAGACAUGACUGACCACUAUACGCUGAGAUAGACGGUGCUGGCCUUAAGUGGCUGUGUCAAAUAGCCAAGACACUUGAGGUGACAAGGUCAAGUGGCUAAGUGACAAACUUCCCUUUUUACACAGUUUAUUCACAGUAUCGCCAGUCCCCUAAAUGACUUACUCACCACAUACAAAGAGGCGUCCCGACUCCUCACAAUUGGUUAGACAAUCUAAACUCAACCCAUACACUUACUACCCAUUUUUCACCUAAAAUUAUACCUGACUUGAUCGUCAGAGACCCUACGCCAGGAACCACCCUCCCCGGUGCUCGGCUUCACGAUCCUUUGUUUAUAUUUGUCUUUGCAGAUUCAAUCAUCCAGCAGAAUCAUGUCCAACAAGUAACAAAAGCUUACCAGAAGUUGGUGAAGUUGGCCGAGCAUAGGUAUAGGGUUUUUCCCUACACGUGGUGAGAUUCGAUUGGCUAAGGUGGGCAUCCAAAUGAUGGAUUUGGAUGAGGAAAGAAAAUUCCAAAGAUAUUAAUUGUUUCAUAAUAUCUGGGGAAUAUCUUGAAAAUAUCCUUGAUUGGAUGAUUAUGAAUACUCGCUUGUUUGUUCGAUCUUCAAUCAGAAUAGUAUUAAAGCUAGGAUUACUAAAUCCUAUCUUUAAUGCCUUUGACUUUCCUCCUUACCAUGAACAUAGGAUCUUGGUGUGUCAUAGUCAGCUACUCUAACCUCCAAAGUUGUUGGACUGCGCAUGAGAAUCUUUAUAGGUCAUGCCCAUUAAUGAAGACAUUCUUGUCUGUUUUAAGAAGAAAUCCACAUCUCGCCUCUAAGAUUUUGUUGAAUUACUUUUGGCUCCACAUUAAUCAUUUUGUGUGGUUGAAGGAAAAUUUGUGAAAAACUAAGUUCAUUAAGCAACAAAAUACAUGCAUUUAACGAUUAAAUGGCGGAAGCAUGUUCCUAUGCACUUUAAAAGAAAAUUUAAACCAUAAAAUUCAAAGCCUAGUAAUUGUGGUGAACCAAGACUCAACUCAAAUCUUAAAGAAAAGAGUUGAGAAACUUUUAUACCUUUGAAGCACCUCUUUGCUUAGCAAAGGAUAUUCACCCAUGUGAGGGCCUUCUUUCCUUUGUCUCCUUACUCCUUGGCUCCAUGGAUGUGGAUGGAGGAACUUUGCUUCUUGGCUCCAUGACUUCUUGGAUAUGGAUGGAGGAAUGGCUUCUCCAAGUUCCCAAGAAAGGGAACCUUUAAGUUUCCACACCAAGGAGAGCAUUGAGGAAGAGAUGAGUGACCUAGGAAGAAAUGGAUGCUAGUGCAUUUCUUCCUAGGGAAGCCAACCUUCUAAGAGAAGAGAGAGCUUUGGUGUUUCACUCUUUUCUCUCUAGAAAAACCUUAAAUGAAUUUGGCCUAUAACUUUCCUUUUAUAGCCACUCACAUUUGAGUGGCAUGAAUAUAAUUAAGCCAAACUCUCCUCUAUGGCCGGCCAUUAGGUGUAAGUGGGCCUUUUGCCCUUUCAUGAUUUAAAUUGUCAUACAACUUAAGUCAUUUGGCUUGACUAUUCAAACCCCGAUGGGCCCGAGGCCUCAAAACUAACCCGAGUUCUAAAACGAACUUAUUUGUUUGAUUAAUUAACAUAUUAAUUAAUCUUAGACAUAAAAAAUUAAACCACUUAAUUAUCCUUACUCAACUCCGUUGUUUCUUCAAUCUCCACCUUACACAGUGUACGAUCCAUUAGGUUAUAAUUAGCGGGCGAUUAUAACUCUUUUAAUUGAUUGUGAAUUGAAACUUACUUUCAAUUCUCCCUUUAAUAAUUAUACAUCUUUCGGGAUUCCAUAAGCUAUAAGUGACACCUAGCAGUACGUCAUGGCUAGCCAAGCUAUACAAAAGAGUUGGAGAACCUAUUUAGUUUGGGAUUACAAUGCAAUACAGUCCUUUUGUAAUACAAUACUCUUGAUCACAUUGUUUGGUUUGAUAGUUUAUUCAUGUCUACUAUCCAAUGUGAUUCUCUUACUUAUAUGAUUACCUUGAAUGUGAUUUGGAACGACUUCUUAAAUCUCAUUCAUACUCCAGCCAAAGAUUCUUAAUCAUAUCAGAGUAUUCUCCCUCAACGGUUUGAACGUUAGAGAUCUCUUGUUGUGCAUUCACCUGCCUCUAUUUAAGUGGCUUAACCCCAACUAUGUUUUGGACACUCUCUAAUGGAGUGCCUUUGACACAGUCAAAGAUUAAGAACAUAAAAACAAGACAACUACGAUGCCUCAAGUCAAACGACUACUUUGCAUUAUCACAACCUUGAGUUCUCAUGUGACAUGAGUAUCAGAACUCCUUGUUGAUCACAUUCAAUGGACUCAUUCUCUAUUGAGCACCUACAUGCUUGUCUUGGUGUCAGUUUGUUUGGGCCCAAAAUAUUUAGUUUGGGCCAAGUGUGGAAUCAUUCUCGACCCGGAAGGAUUUAUUGUUAGGAGUCGUCUUGUUCAUGGGCCGCUUAAUUAGAGUCGGUUGAGCCUUAUUAGGAAAAGGAACGGCCUGGAUAAGGAAGAGGUGUGGAAAUUCUACAUAAAUCCUGAUGUGAUAAGGAAUCCCGGUAAGAUGAGGAGGUCGAGAUACACUUUGAAUACAGCCUGAUAGAAAGGUCAGGUUCAAAAUCCCGUUAGGAGUAGGAGUACUCGAGAUGGUGUUUGAUUAGAAGAAGAAGUCCUAAUCCGAGUAGGGUUUUAACUCGACCUAGAAGGUAUCCGGUGCUAUAAAUAGAGGAGGCUGGGCAUCGUUCAAAGCCCUUUCAAUUCAACACACAACUGCCCUGCGCAAACUCUCUCAACAACUUUGAGAUUUUUUAUUUUCUCCUUUCGCUGACACAUCUUCCAUUGGCAUCAAUAACACUGUGAAAGCAACCGGUGAUAUCUUUAGUCGACAUAGAUAGCUCUGUCGCCGUAGAAUUAGCCGAUCUCACAGCAUCUUCCAUUGGCAUCAACAGCACUGCAGCGAGGACGGUUGGUUACCUAUCCAAGUCUCGGUCGAGAAGGGUUUCCGAAUCCUUAUUAAACGAGGUCAUCUCAUUAGCCUUCUCGGCGAAGUGAGGUGUUACAGGUCACUGAGCUCGGCGCAUUGUACGCUGAGUUAUUUUAUGAUUGGAUACUCUCAAGUGGGAUUUAGAGUUCGGCAUUCAGACGGUUGAACCACGUUCAUUAUUAAGACUUAUAUCUGCUAUGAGUAUUUGUGCCCUUACACUUUGGUGUCGAUUCGACAAGAGUUUACUCUGACGAAUACCAUCAUUGUGGCCGAAUCCGAUGACGACGAUUUGUGAACUUCGUAAGAAUAGUAGCCUUGUCUUCAGGUUCGAGAACCCAAGAGGCUGAGAUGUCUUCCUUCCUCGGUCACAAUCGCAAGAUACAGAAGUCAGCCGCGCAACCAACGCAACAUCAACAAAUUUUACUUCUUGGCCGAGCUCAGUCGAUGAGUUGGCACGCCCCACAUUCACCGAAGGACGUAGUUAGCUUAUAGAUUACUCAGCCUGCGUGCCACGUAGGUUUGGUAGUUUUUAGGGUCAACAUUUUGGCACGCCCAGUGGGACUUAGUGCUAAACUACGAAGUUCAUGCCAAUUGAAAUGCGAUCGGUAAAAAAGAAAACAGUUAUGGGAAAAUCAACAACCGAUUUGCCAAUUCAGAACAUAGGACAAAGUUUGCCACAGACGCAGAAUCCCCUUAACGCCGUGACACCUGAGUCCAUAAGCGUGACUUGUCGAGAAAGGGAAGUUAAUCUAGGCGGUUAGCUUCGCAGUCUAGAAAUACCUAACAGAAACACCUGCGUUCUCAAUGAAGGGAUAAUGGAGAACUGUGAUGAGGAUGGUGGUGAAGGAUCUGAUCCACCAACAAGGUCGUUUCUUCGAAAAUGACUUGACGAGCAGUCUCGGACGGUUGAACAUACGCUUAGUCGAGGAAUCGAUAAACUGCAUGACGUGAUACGCAGUACCAGUGAGACACAAACCAGAUUGCUCGAAAUACUGGUUAGUAAGGUCAACGACGGCAGGUCUUUCGAUUUUUCCUAACACUUGCCACCAAGAAAUAAUCUGUUGCCAAUUGUAUAGGCCGAGUCAAUCCCUGCUCAGCUCAAACCAAUUGCCUUGGAAAAAGGAGGAGGAUCGAAUAGUAAGUCAGACGGAUCCGACCAUAGAGUAGAAGCAACACCCGUUGAUAUGACCGAGGUGCAGCGGAUGAUUGAUUCAGCCAUGAAAAAAAGGCCGAAGUUCCCUAAAUUUAUCCAUCUGUAUCCAGCCUAUGUGGAAAAAUUCGAAUAUCCUAAAGGUUUCAAAAUUCCAGAUUUUAACCUGUUUGCCGAAGGAUCAUCCUUAUCCUCGUUAGAACAUGUGGCUCAUUUCAUCGCGUAAUGCGUAGAUGUCAAUAGUGACUUUCACAAGCUGCGACUUUUCAACUUUUCGUUGACCGAUUCAGCAUUUGCGUGGUAUAUCAACCUCCCACCGAAUUCCGUCAAGAGCUGGGAGGAGUUGGUUGAGAAAUUUCACGAGCAGUUUUAUCAGCCGGGGAUGGAAAUGUCAGUGUCCUCAUUAGCAAUGAUGGCUUAAGCAUCUGAUGAGUCACCGAUGGAUUAUCUUACCAUAUUUAUGUUGGAAAUGUGCCCUAAAGCCAAUCAUAUGAUGAUACUUUACGGACAUUUUACAUGUUAAACUAAUCUAGUUUAAUAUAAAGGGCAAAGAUUAUUGUUUGAGCCGUCUCAUAUAAAUGUUAUAUGCUUAAACGAUAAAGUCCAAGGAAUAUGUGAUUGGAAGAAUGUAAUCUAAUGAAGUGUUCUCAUACUCAUGUCACAUGAGAACUCAUGUCACAUGAGAACUCAUGUCACAUGAGAACUCAUGUCACAUGAGAACUCAUGUCACAUGAGAACUCAUGUUUGGGAUAAUGCAAAUUAGUCCUUUGACCUGAGGCAUCACAGUUGUCUUGUGGUUAAGUCCUUGAUCUUUGAUUAUGUCAAAGUCACCCCAUCGGGGUGUCCACGGCAUCGUUGGGGUUAAGCCACUUAGUCAUGGAGGCAAGUGAAUGCGCAACAAGGGAUCUCUAACCUUCAAACCGUUUGAGGGAGAAUACUCUAUGAUAUGAUUUAGAAUCUCUGGCCAGAGUAUGAAUGAGAUUUAGAAAAGUCGUUCUAAAUCACAUUCAAUGAAAUCAUAUAAGCACACGAAUCACAUUGGAUAGUAGACAUGAAUAAAUAAACUAUCAAACCAAACAAUGUGGUCAGGAGUAUUAGAUUAGAGAAAGACCGUAUUGCAUUUGUAAUCCCAAACUGAAUAGGUUUUCUCUACCUCUUCUGAUUAGCUUAGGUAACCAUGAUAUGCUGCAAGGUGUCACUCAUGGUUUGUGGAAGCCCUAAACGUGUGUAAUCACUAAAGGGAGAAUUGAAAGUAAGUUUCAAUUCACAAUCGAUUUGAAAUGGUUUUAAUCGCCCACUGCCUCGCUAAAAGGAACCUAAUGGAUCGCACACCAUAAGAGGUGGAGAUUAAACGGAGAUGAGUAAGAAUGAUUAAAUGGUCUAAUCAUUUAUUUAUGGCAAGGAUUAAUUAAUAUGUUAAUUAAUCAAACGAAUAAGUUCGUUAAAGACCUCGGGAUAGGUUUUGGACCUUAAGGCCCAAUGGGCUUCGAACGUCAAGCCCAUUGACUUAAGUUGUAUGACAACUUAAUGAAUAAUGAUUCACUAAGACCCAAAAGCCCAAACAACACCCCAUGGCCGGCCAUUUAGAGGAAGGGUAGUGAACUUGCUUUAAUUACAAGUUUGCCACUCAAAUGAAUAAAGGUAUAAAUAUGACUUUAUAGCCUUUUAUUCAUUAGGGUUUCUUUUAGAGAAAAUUGGUGAGAACUUGUCUCUCCAUUUUCUCUCUAGGAGGCCGGCCCCUUGGGGGGUGCAUCUUGCAAUCCCACUACUCCAAGGUCACUCAUUUCUUCUCCAAUCUCUCCUUGGUGAAGAGACUUAGAGGUUCCCUACUUUGGGAACUUGGAGAAACCUAUUCUUCCAUCCAAAAAUAUAGAUUUAAGAUGCAAGGAAUGAAGGCCCUCUCUUUGGGUGAUUAGCCUUUGCUUAUGCAAAGAGGAAUCUACAAAGGUAUAAAUCUCAACUCACUUUGUUUUUGAGUUGAUUAAUGGUUCACCAAUCUACUAGGCUUUGAAUUUCUUGGUUAAUGUUUUGUUUUUAAGUGCAUGCUAGCAUGAUUCCGCCUUUAAUUGUUAAUUGCAUGCUAUAUGAUGUUGCUUAAAUGAACAUGUUUGCUAGAAAAUUUUCCUUCAAGUGGUAUCAGAGCCUAGGUCUAGUAGUUGGUGAAUCCUUUUGGGUUUUGUAGUUCAUAGUUUGUGAUUUAAAAGUUGUAAUAUGUUACAAGCUUUAUUCUUGUUUUUUGAAUGUAAAUUUUGCUAGAAAAUUUGCCAUCUCAAAUGUUGUAGAUGUAGUUCAUAUGAGCAUGAAUAUUGGAGCUAAAAUUUGGUGCCAUGACUUUGGGGAUUUUCGGCCAAAUCCAAAGGGUGGAUUUUUGGGUUCUUGUUUGACUUGUUAAAUGUGUUUUCAAGUGACUUUUGGAACCCUUAUGUACCCUAGUUUGGUUAGAUGUUAUUUCCCUAAAGUUUGAAUGGUUUUGGAAUGUUUUUGGGUGGAAAAAGUUCAUGGAAAAAUUUUGGGUUUUUCAUGAAUGUUCUUCAUUGUUCUUGACAUUUUUGCCAAGAACAAAAAGGUUUGUGUUUUGAUUCAAAGUUUUGAUUUAUUACAUAAAGUUUAUGUUUUAUGUUUUUCAAAUGUUUUAAUGCAUAAGAUAUUUAUUUGAAGGGUGAUGGAAAUGGUGAUGGGUGUGUAAGGAUUAAUUUCCUUUCACACACACCACUUGCACCACUUGUUGCUUUAUGUCUAAAACUCACAAAUCAACACACACAUCACUCUAUCCUCUUCCAAAACCGGCCACCCCCUAGUGGGGGUACUUUUGGGGCCUUUUAUGCAAUUACAUAAAGUUUUGAUACUUUUGUGUAUUUGCACUUUGGCCCAAAAGUUUACGUUUUUACGUUUAGGUCCAAAAACGCUAAAGGACAAAUUGUUUUGCUCCUUUAAUGAAGUUUUUGCAUUGAUUAAAUUUUGGGUUCUAAUGUAAUUACAUGAAAUAGUGGACUUUUGUGUCUUUACAAAGUGACCCCAAAAGUUUUGCAAUAUAGCCCAAAAGUUGAGGUUAAUUGCUUUAUAGCCCAAAUAAGUUGUGGUUAUUGCAUGAUGGCCCAAAUUAGGUUGAGAACAAAAUUGUUUUGUCUCUUUAAAUGAGAAUUGGAUUUUCAUUUUGUUUAGCUCCAUUUAAAUCAAUUUUAUGGAUACAAAAACCAAAUGAAAAUGUUGCAUUCAAUUUAAUUAGUUAAAGUGUUAAUUAAUUAAAGGGUGAUUAUGAACCUAAGCCUAAUAUAAUUGAGCUAUGUGAAAGGCCGUUUCAAAUUUGUUUGAACCAUGGGAAUGUGUAGAUUAAUUUUGGUUGUAAUUUGAUUUGAUCAAAUGUUGUAAAAGGGCUUAAGCUCUUCUUUACUUUAAAGUAAUUUGUUUUAUGCAAAUGUUGUAAUGAGCAUAAGCUCACCUUUACUUUGAAGUACUUCUUUCUUGCUUUAUUUGAUAUGCAUGAAAAUGAAGUAGUUGGGUCCAACGCCCCUAAGACAACACGCCUUAAUGUGAUUAAACGCGUAACUAAAUUCAAUCACCAUCCCUAGACCGAGAUUCAACACAAGGCUCGUGUUGAAUCUAAACAAAGGUUCAUAAUCAUCCUAAGGCCCUAAGGCAACUAUAUAGUCCAUCAAAUGAAUGCAAAGGUUAUGUUAGUAGUAUCAUAUACUCUUGCUUUAAAAACCGUUUUAUAAGCAUAGUGGGAGUAUUAUAUACAACUAAAAACAAUCAUAUGGACCAAUAGUUGUAAUAGGACCAAAAUUGUUUUAAUAGAGAUUAAAAUGUAUGUUUAUAUGUGAUGAGACCUAAAACCCUCAACCAAAUCAUUAUUAAGUUGAUAAGCGUGAGAGUGCUUAGAACACUCUUUCGUAGGCCUUCCACCGUGGUGGGCUCCAAUCGUUUAUGACUUGUACACCGGCUUCACCCUAUCAUGGGGGAGUACAAAGUGCAUGCUUAUACUCAGGAGGAAUCCAUAAACAUAUGAUGAGGUUAGUGUAGGCAACGAGGAUAGUCAAUAUCAUAUCAUUGUGAGGCUAUCUUGAACCCCUUCACGAACUAAGCAUGGUGGGAAUGACUUAACUAAGUGCAAUGGAGCCAAUAUCAUAUCAUUGUGAGGUGACAUUCUCUAGAGGCCAAAUAAGAUGGGUACUUGCAUUAGUUGCAAAUGAGUAAGCGUACUCUCUCAUUAUUAUUAAUGCUAGCCAAUAUCAUAUUAUUGUGAGGUGGGCUUGGUAAUAGUGAGCCUCCCAUAACCUACUAAAAGUUUCAUCCAAAACUCUCGAAUUCCAAUGAGGGAUAUGGAAUUUGCCAAAAAUAGUGGGUGAUGCUAUUUGAUUUAAAGACCCGAAUCAAAUAGCUUAAAAUCAAUCAAUUUAUAUUCGUUAUGUAUUUGUUUACCAAUAUAUUUGCAAACGCUAUCCAACACUUGACAAAUAAAACCGAAUGUUUUAGUUUCCGGACUUGGUACCACAAUCCCAAAGAAUGUCUUAAAAGGAUUGCAUAUGUAUCUAAGUAGUCUCAUCCUCACAAUCUUCCUAAUGUUAAUGUAUCAUUGGAAGAACAUGUUAGAAAAGUCUAUCAUGAAGAGGACAACACAAACAACCAAUGCUUAUUCCUUCGUUAUAAUGAACAAAGGAACUUACGAAGAUUAGCAUAAAGAAAAGGACACUUUUAGUGUUAUUAGUUCUUCACUUACAAAUCGUUGUAUGAAGAAAUAAUGAGUUGUUUUGAAACAACCCUUAGUCAAUGCAAACACUUAGUGCUUGUUUCUUUGUUAAAUGAACAAAGAACUUAAGAAGAAAGCACAAAGGCAUGGACACUUAAUGUGCCAUGAUUCUUCACUUACAAAUUGUUGUAUGAAGAAAUGAGAGUUGCUUUGAACAACUCUUGAAAGUUUGUAAUUAUGUUUAGAACAUAAUGGUUGGUUGACAAAAAUAGUCCAUCAACAUGGACUUAUGAUGAUUUUGAAUCAUUGAGUGUUGAAGUAUUAAAACACUUCUAGAGACGGGAACUAGGCAAGGACUUCACCUUUGUGUCCCUAUCCUAAUCGUUCACUAAGUUUAUUGUAAACUAUGUAGUGUACAAUAACCACAUGCUCUCCAAAAUGUUUGAUGUGUAUAACACAAUUGAAAUAAGUUUCAAGAGAGAUAGUGGGAGUUUAGGGACCUUGACUAUGGUAGUCAAAGGAGAAGUCAAAUGAAGAAAGCAAAAUAACUCCAAGGGAACAAACUUUCUUUAUGAAAGGAUGGACAUUGGAAGGGGUAUUUGCAAGAAAUGUCUUGCAAGUGUCAAGAACACACCUUUCGAAGGCGUUGUAAAUUGUUCUUGAAUAGUUCAAAACAGUUGGUUCUUCUACUUGAAUGCUUGAUUCCGUAUUAGUAACUAAGUUUUACAAUCGUUGUAAAAGUAUGGCUAAUAAGAAGUAGAAGAUAUAUGAGAGAAGAGAAAGUACUUCACAUUCGGAAAGUGAAUAAAAUAUAGAUUUCUGCGAAAGCAGAUGGUACUUACUUCCUCAUAUGAAUUACCAAAGAAAUUGGAAAAACCAAAGAUUGUCUUUACAUUCCAAUUUUAAGGAAUUUAAUUCCGUCACUAUAGUAGAGAUGGAUGAAUGUUUUGUUUGACAAAACAUUGUUCUUUAUUAAUCAAUGAUUAGAUUAUUGUAAUCUAAUUAAUUAUCUCUAUAGUAGAGAUGAUAUGGUAGUGUUAACUGUUUAGAAUAUAAUGAUGCUUAAAAACCCAAAAGGUUGCAAAGUAGUGACUAAUCCCAACUAAAGUUGUGAUACCUCUAAAACAUAAAUUACGAGUUGGUCAUAGAUGGACGCUUUGGAUCAUUAGAUCCGGAUCCAAUACCUUCUUGUUAAAAUUGUAUAGAGGCGAAAUGUUCGAAUCUUUAUUCUUUUGGAAAGAAGAAAGAAUCACAAGUUGUUGAGGUUAAUUCACUUAGAUGUUAGUGGCAUUUGUCCACAAACAUAAUACUACUCAUGUUGGAUAACAUUCACCGAAGAUCACUCUCGGUUGGACUAUAGUUUAUUUUUGAAUAAACACAAGUCCGAAUACUUUGCAAAAUGUUUCAAAGAAUUCAAGAAAUGUAAGUUGAUGAGUAAGACGUCUAAAGUAUUUACAUCCUCAGAUUUGAUCCAAGGAAUGGUAACACUUUAGAAUAGUUUUCUUGAAAGAUAUCAAGGAAAGAAGCAUCAUAAGAUAAUGGAUUUCUCCAUUAGGAGAAGAACGAACUUGAAUAAGAUUUAGUUCGUUGGAUAUUAUCAAUUACCCAUAUAUAUAGGAUAUAUACUUCUAAAAACAAUAUGAUUGUCAAUUAGAAGAUCUUCCAAAUUUUUCAUGACUCCAUAAGAUGUAGUUGGAAAGAAAGACAAAUCUUAAGCAUGUUAAGAUUUGGGGUUGUGUGUUAAUACACAAUAUUUGUUUGAUAACAAUCUUGUAGGAUAUCCUUAAAUUAACUUUUGGAUAUCGCUUCUAUGAACCAACUAACAAAUGUUGUUUUGUUGGGUAGUUCAUUGUAAUCCUACAAUGUGAUUUGCCUAAGAGCAAAUGAAUGAAGGAUAGAACUCAAAGAAUGGUUCUUUGAGAGACAAGAAAGUAAUCAACAAAUAUAACAACCUAGUUCCUAUACCACAAGCUCCAAGGUAGUCGAGAAGGAUUUAUAAACCGUCUCAGUUGAAUGGUUUGAACUUUAUGACUAUGUCAUAGAGUUGCACCUCUUAAUUCGAAAGGUAAAGUACCAUGAGAAUGGUUUGAAAAUCCUUAUGACUACAUUGAGUGCAUAUACGAUAUAUACUCAUGAGAAUGGUAAAGUACCAUUUGACCCGAAAUAAUGAAACCUUCAUAAGCUAAUUGGUAGCUUAAGGUGACUACAAUCAAAUAGAAUGGUUGACUUUGAAGGAACCAUUUUUGACGUAGUCUUAGUUUCAAUUAAUUCGAAGAUUGCUAGCUACAACUAAAUGGUGAUUCAAUGUUUGGACAUAAUAUGGGUUUCCGAAACCAUUAUUAAGAUAGUCUUGAUAAUAUAUGUCUAAAACUAUGAAUCACAAGACAUAUAAGUUGUAGAGAUCCAUCCAUCAUGGAUCUUAGCAAGCUAGUGGGAGCUAUAAGCGUCUUAUGAGAGAAAGGUCAAAUCGUUUGAUUUCUCAUAAAGAUGUAAAUGAAUCUUUUGUUUACUAGUUUUACAAAAGAUUAGUGGGAGUUAAUCAUAUUCCUAAAUUUGUAUAUAUAUAUAUAUAUAAAUAUAUAUGUGAUAUAUAUGAAUAUAUGUAUGAUAUAUUAAUUUUGGAAAUGAAAAGAAUAUUUCUUCGUUAAAGUUAUGACUUUAAACAUUAUAUGAAGAUAGAAUGUAUAUGGGAGACAUAGUCUAUAUACAUGGGAAUCUAUAUUGAUAGAUUUUAGGAUAUAAUUUGAUUAUAUAAAUCCCUAAUAAUAGACAAAAGAUGCUAGGAAGUUUCUCAUAUGAUGAUAAACUUUAAUCAAAAAGAACAACUCUAGUGAGACUAGGAGGUAGCUCUUCUCAAAGGGAACGUACCCUUUGACUCCCAAAGAAAUAAUGCGUAAAUAGAAUCCUUUAUGCGUAAGCAGAAAGGUGAUUUAUGUAUUUCAUAUUGUAUGAAAAACAUUGAUAUGGGUUGUACCUAGAAAGGUACAAGACGAUAUCAGUGUAAGCCCAGGAUCAGAACCAUGGCAACUGUCAAGUAAGUCCUUAAGUAUUUAAGAAAUACUAAAGGAUAAAUUCCUCAAAGAUUGAGGAAGAAUUAGAGUAACGUAAUGGAAGCGUAAAUGUAUUAAAUUAUGAAUCUAAUACAUCAUUGGAUGUUUCUUCAUUAUGAAUGAAGAGAUAAACGGAUAUCUCUUUAUUAUGACUAAAGAGAUAUUUGGAUGGAAACAUUAAAGUAAUGACUUUAGUGUGUUCCAUUAUGAAUGCAAAAUAUAUUGCCAUAUAGAAGUUUACAACAAUGUUGUUUGGAUGGGAAAGUUCAUUUAUGAACUCUCUAUUCGGUUCCAACCAGAAAGUGUAUGACACUAAUGGGGCGAUAGCUCAAGCCAGGGAAUCAAGGUCUCAUCAAGGUUCGAACUCAAAUGAGAGACUGAACCACAUGAUUGAGAAUCAUGUAUAAUGGUGACGUCGUUAUUCUCAAGGUUGCUUCUAUGGAUAACAUAUAGAUAUCCAUUGCCUAGGCCUACUAUUCAGCCAUUUAUGAAAUGACUACAGAAGAGGUAUCAUCACUGACUAAGCUGAUUGGCUCUAGUGCAAGUGGGAGAUUGUUGGAAAUGUGCCCUAAAGCCAAUCAUAUGAUGAUACUUUACGGACAUUUUACAUGUUAAACUAAUCUAGUUUAAUAUAAAGGGCAAAGAUUAUUGUUUGAGCCGUCUCAUAUAAAUGUUAUAUGCUUAAACGAUAAAGUCCAAGGAAUAUGUGAUUGGAAGAAUGUAAUCUAAUGAAGUUAGAUUCAUGAGACCAUUCUUUCGUAGACACAUCCUAAAUGUUCCUGAUCAUAGGAUUGCCAAUUGGGCAUGGACAGUCCGUCAAGAUCGGUACGUGCUAUGUCUUCUCUCAGGGAGAGUGACUAGUCUCGAGUAAUUGGUGUGUGUGACAUCAAGACAAGUACGUAGGUGCUCAGUAGAGAAUGAGUUCACUGAACGUGAUCAACGAAGAGUUCUCAUACUCAUGUCACAUGAGAACUCAUGUUUGGGAUAAUGCAAAUUAGUCCUUUGACCUGAGGCAUCACAGUUGUCUUGUGGUUAAGUCAUUGAUCUUUGAUUAUGUCAAAGUCACCCCAUCGGGGUGUCCACGGCAUCGUUGGGGUUAAGCCACUUAGUCAUGGAGGCAAGUGAAUGCGCAACAAGGGAUCUCUAACCUUCAAACCGUUUGAGGGAGAAUACUCUAUGAUAUGAUUUAGAAUCUCUGGCCAGAGUAUGAAUGAGAUUUAGAAAAGUCGUUCUAAAUCACAUUCAAUGAAAUCAUAUAAGCACACGAAUCACAUUGGAUAGUAGACAUGAAUAAAUAAACUAUCAAACCAAACAAUGUGGUCAGGAGUAUUAGAUUAGAGAAAGACCGUAUUGCAUUUGUAAUCCCAAACUGAAUAGGUUUUCUCUACCUCUUCUGAUUAGCUUAGGUAACCAUGAUAUGCUGCAAGGUGUCACUCAUGGUUUGUGGAAGCCCUAAACGUGUGUAAUCACUAAAGGGAGAAUUGAAAGUAAGUUUCAAUUCACAAUCGAUUUGAAAUGGUUUUAAUCGCCCACUGCCUCGCUAAAAGGAACCUAAUGGAUCGCACACCAUAAGAGGUGGAGAUUGGAGAUUAAACGGAGAUGAGUAAGAAUGAUUAAAUGGUCUAAUCAUUUAUUUAUGGCAAGGAUUAAUUAAUAUGUUAAUUAAUCAAACGAAUAAGUUCGUUAAAGACCUCGGGAUAGGUUUUGGACCUUAAGGCCCAAUGGGCUUCGAACGUCAAGCCCAUUGACUUAAGUUGUAUGACAACUUAAUGAAUAAUGAUUCACUAAGACCCAAAAGCCCAAACAACACCCCAUGGCCGGCCAUUUAGAGGAAGGGUAGUGAGCUUGCUUUAAUUACAAGUUUGCCACUCAAAUGAAUAAAGGUAUAAAUAUGACUUUAUAGCCUUUUAUUCAUUAGGGUUUCUUUUAGAGAAAAUUGGUGAGAACUUGUCUCUCCAUUUUCUCUCUAGGAGGCCGGCCCCUUGGGGGGUGCAUCUUGCAAUCCCACUACUCCAAGGUCACUCAUUUCUUCUCCAAUCUCUCCUUGGUGAAGAGACUUAGAGGUUCCCUACUUUGGGAACUUGGAGAAACCUAUUCUUCCAUCAAAAAAUAUAGAUUUAAGAUGCAAGGAAUGAAGGCCCUCUCUUUGGGUGAUUAGCCUUUGCUUAUGCAAAGAGGAAUCUACAAAGGUAUAAAUCUCAACUCACUUUGUUUUUGAGUUGAUUAAUGGUUCACCAAUCUACUAGGCUUUGAAUUUCUUGGUUAAUGUUUUGUUUUUAAGUGCAUGCUAGCAUGAUUCCGCCUUUAAUUGUUAAUUGCAUGCUAUAUGAUGUUGCUUAAAUGAACAUGUUUGCUAGAAAAUUUUCCUUCAAUUUAAAUCGGCCAGGAAUUGGUGCCGAGUACCUCUCCCCGAAGUCGAAUUUGUUAGACUUGCUCCGAACGGUCUUGACGUAGAAUACAAAAAGAAAUUCUUGGGGGCAAACUUUCGGAAUAUGUAUGAACUAGCCCAGCAUGUCGAGCAAUAUGAUUAUUUUCUCUGUGAAGAGAAGAUCUCGAAAGCUCCAUCCCGAGGGACGAUCUACAAAAAUCCCACUGUUAGUUACGCAUCAACCGAAUGUGAGGAGUCUCAAUGUGUCAGUGUAGACGCAUCUGAGAUAGUAAUAGAUAAACUAUACGUUUGCAAGGCGCUGACUCAUAUUGACUCUAAGGAUGUCAAAACUCGCUCGGCCACUGAAGAAAUAAUGAAUACGUCAAAAGUUUACACUUUUGAUAUUACAAAGGCCGACGUAAUUUUUGAUCAAUUGUUAUCAGCGGAUCAUCAAACUUCUGCCUGGGCAUAACAUUCCCAAGGUCGAAGAGCUUAAAGGAAAGAUAUAUUGCAAGUACCAUAACUCAAGCAAACAUACGACAAAUAACUGCGUCGUGUUUUGAGAUAAUGUCCAAAGCUGGAUUGAUAAUGGCAAACUUAGAUUUCCCAUGGCAACAGUAAAUAUGGUAGAUGCUCGCCUACCUAGGGACAAAGGGAAAUAGAAGGUAGAGGUCGUUACAACGCAACGGUUUCUGAAUCAGAAUUCUCGGCCACGUUUCAAUGCUAAUUUCCGUUCAAACAAACCACCUACAGCUCUCACGGGACCCGCUAUUGUCAAGCCCAUGACAGAUUACAGCACUGAUGAAGAAGGUGGGUCAGUAGUUUUAUGCAGAAAGUGUAAAGCAAAUAUCAGUGCCGUGCCGAAGGAAAAGUCAUCUCCGGCUAUGAUGGAACAACCUACAACCACAACACAGCGGAAGGUGCUCGAUGCAGGUCAACAUCAAGGGGUUUUUGAUAGGCUCGGCCCUAAGAUGAGGGUUGAAAAGAAACCUUCAGUCAGGCGGCUCCUUGACUUUGAUGCUCCGUUUUAUGACGAAGACUAUUACAUACGUAAUUUUAGCGGCUCAGAAUCAUCGCAGAGCCAGAAAACUUUCAAACCUCCCGAACCUCGAGACCAUCGUUGGUAUACAUAUCACUCUUCAAAAGGCGUGUACACUGCACUGUCCAAAUCCCAGAAACGUCGGCACCAAAGAAUAGACUGCAUGGCUCGCCGACGGGCAGCCCAAGAAACUUUGGUCCCUAAAUGGCGGCCGAAGGAAACAGUUGCCAAUGAUGAUGAACGACCAUCCCUAACUAUUAUGACAGAACUGGUUCAAGGGAAACGGCUGGUCAAUCGAUAUUUUGAAACCACAUUUGAGGAGGCUGAUAAACGGAUCAAGCUUCUUCUUCGGCCUGGGGAAAUGAAGGCACGCCUCGAGCAUUUCAGGUAGGAAGCUGAAAGUAAACUCCCCCCGCUAACCCAACAAGAACCUUUGAUUAAAAUUCGACGGAAUUUACAUCCACCGUUCCUCAGGGAGGCCUUGGAAUAUAUGCGAGAAUUUCAUAAAAAACAUUCGGCUAACGAUCUAUAUGGUUUGCCGAAAGCAUGUCAAGAUACAAUUGAUCUCGUCCUAGCUUGCCCGGGCGCCGAGCGAAUUAUUCAAAAGACCUCAGACCCAGGGUUGAAAGCUAGGUUCCAACACAUACGAGAAGCUCAAGUCCUUGGCUUUGAAGUCGACCCAUACACUAAUAUCGAUGCGGUAGACCUUCCUUUCUCAUUAGAGGACCUUUAGUAUUUACGAUAGCACUUUGAAGUUUUUUCAGCCGUUUCUCUCUUCGGCCUUACAACCGAUGAAAUAACACGAGUCGCACAGUUGGAUGCCUAUCUCGAUAUUAGGGAUGCCCGUAUAAUGUACCAAGAGCAAGCUCGUAUCCUGGCAGUAAUCCCAGGCACAAUUACGAUUUCAGACGAACCUGAGGCAUCUAAACAGAGCAAACAGACUUCCGACGAGACACCACAGGAACAAACCAUUGAAGAAUGAGCAGAUGAGUCUCUUAGUACAACUCCGACGGAAACAGAUGCCGUGAUUGGUGACCAGGAAAAAGAAGAGCCUGAAGAGGAGGAUCAUAACCCUAUGGGCCCGUUGGUCCUGAAUAACAUGGAAAUCAGUAUGGUCCAUGUUUUGCCUGCUGAUUUUCAGCCGAGUACAUCUCAACCGAAUUUCCUCGACGGCGAUGUAGUUGCCGAGGAAGCCGGUCACAUUGAUUUGUAACUGUUGCCGAAGAUGAGUCAACAACAAAAACAGACAACCUCAAAGCAACUUUGGCCAAAUUAUUCCCUCGAUCAUCAUCGGCCAAACUUCAUCAUUUGAAGCCAUUGUAUGUAACGGCCCAUAUCGAAGGGUAUCCAGUCUCCAAAGUUUUUGUCGACUGUGGAGCCACCAUCAAUAUCAUGCCUAUAAACAUCAUGAAGGCAUUACGUCACUCUAACGACGAACUUAUCCCCUUUGGGAUCACAAUGAGCAGUUUCGUCGGAGACAAAUCCCAAACCAAAGGGGUGCUUCAUUUAACGGUAAACAUCGUCGGCCGUAAUCACAUGACUGCCUUUUUCAUCGUCGACUCCAAGACCGAGUAUAAUGCACUGCUCGGUCGAGACUGGAUUCAUCAAACUAUCUGUAUUCCUUCGUCAUUAUAUUAAGUGCUCAUUUUUUGGGACGGCAAAUUGGUCAUUGUUCACCCGGCCGAUAAUCAGCCAUUCGAAGCUAACAUGAUCCAAGCACGGUAUUAUGAUGACCACGUCGGCUACAUCACCCUACAAGGUUUCAAUGAUGAAGGACGGUCGACUCAGAUUUCUGUUUAGAAAGCUAUCGAGGUUGGUGCCGAAACUAUCCACCAGGAUUCGACGAGACUUGGGUUAGCUGACUUCAUCCUCGAUCCCGAUGUCUGACAUCGAUCGGGAAAAACGUCGGGCCGCGGUUUCAUCUACUAUGGAACGACUGCUGGCUCAUUGGUAUACUAUCUCUAAGCAACCAAAUUCAGGUGUUAACCUCGUAGAGUUCCUCGCCGAAUGAGAUAAUGGUCCUGUCUUAUCUCUUGACAAAAUUCAAGCUGCCACGGCCGAGCUCGAAGAAAAUCGGCCCCAAGUCAAGGUCUCAUUGGAAGAAAUUAAUGUUGGGACAGCCGAUGACCCACGACCUUUAUUUAUUAGUACUUUGCUCCCCCAACCUAUGAAAGCUGAACUUCGUGCUCUGCGUGAAGAGUUCAAAGAUUGUUUUGCUUGGAGCUACCAUGAGAUGCCUGGCUUAGAUUGUAAUCUCGUCGAACAUGAGUUACGUAUUAAACCUGGGUGUAAACCUUUCCGUCAACCACCUCGACGAUUCUCGACCGAAGUGCAACUUGGCAUCAAGGAUGAACUUGUUCGUCUCUUGAAAGCAGGGUUCAUUCGGACAACUCGAUACGUUGAAUGGUUGGCAAAUAUAAUUCCUAUUUUAAAGAAAAGUGGUGCAUUGUGCAUUUGUAUCGACUUCCGAAAUCUGAAUCUGGCAACUCCUAAAGAUGAGUAUACAAUGCCGAUUUCAGAUUUAUUAAUCGAUACCGCAGCGAAUCAUGCGAUCUUAUCUUUUAUGGAUGGACAUGCCGGGUACAACCAAAUUUUCAUUGCCGAAGCCGAUGUGCACAAGACUGCUUUUCGCUGCCCGGGGGCACUCGGCACAUACGAAUGGUUUGUCAUGCCAUUCGGCCUCAAGAACGCUGGUGCCACGUACCAACGAGCAAUGAACACCAUAUUUCAUGAUUUAAUUGGAACCAUCGUCGAAGUCUACAUCGAUGAUGUUGUAAUCAAGUCUAAACGUCGGCAGACACAUCUGGAUGAUCUCUGACAGGCUUUCCUCCGCAUGCGUCAACACAACCUCAAAAUGAAUCCUGCCAAAUGUGCCUUCGGUGUGUCAGCCGGUAAUUUUCUCGGUUUCCUCGUGCAUCACCGUGGGAUUGAAGUGGAUGAAAAUAAAGCACGCGUAAUCAUCAAUGCCCCACCCUCGACGAUGAAGAAACAACUACAGUCCUUACUCAGUAAGAUAAAUUUUCUCCGCCGAUUUAUAGCUAACUCGGCGGGUAAAAUGAAAGCGUUCUUUACGCUUUUGAAACUCAAGGACUCAGAUAAAUUUGAGUGGAAAGACGAGCAUCAGGUGGCGUUUACACAAAUCAAAGUCUCCCUCAUGACACCACCUGUCCUCGUCCCCCCUCGGCGUGGUAAGCCUCUUAAGUUAUAUAUUUCAGCGGCCGAAGAGUCCAUUGGCUACCUCCUCGUGCAAGACAAUGAUGCCAGAUGAGAGCAGGCUAUUUUUUAUCUUAGUCGAAAUCUCAACCAACCAGAGAUUAAUUAUUCUGCCGUUGAGAAGCUUUGCCUCGCUUUAUUUUUUGCCGCAUCAAAACUUAGGCAUUACAUGCUCCCGUCGGUCACCCAGGUCAUUGCCCAGACCGACGUCAUCCACUACAUGCUCACUCGGCCAAUAGUAAAAGGCCGAAUUGGGAAAUGGACAAUGGCGCUGUCCGAAUUCAGCUUGCAAUACGUGCCCCAGAAAGCUGUCAAAGGCCAGCAACGGCGUCGAAAUUGGCAUGGUUGAAAAGUGCGAUAACUACUGGACGAUGUACUUUGAUGGCUCCAAUAUUUCAUCCUCGGCUGGCGUUGGAGUUGUCAUUCAAUCCCUAAACCACGAUCGUUGGUAUUUUUCAAUCCAACUGGAUUUUGAUUGCACAAAUAAUCAAGCCGAAUACGAAGCCCUUAUCAUCGGCCUUGGAAUCCUUCACGACUUGCGUGCGACCCAUGCCCUCAUCCUCGGCGACUCCAAACUUGUGAUUAACCAACUCAAUGGUUCUUUUCGAUGCAUGAGUUGUACCCUGGCACCCUACCACAUGGUUGCCAGCUAUUUGGUCGAAUCUUUCGACGGUAUUACAUUUGAACAUAUUUCCCAGAUUCAUAAUACCGCCGCAGACGAGUUGGCUCAAAUCGCCUCUGGUGCACAACUCCUGGGGGGCAAGCUAGGCCAAGAAAUACCUGUGUUACGACAGCUAUACCCGACCUUGGUUAACCAACAAGUCAUCUGACGUGACAACGUGAUACGACAAGAGUCAUGUCCUUACCUUCGUUGUUAGACCGACAAGAACUUAUUGAUGUUUACGCUGUCGAGGUGAUACCAGAUGACUGGCGAAUGCCCAUUAUGCGGUAUCUUAACAACCCCAAUGGCAAACACGAUUGUAAGACAAAAGUUUAUGCCACAAACUAUGUCGUGUAUCAAAACGAGUUAUACCGAAAAGGUGAUGAUGGUUUAUUACUGCUAUGUCUCAGCCCCCAAGAGGUUGCUCAGGCAAUCAUAGAGGUCCAUGAAGGGAUUUACGGAGCUCAUCAGUCCGGACGUAAAAUGCGAUGGCUGCUUCGACGGCACGACUACUUUUGGCCAAGUAUACUAAAGGAUUGUAUCGAGUUCGCACGAGGGUGCAUACAGUGUCAGAUUCAUGGUUCUAUACAAAGGGUCCCGGCUAAGUCAUUACACUCGCUCACUAAACCAUGGCCGUUUAGAGGAUGGGCUAUGACGUAAUCGGCAAAAUCACACCAUCUUCUGGGGCUGCCAAGCAUGAUUGGAUACUGGUAGCAACCGACUACUUCACUAAGUGGGUCGAAGUGAAAUCGUAUGCCAAGUUAACGUCGAAAGAUGUUUGCGACUUUAUGGAAGAACACAUCGUGACCAGAUUCGGCGUGCCAGAAACGAUCAUAACUGACAAUGGCACAAUUUUUACAACCGAGAGGUUUAAAGAAUAUACGGUAAGCCUGAAAAUUCAGCUUGAACAAUCUACACCGUAUUACCCACAAGCAAAUGGGCAGGCCGAGGCGAGUAACAAAGUGUUGAUCGGUAUUCUCAAAAAAAUAAUAAAGGAGAGGCCUGGCAUGUGGCACUUAAAGUUGAACCAGGCUUUAUAGGCAUAUCGAACAUCAUUUCGAUCAGCGACCGGGACAACCCCGUAUGCACUAACCUACGGACACGAUGCAAUGUUACCAGUCGAGUUAAGCAUAAAUUCGUUGCGAAUGAUUGAACAAAGUAGUCUAUGUAGCGCUGAAUAUAAUCAGUCCAUGAGACAUGAGUUAGAAGAUUUAGAAGAAGUGCGAGUUGACGCUUAUAACCUGCUCGUGGCACAGAAACAGAUUGCCGAGCAAGCUUAUAAUCAAAAGGUUAGACAGAAAACAUUUGGCGAAGGAGAAUUAGUUUGGCAAACGGUGUUGCCCGUAGGAAUUAAAGACCCCAUGUUCAGCAAAUGGUCGCCAAAUUGGGAAGGGCCAUUCGUCAUACAUAAGGUUCUCUGCAAAGGCGCAUAUCAUCUUAGAGACCGGACCGGUUUAGUUCACAGAUUACCAAUCAAUGGGAAGUUUUUAAAGAAGUACUAUCCGGUCACAUGGGAAAUGCGGGAAUAGAAAUUCAUUUCAUUAAGAUCGACAAAAAAUACACAAAUUGAGUAGGUCGAUCAGUUUACAUUUAAAUAAAUUUAGGGCGAAGAAGGAAGAAGAGUGCCGAGAAGGGCCUUCAGCUCCAACCAUCGCACCUCGCCCAUUAUGACCUCGGCCUGCCUGUUCUUCUUGUCCAUCUUCAACUGCUCAGUUCGUUUCACGCUCACCGCGUACUCGGUUAAACAAUCUUUGCCGCCCGACUCGAAGUCCUUCGCAAGCUCAGAAGCAAUAGCCGACCUUCGUUUUGCUAAUUCAGCUACUUGACGGUUGAGGUCGGCCAAGGCUUCUCCUUUCGCCUUUAAGGCAUCGAUCUUCGAUCGAAGAGCGUCUUGGACGGCCACGGCAGCUUUUAGAUCUUGUUCAGCCCUCAUAGCGUUUUCGAAGACACUAAAGGUUUCCCGAACGUGCUCCAAGGUAGACGAUGCUUGAACGAUAGCCUCGGCGCUCAUUUGACCAUCGGCUCCGAGGUUGUUUAGGCAUGCACCCAACAAAUCAAGACUUUUGCGCUCAAUGACUUGCGAUGCCAAGAGAGACAAGACUUAUUGCAACUGAGCCAGAAUAGUUGAAUCAGCGGGUUCAGUUGUGGUGGUCGAAGGGCCAGCCGCUCCGGUAGUACUUGACAAGAGAGCUUUGAACUCGACUUCCCAUGAAGACUGCACACAAAAAUCAGUUUAAGCUCAAGGAAAUCACGAAAAAGAUAGCAAGAAGCUUUUGUUUUAAACCUACCGAGAGGAGACUUCGGCAAUGUCUUCAGGUUCGUUGCUCGAACCUAAAGAACUCAAUGGCCGAGCCCAGUAUCUUAGACUGCUUCUCAGUUCACGCGGCCGAUGGAGGUUAUCUACGUUCGAUGGCCACUGAGGCGGCCAAGAAAUAUAGAUAACACCCUUCGGCGCAUAGAAUUUUCGAUGAAAAGAGUGGGCAGGCACCUGACAUUUAAUAUUUUCCCGGUUUAGAGCUCUAAGACAGAAAAAUAACCAAGGAAAAGCGGUAGAGGCACUUACGAAGGCCGAAGUGGCUUCUUGGGGGGGAAUGUUGAGGUCCUGGUCCUGGGAUGAACAGGCGUUUCCGCUGUCGCUUCUGGCUCUACGGCAGGUCAUUUGCCAUGAUCGGCCGCAGAAGGGAUGACUUGGACAGCUGCCUCGGAUGCAGGGGGAGGUUGAUUGCGGGGUUGAAGGUGACCCGCUAGCGAAAUCUCGUCACUCCCAUCGCUCUCUUCUGGCUCUACGACAGGACGUUUACCACGGUCGACCGCAGAAGGACCGACUUGGACAGCUGCCUCAGACGCAGGGGGAGGUUGAUUGCGUGGUUGAAGGUGACCCACCAGCGGAAUCUCGUCGCUCCCGUCGCUCUCUUCUAGAACGACUGCCGCAUGUUUUGGAUUUUUAGGGGGAGUUCUCUCGGCCAGGGGGACUGCCUCUUCCACGACAGGUGCAGCGGCCGACCCCGAAACUACAGACGGCUCGACCGGUGGAGCAGUCCUUGACUCGAUCACGACUAGAGGGUUAGGACGAGCUUUGGACGCCUGACCUGUCGGAGCUGGCUGCACAACCGUUGGGAUACGUAUGGCUGGGGUGGAAGGAGAAACAUCAGGAGUAGCUGUUCCCGUCGUCUGGCUAGAGAUGACAUGAAUUUCUUGUUGCCCUUUGUUUGCCAAUUUCUUAAUGCGUUUUGUAGGACGAGGGACUACGAUGGUCGUCUUAGUCUCCUGUCGAGGUAGUUUGCUCGGCUUGGAAGAGGGGAUUGCCUUUUUCUUGGCUGCAGUUGGAGCCACCGUUUCUACCUUUUUCAACGCUUGGCUGCCUGAGAAUUAAAAACCAAGUCAAUAACAGUAAGGAUAUAUAUAUCUAAAUAUAUAAAGGAAGCUAUAUACCAUGGGUAGCCUCCUUAGGUUGGGGAGCAGGAGCCUUGUGAGGACGAUCGCCGAAAAUCUUGUUAAUGACAUCUUCGACCAGUGCGCUGAAGAAGCUAUGAGUGUAUUCUUCCCACCAAUCGUCGAAGGUAUCGGUGCUAAGAGAUUCUGGAGUGACCGGUCGAAGGUGAAAUUUUUGGCAUCGCUCCUGAAACUCCUUUUUGGCGUCAUUACAUUCCUUUUCUGAAGAACCAGUUCGCGUCCGCAGCUUAGGACAGACCGUGAGAAGAGAAGGGGGACCGGGCAACCUUGAAGGAAGCCAAGCUACCGAGCGAGGAAGUUGGGAUGAUACACUUCCUAACCCGUACCAUCACAGCUGAGAGGCAGGUUGCGGGUAAGCACGAAAGACCCCUAGGAUUGACGAAGGUCAGCAUCUUCAUCCGCGCCCCACACUGAUGUAGGAAGCCUGAUCGACGAAGGGUAUUCUUAACGACGACAUAUCAAGAACUUGUCAUUAGAAAGAUCGUCGAGAGCGAAAAAGUAUUUGAACACCUCUUAAGCUUGGUGAGGGGGUGUUGGCCGAAAAGCCAGCUAAGGGCCGAGCACCUCCGUAGGCGAGAAAUCAUCAAUCGUUGGCCGAAGAGGGGCGAAGUAGACCUGCAACCAGAGUUGGAAGACCCAGAGAGGACCAGUCCGGUAUGGGUCGACCUUAUCUAAGGUCGUCUCAGCCAAGCAGCGUAGGAGAUGGGCGAGAAUGGCCGGGCUGAGUGCUAGAUCGUGAUCGCUAGCUAGGGCUUCGGGCACUGGCAUGUUCUCGACCAGACACUUAUUGGAUUUGAUACAACAGAUAAAUUUGUUAUACCAAUAAAAGAGGAAAGCCUCGUGUUCCCCUUCUCGCAGAGCCUCUUCUCCUCAGCCGGCAAAAUAGAGAUAGAGGGUGCUAUAGUUGAAGAAGUUCUUGUAAAGUUUAUGAACCUCUUCUUUCGAGGGUCCUUGGCCUUCACCGCUCAGCAUCUCAAGGGCCCGUUUGUCGAAAAGAGCCUUCAGGUCAAGGUUUGAAGGGUACCCAGAGAGGGCGGCGUCGAUUGGGAUUCCAGUCGGGGAAGUCCCCAAGAUGGCAGUAAUGUCAAAGAUGGUGGGACCAAUGGGGCCGAAAGGGAGGACCAUGGUGUUGGUGGCCGAACACCAGAAGCAUAAGGCCGCUAGGAGGAGCUCUUUGUCCAGGAUGACUUCCAUGGAUGAGAGGUGAAUGGCGUUGUAGAUGCCUAGGGCUUUCCAUUGCUCGCCAAGGAUUUUUUCCAUUCGUACGACCCAAGCUGCCCAGGCUGUAGUGGUCGAGGGCCAUGAACCUUGAGGCCUUGCCAAGUCCCACUUCGACCAUUCAAACCCUUGCAGCAAAGGUGAUAGGCAGUGCUCCUUGAGAAGUCCAACGAUGGUUGGUGGUACUUCCAUUUUGAAGAGAGGACCUAGGAUUUGAUGAGGGGUGCUCAUGUCACUUUCAAAACGUAUGGUUUUGAUCGAACUUCGAUCAAUAAUUUUCUGGCAUUGGUCACAUUCCUUGGAAAGCUUGGAGAUGAAGGAGGCCAUUGUAAGUGGCUUGAAAAUGCGACCCGAGAGGAGUUUUCUGGGUUGGGUGUUUAAAGACGAAGAUCUGGAAGAAGGGGAUUCACAGGAGAGUGAUGGCAAGAAAUUUCAAAGAAUUUGAAAGCGUAAAGUACAAAUGAGAGAAUUUCGGUAAUUAUAGAACUGCGAAAGGAAGAGCAAUUGUUCGAAAUUCAAAACGAAGGGUAAAAUCGACCGAAGAAUUCUGAUGUGAAAAAUAAGUUAACACACAAAUUAAACCCUCUUUUUGACAAUUGUAGUAUAGAUGUAAGUAGGGUAUCGUUCUAGGCCAGAGAUUAUGAGGGAUUGCUAAUCUAUUCUAAAUUAAUUUAAAAAUAUUAAAUAAGACUCAAGGACACAAAACUAGGCUAAAAACUCUAAUAACUCGAAACACACUUAGAAUGACUCAAAAUAAUGGAAACAAUCAAUUUAGACACUAGGAACUGAAAUGGACGGAAAUUGAAUUAAAAGACUAACAACAAUGAACACUAACUAAAUAAUAUAAUUUAAUAAUGGGGGGGGGUUUGGUUUUGACGAGAAGUAAAUUAAACUUAAAUAAAUUACAGAAUUGACAAAAGCAUGAAUUAAGGUGAAAGGAUAGGUGACGGACUAGCUAGAGGGUUCUUUUCCACACAUGACACAUAUGCAACCUAAAUUGAUUUUCAGUUGUUCUUUCAAUAAAUUGUGAAUGACAAUGUUCCAAGUUAAUUAGGUCCGCUUAAAUUAAUUCUUAGAUUUCCCUAGAUUCAUUGGAUUGAAUGGAAUACGCAUUACAACCAAAUUAUUCCUCAUCAAAGUCCCUAACUAUGGAAUACGCAUGAUAGAGACAUUCAACAAAGAUCAUUAAGUUCAACGGAAAUCAUAAACAUUGACUAGGCAUUCAUAACUAUGGAAUACGCAUGUUAAUCCAGCCUAGAAUUCACUUAACACGAUUGUGGAUAACAACCUUCACUACUUGUGAAUAUAAGUUCAUAACGAUUAGGUGAAAUUCACUUAUAUUCUAGCAUCAAAUUCAUGCAUGUAAAUUAAGUAUGCAUUCUUAAUCGACAUACAAAAAUAAGUUAUCAAUCAAGUAGUUAAGCAAAUUAAAUCACAACUCAGAAAUCACAACUGAAGGUAAUCAAUUCAUAUUACAAAUAUAUUCAUGGCUUUGAAUUAACCUCUAGCUAAAAUAAAUUUAGUUACACAUUAUUCUCAAAUUAAACCAAAAGUUAAACAUGAGUUUGAGAAAAUAUACAACCCUUUUCUUCUUCUGCUGCCGUCUCCCUCUGACCUGCGUCAGUCCUUAUUGCGCCUUCUGCUGUGUUUUGCGCACUGCGGUCCUCUGACCUCUGUCCUUUUCCUCUGCGCCUUUUUCUCCUCACUUCUCUCCCCGCGCCCUGCUGGUCUCUGUUUCUGUCCGUGCUUUUUCUCAAGGCAGCUUUGCUGCUUCUGUGCCUUUCUCCCCCUCGGUUCCGCGUCCCUUUUGCGCCUCUUCAAUCUUUAUUUUCUUAUUCUAUUUCCUCCCUUCCACCAGUCUGCCCGUGUCCUCCUCUUAUUCUUCUUUUAAUUUUUUUAUUCCUUCUUUUCUUUUUUUAUUCCUCCAUCAUUCCCUUCUUUAUUCCUUUUCUUUUGUUUUUGCCGUCCAACACUCUCCUAUAUUUCCCUUUUGUUAUUCUUCUCCAUCAUUCCAUGUCUCCCACUUCUUUGUCAUCUUUUUCUUUUUUUUCAAUUCCAAUCUGCAAGUUGUCGUCAGCUAGACCUUCCCUUACUCAAAUACCCAUAACUUCUUCUAGAAAAAUGAUAUUAACAAUCCGAGAAAUGUUCUAGAAAAUAGACAUCUGUAGCUUUCCAAGCAUAUAAGGUUCAUUCUCUAAUUCAUUCUGAGCUGUUCGCAACUUGCUCCCAAAGUCAGCUGAUCUACACAGGCAGUUUUGACGAAUUUAUUACUUAAAAUUUCACUUGUUCUAUUUUUAUUUUCUUUGCUAGACAAAUCCUAUAAUACGAAAAAACAAAGUAAAUAGCUCAAAAAUAUAAGGAACUAACUAAGAAAAGACAAGUGAAUUUGAUGUAAAAUAUUUAUAAAUUUGAACUUAUCAAAUACCCCCACACUUAGCUUUUGCUAGUCCUCGAGCAAAACAAAGAAACAAGAACAAGAAGUAACAAGAAAAACAUUAGCUUCCCCCUAUGUGACCCUCAUAGAAUUUCAUUCGAGAACACAAAUCAACAAGAACCAUAGCUAGCAUCAAGGAACUAAUCCAAGUUCAUCUUCCUUAUUCAAAUAUUAGCAGUAAUCUUUGAAUCAUCCUUGAAGUGUAGUGUGUGAGAUAGCCAUGCUAAUGCAAUUUCAAAAUUUUUAUAUUUUUAAAAUCAUCAUAUGCAAACGAGCAACCUUCUCACGUGAUAUACACUCAAUCACACAUGUGUUUAGUUUAAAUGUGUUUCGCUCAAAGAAUCAAAUGUGAAAUUUCUACCAUAAGCUUGCAUAAAGAUCUCAUCUUCACAAUCAUAAUUGCAAAACUUAAAUCAAGAGGACUUUUAUUGGAUGUAAUGAGGUUUAGGGAGAGGGUUAUUGAAAUGAAAGAAUAGGUAAACACAAGUUCCAAGCUACAUUGCAAGCAAUUCUUUUCUUUAGAUUUAUAAGAACUCAACCUUUCCAACGAUUCUUUUAGCGCCUCCAUCCACACCCUUAAACUGAAACUUUAAAAACUUUUUAUUUCAUUUGUAUACAAUCUUUCUUUUUCUUUUCUCUUUUUUUUAUUUUUUUAUUUUUUUAUUUUUUUAUUUUUUAUAUAUACAAACAUGAAAUACCCCCCACACUUAUUCUUUUGCCAAACACCUUCAAAGUACUUCACAAACGUUUCUCAUAAGACAAUCUCGCAUUGCUCGCUUGGAAAGGAUAAGGAAAAAUGUUUCAGGUAUAAGGGUAGACAUAUAUGGUGAUAAGAAAUAAAAGGCUCAACAUACACGGCUCAAAUUGGCAAUCUAAUGAUAUCAUUUUUCUUUGGGAAACAUGGUUAUUUGGGCCAUAGUGGUAAACCUAAUGCCUCUAUCAUUUCCAAAUUCAUGCAAUCAAUGACAAACAUUUCGAAAGAUUGUUACGCAAGUUCUAGAGAUGUAUCUCACAUAAGUUCAUCACACAUGAAAGAAUAGGAGUGUAUGAAAAAUGCACACACUUUCAAUAGGCUCAAAAACUCACAUAGGAUGUAUAUGGUCACUAAAUUCACAUAUGAAGCUUUAAGUCAUGCUUUAGUUUCACAUCAACAAGGCUAUGUGCAUUUGGUUUUUCAAAGAUGAUCAAACAUGUACAAAACUAACAAGAGAAUUAGGAAUUUCACAAAACACAUUAACUAAGUUCUUGAUGAUCAUGGUUCAAAUUUGAUCCUAUUAUAUCAUUGGGUCGGGAAACUAACAAAAAUACAAUAAGGAAAACAAGACAAUAUUUUUGGAUUUUUAAAUAUUCCGAAUUUUUUUGUUUAAAAUUAAAAUUUUUUUAUUUUUUUUAAAAAAGAAAACAAAACUAAUUAAGAAAACAAAAAGCAACAACACGGAAACAAAUGAAACCCGUUCGUAGUUGAAGGUACAAAAAAUUUCAAUUUGGUCAUUUUUUAUACUCUUUACCCCCAAACUUAAACUGGACAUUGUCCCCAAUGUCAGAAAACACUAUAAUGCAAAUAAAAAAAAUAAAAAAUAAAUAAAUAAAUAAAUAAAUAAUAAGAAACAAAAUAAAGCAAUUGGACUGAAAACUUCCCUAAUUUGCAGUAAAAUCAAGCGAUGACCUCCAAGCUAAAAUUCUGCAAUCAACUUCAAGGGUGGAAAUAACCAAAAGUUGCUGCAAAGAAAAGAAAUAAUUCAGUUAAGUAACGCAAGAAAAUGUAAAAAAAAAAAAAUUGCAAACGAAAAAUUGAAAAUCACGAUAAAAGACAAUGAAUAGAACUAAUAAGUGAUCAUUGGUCGUGCUUGUUGACUUUCCACAGCUUUCCUCUUGAACGGGGUGACACUUAGCUUUUUACUUGCAAGUGAUGAUUUGAUGAUAUUGUACGGCGAGGUUUUUCUCUUUGGCGAUGUUGCAAUUCCUUAUUUGUUCUCCAAGCAGAUGUGGCAGCUUCUCUAGUUCUUCAACUCAGACUCCUUAUGCUGGGUUGAUUGUGCAAGCUGCAUUCUUCUCUGCUUGUUUCUUCUGCACAUUGUCUCCACAUGCUGCUGGUAUCAUUUUCGCUUGCCUUAUCUGUUCUUCAGGUAGAUGUGGCAGCUUUUUUGGAAGUACAUCAGCAGUGGAAGACGAGUACUCGAGAGCAAUUUCUCCAUGUCCUGCAGGUUAGAACAAAGACAAGGAAAAGGACAUGGAGAAUGCAUGAUAUGAGAUACUCUUGCUUUCAACCUUCAUGAUAUGAAAUACUUUUGCUUUGGAUAGGUUGUUUGCAGAGGUACCCCAAGGAAUAAGGAACACUGAGUGACUCGAGAGGGUGUGUUGGAAAUACAUUCUCAGAGAUGAAGAAGUGCUGAGAGGGUGUGCCUUUGCUGUGGAAGGCGAAGGUAUAUACUUAUAGGACUUUUCUUCACAACCGGAACUAUUCUCUCACUCAUUGUCGGCAGCCGGUGGAUGGAUAAAUAGUAUAAAUUACGCGCUUUCUGACAAAGCUGCCCAUAAUUUCCGCAAAGCUGCAAGUUGCAUGUGACGAGUGAUGACACGUCUGGACAAAUUGAUCUUUUGAAAUCCGGGGUUCGGCUCGUGGUUUCUGAGCAAGCCUAGCUUUUGAGAAAUGAAACGCCUCUUUUGAGAAAAGAAUCCGGCUUUUGAGAAAGGAGCCCCGACUCUUCGAUUUGCGAGAGGACGCUUCUUCGAUUUCUGAGGAGUGCCUCUCCGAUUUCUUCUUUUUAUAGAGGCGCUAAUUUUGUUCCACAACACACUUGAGCUCCUUCUUGUAAACACUCCCUUCUUGCAUUUUUUUUUUAAUCUUAAUCAGUUCGACUCUCUUAUUUCUUCACCACCUCUGAAAAAUGUCUGGCCCUUCCGACUGUCGUUUUGACUUGAACCUUGAUGAAGGAGCAGCCCCUCCUUCUCCAGACAACAUAUGGCGCCCGUCCCUCAUAUCCCCUACUGGUCCUCUCACCGUUGGGGAUUCGGUGAUGAAAAAUGACAUGACCGCUGCGGUGGUGGCCCGGAACCUUGUCACCCCCAGAGAUAACAGACUGCUUGCUAGACGGUCUGAUGAAUUGGCGGUUAAGGAGUCUCUGGCUCUUAGCGUGCAGUGUGCGGGUUCUGUGUCCAACAUGGCCCAACGCCUAUUUGCUCGAACCCGUCACGUUGAAUCGUUGGUGGCUGAAAUACAGAGUCUCAAAGAGGAGAUUAGAGGACUCAAGCAUGAAAAUAAACAAUUGCAUAAGCUUGCACACAAUUAUGCCACAAACAUGAAGAGGAAAAUUGACCAGCUGCAGGAAAAUGAUGGUCAGAUUUUACUUGAUCACCGGAGGUUUAUGGGUUUGUUCCAACCGCAUCUGCCUUCGUCUUCUGGGGCAGCACCGCGUAGUGAAGCUCCAACUGAUCAACCUCCGAUACCUCCUCCUUCCGUGGCCCCGCCGACUGCUGAAGCUCUGCCGACUACUGAAGCACCACCUGACCAAUGAAUGCUAUUAGUUUACACAUCAUUGUAAAAUAUUUUUACUUUUAUGUUUUUUUUUUUUUUUUUUUUUUUUUAGGUGUGUUUUUUUUUUUUUUUUUUAAAUCAAUGUAAAAUAUGUAAAUCAAUGUAAAAAGAUUUUGUUUAACCUUCCCCCACACUUAAACUAAAUAACACAAACUCACAGAAAUCAACCAAAUAACACAACUAACUGAACAAAACAAAAUGAAAGCAGUAAAGAUAAGGGUGUAAGAAUGCAAAUCUGAUUUGGUUAGCGAUUCCAAAGUCUCCCUUCGUUGAAUGCUUGGGUUGCCUCCCAAGAAGCGCUUGAUUUAACGUCUUUAGCCUGACGAAUCUUUCCUUUAAACUCCACUCAGCUCCAAAGCAUGGAAUUUAUCUUUUAAUGGGAGGUGAUACUUGAAAUGAUUCGGCAAUGGUUUAAAUUCAAGAGUGGGUGCCUGAAUCAUCAAAAUCAGAAACAUGUUAGUAUAAAUUAAAAUUAAAAUUGGAGAAGAUGGCUUACUUUCUUUUUCCGACACAAACUCAAUGACCAACACCACAUCUUUGAACAUUUCCGGGACUUUGAACUGGGCCAGGUUUACUAUGAUGGUUGUGGCUUGUCCUGUGUCAUCAAACUCAACUGCUUUGGGCUUGAUUGUCUCAUGCACAACCUCUUGGAUGUAUUCUUGAUAUGCUUCAACCACUUCAUUCUCUUGAAUCCCUUUUCUUGGUGUGCAAGGUUCUUUGAACGUUUCAAUACCAUCGGGAACUUGUUUUGGUGCACCAAGAAUUGGGAUAUCACUUUGCACCUUUGGAAGAGCUUCCACAAUGUCUUUUUCACUCUCUUUGAUAUUUGGAAUCAAAAACCUGCAAGGACAAAGGACAUUCGGUGGAAUAAUGUUAGAAUGAAGUGAAUUUAGAACUUCCUCACCUGAGUUGGAUGACAGAGGGAUUUGAGGAGCUUGCAGCAAGAAUUCUUCUAAACUGCCCAGGUCGUCCUCCUCCUCUUCUGCUUGUAGCAGCAAUUCAUCCAUGUUCGGGCUGUGUUUGGAUGGUUCUGGGACAGCUUCAUCCUUCAUGUCCCCUACCAAAGUGAUGGCUUCAUUUCACUUUCUGCCUUUGAAUUUUCAAUGUUUGAGUUGGAAAGUUCACUUUGAUCUCGAAUCUGUGCCAUGAAUUCCACAAUCUGCCCAACUUGCAUAUCCAAUUCGUCCACUCUUUUGACUCGGUCUUGCAUAUCUUGGUUUUGAUUUUCUACUCCCUGAUUCAAAGAGGUGAGUAACUUAUUAAGUGUAUCAUUAUCCAAGGACGUACCUGAAUUGAAUUGGGUUGAUUGUUGUGGUGGCUGUGACGAUUCAUAUGGCCACUGAUAGAACUCUUCCGAUGGCGAAAAUUGUUCUUCUUUUUGAAAACCCUGCGCCAAAGAAAUUAGUCCUUCAAGAAUUUCAUUAUAAUUCACGGGCAUACUUUGAUUUGAUUGGACUUGUUGUGGGGGAUGCUGUGGUGGCUGCAUAGGUCUUGAAUAGAACUCGUCUUGCUGCCAAUAUGCAUCUUGUUGAGCCUCCUUGGCUUGAUUUUGUGAGCCCUGCACCAAACAAUUUAAUUCAUUAAGAAUUUGAUUAUAAUUUAUUGACGAACCUGAGUUUGAUUAAGCAUAUUGCAUAGGUUUUGAAUAGAACUCCUCCUCUUGCUGCCAAUAUUCAUCUUGUUGGAAUUGUUGAGGUUCCCCCCACAUAUAAUUUGAAUGAUCUCUCCAAGCCGAAUUGUAAGCGUUGGAAAAACAUGUUGUUGCUUGGUUGAUCAUAGCUUUGAUAACCCCAAGCAUCUUCGUUCACAGUGAAUUGAGGAUGUUGAUGAGUUUGAUAUCCGUGCCCGUAAGACACACCAAAUGUAGGGACAUUUUGCAUUGUAGUCCUUCCGGCAAUCUGUGACAAUUGAGAAGUAAGAUUCGCCAAUUGAGCUUGAAUGUUAGCAAAAUCCAUAUCUUACUUCUCUAGAACCUAAAAUCAAAGAAAGAAAAAUAAAUCAAGUAUCAAAAGUAAAAUACACAAAUACCAAUAUAAACAUAAACAAAAACAAAAAUAAAGGGAUUAGCAAAGUUGCUAAUCCCCGGCAACGGCGCCAAAAUUUGAUGUGAAAAAUAAGUUAACACACAAAUUAAACCCUCUUUUUGACAAUUGUAGUAUAGAUGUAAGUAGGGUAUCGUUCUAGGCCGGGGAUUAGGAGGGAUUGCUAAUCUAUUCUAAAUUAAUUUAAAAAUAUUAAAUAAGACUCAAGGACACAAAACUAGGCUAAAAACUCUAAUAACUCGAAACACACUUAGAAUGACUCAAAAUAAUGGAAACAAUCAAUUUAGACACUAGGAACUGAAAUGGACGGAAAUUGAAUUAAAAGACUAACAACAAUGAACACUAACUAAAUAAUAUAAUUUAAUAAUGGGGGGGGUUUGGUUUUGACGAGAAGUAAAUUAAACUUAAAUAAAUUACAGAAUUGACAAAAGCAUGAAUUAAGGUGAAAGGAUAGGUGACGGACUAGCUAGAGGGUUCUUCUCCACACAUGACACAUAUGCAACCUAAAUUGAUUUUCAGUUGUUCUUUCAAUAAAUUGUGAAUGACAAUGUUCCAAGUUAAUUAGGUCCGCUUAAAUUAACUCUUAGAUUUCCCUAGAUUCAUUGGAUUGAAUGGAAUACGCAUUACAACCAAAUUAUUCCUCAUCAAAGUCCCUAACUAUGGAAUACGCAUGAUAGAGACAUUCAACAAAGAUCAUUAAGUUCAACGGAAAUCAUAAACAUUGACUAGGCAUUCAUAACUAUGGAAUACGCAUGUUAAUCCAGCCUAGAAUUCACUUAACACGAUUGUGGAUAACAACCUUCACUACUUGUGAAUAUAAGUUCAUAACGAUUAGGUGAAAUUCACUUAUAUUCUAGCAUCAAAUUCAUGCAUGUAAAUUAAGUAUGCAUUCUUAAUCGACAUACAAAAAUAAGUUAUCAAUCAAGCAGUUAAGCAAAUUAAAUCACAACUCAGAAAUCACAACUGAAUGUAAUCAAUUCAUAUUACAAAUAUAUUCAUGGCUUUGAAUUAACCUCUAGCCAAAAUAAAUUUAGUUACACAUUAUUCUCAAAUUAAACCAAAAGUUAAACAUGAGUUUGAGAAAAUAUACAACCCUUUUCUUCUUCUGCUGCCGUCUCCCUCUGACCUGCGUCAGUCCUUACUGCGCCUUCUGCUGUGUUUUGCGCACUACGGUCCUCUGACCUCUGUCCUUUUCCUCUGCGCCUUUUUCUCCUCACUUCUCUCCCCGCGCCCUGCUGGUUUCUGUUUCUGUCCUUGCUUUUUCUCAAGGCAGCUUUGCUGCUUCUGUGCCUUUCUCCCCCUCGGUUCCGCGUCCCUUUUGCGCCUCUUCAAUCUUUAUUUUCUUAUUCUAUUUCCUCCCUUCCACCAGUCUGCCCGUGUCCUCCUCUUAUUCUUCUUUUAAUUUUUUUAUUCCUUCUUUUCUUUUUUUAUUCCUCCAUCAUUCCCUUCUUUAUUCCUUUUCUUUUGUUUUUGCCGUCCAACACUCUCCUAUAUUUCCCUUUUGUUAUUCUUGUCCAUCAUUCCAUGUCUCCCACUUCUUUGUCAUCUUUUUCUUUUUUUUCAAUUCCAAUCUGCAAGUUGUCGUCAGCUAGACCUUCCCUUACUCAAAUGCCCAUAACUUCUUCUAGAAAAAUGAUAUUAACAAUCCAAGAAAUGUUCUAGAAAAUAGACAUCUGUAGCUUUCCAAGCAUAUAAGGCUCAUUCUCUAAUUUAUUCUGAGCUGUUCACAACUUGCUCCCAAAGUCAGCUGAUCUACACAGGCAGUUUUGACGAAUUUAUUACUUAAAAUUUCACUUGUUCUAUUUUUAUUUUCUUUGCUAGACAAAUCCUAUAAUACGCAAAAACAAAGUAAAUAGCUCAAAAAUAUAAGGAACUAACUAAGAAAAGACAAGUGAAUUUGAUGUAAAAUAUUUAUAAAUUUGAACUUAUCAAAUUCGCUAAUCAUUAUGAACAUUCAGAAAAUCCAGUUGAGAAGAUCAAGGGUUUCGUGUUUUGGGGGUGCACGAUUGCGUGUGGCGGCGAGAUUUAUGGUGAAAGACGUUUUGGCGUCUGCACGAUGCUGAAUGGUUCACGGAUCAAGGUGGCAUGGUUGUGCUCAGCAACAAGGUCAUGAUGGUAUGACAGUUCAGGAAGCCGCACACUUUAAACGUCAUUAUUAGGGAUUAGCCGUGUUAAAGGUUACCACGCAGUGUAUUGGUUGGCAGGAUCAAGAUCGUGCAAUCGUGCUCAAUAAAUGCGCCUUGGAAAUAGAGUAUUUGGAUUCUCAGUAUUAAUUUCGCUUCUUCAAGGUCGGAGCUCGACCAGAGAAUUCAGGCCGAAGACCUCAGAAGCGAGGGGGCAAUGUUUGGGCCCAAAAUAUUUAGUUUGGGCCGAGUGUGGAAUCAUUCUUGACCUGGAAGGAUUUAUUGUUAGGAGUCGUCUUGUUCAUGGGCCGCUUAAUUAGAGUCGGUUGAGCCUCAUUGGGAAAAGGAACAGCCUGGAUAAGGAAGAGGUGUGGAAUCAGUCGAUUUCGCAGCAUCUUCCGUUGGCAUCAACAGCACUGCAGCGAGGAUGGUUGGUUACCUAUCCAAGUCUCGGUUGAGAAGGGUUUCCGAAUCCUUAUUGAACGAGGUCAUCUCAUUAGCCUUCUCGGUGAAGUGAGGUGUUACAGUUCACUGAGCUCGGCGUAUUGCACGCCGAGUUAUUUUAUGAUUGGAUACUCUCAAGUGGGAUUUAGAGUUCGGCAUUCAGACGGCCGAACCACGUUCAUUAUUAUGACUCAUAUCUGCUUUGAGUAUUUGUGCCCUUACACUUUGGUGUCGAUUCGGCGAGAGUUUACUCUGACGAAUACCAUCAUUGUGGCCGAAUCCGACGAUGACGAUUUGUGAACUUCGUAAGAAUAGUAGCCUUGUCUUUAGGUUCGAGAACCCAAGAGGCCGAGAUGUGUUCCUUCCUCGGUCGCAAUCGCAAGACGCAGAAGUCAGCCGCGCACCUAACGCAACAUCAACAAAUUUUACUUCUCAGCCGAGCUCGAUCGACGAGUUGGCACGCCCCGCAUUCAUCGAAGGACGUAGUUAGCUUAUAGAUUACUCGGCUUGCGCGCCACGUAGGUUUGGUAGUUUUUAGGGUCAACAUAGUCACACCAAUGACUUAAGCCCAGUCACUUUCUCAGAGAAAAGACAUAGCAUGUACUAAUCUUAACGGACUAUCCAUGCCCAAUUGGCAAUCUUAUGAUCAGGAACGUUUGGAAUAUGUAUACAAAAAGAACGGUCUUAUAAAUCUAACUUCUUUAGAUCACAUUCUCUCAAUUACAUAUUCCUUGGACUUAUUGUUCAAGCAUAUAACGUUUAUACGAGACGGCUUUAAACAAUAAUCAUUGCCCUUAUAUGAAACUAGAUUAGUUUAACAUGUGAAAUGUCCUUAAAGUGUCAUUAUAUGAUUGGCUUUAGGGCACAUUUCCAACAGUGGUAUGGUAUGAAGUACUAUUAAUAUAUUAUAUUGCUAUUAUUUUUAUAUGGUAUGGAGAAAGCACACUUCAAAUCCUGCAUUCCAUCUAUUUCAAAAAUGAAAUAUAAGAGAGAAUAUGUUGUCCAAUUGUUUGUAUUGUAGUGCGUGAACAGAAAGAAACAAAAUGUAAAAUUAAAAAAUGAAUAAAGACCCUUGGAUGAAAUGACUUUGAAACAUUUGAAUGCUUACGCCAUCUCCAACUGAAAGGGUUAUGUUUAGCCUCCUUCCAGAUUAUAGUCUUGCAAUAAAUUAUUUUUUAAUGAAUAGUGUCAUGACAUAUUUAUUUACCAUCUCCAAUCGAAGGCAGCUAUUUUUUAGUCCCCUCAAUAAUCUAUUAUUUUUAAGUUUGUUCUUUAACUUUAUUGGUUAAUUGAAUUAAACUACCAUAUUAAGCUAGUUCUUAAUAAUUUUGUAGAUAGGAUUUUCAAGUGACAUGUGUCAAGAUGUAAUUGGUUAAAAUUGUUGAAGAUGUGGCCAUUUGAAAAUUAUUGAAAAAAUUAAAUGAAAUAUUAUUGGAAGAGGUAAGAUAGUAUGGAAUGGUGAAAAUAAUGUGAGGAAUGGUGUAGAAAUGGCUUAGGUAUUUAUAGAAAAAAAAUUAGAAUUUAAUUAUUAUUUUUAAAAUUUCAUCCUUAAAAAGAAAUGGUGUAGUCAUGUAGCCGCUAGUUGCUGCAGGUUGGGCCCCAUCAGCGGGCUGGUUGGCUGCCUUUAAUUGCCCAGCCUAAUGGCUAUAGGUUGGAAUUUGGCCCAGUAGAUCCCCUUUUUCCUUUGGCCUGGACCUCCAUUGGAGAUGAUUGUUUCCUCAUUUCGGGCUAUAAAAGAGCCCAUAGCCCUAUGGCUUGAUUCAUUGGAGAUGGCCUUAUUGUCCCAUACAAGAACGACCUAAAUAAUUCUUUUAAUUGAUUUUUUUCUCCUUCUAUCCACCAUUUGUAAGAACUAAUUCAAACGAAGAUAAUAUAAACAAUUUAAGAUGAUUGUGUAAGGAGGAAAAAAAAUUUGUAUAAUUAUCGUUUCUCGCUACUUGCUCUUGUGGUUUUGUGGAUUUUCAAUUCCUUGAAAAGUCUCGAGAGAUCUGAUGUGAGUAAUGUCACUUACAGGAUUCCUAAAAUUAUGUAAAGAUCAAGACUCCACGACUACAAAAGUACCAGUAGUAUCGGUUUAAAAACUAAUAUUAGGUUAAAACAGAUAAGAAAUGGUUGCACUGUUAGAUAAGAGAGCAGACAACAUUGUUGGCGUCACAAAAGGCUUUUGUUGUCGGAUACCACUCUUAAUCCGCCAGCAAAAUGGUGUCAGAUACAACCGACACUAACACUACUGUCAGAUACAAUUGACCCGGAAUGUCCAUUUGGACUCUGACUCGAGCUGUGCUAGCCUUCACCCGGAAGGUAACAAAGCCAUAAAGUGUAGUGAUGUGAAAAAAUGUGAAUAAAUUUAAACCUAAAAGUACCUAAAUGAAAUAGUGCGCUUGUGAGCGAGAAUGAACCAAUUUCAUAAGUGAUGUCAGAGCAUAAGUAAAGUACAGUUGAGUAGAUUGAGAAUUAUAUCGUCGAAGGUAACCUCAUAUACCAAGAUUUGCCAAGAAUCCUCGUUGAUAUGAAAGCUCCCCUACUAAAACAUGGAGGGGCGAAAAACAAAGGUGAGUGGGCCUAAAAAUAAAGUUUUGUAAAAAAACGUAAGAACCCUUCACCGUAAAACAAGUAUAGCUUCCAAAAUCUGCAUACUAUGUAUGGUAUGAAAAUACUUACCGUAGCCUUCAAUAUCUCAAGAAAUCAAUACGUCACAAAAUAUGUAAAUAAGCUUAUAGCUUCUAGUAAUCCCAAUAUCUCGUAAAAAUAAACAUAUCACAUGGAGUACUCAUUGACACAUGUUGACACAUGAGUUCAUGUAGAGGUAUUUUGACAUAAACAGGACUGGGUGUAAUAAUGAUUUACGCUUUAGUACUACAAUCACGUGUAGACUGGCGCUAUGCGCAUCACAUACGAGUCCUAAUUUCCUAUAGCAAUCUAGGACAGGACUGACACCUACAAUGGAUCCAAAGUAAGCGUACGGUGCAAUGUGAACAUACAUGUAAAAGAUUGGUCCUUGCCCAUGCGAGUAUUAACAGCAGUGCAACAAUAAUGAACAGAUAAGGUAAAAAAAAUCAUACAGCGGUAAAUCAAUAAUUUGCGUUGACAUAAUAUUAUUCACUACCGUAAAUAUAAAUAAGGCAUCCCACAAUAAUAUGCAUACAUGUGCAUCCCGUAGGGUUCAUAAUAAUCUCAUAAUUUCAAUCAUCGCGACAGUUCUUAUAACGUCAAUUUAAUUAUGGCAUCACUUAGAAAAUGCAUUGUUAAUCUAGGUAUGGAAACUCAAAUAAUAUAUAUACUAUAUAAAAGAAAAGACCCACUCACAAAUACUUGGGAGGUCGCAAUCGUUUGAACUAGGAAAGCCGGAGUCUCUAAUGGUAAUUGCACCUAAGCAUAAUAGAGAUCCGUUAGUAAAACUCAAUUAAAACAUUUGAAUUUGGGAAAAUGGAGUGUAGAUUUGAAAUCAGAGCAUUGAAAUACGGUAAGAGGGGUCUCGGGAAAAGUUUGUAAAAUAUAGACAGUUAACAUAAAAAGUCAACUGAGGCGCCGAGCCGGUCAACUACGUUAAAACUUCAAAAUUUCUCUAAAUGUAUGUAAAAAAUGGACUCAGGACGUCAAAAUUAGCCUAGGGUGAUUUCCGAGAAAAUUUCAAAAAAAAAGUCGGAGCUGCGUGGUGGCAUCGGCGUGACUCGGCGCCAGUGAAUGCAGAGAGUGGAAAGAAGAGAGAGUUAAACUAAAAGAGACUGGAGGAUGAGGAAGGAAAACCCAGGUGAGCAUUUGGUGAAGCUCGCCAGAGAAGAUGGUGAGUUAUGGGUGUGGUGUCACCAUUGUUGUGGCAGAGGUAAGGCACAUGAGAGAGGUGAGGGAGAAGUGUGGGAGAGAGAGCCAUGACAGUUAGAGAGGGAGUGUCCCAAAAGUUGGGGGAUGAGUGACAAAUGACAAGAGAUGAGAGGAGAGUUUAGGUUAGCGUGGGCCCCAAGGGCCGAAAAUAUUAAUAAAAUAAUAAAAAUAUCCAAUCAAAAAAUAAUAAAAUAAUAAUUUAGUACUAUAAAAUAGUAUAGAAUAAUUAAAAUUGUAAUUUCUUCAAGAAUAAACUUUCGGAUUUGUAAAUCUAUUAAAUUUUAAUCGUAACUCAGAUUUAUGUUCCGAUUGCACCUACGCAUUCGUAUUGUCGAGUACUUCGAGAAUACGAUAAAAUAGUAGCUCGUACAAGUCAUGAAAAUACAGUCAACGAAAGCCAACAAUCUCACCUCUAGGGCAUUUUCGUCAAAUCAUUCUUGUAAAAUUUAUAAAAUCGUAAAAUGAGGGACGGGUAAAAAUUUCGUCCCCGAAAUUUGAAAUAAAUUGCUAUACAUAAAAUACUCAAAGAUAGAUAGAAAACGUAAAGAAGAAAUCAAGUUAGAGCAUAAAAGAGAAUGCCAUUCCGUCGCAAGAUUGCAAUGAUUCCUCUUUCAUGCCUCCAAAUUCUUAUUUUCCUUCUCCUUCAGUACAAAACUAUAAUAUAAUAUUUUUAUAAAAACAAAAAGUCAAAAAUAGAUAUAUAAUAACAUAAUGUCAAAAUACGUAUAUAAAAUAACUUAGAAUUUUAAAUAGUUGUACUGAAAUCAAAACUGAACAUAGAAAAAUUUCACCUACGCACUCGUAGCGUCACAUACUCUGAGAAUAAAGGUGUGUAGUAUCUUUGGGUCAAGCCCAAACAAUAGAUAAUUAACUAAAUGAAUAAAUAAAAAUACUAACAUAGAUGGACCUAUCUAUUGAUAGGAGCAUAUUUAUGCGACUUAGUUAGCUUGUUCUUGUGCCUUUAUGUUGUUAUUACUUAGUUAAUUUAGUAUUUCAAGCCACUUUCUUGUGUUUGUAGGUUUAAAGGGCUAAAGUGGCAAGAAAGUGCAUUUUGGUGCCUUUUGGAGCAGUUUUGGGCUUGGAAUGAAUAUCACAUGCAUGGAGCAAGAGGGAUGGACGAAAUUGAAGACCAAAAGAGGAUAGGAUUAUGCUGAAGUUAUGAAGAAACCAAUUCAAGAAAAGAAAGUCAAAGAUCAAAGGAAGAAAGAAGGAAUGUUAGCCAAGUUACCUUAUUUGGUCCUAACCUUUCCUAUUCCUUUAUCACUUAAAGUCCAACAGCAAGAAGGGUCCCCAAAUAUUUUAGGACACUUAAUAUGGGUUCUAGAAGACCUAAUCCCUGCACAAUAGGGGUUGCCACACUCUUUUCCCAUUCCCCUUUCUUUUUCCCUUGCACGGCAAGGGAUUUUCCUUUCCUUUUUGUCCUUGCCGCAAUCCCCUUUUACUUUUCCCUUAGGAUUCUGAUUUUAUUUCCCUUUUUCCUUGUGGAUUUGAAUUAAUUUAUGUUAACCAAAAUAAGUUAGGGUUUUGAUUUCCUAAAACCUUAAAUAGAACCCUUUUGCCGCAUACAAGGAGAGUCAUUCAUCAUCAUUCACUUCCAUACACUCUUGAUAGGAGCGUAUUUAUGCGACUUAGUUAGCUUGUUUCUUGGCAUUUAUGUUGUUAGUUUGUAGUUAUUUUAGUAUUUUAAGCUAUUUUCGUGUGUUUAUAGGUCCAAAGGGUUAAUGUGGCAAAGAAGUGCAUUUUGGAGCAUUUUUGGGCAUGGAAUUGAUAGCAUAUGCUUGGAGCAAAAGGAAUGGACGAAAUUUGAAGUUUGUGCAUCAUCCUCUCCCUAUAAAUAACCAUUUUAGCACACUCAUUUCACCCAACACAUUCACCUACCACUACAUCCACUCAUUUCACCCAACACAUUCACCUACCACUACAUCCACUCAUUUCCUAAACACUCACCCACUACACCCAUUACAUCCACUCAUUACCACAACAUCCAUCCACUACACCCAUUACAUCCACUCCUUACCACAACAUAAACCACUACCACCUUAAUUAGAUGGUGGUCCUCUCCCUAGCCUAUAAAUACAUCCACCCUUCACCAUAACUAGGGAGAUCCAUCCAAAGACCUUACAUUCAUCCAUAUAUUCCCACAUCCCAAAAACACAUACAAUUCUAUUCCCUUGCCGUGGCACUCAUCCAACCAAAAAUCAAACACAAUUCUAUACAUUCCCUUCCCCUUGUCGUGGCAUCCAUCCAACCUAAAUAGAUUCAUAACCUUUCCAUAUAUCCAUACACAUCCUUAGAUACUUGUGCUGUAACAAGGUGGUGAAAAAGAAGGUCCUUGGCGUUUCAAGCUUGAAACUUUGGAUCGUUUUAGGUGUACUUCAUCCUUGCUUUCAAUGUCUACUUUGUUAUUUUCUGAUUUUGUUGCAAUUAUGAGUAGCUAAACCCCUAUUUAGUUAGGGGGAAUUCAAAGCCAUGAACAUACUUGCAAUAUGAAUUGAUUACCUUCAGUUGUGAUUUCAUAAGUUGUGAAUUCAAUUUGUUUAAUUACUUGAUUGAUAACUUAUUCGUGUAUGUUUAUUAAGAGUGCACACUUAGUUUGCAUGCAUGAAUAUGAUGCUAGAGUAUAAGGGAGUUUCACCUAAUAGUUACAAACUUAUAUUCACAAGUAGUGGAGGUCGCUUAUAAACGAUCGCGUUAAAUGAAUUCUUGGCAGGAGUUUCAUGCUCAUCAUAGUAACGAAUGCCUCGUCAAUACUUAUAGUUUUCAUGAUGCUUAAAGAUCUUUGAUUGUAUCUUUAUUGUGCUGUUCACGUAAAGGACUUUUAAAGAAUUCUUUGAAUUGUUGUAUGCGCUUUCCCAUCCAAUUCAAUAACUUAAGGAGAACUUGAAGGUUAAUUUAAGCGGACCUAAUUAAUCUGGGGUGUUGAGUUUCAUGAUUUAUCGAAAGAACAACUGAAAAUUGGUUUAUGUGCAAGUAUGUGUGGAGAAGAACCCUCUAGCUAGCCCAUCAUCCAUAGUUUACCCAAAUUCGUCCAAAAUCUGUUUUAGUUUACAAUCUAUUUGUUUUGUUUUCAAAUUCGUCAAAAUCAAAUCCCCCUUUACUUUAAAGUGUUUUAUUAGUCAAAAUCUAUUUUGAUUUGUGUUUUUAAGUGUCUUGAGUCAAGUUAGAACCUAAUUUCGUCCAAAACCAUCCCUAGAGUCAGUUUACAGUCUAAUUCAUUGUUUUAAGCUGUUUUGAGUCUUUUAAACUAGUUUUGAGUCUUUUUAGUUUGUAUUGUAUCUUUUGAGUCUAAUUUGGUGUUUUAAACUUAAUUUUACGUUUUUAAGUCAGUUUCAAGUGUUUUAGCAAUCCCUCCUAAUCCCCGGCCUAAAACGAUCCCUACUUACAUUCUUUACCACAAUUGACAACAAGAGGGUUUAAUUUGUGUGUUAAGUUAAUUUUCGCAUCAACUUUCACCAUCCAUCCAAAACCCUCAGAAACACAUCAAACCACUUCUUGCCGCAGCCUUCCAUUCAUCCACUCACCACCAUACAUACUUUCAGCCAUUUUCCCAUACAAAUCACCACUCAAACCUUCACCCAUACCUUGUGCCGCAACAAAGAGAAGAAGGAGGACCAUUGGAGUGCUUGCUGUUCAAGUUUGUAUUGCUGGAUCAUUCUUAGGUGUUUUCAAUCUUUUGUUUUCAAUGUCUAAAUUUAUGUAUCAUUGUUUUGUGAACAUGAGGAGCUAAACCUCUUUUAGCUAGGGGGAAUUUUGAAACCAUGAUCAUAUUUGCAAUAUGAAUUGAUUACUUCCAGUUGUGAUUCUAUGAAUUGUGAAUGCACUUUACUUAAUAGCUUGAUUGAUAACUUAUUCUUGUUUGUAGAUUAAGGAUGCAUACUUAGUUUGCAUGCAUGAAUUUGAUGCUAGAAUACAAGGAAGUUUCACCUAAUCAUUAUGAACUUGUAUUUAUAAGUAGUGGAGGUUGCUAGUCACAAUCGUGUUAAGUGAAUUCCUAGCAGGAGUAUCAUGCUCAUCAUAGUUACGAAUGCUUUGUCAAUACUUAUGAUUUUCAUAACACUUAAUGAUCUUUGAUUGCAUCUCUAUUAUCCUGUUCAUGUAGAGAACUUUUGAAGAAUAACUUGGAUUGCCGAUGCGUUAUCCGUCCAAUUCAAUGAUAUAAGGAAAAUAUGAGGGUUAAUUUAAGCGUACCUAAUUAAUCUGAGGUGUUGAGGUUCAUGGUUUAUUGAAAAGCAACUGGAAAUUGUUUUGUAUGCAAUUGUGUCAUGUGUGGAGAAUAACCCUCUAGCUAGCUUAUUACCCAUCCAUUUAUCCCAAAUUCAUCCAAAAUUUGUCUUAAGUCUUUAGUUACUUGUUUUUACUUAAAAUUUGUCCAAAACCCAAUCCCCUUUACUUUAGUGUGUCAAAUUAGUUAGAAUCUGUCUUAGUUUGUGUUUUAAGCUAUUUUGAGUCAUUCUAGUUAGUUGUGAGUCUUUUCAGUUUGUUUUGAGUUCUUUAAGUCUAGUUAAGUGUUUUUAAGUUUAUUUUUAUGUUUUUAAGUUAGUUUAGAAUAGAUUAUGAUAGGAGCUUAUUUAUGCGACUUAGUUAGCUUGUUUCUUGGCAUUUAUGUUGUUAGUACGUAGUUAUUUUAGUAUUUUAAGCUAUUUUCGUGUGUUUGUGGGUCGAAAGAGUUAAAGUGGCAAAGAAGUGCAUUUUGGUGCCUUUUGGAGCAAAAUUGGGCUUCGAAUGGAUAGCAUAUGCUUGGAGCAAAGGAAUGGACGAAAUUGAAGACCUGAAGAUGCUAGGAUUCCUAGUUGAAGAAGGAUUCCUAGUUGAAUAAGGAUUCCUAGAAGAAUGAGGAUUCCUACUCAAAUGAGGAUUCCUACUUGAAGUAGGAAAGUUAAGCCAAGGUUUCCUAUUUUGGUUUGACCUUUCCUAAUCCUAAAUGUCCCUAAGUUCCAGCUACAAAGGAGUUUCCAAAACAUGUUAGGACACCUAAUAACUUGUUCUAGAAGUCCUAAACAUGCCCUAAAAGUCCAUGCCGCACCUCUCUAUGAUUUGAUCCUUCCUUGCCGCACAAAACAUUUUCUCCUUUCCUAUUUUAUGUUCUUAAAACCACAUUCCUAUUUUGAUCCUCCCUUUUUCCACACAUAUCCCUCUUUCUUACCUAUUUUUUGACCCAAAAUUACAUCCUUUUUUGUUUCAAUUAUUGCCGCACAAGGGGAGAGGAUUCUUACCUAUUUUGUGCCUCAAAACACAUUCCUAAAUCUGUCCUACACUCUCAGCCGAAUUUCCUUUCCUAUUCUCUUUAAUUCCUGCACCUUACUUGCCUAUUUUCCAUUGAUUUUUGACUUUUAAUUAUCGGACAAAAUAGCUAAGUUAUUUCUUUCCCUAAAACACAUAAAAACUGUGCCUUCUCCCCUAUAAAUACAUAGUGCCGCACCCUUUAGGGCUAUUCUCUCUUCUUUUCAGCCGUUCCACCCUUCACCAUAAUUCACCUACAUCCAUCCACCACCAUAAUUCACCACUCAUCCAUUCUCACAACCCUUGUGCCGCAGCAAAGAAGGAGAAUGAGGACCCUUGGACGUGCUUGCCAUUCAAGACGUUGGAUUGUUGGAGCGUUUUUAGGUGUAAUCCAUCCUUUGUUUUCAAUGUCUAAUUUAUUUUCUCUUUGUUUUUCUGUGAACAUGAGAGGCUAAACCCCUUUUGGCUAGGGGGAAUUUCGAAACCAUGACUAUAUUUGCAAUAUGAAUUGAUUACUUUCAGUUGUGAUUUCAUAAAUUGUGAAUGCAAUUUACUUAACUGUUUGAUUCAAAACUUAUUCUUGUAUGCUGAUUAAGGGUCGACACUUAGUUUGCAUGCAUGAAUUUGAUGCUAGAAUAUAAGGGAGUUUGAUGCGUAAAAUAACUAAACACACAAAUUAAACCCUAUUUGUGACAAUUGUAGUAAUGAUGUAAGUAGGGAUCGUUCUAACCGGGGAUUAACUAGGGGUGCUAAUCUAAUAUAAAUUGAUUCAAAAACACAAAAACUAAACUUAAAGACUCUAACAAGACUACUAUGACUCAAAACAGAUUUAAAGCACUCAAAACUGCCUAAAACAAUCAAAUUGACUCAAAAAGAAACUAGAACUUGAUUUGGACAGAAUCCAAAGUGUUUAUGACUCCAAAUGCUUAAGAACACAAAAUAACACAGAUUUGAAUGACUAAGACUCAACAAAAUAUGGGGGAAUUGUGUUUGGACGAAAUUAAAUUAAUUUGGCAGAUUGUAAAGAAAACAAAUUGUAAGACAAAAUUGUGAUGAAUCAAUGGAUGAUGGAAUAGCUAAGGGUUUCUUCUCCACACAUGAAAUAUAUGCAACGUAAAUCAAUUUCCAGUUAUCAAUUCAAUAAGUUAUGAACCUCGACACUCCAAGUUAAUUAGGUCCGCUUAAAUUAACCUUCAGAUUUCCCUAGAAUCAUUGAAUUGGAUGAAUAUGCAUCGCAAACAAAUUAUUCCUAACAAGUUCUCUAUAUGAACAGCAUGAUAAAGACACAAGUUAGAAUCAUUACGUUCUUUGGAAAUCAUAAGCAUCGACAAGGCAUUUGUAACUAUGAAAAGCAUGAUACUUUUGCCAGGAAUCUACUUAACACGAUCGUGACUAGCUGAUGCGUAAAAUAACUAAACACACAAAUUAAACCCUCUUUUUAUCAAUUGUAGUAAAGUAUGUAAGUAGGGAUCGUUCUAGGCCGGGGAUUAGGAGGGAUUGCUAAAUCACUUGGAAACUGACUUGAAAACGUAAAAACAAAGUUUAAAACACUAACUAGACUCAAAGAAUGCAAAACUAUACUUUAAAACACUAAAACAAACCAAAACACUCAAAACAGCCCCUAAACACUCAAAACUACCUUAAACACACAAUCUGGGCAGUUUUGGGACUCUAACACAAACUUGGACGAAUUUUGGUUUUCUAAUGAACUAAAACACUUUAAAACAUAAUCUAAGACAAGUUCUAAUUAAUAUGACUCAAAGAAAUAAGAUGGGGUUGAUUUUCGACGAAAAUAAUUAAAUUAAGACAAGAACAAAGUAAACAAAUUCUUAGACAAAUUUGGGUGAAUCAAAACACUCUAACACACAACCAAAACAGAAAUUAAACACUUUGAAACAAUAAAGUAAAAGGGGGAUUUUGGUUUUAAUGAAUUUGAAAACAAAACAACUUUGUAAAACAAAACAGAUUGUAAGUGAAUUUGAAUGAAACUUAUGGAUGGAAGAUUAGCUAGGAGGUUCUUCUCCACAUAUGUCACACUUGCAUACAAAACGAUUUCCAGUUGCUUUUCGAUAAGCUAUGAAUACUCAACGCCCCAAAUUAACCGUGAAUUGCACUAAUUAACCCUCAGUUUUUCCACAAGUUAUUGGAUUGGAUGAUUGCAUACGACAACCCAAAACAUUCCCUACAAGUUCCCUACAUGAAUUGCAUAAUAGAGAUACAAGCAAGAAUCAUUAAGUUCUAUGAAAAACAUAAGCAUUGACGAGGCACUCGUUACUAUGAUUUGCAUGAAACUUAUGCCAAGAAUUUACUUAACGUGAUUGUGACUAGCAACCUUCACUACUUGUGAAUAUAAGUUCAUAACGAUUAGGUGAAACUCCCUUAUAUUCUAGCGUUAAAUUCAUGCAUGAAAAUUAAGCGUGCACUCUCAACCAACAUACACAAAUCAUUUUUUAUACGAUCGGAUAAGUAAAUUGAAUUAACAACUUAUGAAUCACAACUGGAUGUAAUCAAAUCAUAUUGCAAGUAUGAACAUGGUUUCGAAUCACCCCCUAACUAAGAGGGGUUUAGUUCCUCAUACUCACAAAGCAAAGAUACAUAAAAUUAGACAUUAAAAUCAAAGGAAAGAAAACACCUAAAAUGCUCCAACUUGGGUAGCAAGUGCAUCCAAGAAUUCUCCUUUGCUUGCUUGCGGCAGAUUGCUUUGUGGACGGAUUUUUGGGUAGUUUUAUGAUGUAGAAUGGAUGGGGAAUGGUAUGGAAAGGUUUAGGGUAAGUGUGGAGGAGUGUUUGAGGGUUGGAGGGUGGUGGAGAGCUAGGCAAAGAGGGUGGAAGAAGGUGGAGUGGCUGUUAUGUUUUCUAGGCACUAGAAUGGUGUUUUUGGGGUGUUUUGCUACCUAGGGUGAGUAUGGACGAAUUUUUGUGAUAAAAUGAUGAAUAUGGGGGAUUGUCCUUUGGCCAAGGGGUGUAAACAUGUAUUUAUAGGCCCCAAAAACCUUAGAAAAUCAGGUUAGGUUAAGGAUGAAAUGCAUGGCAAUUUGUGUGUGUGGUGUGCAAUGGUCCAAGGGUGAAAAUGAAGUAAUGAUGCAAAGUGUGAAGGGUCAAAUGGAGUGGUGUUGUAGCUAGGGAGCAUGAAUGAUUGUGUACAUUGCAUAGAGAUGGAAAGGGAGGUGAAAUGUGUCAACAAAUGGGUCAAAGGUGCAACAACAUGUGUUGCACAUGGCAUUGGAUUCCAAAUGUGAAUGAUGGAGCAUCAAUUGGUGCAUGUAAUGGAUGUAAAUGUUGUCUAAAAUCUAAUGAGUGAAGGGAACAAGAGGUAUUAAGUAAUUGAGUGUAAUAAUUAAAUGAAUUGAAGCAUGAAAUCAGAAAUUAUGUAGGGGACAAGAGUGAUCAAGCAUGGCAUGAGAAUCCAAAGGGAAUUCUAUGUGGUUUGCAUGGCAAGGAAUGCAAGUUGGGGUGACAGAUUUUUGGGCUGUUUUCUUCAUCUUUUGGACCAUAAUUCUUCAUAUUCUUGGCCUCUUUAGUUCUCAAAUUCGUCCAUCCACUUUGGCCCAUGCAUUUGCUAUCCAUUCCAAGCCCCAUUUUGCUCCAAAAUGCUCCAAAAUGCAUCUUCUUGCCUACUUUGUCCAUAAAAUCUGAAAACACACGAAAAUGACUUUAAACAUUAAAAUAACUAAGGAAACACGACAUAAAUGCACAAGAACAAGCCAACUAAGUCGCAUAAAUAUGCUCCUAUCAAAUUCCCCCACACUUAGCUUUUGCUAGUCCUCGAGCAAAACAAAGAGAUAAAACGAAACAAAGUAAAUAAAACACAACCUAAACCUUCCAACAUUUGCCUCAGGGAUUUCCAAUGCACAUGACAUGUUAAAAAUUAUUAUCCCCACAGAUUUGAGUCAUCUUCACACUUAAGCACGUACUUAAUCAUAGUCACCACUUACUUGUUCACAAUUAAUCGAUUAAAAUAAUGUUUUUGAUGUAGUAACAUGCCUUAGAGAAAUCACUCAAUUCCUUACAAGAUAUUCACUCAAUUUUCACUCAGAUUUUCUAAUUACACACCCUAUACUAGUUAUAUGUGAGAAGAUUGAUGUAGAUAUGAAAACGAACGCUCACAUGUAUGUAUCACAAAGAAAGCAAUUUCUGGAGUUAAUAAGCAUGUUUAGAUAUGAUCUCAUGAAUGGAAUGCUACUACUUAGAUGCGAGAACCAGUGACACCAUAUGCUCAUAUCAAUUUCAAAACUCCACAUAUUGAAACGCAUGACACUCAAGAUGAAGUUAAGGGUUGUAACGGGGCUUGGGGUGAUGGCUAACAAAUGAAGGAUAAGGAUAACAAUCGUUCUUAAAGCAAUAGCAAGUAAGGUAAUGAAAUUGAAACUUAGAAUUCACUUAGAUUGCAGAAAUCAGCUUUUAGACACGAAGGGAAAAUUCAAACAAUAUUUAGGGCCGAAUUCUAUGUUUUGGACCCUUUCUUCAACAAGCAGCACUUUAAAACUCUUUUUCGCAUUUUUUUCAACUUUUCUUUUCUUUUCAACAAGCAUAAUAACUCACACUUCCCCCACACUUGUUUUCUGCCAUACAUUAUGAAGGAAAAUUUUUGUCCUAGCUAAGAACAAGUAUGAACAUUUGAAUACAUAUGCAUACUAUUAACUCAUUAAUAUAGGCAUGCAUCCAAAAACAAUUCAAUAAAACCCAUGACUUUCAAAGCCUAGUAUAUGGUGAACCAAAAUGAACUCUUUAACAACAUUAAAGAGAAAGAAGAAUUUAGUGAUUCUUUACCCUUGAAGCUCAUCCUUGUUUACACAAGGGAUUCACCCAAGUGGAGGGCCUUCAAGUCACCUCCAAGCUCCUUGAAUCCUUCUUGUGUUUUCUUCCCUUUUGUGCUCCUUUGAUGAUUUGAGGAAAAAGGAUUUGUUCUCCAAAACACCAAAAGCUUGAUGUCUCUAAGUCUCUUCACCAAGGUUGUAUCUUGUGAAGAUGAUAUGGAUGAUUAAAAGAAGAAGAGAUUGCUAGAUAUUUCUUCCUUUAAUGGCCGGCCUCUUAGAAGAAAUAGAGAGAAAAUGUCUCAUCAAAUUUCAACUUACCAAACCCUAAAGCUAUAAAGUUGAAUUUAUACUUCAUUUCUUUUGGUGAGUGGCAAACUUGCAAUUAAGCAAACUUUGCCCAUCCAACCCUAAUGGCCGGCCUCCUUGGGUGUUAUUGGGCUAUUUGCCCAUUUUGUUUUAGUUGUCAUACAACUUAAACAUAAUGGGCCUUUUGGACCAAAACGCUUUUGGGCCCCGAAACCCAAAACCAACAUAUAAGCCCAAUACGAACCUUUCGUAUAAUUAAUUAACUAAUUAAUUAAUCUUGACCAUUCUUCAAUUAAAACCAUUUAAUUGCUUAUCCAUUUCAUUUGAUUUCUUCACAUACAUCCUUACUCGGUGUACGAUCCAUUAGUUCUAAUUAGCGAGGCAGUGGGCGAUGUUACUUUUAACUAUCGAUUAUGAAUUGAAACCACAUUUCAAUUCUCCCUUUCAUUGAUUAGUGUUUGCUAAACCAUUAGGGCUUCCACAAACCAUGGUUGACGCCUAGCAGCAUGUCAUGGUUUACCCAAGCUAAGUAGAAUUGGUUGGAGAACCUAUCCAGUUACAACUACAAUGCAAUACGGUCCUUCUCUAAUACAAUACUCUUAAUCACAUUGUUUAAGUGAUAGUUUGUUUCAUGUCUACUAUCCAAUGUGAUUCUUUCUUAUAUGAUUCCCUUGAAUAUGAUUUUGGAACAACCUUCCUUUAGUCAUAUUCAUUUGCUUUGGCCAAAGACUUUAGAAUCAUAUCUUAGAGUAUUCUCCCUCCACCAUGGAAGGUUUAGAGAUCCCUUGUUGUACAUUCAUAUGCCUACAUGACUAGAUAGCUUGACCCCAACAAUGCCGUGGACACUCCGAGGGAAUGCCGUUGACAGGAUCAAAGAUCAAGGACCUAACCAUUAGACAUCUAUGAUGCCUCAGGUCAAAGGACUACUUUGCAUAUUGCAACCUUAGAGUUCUUACAUGACAUGUAUGUUCAAACUCUGAUUUGAUCGUAGUUCAGUGUACUCGAUUACUAUUUCGAGCACCUAUGUGUCUGUCUUAGUGUCCAACACCAAAUCACUUGAGACUAGUCAUACUCACACUUGAGUCAACAUAAACACAUACUAACCUUAACGGAUUGUCAAUGCCCAAUUGGCAAUCCUAUGGCUAGGAACGUUUUAGGAAUGAACAUAAGAGAAAGGUCUCGAUAAUCUAACUCACUUAGAUCACUUAUCUCUUAGAACAAAUACAUUCCUUGGAUUCACUUAUUGCUUAAACACAUGAAUAAACAGUGAUUAACAAUAAGAUGCCCUCCAUUAACAUAUAAAAGUUUAACAUAAUAAGUAUUCCAAAAAGCUAUUACAUCAAAUGAGUGGCUUUGUGGGCAUACUUCCAACACAUUAAUCAAAAGAAAUUCAAUUUGAAUCAUGCUUUACUAUGCUUCAAGAACAAGGGUAUGGAUGGUCCUAAACUAGGCUAGGUGAGGAUAAUGUGGUUUAACAAAGAAUGUAGGCUAACAAGG